GGCCCGUUUGUUUUGAUGUAAGUGGAGUGAUGAAACUCAAGUUCCAUCACUUCUGUUAUUUGUUUUGGUGUAAGUGAAAAAUAUAAUAUAACUCAAGUUACGUUAGAGCUCCACUUUACCUACUCUCGAUUUCCUCCUCUAAAGUGCCGAAUUCGACUUCCACCACACUCAACCUCCUCUAAAAAAUUAACUAAACAGUAAAACCUAAACUCUACUUCCUUUAUAAUGGAUUAGAAUUACCUUAUUUAUAAUAAAUUAGGAUUACCUUUAAAUAAUAAUAAAAAUUUAAUUAUAUAAUAGGUUAAAUUUUAUAGUGGUAAAUUUACUACUAUAUUUAGGAGAUAAUAGGAUCCACUUACUUAUAUCAAAACAAACAACGGAACUCAAAAAAUUAAUUUUACCAACACCAAGUUACAUCAAAAUAAACAGAAGAAGUAAUUGAAUUUAACUUUCAGACUGUAUAAGUUACAUCAAAACAAACAACAAAAAAAUAAUCACACUUCAGGAAAACUCAAACACCACUACACUUGACUUACGUUGGAUCUACAGAUUCGUCAAUCCAAACGCCCCCUAACUGAAUGAAUCCAUCAUUCAGAGACUAAUUUGCUUUUCAUAUUUUCUCACUUUACUAUCAUACUAGGAUAGAAACCCGUGCGAUGCACUGGACAUUUUUUUUUAAAUUUAGACAAUAAAAUUUUAUCAGAAAUAAUUUAAUAAAUUUUAAUAAAAAUUAUAAGAAAAUAAAAAAAAUCUGUAUCAGUACAGAACCAAUUCAACAUUUUAUUCAAGUCUAAGCUAAACAUUUUGUGUAAGUCUAAGCGGCUUAAAGAAAACAUAAAUAGCGCAAAAAAAAAAAAACAAAAAGUGAUAGAAUUAAAAAGAACAAAAAUAAAAGAAUUUAAAGAAAAAGCAGUUAACGUUGCAUAAAAAAUAUAAGAAUAAAAGUAUAAAAAAGAUAAAAAAGAAUAAAAAAAAAUUCAUAAGUAUAAUAAAUUAUAUUUACAGUAACAAUACAAUUGAGCAAUAAAAUGUCAUAUACUUUAUAGUUUGAGUAAGAAAUUAUAACGCAAAAAAAUAAGAAAUUGUAACGCAAAAAAGUUUGAGUCAAAUUUCAUGCAUUUUAUUGUUUGAGGACCAAAAGAACAAUUAACCCCUUUUUUAUGUUUUGUUUUUAUUUCAAACAAAAUCACAGUUGAGCAUUGAUUUUUUUUUUUAAUUAGUAAUUUUAUAUAAGAAAAUUACAUGAAUUUUAGAAAUCCUAAUUGUUAAAAUUAAAACUCAACCAAUCAUAUUUAAGAUAUUCCAAAAGAUUUUACAUGUAAGAUUAAUCACUCAUGAGAUUAUAAAUAUUGCAUUGAAGUUUGACAGUAAAAAUAUAUAAAACUUUUCUGAAUUAUGCAUUAUUUUGAAUCAGUUAUCUAACAUUUCAAAUUUUCGUUUUUGUUAUCCAAUUUUUCUACAUGUUAGAUUUGAGUCAAUCGAUGAUAUUUUAACUUCAAAAAUUGAAUGUGUCCCUUAUCUUUACAAAUUUAGUUGGUAUAUUUUAUACAAUUUUCAUAAUUAAAUUUAUUAAAAUAAAAAAUUAAUUUAAACUCUAUUAUUUUCUUAUUUUUUAUUAUACUAUUUAUAUCUAAGUAAUCAUAAAAUUAAAAUUUAUAUUUAAUACAUACAGUCUAAAAUAUUUAAAAGUUAGGCAUAAAUAAUUAUACAUUUUAAAUUUUUAUAAUAAAAAAAUAAAUUAAAUUAAAAAAAAAUCUUUAAAAUUCUCUUUCUCUAUGGGCAUGUUUGUUUCAGCGAAACUUGACUUUGGAUUGAGGUGGAGUUCGGUGAAAACUACUUUUUUUUCGCUGUUUGUUUCGUAGUUAUGGAAGUGGGGUUUCAUUAGUUCUGCUAUUUAUUUGGCAGGAAGUGUAUGAUCUAAAACUGUAAUUUAUAUAUAAAUAAUAAAUAAUUUAAUAAAUAAAAAUAAUACUAUUAUAUUUUUAAAUUUAAUAUGAUAUCACAGCAGAAAGUUUGGAGUUCGAGUCAGCUAAAUGAACUAUUGGAUAGAUGCAAAAAUUUAACAUGACAACAGAUCAAAAAUUCGCAAUGAGGCGUUAUUGGGGAGCUCCCCACUCAAGUUUAUCUGUAUAUAUCUAUACUACCGCACAUUUUUCAUUUUCUCUUUUCUUCUUUUCCAAAAUUGUCCCUUUCUCAUAAUACAAUACUGAUCGUAUUCUAACAAUAUGAGCUAUCAGAUGUAAUCCAUUUUCUGCUUGGUGUCUCACAACUGUUUAAUUUUUUUUAUUUUAAAUUAUUUAUUUUACGAACUAUGUAUAAGUUUUCUGAUCUAAUCCGACGAAUAACAUUAAAAAUAUCUCACAAUUUUUUUGAUAAAAUUAUUCUGUCUUUUUAAAUCUCCUCACUCUUAUUAAUUAUACCAACUAAAAAAAAAAAAUUUAAGGCAAUGCAAGCUUCUCCAACUUUUAUUUAUUUAUUUUUAAAUUGAUAUUUUUAAACUUGUAUUCUUUGUCAUUAAUAGAUUUAAAGCCAAAUUGCAUAAAAAAUUACUGACUUUGCAUUUCUGCAAAAGCAAAUUAUUUGUUUUAGAGAAUACUAUUUAUUUUGGUAAGAAAAGAAAUAUAUAUUACAUCAAUCUUGAUUGAUGUGUUUAUUAUUAGGUGAGUAUCAUAUUGAUCUUUAUUAUUUCAUUUUUAAAAAUAUGUGCCGAGCAAUUGCUCGGGCAUUAAUUUUACUAGUUCUGCAAAAAGUGAUAGAUUUUUAUAUACAUAUAUAUAUAACAUAUACAUAACUUAUCUGAACUUUGAAUUAUUUUAAAACGGGUAUGCGAUCUUUCUUGUGCUAUUCAUCUUGCUUCUUAAUCUCUUUCUUCUACCAGUUUUUUUUUUUUUUUUUUUUGGACCGCGAGUUGCUCCACCGUCAACCACCAGUUUUUGGCCGCGAGUGAUUUCACGGUUGAUAUUUGAAUGCUUCAUUUACAGAAUCAUAUAUUGUCACUAUUAUUAUUAUUAUUAUUAUUAUUAUUAUUAUUAUUUUGGUUGAAAUUAAGAGGAAAGAAACCUCAAUUAAAAAGAUAAAAUUCAACAUUUAGACUUCAUCAGUUGAUAAGCCAACAAGAAACAAGAACAGUGGAGAGAAAAAGGAAGCAAAAGAGAAGGUGACCAAAAAAAAGCAACUUUUCCACAUCUGAUGAUAUAUAAUAUUCUUGAUCAGGCACUUCCCAACAGCACUUCUCAAGUUGAGCACCGAUCGUUUGGAAAAAUGCAAUGUUUCCUCUUUUCUCGUCAGAUCUCAAAAGGCAAUCAAAAUUGGACCGGUGACAUUGCUAUAUAUCUGAGCUGUAAAGAUGCAACCUCUUUUGAAUCGAAAACCUCUGCAACCCAAACCCACGGAACUGUAACUGAAUGAAUCCAUACUAAUUUACUUUUCACACUUUCUCGCUUUAGUAUUCAGUGGUUUAAACCGUAUCCAUUUAAUGCAUUAUGAUUUCAUUUUUAUUUUUUUAUUAUCAAUUCCACUAAUUUUUUUCGUUAAAUUAAUGAUAAAGUUAAAACUAAAGGGUACUAAAGUGAAUAUUCAAUAAAUCUAGAUGGGGUAUCUGAAGUUUUUUGUAUGUAAUUUAGGGAAAACUUCAAAAUCCCCCCCUGUGGUUUCGCACUUUCUCACUAUAGUACGAUUUGGUUUAAAAUGUAUCAAUCUGCCCCCCUGUGGUUUUAUUUUUAUCUUUUCGGUAGCUUUUUUCUUAAUAUUUUGUUAAAUUAUAUACAAAAAAUUUCAGAUACCCAUCUAGAUUUAUCAAAUAUUUAUUUUAGUGCCCUUUAAUUUUAACUUUGUCACUGAUUUAAGAAAAAAAUAAGAACAAAAUUGAUAAUGAAAAGAAAAAAACGAAACCACAGGAGUGCAAAUUAAUACACUUUAAACCACAUGGUACUAAAGUGAGAAAGUGUGAAACCACGAGGGGGAUUUUUGAAGUUAUCCCUAUAAUUUAAUAAAAUAUUAACGAAAAAGUUUACGAAAAGAUAGAAAUGAAACUACAGGAUACCAACUUGGUAUAUUUUAAACCACGUGGCACUAAAAUGAGAAAGUGCGAAACCAUAUAGGAGUGGUAUUUGGAGUUUACCCAGUUUAAAAAGAGUCUUUUAAACCUAGAGAAGGGGGCUACAAAAUUAAGAUUUUGAAUAGUUAUAAACGUACUCGGCAUUAAUUUCUCUCUUAAUUUCUAUUGGAAUAUAUAAGCACGUACACAAGCACCUGCAUAUAUAUACAAAAGAAGUAUGCGUAUCUUUUAUAAAGUGCAUGCUUAAUUGUACACACUGCCUAUUGCCUAUUGGCAGUGUUUUGGAUUAGAGAUAAGGAGAGGGAUAACUUCUUAUCCCUUUCUUUAUACUCAAACGUAAAUUUUUUAUUCGAAAAUAGUAGUUUUCAGAUACCUAAAAUAAAUUGGUAUAACUAUUCCUACCAAUCCCUUUAUUUUCUAUAUAUAACUACCUACUAUUUUUCUUAUUCUAUAUUAUCUAUCCAAACAUUAUUUUUCUUAUCCUCGAAAAUAAUCCAGUUUUCAUCCAAACGCUAUUUUACUUAUCCCCAUAUUUGUACAUAUUCAUGUAAUAGCUAGUUUUUAUUUAUACCCGAACCAAACGGUACCAUAAUAUAUUGUGACGAUGACCUAUAAAAAAUUUAAUUUAUGAACUCGAUCUUCUUCUUACGGAGCUCUGGACCUGCGACUUGCAUAUAUAAACGAAGUUAGCUGGGAAUUAAUGUUAGUUAAAGCGGUGCAGCUGCUCGAUCGGACGAUCCGGUUCUUUUACUAUUUUGUGAUUCUAAUUUCAUCAUCUAUUAACGAAAAAAUAUUAAAUUUUGGAUUGAAAAUCUACCAUUGAUCUGGCCCGGCAACCCAAAGGGGGUGUAACUGUACAACACCGUCAUCACUAAGUUUAUCAAUUUUUUUCUUAUACUAAAAUUUAAAAAGAGAGAAAAAGAAUACAAAAUUAAGGAUUACAAUCCUAUAACUCGUUUUGAGUUGUAAACUUAGCAUUUCUUGCACAAACACCUACUUAUUUAUAUAUAUGUAGAGAGAGAGAGAAAGCUCUGAACCUGCGACUUGCAGAAAGGAAGGACAUUGUACGCAGGGAUCAUAAUUAUAAUUAAUUAAAGCGGUGCAGCACAAUCCGGUUCUUCUAACGGCCACGUCCCGGACAAUUCCCACAGACGAUGUUGGGAUCGCUGGUGCAGCAGGAAUGGCCCGGCUUUGGGCUAUCGCGGCCGGUCAUCGUCGCGGCCGCCUGCAUCGCUGCAAACGUCGUCGGCCUGCUGCCUCCUUCCUCGGUGAAGCGCUCCGGCGGCGUUACAGGCUGCGGCAUGGUUGAGCUUGUUACCAUCAUCAUCAUCAUCAUCAGCAGCAGCAUCAUCAUCAUCAUCAAGAAGAGAAGGAGGAUGACAGCCUGCAGUAGUUUGGAGCUAGGGGCCAUAAAUAUAUGAUAUAUCGAUCGCAGGGAGAGGAGGCCGGAACUGUGAGCAGCAGGAGCAGGAGUGCGAGCGUAGCUAAUUAAGGGAGGUGGGUUUUUGCACUCGUCGGGGGACAAUCGGAUAAGGCAUGCAGCGGAUUUUCGCAGGUCUGAGAACACUUUCAGCACACCUUUGUAGCCCCGCGGCCUUUGUGGGACAAAAAUUUCAAACAACAAUAACUUAGGGGCUGUUUGGUUGGAUGUAGUUGCAAAAACAGUGUAGUUGAAAAUACAUGCGGUUGCAAAUGCUGCAGUUGUAACUACACCUAAUCUGUUUGGUUUUACACAGUUGCAACUGCUGCAGUUACAUUUCUUCUGUUUGGUAAUAUGAAGUUGAUAGUUGUAUUUGUGAAUUUUGUCACCUUUUCAAAUAGAGUGGUGAAAUUACCUUCACUAAACAUAAAAUAAUUAUAUAAAUUUAUUAAUCAUUUAAAUUUACUAUUUAUAAAUAAAUAAGUAGAUAUAUAUAAUAUUUUUCAACUUAUUAAUCGACACAUUUAAAACUUUUAAUUUAUUUAAUUUUAAUAUGUAAAUCAAACUUUAAAAUUUAAACGAUUCUUUCAUUUUUUUUUAUCAAAUUUAAUAAUUAUAAUUAAUUAAAAUUUAUUAAAUUAACAUACACGAUCACAUUCUAUAAAAUUUUUUUAAAAAAACUAUAUUUAUAUUUUAAAUAAAAUAAAUUUAAAAAAUUUAAUUUUUUGCACAAAGCUUGUAUUGUCUAAAAAAUUUUAUUAGUAUGAGUUUAUUUACAAGUAUUUUUAUUUACCUAUAUACAUAUAUUAUUUAUUUAUUUAGCUAUUUAUUAUUUAUUUAUUAUUGUUAAUUUGUGGGUGAUCCUAUCCCUCACCAACUGCUGCAGUUGGAACUACGGCCAAUUUGGAUGUAGUUCCAACUGCAGCAUUUGGACCUUCUUGUGUAGUUGGAACUGCAGCAGUUGAACUCAACUACACUAAACCAAACAAAGAAAUUGAGGCUACACGCAUUUGCAACUGCACUGCAGUUGUAAAUGCGUGCAACCAAACAGCCCCUUAGUGCAGUGAAACAACAGUUGUGCGUCUAGGCUCAACUUAGUGCUCGAGACUUUUUAGUCAGUCCAAAAAAAAAUUAAUAUGUUAGAAGUCUGACGUGACUCAAAUUCAGAACUUUUUACUCUAAUACUAUGUGAAACAACCGUUAUACUUUAAAAACUUAAACUAUUAAAGAACGAUGUUUAAAUAUGUUUAUAUUUAACAAGUAUUCAAAAAAAAAUUUGUGUGCUCCAAUCUUUUAGAGAGAGAGAUAGAAAAAAAGAUCGAAGCACGUGAAAAAAAGAGAGCCACAUCGACAAAUGGGGAGCAAUGCCCAUAAAUUUUUUUUUUGUCCGCUUUUGGAUUCUUUUGUAAAGUUCCAAUAGAAAAGAAAGAGAAAGUUGGGUUCUAUUUGAAUGCCUUUUAAUUAAACCGUAUCCCAGUUAAAACUUAAAACUAUGCUAUUUCCGGAGAAAUAUUAUCUCAUAAAGUAUUUGACAGGUACAAAACGUAAAUACUUUUUUGAAUAUAGUUAAACGAUACUUUUAAAAAAUAAAGUAAAAUAAUAAUCCACUCCAACUAAAAAAAAAAAAAAAAAUUUCACUAUUCUUGAGCUUUCUCACCCCCGAGCUAUGUCAAAUUUCAGACUUUAAAUUUUAAAAUUUUAAAUUUAAACCUCAUUUUCAAAUUUCAAAUUUAAAAAUUUUUUCUUUUAAUUUGUUUUUAAUUUCAAAAUUUCGGAUAUCACAAUUUUAAAUUUUAAAUUUAAUUUUUAAUUUCAAAUUUUAAAUUUUAAUUUUAUAUUUUAUAUUUUAUAUUUUAAAUUUCAACUUUCAAUUUAAAUUUCAAGUUUAAAUUUCAAAUUAAAAAUUAAAAUUUAAAAUUUAAAAUACUGAUUAACAAAUUUUAAAUUUUCAAAUUUUACAAUUUUUAAAUUUGAAAUUUUUAAAAUUUUAAUUUUUAAAUUUUAAAUUUUAACUUUAAAUUUUGAAUUUUGACUUUAUUUCAAAAAAUUUUAAAAAUUUCAAAUUUUAACUUUAAAUUUUGAAUUUCCACUUUAUUUCAAAUUUUAACAUUUUUAAUUUUAAAAUUUUAAAAUCUAAAAUUAUUACUUUACCUUUUAAUUUUUUAAAUUUUAAUUGAGAGAAAUUUUCUGAAUUUGUAUAAUGUGUAUUCAAAUAGUUUGAAAAUCGAAGACGUCAAAUUUUUUAAAGUUAUAGGAUUUUCUAUUUUACUUAGACCAAAACCACAAUUUUGUUUCUUAUUCUUUUCUAGUGUAGGAAAAAAAAAAAAAACUUAAUGAUUAAUAUUGAAAGUCACAAACUCAGCCUUACCUCCUCAAUUUCUGUCAUGUCUGAACUGGUAUCGACAGAGGUGGGGAAAAAAUAAAAGAGAGGAGCACGAUCGAUGUCAAUGUUUGAGCAAUAAAGAAGGAGAAGAAAGGAGAGGAAGCAAGAGAAAAAAUAAAAAAAGAGACGACAGGAUGGAGGAAAAUGAAUCAAGGCAGAAAAAAACGAAUAAGACUAAAAAAAAUAAAAAAAAGAUGGAUAAGAAUAUUUUAAUUAAUUUACUAAAAAUUUAAAUCAAAUUUAUAAAAUUUAAAAACAUAGUCUGUUUUUAUAAAAAUACAAAACGGAUAAUUUUUUAUUCAAAUUAGCCUAAAAUCAAAGGCAUAUUGAUGGUCAAAUAUUCACAGAACAAAAUGAUACAUGCAUUGGACAAGGCUAUGAAAAAGAAUGAUGUGGAAAAAUUAAGUGAUUUGAUUGUUGAUAGUUCAUUCGGAAUCUAAUAAUAUUCAAUAUUUUCUUCUUUUUUUUUUGCCGGUUGUCCGUCAGUUAUAAAGAAAAGAAAAAAGAAGAACCGUAUUAUUGGAAAGCUAAAAAGAGAUAUAUUAUAUUUUAGUUCACGAGAAAUAUACAACAUUAGAAAUGCAAUUUCAAAUUAUUAAAUAUAUUUAUACUUAUUUAAAAUCCUUGCAAAUCACGACAAAUCCACUAAAAUCAUACGGAACUAUAUAUAUAUAUAUAUCCAAACAUAAAAAUAACUCUCCACACAAAGUAAAUGACACUCCAAAUUAAAAUGAUGCGUUUUUUCCUUCUUUUUGUGAAAAUUUAAAUAUCAAUUAAAAAAUUAUUUGGGGGGAAUAUAUAUAAUAAAUAUGUUAAAAGUAUGUUUUAAAAAUUUCAGGCUUCUCAUGAUUUAGUUAAUACGCGAAUUAACUAACAGAGCUAUCAACUAUUAAGUCUUUUGUCAUUUGCACUGAAAACGGUCGGUUUUCGUCCACUGUUUUGAACCGGUGAGAAACAGCUAUUGUCCACAAUCUAUAGCCAUUUGAUCAUGGUCUACAUGCAUUGAACGCUACAUGAAUUGCUUCUUAAGUAAUCGAAAGAAUAUACCAAACAAAAUGUUGUAGUGUCUAAAUAGAACAAAGAGCCGGCCCCUUUAUUUCCUUUCCCUGUUCUUUUCGCCAAACGUUGACUUCUCUCCCAAUACAGUUAACAAAAAAAAAAAAAAAAAAAAAAAAAAGAAUCUAUCAAGGAGCAUAAAUUAUAGGCGGGCUUUUACUUACAUACCUCCCAAUACUAUUUAAAUUUUUUAAAUUUAACUCUCUAUUUUCAAAAUAUACUACUAAAUCUCAAAUCCUAUUAGCAUUUUUUAAAAAAAAUACCCUUCAAAACUCUAAAUUUCAUUAGUAAAUUCUAGGAUUAGGAGUGUCACGUCCCGGAUUUCUCCUUUUUUCAGCCACGCCGGUAAAUCCGCCGUAUACAAAAAAAAUUUUCCUAUAUACGAAACGAUAACUGUACCUGUAAUCAUACAAUACUACAACCAGUAGUAUAGAGCUGCUAAAAAAAUAAUAUAUAUAAAAAAAAAGUUCACUAUACAUACAUCACAUCCAGGUGUACAAAACACUCGCUCCAGCGAGAUACAACAAAAGUAUGUAUAUGAAUUAAAAAACUACCACUACCUGUAGCUGUUAUACUCUAGCUAAGCAGCAAACUGGGAAAGGAUUUAACUCGCGACUCCCUUUUCAUGGUCCGAAUCAGCAGCAGCAGUAGACGACGAAGAAGGCUCUGCAAAAAAUUCUAACAACUGGACUUGAGAACUACUGCAAAAAGAAAUAGUCCUCAGUGGAUACUGCUACCGACCUCAACGGCUCACCCACUAAGUCUACAGAUGUAAACAAGUAUAGUAAAAAAGCUGAAAUAAAUCUACAGCUAUAUGCAUAUAUACUAUCUCGGUCUAACACCAACUAUCUGUAGAAAAAGUAAAUCCUGACCCAAUCUCGCUAGGGACUGUGAACACACCCGUCCCGUCUGUCGAAGUGAACCCGUAUACUACCCCAUGAGUAGCCGGUAGAGAAAUCUCUCUAAGUACUGUGAAUACACCCGUCCCCUCUAAUUAGGUUACACUGUAGCUCAAGAGUAACCGGUGGAGAAAACUCUUUAGAGACUGUGAACACACUUGUCUAGUCUAACUAGGCUACACUGUAGCUCAAGAGUAAUCGGUGGAGAAAACUCUUUAGAGACUGUGAACACACCCGUCUCGCCUAACUAGAUUACACCGUAUCUCAAAGGUAGUCGGUUUAAGUAAAAAGGUCCGACAGGACGGUUGUGACUCCACUUACGUCACAACUUUACUGAAGGUAGAGAAAAGCGUCACUAACUAUCUCAUCCGGACUGCCCAAACGGACCCACCCAGCCUGUAUCCAGUAACGCUGUACACCACCCACGGGAAGGGGUGGCCGGCUCAAGAACUGUCCAAACAGAAACUGCGACAUCAUCGCAAUGAAACCUCAUUUCGGAAUGGCAUUCGUGGACGCGACCCAAAUGAAAUUACAAGUGUUUAUGCCAAGUUCAUUUAGGCUCUCACAGGCUAUAGUCAAGUAAACAUGGUUUAACUGGUCUAACAACCAAAACACCCGUGCCCUGAUGCAAAAACAGUAAUCUGGGUCCACCAUCAACCCCAACGGCACCUGACAACCUGGAACAGUCUGAACAUUACUGUAAAAAUAAGCUCGGCAUCCCAGCACGAGUAUAAAAUUAUUCUACACUAUUCUGAGUAUCCACCGCCCACAAACUGUGGUGAUACAAACAAACUAGGCUUCUAAAACUAAAUCUGAUAGUUUGUUCAAAUUGCGGUAUAGAAACGUCAGUUUUCUCCUAAGUCAAAUCCAAGUCCAACAUGCAUUAUUUAGCUAAUUUUCUAAGCUCCAAUUCAAAUUCAUAGGCAUGAAAUUCCAGGAAUCGAGCUAAACUAUGUACUAAACAAAGCUAAAAACACAUACUAUUGACAUAUAUAAAAUUAGAAGGAAACCCGUAGAAUUCGGUAAGCAUCACUUUAACCUACCUCAAAAGCUAAUCUACAGCAGCGAGAAGUCGAUGAAUCCCGCGUUCGCCCGGCCUCCAACGGCGCAACCACGACGCACGCACUCGACUCGCUCGCUCGCAAUCCUAGGGGGCCCAUAUCAUCCUAACCACUCAUUUCUCAAUUCAAGGGCUAAAAAAUCAAUAGCACCAAUAGCCUGGUACUAUUGAUAGUAUUCCAGCCUAGUUCUAGUUUUAUAUAUAUAUAUAUAUAUAUAUAUAUAUAUAUAUAUAUAUANAUAUAUAUGUAUACACACUAUUAUCAAGUGCUUAAUGCUAUCGAGUUUUCGGCCGCUUGAUGAAAGGAUGUCCGGCUAGGAUAAUAGUGGUCCCCUAAGGUUGAUACUAUUAUACUAUCGAUAGUAUCAAAUACUUAGUGCUGUUUAGUUUUCUGCCGUUUGAUGAAAGUAUGCACGGUUAGGAUAAUAGUGGUCCCUUAAGGUUGAGUGGGUGGUUGAUUGAAUAGUAUAAUCAAAUGUGUGGAAAUAUAUAUAUAUAUAUAUAUAUAUAAAAGUACGUAUUUUGAAUUUGGAUUAGUUGACAUAUCUAUUUUCUUGGCAGAAAAAAUUUUAGUUUCCUUUUUUUUCCUAUUUUUGGCAGAAAAAGAAUUUUGUUUUCUUUUUUUCCUAUGCAAAAUAAAUAACGUAAUAAGACAAGCUUUGAGUUUUUCUUUUUUCUCUAAUAGAUAAUUUUUCUUUUUUGAUUAAAUAUUUCUAUACCAUUCAAUAUCUUUUCUUUUUAAGUAAAUACUUUCAAAUUAUUUCAAUAUUAUCUACUNCCAUUCAAUAUCUUUUCUUUUUAAGUAAAUACUUUCAAAUUAUUUCAAUAUUAUCUACUAAUAUUUAAUUGUUAUAUUAAUUUUUUAUUAAUAUAUUUGUUGCCGGGCCGUUCGGGCCAACCACGCCCCACUUGGCCCGAAUGAAUGUGGGUUGUGCAGGCCCACAUUACACCCCUACGUGUAAUAGCACAUAUCUAAGGGGUCAUUUGGUUGGACGUAUAUAGCCAGAGAUGCAUGCAGUAAGAAAUACAAUAAUUAUAACUAUAUUUAUUUUGUUUGGUUUGAUGCAGUUAAAAACGCUACAACUAUAAUAAAAAAAAAAAAAAGUUAUUUAAUUGCAUGCAGUUAAAAAGUUAAUGUCUAAAAUUUUACCACUUAAUAUACGUGGUGGUGGAGAGAAAAAAAAAAUUACUUUUUGUUUAAAAAGUGAGUAAAAAGAUAAGCGUACCUUUUAUUUAAAAUUAUUUUCUCCAACAGCUAGAGUUAAAAUUACCGUUAAUUUAAAUAUAGCUCAAUUACUACAGUUAGACCUUCCUGUGCAAUUCUAAAUUCAGCAAAUGAAUUCAAAAACAUUAAAUUAAAUACCAAAUUCGAAUAUGUACAUAAUUAGUCGUGUAGUAAAUAGUAAUGUAGUAGCAACUGCGUAUAAUCAAAUUGUACCUAAUUGUGUGCCUCAUUUUAACUUCCGCCAAAGAAAACGGUGGGGAGCAAGGGUCCGACUUUGGGACCCGUUAAAGGUGAUAGAUUUUUUUAAAAAAAAUAUUCAAAUGUAGGGGUUUUUGGGAUUGGGAGUCACCUUCAAAAAAAGGACAAAAUUAAGGUAGUAUGAAUACUUGUUCGAUCUAGAGAAGUACAGAAUGCACCAUAUGCAAAUAUAUAGAGAGACCUCAUACACCUUUACUUAACUAUACAUCACUUUCUGAGAAAAUGCAAUAUCGAUAUCUCUCCUAUAAUGCACAACAAUAGCAUUAAUUCACCGAUCGUCCCUAGAGCAAAAGGUUUGAUGGUUGAUACCCGAGGUCCCAAGUUCGAAUCCUAGUUGGUUCAUAUUUUCAGCUAAAUUUAUUUCUAAAUAAAAUAAACAAAACGAAUAGCGUUCUACCUAUCUCUCUCAAAAAAAAAAAAAAAAAAAAACAAUAGCAUUAAUUCACAAUAACCAAAUUUUACUCCAGAAACAGAAAAAUAAACUACAGUAUUCAUUCAUUACCUCUCACAUAGAAUAAUUCCACAUUCCAUGCUUAAACUAACACCACCGGAGAAGAUUAACUUUUCUAGGCAACUCUUUUUUACCUUCCUCGUACCAGUUACUAAUGUUAAAGAAGCACUGUAAAGACCGAAGAACAACAAAAAUCGCUUGUGCAGAUUCAAGAAAAGGAUUAGAAAAAGAUAUGCCAAUUACCAACUAGGGAGCAAAACGUAACAUGCUAAUGCACAAAACUAUUAAUACAAAUCCGGAACAACUAGUUGCUCCCUUCGAGAUGGAAGAGAUUAAAAAAGCGGUUUUUCAACUAGGAAGGAACAAAGCGCCAGGGCCAGACGGAUUUCCAAUAAGUUUUUAUCAGACUUUUUGGGAUAUGUUGAAGGAGGACUUGGCGAAUAUUUACCAGGAAUUGUAUGAGGGUAAGCUCUUCACCGGAUCUGUAUAUCGAUUAUUCCUUCAUUUGCCUCAUCCCCAAAAAAAAAGGAGCGGCUCAUGCUAACGACUUUCGUCCUAUUAGCCUAAUCAAUAGUAUUCAAAAAAUAAUCUCCAAAGUUCUAUCUAAUAGACUAGGAGUUAUGCAUGAGACUAUUUCCACUUCCCAGUCGGCGUUUUUAAAAGAUAGGUUACUUCUAGACUCUUUUGUCACCGCUAACGAGUUGGUUGCAUGGGAUAGCUAUAAAGCUGUGGAAGGGGUAGGAGUGAAGGUGGAUUUUGAGAAGGCCUAUGACAAAGUCAGUUGGGAGUUCUUAUUUAAAAUUAUGAAUUGGUUGGGAUUUGGCGAAAAAUAGUGUGGAUGGAUAAAACAGUGUAUUUGUAAUGCCAAGGUUGCUGCACUUGUCAAUGGAGAAGCUACCAGGUGGAUUAAAAUGAAAAGAGGGGUACGACAAGGUGACCCCUUGUCCCUUCCUGUUCUUAGUGGUGGCAGAAUGUCUAGCAAGAAUGACAGAACAAGCAACUUGGACCAAGCUUCUUCGGGGCGGUCGGACCUACAGAAGAUUGCCUAGUGACAAUUAUUCAAUAUGCUGACGAUACGAUUUUCUUUUGUGAAGAUAAAAAAAAAUAUUUGAAAAACCUCAAGUUCAUGUGGAGCAUUUUCGAGUAGGCCUCUGGAGUCAGAAUUAAUAUAGCAAAAUCAGAGCUACUUUAUGUGGGAAAAAGUGAAAAUAGGGCAAUGAUAUUAGCAAACAUUCUAGGGUUCAAGGUUGGGAGUUUUUCGAUAAAAUAUUUGGGAUUGCCACUAUCUAAUAAAACACUAACGAAGAACGAAUGGAUAGGGAUUCUCGACAAAGUGCAAAGAAAUAUUGACAGGUGGCAAGCAAAACUACUCUCGCGCGGGGGAAGAUUGAUACUAGUAAAUUCAGUUUUGUCCAAUUUACCACUCCACUUCUUUUCGGUUAUUAAAGCGCCAAAAUUGGUAACUAAACGUAUCGAGGUAUUCGGAAGAAACUUCUCUAGAAAAUAGGGAUAGAUGCAAAAGGAGGAGCAAAUUUUGGUUGCGUGGAAGAAUGUGUGUAAGAGUCGAAAGAAUGGAGGAUUAAGGGUUAAGGACAUGGCCACCAUAAAUGACGCCCUUCUCACAAAAUGGUGGUGGAGAUUGCUAACUGAGCCAGACUUCCUUUGGACCAAACUUAUCAACACGUUAUAUUAUUGUAGAAGGAAACCAUUGCAAGAGGGAAGGACAUUCAGACCUGCCUCACAAUGGUGGAAAAGCGUGGUUAGGCUUAGGGAGGUUUUUAAAUACGAAGUUAGCUAUAACCUAGGGGAUGGACACGUACUUAGUUGACUUCUGGUCACACAAAUGGUGUGGAGAAAUCUCACUACAGUCCCUAUUGCCCGAGCUUUUUAAUAAAGUAGAGCUCAAGGUGUGCAAUGUGAAAGAUUGUUUUUCUACCAACGGAUGGAGAUGGAGAUGGAGAAAAAUCUUGAAAGGAACUGAAUCAGAAAGUCAACGACUUGGAUGGGCAAUUCAGGCGUUUAACGAGCUGCUCUCUAAUUUUCAUACGGUAAAUAGUCGGGAUAAUUUAUGCUGGCGGUGGAACAAGGGGCAAGGAUUUAUAGUUAAGUCUGUGUAUGAGAUGUUUAAUGAUAGGGGAGUUAAAGAUGAUCUACCAGCUAAGAUAUGGAGAUUACGCGUACCAAAGAAAGUGAAGAUCUUCAUUUGGCUAGUGCUAAAGAAAAGAAUUCCCACUAUAGAUAAUUUAAAUAAGAGAGGGUGGACAGGGAAUCAAUCCUGUGUUCUGUGUGCAUGUGCGCAAGAAACAGUGGACCACCUACUUUUGACAAUUGUGUUUAGUCGCUUUCUUAUGACGCGUACUUUUGAUGAGGCAAUGGAUGUCCAGUUUGACGAUGAUAUUAGAGGCUUUUGGGAGAAGGAGAUGGAAAGAGGGAACGGUCAGGCAGCUGUAAAGAGGCAGUGCUCCUUGGCAGCAAUCUGGUGGGUGCUCUGGAGACAGAGAAAUAAUGUUAUUUUCAAAAAUUGAGCUCAGAUCCAUUGGAGACUGCUAGAAUUUGUAAGGAGUUGGUGAAGCAAUAGGUAGAGAGUUGCUAAUAUUGAGUGCAAUUUGGGGGAGGGGGUGUUACUGUGUAGAUUUUCUUCUUCUUCUUCUUUUUUCUUUUUCUUUUUUUCUUCUCUCUCUCAUUUUUUGUCCUUUUUUGAGGCAUAGUAGUCUUACAUUUUGUAGCUAAGUUCAUUUUCGAAAUGAAUGAAGCGGAUAGAAUGCUAACUUUUCUCAAAAAAAAAAAAAAAACUAUUAAUACAUACAAACAGGCGUAAGUAUAAAAAGACUCAACAGUCGUAGCAAAUUAUAUACUAAUAAAUAAAAAGAUUGUGAUCAAAACCAUCGCGGGACCUAAACAAAGCAAAUUUUAAAAUGGGUAAACUUCAAACAUCACCCCUGUGGUUUCGCACUUUCUCACUUUAGUAUUUUGUAACUUAAAGUGUAUCAAUUUAGUACCAUGUGGUUUCAUAUUUCUCUUUUUGUCGGUCCCUCUCUUUUAACUUUUUAUUAAAUCAUAUACAAAAAAUUUCAUAUACCCACCUAUAGUUUAUCGAAUAUUUACUUUAAUAUCAUUUAGUUUUAACUUUGUCACUAAUUUAAUAAAAAAAAUUAGUGAAGAGAAUAACAAAAAGAGAAAGAUAAAACUACAGAGUACGAAAGUGAUACAUCUUAAAUCAUAUGAUACUAAAGUAAAAACGUGCGAAAUCACAGGAGUGAUAUUUGUAGUUUUUCCUUUAAAAUUAAGAUUCCAACACUUUCAACGAGCAAACAUUAAACAGUCAAAAUGAAAGACAUACUAAACAUUUAAUAUGUUUUAACUUCGAUAACAACUAACAGGCAGAUUUCGAUGAUGCAAUCUCCACAAAAGCAGGACGCACAAACACAGUCUGAACAACGCCCAAAAGCAGGAAGUCUAGUGUGCCAUAUUUGGACCAUAUCACCAAGUAAUAAACCAAUUAUAUUUUUAAUAAAAAAAUAUAAAAUAAAAAUAACUUUUAAUUAAAAAAUUUUAAAUAUUAUCUCUAUGGUUUCACACUUUCUCACUUUAGUAUCCUAUAGUUUAAAAUGUAUUAUUUUCGUACCAUAUGAUUUUAUUUUUUUUUUUUUGUUAUCACAUUCACUCAUUUUUUUUAUUAAAUCAACGAUAAAGUUAAAACAAAAGAAUAUUAAAGUGAAUAUUCGACAAAUUACAAGUGGGAUAUCUAAAGUUUUUUGUAUACGAUUUAACGAAAAGUUAACGAAACGACCGACGAAAAGAGAAAAAUGAAACCGCAAAAUAUUAAAUUGAUACAUUGUAAAUCACACAAUACUAAAGUUAAAAAAAAAAAAAAAAAAAAAAAAAAAAAGUACGAAACAACAGAAUUGAUAUUAGAAGUUUACUUUUUUUUUUAUAUAAUUAGGGUGGAAUAGGUGCAUUCAAAAUAAUAAUCUUAUUAGUUAAAAAUGUCAUGUAUCAGCAAUAUAGCUCCAACCAAGAAAGUGAAUAGCACUAAUACAAGAAUGGUCGGAAUAGCUGAGUUGUUAGAGCAGGACUGAAAAUCCGAGAAGCGGCGGGGGAGGGGCUAGAUGAGGCGGUGAAAAAAGAGGUUAUAGAGAGAGAAAGGGAGAAAGGAGAAAUUAAGGCGGUGGACAAUCUAACAAAAAUUGAAUCCUUACAAUAACGAAAUCAAAGAAAAACACAUCACCACAACUGAGAAUUCCUUGUAGGAAUUCAUAUAUUAAGCAGAGUCCACACAUUAAAUUAAACAAUUCCCUAAUUCUAUAAAUGUGUGUGUAUAUAUAUAUAUAUAGAGAGAGAGAGAGAGAGAGACGAAAAGAGGAGGAGAUAGAGGGGAAUUCACCAUGAACUGGUCGAGCUCCGCGGCCGUCGCCGCCGCCGCCGCCGCGUCGCCGCCGCCGCCGCGUCGCCGCCGCCGCCGCGUCGCCUUCCCCGAUCUUCUCGCCUCUGCCGUGGCUACUCCCCUGAUCGCCGGAGAUCCCCGAGGUCGGCGUCAUCGUCUCCGCUGCUACCGCCACAUCGCCCCCUCCUCCUCCGCCGCCGCUCCAGUUUCUCUGCAAGAUCUCCGGCCUGGGGAGCCACUGCACGGCGGCGCCGGCGCCGGCGAGGACGAGUCGGCCCUCGUUUGGAGGUGGAGGAAGCUCCCGUCGACUCACCCGUGCAGCGCCGCGCCCGCUGGAGCCGGAUGGAGGUGCUGCGCCACGCCGCCGCCGCCGCCGCGUCGUCCUCUAUCAGCGAGGGGGGUGAGAGAUCGAAGCGGCUGCUCGAUCGGCGACGGGAGCGUGCGAUCGGAAAGGACGAACGCUGGGUAGAAAGAGAGUAGCAAAAGGGAGAGACGAUGAAAGGGAGCGGUGUAGGAGGAGAGAUUGGAGCUCGCAGAUGAAGCGGUCGAGGGUUUCGUAGUCGUCGGGGUCGUCGAUCUCCAUGGAUGUGGAUUGGAGGUUGAGCGCGAGCACGCGCCAGAGAGAGAGAGAGAGAGAGAGAGAGAGAGAGGGGGAGAAGAGAGAGGAUGGGUGUGUGGGCCUGGAGGGUGGUUUUUUUUUUUUUUUUUUUUUUUUUUUUUUUUUUUUUGAGAGAGAGAUAGGUAACACGCUACCGUUCGUUUCAUUUUGAAAUAACUUACUUGAAAAUAUGACAAUCAACUAGAAUUCGAACUGAAGGUCUCGAGUACCAAUCACCAAAAUCUUUCUGCGCUUGCUCUUAGAUGUGGCCGGGGUGUUUUCUAUUGUUCUCACUACCGCCUAGUUUACAUAGCAGCUACCAUUCAAUGAUUCCACUUCAGCAAUUCCAAAAAAAAAAAAAAAAAAAAAAAAAGAAAAAGAGAAAACUCCACAAAUGCCCUUUGGCAUGUGCCUUUUUAUUUUAAUAUUUUAUAGUUUAAAAUAUAUAACUCGUUCAAUAAUUUUUCUGUUGCAGUAAUGGAAAAAUUUACAGAUACCUAUCCUAUGAUUUCUUAUGAUUUAUUGAUUUCUUAUUUUACUAUUUCAUGAAUUUAAUUUUAUUAUUUAUUAUCAAAAAAUAUUAAAUUUUGGAUUGAAAAUCUACCAUUCAUCUAGCCGGGCAAUCCAAAGAACUGUAACUGUACAACAUCAUUAUCCAAAGACUAAUUUGUUCUUCACCACGUUUAUCAUUCUUUUCUUAUACUAAAAUCAUAAAAAGAGAGAAAAAGAAUACAAAAUUAAGGAUUAGAAUCCAAUAACUUAUUUUGAGUUGUAAACUUAGCAUUUCUUGCACAAACACCUCUCUCUCUCUCUCUCUAUAUAUAUAUAGAGAGAGAGAGAGAGAGAGAGAGUUGUAUUAUAAUACGAUUAAUAAUAUGAUACUAUUUACUUUGUGAAAAAAAUUUUUCUAAAGUUGAGUGGAUGAUGGCAUGCUAUAACAGGAAUGAUCCAAGAUUAGAAAAAUAGAUAGUAUGUACACGCAAAGCAAAUAGCAUUUCUCAUAUAACAAUAUAUGUAUAUAUAUAUAUAUAAGUUAUAUAACUCUCACAAAAGCUCUGAACCUGCGACUUAAUUGCAGAAAUGAAGGAUAUUGUUAGGGAUCAUCUUAAUAAAUUAAAGCGGCGCAGCACAAUAUGUAUAUCCGGUUCUUCUAACGGCCACGUCCCGGAGGACAAGCUGUCUCACAUACCAUGUUGGGAUCGCUGGUGCAGCAGGAAUGGCCCGGCUUUGGGCUAUCGCGGCCAGUCAUCGUCGCGGCCGCCUGCAUCGUUGCGGCAGUCAGAAACGUCGUCGUCGGUCCGCCUCCUUCCUCGGUGAAGCGCUCCGGCGGCGUUACAGGCUGCGGCAUGGUUGAGCUUGUUACCAUCAUCAGCAUCAUCAAGGCGAGGAGUAGUAUUGAGCUAGGAGCCAUUGCAAAUUGAGAGAACACGAAUGACUUAUGAGGAUCGAGGAAUUAAUGCCUGGAGAUCUAGGAGCGCUUCCGCCUUCCACACUAGCUAGCUAGCUAGUGUGAGACCGAGCCAGGCAUGCAGUGGGUGCGGCUUGCGCAGUGUCUCGCGCGAGCGUUUUUCUAGACUGCAAAGGUGCAUGAGAGCAGAUUACGGAAGCUUCCUUCGAUCGUGAUUUGUACGUAGUGGUUAAAAAAGGUUUUCUAACCAAUUAUUUUCAACACGAGAAUAGGGAAUAAACAGAUAACCUGGCAUUGUUUAAGUAGGGAACAAAGUGAGCGGGAAUAAAGAGAAAAUAAGGAAUUGCCAGUCCCCAUUUGCUUCGUGGUUAAAGGGGGAAUGGGGAGGGGAUAAAAAGGGGAAAGGGCAGGGGAUGAGGGGGGUUAACACCCCCCUUUCACCCCAAACGCUCGUUUUUGGAGGUCGAGUUAGCUAAUCCCACUCCCUGCUCCCUGGAAUAGGAGUAGCUAAUCCCAUCCCUAUUUAAUUUUUAAAUAUAAAUUUUAAAUUUUUUAUUUUUUAUUUUAAAUUAUUCUUUUUAAUCAUUUAAAUUUUAAAUUUGGCAUUUUAUAUUUGUAACUUGAGAUUUGUUUUAAAAUUUAAAUUUUAAAUUUUAAAAGUUAUAACUUUAAAUUUUUAAAUUUGAGAUUUAAAAAUAUAGAUUUUAAUUUUGAACUUUAAAUUUUAAAUUUUAAAUUGUUAUUUUUAAUUAUUUAAAUUUUAAAUUUGACAUUUUAUAUUUGUAAUUUUAUAUUUGUUAGAUUUGAUUUAAAAUUUAAAAUUAAAAUUUAUAACUUUAAAUUUUUAAUUUUGAGAUUUAAAAAUAUAGAUUUUAAUUUUGAAUUUUUUAAUUGUAAAAGUUAUGUAUUUAAAUUUGAAAUUUUAAAUAUAAAAAAAAAUUAAAUUCAAAUAUAAUAAUUAGUACAAUAUUAUUUUUUUCUAUUUAUAACUACCUAUUAUUUUUUUUUUUAUUCUAUCUUAUCUAUCCAAACGCUAUUUUUCUUAAUCCCGAUUUUCGAGAAUAACUCAAUUAUCAUCCAAAUACAAAAUUAAUCCAUUUCAGGCUUAACCCUGAACUUAACCUUAUUUCCCGAACCAAACGAAGUCUUAAAGUACAUAACACAAAUGGGAAUAAGGCAAUUUUUACAAUUAAGGUGUUGGAGUUUUUUGAAAAAUAACGUGAUUCAACCAAGUUUAAUUGGCUGAAAAAUUCGUUGAGUUCGGCAAUUUUUAUAAUCAAUGUGAAAAAUCUUUAAACGAUCAUAAAUUCAUAACUUUUCGCUCGACUAGUCGAGUUUGGAGCCCAAUUCAAUUGUUUCUGCCUCUAUAUAUUUUUACAUUUUUUGGUUAUUUUCAGAGAGUUUUAUUUAUUUUUUUCUGUUUUGAGUCUAAUUAUUUUGUUAUUUCUAAUUGGAUUAGGUUUAGAGAUAUAUUAAAAUUUAUUUAUUUUUAAUUAUAGUGAGAUUCGGGUACCGACUUUAUAUAUAGACGUGACGUUCAGUUAAUGUAACGAGCUUUUAGAGUUAAUUAAUAAUAUUAUUUGGUGCUUAUCGAGGAACUGUGUUUUUCGUGUACAUAUCUCUCUUUCCAUUUUUUUGCUUUUUCGCUCUUAAUGCGGCUCAGGCUUGCAUCAAGGCAUGAUGAGCUCGCCAAUAGAGUGACUCAUAGUGACUCUCACCUAUUAGAUGAAUAAAAUAUAAGAUUUGUACUUGCUUUUAGAUGUACAACAUUGCCCUAAAACUUUUAGAUGUAUAAUCGUACAUUCAAAUGCGAAUGUAUGUCUUACAUCUUAUCCAUUUGAUUAAAGAAAAUAAGAUAAUCACAAGGUAUGAAUGCAUCUCCUCUUUCCAUGUUGGUUUGCAAAAUUACACUAGUAAAUCUUUCAACUAUAGGCUACUUUCAAAGAAAUUUCUCAUCUACCUGCUACUUUUGAUGAUAGUUUUCUAAACUUCUAAUUUUUGUUAUUUGACUUACUUUAGUUAGUUUAAUUUUAGGGAUAAAAAAUUUAAUCCCUGUAUUCAUUAACCCACUACCAAACAUUAUCUUUCAAAGGUCAGGUACGGAUAGUACUUGAAUAUGUUUGCUUGUUUGUUGGAAACUGCUAUUUGUACAGGAGUGUACCUCUUACAAAUAGUCAUUUUAGAAUUCACAAAAAUUUAAACAAAAUUUAAUAAAAAAUAAGUUAAUUUGAAAAAUAUAAAAUAAAAAAUUUUACAUAGAGAGGGUGGAAGAUGUGUACUUCACUCUAAGGUGUAUAAAUAGAAUUGCUCUUAUUUCUUAAAAGGUUAUCACCUAUACUGUACUUUAACUCGUAUCAAAGAUAAUAAUUUAAUCCAUUAGCACUAAUAAUUUAUGGGGCUCAAAAACUUGACUUUAAAUUUUUACUGUACUUUAACUCGUAUCAAAGAUAAUAAUUUAAUCCAUUAGCACUAAUAAUUUAUGGGGCUCAAAAACUUGACUAAAAAUUAUUUUUGCUUAAAUUAUUAUUACUAUUGUACCGGUCUCUUAUAAAGCUCUCGUACUCUCUUAUCUUAUUUCAUAUAGAACUAUAUAAAUAUUACAGUAAAAAUUUAAUUUCCUAUAAGAAAAAAAAUAAAAGAAAAAAAAAACCACUAAACGUAAAGGGUUAAUUGCAUACAGCUUUCUAUAAGCAUAUCGAAUAGCAGAUAUAUCCCUACAAAGUUUAACUUUUCAUAUUUAUUCCUACAAAAGUCCUAACAUUUUCGAAUAUAUCCCUAUUGUUAUAAUCCAUUAAAAAAAUAUAGUUAACUAUAGAUAAAAUACUUAAUUCUAGUUAGUAAAUAAGGUAAAUUAUUUUUUUUACCCCUCUUAUAUUAUUUGUGAUGGUAAAAAGAAAGAAGAUGACCGUUGAAAAUUUUUGGAAUGAUAUUUUUGUAUAAUUCUAACAGUUAAGGCUUUCGGAGGAAUAUGUUUGCGAUAGCAAAAAUAUCAUUUUACUUAUUUUCUAUUAAAAAAUAAUCAAUACUCUAACAGUAACAAACUAGAGGAGGCAAAUAUAAAUAUCACUAUAUUUUUACAGAAAUAAAUAUAAAAAAUUAAACUUUAUAAAAAUAUAUUUACUAUUCGAUAUAUUUACAGGGAGCUGUAUGAAAUUAAUCCAAACAUAAAUGUUGGGUCUAGUCCUGUAAUCCAUUUUGGACUAGAAGAAACAACUGUCCCUUUCCAAAUAUCAAAAAUUUUAUUUUGUAUUUUUUAUUUUUGGAAUGAAUUUAUUGUAAGUAAUGGUGUUUCUAGAGAUUGACCCAGUUGAUCUAUUUUGCUAUGUAACAUUAAUUAUACCAAUUAAAAAAAAUAAAAUCUACAUGUGCACAAAAUAAAACUCAUCUUAACAAUCGUUAAAUUUCUUCUCAAAAAGUACUUAUUUUCAAUAAUAAUUAUAUUCUAAAAUGAAAAUCAAAUAAUAAAACAUACCAAUUUAAGAUAUUGUUAAAAAAUUUCACUUUUCAAAAGACGUAAACUAGUAAAACAUUGCAAAAAUUUCAAAACUAUUUACUUCUAUUAUUUUGUUUCUAAUUCUACGUUUGUAAAUUUGGAAGCUUAAGAUUUUGCUUUGAAAAAAAUCAUAGAAUUUUUGUUUUGACAAUCGAAAUUGCGAGAUUUUUUUGGAAGUGAAUUCGUGUAACCUAAAGGCGUAUCACUUUUUGGCUUCUUUGGAUUGGCUUCGAAAAAGUCAUCGUCGCGGAUAUUUGUUUCGAUAUUGAAAUUACAAGAUUUUUUUAGUUGAAUUCCCGAAACUCACAAUUUUCUCACUUUUUGACUUUUCGCGUUCGCAUAAGCAUCUUCAAAAUUCCCCUCCUUUUUUUCUAAUUUUAAUUAUAGAAUUAAUUUCAGACAAGUCCCUAUAAAUAUAGUAAAUUAUAAAUACAUCUCUAUAAAAUUUAAUUUUCAUAUGUUGUUUCUAUAAAAAUUCUAAUAUUUUUAAAUAUGUCUCUGCCGUUAAAAUUCGUUAAAAAACUUUAGUUAACCAUAGGUUAAAUGCUUAGCCUUGGUUAGUUUAUGAGAUAACUCGACAGUUUUACCCCUCUUAUAUUAUAUUAUUAUAACUUUUAAAGAGACAUCUGUUAUGCCAAAAAUAUUAUUUUACUUAAAAUAUAAAUAAUUUAUAACAAUAAGAAAUCAGAUAAACAUAUUUGAAAAUAUUAGAAUUUUUACGACAACAACAUAUUUAGUAGGAAUUUGUAUGCAUUUAACCCUUAAUUAUAUUCUCUAAAAUUCGGAUUUUUAUGUUCUUUCUCUCUCUCUUUCUCUCUCUCUCUCUUCAUUAUUAUAUUCAUUCAUGCCCAGCUCAAAAUUCCCCUGAUUUUUUCCCUCUUCGCCAUCUCAUUUUCGCCAGUUUCAAGCUGUAAAAAUUGGAUUUUUAUGCCUUAAUUUUUUGUCCCUAUUCAUUAAAAAUUGAUUGAUGGGGCAAUCCCCCACGUUGGGGCUUCUAAAAUCAACUUUUUUUGUUUUGUUUUUUGUUUUUUUUUUAAUCCAUCGCCGCUUUCGGUGUGCGUCGUCGUUAUCCCAGCCGACUUUUUUUAAUGCUUACCUCAGCUUCUUUUUUUUUUCUUAAAAAAAAAUUAAUUAGUUUUAAUUUAUUAGUUGCAAUUGUGGUGGGGGAGGACGGGAGUGUAGUAUAUACGAAGUGGAGGGGGUUAGGUGCAAAAAAGCCCCACCUUUCGGUCCCUUUUUUGGGUUUUUUUUUUUUUCUUUUUUCUUUUCUCUCUUGAGCACUCUUUUAAUACCCAUUGGGAGAUCCGGUUCCUGGGAUUUGGAAGGGUUUUAAUUUUGCUUGGUGGGUUUGAUGCAAAAAAAAAAGAGAAAAAGGUCUUAUCUUUGAUGCUAAUUUGCUUUGUAAGUUUGUGGGUUUCAAUUUAACAAUUUAUUUCUGUUUUGUUGAUUGGAAUCUUGCUAAUUUUUGUGCUUUUAGGGUUCUUUGAUUCGUUCGGGGAAUUGAGUUUGCUUAAUCUCUCUCUGAUUUAGUUCGAAAGAUGCAUGCUUUUGAUUUCUGUAGCUGAGAUCUGAUAUCCAUUUUCCUUUUUCUUUCUUUGAUUUAAUAGAAUUGUUCCAGUGCUUACUAUAUCAUUCAUUUUAAUCUUUUCCUGUUGUAAUUUUGUAAAUUUUUUAUGCUUGCUAUGAGGAAAAGAGCUUAUAANUUUUUUUUUGUUCUUGAUCAAUUGUUCCAGUGCUUACUAUAUCAUUCAUUUUAAUCUUUUCCUGUUGUAAUUUUGUAAAUUUUUUAUGCUUGCUAUGAGGAAAAGAGCUUAUAAUUUGUCAUUAACCUGAGGUUUUAAUCUAGAGUUCUUUUUUCAUCAUGAUUAAUCUCAAUUAUUCAUACUUAGUCAAUAGAUAAAUAUGCAACUCUUUGUUUCAUUAGUCUCUCAAUUUGAAUGAAUUGAAACUCUCUCUGAUUAAUUCUAGUUUUUUGGUAUUUGCAAAUUGAUUUUUUCAGCUUGGAGACAUUCAUUCUCACCAAUUCAAGGAAUUUGAAGGUUAUAAUCACCAUUUGAGAUACUAUAACUUGGUCUUCUUCCGAUGGCCGCGAGGACGGCGCACCGAUUCUCAUCUGCGCUCUCUUCGGCCGUUCUCGAAUGGUUGCUAAUGCUUCUCUUGUUCGUCGACGCCGUAUAUUCCUACAUCGUCACCAAAUUCGCCCGAUUAUGUCAAUUACAAACUCCGUGUGUUCUAUGCUCGAGACUCGACCAUAUUCUCGGGAAUGAGAAAUCAGGCUUUUACCUCAACUUAAUUUGCAAGAAGCACAAGUCCGAGAUCUCGUCUUUGGCUCUUUGUCGCGCGCACCAAAAGCUUGCGGACGUGCAUGAGUUGUGCGAGAAUUGUCUCCUUUCUUUCGCCACGGAGAAGAAAUCGAAUUUGGAGACUUAUCGAUCGUUGGUGGGUAAACUCGGUUUGGAUUUCGAUCAGGGAGAACAUGAUUACUUUGAUGAAGACGAUGAAGUGCCGUUAUUGGACGAAUCUAUGUCUUCUUUUCCUUUCAAAAGGAAUUGUUCUUGUUGCUCGGAGCCGUUAAAAAAGAUGUCACGUGGCGUAGGGGUGCUUUGGAAGAAAUCAAGUGGAAUUAAAAAUACUACUGAAACCGGGAAUUCUAUACCGGAUUUGGUAGAACACGAAUCUACGGAGCCAAAUGGAGUUUACCAUUCAAAGGAUGAAGGGGCUGAUCACUUGUCGCAUAUUGGUUAUAGGGAGCUUAAGAUUACAUCCGAUUCCGAAUCGGAGACUCCUUUCGUCGAUGGAAAUGAAACCAAUGAACUCAGAGAGGAUUUUGUUCCUCAAGAUGCGGAAAUGGAGCCAGUUGAUGUUCAUACCGACAGUUUGUACGUAAAUCCUUCGGAUAGUGCAGUGAUAGCAAAGUCGAUUCCUUCUGAACCAAUUCCCGAAAAGAAACAACACGCGGGUGAAUCGCAUGAUGUACAAACCACGGCAUCUGCUGUUGCUAAUGAGCAUGCUUUGGAUGAAUCAAAAUGGAGCCGAAGUGAAGUGAAAACCGACCCCACGCCAUCUGAAAUGACAGUUGAAGAUCCUCAAAGUGUUCAUUCUGAGGAUGUUAACACCACAUGUGAGUCUUCUCUUCGCUCCAUAUGAGCCUUGUAGAGCUUUUUUUUUUAAAAAAAAAAAACUUAUUUAUACCCCUUGCAAAAUUGCUUAUCAUGAUAUUCCAUAAAAAUCUGGACUUCUCAUAUUUGCCUUUCGAAAACUUAGUGCUACACAACAAUAUUUUUACGUAAAAGCCCCUCAUUUUUAUCUCGACGGUCCCUUUCCUACUAUUUGUUCUUUGAUAUUCUUGUUUUUCAGUGGAUAAUGAUUCGGAAGAUGCUUGCGCCGCGCAAAAAGCUCCAACUUUAACUGAGGAAUCAUCCAAGGGUUUGAACUCGCUUGAAAUAAAUCCUUCAAGAAGCCAAAUUGCAUCCGAACCUUCUCCGUCUCUAAACACUGAUAUGAGCUUAAGCGAUGCUUAUAAGCUUGCCAUCGGCCAAAAGAGCAGCUUACCAUCUCCCACACUUGCCGAAGUGCUUUUGGGAAAGGAUUCUUCUAAAGUUCACGAAGAUUUAAAAUCGCUAAUAAGCCAAAUAUCUGCCGCUCGGAGGCUCGAGACCCCGUGGACUGAUUUGGGUUCGAGCCCGAGAGUACAACACAGCCAAGGCGAUGAGACCGUACUCCAGAACAUCACUAAGAGGCUCUCGAUUGAGAGAAAUGAAUCGGGGUUUGAAUCUUUGGACGGAAGUAUUGUGAGCGAGAUCGAAGGAGAAAGCACGGUGGACCGGCUGAAGAGGCAGAUCGACUUGGAUCGCAAGUCGAUAAGCCUUUUGUACAAGGAGCUGGAGGAGGAGAGAAGUGCUUCCGCCAUAGCGGCGAACCAAGCUAUGGCCAUGAUUACUAGAUUGCAAGAGGAGAAGGCGUCGAUGCAAAUGGAAGCUCUUCAGUACCAAAGGAUGAUGGAGGAGCAAGCCGAGUACGAUCAAGAGGCGCUUCAGAAGUCGAAUGAGAUUCUUGCUCAGAAGGAGAAAGAAGUGCUUUUGCUAGAAGCAGAGCUCGAGAACUACAGAAACUCAAAGGCAAGAGAAAGUGAGUCGGGUCUUUUCAAGAACUCACUUUUGAAAUUUGAAGACGAGAAGGUGUACAUUUCGAAUCGAUUGAGGAAGUUAGAAGAGGAGCUCCAUCUUUUCUCUAACAAUGGUGCUUUUGCUGAUGCGUCAAAAAUUACUGCUGAAGAAGAAGAAAUUAUGGAAAGUGAUAAUCAAAGCAAUUCGGUUGCGGAGGAUGAUGAGAGAGGAAAUGGUCAAUGUAUUGUUUGUGACUCUAAAGAAGACUCUAAUUCCGGGAAAAUACCACAUAUUAUUGUUCAACGAAACGAUGGAGAAGUGCGUUUCUGCAAACAUUCUGAGAUGAUUGGUGAGAGUGAUUUAGUUGCUCUUGAAUGUGAGAUUUCAGACCUGAGCGAAAGGUUAGAGGCCCUUGAAGCGGAUCAUAAUUUUCUCGAGCAUAGUAUAAAUUCACUUAGAAAUGGUGAAGAAGGGGUGCGGUUUAUUCAGGAGAUCGCUUCGCAUCUGCAGGAAUUACGAGAAAUUGGGAUUGCGAGGAAAUAGCAAGCUACAGUUUAAUCUCUACUCCUGUAACAGGUAUUUUUCAGAAAAGCUUUGUAGUAUUUAGCAUCUUACACAGUAGAAACCACUGGAAUCUACUUGUAUUAUAACUUCGUUAAAUAAAUAAGCUGUGAUCAUCAGGAAACCGACUUGUUUUGCAAAUAAAAAAAAAAAUCGGAAAAGAAUUUUUACAUUACCAUUACCUAUAAUAAUAAGCGUCUUUAUUUAUAUUAUACCUUUCUUUGGCAUUUGAUAUAGAAAGAAAUAAAGCUUAUCAUAUGUAUUGUACUUAAAUUAUGUGUUACAAAUCAUUCAUGAUCUUUUUUUUUCCCUGUUUUUAUAUAGUAUAUCUUUGUUCAUUUUACGAUUAGCUUCAAUCUACGUGAUUUCGAGCAUCUGAAAAUGCAAUCCAUUUUGAAUAUAGACUGACAUAGGAAGCCAUAUAUUACGACAUAAAUCAGAAAAUUUUAUGUGAUUCUUUAAACUUGUUUUGAUUCUUUCGCUUGCCGAUAUAUUGAAUUAUUGUGGAUUUACUAUUCAGCCUCCAAAUUUUGCUUGUUUUAUUUUCUUAUUGAAAAAUGCAGAGAAACAGCAUUGCAUUUUUGAGUUCAUGAGCACAUAUAUUUGCAUAGAUAUCUUGGACUAAUGUAAAGAAAUAACCAUUUCAGAUUCCACGGUGGUAGCAGAUCAAACAUCCAUAACAAUUCCCGGGAAAAACAUUGAAUUUGGUCGUUUGGGGUUCGGCUCUGUGAAUACGUUUUGCGCUAAAGCGACUCCUGAUCCACGAACAACACUGUGUAGCUUCGUCGAGCACUCAGAAUUGAGCUGUAACAAUUGCGUCUUAUUUUGAUUGAAUUUGGGUUUUUUUUUUUUUUUUUUUUUUUACCCUCUCUUUUUCCUGUUUUAUUGUGUAGAGGUGAUUGUUUGAAGUGUAUGUUUCCUUUUACUUUGAUUGAGGUGUAUGAGUUGUAAUAAUGUCUAUAGAGGUGAUUUCCUUGUAAGCUAACACUGUAUAUUGCUAGGAUUGGGAUCUAUGGCCACUUUGUUCUUCUCUUUUCCUUUCCAUUUUGUUUUAUUUUCUCUUUUUAUGCAAAUUUGAAGAGUUGAUAGAUUUGUUUGAAACGGGACAAAAAUUUUAUGGACGUACUCCCCAAACAAGCUUGUUUGGGAAUUGGCGCCGCUUGUCAUGUGCUUUUGCUGGGUGGUUGGGAUGGACACCGCUCGUCAUGUGGCGCUCUUUCGGACAAUUUCCAAACAAGAUUAUUACGAGAGUAUGUAGAUAAAAAUUUUUGUUCCUCGUUGUUGUUCUUUCUUUUGAUCGAAAUAUGGAAUAUGCUAACAAGAUAAGAAAUAAUUUGUUCUGAUUUGAGUUAUUUAAGUUGUCUAAAAUCUUGUCAAAUAAGUUGCUAAGAUCCUGAUUUGGUAUCAUGUUUGCUUUUUAUUUUUUUAAAACAAAAUUUUGUAUAUGGAAAGGUGCAGGAGUGGACAAAGGAUUACAAGCAAUCCUUUUAUCUAAACUAUUUAUUUGGCAACAAAAAAUAAAAACUUAAAAAUAAUUAUUUUCUUACUUUUAAAUAUUUUUUAAACAAUUUGUCACUUUUCGUUUAGUCCCAUACAUUGUAAGUUAAUCAACUAUAACAACAACAAAAAAAAUUCGACACAAUAAAUUAUACAAAAUUAGUUUAAAUUUUUUUUUAAAAAAAGGCGAUGAUACCAAAUCAGGCCUAGUAAAGUUAUUAAAUUAAUAAAAAUUUGUAUUUGUAUGAUUGGUCCCACAAAAUUUAUAUUUGCAUGGCGGGGAUAGGACUAAUCUUGCAAAUAUAAAUUUUAUAAGGUUCUUUAUGAAAAUAAAAUUUCUGAGGGGUCUAAAUGCAAAAAAAAGCCCUUAAAAUAAACAUAAAGUGAGAGGGAGCUUAAUCUGAAUUAUAAAAGUUCAGGGAUUCACAUACAUUUUUACCUUCUCUUCUUACGGAAAAGUAAUAUCCAUGUCUCUGUACAAAAAGCUGUAUUUGUGAAUCAUUAUGAUUCGAAAAUCGAAAGAACGCAAUUCCUUCGUAGAUCUGUGCGUACCGAAACCCUAACCUGAUUCCGACGCGUCCCGCAUUUUCGUCUCCGAGAUCGAUGCUAUAAAUAUGGUAUGUUGCUUCAGAUCUCGUGUGAGGCGUUUUUGCUCGAAAUCUCACUCAAAAUCCACUUUUUUGAGCCCUAAUUUGUGGGAUAUUAGUCGAUGAAUCGUCGCAUGUUAUGUGAUGUGAUAUUUUCCCAUUUUGAGUUCAUUUGGUUUGCGAAAUUUGAUUGGUGUAUGAUGUUUAUUGUUUCUUUAGGAGUAAUUGCAUCUGCAUUUUGGCUUACAAAUUUUUCGCAAGUUUAAGUCUCCUGUGAAGUGGAAUUCGAGUUCGAAGUGAGAUAUGAUUGCUUAUUACCAUGAAUCUUAGAAGAUGAAACUUCAAUUUAGCUCAAAUUUUUUUGAUUUUGCUCAUGUAUGUCCCAUAAUUUGUGAAUCACAUAAUUUUUCUUUGGAAAUUAGUAUUUAGUAUUUGUAUGUAUGAAGGUGGUGGUGGAGAUGUUGGCAAACUAUGUUGAGGUCGAUUAAUUAUAUUUUAGUUUUUGGUGAAGUUUUGUUGUAGUGAUGGAUAAUUUUUGCUAAUAUAAUUUAGUUUUACAAGAUUUAGGGCAGCCUGAACUUUCCUGUUUGCAAAUAGCCAUUUGAACUUUCGAAAUUUUAUAUUGCUCUCUAAAAUUUCAAAAUAUUGCAAAUUGGCCACAUAGAUUUAUAUUUUAACAAUUGAAAGCGACUAAUAUUAGUAAAAUGAUCAAGAAACAAUAAAGGAUGCAUACCAACAAUAUAGAAGGGUCUUUUUGACGUCAAAAUUCAGUCUUACAGUAUGGAAAUUGAUUUUCGCAUUUGAUUUUUGCAAAUUAAAUAUGAUAGUUAUGGCCAAUUUUACUGGCAAAAGUGAUUUUUGGUAUCAAGAAGACUCACAAUAUUUGCAUCCAUUCUUUAUUGUUUUUUGACCAAUCGGUUGAUGUUAAUCACUUUAAAUUAUGAAAUAUGAAUCUAGGCGGUUAAUUGCAAAAUUUUGAGAGUUUAGAUGCUAGAUAUGAAGUUUUGAAUGUUUAGGUGACAAUCUGCAAAAGGGCAAAAGUUAGAGCUGUUCUGAUGCAUUUAACUUGAUAAUUUAACGCAUUCAUUUUAACUUUAAAAUAGUUGAAUUACUGGAUUUAUGUGUUAAAAAUGUUCAAGGUAGCGAGGCUAAUAAAAUUAGCACAAUUUUUGCAGGAGCGAGAAGCAAAGAAGGAGACCUUUAGAAAAUAUCUAGAUUCCAGUGGCGUUCUUGAUGCUCUUACCAAAGGUUGCCCUCCCAUUCUUGCCGUGUAUUUUUAUCUAUAUAAGCAGUUGUAUAGAACGCAGACUAUUCAUGUCCAUGUAUUCUUUGUCCUUUGCAGUCUUAGUUUCAUUGUAUGAGGAGAACAACAAGCCUUCUUCUGCAGUUGAGUAAGUUUGGUAAUCGGAAAUAUUCUGUUUUUGUGUUCCUAAUCCAAGUACUUAUCAAUUUGUUAUAUAAGAAAAAGGAAGCAGAAUAGGUGCUUUUACCCUCACCCCUACAGUAGCUUUUCUACUCGAGCAGCUGAAACCAAGAAGCUAAAAGAAAUUCGGAGCUCCUGGCUGGAGCAGGAAGCUGAAAUGGGCUUUCGAACCCCAAAGCAGAAGCUAUAUGGUGGAGCUUAUGUUUCUGGUUUUGAAGCUGCUCCUGGAUGGAGCUUUUAGCAGACUUGUUUGAAGAUGCCAUCUCAGUUCUUUCCAUCUAAAAUACCCUUUUCCAAUUGAAUCUAUUGUUUUGGACAAAAGCUAAUUUUGGUUUCCUACUUUAGCGAGAAGCUCUAGGUUUUUUGACUUGUGCUUGUCAAGUAGUGAAAAUAUUGCGAAAGUUGGUCCAAACGGAGACUUUUUGCAGAAUCUUCUGCUUCACAGCAGAAAUAAGCUGCUUCUAUCAGACAUAAUAAGAAAUGUUUCUUGCAGCUGUACCCAAACACCCAUGAGAAAUGUGCUUUUUCUAGGAGUCGGUUGCCUUGUAUUCCUGAUGCAAAUUUAAACUCUGUUAUCUAUCAGGUUCAUUCAACAAAAAUUAGGUGGUCCGUCAAUAUCUGAAUAUGAAAAACUACAAGCUGAGAAAUUGGACCUGCAGUUAAGGUACGAUGAACUCUUCGCAGCUCACCAAGAAACAUGCAGACAGGUAACUAACUCUUAGUUUGGUAUGUUAUUUAAUACUUACUUUCAGUUUCUUCUAAAACAUGCUGAUUUAUGCUGAUAUUAUUGGUAUCAAUUAGUGGAUGCUUUUCUGAAUGAAAUCAAGCAACAUAUUUCUAGUGUUAGUUCGAUUGUACAAACUCAAAAUACGCCCUUUGAUGUAGGAGCUCCGACUCUAACGAAUAAGCUUAAUUAUAUUCUUCUGUCAUGUAAAUGCAUGCUCAGGGAUGACAACAACGUUUCCUCAGCAUAAAAAGCUCUUACAACAGCCAUUUCCUUUUUUUGUCUAGUAGAUUCACAGAGUCUUACUAUUUGCUCUACUUCAACUGCGUGCAAAUGUGGUCGGCACCUUUUUCUACAUGUAUUCGGCUAUAAUAGCUAAAUUGAUUAUAUUAUUGUUUUUUUUUUUAAGAAAUAGGUAGCACGCUACCCGCUUCAUUUAUUUCAUUUAGAAAUAAACUUAGCUAGAAAUGUGAAUCAACUAGGAUUCGAAUUUGGGACCUCAGGUACCAACCACCAAGCCCUCUGCCACUUGCUUUAGGGACAGUUGGUGAUUAUAUUAUUGUUAUAGGAGUAAAAUGUGCAGCAGUAAAUAAAAAACGUGGGUUGAACGCGUACACAGAAGCUAGAACCCCCACUAAACUGUGAGAUGGCCCUCAAAUUAACGGAAACUUGGUGCUACAUUGCUUUUAUAUUUGCGGUAACUCAGCAAAUAACUUAAGAGAUGUUUAUUGUAAAGUAGUCGCGAAAAAUGCAUCUGGGAAAGGUAGAAUUUCAAUUCUUCAGAAUUCUAGGAUUCGUGAGAGCCAGUUUAAAUCCCCUGCCUCGUAAUCCUUUCGACUAAACUAGGUCUUAGUGUUAGAAUAAGAAAAUGAAAGAGAGGUAUCUAAAUCAAAUGCAUCUUUUGAUUUGGUGUUAAAAUCUAAACCCAGUAUUUAUCCGCGACGAAUACUAUGCUUACCUCUGCAUUUGUUGAUUUAUGUUGCAGCUUGAGGAUCUAAGGAGCUCGAAAUAUACAGAAAAUUGCAAGGAAACAAUGAAUGGUGGCACCGAAAGAGAGAACUUGUAGAGUGGCCACAUUAAGCAAUCCAAAUGUUUAAUUUCUUUGUUGUUGUAAUCAUCACCAAAAAUUGAUUUUCCUCUUUUUUUUUUUUGAUCCCUUUGGACUACAUAGUUUCAUCUAAAUCUGAGAGGCAAUGGAUUUCAAAUUUGUAGAGGCUAAUUUCUUAUUUUUAAGUCCAAUUAAUUGUUUUGCAACAAGAUUAAUCUCCAUGCUGUUUCAAAUUAGAUGGAACUUUUCUUCUUUUUUAAAAAAAAAAAAAAAAACACUUAUUUUGACAUUUGAGUAAUGGGUUAAUUGAAUUUACUCAUCCAUUAGUAACUGGUUUGAGUAGAUUCAAUCCAUCUAAUCAAGCCAAACAAAGUUUCAGCAUAAAUUAAUAAUUAAUAUUGAAUUUUUUUUCAUAUUUAAAAUUAAACUUUAUGUUUGGUAAACUUUCAUAUAACAUCCAACUAAGGUAAAAAUUCAAAAACUUUUGUUAUUGUAGAAAGCAGAAAUAAAAUUUUGAAACUGAGUAAACACUAAUUUUUUUUAAAAAAGGAAAACAGUUAAAGAUGUAUUAAUUUAAUUUUUUUCAUAAUAUUAUUAUCUAAAUAGCAAGUAAUUACUACACCUUUAAGAAGUGGAACAGUCCCUUUAUUUUAUUUUAUUUUAUUUUAUUUUAGAAACUGGACCUUCAUGUGAAAAGCGUUUUAUUCCUACCAAAUGUCACACUAACUAAACAACUCCUUUUUUUUUCCUUUUUUAACAAGUUUGGGGUGUAUCUUAGAAAUUUUAAAAAUCAUUUAUAAGUUUUUUUUUUUAACUUCUCAGAUAAUUUUAAAAUUUUGUUUAAUUUUUAAAUUUUCUUUAUAUAAAGUUUCAAAUUUUAUGUUUUAAUUGCGGUAUUAGUCUUAUCUUUUAUCUUUUAAGCAUACUUUAUUCUUUAAAUUUGAUGUUUAUAGAUAAAGUUCACAAAGAUUACUACACCAGAAUAAAAAACUUAACAAAAGCUCUUAUUAAAGAAAUAAAAAUUAAGAUUUCAUAAAUAAAUUACAUAUAAAAACUAAAAUUUAGGAUUUUCUUAGAAACUUUCUCAAAAAUUGGAAACGUCUACAUAAAUUACUCUAGAAAUUUUAACAAAAAUAGAGAUUAAAUAAAUAAAUAAAUAGGAAAAUAAUACUAUUAUUAAUGAGCUUAUUAAAUGUUCCGUAUUUGUGAUUAUCCACAUAUAUUCCUUGCACCUCGUUCACCACGUCACCGUGAACCAUCACCACCUCUACCGUCCAUUCUAUCGUCUUUUGGUCGGCCUACGGAUGACGUGGUCAACCUGGUUCACAGUUUGUUUCCACUCAAUGAUUAAUUAAUUUAUUUUUUAAGCAUAAUGAGGCGACACCCACGAAGAGUUAGCAAAGGAGUAAAUUUUUUUUAAAAAAAAAAAGGCGAAAAAAAGGAGAAAAAGUCGGAGGGUUCUCCCUCCGCAGUGUCAAAAAAAAAAUUGGAAAAAAAAAAUGGGUGAGUUCUCUCGCUUCAAUCGACAAAUUUUUCCCUAUUUACUCUAAUUAUCCUAAUUUUUACUCUUAUCUCUGGUAUUUUCCCCCUUUUUUGGGGAUUUUUCCAUGUUUAAAAUCUCAUCAAUUACUCACUAGUUAGGCAUUCUCAGAAUUUGCUUUUAUUUUUUUUGUUAAUUUAAUCAAUUUGGGUGUGCGCCAUUAUUGCUGCAUAUAAGGUAGUGCGAUGGGAUUUGAAUCGAAUUAUAGAGUAAUUACUGUUAAAUUUGUAGUGAGUAAUUCGUUUUGGUCGAAGAUACAACCUAUUUCAGGUAAUUUUGAGGCUACAUUGUAGCAUAAGAGAUUAUGUAUUUGUAGUUAUUAUUAUUUGUUAAUCUUAUGAGUUUUUUUAUUUUUUAUUUUUGGUUGUGUUUUUAAGUUUCAGGAUUCAUUUGUGAAACAACCGAUAUUAGUAAAUUUUAUGCUUCUAGAGGACAAUGUUUUAAUAUAUAAUUUGCUUUCUAUUAAACACUCCUCAGUUGUAGCUCUUAGAAAAUCAAAUGGGUAGAGGUUUUGUUUAUAAUUAUAUAUGUAUAUAUUGAAAUAGAGGAUGGACCUAGUAGGAUUUGAAGUGUAAUGUCAUGUGAAAAUCAUAGCUUAAUUUCGUAGAGAACAGCGUUUUGAUAUUUUAUGGUCGAUGUUUAUCAGAGUGGUGGCGAGGAGAAAAUUUGUCUAUCUUGGCGUAAGUCCUUUUUCAGGCCUCUUGCGGAAACAUAGUAUAACGGAAAAUAACAAUUACUGAAAAGCACUUCUCUAGGACAAAAUGAUUUUCGUAUUACUGUAAAGCAUGCAAAAUGCUAUGUACUGAUAUUGGAGAGCUUCGAAAUGAUGCUGUUCAGUGGAAAAUUUGUUCUCGGUGCCAUAAAUGCUCGAUGGUCAAGUUUAAUUGGUCGAGAUGUACCCCUCAUAACUGUGAAAUCAUAGACUAAAGAGUAAAGAUAUAUUAAGCUAUUUGACUUUCUUUAUUAAGGGCUGUAAAACUUAAUCUGGACCAACUGUUGGUGCUGAUGUUUUAAUUACAUAUAUGGUUACAAGUUUAAGCGUAAAGUAGAGUAAAAUACUUAAGCACCUUUUUCAUUUACAUAUUUGUGGAAUAGCAUGACUCUCAUGUAGAAUACAAUCCAAAGGAGAAAAGGCGUUUACGCAACUUCCUUUUAUUUUUUCCAGUGUUUAUAUGGUCCCUUGCAAAGAAAAUAAAUGUUAGAUGACAGAUAUGGUUUGAGUGCUACAUCGCAGUAUUUUAGUAUAACGGAGGUUUUAUUUUCACCACUAUAAGUAUGAUUUUAAGACAUUUAUCUUUCUUAUGUUCUAAAGGUUAAUGCAAGAUCAUUGAUAUAUCAGUUGAAUGGAUUGAAAUGUAUCUUGAAAAAUUAACUGUGCGCUAAAUUUUUGGCUUCUAAUUGCACCGAGGACCCAUCUAAGUUUUCUUGGUUCUUAGUUCUUACCUGAUAUCUAUGUUCCAUGUCCUCGUAGUUUUAAUUUAUGAUUCGAUUCAUACUCUUUUGAUCAUUUGAUCAUAAGUAUCUACCUACAUAACAUUCCAUGUGAGAAUUUAUACUUCGUUUAAUGUGUUUUUUUUCUUGCAUUGCUUUAUGAUCAUAACGUUUUUAGUAACCUCAUAUGAAUUUCUAGCAGAUGUCUAUCGUGAUAGACAUAAAAGAAUGAAAAUCCAACACGAGGAAAAGGCCAACACUUCCAUGUCUAAGGUUUCAGCUUUUAAAUCUACUUUCGGGAGCAAAGAAGUAAAUACUGGAUCAGUUAUAGAUUACUCAAAUCCUUUUGCCUUGCCCAAUGUAUUGGAAAGUUUAGAUGAUGGGAAAUAUGGGAGUGUAACCAAAGAGUUCGAAGCUCUUCGUGCUCAGAGAAUUCAGGUGAUCAAUUUCCUAUCUGGAUUACAACAAUCUUGUGGGAAUUCCUCCCACAAUGGUUUAAAUGGUUCAAAAUUGGCCAAUAUCAUUGAUCUUGACGAUGACCACGAUGCCAAUUCUGGUCCUAAGUUGCAUGAGAACUUAUCAGACUCUAGAGACGGCCCUAAGGAUUUUUGUGUUAAAAGGACAGAAGAAAAUGAUAUUGAAUCGCCCAUAAUUAUUGAUUCAGAUGAAGAAGAUGGGAGCCGUCAAGAAGGAAGCAAAAAUCCUGUGCAUCCUGAAAAUCGGACCUUGGACUUUCGAUCGUGGCUGGAAAGAAGUAUAUAUGAGCGUGUAAAACAAGUCAAGAUGAUGGGACAAGCUGCUAAUGAUUACAAGUUCGAUCAGACAAAUUUGAACUUAGUAGGGCAAACUGCUUCGGAAGCAAGCUGUGAACCAUCCAUUCAAUAUCAAAUGGUUGUUCUACAGAAAAUGCCCGAAAACGAUCGACUUCAGGAUGUUGCGGUAGGCAAUCAGUACUUUUCUAUUAUAAUUAUCUCUGUUCUUCUGCCAGCCCAUCCUGCAUUACACUUCAUAGUUAAUUAAUGUAUUCCCUCAAAUUUGACAUUUGUUUUGAUAUCAUCCUCAUAGUUUCAGUUUUAAUAGUUUUAUCCUGAAAUUUUUUUUCCGAAUAAUAAUUUAGUCCUGCUAAUCUAUCAUUUAGAAAAGGUUGCCGCAUCGGCAUCAUAGUUAGGCUUUGCCUUGUUAUUUGUUAAACUUGAAACUUAAUGAACAAAAUUGAGAUUGGCGUCAAACUUCAAGGACUGCAUUGUUAGAAAUGAAACUUUAAGAUGGAAUUCAAUUCAAAUCAAAUCAAAUUUUAAAGUCUAAAUUGUUUCAAUAGAAACAUUGAGGACAGAAAUGAAAUCUGGAUCAAACUUCAGGGAGUAAAUUUGUUAUUGGACCAUACAUAUUACAUGAAGCGUGAAUCUUUGGUUAUAACAUCACAGUCUAGGAUGAUGCUUACCGACUCAUUUCAAUUGAAAGAUAAGUACUUUACUUAUGAGAUUAUGGUUAUUGUGCUUUGUAGAGCGAAACUCAUAUGGAGAAGAGUGAAAAACAAGUUGGUGAAGCUCUUAAUUAUGAAAAGAAUGAACCGAGAAGUUCUGAUGCAAAUUCGAAUGAUAUAUCAUUGCCGGGUAUGGAGGAGCACUCACCUACCACAAAUGGCAGCCAAGUUGAUGAAAAUGAAGCAUUGGAAAGUGAUGGUUUAGAAGAUCUCUGGAAAGACAUGUCAGUGGCUAUGGAAUGUUCGAAGGUAAUUACUAUAAAUAUGCUAUAUGCGUCUUGUACUGGCUGCAUUUCUAGUUAGUUGUUAGCUUAGUGAUUCUGAUUCUGUAUCUUAUUCUCGUUGUAAUCAACAUAGUGUACGGAUUUUGACCAUUGUAUAAUUGGGUGUUUUGAAACGAAAUCUGGAAUUUCCUGUUCUAUAUCUUUCUAUCUUGUAUUAGAGACGUGAAAGGAGGCAUUAUUAGACUUAGCUUGCAUUAUGGCUGUUGGAUACCGAAAAGGGAGUAAGGAAAAGUAAUUAUCUCAGCUAUUGUCUCAGGUAAGGUUUCACUGGGUGUAUUGGUAUGUCAAAAUGUGUGAAAAUUGGUAGGGUAUUUUGGACCCCUUGGAACCAAAUUACCAAAGAAAAUGACCUGUAUAAACAUACCUGAGAGGUUAGCAUUAGUUUGUGACCCAUAUCUUUGAUUAAGGUCACGCUUAAUAGGUAGUUCAAAAUAGACCAAAUUUUGUAUCAAAAUCUCUGAUACUACAAGAUGAAACUGGGGCAAUGACAACUCGGUUUUAAGUUGAUCACAAGGCAUAACUCUAUGCAGUCUAUCUAUUUUAUUUCAGGCAUGUAGUCGGCUUAAAUGAAUUCUUCUCGAGAUUUAGUAUUUGAUAACAUCAUUAUUUGUAAUUGAAUUCUUCUGUUUCUAAUAAGCCUAGUGAAGGGCAAGUUCGUUGUAUUUAGGUGCUUUUAUAUUUGUAUGUAUCCCUACAAAAUUAUCUAUUUAUGUAUAUACCCUUGUAAAAUUUGAACUCUACUUGAAUUGGUUGAUUCUUUUUCAGCUUAGUUAUAAUGAUUUGAUGAUCUUAUAUUACAAUACUAGAUUGCUGCAUCAGAUGAGCCAUGUUUUGUAGAACAACAAGAAGAGUGCAAUCAUUCUUAUGUGCUUGAGGAUGAUCUGGGCCUUGUUUGCCGUAUUUGUGGAGUUAUUGAGAAAAGCAUAGAGACGAUAUUUGAUUACCAAUGGACAAAGGUAUUGAUUUGUGAGCCUGGUAUCUCAAGUCAUGUUUCUUUUCUCUCUCUUAAAAUUCUGUCCAUAUGUUCUCAAGUGUGUUUUUCUGUAAUCUUGUCUACAAGAUUGGUGGAAUUGUUUCUAUUGACAAUAAAUUUCUUGAAAAUGAUACUUCAGAUUUUAUUAAAUUACGCUUUUAACUCAGCAGAAACCAAAUUUUCCUCAAAUGAAUCUUCGAUUCAAUCGGAAUCUUUUUAAAUCAUUGCUGUUCAAGUAUUUUAUUCACCAAAUGCUCUACAAAGAGGUGGCUGCAAUUCAAAGUAGAAGCCAAAGCUAGGUCAAAUGAGCACGCAGGGGAAGAAGAAGAAAAAUGUUGGGUGGAAGUAUCGAGAAAGGCAUGAUAGUUAGAUUGAAACUGUACCAAUUUUGUCGUAAGGACUACAAUUUAUUUCAAUUGUAUAUGCUUUUUUUUAACUCAAUAACUUUUUUUUCCUCAUUGGCUGUGUUUCUUUUUAUUCGCAUAGAGGAAUACAAGCGUCGCCCCUGAAGUUGCUUCACAAGUUCACAUUAUUCUGAACUAUCUUAUGAAUUUCCUCUUUCUUUGUUCAUCUUCAUGUUACUUGAUUUCAGUAUAUACUCUUCAAGGAACUAGAUAUUAAUAUUUCUUAACUGGGUGUUAGUCAGAUUAAUCAUCAGCAGUUAAUUUUAAAAAAUUUCAGAAGUGAAAUUAUAACAUAUGUGACCAUUUUAAUUGUUGUUUCUUCUCUAUUACCAGGGAACCCGUGCAGCAAGAGCUUAUAUGACUGCUCCUCGAUUAUCCAAUGAUGCAGAUAACGAUGUUGAAUAUAAUGAACUAAAGCCCUCAGAUGAUAAUAUGAUAUUAGAAGACAUUGCUCUUCAUCCAAGACAUUUGAAGCAAAUAAAGCCACAUCAAUUAGAAGGCUUCAAUUUCUUGGUCAAAAACCUAUUGGCCGAUAAACCCGGCGGUUGCAUUCUAGCUCACGCACCUGGCUCAGGGAAGACCUUCAUGCUCAUUUCCUUUAUCCAGAGCUUUCUUGCAAAAUACCCCUUCGCAAGACCUCUAAUUAUUCUUCCUAAAGGUAUAUUACCUACAUGGAAAAAGGAAUUUCGGCGGUGGCAAGUGGAGGACAUCCCUUUGUAUGAUUUCUACUCGGCUAAUGCGAAUAAUCGAUCGGAGCAGUUGGAGGUGUUAAACCAUUGGCAAGAAAGUAAAAGCAUUUUACUGCUGGGUUAUAAGCAGUUUACGAAUAUUAUAUGCGGGGGUGCAAAUAGCAAAGUUGCAGCUGCAUGCAAAGAGAGGCUUCUUAAGGUCCCCGGCCUUUUGAUCCUUGAUGAAGGGCACACUCCAAGAAAUGAGGACACCCAUGUAUUGGACUCGCUAGCAAAAAUCCAGACCCGUCGAAAAGUUGUUCUUUCAGGAACCUUAUUUCAAAACCACGUGAAAGAAGUUUUUAAUAUACUAAACCUUGUUCGUCCGAAGUUUCUAAAAAUGGAAUUUGCUCGAUCUAUCGUGAAGCGGGUCCUUAGUAGGGUUUCCAUAUCAGGUAAUAGGAGGGUAAACAAAGGCACGGUGGAUGGUAUGUUCUAUGAUUUGGUGGAGGAAACCUUGCAAAAUGAUGAUGGCUUUAAAAGGAAAGCCACGGUGAUACAAGACUUGAGAGAAUUAACGAAAAAUGUUCUUCAUUACUAUAAAGGCGACUUUUUGGACGAGCUCCCUGGGCUGGUUGACUUUACUGUUCUUUUGAAUCUAAGCCCUGCUCAGAAAGAAAUUGUUCGAAAGUUACCGAAAUAUGAAAAAUUCAAAAGAAACGCUGUUGGGACAGCUCUCUACAUUCAUCCUCGCCUCUCUGACAUCUCGGUAGUAGCUGCUGGCGAAAGGGCUUGUACAUUUAACGAUGCAAAGAUCGACAGUUUGAUUGAUUCGAUGAAUUUAAGAGAUGGGGUGAAAACAAAAUUUUUUCUUAACAUUUUGUCUCUUUCUGCUUCUGCUGGAGAGAAGCUCCUUGCUUUUAGUCAAUAUAUUCUACCGCUAAAAUUUUUGGAAAGGGUAGUGGUUAAAACAAAAGGGUGGCUUGUCGGAAGGGAAAUUUUCAUGAUUUCUGGCGAUUCGAGCUCUGAAAGUAGGGAAAGAUCGAUGGACCAGUUCAACAAUUCCCCUGAUGCGAAGGUUCUUUUCGGUUCAAUUAAGGCUUGUGGUGAGGGAAUUUCCCUCGUUGGUGCUUCCAGGGUUUUGAUUCUAGAUGUCCAUUUAAACCCCUCUGUUACUCGUCAAGCUAUAGGGCGGGCUUUCCGACCAGGACAAGGGAAGAAAGUGUAUGUUUAUAGGUUGGUGGCCGCCGACUCGCCAGAAGAGAAUGAUCAUAAGACCUCUUUCAGGAAGGAGCUAAUCGCGAAAAUGUGGUUCGAGUGGAGCGAGUAUUGUAGUAAUCAGGAGUUUGAGUUGGGUGAGGUUGAUAUUAGCAGCUGUCAAGAUAUGUUCCUGGAAAGUUCCGUGUUAGGACAAGAUGUCAAGGCCUUGUACAGAAGGUUAGUGACUUCCAAUUCCUACUCUGAUUGGUGUACAGAAUGAACUUUUUGAUGCUGUAUGUGAAUUAACCAUUAUCUGAUUGGUAUUUUUUCUUUUCUUUCUUUUUCUUUUUUUUUUUUCUAACAGGUGAUUUUGUGGCUUAUGAUCGCGAAUCAUUGAGCUAACUGAAGAUACCCAACUCAUUUUAGUACGAGAUUCUCCAUAAAAUAUUUAGUUUGAAUUAAAAUACUUAUUCUCUGUAUCUUUCUUUUCAUAGCAUAAAGGCAUCUGUUUUUCUUUUACAGGUUUUGCAGUAUAUAUAUAGAGAGAGACAGAGAAAGCUGAAAAACUGGAGGUUUUUCUACAUCCAUCCAAAACAUACUCAAAAAUGCUCAAGGUGACAUAUUUGUAAAUGGUCGAAUUUUUUGUCUUCGUAUCAACUGAACAGCCAUUAGAAAGCGAAACUUUGGCACUAGUAUAGUCUCCUAACAAAAAUCAAUAUAUGUAAUUACUUGACUAGUUUCGGAGUUGUUUUGUUGCUCUUUCCUCAAAACUCAAAUACAUCUGUAUAGAAGUUUUCUACCAAGGAAAGCCUCUUAUAGAUUUUUCUUUUUUAUUUACUUAAUAGUUAAUACUAUCGAAAUGUCUUUUGUGAUUGUUUUGGAAAACCAUCAAAUCGAAUAGAAGGCACAUAUCUGAACAAGAAUCUUAAUAGUUAGUCAUCUAGAGAAAAUUUUCUGUCACGUAUUGAACUUAAAAAGGAUUCUGCCUUUCUCUGCCAACUUACUACAGAAAAGUAGGAAGAAAAACAAAAAACAAAAAACAAAACAAAACAAAAUGAAACAAAACCAGGCGGUGAGAUGAUGUCGUAUUCCUCUAAUAGGGCAUUGUUUUUCUUCCCUUGGGUCUUUGUUUCAGUGAUGUAAGAGAUGUUGAAAAGGUUUUGAAGCAACAAAGUUUUUCGGAUGGGCUGAUUUGUGUAUGAUGGUGAUGUGCGUCUCCUUGAUUUCGGUUAACAUAGUUUUUGGAUGUGGUUGAUUCGUGCGUGAUGGUGAUGAUGAUGGUGAUGGUGAUGUGUGUCUGCUUGAUUUUGGUUUUGAUUUGUGUUGUUUCUCAGAAUCAGACAGAUAGGGACAUUGUUGCUGGGUGUCAUCUAUCACUCACAAAGCCUUACUUUUUUUUUCCAAUCUCCCUGAUGUUAUGGAUAGUCCCUGUACCAUCCUGAUACUGCCAAUUGGCUCCAGAACUUUGUUACUUGAAUCCGAUGAUACUUAUUAUACGUUGAUUUCUUAACUUUCACAUGUAUUACACUUUAAUCUAAUAAAAUGACGUCCUUUUUUUUUUUUUUUGUAAAACGACUUGCUUGUUUUAGUUUAUUUUAGCGUGGUUUAAGAGACUGUUGUGCGAUUAGAAGUCAUUCUCUUAUCUUAAUGAUCAUAGCUUGGAAGUGCAAUAUAUGUAAAAUAUUUAAAAAUUAAGGUGUUUGAGUGAAAAGUAUUAGGGCAUGUUCCAAUAGCUUCUUGUUGCUCCAAACAAGAGCAAAAGCACCAAAUUUGAGAUUUCAUCUUCCGGUUUUAGAACUUCUAUUUUAACUUCUUGUUAAUGUAAAAUUAUUUUGCUUUUUGUUAACCAAACGUUUGGCUACUGCUUUUUUCUGCUCGAAAAGUUAUUUCAUAAGACAAAUUAGACAUACACUAGAUCAUAGUUUCGAACAUUCUGAGAAUCACUACACCCAAAACCAAGUGAAGCAACAAUUUUAAUGUAAAAAAAAAAUUUAGAGCCUAAUUUGAGGACACAGUUCAUACGGAGUAAUGCAAAAAUAUCAACUCCAAUAAUCAACUCUUGAUAUUCAGGUAGAAAGAUGAAAUCUAAAACCACCAGGAUAUUAUCAUUAAACUUUAUGAGUCUAAAAUGCAGAAAAGUCCCUACAAAUAUCAUGAUUUUCACAUUGCUCGCCCUUGAAAGGCAAAUUGUGAUGCUUAGACUCUUGAUAGGAUUGUAUUAGUUCUUGCAAACAACCACUCAUUGCAUUCAUAUAAAGCAUUAUAAUACUUACUAGAAACUUAAUAGAAAAUGCCUCACAAGUCACAUGGUAAAUAAAAAUAAAUGCAUGCAACAUAUAGAAAUAAAGAAGGGGUUAUCCUCACAUCAGAAACUUCCUACUGCCCCAUUUUUUGAAAUCACCAUUCAAUACCCCAUGAGCAUCAUGAACCCUUUCAUGUAGAGAGAGAGAGAGAGAGAGAGAGAGAGAGAAAGGUAGUAUAAAUACAUUUGUAAUAUAUUACAUUAACUCUUACCUUUACAAGAUGAUUCUCAAAUCAUAUACUUUUACAUGUAUAUAUAUAUACUAUCUUUACAACAUGUUUUGGCCUAUUUUACCCCAACCUUCUAACUUAAUAUAUUACAAAUGUAUUUAUACUACCUUUCCUCUAUCUAUAGCAAUUGGCAACUACAAACUUCAUGCUCUUUAGGCAUGUUAUUCCCACAUCCAAAAUAUCCAAUUCUACCUUCUUUAUCUUUAUGGAUACAUAUAUUCAAAUAGAGCUUUCAAGCCACAAAAUCAUGCAAUAAAGGCGAGGGCUCGAACCUUUGCCUUUGAUCCAUCGGAUUCAUAGAAUCGAAUUCCGAUGAGCCAACUCCGAUUUGAGGCGCAUUGCCAUAGAUAUCUUCACCCCUGACCUCCGAGAAAGCCUCCUGAGUGUUCGGAACGUGAAGUGCGCCAUCAAAAUGCUGCAACCCCAAUGUGAGAGACACACUGCCAUUCCCAUAAUUUCCCAAACUAGCCAAGUUUCCCAAAUUAGCCAUUUGGUAGGCCAUGAACCUCCCGCUCUCGUUGGGCUUCUGGCCCACGGCGUCGUGAAGGAGCCCGCUGUCCCUUUCGCUAAGCCUUUGAUCCUUUAACAUGAGAUUCAUGAAGGAAUCGUCCGCAGUUGUCUCACUUGGAAACCCGAUUGCGGCACCACCCAUGUCUAUUUCGGAAUUGUUGGUUUUGGACUCGUUGAAUUGGCUUGUCUGGCCUCUUUCGGUCGCAGAGCUCUUCAGGUCCUCUCUCUCUUCAGACGACCCAAUCUCGUCUUUACUUCUUGGUACAUUGUCCGAGGAAGAGUUUGAGUCCAUCUCGGCAUCGCCAGUUUCUUCUUUGUACAUGUCCUCUAUCAUCGGUUUCCAAAGACGAACACGAGCAUUUAUAAACCAGUUUGAGAUCUGGAUGAAUAGAGAGAAAGCAAGAAAGUGAGAAAAAUGUCGAGAUUGGUGCUAUCAGCCAUGGUUCACCUUCUUUCUCCUCUCAAAAUUGACCGCAUGCGGGUGAUCGAAGUAGCGGGUACCGACUAAAGAAAAAGUAGUUUACCGCCACUAAGUUUUAGGGCGUGUUUGGUAAACUUGAACUGGGAUAUGAAAAAGUGGAGUUCAAGGAAGUGAGAAAUUAUAAAGUUUGGAUAAGUGGUACGAAGUGGGAGUUUUAGAGGACCUCACGUGGGACGAACCUUAAUAUGCUCACAUGAGCUCUCCACUUCGCCCAAUCCCCGGGCGAUGUCGAGUUCCGGGAACUCGCAUGAUCGAUGGAACGCACUUCAAUAAUAACAAACAGUUCCCAAACUAACUCAUCACAGUCACUUCAUUUUCGAAAAAUAAGGAUAGACCUAUUACACACUCAAUGAUGGACUACUCGAUAUUGUAACAGUUAUACUGAGGCCACAAGAAAUAAUAUUUUACCAUGCAAAAUUACACGCUAUUGUUAUUCGAAUAUUUCGAUAUCUUGUGAAGCAAAUGGCAUUUUCGUUUUCCGACAAAUCUAUAAAUUUUACUCUUGGUAAGGUUUUUCACAAUAAAAAAAAAAAAAACUUUUUAUGAAGAUAUGUCAAAGAAAAAUUAGAGUACCUGACUCCUUGUUAAGCCAGUUUGUCUUGCUAGCAUUAUCUUCUCAGAAUCUUUUGGAUAACUGCAAAAAAUGUUAGAAAAAAAUAUGUAUGUAUAAGAGAUUGGAAUAAAUAUAAGAAACUAAGAAAAAAUUAUUAUUUUACCGAUGUAUCCCUGCAAAAUCUGUAUUUUUACAUAUUGCCAUCAAGAACUCACUUUCUUACAGAUAUACACACCAGAUUGGAAAAUAUAUAUUACCAUAAACAGAAAAAGAGUAAUGCGUAUACAACCAUCCAAAAUUAUCUAUUUAUGAAUAUAUCCCUAUAACAAUUGAAUUAUUAUCAACGCCCUUUCAACGAUUCAAGUUCCUUCGUUCCAUUACUUCCCAAGUUAAUACAAGGAUACUUUUGCAAAAAAUUCCAUAUGAAAAUAUACAAUUUACCAAGUAUGAAUGUAAUUAUUUUGUAGGCAUGUAUACAUAAAAGUCCCUAUAAAGUAUAUCACAAAAAAGCGAAACUGGUUUCGAAGAAAGCAACGUACAAGAAGAAAGUGUUCAAAACGCAAAGCGCAUAAAAGCAAAACAGAGCUUCAAUACAAAAUCAUUAAUGGGAGAUUCGUAGAUUCCACUGAGAAAUGCUCAUCAGGGACUUUUAUGAAAGAAAUACUCGAAAAACUAAAGGAACUAAAAGAUGACAAGUUGGGGGCUAUUUGAAAAAUAUAAGAGAAACCAGAGGCCCAAAAUUCAGAUAAUUAUAUGUUGCUGAGAAGCUGCAAUUUCAAGGGUUUUGCAUGAAAAUUGAGACUCUGCAGCAGGCACAUACUUAAAUAGAAGGUUCAGAAGAAAGCAACGUACGGAUGAAGGAAAUGUUCGAAAAGCCAAGCGCGUAGAAUUGAAACCGAGUUUUCCGGUAGCCCUCUCUGAGGUCUCCAUGCAUUUUGGUGAAUCAUUCCGAAUUGUUGAACUGCUCUCUGUUGCCUCAACUGCUGAUCGAUAUAACGAAGGCGAGUCAAUCCACCCCCUUUGCUAGCGGAACUCUCUUCUUCGCCAAGGCCUUUUCGAAUAGAUCGAAUUUGAUCAUUAAUAGUAUCUUUGAGACAGCGGAAGUGUCGUGAAAUUGUUUGAAGAGCAACAGCUGUAUAUGGCUUAGCAGAUCCAGAACCAGCUAUUACAUCAAAAGAUGAAACUACAAUUUGCAUUUGGUGGUAGUAGUGUUUAUAUCUCCUAUCAACCUGCAAAAGUUGUGAAAAAUGGGGUCAAAAUGAAGUUUAAGUUGAAAAUAUACUCGAACUUCAUACAAAAUGAAAUACCAUUUAUACGCAUCAUUGAAUUGCAAACAGUUCCAGGCAAACUCCACACUUAAUCAACAUAUUCUAAGGAGUCAUAGGCUUAUAUAAUUAAAGUGAUAGAAAGGAAGUCAUGACAUGAGCUGAUUUGUUCGCAAAAGACUCUAGAAAGUGAAUUCCACAAUAAUAAUAUCAUCAGAUUGGGUAUAUCAUGAUUUGAAAUUUUUUUUUUUCGUAUUCUGUGAUAUUCUUUUUAAAUAAGUUUACUUACAAACCUAAAGCAACUUUCUACUAUUUGCUUAUACAAGUACUUUGUUUAUUGGAUUUGUCUUUCGGAGAGUUUAAUGUCCAGGUUUAAUAGAACAGAGCAUUUAGUCUGCCAGCAGACAGAAUCCCUAAUUCAUCGAUACACAUUAAAAGUGACAGAAAAUUGAUUUGGUCUAGAUAAGAAGAUACAAAUACUAAAUUUGAUUUGACCAAGUGUUUAAAAAUCACUAACAAAUAUUCACUUCCCUUUUAUCAUUGCCCUUUUAUUGUUAUUUGUUAUGCGAGUCGUCAUCAUGCACUGAUUUCCCGAUACUCACCCAUAAAUUAUUUUAUCUCAUCAAAACUCUCAUGCAACAGCGCACUGGUUCUUUGUCCUUCCCCCUUAUUCAUCGAUCAUAAAAGACUUAUUAGCUCCUAUGACUCAAGCAAGUUCAUUUCUUUUACAAUGGACUAGUGCUUACGCUCUAUCUCCGCAACUCUUCUUCUCUCCAGGUUUUAAGACCCACCGAAAGCCCAAGCUACAUUGAAUUCGCUUCUUUCAUUUAAUAAUAAAGACUAUCCCGCGGACUGUACUUGUACUUUAGGAAAAGAACUAAAAUAGGAGUUAACUAUCUUACGCCAAAUACAAUUAAAACGUAGCUUUUAAGCCGCAAACAACUCCUGAACUACGAGAGCUUUAUAUUCUCUUCACAGUACAGAAACCUCUGUGCUAACUUUUAAAUUAUAUGAAAGGCUAAUUAGGGGUUCGCCAAAGAACUUUUAAAUUAUAUGAGUAAAGGAAAAGCUGAAAAUAACUAUUGACGGUGGUAAAAUAAAAAAAAUCCUGACCAUUUUUUGACGGUGGUAAAAGAAAAAAAAAUCCCGACCAUUAAUGGAAAACAAAGCAACGGAUUUUCGUAAAUAAAAAAAUAUAGAGAUUUGUUUUUUGCUUUUCCUGUUUGAACGUGUCGUAAGGUAAGAAUAUCCAACUAAAAUCUCAUGUAGUAUAUGAGAUAGCCAAAAGUCUAAUCAGCUUCAAGGCACAUACAACAAUACUUCAUUUUUUUAAUGUGCGACCAAAACAAUAAGGACAAAUCCAAUGAAUCAAACCCAUCCAAGAUGGUAAUUGCUGAGUUUAAUUUAGCUAGAGAAUACUAGAGGAUCUACAAACUUUACCGGAAGAAAUUAUUGCCUGGACUUAUCUCACAACAUCAGCGGUGGACCAUACAGUUGAUCUGCCCUCUAAAUUUUAAGAUUAUCGUUCUCUAAAAGUGGAGGAGAUCGAAAGUAGAUAUGAAUAGAGGAAAAUCAACUGAACGGCCCAUGACAAAUGUGGUGAAACAUAUCCAGGCAACAGUUUCCUCUUUCACACUGCUUCGUUUAAUGCGACGAAAAUUAAGGUAGCAUUAUUGAAUUACUAAAUCUCGAUUAUAUAAAAAAAACCUAGACUUGAAGGGCAUUAAUGUGCACCUGAUCCAGCAUAGCCAAAAGCUUCGUCAGCUUGUUCUGAAGCUCCUGUCUUUCAGAGGGAGACAACUCAUUAGACUGCGCAUUCUGCUCACGGGAAUUAGAAGAAAUUCCGUCGCUUUUCGAUGCGCCGUCCGAUUCUUUGCAAUCCCCGACUCCGGCUGAAUUGUUAUUCGCAUUCUGGUUCUUAUCCACCUUCUGUUUCAAGUCCUUUCGAACAUUCACAACCUCGUCGAGCAAUUCUUGCGCCGCCUUAAGAUACUUCGAAUUAGAGAUCGUGCGAGAGACUUCCGAAUGCAUGAAUUUCGAUCGAGCGUCGUCGUCUCCAUGCGGCCCAUAAAUUCCACCGUUCACCAUAGCAUACUGAAAAGGAGGCGCCAUAAUAUGCGUUCCGAGGCUAAGCGACAACCCCUGACCAUGAACCGGAGGGAAAUUCGCCUGCUGCAAAGGUAAGUUUUGACCGUUCAAUAUACCAAAGUUUAGCUGCAUCCCCAGAUGGGUCUCGUCGGCGAUAGGGUUAGGGUUCUGAAUGAGAUCGCCGACGCCGUUCUGCGACGCGCCGAUCAUUUGCAUGAACAUCUCGUUCCUCCCGUCCUUUAAAUCGCUGUAAGACGAAUCUUGCGAAGUCGCGGCUGGGGCGAUUCCUGUAAACUCCGGAAAUGCGCCUGAAGACGGAUGGUUUAGAUAAAGCAGGUUCCCCAUGAUCGAUUGCGAGGGGUAGGGUUCACUCCCGGCGUCCCGCGAACAAAGGGCCGGCAUUUCCCGUUGGUUGGCGGCGCCCGAGAAGUAAGUGGCCAUCCAAUCCUCGAUUUAUUUCAGAUGUUCCGAGAUAAGCGCAUCAAGCAACUGAAUUUCUUGAUAUGAACAUAAUACGGCUGCAAGAGGUCAGAUGGUUCGAGAAGAAUAUGAAAUUUUUUUCAUCAAAAAUACAAACUUAAGUACGAAAAUCAAUCGUAUCAAGAAACUAGGAUUAUUACACAUCGAGGAAGAACCAUGCUAAUGUUUGAAUUUCUCGGAGAUUUCGGGCUUACCUUUGAUCAACCGAUGCAACGUGAAUCGCCGGUAUCACCUACAGCGUCAAGAUUAUUCUAACAACUCCUGAUUUUGGAACAAGUGCUUCUCACCAGUCACCACCAAGCUGGAUAGCAAAUCAAAUUCAAAUCCUCUUAGCAUAAAAUAGAUUGAUGGUUUAUCUCAAAAACAACAAAAAAACCAAAAAAAAAUUCUGCAACUAAUCCCUAUCUUCCUAUUUUCUUUCCCUUGACAUGGAAAAUCAUAUGAAAUUCCAAAAAAAAAAAAAAAAAAAAACUCAUAGCCCUAAUCCACCAACUUACCUAAAUACCCCAACAAACCCAACAACCCAGCAUAAGAAAACCCUUGAAGCAAUCCCCAACAAUUUCUUACACUAAAAAUCAUUGAUUUCUCUCUCUCUCUCUCUCUCUCUCUCUCUUCUUUUUCUUUUUUCAAGAACCUAUCAUCAUGCACACAAAAUAAGAAGAUGCCACCCAAAACCCUAAAAAAUAAACCCAACAACAACAACAACAACAACAACAACAACAACAAAAAAAAUCUUUUUUUUUGUUGGGGGGGGGAGGCUUCUUGAGCUGAAAAUCAAUCAAUGAUUGAGCUGAUAACUACCUCAAGCAAAGGGUUGAUUGAAAAUUUAAAAUAGCAAGAAAAAGAAAAAGAAAAGGUAGGUGAAAGAAAGAGAAAAAGAAUGAGAAUAAGGGGGGGAAUAAAUAGUUGGGGGAGGAUAAAGGAUAGGAUAGGGAUAUCAACAAAAAAAAAAAAAAAAAAACAAUUAUUUAUGAACUGCUAGUAUAAGAAUAGUGAUAGUUUGAUGGGUAACAGAAGAGAGAGAGAGAGAGAGAGAGAGAGAGAGGGAUUAAAAAAAAACAAAAAAGGGAUGGAUUACCUGGCAGCAGAGGGGGGGAGGGGGGGAGGGAAGGCUAUGGUUAUGCUAUCCUGAUGGGGGGCAGGAAAGCAGGAAUUUUUAUAACAGCAGCUGCUGAUCUUCUGAUGGCAGUCUUCCCUCCCUCCACACACACACACACACACACACCUUCUUCUCCCAAUACGGUGACAAUCUGAUCUUGAGAUGUACAAAGAAAAACAAAAAGAAAAUGAAAGAAAGCUCCCCCCCUCUCUCAGUCUCUCUCUCUCUAGAAUAUAAUAAUAAUAUCCACAAAUAUAAUAUUAAUUUUAUGAUAUAAUAUAAUAUGAUGAGUUGUACUAAAGUAUAAAUCAUUUUGUACUCAUAAAUUUUUGACUAUGUUAAUUCAUACUAUUCAAUCAAAUAACCACUCAAUCCUAAAAAGUUACUAUAAUUCUAAUCGGAAAUCGCUAUCAUCCUAACCGCGCAUUGUUUCAUCCAACGGUUAAAAAUUUACAAGUACAAAAAAAUCUAUACUCAUAAAAAUAUAAUAAUAACAAUAAUAUAAUAUAAUAUUAUAUAUAAAAAAUAUAUAUUAUAUAUAUAUAUCCAAUAUCUCCCUUGUUUUGUGUGAAAAGUAACCACCAUUUUGGUGGGAGUUUUUUAAUUUUUAAUUUUUAUUUUUUUAUUACUUUUCCCUCCUCUUCGUGCCUGCACCAUUAAAUUGGCAAUUUUUCAGUUUUGUCCCUGUGAAGUUAUGUAUUUGAUAUUUAAUCCAUUGGAGAAGUAAAUAUAUAAUAUACAAGAGAGAGAGUAUGUAUCUACCUGAAUAUUUUUAGCAAAGAGGACUUUAAAAACGCAUAGAAAAAUUUUCAAUAAAAAUAUUAGAAAUUAAGUAGUCAUUUUACUAAAAUAACGAAGCUUUCGUGUUGUUUAAUAAAAUAUUAUCUGAACAGUAUUAUUAGAAAAUAUAGUAAAUUGGGUAUUCUUCUAAUAAUAUUAUAUGUUUACUUCAAAAUAAGAAGACUAAAUUAGAGCCUUUUGAAAGCUCCAAAUUUUAUAUCCGUGUCUUAUUACAGCAAAAAUUUAGAUAUUUUUAUUGUCAAAUAUUCUAAUAAAAACUAUUACAAUUAAAAGGAAAAAUAAAAGUGAGAUUGGGGAAACUCUUUUUUAAAGUUAAAAAUUUAUAUAAUGUCCGUAGUAAACACCUUAUAAAUAAUGAUUAGAAAAUCAUGUAGCUCACGAGGGAUGCAUAUAUAAAUUUUGUUCUUGGAGCCUAUAAUUGUGCAAAUCACAACCUCCAGGGUUGUUUUUGCAAAAACCCUAACCUCUUAAUAAUAUCUUCUAAAUUAAUCUCCCAUUCUUUAUAAUCUCCCACUUUUCACUUUUCCCUUCACCAAUUUAACAAUCUUCAAAAAGAAAAAAGAAAAAAAAAAAAACUAUAUUUUUAGGCACGUGACACCACUCUCUCCUUAGUGCUUAAUAAUAAUAAUAAUAAAUUUAAUUAAUCCUUAACAUCUCUCUCUCUAUAGAAAGUUACAGUUAUUUUACACGAAAAUAAUAGCGCAUCUGAUCGCGUGUACUUUCGCAUUGCAACAUAAGAUACACUAACAGAAAAUUAAAAAUUAAAAAAAAAAUCAUUCACUAUAAAAUUAUCAUUUUAUUGCGAUUAGGCUCUUUACAAUCCCCCAUAUGAAACAAUAUAAUCGAUUUAGGUCCUGUUUAGAUGCAUGCAUAUCUUAUUCGUUAUAUUUUCUUAAUUUAUUCAAAAAUAUUAACAUAAAAUGCAAAAAUAUAUUCGACUUUCAAAUUUUUUUUUUCAGAAUAAAAUAAAUCGUCUCGUAAGUGAAAUAUGCUAUCUUAUUUUAAAUCAUGAAUUGUAAAACAUCUGAAGAAGUGAAAAUCAAACUCUCGUUAGCUAUAAUCAUAUUAAAAUAUGUCAUAUCAAAUAUGUUAUCGUUGGAUAACUUUUUUCUUGUGUUCAAACAUGAUCUUCGAGUAUAUCUUAUGCGGUGCAACUAUUACAAUAUGGACUUUUUCUUUUCGCUCUCUCUCUCUCUCUCUCUCUCUCUCUCUCUCUCUCUCUCUCUUAGUCUUUGUGUGUGUGUGUGUGUGUGUGUUUUACCUCUCUUCAAAUCCAAGCAUGGGUGCAUCCUCUAUGGACAAGUGUGAUUUGGUGCAGUGUCUGAAUAUGCCUCCAUCUCCUAACAACCAGUUGGUGGACCUAAACCUUGUCUUAGACUUUUAAAUACCCCCCACCUGUUUCCUCUAUAUCUUCUCUCUCUCUCUCUCUCUUUUUUUUCUUUUUUUUCUUUUUUCGGGUCGAAAGAGCCAACAGGCUAAUUUAUUAAAAGCAAAAACCGAUUACACUUUGCGCAAAAAGACUCUACCUGCAGAGUCUUCAAAAAGUAUCCUAACAAAGUCUAUGGAAAGGUCACUGGUAGGAUCAAAAACCAGUUUACUUCUUAAAUUAAGUGUAUGACUUGCUAAAUAAUCAGUGGCCCUAUUGGCUUCACGAUAUAUUUUAACAAAAAUACACUGCCGCAAAGUCUCUCUCUCUUCUUCUCUUUUGUGUUUUUUUUUUCUAUAAAAUUAAAAAUAUAACGAACUUAUCGGAGCUGUAAAUUAUUUUGAUUCGACUGCGCAAUUUUUUAGUAUUUUGAUUUAAUUGCCCAUACUUUUAAUUUGUUGUUUGAUUUGAGUUUAAGUCAAUAACAUUUUGACUUUAAAAUUUGAAUACGUCAUUUAUAUUUAUAAAACUAAAAAAUAUACAGAAUUUAUCUAAACUAUAAAUUCCUUUGAAUCGACUACGCAGUUUUUUAGUAUUUUGAUUUAAUUGCCCAAACUUUUAAUUUGUUGUUUGAUUUGAGUUUAAGUCAAUGACACUUUAACUUUAAAAUUUGAACACGGCCUUUAUAUUUACAAGUUUAGUUAAUAUAUAUACUUCAUGCAAUUCUCGUAACUGUAAAUUUAUUAAAAUAAGGAAUUAGCUUAAAUUUUAAAGUGAAAGCGUACGUAGCUGACUGACACAAAUCAAAUAAAUUAAAAUGUUGAAUAAUAAAAUCAAAAUUUUGAUAGGAUAGUAAGAUUUAAAAUGGUCCAUAGUUCGAUUAGGUAAUGUUCUACACAUCUUUACCGAAAAAAGAAUCAAUAAAUUUUUGGUUAAAAUAUAUAAAAUGUUUCUUAACUUUGGUAUAUUUUGAUUCAACUACCUAUUUUUUAAAAAACUUUAAUUUUCAAUCUUUCAAUUUAUUAGAUUUUAAGCCAUUUUGAUGAUUCUUUCAGCAUAAAAUAUGUGCCUCUAUUAUGUAGUUUAUUAAAAUUGUGGUCACAUAAGUUAUAUAAAAUAUACUAAUCGAGCCUGUGAAAAUAAAUGACGCAUUCAAACUUUAAAAUAUGCGAGUCAUUAAAUCAUUCAAAUCAAAUAAUUCAAAAAAUUAGAUAAAAAGAUAUUUUUAAAAAAAAAUAUUAGGUAGUUGGAUUAAAUUGACUUAUAGUUGAGACAAGUUCCAUAUAAAUUUGCCUAGCUAAUUUUUUCCCCUAUAUUUUGUAUAUAUACAAAAUUUCUAUUUAAAAUUCUAUAAAAAAAAAUUUAAAUUAUCCCCCAACAAAGCCAAAACUAUUUUGUUUUGUUUUGUUUUGUUUUGUUUUGUGCUUCUCUCUUCCUUGGGGUGUUUAGAAUUAGAGACUUAUUUAAUAACUCAAUUAGAUGCCUAAUUAUACCAAUGCUUCCUCAUUAAAAUAAUGGGCAUGAUUAGUUGAUUAAAAUUAAUUAAUUAAAAUUUAAUUAGGUAUUCUUUGCCCACCUUGGUGAGCUCUCCUUGUUUUGGCACCAAAUCCUAUUUAUAGUUGUGACGUGUGGUGAUUAAACACCACACCUUUGUGUUGCUUUCACAUCCCUUUGAAAAUAUUAAUGUGGGCUUAUUUGGUUGCUUACUCACCUUUCUCACAUAUUUUUAUAUAAUUUUUUUUAAUGUAUGAAAAUAAAAAAAAAAAAAUUUGUACAAAGACCCUCCGAAUUUUAGUAUUCUAUAUAUAUAGGCAGCGUUUGGUUAGGGGAUAGAAAUAGAAAUAGGCUCUUAUCCCCCCUUUAUACGCAAACACUAAUUUUUUAUCCGAGAAUAGUAGUUCUCGGUUAUUCCCACCAACACCUUCAUUUUCUAUAUAAAAUUAUCUAAAAUUGUUCUUAUUCCCGGGAACAACCCAAUUUUCAUCUAAACAUUAUUUUUCUUAUCCCCAUACUUAUACCUAUCCUGUAAUAACUAGUUCUUGCUUAUACCCGAACCAAACGGUACCUUAAAAGGAAUAGACGCCUGAACUUUUAAUUCUGGUGAUUAGACUCUCUAAUUUUUUGUCAAAUAGUUUAAUGGGUCUCGGUUCUAAACUAGAGGUUUUUUUUUUUUUUUUUUUUUUUCAGAGAUAGGUAACACGCGACCUGCAUCGUUUAUUUCAUUUAGAAAUAAACUUAGCUGGAAAUGUGAAUCAAUUAGGAUUCGAACUUGGGUCUCGGGUACCAACCACCAAACCUUUUGCCACUUGCUCUAUGGACGGUCGGUUUUCUAAACCAGAGUUACUAAUUGAAUAGUCGUUUUUUGGUUGCAUAUCUCGCAUAUGAUUUUGCGAAAUGGUAAAUCAUAAAGAAAUUUAUUGUUCUCUUCUAGCUACUUGUGAUAAUUAAAUGACAGAUUGAAGAAUAAGAUGAAUCUAGCUUUGAUUUUUUAUUUUUAUUUUUAUUUUUUAUGCAUUAGAAUAAAAGAAGUAGAUCUUUUUUAAAAAAGUUUUAUAACUUUAUGAGAUUAUAUACUAGACAUGCCACCAAAACGACUGUUUAAUUAAUAAUUGUGAUUAAGAAAAGGGUUGCAUUAAAUUAUUUUGUAAAUUUUACAAAAUUUAGUUGUCAAAAUUAAAAGUUUACUAGGAUUUUACGAAAGUGAUGAGUGGUUUUAAAAUAGACCCUCGAAUUUGGGUUUUUUUUUUUUUUUUCAGAGAUCCUUUUACUUCUGAUUUUUUUUUUUUUUGGAAUCAAGUAAUUUUAGUAAAUUAAAUUAGAGAAUUUUCCACUUUUAUAAGUGAUUUCAUCAAAUUUGAUAACUUUUUUUUCACCUUUUAGCAAAUAAAAUUAGACUAAUUAAUGACUAAUUACUCAUAGAAUAAUUAAAUUAAUUCAAAUUUAAAACAAAACAAAAAGCUGAGAUAUUCAAUCAAAGGAAAGAUAUGUAGUUGAGGGACCCUUUUCAAAAACGGCUAUAGUUGAGGGGUCUACAUGUAAUUUUAACUUUUUCUUUUCCAUUUUCAAAUGGUCCCUUACAAAUGUUAUCUAUAUGAGCUUUAUCAUUUAGGGUUUAUUUACUUCAUUAGUGCAAAUCUGGAAGGUUCUCUUGGAAUUAAGCCACUCAAACGCGCCACAUGGCGGUCACCGAUUGGGGCCGAUCUCCGCGCUUAGGAUAUCAAUGUAGAAAAUAAUGAGAUUAUUUUAUGUGUUUGAGUAAUAGAUUAUCUAGUUUUGUUGUAUUGAAACUGUAGACGAACAAAAGUUUAUAUAUAAAUUGUAGACAAAAUAAAGAUCUUGACUUUGUCGAUGAAUCGGAGGAAAAUAUUUGUUUUUCUCGCGAAUUGUCUUCUUUAUUUUUCACACCACUUUUUCGUGAGUUGUUAAUAUUUCAAAAACAUAUUAUGGAAAGACGUGACACGUAAUGUUUAGUGUUUACAAAAUUUUGCUUGUAUUCUGAAUCGAUUGGNAGAAAGAUAUAUAUAUAUAUAUAUAUAUAUAUAUAUAUAUAUAUAUAUAUAUAUAUAUAUAUAUAUAUAGGGUAGGGCUACUAUACUCUUAUGAGUAUAGAACCCUUCGUACUCAUAAGUUGUUUUCAACGAUAGAGCUUCCGAAUCGCCGAUCCACUCCGUUAAAUAUGAUCUAGAGUAUUUGAAACUUCUAAAAAAUAAAUUUCGUAAUUUUCGAAAUCAUAAUAAAGUCCAUCAAACGGGCAUAAAAUGAACAGUCAAAAUUGAACGACGUCCUAAAAAUAAAUGAUCGUAUCCUUCAACUUAAGAUCAGAGUUAUUGAUCUUUAUCUAGGUAGUGAAUAGAAUUUUCUAUCAAAAAUUCAACCUAUUCCAAUUCUUUUACACCGUUAAACUAGCAAGUAUCCCAAACCGGCCGUUAAAAAUUGUCAGUUUUGUGAGCUUUUGAUCGUAAGGUAAAUGAUGUCAAAAAAUUAUGAAAUUUGAUUUCUAUAAGUUUUAAAUGCUCUAGAUAAUGUUUAACGGUAUGGAUCGUCGAUUCGGAAGCUCUAUCAACGAAAACAACUUAUGAGUACGAGGGCGAUCGUACUCAAUAUAUAUAUAUAUAUAUAUAUAUAGUGUUGUGAAUCAAUUAAAAUCUUUAAUACAUCAAAUGGAGAAGAUUUAAUUAUAUACUCAUGCAUCAAGUGGACAUUCAAAUUUUAAAAAAGUUUGCCAAUAAUUUUCUAUUAGCAAGAAGUUCAUUUGCUCUUGUUAUAAAAGUUAUUUGAGAAUCACAACCCUAAUUGAGUUUUGACGUGUACGAGUGCUAAAAAGUCAUAGAAUUUGCAAUAGAAGACGAGCUAAAUUUUUCAAUGUAUAGUGGGUAAGUAUAAAUGUCCAGCAUAAUUUUCAUCAAAGUACUUCCAAAUAAAAUAAUUUUUCCGAUUUAGCACAAGUACAGCUAUGCAUGAAAUUGUUUGGUGUGCUGUAGAUCAAUGUCUAAGUCAAAGCAAAUAGGGUUGUAGCAGGAUUCAAAUGCAGAAGCUCUUAUUAUUAGAAAAAUUAACCGCCAUAACUCGAUCUGCUGUUCACCUUCACAUAAUCACCACCUUUUAUCUUCUCCAUUUUCUCACCAUCGGGGCUUAUACCUCGCCAUCAUUAAUUGGUUCGAGUGCUUAGUUUGGCAAUUCAGAGUCUAGAUCUUGAUCGACUAAUACUCAAAAAAAAAAAAAAAAAUUUCAAGUAUAUAUUUAUAGCCAUGAGAAAAAUAUAGCUGGAGAGAUUAGGGUUCGUCUUUCCAUUACUCUCAAUAUUGCAUCAAGAGCUAGAGUAGUUUCACUUUAAUCCUCGAUGUCUCAAUUUACAAAUAAGCCACUACUUAAUCAACUUUUGUACUUCUUUAAUUAUGCGACGAGAUCGAAAUUAAUCAAUCCUUUAGAUGGUCACAACAUAGAUGUUUUCAUCCAGUUUAGCAACAAGUUUGAAAUGAUCAUUAUGAUUGCAACAAAAUGCAAGGAUAGGGAUCUACUUGUAAUGACUCAAAGGCAACUCAAGUGCCCUAAAGACCCUUGUGCACUUAAUAUAUACUACAUGUGCAAAGCAUUUGUUGUUUCAUUACAUGGCACAUUAAACAAUUUUAAAACAUAAUAAUAUAGUCAAUAAAACUAAUCUCAUCUAACUAAUCUUGUCUAAGCCUUAUACUAGAUUGUUCAUCUUUCUCUUUACCCAUGACUCUUUCAAAAAGCAAUUCCAAACUAUAUACUUUGAGAUGUACUAGAAGACUCACCUUCAAUUUUAUGCAUGUGUAAUUGUUGUCAACAUAUAUAGAUGGAUUAGUAAUAACAAUGACUCAAUGGCCAUACAUACUUUUGCAUCACUCAAAAAGUCACAUGAGCAAGAGCCAACAUUAAUAAAAGAACCUUCUUAAAACCAUUGUACAACAAAGUGCACACCACAUGGUGGUCGAGGUGGAGCUAACAAAGUGUCAUAUGUAUAGUACCUAGAUAUCAUAGGAUGUUAUUUAUCUAAAGUUUAGGUCAAAAGCUCCUUUUGUAUCUUCCUUUAGUCCUUUUCCACUACAAAAGAAAGUGCACACAUGAGUUGGCUUGAUUAGUGAUCUCCUUUUUGCUUCUCCCCCCACAACAAUCAUCAUUUUUGUGCAUAUCUUUGUGAACUAGCUUCCUAGAUUAGAAGUAGUUAAGUUAGAAUUUGAAAAACCACUAGUCUAGAGUGAAAAACUAAGAUGAUCAGCUUUCACUAUCAUAAGCUAAUGCUUUGUUAUAUGACCAAGUGAGAAAGCCAUUAAGAUGCAUUCCAUAACCUAACAACAUUUUUUUUUUUUUUGUUUGAGAGAGAGAGAGAUAAAGAUAAGUAGCAUACUAACAUGCCAUCUGUUUCGUUUAUUUUUUAAAAUAAAUUUAGUUGAAAAUAUAAAUUAAGUAAAGAUUUGAAUUUGAAAAUAUAAAUUAAGUAAAAAUUUGAAUUUAAAAUUUUGAAUACCAACUAUUAAAUUCUUUGCUACUUGAACAAGAAACAGCAGGUCACUGACUACANGGGGGGGGGUCUCUUUCGAUGAUAUCCAUGAGAAUUCACAACGAGGAUCUUUCCACCUCUACCUCACUUGACCUCAAAAUGGCUAAAUUUAUUUGAUUCUAUUAUUUGGGAGAAAAAUUAUUAUUUUACUAAAACUAUUAAGAUAUUUUUAAAAUUGAGAAAGCUUCAAAUAACAUAUAUGAAAACUUAAAAAGUCGAGUUCAUUGUUUUCUUUUUUUGAGAAAGAGAUAGGUAGCAUGUUACCCACUUCGUUUAUUUUAUUUAGAAAUAAACUUAGCUGAAAAUGUGAAUCAACUAGGAUUCGAACUCGGAACCUCAGAUACCAAUCACUAAGUUUUUUGCCACUUGCGAUAGGGACGGUCGGUCCUAACAACAUUAAUUAACUUCCUUUUUUUUCUUAAGAAUUGGGAGUUUGGCGCUCUAUACUUUUAUCGACUGAAGCGUACGUGCAUUAGUUGUAAUUUCGCGUAUAGAGUCUUUGUAUAGACAGGUAAUUUUCAUAGUCUAGCCAUUAGCGCACACGGACUCUUGCACGCAAAAAUGUAGAAAAAUCACACCCUAUAUGUGUGGAGGGUCGAUCCCAUCAGAAACAUGCAUGACCCCAAGGUCAUUCUCAAUCGAUCUUGAUCCUAAGUUCUCACUAAUAUGUGAUGUUAUAAAAGAAAUGUUUUAAGACUUUCUCAAUCAAUUCAUACCUAUAAGAUUAAUCUAGCUUGUUAGAUAAGAAACACUUAUGCGAAAGCUCCAACUGGACCUAUAUGCACGCAUGUUAUACCCAAUAAAGAUCAAAUUGUGAUAAAUGAAUUUCUAUUAAAGAAGAAAUAACUAUGACAAACAAGCAAAAUGAGUGAAAAUUUGAUAGGUGUACAUCAAAAAUUAUACAUGAUCCAUAUAAUAGUGGACCCUACAUGGUUUUACUCUAUAAACCCAUCUUUGAUUAAUUAAGCUACUCUCUCUCUCUCUCUCUCUCUCUCUCUCUCUUAUCCUUUAACCUAACCUACAAGCCCACAUGAAUACAUGAUUCCAAAUCUUGUAUAGGAUAUUAAAUGCUGCCAAAAAGGCUGACGAAUUCAAAUGUUAUUAAAUUAAAUUAUUAAAUUGUACAUACAAUAUCUCCAAUAUGAGCACUUUGUCUUAAUAUAUAUGCAUAUAUAUAUAUAUAUAUAUAUAUAUAUAUAUAUAUAUAUAUAGGUGACCUGACGAGGACGUUAGGGCUUAAAGGAGAGGAGAUCGUGAGACCCCAGAUAGUCCUAUUAUAUCUCAUAUAUAGGACUAUCUGAGAUCUCACAAUAUAUAUAUAUAUAUAUAUAUAUAUAUAUAUAUAUAUAUAUAUAUAUAUAUAUAUAUAUAUAGCCACUCAAACAAGAAAUAGAAUAGCUAUUCUAUAAAUAUCAUUAUUAUAUUAGAUAGAGUGAUGAGUAGGCCAAGUCUCAUGGAAAAUAUGUGGAAUAAAAUAAAAAAAAAGGCCACUACUACUACUGGGGCCCAUUUCCAUGGCCGGCCUAAUAUAUCUGAUUAGUGACAGGUCCGCGCUUUGCAACGAUUUUUUUCUUUUUUAAUAUAAUAUUAAGAUAAAUUAUUUAUGCGGUAAAUAACUUGCAUAUUUAUGAUGUAGGUAAUGAUUUCUCUUAAAAGAGAGAUUUAGUUUUUGUACCAAAAAAAUAAAAAAUAAAUAAAAUUAAGCACAAAGGCAAUAAAAAAUUACGAAUGGAAAGGAAAAAAAAAGAAGAAGGAGAAAGAUAAGAUGAAUAAGCAUUAAAUUAUUUCCAAUGAAUCACCUUCUAAGAUAAAUAUUCUUGGGUUCAUUUCAAAAAAAAAAUUUAGUGUAUUAUAUCAUGUUAAUAAACUCAUAAGUAAAAGCUACUUAAAAAAUUUACAUCAUAAAUAUUAAUAUAUAUAAUUAUAUAUAUAUUACUAUAUUGUAAAUUUACACCCAAAAAAUUUACAAUAAAUUUGAAUUUGAAUUGUAGAUUCAAAAUUAUAUUUUUAAUUUUUUAAGUUCAAAUGUAAAUUCCAAUAUAUUUUUGGCAUCUGAAUUUAGUUCUAAAUUAAAUUUUGACACUGAACUUGAAUUUGAAUUGUAAAAUCAAAUUAUAAGUUCAAACUUUGGCUCAAAUUUUGAUUGCGGAUUUGGAUAGCAAAUUAAAAUUUUGUUUUUUUUUAAUUUUAAUUUGAACAUAAUUCCGGUUUUAAUUUAUUUUAUGAACCAAGCGAAUUACGAGAUUUCAUCAUUCCAUUUUUUAUUCCAUCCAUUUCCAUUGAUUUCGAUUCCUAUAUUUGAAUCAAAGGUGUUAGUGUAUAGUAUAUAUAAAUGCUGGAAUUCAAUAUUUGUUUAACACUUUAAACCUUUUCCUUUCAAAAAAAAAAAAAUUUUUUAACUUUAGGGAGUGUUUGGUUCCUCAAAAAAAAUGUGAAAAAUUAAUUUUCAUAAAAAACAAAAAAAUAAAAAGAAGACUAUUUCAUUAAGAAAAAAAUUCUAGAAACCAAACACACAGAAAAUAUUUUUUAAGUAAAAAAAAAACUAUCUUUUGUGAUAUAUUUUGGAGAAACAUUAACAAUUUUGUAAUAUAUAUAUAUAUAUAUAAUAUUAUAUAUUAUUAUAUAUAUAUAUAUAUAUAAAAAUUAAACUAAAUACUUUUAGAACAUCAAGCCAUAGUGCUUUUGAGUUUUAGCUCUUAGUAUUCCUUGAUUAUAAUAGUUUUUGGACAAACACUAUUCCACUACCACAUCAUCUCAAUUCCUACAUUCUUCAUUCAUGGUUAAAAAUCAAAAGCACCAAUCCUUUGUGCUUUGAGAGUAUUCUAGCUCAACUAUAUUAUAAUAUAUAUAUUAUAUAUAUAUAUAUAUAUAUUAAUAUAUUAAUAUAUAUAUAUAUAUAUUUGUGUAGAGAUACUAUACUAUCCGAAGUCUAUAGAAUUUGAUGCUUCGAAUUUUUUGGUCUUUGGAUCAAGAAUUGUAUAGAUGGGAUGAUUGUAAUCCCCAGUAGGGUUGAGUUACUAACCCUAGGGUUGAGUGGUCCUUACAGAAUAAUAGUAUUAAUCCAAAUAUUAGAAAUGAUUAAAAAGGCUGAUCUAAGGGCCAAAAAGUCGAAAGUAUCAGAUCCUUUAUGCUUCCGAUAGUAUAGUAUAGCUCUAUUCUAUAUAUUUUGACAAUUAGACUCCUAGAUUUUAUUAAAUAAAUAAUUUAAUAGAUCUCUAUCUAAUCAAAGUUACUAAUCAUACAACUAAAUUAGCUUGGCGCAAACAACUGGUUCAAAAUGCUUAAACUUAGUUAUUAUUAUAAUUCCAUUCUAAUCCGAUAUGGGACUAUUCGAGUGUUAUAUUUACAUUGCGUAUAAUAUUGUACAACUCUAAAAUAGAAAGAAUUUUGUUUCUUCCAUUCUAACACAUACAAAUAUAACUAGGAUAAGCUCCUGAAUUUGAACACCAAGUUUACAUGCACAAGCCCAAGUUUGCUUAUCUAGAUGGGCCCCCAUUGGCCCAAAGUGAUCACUUGCCCGUUACAAGUGUUGAACCCGUUUACCGGGCCGAAGUACUUAAGGUGUAUUUGAUCCAACAAACAAAAUCUUCUCUAACGCUUUGUUUGGUUCGGAUAUAAGUAAGAAUUGUUUAUUUCAGACUUUCAGUGAUAGAUACAAGUCCAGAAAUAAGCAAAAACAAGACCAAUUUUUGCGUUUGGAUGAAAAUUAGGUUGUUUCCGGAAAUAGGAAAGAUAACGUUAAGAUAGAUAAGAUGGAAUAAGAAGAAGAGUAAAUAGUGGCUAGUUAUAAAUAAAAAAUUAUGAUAUUACUUCUCUCAUUAAAUUUAAAUUUAAAAUUUAAAAUUUAAAAUUUAAAAUUUUAAUUUUAAAAUUUAAAUUUAAGAUCAAAUUUAAAUUUAAAAAAUAUAAAAUAUCAAAUUUUAAAUUUGAAAAUUUGAAAAUUUAGUGCUGUUUAAUUCCCUCCCCUUUAUACCCCAACCAAAUACCAUCUAAAAGUAUUGUUUAAUUACACCUAUUUGAGGAAUCCUAACAAUUUUUUUCUUUUAAUGAAAUCACUUGAAUAACUGAUAGUUGAACUCGAAGUGGAAUUGCAAAUUGUUAGCAUAUAUUAUGUGAUCUCAUAAACUUAUUCAACCUUUCGCUCUAAACUUAUUUGCCAAAUAUCUUCUUUUGUUUGCCUGGCGCUUAUGUGACGGUUAAUUAAUAAAAUGUUAGGAGGAAAGUGGGAAGCUAAAGUGAGCUUCCAAAAUCCAAAAAUAAAAAUCCCUAAUAUGAAUAAAACGUUUUUGUCAGGUGUAGCAGAAAAAAAAUUGUACAAUGUAUUAUUGAGAACUAAGCUACUUCGUGCUAUUAAUAGCAUAGUAGUCGGACUCAUAUAGAACUAGACUACUAUGCUAUUAAUAGUACCAAGUCAUUGGUGCUACCAAGUUUUUGGCCAUUGGAUUAAGAGAUGUACGGUUAGGAUGAUAUGGGCCCCCUAGGGUUGAAUGGGUGGUUAGUUGAAUAGUAUGAUUUAACGGGUGAAAAUGAUCAAAAUGGUAGAUCUAACGGCGGAAAACUUGAUAGCACCAAAUGCUUCGUGCUAUUAAUAGCAUAGUAGCCGGACUCUCUCUCUCUCUCUCUCUAUAUAUAUAUAUAGAGUUGAGCUAGAAUACUAUCGAUAGCAAACGGACUUCGUUGCCAUCCAUUUGUUUUCGAUGAAAGAGCCUCCAAAUUGACGAUCGGCACGUUGAACAUGAUCUAUACCACUUGAAGUGUUUAGAAAUCAAAUUUUAUGUAUUUUUGAUAUUGUUCUCUUAUCCAUCGAGUGGACACAAAAAUGAACGACUGAAAAUAAAUAUUCUUAAAAAAAUGAUGAUAGGAGUCUUGUAAUCAAGAUCAAGAAUAUAGAUCUUGUUUUAAUUGAUUUGAAUAUUUUUACACCGUUAAAUGAGAAAAUGCUUCAUAUCGACCUUUAAAAUUACAAAUUUUGAAACCCUUUGAUUAUUAGGCAAAUGAUAUUGAAAAGAUUUAAAAUUUGAUUUCUAAAUACUUCAAGUGGUAUAGAUCAUGUUCAACGGUGCCGAUCGUCGAUUUGAAGGCUCUAUCAUCGAAAACAAAUCGGUGGCAAAAAAACCCGUUUGCUAUGAAUAGUAUUCUAGCUCAACUCUCUCUCUCUCUCUCUCUCUCUCUCUCUCUCUCUCUCUCUCUCUCUCUCUAUAUAUAUAUAUAUAUAUAUAUAUAUAUAUAUUCAUCAACUUAAGUUUCUGAAGUGAUAAGAUAUUUUUAUGAGCAAAAAAUUUUAAGUUGGAAUCACUCGAUGCCCACUAUAUUUUAAAAACUUAUAAUAUUUUACAUGUAGGUCCUUUAAAAAUUGUUACUCACCUCCAUCUAGCUUGAUUUUAAUUGUAAAAUAAAAUAAUGGGCGUGAAAAAAUAGGCACGGUGUGCGAGGCCUGAUGGUACACCCGGUGCAGGCAAUAGUUUCUGUACAAAGAGGGCUUCCCAGAUUGGGCCGGUCUACUAGACCGGGUCUACUCAAUGAGUGCUCACUUCGUGGACUAUUCUUGGUUUUGGUCUUCGACCGUUCCACUCUUUCUACUCGCCGAUCCGUCGGGAUCGACCCGCCGAUUUAGUAAAAAAAAAUUAAAAAUUUCCACUGCGAAAUGUCUAGUUACCCCCUGUUCAAUACAAAUAUUGCUACCAUAGUCCUGGGCUCAAAAGAACUUCAGUCCCUAACCUUUUAACCUAUUUUCAGCCUAGUUCCUAAUUCGAAAAAAUAAACUGUUAUCAUGAAAUUCUCUUUUGUAAUUUUAUUUUUUAUUUAUUUUUACAUAUUUUAUAGUUAUUUACUUACAAGUAUCUGAAGUAAUCUACAAAUGGGCUAAAAUAACUUUUGACUGGUUUGGACAGAGGCACUAAUAUGUAAUAUAAAUAAAGUACAGGGACUACACUUACAUUUUACCCGCCCCCAAAAUUUCCGAUCUCUCGUUUAUAAGCAGGAACCAGUCGAAGCUGCUUGCUUCAGAGCUACAGCGAACUCCUCUCUCUCUCUCUCUCUCUCUCUCUCUCUCUCCAUCGCGCUCUUCGCCGACGAUUCCCCUCUCCGAUGCGUCUCCGAUCGAUCUCUCGUCUCCGGAUCGGGGCUAGGGUUUCCGAUCCGAAGCCAUGCGCUUGAUCCACCGCGGGGAUCUGAUCCCCGACCCUUCCGCCGCUUCUCCGUAGCCGGAUUCGCUCCCCUCUCCCCCCGCGAGCGAUGGCGUCGUCGCCGGUUAAGUUCGUCUCGGUUUUCCUCGUCGUCUCCGUGGUCGGAUGGGUCGUUUUCACGUAAGAUCUCGAGGAGCCCCACCCCCCCCAAUUCCAUCCUGUUUGUGCCUUUUCUCGCUAAAUUUCAUUAGGAUUUGUGUCGUUUUGCUGAUUUUGAGUGUGAAGUUUAGUAUGUACGCGUUUUUACUUUGAAUAAUGCGGCGAAUCUGAGUGCUGAGUGUUCUGUGGCGCAUGAAUUUUGAAGUUGCACUUUGAAUUAGGUUGUGAGUGGGUGAGUUGAGUGGAAAAGGGGAACUUUGAGAUGAAUGUGUUCGGUUGUUUACUCGCUUAUCAAGGAAUUGAUCUGUUUCGGUCUAGGAGAGGGGAAUGUUGGUAGGAUACCAGCUGUGGAAAGUAUUUUGAACAAAUUUAAAAUCUGUGUCAAAUUGCUCUACCCCGAUUCUGGUACUCUGCUUGUUGGAGCUAUUGUGUUUGAAAUGCAGAUCGAUUUUUUCUUCAUUUGCCAAUAAAAUUGCUUUAAGUUGAUCUUUUUGUGCAUGAUGCAAGGGAGAAUUGAUGGUGCGAUAAGAAUUACAUGUAUACUACUUUGAAAAUUUGAACUGUUAAAGAAUUUUUUUUAGUUUGUAUCAGCCUCCAUGAUAGUUAUCUGAUAUUUACUUUGUACUUGUUUGGUCUAGAUUCUUCUCCCACUUUCAACGGUAGUUAUUUAUAGAAAAGUUUGGUGCUUCUGCUAUGAUGUGUAGUGGAAAUGAGAAUAUGAGACCUAAAUGAAGAAGCUCCACUUUGGAGAUUCUGUUGUUGUUGUACUGUUGAAGGUAUUUUGAUAUAGUGAUUUUCCUAAUAGCAGUAGGUGAACAACACUUGAUUGGACAGGACUGCAUCUUGGAGCAGGUUCAAACAAAACCUUAAUUAUAUUGUAGAUAUUAAGUUCUCCUGCCUAGCUUCUGAGGAUGGUAACAAUGAAGAAAAGAUGCGUUGAUAUGGUACCGUACUUGCAUCAAAUUGAGCUGAGCUUAGUAGCCCCUCCAAGAGUUCCUAAGCAUGUUAUAUGAGAGUAAUAUUGUUGGAUUGUACAUCCAUAAUCAAUACAAGACAGCUGGAGGAGUGAUUCUCAACAGUCACAAGUGCUGGGUCACAUGUUAUUGUCAGUAAAACUGCUCUUUGAAAAGUCCAAUCAGAAUAAACCCUUCAGAUCACAUGUCGAAACACAAAGUAUUUGUACUCUAUUAGCGUUAUGCUUCUACAAGUUGUUGCGAUUCCAAUUAAUUUAUGACAUAAAAGCCAGACAUUCUGUUAAGUCAGUAUUAGUUUUGAUUAUCUGUUUAAUACCUUAAGUUUCUGUGAAUUAUAGUUUAAUGUUUAUAAAGUAUUUGCAGAAGUGCUCUAUUUGUCUGAACCUAUAUUUAUCUCUUGUUGGCAGAUUUGCUUCCAGGUUGUUGGCUUGGUUUCUAAGCCGUAUAUUAAAGGCUUCUGUUGGGUUUCGUGUUGCUGGAUGUAAUUGUUUGAGAGAUGUUAAUUUAAAAUUCAGAAAGGUUUGUCUUUCUCAUAUCUCUGUAGUCAGCCAAGUUUGUAGAAUUUUUGUGUUCUAAUUUUUAUUAACUCUUUGAGUACGAAUGAUUUUGGUUAGAUUCUUGUGUUAAUUUCUUUUAUUGUUUCUCAAUAUCUUUUGAUCUUUGAAAUUUCGUUGAUCAUUUUUGACGAUUUGCCAUUGUGCAGAUUGCAAAAGUAAUUUUAAGUUUUUGGUUUUAGGUCCUCAUCAAAGCAGUCAAAGUAGAAAUGCUGAUCGGUAGUGGAAAUUGACUACCGAUACAAGGAAAUAUCUUGUGCUGUCUCUAUAUGUCUUUUUAUUGCAAAUUGUGCAAACAAUCAUGCACACCAAUAUGUGGGUUUAUGCAUUCAGUUUAAUAACCAUUUAACAUUUAUUUAGCUAUUUGUAAAAUUUAAAAAAGCGUACUGAUGAAAAGUUCUCAAUUUCCCAUAAAUAUGCACACCUUAAACACUAACAGCAGUCCAUCGCAAAAUCAACUGAAAAUUCUAGUGGUAGAUCACUGUUUUUGAAACCAAAUUAGGAGAAACAGCGUGAACAAUAUUCAGUUGAGUCCUAGAUGUGAAUAGAUUUAACGAGUAGUUUUUGAAGUCCUAAUAUUGUCUUUAAGGUGUAUUAGGCUACUUUUUCAGAGAACAUGGAGGAAUGACCUUGCUGCCAUAUUGGUUGAAGAAUAUAUCAUGACAGAAUUUUCUGUCUUAUUAUUAUCAUUUUUUCUAUAUUUGUCUCUAAACAUGCUUGAAAUCACGUGUUUUCUGAAGGUUUUCUUUGGGUUUAUAGAGUACAGGACUUUUUUUUUUUUUUAUGGGAAUGAAACCAUCACUAGAGGCUGAAGAAGUGUUGAGGCUGGAAUGAUUCAAGUGUCUCUCCACUUAUAUAUAGCAUUAUACUCGUGCAAUUCCACUCUGGCAUGUCAUUUUAGCAUUUGUUUCACAUAAAUUUAUAAUUUCGAUUUGGAACUAUCUGUGCUUUAUAUAAUAAAUAAUUGAACCAUUUAAGUGAUUAUUAGUGUAGUGGUAAGUCGCUCAUCCCCUGUGUAUCAUGACGCGGCUAUAAGCCUUGCGUGGUCGUGUCGGACACAUGCGUGUUCGUGUCGGACUCGUGUCUGACGCGGUUGUGUGUAGACGUGCGUUCGACGUGCAUUGUCGGACUCGUGUCCGACGUGGUUGUGCAUAGACGCGCGUUCGAUGUGCAUCCAUGGCACAUCCCUUAAAAAAGAAUAUAUAUAUGUUUUUAUUUUACUUUUUUUUGUGCGUAUAUAAUGUAAGAUGAUAAAUAUUUUGGCUUUUUGAUGAAGGUAUAUGAACUCUUUUUGGAUGAUAUAAAUAAAUUAUGUAUAGUGGAGAAUUUCUCUCCUAAAAAUAUAAGAACUAUCAACGGAAAUUUUAUUAACUUUUAUUCAUAUGAGAAAUAUAACAAUAUUUUAACAAAAUUAAUAUUUUAUAUGUAAUAAAUAUAUAUUAUUAUAUUAAUAAUAUUAUAUUUUAUUAGCGGUGUUCAUUCCGUAUCCGUGUCCUAAUUCUUUAAAGCUGUUAAGUCUCCAUGUCCAAGUCAUAUCGUGUCCUGUGUUCACAGUCUGUGUUCUUGACGCCUAAUUCGUCCCACAACCCUGCAAAUCCUUGUUCAAGCCUUAGUUCAAACAAUUGUCUCAUUUUUACAGAAUGAGGGAAUAGGGAGCCAAGUUAGCACUGUUGGAUGCUGUUACUAAAUCCAGUGGAGUUCAGGCAUUUACUGGAGCUUAAAACAUGUUAGGUAACUAUAGGCAAUAGGAACUUCUAGUUCCUCGUGGACCUCGUUGAAUCAGGGAGGGCCUACUUUCCCCCCUCUACCACCCUUGAUUUAGCAGCAUCAAUUUAACCUUCAUCUUGAUUUUGACUAAGGUUUUUGUGUGUCUUUUCCAGUAAUGUGUCACUUCAUCAGGUUUGCCAACAAAUAACCUGUAGCAUGCCUUAAGAUAAGGGGGUUGACACUUUGCUUUUAUGAGAUGGAAUCUCAGUUUAUGCCAUGCCAAGCAUAUGUUGAUCAGAAUGAAACACUAGAUUUAUAACAUCUUGUAAGUUGUUCAUAAACAUCAAUCUCAACAUGAUAGACUUGCCUCUAGUGAGCUGCAUUCAUCUAAUAUCCUUUUGAAAGUAAUAUUGUGGGAAAAAGAAGAAACUGAUCUUGAGCUGGAGAGAAGGUUUUUGAGGUGAAGUAGGAAAAAAAAUCUCCAGUUAUGUACAUCCACAGUGUUUCAAAUAGUUCCAACCAUUUUUUAAUCUCCAUUUUCACUUGACAAGAAAGAAUUCCGGAAAAAAAUCUGACUCGGAAGGAGGCUAGACUAAUUGACUGCGUGAGACUUCAUCCUCCAAUAGUCACGGCCUUCUAUCUUAUACACUUUGAAUUCUGCUCCAGUGGCCUCAUGGCUUUCUGUCGCUGCAGUUGCCUUAUGUUUUUUUUUCUCAUUCUUUCUAUGUUAUUCUUUUGCUGUUUCUUGAGAAGCCUUGUAUAAUACGAAUUUUUAAUGAACCUUUUGUUGUUUUCCAGGGUGCUGUGGAAUCUGUAUCAAUUGGUGAAAUCAAACUCAGCUUUCGUAAGUCACUAGUCAAGCUGGGGUUCAGCUUUAUCUCAAAGGAUCCGAAAUUACAGUUGUUAAUUUGUGAUAUUGAAGUCAUAAUGAGAUCUUCUGAGCAGAGGAAAAGGACUAGUAAACAUCGGAAGUCUCGUUCAACUGGAAAAGGGAAAUGGCUGGUCAUUACAAGCAUGGCUAGAUUUUUGUCGGUUACGGUAACAGAUUUAGUUGUCAAGGUACCAAUUUACUGAUUGAAUAAUAUCUAGCUUUGCAGUCGAUUCUUAUUCAGAAUUUGAUUGCCUGCGCAGAAGCUAUAAUUUAGAGUGUUCAUUGCUUUAUUAUAUGAAAGGUAGGGUCAGUUUUAUUGAAUUCCCAUGGUAAAGCGUAAUUGAAACAUUCUGUUAGGACUGAUAGUAAUUUAACAAUCUGAUGCUCAUAUUCUUUUAGGGUAAUACUGACUACUUGCAUAUGUCAUCAUAAAUAUUUGGCUGGCUGCAUAGUAGUCAUUGCAUGAAUUUUAAGUAACUGGCAGAUAUGGGUGAUUAAAUCAAAUUUACAGUGUGAGAAGUAAAUAAAGCAGUGUAUUGGAAUUGGAAGCCUUGUUACUUUCUUGUUCUGUUAUUGUUCUGUACAUGCGUACCUAAUAAAAAAUUGAUUCUUAUACUUGUGGUAUUUAAAAUAUCUGGAUUUAUUAGUAGUCAUAAAAUUUUACUUAUUUCUAAUUCAUUUAAGGUUCUUGUGAUCACAGAACCUGAAAGUUGAUGGCGUCUUCAAUUAGUUUCCUUUGUUGGUUUCUAUUUAUUCUGUUUCUCCAAAUGUCAAUGGUGUAACAGUUCUGAGAGAAGUGUCUGAUAUUCAAUCAUUAUAUAUCCACCGAAGUUCUUAAGUCAGCACUAUUGAGGUGGUCUCUAUUUAUCAAGUACAAUUGCCAAAGUUUACUUCCAAGUGUGAGAGACAUAAGCUGAUCUUCUAUCCGACAUUAUAGCUUUCAUUUCUAGUACCUCUGUUGCUUGAUCUUGCUAAAGCUAGGACUGUUGCACCAAUUGAUAGAAGAUUUGUGUCAGUUUAUCGGCCUUUCGAAGAAAUUGCUCAAUUCUUCUAUGCAGCCUUUCAACAUGAAAUUUGCUCUAGCAGAUCUCUUGUUACAAGGGCAGCUUUCGAUGGUAAUCAUUAUGAUAGAUGGCAUUUCAAUAAAAUUGGUUUAUGCGAAAAAUAUAUUUGCAGAAGUUGCUAGCCUGAAAAGCAAAAGCUAGUUUGAAUAUGGUUCCUCUAGUUAAUCGAAAUGUUGACAAUUGGAUUUCUUUUGAUAAAUUACAUGAUAUUAUACACUUCUGAAUCAAUUUGGGCUGGGUUAGAAAAAAUUUGCAGCUUUGAUUUCAGGUUCAUACUAAUGCUCUUAUUCAGUAUGAAAUAUAAAAUUAUCAUUAUCCUGCUGAAGUCAUAAAGAAAAUGUUAAAACUCCUAUUCAACAUGUAAUGUGUAUCCAACAAGAAAGUUAUCUGUGAUACUUCUUCGUUGAAUUGCUGUUUGUAACGCAACUGCAUCAUGUCUAAUCAUGAACUUUAAGAUUAUCGAUAGUGUUGAAUGAUAAGUGCAUUCGACAUAUUUUAACUUUUUUUUGGCAAUCUAACUUUAUAGUUUUAGCUUUGUGGCAUAACUUGAAGAUUUAUUCUUGUCCAUGUUUAUUUGUUUAUAUCAUUCUCUUAACAUGUAGUUAACAUUAAAAAUGAUUUCAUCAUUUUUAGUUUCGAACAACUAAUAUUUGUUUUUCUACCAAUAUGUAAAGAUCUUUUCUUAUGAGGCAUUCCAAAGCCUCUUAUAAAUGUUGUGUCUGUUGUGCUGAGCUCUCUAGGUGCAAGUAUGGUUAGUCACACUUAAUUAUUGAUUCAACUUCUAAGUAGUAUAAACCUGGUACAUGACUCUCUUUUCUCUAAACCACAGGCUAGUAAAGUGUGAAGACUUCUAUAGAAUGUUAGGUUGCUGAAAAACAUUGAUUGUUAGACAAAGAGAGAAUUCUGUUAUCCAUUCGAAACCACUAAAUGUUUACCUCUAGGAGCUGUUCGUUUCUAAGUAGGAUCUGAUGUCUUGUUGUUUUCAUAUUCGCUAUCUUGUGAAACUGCAUUAGUUAGCAAAUUUUUUUGAAUAAUUAGGGAAGCGCCAUAGAUAAGAGUGCCCGUACUCUUGUUGGUAGAUAUUAUAUUAGCUUUUGUAAGUUAAUAACAUUUGGAUCUUUUGGGCAAGGAUUUAAGUGCCCAUCAACACGGGCUGUAUCUACCGUGCCGUAUCGUAUCGUACCAACAAGAUAUCAGCAUGAUAUAGCCCUCGUGCCGAUGGCACAGCUCAAAACCCUCUCUUUAAAUUAGUAAGUAAUUUUCUCAAUAAAGUUCAAAAUAUUUGAUAAAAAUACAUAAUAAAUAGUUAGAAUAUUUUGUUGCUAAAAAAAGUAAAUAUUUCAUGCUAUUAUAUGUCGGCAUACAUGAAUUUUUGUGACCGGCAUGCACCGCCGCGGCCCGGCACGGUACACACCGUGCCGUCCCGUGCCGGCAAGUUUUCGGCACGAUCUUUUGCCACGACACUUAAAUCCAAGGUUUAAAGUGCCGUGGCACGGGGGCGUGCCGCUGUCUGCCUCGCACAAUACGAAACCGGCACGCUUUCGUGCCGACACAUGAUACGCUUGCGUGCCGAUAGAUACGCAUAACCUCCUACUAGCACGCGACACAGACUUAUUUUAGUUUUUUUGGUUUCAAUAAGCUCUUAUAAUAUUAUUUUGAAAGAUUUAAUCAAAUAAUUAUGAAUAUUUGCUAUGUAUAGCUCACAUACUCAUCAAUUAAUAUACUUGUAAACUUUUUGUAUGUAAAGUACAACUAUCCUGACACAGAAUAGAAAUUUUUACAGGUCAGAAUUUUUAAAAUGCAAAGACAUAUUUUUUGCUUUUUUCUUUUGAUCAUAUUACAGUCUUUCUUUUAUAAAGUACAAAAAAAUAAUUUUAAGAAUAAUUUUGAAAAUUAUUUUUUAAUUAAUUUUUUCAAAAAAUUAGUAGAUCUAUCAAAAAAAAUUAAGUGAGAAAUUAUAUGACAAAUAAAUUAAAUAAAUUUAAGUAUCAAUUGAUUUAAUUUAACUUUUAAUUUUAUCAGUAUUUUCAAUCCUCUAACGCAAAAAUAAAAUUUUAUAUUUGAUAUGCCUCAAAAUUUGUUUAUUGAGUUCGAUUUUGUUCUCCUAAUUCGGCAAAAGUUUCGCAGUGCAGCAAACUUUGAUAAAAUAAUUUGUGAAGAAAAAAUGGAUGUCUGUGGUGAUAUGUAAAUUAAAGAUUUGCCCUAUAUUGAUAAAUAAAAAAAAAAAUUAUAAUUUUUUUCGACUUGCCUAACAAGUAGAUUUUCGAUUUGUAAUGUCUGUGGGGGGGAUAUGGAGUACCCAGAUUCCAGAAUGCUUCGGGUACCCAAAAAAACAAAACAAAAAGAAAAAAACAAAAAGCAAAAAAAAAGUGCAUAGUGCCGGCAUGGCACUCUGCUGCGGCACGCGUUGCCGUGCCGCUCUUUCCCGUGCGGCAUGGUCCCGCAUGCCGCGGCACGGAGGGGGGUUCGAGCCCCUCCCUGUGCCAUGCCCCCUUCUUGGGGCAUGGUACGUGCCGCCCCGUGCCAUACGGCACGGGGCGGCACUUCAAUUCUUGCUUACAUCCUUGCUUUUGUGUACAGUGCCGAAUCUUGGUUAAUGCUGUCUGAAUCUGCUUCUUCAAAAUCAUGCAGGUGCCAAAAGCUGUUUUCGAAAUCAAAGAUUUGAAGAUGGACAUAUCUAAAAUUGCUGGACCAAAUCAGAUUCUUGGAGUCAAGUUGCACAUCGUACCUUUUACUGUACAGUUUGGGGAUUCACAUUUUAAUCUUGACCAGUCAUUCAGUUAUAGUCAAACGGAUUGUUCACAACCUGAUCAAUCAUUUCCAGCUGUUAUGGAAAAGAAUUCUAUUCCCUUUGUUUGUGAGGACUUAAUGGUUUGUUGUGGCUUUGGUCAUGAGAAGUGAGUUUUCUUUCUUGGCAAGAUGUUUUACUGAUAGGCAAUAUUUAUUUUAUUUUCUUCUAAAUUUUUUAGUACAAUGAUAAAAAGACAAUGCAUCCUGAUUAGUACAAUUAUACUUCAAAAUACCCGACCCAAUAGCAAUAUUUACUCGUUGGGCCCAAAUCACUGGCCCAAAAUGUUUAAGCCCAGUUACUAUUAUUAGGGUGUGUGCCCUCUUAUAUUCCCAAUCAAAAUCCCUUUCCCAUCCGAUGUGAGACUAUUAGGGCGGUACAAUUGAUAAAUUAUCACCUGCACCUGGUUCACCACAUCAGCUUGCUCACCUCCCAGCUCAUACUUCCAUCCAGCCAUUAGAAAGAGAAGAAUUUUGAAAUCAAGAAAAGGGUGCAACUCACUGGGAAGUUGGGAUUGAAGUAUGACAUGGGUUGGAGUGGGGAUCACUAUGUGGUUCUGGGCCUUGGCUGAUGUGGUGGUGCAUCCGUUCCUGCAAAAGAACUCUGGUUGCAAAUAUUGGUAAAUACAAUCCACCAGAUAACAUCCCUAUUUUUUAUAGGGGAGCUUUUAUCCAAUCAGCUAUCUAUUAACUAGAGGACUCACUAAGCUUCUCUACUAUGAUGCUUUAUGGGUACUAACUUUUGUUACUGUGGAUGUGUUUUCUAUCCUAGUAAGUUAUGAAUCAAAGACCAUGUGUUCAUGUUUUCUCCAGGGAAAAAGGUGUCAAGAUUAUUGAUCUUGAUUUGACGUGCGGAGAUAUUAUUGUCAGCCUUAAUGAAAGCCUCUUUUCCAAGACUAGUAAAAAAUUGGAGACCGCUAGUGAUUCAGACAUUAUUAGAGGUGCUACUUUGGAUGCUAUGUCAACUAAGAAGUCUUCAACGAGUAAAACUUUCCUCUCAUCAAUAAAGAAGCAAAUGUUUGUAUUCCCCGAAAAGGUUUGUUUUUCUCGAAGGCUCACAUGUUACUAGACUUGUGCAUGAUAAACUUAUGUUGGAUUUUCUAAAUGCUUCACGCUCUUUUAUCUGUUCUCUGUUUCUUGGAAUAACCUUUAUAAGUAUGAAUCUUAAUAUUCAUAUUUUUUUUGAUUCUAGCUCUGUAUCUCUUCAAUGUUACUAUUAAAUUAUGUCAAAUUAUUUCUAACAAAAUAUAUUUGUUCUUUGGAAGGUUAGCUUCAGUGUGCCGAAACUUGAUGUGAAGUUCAUGCAUCUGGGUGAAGGACUUAUUGUUGAAAAUAAUGUUACUGGUAUCUAUCUCAAUAGUACUAAAUCCAAAUCACAUGAUGAUUCAGAGGAGACUGCAUUUCAUUUUGAUAUUCAGAUGGAUUUGAAUGAGAUUCAUGUAAUUAUUUUUGACUCUCCAUUUUUGCUUCUUUAGAUGAUUUAGCUUUGAUCAGUUUGCUUACUUUUUGUCCUUUCAGUUGCUCAGAGAAGGUUCAACUUCUAUCUUGGAAAUUCUAAAAGUUGCUGUUAUCACUUCGGUAGACGUUCCAAUGGAAGUAAGAUGGUGAUCUUCAUUUCAUAAUUCCUUUGUCAUAUUAGUUCUGAUUUCUGAGAAAUCUGCCAUCAGUUAUUAUUGGUUAAUCCAUUUAUUUGCUUUUAAGUUAGCAACUAUAAAUUCAACUAUAUUUCAAUGUACUUAUAGAGAAUGCUACAUGCAAGCAUUUAAUGUACUUCUUAGUGCUUUCAGCAGUCUUUUGUUUCAGUAUUUUUCAUUUUAGCUGAAAUUAACUCGGGAUAUCUUUGUUGCUUUCAUCCUUUGAAUGCAUUCCUGGUAAGUUUCCAAUCAGUAAUGCUUGAUCUAUAUAGUAUGCUAGUUCUUUCAAUGAUUGCUUUAAGUUAAGUGUGCUUCAUCUACGUGCAUAGUUUAUAAAACUUGGGGUCUGAUAUAUUCUAUUUAAUAAAGGAUUUUUACAUUUAGCAACUUAUAGAUAGAAAAGCAUGUGGGUAGCUGUUGUGAUUUUGUCAGAAGAGGUAAAUUGGUCUGUGUUAUUAGAAACUGACUUUUACAACGAUAUUGUUCAUAGACUUGGUCUUGAGUGUGCUUUCGAUAGUUGCUCAUUGUGGACAAAUAUACACAUUAUCGUAUACACACUAUAAAUGUGAUCUGUUUAAUUUUCCCUGAUAAAAUUCUGUAUAUACAGUAUAAAUGGGAAAAACAUGGAUUCACUUAAAACCAUGCAUACGAGACGAAGCUAUUAAGCAAAAUGUUGCUUUUCUUUGGCCUGUUUAUUUAUUUAUUUAUUUAUUUCAGCCACUUCUACCUGUUAGAGCUGAGGUUGACGCCAAACUUGGUGGUACACAAUGUAACCUUAUUGUUAGCAGACUGAUGCCAUGGAUGCGACUGCGCUUAUCAAAUAAGAAGAGAAUGGCUCUUGGCAAGGAGAAUUCUCACCUAGAAAAGUCUCAGACAAGAGAUAUUAAACCCGUCAUGUGGACAUGUACUGUCUCAGCCCCAGAGAUGACUAUUGUUCUAUACAGCCCUAAUGGAUCUGCAUUAUACCAUGUGAGUUCUCAUUGUUGUGAAGAAGUAUUUGAACUUUUAGUUGUUGAAUUCCCUUUUCCUCUUUGUGCGAGAUUGAAGAUCUUAUGCUGAUGGUGUAGUAGAGAAUUAAUGUUUUUAAAUCCUUUGUUGAUGUAGCUUGAUUAUUGUCAUUUGUUGUACUCCGCUUAGUAAUACUAUUCCUGCUUACUAUAUAAUACAGGAGUAUUAUCACGUUGACUGCGGAAUGUAUUAUGUGCUAUGUUAUUUGAAAUACAGUGCAGUAGCAUCUUUUGAAUAAUAUAUAAAGUAAUUUGGCAAUGACUUGCUUGUAAUUUGGAUGGUUGGCCAAGCACACUACUAUCACAUUGUUACUUCCUCAUGGGUGCUGCUGACCCAGUCAUCUAAUCUUCCCUCCCCGUCUUUUGACGCUGAAGUGUCAAGCAGAAGAAUGCAUUAAAUUGCUUACAGUUAAUUAGGAAACAUAAGAAAACUUUUUAAAAUUCUGUUGGCUUGUUUGUGUGUUUUAUAGUCCUUACCUAUUAAAUCCUGUCUUUUGAGUGUAUUCUUACUGACAUUUAAUAUCUGGAAUUCUGCGUUUUAACCACACCCAAAAAAAUUUCUUUUAAAUUGGAUUAAUUUCAUUCAUAUUUAGUCUUAUAUAUUUAGAAACCUAUAAUCACCUACGAGGGACUUUAACAUUGCACCUUAAGAGUUCUCUUCUAGAGGUUUCCAAUACUCUAGAAUAAGAAUGCUGAUUAAUACAUAGCUUUACUUUGUCAAUUUGUUGAGUUUUUUCCUUCUUGAACAAAGUGAUUGUUCUAUGCUUCAAUUGCAUUUUUUUCCCCCCAUGAAAAUGUUAGAUAAUUGUGAAGGCAGGAUUUUUAUUUUUUUAUUUUUUUAUUUUUUUAUUUUUUUAUUUUUUUGGGGUCCCCUCUCAAUUCUCAUAUCCUAGUUGAGAAUCUAAUGAAGUAAGAAAUAGGAAGCAUUGAUAUCAUCAUAUUUAGCUUAAUCUUUAACUUAAAGGUAUAGUUGUUGGCAAAUGCAAUUUCCAAUUCUGCCCUUAGUUGUCAUCUUUUUGAUUAUCUUGUCUUUUUAUUUCAGGUUUGUUCUCAGUCUUCUCAUUUAUUUGCAAAUAACAUAGCAAGCAAGGGGAUUCAAGUACAUACAGAACUUGGUGAACUGCAUUUGCACAUGGAAGAUGAAUAUCAAGAAUUUUUGAAAGAAAAUGUAUUUGGUGUUGAAACUUAUUCGGGUUCUCUUAUCCACAUCGCCCGUGUGAGCCUAGAUUGGGGACAUAGAGAAAUCGAGCCACAAGAAAAGCCUGAAUUAGUUCAAUUGGCACUGGUAUUUUCUGUUGAUAUUAGUGGUAUGGGAGUUCAAUUCGGUUUCAAGCAUGUUGAAUAUCUAGUCUCCAACUUGAUGUCCUUUAAAACUCUAUUUAAAGGCCUGUCUACUAAAAGAGCUACAGAAAAUAUGGGACAUCCAAGUAAGAAGUCCGCAAAAAGGACUAAUUUACUGAAAUUAAACCUGGAAAAGUGUUCUAUAACUUACUGUGGUGAGACAAGUAUUGAAGAUGCAACUGUACCAGAUCCAAAACGUGUCAAUUUUGGUUCUCAAGGUGGCGAAGUUGUAAUUAGUGUUUCUGCUGAUGGCACGCCUCGCGAAGCAGGCAUUACUUCAACCCUCCCUGGUAAUUGCAAGAAGUUGAAAUUUUCCACAUCUCUAGUUAUCUCCCAUUUACUUAUGUGCAUGAACAAGGAAAAGAAGUCGACCCAAAUAGAAGUCGAAAGAGCAAAAUCAAUCUAUGAAGAAUAUCCUGAAGAGCAUCAACCUGGCGUUAAAGUGACUCUGAUUGAUUUGCAAAAUGCUAAAAUUGUUCGCCGAUCCGGUGGCCCCGCGGAUAUUGCUGUGUGUUUGCUUUUCAGCGCCACUGAUAUAACUCUCAGGUGGGAACCUGAUGCACAUUUGGCACUAUAUGAGUCUCUUACCCGUUUGCAGUGUUUAUUACACAAAACCAAGUUUAAGAGGCCUGACAGCAAAUCGAAUUCAGAAUCAGUUGAACAUUUUGAUCAAGUGGGACAAGAUAAGAAUAAUGGUAAAAGGGAGUCAAUUUUUGUUGUUGAUGUGGAGAUGUUAAGAAUAUCUGCUGAAGUUGCGGAUGGGGUCGAAGCAAUGAUUCAAGUGCAAUCUAUAUUCUCCGAGAAUGCCAAAAUAGGUGUACUUCUUGAAGGGCUAAUACUCAGUUUUAAUGGAGCUAGGGUUUUUAAAAGUAGCCGCAUGCAGAUUUCCUGUAUCCCAGUUUCACCUGGCAGCAUUAUUGAUGCAGAGUCGACAACAAAAAGGGAUUUGGUUAUUCAAGGACUUGACGUUCAUAUCUGCAUGCCCUUUAGGUUGCCUUUACGUGCCAUCGAAGAUGCUGUCGAAGAUAUGCUACGAGGCCUAAAGCUUGUCACCGCUGCUAAAACUGAUCAAGUACUUGCCACUAAAAAGGAAAAUCUAAAAAAGCCAAAGGCCAAAUCACCAAAGUUUGGGUCUGUAAAAUUUGUCAUACGUACGCUCACAGCUGAUAUUGAAGAAGAGCCUAUACAGGGUUGGCUUGAUGAGCAUUACCACUUGAUAAAGAAAGAAGUUUGUGAGUUAGAUGUUCGACUAAAGUUCCUUGAUGAAGCUAUCUCAACUGGAAAUAAAGCUUCAGGAAGUGCAGAUCCAAAUGAUGUGCGUUCAGAAAGAAAUAAGUUAUUUUAUGAUGGGGUUGACAUUGAUGUUCAUGAUGCAGCUGCUGUUCAAAAGCUACGAGAAGAAAUCUAUAAACAAUCAUUUCACUCAUAUUAUCAGGCGUGCCAGAGAAUAAGGUUUGCGGAAGGAUCGGGUGCUUGUUCAAGAGGCUUUCAAUCUGGCUUCAGACCAAGUACUCGCAGAGCUUCUCUUCUCUCACUUCGUGCAACUGAACUGGAUGUAUGUUUGACUAAAAUCGAAGGUGGUGAUUAUGGAAUGGUUGACUUUAUAAAGAACCUCGACCCUGUUUGCCGAGAAAAUAACGUACCAUUCUCCCGAUUAUAUGGAAGAGAUAUUUGUGUAAAUGCCGGGUCUUUAGUUAUCCAACUAAGAAAUUAUACUUUUCCACUAUUUUCUGCAACUUCUGGUGGAUGUCAAGGUCGUGUUGUCCUCGCUCAACAGGUCAGUUAAAUAAGCGAUAUUUGCUCUUUGUUGCACUUGCUUUGGGGUAUAUCUUGUUUACCAAAUAAGAAAGCACGAUAUGGGCUAAAUCAUGAAAAUCUAGAUUCUAGGUGCAAUGUUUGGUAAUGACAAAUAAAUUAUGAUUCGGUGAAUUGCUUUUUUCAGGCAACAUGUUUUCAGCCUCAAAUACUUCAAGAUGUAUUCAUUGGAAGGUGUCGCAAAGUGCGCAUGCUACGCUCGGCUAGUGGAACCACUCCACCGAUGAAACUGUACUCAAACUUGCCUAUAGAUUUCCACAAAGGUGAAGUGUCUUUCGGAGUAGGCUAUGAACCUCCUUUUGCAGAUUUAAGUUACGCAUUUGCAGUGGCCUUACGCAGAGCUAACCUUAGUAUAAGGAAUUCCAAUUCCUCUUCUUCGAAGGACCAAAUUGCAAAUUUCGUUUCAUCAAACCAACCGCCUAAAAAGGAACGCAGCUUACCAUGGUGGGAUGACAUGAGGUACUACAUCCACGGUAAGAUUGUUUUGUCUUUCAACGAGACUUCAUGGAGCUUUCUUGCUACAACAAAUCCAUAUGAGAAUCUCGACAGACUUCAAAUCAUUUCUGAAUAUAUGAAAAUCCAGCAAACCGAUGGGCAUGUUGAUGUUUCCGCAAAGGAUUUCAAGAUGUACAUUAGCAGUAUAGAGAGCCUGACAAAGAAUUGCAGCUUAAAAGUCCCAUCUUAUGACAGGAGACCUUUUAUUUAUUCACCUGCUUUCUCCCUCGAAGUGGUCAUUGACUGGGAAUGUGAAUCUGGCAAUCCUCUCAACCAUUAUUUACAUGCCCUUCCUAUUGAAGGGGAACCUAGAAAGAAAGUUUUUGAUCCGUUUCGUUCUACUUCUCUCUCUCUGAGGUGGAACUUCUCUCUCAGGCCCUCUCUGCUGUCCUGUGAAAAGAAUUCUGCUUCCUGUUUUGGAAACAAUCUGACAGUAGAGAACACUGAAUUCCCAACCAUGAAUCUUGGGGCCCACGACCUUGCCUGGGUCUUCAAAUGGUGGAGCUUGAAUUAUAGCCCUCCUCAUAAGUUACGUUCUUUUUCUCGGUGGCCCCGUUUUGGGAUACCAAGAGCUGUGCGAUCGGGUAACUUGUCGCUUGACAAAGUUAUGACCGAGUUUUUCCUUCGGAUUGACGCCUCACCUUCUUGCAUUAAACACAUGCCUCUAGGUGAUGAUGAUCCAGCAAGUGGUCUAACCUUCGAAAUGUCAAAAUUGAAGUACGAACUUUGCUAUAGUCGUGGUAAGCAGAAGUUUACUUUUGAGUCUAAGCGUGGAUCUCUCGAUCUUGUUUAUCGGGGCCUUGACCUCCAUCAGCCGAAGGUGUAUUUAUAUCAAGAUAGUAACUCAUCUGCAGUUCGAGAUACUCAAACAAUAAAGGGUGGCAUAAUUAAUUUCACAGAAAAACAAAGAGAUGAUGGAUUUCUCUUAACUUCUGAUUAUUUCACAAUACGGAGGCAGUCGCCUAAGGCCGAUACUGCAAGGCUGUUGGUAUGGCAAGAAGCUGGCAGGAAGAAUCUUGAGACGACUUAUGUGAGGUUUGAAUUUGAAAAUGGAAGUGGGAGUGACCAUACACCAUCAGAUCCUAGUGAUGAUGAUGGAUUUAAUGUUGUAAUUGCUGACAAUUGCCAGCGUGUGUUUGUCUACGGCCUCAAGCUCCUAUGGAACAUUGAAAACAGAGAUGCCGUGUGGUCCUGGGUUGGUGGGAUAUCCAAAGCAUUUGAACCUCCAAAACCUUCUCCUUCUAGGCAGUAUGCUCAAAGGAAGAUGAUCGAGGAAAAACAGAAGCUUGAUGAGUCAAAAAUUCCUCUAGAUGAUAAAUCUGUGUCUUCUCCUUCUACGUCCCAUGUUGUUAGUUCCCCUGUAACUCAACCAGUUGAGAUUUCAGGGCCAGUUUCAUCUCAAUCUCCUUCAACUAAACUAAACAGCUCUUCCUUCGAUGUGGCUGGUGAGUUAUUUCUUACCUCUCCUGAAUAUGGAUCUACUUUUAGUAUUUCUACUGGUGCAAAUAGCUAAUUUUAUUAAGAAGUUACUCGUUUAAUUUGAUGGCUUUUGUUUCUUUAUGUCUCAAUCUGAGUUUGGCAUUUUUUUCAUUUUCAUUCCCCAGUGAAGCAUGGCCAUAUUGAUGACUCAGAGGAGGGGACACUUCACUCUAUGGUGAACGUUAUUCAACCUCAAUUUAAUCUACAUUCGGAAGAAGCUAAUGUAAGUGAUGUAAUCUAUGUGCAAUUAAGAAAAAAUGCGUUAAUGCAUUUUCUUCUUGUAUAUCUUAUUUGAUAUGCAUGGGAGAUGGAUUGCAAAUGUUAUACUGGAAAAAUUUACUUUUAGAGCUUUUAGUUUGUGCAUGACUCAGAAGUUUGUGCAGUAUAGUAACGUCCUAUUUCUGGCCUGCUAGCUUGCAAGAUUAUUAAUUACAUGGUUUGUUACAUGUGUAACAGUUAGGAUAUCUUUUGCUAUAAACAUUUUAAACAUCUUUUAUUUUCUUUUUUUUUUGAAGAAAUAUGAUUUUGAACAAGUUAAACAUCUUAUAUUUGCAUCAGAGUGCAUGUGACGACACCUACCAGGAGGGUUGCAUUUACAUUUUACCCCACUAGGGGGUCCCAUGCACUAGGAUUUUUUUGCUGAUUAAUAACAAAUUUUUGCAACAUUACAUUCUGCUAACACUAGAGGGAAAUGACUUUGUCUUUAAUAUGCUUUUUUGUUAGACUUAUUCUCGAAAAGAUUAAUCUGUAAAAAUCUUUGGGGGGACAAUGCAGAAUUCCACAACUUCACAGGGAUAUGUAGGCAAUUUUCCCAGCUAAUGACUUGAUAUGAAUACCAGGGUAGAUUUCUUCUCGCAGCAGCCAGCGGCCGUGUCUUAGCUCGAUCAUUUCAUUCUGUUCUGCAUGUUGGAUAUGAGAUGAUAGAGCAGGCCCUAGGUACCACCAGUUUGAAGAUUCCAGAAUCACAGCCUGAAAUGACGUGGAAAAGAGGGGAGCUUUCUGUGAUGCUAGAACAUGUUCAAGCUCAUGUUGCACCGACUGACGUUGAUCCUGGUGCCGGACUUCAAUGGUUACCUGAGAUUCUAAGGACUUCACAGAAAGUAAAGCGCACUGGCGCCUUGCUUGAAAGAGUGUUUAUGCCUUGUGAGAUGUAUUUCAGAUACACGAGGCACAAAGGUGGUACAGCUGAUUUGAAGGUAAAUUCAACAAAUACAGUAUAUAAAAUAUUUGUAUAUCCCCGAAAUAAUUAGCAUGUAAUAUGCAUCCCUACAAAAUCUGAAAUUUUAUAUUGAUCUUCAAAAUUUAAGUUUCUUUCAUUACCUUUUUCGUACAAAAGAGCCCUUUUAAAAAACUUUUUCUGAUUUAGAAUCAUGUUUCUCCCAUGAAUUGGAUUAUUCCCGAACUUGUGGAUAUUUGGUAAGAAACUGCACUUUUGAGGGUGUAUAUGACAAUCUGGAUUUUACAGGGUUAUAUAUAUAUAUAUAUAUAUAAAUAGAUGAUUUAAAGUGUGUAUAUAUAUACAUAUAUAGUACGUCUCCUGUGCUUUUGAAAGUACGGAAGCCUUCGUGCUUGUAAGUUGUUUUCGAUGAUAGAACAUCUGAUUUGACGAUUGGCUCCGUUAGGCAUAAUCUACGCUAUUGGAACUAUCUAGAAUCCAAAUUUUAUAAUUUUUUGACAUUAUUUACCAAGUGACAAAAGGUCUCAAAAAUAAUAUUUUAACAGUCGAUGUGGCAUGUUUUUAAGUUCAACAGUGUAAAACAAUCCAAAUUCAUGAAACUUUAAUAGAAAAUUCUACUUAACAUUAAUAGCAAGAUCAAUAUUUCUAAUUUGAAAUUUGAGUAUUUAAUAUUGUUUUUUAUGAGAUUUUUAUUUUCAGCCGUUCAUUCUGAGACUACUCGUUUAUUAGGCAAAUGAAGUAAAAAAUUAUGAAAUUUAGUUUCUAGAUAGUUCCAAUAGCGUAGAUCAUGUGUAACGGAACCGAUCGCCAAAUCGGAUGUCCCAUCUUUGAAAACAACUUACAAGCACAGAGGCCUUUGUACUUCCGAAAGCAUAGGAGCCUAGCGCUCUCUCUCUCUCUCUCUCUCUCUAUAUAUAUAUAUAUUUAUAUAUGCAUAUAUAUAUAUAAUAGUGCAUAGAAGUUAUUUACUAUAAGAGAUUCUUUUUUGUUAGUACUAGUUCUAAAGUCUGGUGAAUUCUUUUUUUUCUUUUUUCUUUUUUGCAUCCAGGUGAAACCACUGAAGGAGCUUACUUUCAACUCUUCUAAUAUUACCGCAACAAUGACUUCACGCCAAUUUCAAGUUAUGCUUGAUGUACUAAGCAAUCUUCUGUUUGCAAGACUUCCCAAGUUAGACCCCAUACAUUUGAUUUUCAUGCAAACUCAUUAUAUCUUGUAUUAUGGAUCUGUUUGCUUGUUCUAAAUGUAUUCUCUGUCCAAAAUUUAUCUGGUGGUUUGAUGUUCUAAGUUGAUUGGUGAUAUGACACAUUCUUAUCCAACUAGGAAAAUGAGCUUUCUUUAUGAAUUGGUAUUAUUAUUGAAUCUUGGGUCAUAGAAACAUACGGAAGUUUUGCUUAUUAGUAUUGUUUUUUCUUUAUGGAGCCCUGUCAUUAUUGAAUUGCGUGUUUGCUGAUCCAUAUGUUGGGAUAUGGCUUGGUUGAUAAGCAAAGAUGUGUUGCAUAAAACUGUUAAAGUUGUCUCUUAUAAAAUAUUGCAUCAACAUAUCUUUUGUGGUUUUUUCUGUUUGUAGCACAUUUUAACUUUGUGCUGAAUAAUGUAGGCUAAGGUUUAAGGGAAGUGGAAGUGGGGUUUUUUUAAAGAAAAAUUUUUCGGUAAGGAGGUGAUAGUUUUCAAUAUCGACUCAAAUAUCUUUGAGUCAGAACUUAGCUUGAUCUGAUUGUAUAUUUUCAGUGUGUUUCAUGAAGUUGUAUAUGUUGCUCUAAAUAGUUGAUCUGUCUCAACAUUGAAAGGAAUCUUGGGUGGUCACAUGCUCUAUAUUGAUAUCAGAUUAGUGUUCCUAUGUGAAGUAAUCUUUUUAAUUACUUAAUAUAAAAGAUAUGAAAAGAUUAGUAAAUAUUGGUAUAUAUUUACAUAAGCCCCUGCAAAAUUAUUUAUUUAAAUGUACAUUCCUAUUUAAAUAUUUAUAUAUGGCCUUCAAAAACUUAAUUUCCUACAUAUGUGCCACUUUAAUAAAAAAAAAUUAAUGUCAUUAUUAUGCUACUUUCAUUUUAUCAGACCUCGUAAAAGCAGUCUUUCAUACCCAUCUGAAGAUGAUGAAGAUGAUGAAGAUGUUGAAGAAGAAGCCGACGAGGUGGUUCCUGAUGGAGUUGAAGAGGUAGAACUUGCAAAGGUCAACCUUGAACAGAAGGAAAGGGAGAGAAAACUUCUACUUGAUGACAUAAGGAUCCUAUCAGAAACUGGUGAUAUUCAAGGUGAUGUUUCUCCAUCUUCAGACAAGGACAGUGAUCUGUGGAUGGUCGGUAGUGCAAAACCAGCACUGGUAGGCUUUCAACUUUAGAAGACAUUGGAGUAUAAAAUCCUAAUUUCCUAAUAUUAUCUGGCUUUUUUUCAGCAAUAGUGCUGUUGUAGCAUCUUAUAGUACUUUAUAUGCCUGCAUGGCCUAGCUUGUGGAGCAACUUCUCUCCUUCAGUAAGCAAAAGCUUCCAGAGGCAGAAUGUUUGGCACAAAAAAAAGAAACUUCUGGAGCUUUUGCUUUGGCUGGAAGAUAUAAUGAGCUUUUGGGCCUGCUAAACAGAUAGUAUGAUUUGAACUUCUACUUUUGCUGCAGCAGGAAGCUGUUAAGAUGAUUUUGAUGGAAAAUUAUUAGUGCUUUAAACAGCUCUUAAUAAAUAGCACCUCUACAGAAGCUCCAGUAGCCCAAAGAAGCCUUGAAUAUCUAUCUUAUAUCAUCACUAGUUACUUCUUUUAUGAUUGUUUACAGUUUAAACUUGUUUCAUGGUUAGGUGCAUGUGCUGAAAAAGGAGCUUGUAAAUAUCCUGAAGUCUAGAAAAGUUGCAUCUUCUGCAUUAAGAACGGCGUUGCAAAAAGCUGCACAGUUACGCCUGAUGGAGAAAGAGAAAAAUAAAAGCCCUUCCUGUGCCAUGCGGAUUUCAAUGAGAAUCAACAAGGUUGUAUGGAGCAUGCUUGCAGAUGGCAAAUCUUUUGCAGAAGCUGAGAUUAAUGAUAUGGUCCGUUCCCACAAAUUCUUCUAAUUGGAUAUAAUGGAUUUUCAUAUUCUUUUCCAUGAAGUUUUCCUUUCACCUGAAGGGGACUAAACAGUCAAUACUGGAGUUUUCGAAUAAUAUACGUUAGAAGGAGAGAUGCUAAGUUACCAACGAUGCCGAGUUGUUGAGUUUAUUAUAGAAUUUCAAUUUUAAUCAUCAACUAUCUAGAUAAGAACAGGAGUUAUCUUCAAUUCCUUAUUCUAUAUUCACCGACUACUGGGAUGCAUCUAAAGCUAUAAUGGUUUUAAAUUAUUCACGUAGAAAUAUAUAAAAUAAAUAUAUAUCAGCCAUUCUUGAGUUACUUAUUUUAAUCCUAUCUGUUUCUACCUUUCCUUUCAUAGUCAAGUGUAUGAUUUCCUACUUGAAUUAACAAAUUAUUUGGGUAUUUUCCAAAAAGAAAGGAAAACAAAAAGAAAUCUUUACUGUGUCUCACAAAAUGUGAAUUGCUUUACAAUCUGUAGGAAUUCGGAAGUCAACUAUUUUAACCUUGAAACACCUCUUAAUAUCUAUUUACUGAAGAUAGCAUAGUUACGUGACGAUUUUCUAGCUGCAUAUAGUUCAUUCAGUUGCCUUGCAGAUUAUUUGAUAAAAUGUAAAUUUGUUGAUAUAUGCUCAAAAUUUUCUUUGGCAGAUCUAUGAUUUUGAUCGUGACUACAAAGAUAUUGGUGUUGCUCGGUUCACUACCAAGUCCUUUGUGGUGCGAAAUUGUUUGCCUAAUGCGAAGUCCGAUAUGCUAUUAUCAGCCUGGAAUGCGCCUCCUGAAUGGGGAAAGUGAGUCCUUUUUUCAUGCCUGUAACUAUAACUGGCAUUCUUAACUUGCUUUUUGCACUCUGCAUAUCUCCGUCCGCAUUUCUCUCAACUCGGCAAAGAUCUUAUUUGUUACUUCUUUGUACAGGAAUGUAAUGCUUCGUGUGGAUGCUAAGCAAGGUGCCCCAAAAGAUGGAAGUUCACCUCUUGAACUUUUCCAGGUCAGUUUAGUCUACAUCUCUCUCUCUCUCUCUCUCUCUCUCUCUCUCUCUAAUUUGCUGUCGAAGCUCAUCAUGCUUAAACUGGAUUAGCAUUGUGAAAUUGGAUGAAUAUAUAUGUACCCAAUCAUAACGUAAUAGUUUUGCUGAGUUCCAGAUGCUGGCUAAACUCGUGCAGAAAAACAAAAAAAUGAUGUUGGAUUCAAGUGAAUGCUUUGGGCUAUAAAAGUUUGUAAGACGAAAAAAGAAAUAAUGAAGGUUUGCUUGCUAAAUUGCGGCAUUACUGCUAAACAAGGCUUUCGUUUGUGGUAUUUUCUUAAACAGGCAUAGUUUACAAUUUUACAUUUUGCCUGUAAUAUGAGCUUUCAGAUAAUUAAUUCAUCCUAUAUUUUUCUAUUGUACUUAAUUCACUUAAAUUAAACUUAUUAUGGCCCUAAUCGAGUGUUGGAGAAAUAUCAAUCAGCCUUUUCAUCGCUCAAGUUUUGGAAAACCCACCCUGUUGACAUUGAUAUACUAAAUAUUUAUGUUUCAGCACAUUAUUAGUUAAUGUGAUAAGGUCUAUUUAGGAUUUCUUCUAUUUGUGUUACUGACUAUCCUUGACAAUUCUAUUGUUGAUCUCUUUUAUGGUUUCUUCCAUGAUUUUCAUUUGACUUUAACCAACUAACCAUUGUAGGUAGAGAUCUAUCCAUUGAAGAUACACUUGACUGAAACUAUGUACAGGAUGAUGUGGGAAUAUUUUUUCCCCGAGGAAGAACAGGACUCACAAAGGCGGCAGGUUAGCUGCAAUUUUUAGUUUGGCAAGGACAUACGGAUGUUUACCUCAACUGUAGUGUAUUUCGAAGUGGAUACCUGAAGCUUAAAGAUUAUUACUGUCACUACAUAAUCUCCCAUUUUUUUUAAUAUUGAAAAUCUGUUUAGUUCUAUCAGAACUUAAUGGUUUCUGUAAGAAAAAUUAUACAUCGUUUCCCUAAAAAAUUUAAAGAUAUCAGUAAAUUAAAGAUAUCAUUAAAUUCUAAUUCAGAGGCACGCACAUCAACAUAACUGUAAGAUUAGGUGGAAAAAAAAAUUUCUACGUUUCAGGUAACCAUUUUAAAGUUUACCUUAGUUAAGUUUUGUACGUUUUCAAUGUAAAGUUUUGCAGUUCUUUUCUUUGGCAGCCAACCUUGAACACUUGGGACUAAAGGCUUCAUUGUUACUGUUGAAAUUAGCUUUUCUAGUAUGCCUUAUUUUGUGCAUUAGUUCACUUGUUUUUGUUUCUCUUUUCUUAUGACAAAAUAGGAAGUUUGGAGAGUUUCAACCUCUGCUGGAUCAAGAAAGCUAAGAAAAAGCUUUGGCAGCACCGAAACAGCUUCUUCAAGUAGUCAUUCUACAAAAGAACCCGAUGCUCCUGGAGGAUUAAGUGCAGCUGCAGCGUCCUCAUCUAAUGGAGGUGUCAAUCAAGCUGCUUCUACUCAUGGUGAUAUUUCCCAAGUAUGCAUCCUCACAUUGGCAGUUUUUUGAGUAUUACUAGUGAACCCUAAUUUUCUUCUCUUUAAUCUAGAAAUGUGCACUGUAGGGGUUUUUCUGUUGCAUUAAUUGUAAUGCUCAAAGUCUGUGUUGUUAUAACAAUACUUGCUGAGACCCUUUUUUUGCAUCAACAGUAUUUCAAGCAUCAUAUAACGUUCCUUUUACAACAGCUCCUCUACCCUGAGCAGUAGCUAGGUGUGAAAGUAUCUGGAGCCCUUACUGUAGUGGGAAGCUAACAUGAGCUUUUAGCUCCCAGUACCACAAGCAUUAACUUGAAGCUUUCGUUUCUGCUUGACUGAGAAUAGUUAAGAGUUAUUUUUGUUAUAAUAAAUUGUGACUGCUUCUUCCAACAUCUGUACUUAAAAACCACUUACAAAGAAGCUCCUGAUAGGACAGAAAAGCCCUUUAUAGCUUUAACCUAAAUGAUAUAGCUUUUUGAAGGUGUGUCGGAUUAAAAGCAUAAUAUUUGUCAAAACUUGAUGUGGAAUGCAGGUUUCAAAGUUGCAAAGCCUAAAGGCAAAUAUGGUAUGUGGCUCACAUAACGAGUUACGGCGAUCAUCUUCAUUUGAAAGAAUGUGGGAAGAAAAUGGCACCGAUUCUGCAGCAAAUGAUAUUAUACCACAAGCGAACUCUUUGAAUCUACCUUCAAAAAAUGGGCCCCUUAAUCCAACAACAGAGAACAAGCACGUGACAAAUGAUGCAGCAAGAAAUAGAGCUAAAGAUUCCAAAUCAGCCAGAGCUGGUCGCUUGUCUCAUGAGCAAAAGAAAGUUGCAAAAUCUCAGGAUGAAAAAAGAACUAGGACUCGGAAAUUGAUGGAAUUUCAUAAUAUCAAGAUUAGCCAGGUUGUUAUAUUUCCCACCAUUUAGUUAUUUCGUAUACUGAGGAUAAUGGUAAUUAUCCUUGAAUGAGAACUAGCCCGGAGCAAAAUGACCUGACCCCACCUUAGUGGCCGUAGUUCAGUAGGUUGACUGGACCUUGAAAACUGUCUUGAAAAAGGUUUUCUCGAGUUGACUGCUGCUAAGUUUCUCGACCUGAUAUCUGACCAUUUUGGAUCUCACCUGAGAUCAAAAUAUCUAUGUAAAUCUUGGGCUUGGUCGGGGUAUCAGGAUGGGCAAUUUUCUUUUGGUAUGUAAUCUUAACCUGGCCUGGUCGAAAAUGUUCUCAGGUCUAAACUAGAAAGUCUAGUUCUACUCUCACACUGGAUGGAGACAGUUGAGAAUUACUUGGAAUAUAUGCCUGACUAUGGGGAUAUCGCAAUUCCAGCUGACCUAUUGAUUAUUAUCCUCAGGCAAAGGGCUACUGUGGGGAUGUUUUGUUCAGAUAGUGUGAUAGUGGAUAUAUUGGCCACUCUUCCUACUCCAUCUCCCAACAAACACUUUCCUAAUAUUCUCACAUCUUUUGUGUUUAUUUGCAGAUUAACUUCCUUUAUUACUUUCUUAUGUGGUAGGUUGAACUGCUCGUUACUUAUGAGGGGUCAAGAUUCGCAGUUAAUGAUCUAAGGUUGCUGAUGGAUACAUUUCAUCGCGUUGAUUUUACUGGCACAUGGAGGAGACUAUUUUCACGAGUGAAGAAGCAUAUUAUAUGGGGGGUCUUGAAGUCUGUAACUGGCAUGCAGGCAAGCAUUUAGCAAUCUUAUAGUAUGGUUUUUUCACUUGAAUUUCAGAUCGGUGCUGCAAGACUUGGUAUAUUAGUGCAGAUGAACCACAGACAUAUACCGUUACUAUUGUUAUUGUUGUCGUCAUUGUGCGUUUUUUUGAGAAAUUGCCUAUUAUUAGUAUUACUACUAUUUUCUAUUAUUACUUUUAUUCCUACUACCACUACUAGUCUACUACUUUUAGGGCAUGUUUGGUUCACCUAUUUUAGACUAUGGAAUCGGAAUGGAAUUCAUUGAUUCCGAUAGUUGCCGUUUAUUUUAUAGGAAUCGGAUUCCGAUUCCCAUUCCACUCCGGAAUGGGAAUGACCAAAUCCAUUUAUGAUCUAAUCUGGCUUUGAAUCCCAGAUUGGCUCAUUCCAAAGUAUACUAUUCAAAAUCCUCUUUCAUCAACACCCACCUCUCCUUUCAUCACUUUCCUCUCUCUUAAUCAAAACCCUCUCUCAAAAAUUUUAAAUUUUCAUUCCGAUUUCCAUUCCAAUAAUGAACCAAACAUUUUUGGAUCAUUCGUCAUUCCAUUUUCCAUUCCAAAGCAAUCCAAUUCCAUUUCCCACUCCUAUUCCAAUCAUGAACCAAACAUGCCCUUACUGUUACAAGUACUGUGUGUAUGUUUGCUUGUUGGAUGUUAGAAAGAUAAUUUACCAUUCUGUAACACCAACUCUUUUUUGGGAUAGUGGUUUUUAACAUAUUAUCAUCGUGGGAAUGGGAUUUGUAAUAAUCAAUAGAUAGAUUCUUUCUGUUUUUCUUUUUGUUCAUCACUAAAUGCUCAAGAAAUCAUUUUCAUCUAUAGAUGAUUAAGAAUCUUGGUCGUGAAACUGAAAAUGAAAAUUCUUAUGGGAACUUCCAUUUUCGUCUCUACAGGGUAAAAAGUUCAAGGACAAAGCUCCAAACCAGAAGGAGCCACAUGGUAGUGCAGUUCCAGAAAGUGAUCUCAACUUUAGCGACAGCGACGGAGGCCUACCAGGGAAGUCCGACCAAUUCCCUGUGUCCUGGCUUAAGCGACCAAGUGAUGGGGCCGGUGAUGGAUUCGUCACCUCAAUCAGAGGACUCUUCAAUUCCCAGCGCCGAAAAGCAAAGGCCUUCAUACUGCAAACUGUGAGAGGCGAUGCAGAUAAUGAAUCACAUGGUGAAUGGAGUGAGAGUGAUGUCGAAUCCUCUCCUCCCUUUGCAAGACAACUAACGAUAACGAAAGCUAAAAAGCUUAUAAAAAGACACACAAAGAAGUUCCGUUCAAGGGGGCAAAAGAGUUCAGGUGAUCUAGUUUCGCCGCAUACUUCACUAAAUGUUUCAUUACACAAGCAACUUACAGAAUAGAAUAUUACAUAUAAUAACCAUGCAAAACUAUUUAUAGGGAAAACUUCAAAUACCCCACUUGUGUUAUGCCGCUUAUUUUACUUUAAUAUUGUUUUUAACUGUAUCACUUUAGUAUCUUGAGGUUUUUGUUUUUGUUUUCCGUUAGACCCCUGUUAUUUUCUCCGUUAAGGUGUCAUGCGCCGCGCAUGUGAGCAUAAAAAAUGUCUCACAAAGAUUGACAAAAACGGCAUGAGACCCUCGAAGAAUAAUCAAUAUCAAGCCCUGAUAGGUCUCGUGCUGUUUUUAUCGACCUUUGUGGGAGAUUUUUGACAGUCACGUGUGCGGCACAUGACACUUUAACAGAAAAGAUAAGUGGAAGUCUAACGGAAAGGGGUACUUAAGUGAUACAGUUAAAACUAUAGGGUACUAAAGUAAAAGAGCGGUCAACCACUAGGGCAUAUAUGAAGUUUUCCAUUUCUAUAUUCAUCUGAUCACUUUGUAGCGUGUUAUAUGAAUUCUCAUACAUGCCUUUGAAAACUUGAUUUCUCAUAUAUGCCUUUCGAAAACUUGAUUUCUCACAUAUAUACCCUUGUAUGUAGGAAAGCGGUAGUCAUAGACCAUCUUUAUCAAUAUGAAACCAACUUCCACUGAAUUGGAUGACUCCCUAAGUUAGGAUAGGGGUAUUAUUAUAAGAAACUACUCUUGCAAUGGGUAUAUAUGAAAAUUCACAUUGCGCAGGGUUAUAUAUGUACAGGUGAUUUUGCAGGGAUAGUGUUGUAGAAGCCUCUACAAGCUGAUAUUUACUUACGAGAUAUCUGUAUUAGGAAACCACUCUAUUUACGUGCCUUUUUAUUCAUACGAAAUACUUAUCUGAUUUAUACCUUCGAAGAUGGUUUCCUCUAUUUCUAUCCAGUUUCUCACAACUAUGUGAAUCGCAAUAUCUUCAUUAUUCAUUAACAAUGUAGUCAAAUGAUCUACUCAAAAUAACUAAACCAGAUUCCUUAGCGCUUCUAGUUAAAAGUUGUGAAAGUGUUUGAAGUGCUCAGUGUUGGAAAAAUUCGCCUGCUAAUCUACUAGAAUUAUUCUCAUUAGACCUCUUAAGGAUCACAUCCUCUUGUUUAUCAAACUGUUCGAACUCUCAACAUGUGUUUUGAUUGUUUCUUUUUCAACUUAGGUAUCACAAUCCAAAGGGAUUCCCUCCCAUCAACUCCAAGAGAGACGACGCCGUUCCAAAGCGAUUCUUCCGGUGCUUCAUCUUAUGAGGAUUUCCACGACUAGACGUGCGUGCUGUAAAGCCAACUGGGGUUUUUCUUAUAUCUAAAAUGGAGACACCAAACAAAUGCGGAUGUUGCAUAAUCGGCCCUUAAAUAUGCAAGGGCUUUAUUUAAAGCUGAAGAGAUCUCAUACCGACUAUCAAGAUUGAAGGUGGAGACAUUAUGGGCCGGAUUAGAAUAAUGGAGCCAUUAUCCGAAUGCUAAGGUAUGGAGAUGGCCUCUUUUUUGCUUCACUAGUUUGUUAAUGAUUCUUAGUCGUCUUUUUACUGUGUAUAUAUAUAUAUAUAUAUAUAUAUAUAUAUAUAUAUAUAUAUAUAUAUAUCUCUCUCUUACAACUAUUUGCUGGGUGCCAUAGCCCUUACUCAUAUAUGUUGUACUGCUGUGUAUAUAACUAAACCCCUUCAUAUGACAUUCCAGAAUUCAAUGAUUCUUAGAGCCUAACUAUUAUGAGAAAAUAAAUAUAGAAUCUCAAAAUCACUGCAUUUGUACUGUUUUGUGUACCUUUUAUAUUCAUCUAAUGUGCAAUUAUUCUACCUUUAUUUCUAGAGAUCUAUGAGUGCUUUUUAGAAAUGGCUCUAAUAAGGUCAACUUAGAACUUACAUUUCAUCCUUCUAAUUUCUAGUUUGAUCCCCCCCCCUUUUUUUUUUUUUCCCUUUUUUCUUUUUCCUUCUUUGGGACACUUAGAAAGCAUGUUUAAGUCUAAUCAAUUCUCGGUGAGAUUGAUCAGUUCUUUCGUCCGGUUGAACAGGUUUGGUUUCUCCAUUGAACCUGUUUUGACAGUUUAUUUUGAAACUUGUGUUCAUUAAGUAAGACCAUAAUUAUAUUCCUUGAAAAUUUACUUGUAUUUAUUAAAUCAAUAUAUCAAAGAAGCAAGCAAUAUUAAGUUUAGCUCUUUGCCAUUAAGAUAGCUUGUGUUUUCUUGUGGUGUGUUUACAUAUAUAUAUAUAUAUAUAUAUAUAUUAUUUUUAUGUUCCGCAUUCGAACAAUUUGGUUUUGAAUGCUGCUUGGUUAACUAAUAUCGUUUCCUUUUUCCCUUCCUGAGUGUUAAAAUCGGAUGAUAAGAGUAGCGUGUUACCCACAUAAUUUAUUUUUUAAAAAAAGAAUAAAUUUAGUGGAAAAUUUGAAGUAAUUAGAUUUCGAAGUUGAGAACUAAUCAUUAAAUCUUUUAUCACUUGUGCUGAGAGCAGUAAGUAAUGAGAUGAUGAAGUUACAAGUUAAUUCUCAUAGCUGAACAGUUGAGUCAGUUUUUAGGAAAUUCAAAUUUAAGUUUGACUAGUCAAGUUUACCAUUUCUCAAAACUUAGGAGGACUCGAGCCCAAGGUUUUAAGUGCCGUAAAACCGCCCGUCGGCACGGGCUGUAUCCGCCAUGCCGUACCGUGCCAAUAAGAUAUCGGCACGAUACAGAUUCUGUGCCGAUAGCACAGUUCAAAAUUUUUUAUUUUUUAAAUUAGUAAGUAAUUUUCUCAAUAAAGUUCAAAAGAUGUGAUAAAAAGACAUAAUAAAUAGUUAAAAUAUUUUAUUGCUAAAAAAAAUAAAUAUUUCAUGUUAUUAUGUGUUGGUAUAUAAGAAUUUUUUUGACCGGCACGCAUCAGUAUGACUCGGCACGCACUAUACCAUACCAUGCCGGCACAAUCCCAUGCCACGGCACUUAAAUUCUUGCUCGAGCCCUUUUAUGUGGAUUCCAUUGAUAGGGAAGCAGUGGCGGAUGCAUAUGUUUGGGGUCAAUAGACCCCACUGAGGAUGGUGCAAAAAAUCCAUUUAGUGGGUUCCACUUGUAUUAUUAGGCCUUUUAGCUGCCUUUUUUUCUUUUUUAUUUUUCUGUUUUUUAUUUUAUUUUAUUUUAUUUUUUUUUGCAUAAGUUGACCCCAAAGUGGAGUCCAAGUUGACCUCAAGUGAAGUCUAACAAAAUUUUUAUUUUAAAUAAAAGAGCUAUAGCGGGUCGAACAAUCUGCUAAUAUAUAUUUUUUUUCUUAGCAGUAGCAAAAAGUUAAAAAAGAUUGUAAUUAAAAAAAUAAUCCUAGUCUUUGAUUAAGUGAUGAACGAUUAUUGAUGACUUAUAUAGAAAAAAAAAAACUUGUUUGACGAUGUUUUCAAAGAGACUAUCAUGAACCUUUGUCAAAAUAUAAGGACACGUAAAAAAUAACUGUAAAAAAAAUAAUAAUAUUUUUUUAUACAACAUUAAUGACUAAUUUAUUUUUAAAAAAUAAUUUUGCAUAUUUUUUCUUCUUUAGUAAAAAAAAUUUGUAUAUAUUUCUUUAGAGGAAAUUUUUAGAUCUACGGUGCCACUGUUAAGGAGGGAAAAACAAAUGGUUCUUGGUGAUCAUUUGAUUUGGGUAAUCAUGGCCUGCUCAAGGNAUAUAUAUAUAUAUAUAUAUAUAUAUUAUUUUUAUGUUCCGCAUACGAACAAUUUGGUUUUGAAUGCUGCUUGGUUAACUAAUAUCGUUUCCUUUUUCUGUUCCUGAGUGUUAAAAUCGGAUGAUAAGAGUAGCGUGUUACCCACAUAAUUUAUUUUUUUAAAAAAGAAUAAAUUUAGUGGAAAAUUUGAAGUAAUUAGAUUUCGAAGUUGAGAACUAAUCAUUAAAUCUUUUAUCACUUGUGCUGAGAGCAGUAAGUAAUGAGGUGCUGAGAGCAGUAAGUAAUGAGAUGAUGAAGUUAAAGUUAAUUCUCAUAGCUGAACAGUUGAGUCAGUUUUUAGGAAAUUCAAAUUUAAGUUUGACUAGUCAAGUUUACCAUUUCUCAAAACUUAGGAGGACUCGAGCCCAAGGUUUUAAGUGCCGUAAAAUUGCCCGUCGGCACGGGCUGUAUCCGUCGUGUCGUACCGUGCCAAAAAGAUAUCGGCACGAUACAGAUUCCGUGCCGAUGGCACAGCUCAAAAUUCUUUAUUCUUUAAAUUAGUAAGUAAUUUUUUCAAUAAAGUUCAAAAGAUGUGAUAAAAAAACAUAAUAAAUAGUUAAAAUAUUUUGUUGCUAAAAAAAAUAAAUAUUUCAUGUUAUUAUGUGUCGGCAUAUAAGAAUUUUUUUGACCGGCACGCAUCGACAUGACUCGGCAUGCACUAUACUGUAUCGUGCCGGUACGAUUUCGUGUCACGGCACUUAAAUUCCUGCUUGAGCCCUUUUAUGUGGAUUCCAUUGACAGGGAAGCAGUGGUGGAUGCAUAUGUUUGGGGUCGAUGGACCCCACUAAGGAUGGUGCAAAAAAUCCAUUUAGUGGGUUCCACUUGUAUUAUUAGGCCUUUUAGCUGCCUUUUUUUUCUUUUUUAUUUUUCUCUUUUUUAUUUUAUUUUAUUUUAUUUUUUUUGCAUAAGUUGACUCCAAAGUGGAGUCCAAGUUGACCUCAAGUGAAGUCUAACAAAAUUUUUAUUUUAAAUAAAAGAGCUAUAGCGGGUCGAACAAUCUGCUAAUAUAUAUUUUUUUCUUAGCAGUAGCAAAAAGUUAAAAAAGAUUGUAAUUAAAAAAAAAAAUCCUAGUCUUCUUUGUACUACUACAUAUUUUUUUUUACCUCGUUUAAUCAUAUUGAAUCCAGUGAUGAACGAUUAUUGAUGACUUAUAUAUAAAAAAAAAAAAAAAAAACUUGUUUGACGAUGUUUUCAAAGAGACUAUCAUGAACCUUUGUCAAAAUAUAAGGACACGUAAAAAAUAGCUGUAAAAAGAAAUAUAUAUAUUUUUCUAUACAAUAUUAAUGACUAAUUUAUUUUUAAAAAAAUUAUUUUGCAUAUUUUUUCUUCUUUAGUAAAAAAAAUUUGUAUAUAUUUUUUUUCUUUAGAGGAAAUUUUUAGAUCUACGGUGCCACUGUUAAGGAGGGAAAAACAAAUGGUUCUUGGUGAUCAUUUGAGUUGGAUAAUCAUGGCCUGCUCAAGGUUUCUAUAAUUUACAUGAGUGCUUGGCGAUUGUGCAAUUAAAUGAACACUAACCAGUCGUAAUACUAUUUUGGUAGAACUGAGAGAUAGUGUUUUCCUAUAAUUAAAGGAUUAUUUUUUUGAAACUUUUUUUUAACUUAGACAACUAAAAGUGGGGGUGGGGAAAUAUUACUUAAAAGCACAUAAAAUUUCACUUUAAAUCGGUAUCAAUGGCACUAUAACAAUAAUAAUAAUAAUAAUAUUAAUAUUAACAAUAUAAACUUACAGAAAGUUGGAACGAUUUCGUAAAUGUGCAUCAUCACGCUUGCAGAAAAUUCUUAAAAAAAAAAAAAAUAAUUUCUUAAUUAGCCCAACUUUAAAUCUACAAGGUCGAAAUAUUUUAGUAUUUAAAUUAAACAAGAUAAGAUUAGAUUAUAAUUUGGUCCUAUUUUGAUCUUAAAUAAAAAGUAAAUUAGAUUAAAUAAGAUUACGGAGAUAUGUUUAAAUAAGAUUAAAGUGUCGUUUGAAUAAAAUAGAUUUACUCAGAUUUAAUAUCUAUAUAGAUAUAAACGAGAUUUUAACUAUGAAUAUAUAAAUCCCUAAGAAAACUUCGGCUCAUUAAAAGGGAAAAAUGAAUAUUUAUUUACAUAGAGUAAAAAGAGAUAAGUUUAUUCCGCGAUUCUCUGUUUUUUUAACAAUUUUUCUCCAAAUAAUUAUCAAUUCUCUUUAACAAUUUUUUUUUUUGUUUACCUUUAAUUUUUUUUUCUUCAAUAAAACUCUCUUCAGCUACAUAUUAUGUAAAUCAUAUAAUUUCUUCUAUUUCUUACUUUUUUAAAUCAUUAUUAAUUGGUAAAGAAUAAUUAAUUUAUUAAUUUUUUGGUUGCAUUUUAUAUUAGUAUAAAUUUAAUUUACUACAAAUACAUUCAUACAGAUUUGUACGACAUAAUGGAGAGAGAGAGAGAGAGAGACAGAGAGAGACCAGAAUCCUUCAAAGCUUGCUUCCGUGAAUCUGAAUCUAAUGUUAAGUGAUUCAACACAAACAAUUUUUAUGACUAAUAUAUAAGAUUAAUUUAAAAUCCCUUAAUCAUUAAAUAAAUAAUAUCCAAACUAAAAUUAUAAAUCCGUGGGAACAACUAAAAUAAUAAUAAUUUAAUAAGUAAAAUUCUCCAAAGUGAAUAUUAAGAUAUCAAGGUAUAAUAACUUUAUUUCUGAAAAGUGAAAUACUACUAAUUAACUACCAAAUCUCAUCUUACUACCAAAAAAAUAAAAUCUUAGAAGCCAUGUACCAUGUACGUGACACGCCUUUCGUUUCAUCCGUCCUUAUUAUAUAUAUAUAUAUAUUCAUGCAAUAAUAUUUUCGGAUUCCCACAUCAUCUAAGUCGUUUUGUUUUGUUUUUUCUCUACAGCAAACAAUUAAAACUAGCAGCUCUCUCUCACUUGAGAUGGAAUGAAACCGAGCGUUCCAGUUCCGCGUCACACUUUGUCGUCGUGGAACCACCAUCUUGUCUCCUUUGGCGAUCGCCCGUUCCUGCAGUUCUUCACGUAGCGGUCGUUGUCCGCCGGCCGUUGCUGCAGAUCAGACCAGGAGAAAAAAAAAAAACAUGCAUAAACAGUCUGUGAUGAAGGAUGGGUGGUGUCAAUUGAGGCCGCAGCGAGCGACGAUACCUUCGCGGGGGAGCUCGACAGCAUCGAGAGAAUGCUGAUACAAACCGAGCUCACCGUCAUCGCGGGCGACCACGAAUCGUAUAAUAUAUCUGGGAGGAGAGCCAGGAAGAGAAGUUCAUAUAUAAUAACAAAGGUUUAAGCGAAUCUUAACUAUGAAAUUAAAUGCGUAAGAUGAGUUAGAACAGCAAGAGCUUCCCUUGGACUAAUAUUAGAAUCAACAGUUUCCAUCAGAAAAGGAAUAAGAUAUUCAAGCAAGUAAUAAAAUAUUUGGUUAGGUCGUAGAAUACUCCAAACAAAGAGUAAAAAUAUACCGCUUCGUCUCAGGAAAAGAAAUUACAUAACAUCUUUCUCAAGCACAGUAACAAGGAAUCCAUAAAACAAAGAAUCAGGCCCAAAAUACGGAUUAUAAUAAAGUUAGUAUAUGAUAAGACAAAAGAAAAAGAUACAAUCAACUAGAAAACAACUUAAUGCCGCUUGGGAUAACGCAGUUUUAGUAUAUCCUAUACAAUUACACAUGGAUGAAAUGAAAUAUCCAAGCAAUACCGAACUGACGGAUGUAGUGAAAAUUUUAGAGCCCUAUAAUUUCAUUUGAUAUCAGAGUAUCCACAAAACAGCUGCACACAAUAUUUGAUGACCAAAAACCAACUCAGCACAAUACACUGAUCAAGCCCAAAAGAUUUAAUCCUCUUAUUUUCAACCAUACUCAGCAAAGUUAUAUUAGACAAACUCUCUCCACUCUAAAGAACUUAUCUACUAUUAUAUUCACAUGAGAGUUCCCGCAUAGUUUCACUAAAAGGAUACAUGUAGCUGGGCAUCGAAGAUGACGAAGAGUGAUUAUACCUACUUUGCCAACAGCUGUGAGACAAACUCAUUGAAAAGUGAUUUAUAUAUAUAUAUAUUUGAACUAUGCUGGAAUACUAUCAAUAGCACCAAGCUAUUGGUACUAUUAGGUUUUUGGUCCUCGGAUGAAAAAAAUGUACGGUUAGGAUGAUAUGGACCCCCCUAGGGUUGGGUGACUUAUUGAUUUAAUAGUAUAAUCUAACAGGUAAAAAUAGUCAAAGGGUUAAAUCUAACGGUGGAAAACUUGAUAGUACCAAACGCUCGAUGCUAUCGAUAGUAUCCCAGCCGGACUCUAUAUUUUUUCUUGUUGUAAAAAUUUGCAACCCAAUAAAAUUUGUAAACCUUUUUAUUCCUGUCUUUCCCAAGUUCUAAUGAGAACGAUCUCGAAAAGACCAAUCAGCCCACUCUUUCGUAGCUCAUGGUAUUAAUGGUCUUCAAUUUCAAUACUUUAAGCGAGAAUUAGAACUAAUGAAUUCAGAGAGAAGAGAACCUAAAAUUAGGAAAUUUUCUGCCACAUAACGCCAGUAAAUUUUAGCAGCGCAAAGCAAGAAAAGAAGAGCAAACAAAAAAUUGAAGUUUCACCACACGAGAAUCAGAAAUUGCCUUGUACUCAAGUGAAAUGCAUCUUAUCAAACUUAACUAAAUUAAGAUAUCAAAAGCAAGGAUCUUACAACGUAUCAAACUGCUCAAGCUAGUGCAAAAAGAAGAUACUACACUUCAUUCUUAAACUCACAGUAGAAGCUUAACUUUUGAUGGAUGGAAGAAAACUUCUAAUUCAAGUAAAGAAGAACUUCCGACAUCAAGAGUAAUACCAAGCCGACAAGCAUAUUCGAUAAAACCAAACUCAUAACAUGAUCAAAAUCCAAAAUCAACUUAUUUAUAAAACCAAAACAGUUACUAGAAUUACCUAAACAAAUAUGCCCAUUGCUGUAUAUAUGCGGAUGAGGAGGUGCCGGAUGAAGAAAAAUAACCUAAUUAAAAGCAACAACAUCAGAAUCUCAUCUCAGCAACUCAAAAUCAAUACUUUAAAUUCUCGAUAAAAAGAAAGACUUAACUAUCCCACACCUGAGGGGCUUCCAUCGGAUAAUGCUCUGGAAAAUCCACCUGAAGCUGAUACGUCUCACUUGCAUAAAGUGUGCCCGGCGCCCCAACCACUUCGAUAACCCAUCUUAAUCAGAUCAAAAAACCUAAUUCAAAAUCAACCUAUGGUGGAAAGAACAUACAUAGAAACCCUCAACUACAUUACGUUUGAAACAUACUCCGAAUUUCACUUUCUUUCUCUCUUUUCCUUGAGAUUCCUAUACUUUUGAUUGUUUUUCCAUUAUCUAACGUAGAUAUCUCCAACAAGAAAUAUCAAUUUUUAACAAAAUCCCCAAUUCAACCGAACGUAACAACUAAAAUCAAACAAAACAUUUGAUAGGUUUCAAAAACAAAANAAAAAAAAAAAAAAAAUUGUUUGGUUUCCUAGAAAAUACCUAGAAAAUAGUUUUCUAGCUAAAAAAUUAUUUUCGGUCCAUUUGGUUUCUAGGAAAAGUAGUUUUUUUUUGAAUUUUUCUUUUCGCAAAUUUUAUUGUUAAGUAGUGUUUUUGUUUUCCGAACUUUUUAUCCGGAAAACAAAAGCUGUGGAACAAAAUCCCCAAUUCAACCAAACGAAACAACUAAAAUCAAAAUAAACACAAGAUUUAGGAGGUUUCAAAAAUCAAAAUCGAGCAGCUCCAUAACCUUACAGCAGCAGCAACAACAACAACAACAACAACAACACAAAAAAAAAAAAAGAAAAAAAAAGGAAGGUGGAUGUGCAACUAGUUUCAACAAAAUCCCCAAUUCAACCAAACGAAACAACCAAAAUCAAAAUCAAAAUCAAAAUAAACAAAAGUUAUAGAAGAUAUCGACAACUAAAAGAACAGAAAUUAGGGCUCCUUUUCCAAACGGCCCACACUUCAAGGGCCCUUAAUCAACUCAGCCCUAACAAAGCAACAAAACACGCAUCACACGAGAUCAUACAAAUUAGGGCAAAUUAGAGCAAAGAAAAGCAAAAGAAAAAGAAAAAGGUGGGAUCCAUCAAUCGAUAUCGAUCGAUCGUAAAACCUUUGGAGAUUAUCGGUGAGUCGAUGCUUGAAUCCGGUGGGGGGGUUGACCUGCCACUCCACCAGCUCCUUCUGCAGGCGAUUGCACGCGAUCUUGCUCAGCGCCUGCAACAACGACGCCGCCGCCGCCGCCGCCGACGCAAAUUAGGCAAAGUUCCAGGAUUAAAGUGCAAAACAGAGAGAGAGAGAGAGAGAGAGAGAGAGAGAGAGGAACCUUGCGAGAAGCGGCGGAGGAGGUGGUCAUCGUGCUCGGCGACGGGGAGAGAGAGAGAGAGAGAGAGAGAGAGAGAGUAAAAGAGGGAUUUUUGGCCUUUUGGGUUUUUGGGCUUCUCUGCGCUCAAAAGCAGCUUUUCCGAAUCAAUUCGUUUUUUCACGAGCUGACUCCUUAAAAAAAAUAUCAAAUUUCAAAUUUAAAAAUUUAAUUUAUUUCUGACUUAUUUAUUAACGAGUCGAAGAACACGAACGAUCUGAUUCAUAAAUUUUAAAAAAUUAUUAAUUCUAUUAUUCAAUAAAAAAUUAGUAUUUAUUCGUACUUUUUAUAGAAACGACUCGCGAUAGAAUACGAGAUAAAUUGAGCUACAAACGAAUUAAAUCUCUAGAAACAAUAUAUUAAUGAAGGAUGUGAAAUUUAUGAAUAAUUUUCUUUACUUUGUUCUUGCUCUUUCUUAUAUAUGAGAGAAUCGCUCCUAAUCUUAGUAGAUAAGUGGAAGAUUAGGCUGAAUCGAUUGAUUAGAAUAUAUCUCUAAUUAACUUUUUAAUUUAAAAAUGAGAUUAAGUUUAAUUCUAUUAGACAAUAUAAUAACCGUCGAAUCGACCUCGAUUAUGAACGCACUUAAUUCGAUUUAACUGAAUACCAACACAAACAAACAAUAAAUAUAGAUAAAAGAUUCACAUGUACUUUUAUAUAUGAUUUAUCCUCUACGCCAACCACCAAAUCUAAAUUUAUUUGGGAAAAAAAUACAAACUAAUAAAUAUAUACUUAUUAAAAAAAAUUAACUACCAAAUAUAGAUAUAGUAUUCUUAUUACUUGAUUAUAGCUUUGACCUAAUAAAUGCAAUGUAAUUUUUUUAAAAAAAGAAAGAUAGAUAUAGAUAUCACCAAAACAAAUUAUUUUGGUACUCUAGUCAUUUCUUGUAAUUAUAAUUGUUUUUAAAUGUCGGGUUAAAUUGGCACUCACCCACCCAGAAAACUAAAAAAAAAAUUAAAAAUGGUCUCAUUUUAAUUGGACCAGUUCGGACUAUUACUUACCAUAAAUUAUCAAUCAGCUCGAUUUGAUUUUUUUUUCUGAAGAAUUUGUAAAAUAUAUUUAUUUACCUCUCUAUUUUUACUAUUUUAUACUUAAAAAUUAAAUAAUUUAUUCUUUCUGACAUCAUGUUGAUAUUACUGAUUCGACUGAUUGGACCAAUAAUUGAACCAAAUCAUUAUUUUUUAUUCGAACCGUUUCAAAUUUUAAAAGAACAAUCACUAUUUGCAUGUUUUGACAUAACUUUUGAACUUCUCUACUCUAAGAAAUGGUAGUGAUCUUUUGAGCCCUAAAAUUAUAUUUCUAAUAUUUAAAGUUGUUAUAAAAGCUAUUGUAAUGAUUUUGCUAUAAAGUUAUUAGUAUUUAUUCGAAAUAUUUUAAUUAUAAGCUAUAGUAAAAUCAAAAGGUCCUAGUAGUAUAAUGAUCUAACAUCUAUAUGCGAAUAUGAGUAUAGAGCAAUACAGAGAUCAAAUAAAAAAUAAAUAAGUUGAAAAAUAUCAAGAUAAAAUACUAUAUAGAAGGAAUAUAUGCCUAAGGAGAGAGAUUACAUAUUUUGAGAGAAAUGUUCUAUGUUUUAGCAUUUUAUUAGUCCACAAUAAUCACACUUAGAAAAGUUAACUUUCGGAAUUUCUAUUAUAAUAAAACCAACUAAACACAACAUACUACUUUCUUUCUCUCGAUAAUUGAUAUUACCCGCUUCGAUUUUGAUAGGAACAAAGCAAAUUUUUAUAUUGACUAUUUUACUAAGUACCAAAUGAUCACAGUUAAAUAUGAAUAUUUAGUAUCCAUUACCCUCUCUCAACUAAUAAGGGAUAUAAUAAUACAUCAUAGUUGAAAAUCGAAUUAGAUAUGUGGACCUCACAUUUUAGAUUAGGUUGCUUAAUCUAGUCUUAGGACCAAGUGCUAGAACAAUUACAUAUAGAGAGAGAGAGAGAGAGACCAUCUUUAACAAAAAUAAUAAAAGACUUAAUGAUCAGUACUUAAAAGUCUCAUAUUUGAAGUCGAGUAGUUUUAUAUUUCCUACUAAGUUUAUUUUUUUUAAAAUAAGAAAAGUGGUAUUAUGCUCCCAUUCUCUAAACGGAAAAAAAAAAAAGUUUUAGAAAGAGAGAGAGAGAGGGGUAGUGUAGUGGGUUUAGUAUAAAGGGAGGUUCCAAAAUGAAUGAACAAGAUAAAGUUAUUCAUACCUUUAUUAAGCAUCUAAUUAGAUUAGUUCCCUACCUCUAUCACAAAUCGAAGGGGUUUGACUUAUCGAAAUAAGUUUAUAGUCGGAUUGGUAAGUAUUCUUAUUAUCUGAAUGUCCGAUAUAGAGUUUCAACAGCUUGUUUAGCGAGUAUUAUGAUAUUACCAAGUCAAAGGCUUAGACAUAUACACCUAAAAAUAGAAGGAAUAAUAUCUAACAUAUCUUUAAAAACUUUUGAAAUAUCGAAUAUAUCCCUAUUUUAUUUUUUAUUUCAAACAUACCCCUUGUAUAUUUCUUCAUUAUUAAAAAUACUCCCGCUAUUAGUGCCCGUUAAGUUCAAUGGAUUCCUCUCCUCCAGCAAAGUUAUUGAUUAAAUAGUUGUCUUAGUCGCAUAUCUUGCAUAUGAUCAAAACAUAAGAAAUAGAUGUUUCUUCUUAUUCUAACAUAUGAAAAAAGAAUUAAAAAUAUAAGUAGAUUCCUCCUACUUUUAAAUUCUAAUUAUUUAAUAAAUUUUAGAUAGGCUAAUUAUAACGCUCCAAUAGUUCUACAUCGAAUAAAAAAAAUAUAUAAUUAAAAAUAUAAGAAUAAAAAUAUAUGAGUUUAAACAUAUUAUGCCAGUGGAUUGGAAUCAAUAAGUAUAAAUACUAACAGACUGAGAUGUUACAUUUAGUAUCAAAGCCGAUGUGCCAGCCAUGACAAGAACGUUAGAGCCUAAAAGAGGAAAAUCUAUAACGCCCUAAUAAUCUUACAUCAGAUUAACAAAAAAAAAUAUGAUUGAAAAAUAUAAAGAACAAUAACUCUAAUACUAAUAACUAGACUAAAGUAUUUUAGACUGGUGGUUUGGGCCCAACAAGUUAUUAUUACUAACAAACUGGAUCGUUUCACUAAUUAUAAAAAUUAAAAGUUUAGACCUCGAAAAUCGUUGCCGCUUUUUUCAUUCUUUUAAAUAUAAUCAAUAUUUCUUUUUUUAAAAAAAAAAGAAAGCAGCAAGUAAGAAGCAGUUUGCAAUAGUGCAAAAGUUAGGGGGUUGAAAAUUUGUGACACUUGUAUAUCAUGAUUGAGAGACUGACAUGUGGGCCCACAACAAUUACAAAGAAGAUUCUAAGACCAUUCCUAUGGUGGUGGAAUAUUGAGUAGCAUAACAUCAACUUUAAUAGAUGAAUAAAUGCUCCAACAUGGAGAAACAUUCUCAGAUGAGAUGCUAUUAAGAUUGUUCCUAACUUCCUCCCAUGGAAAUAAUAAUAAUAAUAUAAUUUACAUUAAGUAAUGGAUUCUCUCACUAAACCAAGAGAAUAAAGCAAGAGAGAACAGGUGGCAGAAGAAAUUAGGAAACUUUAUGAGUGCUUUUUAAAUACAUCCUUGAAAAAAGUACUUAUUUUGCAUGGUGGUCCCCUAGAAACUUGAAUUAGCAUUUCUAACCCUCUAAAAGUCCCUAGAAUCACAUCUACAUCACCUUAAAGCACUUAAAUGUACAAACAUGGUCAGAGUUAAUCAACAUGGAACUUCAUGACCAGGUUAAUAAUCUAAAAUUCUACUGGUUCAAGGUUUUUACUAGUUUGAUCACUAGUUCAGCCACUACUUCAACUAGUUUGAACAAUUUUACACAAAAUCAAGCGAAAAACCAACAGUUCACAGCGAAGCUAGUCAAUCAGAAAGCACUGUAACUAAAACUGCAUAUAAGAUUCAAUGGAACUGCAUAUAGAAAACUACCCUUCAUGUUUUCUUAUGUACAAAUAACUUAGCCACAUAUGAGAAAAACAACAACAUCAUAAGAAAAAGGAAACAAAGGAAAAAAGACAUUACUGCAUGCACUGAACAACAACAUACAACACCAGAUACUUCCAUAAAAUUAGACAAGAAAAUUCUUACCGCAGUAAAGCAUGAUUGAGAAACUGUUUAAUCAUGUGUAAGCGUUUACGUGGCUGAUGCUUCUGCAAUCAUUUUCUGUAGGAUUGAACCUUGUAUUGCAACCAAAUAUCGUGGAAAUAUUAAGAACAAAUACUAUACCGGCAAUAUGAUAUGAUGGUGAAAAUUAAGCACUUCUUCUGUGGCUUCAGCUGUUUAGAAAUGCCUUCAAAGAAAAUGGCGGGGGAGCAUCCUGUUAAACCAAAAUUUUAAACAUUAUGGUUGGCACCACAUGUCUUUGAACUUUAGCGAGUAAAAUCAUGCUUUUCUUUUUCACACCCUAAACAAUUGAUGACAAGAGCUUCUUUCAGAUAAUUAUUGCAUAAAUGGUGCAACUCGCAUAAAUUCAGCAGGGGUUGUCAAGUUAAAAUGGCAAAAAAUCAGUUAAAAUGGCAAAAGUUCAGUUAACUUGAAAAAAAUCUCGGUAAAUCUCUGGUUGACAAAUACGGGUAUAAAGAAACACAGUAACUGUUCUACCUUGGCUAGCUCCUGUUGUAGGUAUUCUCUAACCACAGUUAUCUGCUGUAUCAGCUUCUCCAGAGAAGAAUAGGCAGGAAGCUUAGCAUGUGCUGAAAUUAAUCAUAAGAUUAAGGGUAUAUCGGUUGCAGGAGUUAGUAAAGCAAGAAAUGGCAUGUUAAUAGGGAAAUAGAAGAUCACAUGUGAAAUAUGCUAAAUGUACCAAGAAUAGCUCGAUUCAGGCUAUCUGCUAUGUUCUGCCGAUAUUCUGGGCUCAGUAGUUGGAACAUAGGUGACCUUUCAGGCUCCUCAUAAGCUAGUAGAGCAAUAAACUCCUAGUCAAAAUAAGAUGUAAUGUUUUAUGAGAUAUCUGUAGCCUUAAUGGCAUUAAAUCAUGAUAGUAUUAAUAUCCUUGCAUCAAAUAUAAUGCGUGUUUGACCAAGCUUCCGAAACAACUAAUCUACUCCAGAAGCAAAUGCCAAGGGCCUCGCCUGGCUAUGUUUGCACUUUUUUUUACUCAAAUACUAUGCAACUGAAUGCCUAAUCGAUGGACUUCGUUAUCCCUGAUAUUACUGGUCUGAUGACAAACUCAUGUUCUCUUAAGAGCCAAAGAAACUCUCAACAAUAGACAAAAAAACAAUACUAAAUUUUUGGUUUUCUGCUGCCAAACAAACCCAACCCCAGUUGGGGGGAAAAAACAGCCAUCGGCUGGUGCAAUCAACAACAUAGCCUUUGAAUUUGGAAAACAAAAUGCAGCCGUUCCAAGAAAUCGUAUAUUCCACCCUCCUCUCGCCACUUCAAUUUACGAUUGGCUAUGCUGGUGCUAUUCUAACUUGUGCUUAAAAUAGUCACAUCAUACCUCCAGUUUCGUUACAUACUUUUGCACCUUUCCAAAUGGAGUAAGACUUUUCUGACCAAACUCGAGAGCUUCCUUGCUGCCAUUUCAUAUACCAAUUGCAUUAAACCCAAAAGUUUCAUAUUUUAGUAGCAAAAAAUGUCUAUUUACAGAGUCCUCACCACUUUCUGGAGCGGACAAGAUCAAUAAAGUGAAGGCUUAAAAGAUCGAAAUGCAAAUCCAUAUUAGCCUCCAGUAAGUUUGGAGCUAGCUGUUGUGUCAGCUCUAUGGCCUCGAGAGCAUUUCCUUCCAAGGCAAAAUGAAAAAUUGCUGACAGAAAAAUCAAAAAUACAGAUUUACAAAACAGAGUAACCUAUCUAUGGACUACGAUAGAGAAUUAAAUAGCUAUCAUGAAAUAUUCCAAUGACCAAUUAAUUGCCUAACAAGAGGAGUUAACAUGUUGAUCAGUUCAUGUUAGGCAAGAUGCACUUGAUUCAUCCGAACUAUUGCACUUUAACAGAUGGGCACCUGAACUUUCAAAAGUUAAAAAGAAAAAAAUAGGAUCCAAACAAUCACCAUGUUUCAAUUAGGCACCCAACACCUAAUUCAGUCAAUUUUUUAUAACAGCUGAUAUCAUGUGUCAUUAAAUGACCCAUAACAGUCCAUAUCUUACAUCUCCUCUUACAUCCCUUCUUCCGAAUUUCCAGAUGAUUGUAGGAGCAUUCUAAUCAAUUCAUUUUCAUGUCAAUAAUGGCUGUUCAGAAAAACUGAUAAAAAAAAAGGUAAUGGUUGAUUAAAAAAAGGUGAAUUUUUCACGUAACUUUUAUUUUAAAAUCUUUUACAAGCUUUGGCUGUCAACUGUAAGAGCUCACUAAUUCAAGGGUUUCUAACACAUUUAUCUCUUUCCUGUUUAAAACCCUCGACAUAAACUGGAAAAAUACAACUCACAUUUCCGCUUGUCCAUGUCUACUAGGUAAUCAACAGGAUGCUUCAUCCCCGUAGAAGUGAGAAAAGCGUCUGCCGUCUCUUUGAAACAGUUGUGAAUAAGAUAAGACAGGACAAUGUUGCGCACAUCAGCAUCGCUGAUUGCCUGUCAAUUGGGAAAAGAAAAGGAGACAAAUCAACAUUUAGAGAUGUUAAACUAAUAUGAGCACACUAAUAUUUUUAUUUCUUAUGAACACCUGUAUUAGUUGAUGAUAAAUUGGAUUCACAUUAUAUCUGAUUACUCAUUUGAAUAUUUUCUUUUAGCUACUCACUAUGUUAAUAGAAAGGGGCUCGAAGCUAGAAGGUAAUUCUAGAUACAUGAUUAGAUUAAAUGCUCAAUGAAUGCAUAGAAAGCAGAAGGCGUAAAGAAAGACAUUUAGUUCAACCAAAAACAUUAAGUAACUUAUGGAUAUAAAGGGCAGAAGAUACUCAUAUAAGUUAGAAAAUAAAUGUAUUGUUGAGUCUGUCAAUAAUGUGCUCUCCAUCAAGACAGAUAUAGUUCAUUAUAUUAUAUAAUUUUCCCUAUUCUCUCUAGUGACACAAAAUGUAUUGUCCUGCGCCUGUAAUUGUUCAGAUAGGAAAAACCGUGACUAGAUAUUGUUCUCAGGACUUGGCUUAUUCACUGAUGAGUUAUAGCUAACUUGUAUAGUGCCAACGAACAAUGUGAGAAAUAAACUUGACCUCAUUACUACAUUCGAUGAAUACUAAACAAGUAGAGUUUCUUUAACAUUGAUUCAUUGUAUGAAAAACACAUACAUGCACACACAAAAAAAAGAAAGAAAAAAGAAAAAAGAAAGAAAGGUAGUUCAAUAACGAUCCUUUCUGACUUUGCCGCAAACCAGUAAGGUCUAGAGAAUUAGUCGAAAUCUAAGUUGGUUUGCUCGACGGUAAAUAAGCUUAUUGCCGAAACUGCAAGUUGAAAGCAGAGGGACGCAAAAACAGCCUAAACCAAAAGGAAUGGAUUGUUCAACAAAAAGCAAGUGAGCAAGCAAUCUCAACUUAAUAUAAUCAACAAGGUAAGCUGUUAAAUUAUAAAAAUAACGCCUAACGACAAGGUCGGAACUAUGUUUGACCAACAUAUGAAUCACUGAAGAAAGGUCUACUAUGUAAGAAAUAGCAAAAAAAAAAGAAGUUUAUAUCCACUUCCAAGCUCAAGGAUUGAGGAUAUAAAAUAAAAUCUCUAACUACACUAUUGGCUAAAACUAAGGCUACAAAUUGGGUUGAUUGGGUUCAUAUAAAUUUGGAAUUUUUCAUUCAGUUUGAGAAACUUCAAUUCCUAUCAAGGUAUGGUCAGGGUUGGCACCAAUCAUAACCCAAGAUGAACCCAAUCCAAACUCGAAGCAAUACCAACUUGGCAUUUCAACAAAUUAAAGAAACUAUACAACAUAUAUUCUAUAACUAAACAUUGCUGUGCUCUACUCAUCUCCUUGGCUCAUUUUUAACAUCCUAGGAAUGAGUAAUACUACAUCGGCAAAUCACGCAAAGUUUGCGCGGUGGAUCCAUCAUCCAAACAAUCUAAUCCCCACUAUCGAAUAGGAGAUCCUUCCACCUAGUUACACACAAACACACAAUCAUUCAAAUAGUUCCUUCAUUCGAAGAAGAUUAAGGUAAAAAAUCUACACUUCCAGUGCUCCCAAAUCCUCUCACAAAUGAGUCAAAAACCAAAAAAAAAAAAAAAAAAACCAUUUUUAACCCAUUUUGAAGCGAAUAAAGCUCUAAAUCCAUUGCCCCAGAGCUUAAAACUAAAUCUUACGCCUAUUAUUGCUAUAAAAAAGAUAGGAAAAAACCCUAAUGGCAAAUCGACGCUAAGAAUCAACAGGUUAUCAUGAUUCGACCCCAAAAUACACACAUCCAGACCCUAUUGCUCACAAUCCAACAUCAUUCACAAAAGAGAGGUGACCUACUACGUGCUCGUAUUGCCUCGGAUCCAACUCCAUCAUUGCUUUAUGAGAGAGAGAGAGAGAGAGAGAGCUCCGAUGAUCUCCGCAGCGGUGUGGAGAGAGAGAGAGAGAGAGAGAGAGAGAGAGAGAGGCGAGACCAGUAGCUAUAUACGGCGAAGGAGAGAGGGGGUUACUUCCACACAACGCAUUUUAUACAUAUAUUUAAAAAAGAGAAAAAAAAAAAAAAAACGUGCAGGCACUGUUGGCAUAAACGGGUAAGCACCCUACCCUGCCGCCGAUGAUCGGGUUGGGUCAAAUCAAGUUUGAAAUGACGUGAUCGGUGCGUCUGAGUUGGACUGAGUUGUAUUUGAAUUGGCAUGAGUUUGAUUAGACAGAGUAACAAGCGAUAUCUAUGGGCAUCGUAUCUAUACGUUUUCAAUAAAUUAAUUACGUAUUUAUAACAGUAAAGGAUCAGAUUGAACCAAAUCACGUUUGAAAUGAUGUGGUCGGUGAGCUUGAGUUGGACUGAGUCGUAUUUGAAUUGACAUAAGUUUGAUUGGACCGAAUAACAAUUGAGACUCAUGAGUAUCGUAUUUGUAUGUUUUAAGUAAAUUAAUUACGUAUUUAUAACAUUUCAAGUUUUUGGAUUUAAUGGUUAGCGUCAACCAUCUGAUAAAGAUCUUUUGAUGAGAUACUUUUAACUUUCAAUUUUAGCAAAUAGACAUUCUAAUUUUACCAAAUAAUUUAAUUGACUCUUUUCUUUAGUUAAAAUUAAUAUUUAUACAACCGUCUUAUUCUAUUAAAUAUGUAUUGUACAUAAUUUUAUAAAAUUUCAAAAUAUAAAAAAAAAAAAUUUAUUCUAUUCUAUCAUAUAUAUAAAAGGGAAAAUUUCAAAUACCUCUCUUGUGGUUUCAUUUUUUCUCACUUUAGUACUCUGUGGUUUAAAGUGUAUCAAGUUAGUACCCUGUGGUUUUGCACUUUUUCACUACAAUACCAUGUGGUUUAAAGUGUAUCAAGUUAGUACUAGGUGGUUUCACACUCUUUCACUUUAGUACCCUGUGGUUUUUACUUGAUACAAAAAUAAAAUCACAGGGUACUAACUUGAUACAAAAAUAAAACCACAGAGUACUAACUUGAUACACUUUAGACCACAGGGUACUAAAGUGAGAAAGUGCGAAACCACAGAGUACUAAUUUGAUACAGUUUAAACCACAUGAUACUAAAAUAAAAAAGUACGAAACUACAAGAGGGUUUUUGAAGUUUUUCCUAUAUAAAAACCACUAAAUGUUGAAGCUCUGUUCCAUCAACCAAAAUCGCUAUAUAAUUAAUAAGUUUGCUUGAGAAGAAAAAUCUAUUUGUAAAAUAGCUAAAAUUUUAAAAAAUCUCUGCUUAUUAUUCCUUUAAAAAUAAUGUUAAUUCCAGGAAGACCUGCACGAUGCCAAUCUUUUUUUUAUUUUUUGCACUGGUAAAGAAAGAGGUUAAAAAAAUAAAAAUUGAUUUAAAUGUCCUGUGGCCCUUACUAUAAUAAAGUUAGGAUGGUUUUGAUCUUCUACUCGUACAGCAGCAGCAUGAAGUUGUCCAGCGAAUUCAAGUAACAAAUGUUACAGUUUCUUCCAGAAAGCACUUCACUAACAGAAAAGAAGAAAAAAAAAGAAAAAAGAAAAAACAGAACUAUCAUUCAAAAUCAUAUAUUAAGUUGACAAAACAGCACCCAAUAAUUUGAAAUUUUUGCCGUGGAAAAUGGAAGAAGCUAACUUUAAUACAAGUUGAACUGGAAUGCUAUUAGAAGCAAACGGAGUUUAUUGCUACCCAUUUAUUUUCGAUGAUUAGGUCUACAAAUCGACGAUCAGUACCGUUGAACAUAAUUUAUACCACUUGAAGCAUCCAAGAACCAAAUUUUAUGUUAUUGCGAUAUUAUACUCUCGUCCGUCAAGUGAACAAAAAAAUGAACGAUUGAAAAUAAAUAUCUUUCGAAAAGUAAUGAUAGAAAUCUUAUAAUCAAAAUCAAAAAUAUAGAUCUUGUUUUAAAUAGCUAAAAAAAAUUUAACCAAAAUUCAAUUGAUUUGGAUAGUUUAUGCUAUUAAACGACAAAACAUCUCAUACUAACCGUUAAAAUUAUAAAUUUUGAAUCCCUCUUAUCAUUAGUCAAUAAUAUCGAAAAGAUUUAAAAUUUGAUUUCUAUAUACUUCAAGUAAUAUAGAUCAUGUUCAACGGUGCCGAUCGUCGAUUCGGAGCCUCCAUCAUCCAAAACAAAUGGAUGACAACAAAAUCCGUUUGCUACUUAUAGCAUUCCACUGCAACUCCUUUAAUACAACAUACAAACAAUAAGAACUAGGUGCUUUACACUCUGGUCGAGAUUCGUAAACGCAGCUGCAACUAUGAUCUUCUUUGGGAAACAAAAAGAAACCCCUUCUUGUGUCUCACUGCUAGUUUCACUGCUACAUCUGUGGAGAUUAGAAAGUAAAAUGCCAUGUAUAAAUGAUGCUUUUGCUAUAUAACGACCCUUCUAACUAAUCUUUCGCUCGCUUCCACACGAUUACAGUUCCAUCUGAAUCAGAUGAGGCCAACAAAUUUUCGCCAUGAUUCCAUGCGACUCCUAUUACUGGAGCACCGUGCCCCUGCAUUAACACAAGGUAUCAGUAUUGAGAGUUCACAUACUACACACACACACACACACACACAGACCUGUAGCUUAUUCACGCAGGCAUGCUUCGGCCGAGUCAAAUCAUAGAAGUAAACGUUCGAAUCCUCGCUGCCAGAGACUUCAUGUAGAGAAAGUUUGUUAAACAGUUAGACUUUAUAAAAGCUUCCUUCCAAAACCAGCACAAGCUAAGAUAGACUUAACACAAUGUAUCCCUACGUCCAGAUGUAAAAGCAUACAUAUUGCUUCGUUAUGUUGUAUUUUUUUCGUUUUUUUAGUACUCCCUGGUUAGAACGAAAACCAAAAUUUCAAACCUCGGAAUCGCUUAAUGGGGCCACCCACAGUUAAAAUUACUGUAAACUAUUCUAAAACUCAAUCAGAGACCACUCAAAUCUUUCUUAGAGAUUGACGACUUCAGAGGAUACUUGACUAGUGCUUAUUAAUACAAAAAAACAAUGGAAAGACCAGGAUUUUCGAGAGCUUACCUAUGAAUUCCCCUUUCUCAAGAGAAAGAAGCGGGCAGAAAGAAGCACGAAUACUGUGCACACGGGGAGCCAAUUUUAGAGAGCAUAGAAGAGUUAGGUACCCUUGAAUCUCCAAUGCAACACUGGACAAUAUCAUAGAAAAUGAGAUGAACUAGUAGAAUCUCAGUACAAAUAAAAUAUCUGUAAGUUUCAGGGAAAAAUACGUCAAACCCCUCUGAACAUUACAUCAACUGCACAGUACAACCGUUAAAAAAGUAACUUAAAAAAAACAAGAAAUAUUCUAUAACCGUUUCCAUGGACCACCCAGCCUUAAUUUCUGUCAAUUUCUUUAACUGUUGUUAGCACGUGAUUGUUUGAAGUUUGAACAUGAUUUCAAUUUUGUCCUCUGAUAACCAAUUGCAACAAAUUAAUCCCAGAAGUUUGACCCCAAUUUUAAUUUCAUCCUCUGAGUUUCAGUUUAGAACAUUUGUGUAGAUUUCAAUUGUCUCUGAAGUUUGACCGUGAUUUCAAUCCUGUUCGAGUUUCUACUUUAGCAAACAAAAAUCUAAUGAUGGCGAUGACAUGUCAUGUUUUUCAAACAAAAGACCUAUAUGAAGGGCAUAAUUUACAAUUGAAAUUAUUAGGACAUAACUUAAGUCGUGUUCAAACUUCAAGGACUACAUUUGUAAUUAACCCUGGUCCCCUUUUCUUUUACCCACUUAAGUUCAAAACAUUAUCUACAAUACUGCUAAAAUGUUUAGAGGGGUCUGGUAUAUUUGCCCAAAUCUCGUUGCACUACAACCCACAAAAAUACAACCUGAAGAAGCAAAUGUUUCCGUCUUGAGCACAUACAAGAACUACAGGACAGCGGGCCACAAGAGAAAAUGUACGGUACUGGAUAGUUGUGAUUGGAGAUUUGCUCCGGCUAUUCUUAUUCUUGUGGGACCUUGAUACUGACCCUGUAUGGGAGUUCACGCUAACCGUGUAUAUGUAUCCCUGUUGAAUGUUUUGUUUCAUUCAAAUUGCAACAUAUAGAUAUUAAUUUACAAAACAGAUAGGGUAAAAUGAAAAUAUGAACUACCUGAGCGUCGCCAGCAAAGAUAAGCUGGCCGGUGUGAUCAUUGUCCAUGGCGGUAAUCUUAUCUUCAAAGAGGAGUUUACUAAUUACUCUACCGGUACUAAAAUUAAUCACCUGAAUUGACAUUUACGCAAAUAUGUUCAGUAAGGUUUUCUUCACUUUGGGUAUGACUUUGAGACUUGCAGAUAGAAUUUAACCUUAGAAAUGUUAAUGAAUAGAACAUUAAACGGGAAGAGACAGAAAUUUACACUGAUUUCUUUAUUUGCAUUGCCAACUAAAAGUAAGUUAUUAUUCACCUGAAAUCAGAAAUAACAACAAAGAGAAUAAGCGUACAGUAUGUAACAACACAAUAGAAUAAAUCAUACAUGUUGGAUUCCUAGAUGAGUGAUAUUUCUAACUUAGAUGGAAAGAACUGAUUUCAGACAGAUAACAAAAAAGUAAGCUAUACAGCUCUUUAAACAAUGUGGGUUGUGUUAACCAUAAAGAACAGAAGAGAGACACAAAAAAAAAAAUACUGGUGGCAAAACCAGAAAAGAUCUAUUUGCAUAAUGUUCUUCAUAAAUGAAGAACUACUUUAAUUGAUAUUGGCAAAAGGCGAUAACCAUGUCACAAAUUUUUUUCUUCUGUUUCCUUGUUAUAUUCCUUUUCUUUAUUUUUGCAUUGGGUUGGGGGUGGGUGGUUCUUAAAGACUUCUAUUCUAGUUAAGUGAAGAUAGAGGACUUAACUGUUCUACCACUUACAAUCCGAUAAACCAACAGAAUAAGUAAAGAAAUAGAGAUGAAUAAGUUGACCUUUUUAUAUUCUAAUAAUACGAACAGAUCAAGCAAAUAACCGAAGCUGAAUGAGACAUGUUAUAAUAAUAUGACAAUUUUGGGCAAGACUAACAAAUUGUAGUCAAAUGACUACACAAAUAAGCAACAAUGCCUUUCAAAUACAAAAAAUAAUCAAACAUGGGCAUAGAAACUACCUCAAAGAUUAAAAAACACAUAAACGCAAGGGAUUGAGUUCGCUUGCUUAUUUUCUGAAUAUACCACAAUUUUAAACCAGAUUAAUUGUUCAAAUUUGUGGCCAACGACUACAAGGAAAAGCAACUCCAAAUACAAGAAAUAAAAAAACACAUCACAACAACAACUAAAAAAAUUACACAGCACAUAACACACAUUUAUACUUGCAUAGGUAGAUAGAUUAACACAUAUAUUUAUUCUUGCAUUGAUAUAUAUGGAUAAAUAGACAUAUAGAUAAAUAGAUAGAUUAAUGCACAUAUUUAUACUUGCGCGCGCGCGCGCACACAGAGAGGUACACACCGGGUGGAAACGAAUACACAGUUGGGAAGAAACUCCAUAUACUACCCGAAUGCAAUGACCUUUAGAAAUCUCCCAUACUCUCACAGUUUUAUCCAUUGAAGACGAAGCAAUGUACUGGUUGUUGGAUGAAAAAUCAAAAUCUGUAAUUUGGUUAGCAUUGACGAUAAAAAAUAAAAAAUGACAAUAAUAAAAAGAAAAAAAAAACAAGUUGCACUGCCUACGUAUGAGAAUUUACCUAAUUGUCAGUUGUCACAAUAUUGUAGUUUUAAAAAUAUAUUCCAUUUAAUUUAGCAGCUACAGGAUUGUUAAAAAUUCAUAGACCAACAUAGUUUUUUAGGCUAAAACUGAUUAAGUGCCAACAUAUUAAAUUAUUAAUAUUAAUAUAUAGAUUAAGGUGCAGUUAUCCAUAAUAUACAGAAAUGAAAUGAAAAUAAGAAUAAGAUAAAUAUGACUCAAAAAUGUAAUCGCACAAAACUGCUGUUAAAUCUACAUCUAAGACUAUCAACUCCUAUAUUAGAAAUAUCUAAAGUCAGCAUGUAUACAUUGAAUCUCAAUAAAUUAAAUCCAGAUAAGUGAUAUCUCACCCAUCGAUGUUAUAAUUUUUCUAUCAGAUCUGCUUUUCUUUUAACCUAUAGGAUUUGUAAGGGAGUUGCUCACAGCAAUUACUGGUCUAUCAAUAAGUGUAAGCCCUUUAUGGAAAGUGUACUAACAUUAAAGAGUAGCAAAAUUAUAGAUAUACUGUCAAAAACUUCAACAAUACUAAAAUUUGAUAAGAAAUUCGGAAUCAGUCAAAUGCAGUCUAACCUGUGAUGGCUUUUGAAUGUCCUCUUAAUUGUUGAAGGACAGAUGGCGGCUCAGAAACUUGACAGAUCGUCAAACUGCCAUCGGUUGCGCCAUAGGCAAGUAGAUCCGAACUCAUGUGUCCAAAUUUCAGAAUAACAACUAGAAACAUAAUAUAUCAUACAUUACUCUUUGAUAAUAAUACAUACAAAUAAUAAAAUGUGAGAAAAUUCUUAGCAAGUAUCAAAAAUCACCUGAAGCUUUGCAGUUGUCAAAAAUGCAAUGCAUUCCGACAAAAGAAUAUGCAGGCUCGGCAAAUCGAGUUUGGUGAUCCGAAUCACUGAUACUUGAGCCAAAACUCAAACGUCGACUAAAAGCUUGGCUGUUACUUCUCAAAUCCUGCAGUAAAACUCGACUACUGUGAACAAGAUUAUCAAAUGAAAACAAGAUUGUGUCAAACGAAAACUCCGGAAAAAACAUCUGAUGAUAGUUUUCAUACAUCAACAUACUCAUCAAAAUCCCAUAUAACCAAGUAACCAACUAAGUAACUUUAGAAAAGAAUGCAUAUAUACUUUACAAUAUCAAAAUUGCCAUACAUACUCUGCUAGAACUCCAGCUAUCUGUCUCAAACAGUAAAGAUUGGGGAGCAGAAAAUGAAGCCCAGCGUCCACUGGCACAUCAGCAUUACCUUGGCAUUAGAUUUGUGAAAGAAAAUUUGAUGCAGAUUGAAGAAACUUAAUUCAUAAGCACGAAAUUGUAAAGAAUUUUAGAAUAAGAAACUAUAAAUGGAUGUAAUCGGGCUAUCGCCAAAAACCAUCGCUUCAAACUGGUAAAUUAAUUGAACAAGUGAAGGCACAGCAGCAGCACCAUAACCACAAAUUGGGAAGUGGGAACCAUGAGUGUGGCAAUAUGUAUUUCCUAAUUCUAAAAUAGGUAACAAAGCCCAAGCAGAUAAAUUUUACCAACAUGAUCUAUUGCAUCUAGUGCAUUUUCUCUCCCUUGAGGGGAAUCAAACAGAAGCAACAGCAAAAUUUGCAGGAAUUAUUAUCAUAAACAACUUAUAAACUCAUUCAUCAUCUAAAACCAAAUGGGAAUUCGAAACUUCAGUAAGAGUUCUUUCCAUUUGUCAAAAUGCCACACAAAUAUUCGUUGUACACAUAUACUAUCCAAUAUGUAUUCUGAUAAGUGUCCUCACAUCAUACUACAAAAGGAAAACUUUAAGUUCUUCAGAAACUCCCACCAUUCGACAUAAUACUACGAAGCAACCGUAAACUGAACCAAAAUAAUACAUCAAACCAAAUCAAGCUACACAAUCGAAUCAAACCUGAUACGUUCUAAUGCAUCUGAUACUAAAUUGCUAGUAAAGGAAAAAAGGAAAACGAGUUGCGAUCACCGCGAACCUGUGGCCCGGGGUGCUCGGCUGGCUCGUCUGGCUCUCCCAGUUCUUCGGCCGCCGCAGGAAGUUGCGGUACGCCACGUACCCUCUCCCAUUGCACCUCCAAUCCUGGUUUCCCAGUACAAACCAACCCCAUAACAUUUCCAUGCGCGAGUUAGAGAUCAAACCCUAGGGAGAGAGAGAGAGGGAGAGAGAGAGAGAGAAAGAGACUUACCUUGCGGCGUUCGAUUGCGGCGGCGGAGGAGAGGGCCUUGCGGUGGAGUAGGAGGCGGCGGAUGGCGACGUAGUCGGCGUUGUGGUGGGUGAUCGGCGGCUGGAGGAGGCAGCUCACGAAGUCCGGAUCCGCCGCCGCCGCCGCCGCCGCCUCCUCCGUCGCCGCCGUGGGCUCCGUCUCCUCCGCCGACGCCGCGGCCGUCGCCACCGCGGGUUCCGGCGCCGCCGUGGGCUCCGGCGCCGCCGCGGGUUCGUCUCCUUUCUCCUCCAUGGGGAUCGGAGAGGACGUUGCUCCACGAGCUUCGCGUUUUGGAUCUCAUCGGAGGAGCUUUUAUUCGCAUUUUAGUUGUAUUAUUUAAAAAAAAAAAUUGAGCAAAAAUUACACUACUCUCGAUGUUUGAAGUUAAAUAUUAAUACUAAGGACGAAUCUAAAAUAUUGUUAAAACCAAAGCAAAUUAUUUUUUUUUACUUAUUUUUAUGAGGAGAUAUUCGUGGCGUGAGCUUUUUUUUUAAAAAAAAAAAAAAACAAACGUUGUAUUAAUCAUAUUUGUGAAUUUGUUCAUCCUUGAAAUAUUUAAACUAGGAUUCAAAAUUUAAUCAUGUUGAUUGUAUAUAAAACACAUCCAUCUUACACGAGUUGUGCUCGAAUCUUACAAAACUUCGAAUAUUAUUAAUUUUUUUUCUCAACUAAUUUUAGGUUACAAUACAAAACUAUCAAAAUCUUUGAAGUCUCAAUCUAUUAUUUCAUAAAUUGUAAAAUAACACACACACACACACACACACACACAUAUAUAUAUAUAUAUAGAGAGAGAGAGAGAGAGAGUAGGGCUACUAUACUCUUAUGAGUAUAGGCUCUUCGUACUCAUAAGUUGUUUUUGAUGAUAGAGCUUUCGAAUCGACGAUCUAUUCUAUUAAAUAUGAUCUAGAGUAUUUAAAACUUUUAGAAAAUAAAUUUCGUAAUUUUUCGAAAUCAUAAUAAAGUUCAUCAAGCGGACAUAAAAUGAACGGUCAAAAUCGAAAGACGUCCUAAAAAUGAAUGAUCAGACCCUUCAAUUUAAGAUCAGAGUUAUUGAUCUUUAUCUAGGUAGUGAAUAUACAUUUCUAUUAAAAAUUCAACCAAUUUCGAUUAUUUUACAUCGUUAAACUAGCAAAUAUUCAAUACCGGGCGUUAAAAAUUAUCAAUUUUGUGACCUUUUGAUCGUAAGGUAAAUAAUGUUGAAAAAUUAUAAAAUUUAAUUUCUAGACGUUUUAAAUGUUCUAGAUAACGUUUAAUGAUGUUGAUCGUCGAUUUGGAAGCUUUAUCAUCGAAAGCAACUUAUAAGUACGAAGACAAUCGUACUCAUAAAAGUAUAGCCGGACUCUCUCUCUCUACAUAUAUAAGCCUAAGAUAUAUAGAGUAAAACUGAAAAUAUUAUUAGUAGUAAACGGACUUCGUUACCAUUUAUUUAUUUUUGAUGAUUGGCACAGUUGAGAAUGAUCUAUACCACUUAAAUUAUUUAGAAACUAAAUUUCAGAUCUUUUCGACAUUAUUAGCCUAAUAAUAAAAAAGGUUUCAAGAACAAGAAUUAAAUUACAACAUCUAUUCAUAUUCCUUAUUCCUUCCACACCACACACACAAAAAAUAGAAAAUAAAAUUAAAAUAAAUCAAAUGAGUUCCAAGUCCAUGAUAUAAUGUUACAACUGAGAAUCUAGGAAGAAACUUUUUAUUGAAUUCAAAUCAGGGAAAAGAAAAGAAAAAAAAAAAAAAAAAAACUCGAGUUAUCGACAAAGUACGAAUCGACUAAAUAAAUGCAAUGAUUCAUAAACUCAAAGGCUUAUUUUUAUUUUGCGAAGAUCUACAUCGAAGAAAUGACGAUUACGCGACGUAAGUAUCAUCUGUAGUGUGCCAGUAUCUAUUAGUGAACCACAUCGAAUCAGCGGCCACCGCGUUCCCGUCGUGAUUCCGAUGCCAGGUAUAGUAAGCAUGUGUCUUGUUCUUGAUCUCGAAGAUGGCGUGGCCGAAGCUCGCCUCUCUAAAAGCCGAGUAGCUCGGCUGCGGCUCGGUCAUGCUGCGAAUUUUACGCGAAAAAUAAGUUGCGGAUUAGUAUCCUAUCGUCGAUAUAUGAAUCAUUCGGAAAAAAUCAUCUUACUUACUUGGUAGCGAGGCCUUCGAGGUUCCCUCCGUCGCCGAUGGUAACGUAAACCGGAGCCGAUAAAUCAGGAACCGGCGUACACUUUCCGUUCACAAUGUUAUAUGCAAUGUUCGAAAUUCUAUGCUGCGAAUGCGAGAGCAACAAAAGCAAAUCUCAGCUACGAAGUUUAACUCAGACAUUGUCGAAUGCGAAAAACAAACUUCGCGGUUCAUUUGAUUAACUAAAUAUGAGAGAAUUAGAGAAUAAGGAGAGGGUUUAGGGGCUCACGCUGCGUUCGUAGGCGUGGACGUGGCCUGCGAACACUACGUCGACUUUGUAUUGCACGAACCACGGCUCGUACAUCACUCUCAUGGUUUCGCCUUCCAUGUAAUGGUAGUUGUAGCUGUUGUACCACGGCGCAUGCAUGAGGACGAUCAACCACGGUGUCUCGCUUCGGUUCACUUUCGGUAGCUCGGCUUCGAGCCACUUGUAUUGAGGUGUGUACUUUCCUAAAAAUCAAAAUGGACAAAUAGUAGAGGUAGAAGAGAGAGCUCAAUAAGUUGGUGUGUUGUUAAAAUCCGAGAAAAAGGUUUUCGACGGAAAACGCCAUUUCCAUAGUUUUUGUUUUCCUGAUAAAAACGAAAAAACAAAAAGGAGAUUUUUCCGUGAAAUCUGAAAAAAAAAAAAAAACUACUUUUUGUGCGAACCAAAUAGACAAAAAGUAUUUAUCCAGCCAGAAAGUCAUUUUCUAGCUUUUUCUUUUUUCCACGGAAACAAAUACGUUCUUAAUGUUUGGAUGGAACAUAGAGUGGGGAAAGCGGUCGACAUCCCCGCAAUUCCACAAAACACACCUAAAAAGGAUGAAAUUCUCGCUUAGUAUCGGACGGUCAAAAUAUCCCCACGCGAACGUCGACUAGUGCUAUUGCCGUGGUUAAUAAAAUAUUCCUCAACCUAAAAAUCCUAAAAACCGCCAUAAACCCUAAACCCUAAAAAAAACCCAAGAAACCAAAUCAUAUUAUCUUAUUCGGGGUUGUUCAGUAUGAUUUUUCAGUUUAGAGCCAAAUAAGAACAUCGAAGCAACUCAAGCAGUGUUUGCGUCAACUCGUAUUUAACAACCGUGAAAGUCGUAUAAGACAUGAUUCGGUUAGUCGUACCGUACGCCGAAUAUGAAGCCAAAACAAUGAUGUAUGCCGAAGCUCUUUUAAUGGAAUACCAAAAUGGAGAUGUGCUACCGGAAGCCUUAUACGGAACAUGAUAUCGGUGUCGGUACGGUUUGAAUGGCUUAGUUUCACCCUGCAAAGAUACCAAGAAUUUUUUUAAAAAAUAAAAACCCAACUUUUCCAAAAAAUUGAAAAUUUUCGAAUGAGAAUAACAUUUCGUGGUAUUCAAGAACGGACUUUUUCGCAUUCUCUGCAAAUUACGUAGCACAUAACAUAGAAAAAAAAACUGGUAUAUAUAAGAUAAAAGUGUAAACUUGCAUAACAAGAAUAACUAAAUCAUAAAAACUACCAAAUUAUUCGAUUUUUCAAUUUUUUAAGAAAAAAUUCAAAUUUAGAGAUCAUUCUGAGAUUGUCAAAUGAAAUUAAGUUUGCAUGUCUAAGGAUUAUCUCUGAUUUUCAAUAUAGGUAUAAAAAUAAUCAAAUUAUUGCGCUCCUUCUUUGACUAUCUGACCUUUCAAAAUUUUGAUUUCGCUACUCAACCUUUCAAUUUGUUUGAUUCGAGUCGGUCAUCAACAAUUUGACUUCAAAAUUUAAGCAAAAUAUCUUACUUUAAUGAAUUCAUAGUUGCGAGAAUUGCAUAAAGUAUGUUUAAUAAACCUGUCAAGAUGAACAACAUAUUCAAAUUUUGAAGUCAAGAAACCGUUGACUAACUCAAUCAACUCAAGUGAAACAAAUUGAAAGGUUAGGUAGUAAACCAAAAUUUUGAAAGGCCGGAUAGUUGAUUCAAAAUUGUCCAUAGUUCAGGUAAGUUAUGUACAUUUUUACCUUAAAUUUACUUUCGCCGCAACACCAACCUAGUCUUAUACAUAGGAAGUAAAGCGCAACUCAUGAGUCAUACUACUCUGCUAAGUCUAUAUAUAUAUAUAGGGAAAACUUCAAAAAACCCCCCUGUGGUUUCGUAGUUUCUCACUUUGCCCCCCUGUGGUUUAAAAUGUAUCAAUUUGCCCCCCUGUGGUUUCUUUUUUCUUUUUUUCUUAUCAAUUUCAUUAUUUUUUUUUCUUAAAUCAGUUAUAAAGUUAAAAUUAAAGGGUACUAAAGUGAAUAUUUGAUAAAUCUAGAUGGGUAUCUGAAGUUUUUUGUAUAUAAUUUAAUGAAAUAUUAACGAAAAAGCUACCGAAAAGAUAAAAACGAAACCACAGGAGGGCAAUUUGAUACAUUUUAAACUACAGGGGGGCAAAGUGAGAAACUACGAAACCACAGGGGGGGUUUCUGAAGUUUUCCCAUAUAUAUAUAUGUGUGUAUGUGUGUGUGUGUGAGCAAUAAACUUUCCACACUCACAAUUUCGGGAGCGAAAUCGAUCUCGUGAUUGCCCGCAGUCCAAAUCCAAGGUUGAUAGGCGACGCUCCUCUCAACGAACCGCCCCCACGUAUCCCACCUCACGUUGUCGUGAUUUGGAUAGUUAUCUGCAUAAGAGAGGUCGCCUACGAAGAGCACCGCCUCCGCAUUUGGGUUCGACUGGUAAUGAGAAAGCGUAGAGUUCGAGUCAUAACUCUGACCAAGAUCACCUGCACAUAUAUCACAAAAACAUCAAAUGGUGGUGCAUAAACAAACACUCAUUGGACUUGGAAACGACUACUAAAUCCAUUCUCAGAUCAUUGCAUGUGUUCAAUCUCAAUUAUGCAAUUUUACGAAGCAAAACAUAUUCAUCCAUACAUAGUUUCGCAGAUAUUGUGAUGCUGUCGAAGACAAAGUAGUGAGAGGUGUUAUCAGGUUUCAACUUUCCAGCAAAACAAAUGAACAUAAUCUAGAGCUUACGCACUCGACUUCUAGUCGAAGACCCUAAAAGUUUUAAAUGAAUUUCAGAAAAACUACAAGCUAUUUAACGAUUUUAGUCGAUCAAAGGAGAUGGUGGAAUUACCGAUAAGGCCAAAAGUAUACGGAACAUCCGGACCGGGUUGAGGAGGAGUUUUGAACCAGAAUUGCCUCACUGUAUAACCAAUCCCUACUGCGUAAUAGUACUUCGUGUCGAACUGCAGCGCAAAAUAAAAUGAAAAGAAGUGUGAUCAUCCGUCGAUCGUGUACUGAAGAGGAAAUUCGUUGGUUAUGUCGAAAACGAAUGCGUGUAGGGGAGAUCGAUGCGCACCUUCAAAUCUUCGAGAGUGCAGUGAUGGAUAAAUCCCGAGGUGUAGUUGUAGAACUUGUACCGAGUAUAAGAUCCCUUAGCCGAGUACUCGAGCUUGUCCUUCGAAGUCCCGAAAAGAACAAUGCUAGAGCCGCGCUCGCUUGUAGUGACCCAUGAUACAAUCACAGCAGAGCCAUCAUGGUCCCCUUGAGUUAUAUGAACCUUCGCAAGAAAAAACCGAAAAAAAGGAUAGUUUUUUUUGUUCUUUUAAUGUAAUUUCGAUUAACAAAAUCCUAUUAAGAUGAGGAGAAAGAACAAACCAACAUCAAGUUUUAUAUAGGAAAAAGGCAAUGUGAAGAGAUUAAUAAGAACUCUGAAGAAUCACAAACAAAAUAACAAAAACAAAUUAAUGCUCAACUUGGGAGAAGAAUCUACAAAAUCAUAAAUUUAAAAAGCUAGGAUAGAGAAUAAAUUGAAACACCCAAAGAUACAAGUACUAGAGCAUAAGUGGUUUAAACAAUAUAUAUAUAUAUAUAUAUUGCAUUUUAAUAUAAUUAAAGCAUAUUUAGGCACUCAAAAAUAUAAAAGAUUGGAAAAGAAAAAAAAAAAAACAAGAAUCAGGUAUGAACAGAUAAAUGAAAAUGUAUUUAGCAUAGCAUUAAGAAACAAUUAAUUGAGAUUACAGUGAACAGAUAUGGAUCAUGCAUUCAUUCAUGUUUCAUAAUCUAUAACUACAUGAACCAACAUAAAAUCAGAAAAACACUAUCAUUCUCAUCAACAGCAACAAUAAACCCACUUGGAUUGAACUAGAACUUGGCGCGCACACAAAAAAAAAAAAAAAAAAAAAAAAGAACUCCUAAAUGAUCACAAAACCGAAAACCCAAAUAGAUGUAAAGAUCAAAAGAAGAGUUUUGGAGCCAAAAAAUUUAGAACCCCAAAAAGGAGCAAAUAACUUUAUCUCUCUAUUUCUAAUCCCAAGAAACCCAAAUAGAUAUUGAGAUCAAAAGAAGAGAUUUUGAUCCCAAACACAAUUGAAGGAUUUGACACAAGCGUAUCACAAACCUUAAAAAUUCAAAUGGGGAAUAAGAUCAAAGAGGAUCUUUUGAACCCCCAAAAGGGAGCCAUCUCUCUCUCUCUCUCUCCCCCUCUCCCUCUAACGGUCUAACCCCAAAAGCCCAAAAGAAGAGGUUUUAAACUCAAAAAGGAGCCACCUUUCCUUCUCUCUCUCUCUCUCUCUCUCUCUCUCUCUAACUCCACAAACCCAAAAAUAGAGAAUAAGAUCAAAAGAAGAGAUUUUGAACUCAAAAAGGAGCCACCUUUCCCUCUCUCUCUCUCUAUCUCUCUCUUAUACCUGCUGCGGAGCAUUGUAACCGGGGGGUACACGGAACACAUCGCUGUCCAGGGGCAUAUCAACGGUGGCCGCGAGCUUCCUCACGUACCUGCUCGUGACUCCUCCUCCAUCGCACCUCAACGCGAAAACAACGAAGAAGAAGAAGAAGAAGAGACCCAAUCGCAAACAGGGGAGCUUAGGCGCCCUGCUUCGGCCCAUCCUCUGUUUCCUCUGUUCUGCGGCUUCUGCUGUGGAGAGAAUCCCAAAUGAUGGAGCGAGGGGUUCGGGGCUUCUCCCUAUCGCGUAUAUCAGUAUAUGGAACGUGAAGAGCGAGGGGAAUAUCCCAAGAAGGUGCGGAGAUAUCGCAUUAAAUACGCAAGCGAGAUGGAGAGAGAGAGAGAGAGAGAGAGAGAGAAGGGGAAAUGGGAGAAGGAAAAAAAAAAAAGAAACAGGGUAGAGUGAGAAAGAAGAAAGAUAAGAGAGAGAGAGAGAGAGAGAGAGAGAGAGAUAAGGAUUUGAAUGGAAUUUUCUCCUCUCUUUUUUUUUUUUGGAAGGAUUUGAAUGGGAUUUUUCUGGGUUGGAUGCAUUAGCUGACUUUGGAAUUCACACAAAUUAUAAAAGAAAAUAAAAAAAAAUUAAAUCAUUGAAAUUCACAUGCAUUCGGAUUGAGGUUGGGAGGCCAUUUUUGGGAUUUUUUUUUAUAUUUGACCCUGUCAAAAAAAAAAAAAAUUAUAAAUAGUUCUAUUAAAUUUAUAAUUAUAAAUUUGAUCAUAUCCUCCCACAUAGCCGCCACAUCAGCGCAAAAUUAAACACAGUGGAUUAUUGACCGUGUUUUGCGUGUUCCAUAUUUAUAUUCUUCUUUUUUUUCUCUUCAAUAUUUAUAAUUUUUUGUAAUAUAUAUAUUUUUUCUAGACACGAUGAAGCAUUCAUCGUAUUUGAACACAUUUACCGUGUUUAGAUACGGUGUAGAUCAACUUCAACGGCUCCGAUCAUCGAUUCGGAAUCUUGAUCAUCAAGAACAACUUGAUAGAACAAAUGCUCAUAUCAUAUUAAUAAGAUAGUAGCAUUAGCCAUAUAUAUAUAUAUCACUAUAAAAUAUUAAAUUAUAUAUUUACACUCACAAUUUUAGUUAUUACAUAUAUUCCUCUCUCUUUGUUUACAAAUUAAAUAUCUUUUUAACUAUAAUAAAAGAUUAUUUAUUAUUUUUAAUAUUUUUAUUUUAACUUUUAUAUUAUUCUACGUGAAUCGUAAAAUUAUAAAUUCUAAGCAAAAUAUUUAAAAAAUAGUCCAAACAGUAAAAAUUUAAUGAACAACUAACAAUAGUCCAUCUAUAUGAAUAAAUAGGCAUAUUUUUUAGUUCUAAUAGAAAUAUAUUUGAUAAUUAAAUUAUAUAGAAAUAAAUUAGUAAUUUCAAAAUCCAAAUAAAAUUAUCUAAAAAAAGCAAAAAGCCACAAAUUUCAUCACCAACUCCUUACUAUCAUUCAUCUACACAUAUAAAAUCGGCUUUUUUUUUUAAAUAACUUUCACUUAUAUAUCCCUUACUGCUAUUCAAAAUUUGUAAAUUUAUUUUUUAUUUUUUAAAAUAUAUUUUUAAAAUUUUAGUUAUAUUUUGAUCAAUGAGAAAUAAAUUAAAUAUUUUAAAAAUUUUGAACUCCUUCACUGUAUAACGGUCAACUCAUUAUUAAAUAAGUGGGGCCCACUUUUAUUAUUGGUCUAAUAAUAAUAAUAAUGUUUUUUUUAAAAAAAAAGGGGGCUUAAUCAUAAGAGUGCUUAUUUGUUAAUACGCUCACGUGUUUUGAUACAAUCCACGUUAAUAAGACGUGUUUAAACUUGACACGUAUUAAUUAUUCAUUAUUAAUAUUUGAUUAAUUAAUUAAUAAGAAGCAGAGAAGCUUCACUACUUUCACACGCACGUGGGAGCCACAAGUUGACCAUUUAUUUAUUUGGAUUAAUUACAUAUAGCUACUUGUAAAUAUAUGGAAUAAUAAAUACAUCCCUAUAAUGUUCAACUUUUUAUACUUGUUCCUACAAAAGUCCAGAUCCGUUAGAAAAAAAUAUAGUUAAUCAGAGUCCGGCUAUGAUGCUUGUAAAAGUACAAAGUAUUUGGUGCUUGUAAAUUUUUUGCUGUUAGAUCUACGCCUUUAAUCAUUUUCACCUGUUAGAUUAUACCAUUCAACCAACCACCCAGUUAACCCUAGGGGGCCCACAUCAUCUUAACCGCACAUUCCUUAAUCCAAGGGCUAAAAACUUACAAGCACCAAUGACUUGGUACUUUUAAAAGUAUAUGAGCUCAAUUUUAGUUAAUCAUACAUAAAAUACUUAACCCUGAUUAGUGAAUAUGAUAAAUUGACAUUUUUAGCCCUUUUAUAUUACUUGUGAUGGUAGAAAAAAAGAAAAUGAUUGUUGGAGAUUUUUAGAAGGAUAUUUCUGCAUAAUUCGAACAGUUGGUGCUUUUGGAGGAAUAUAUUUGCAAUGGCAAAAAUUUCAUUUUACUUAUUUUCUAUUAAAAAGUAAGCAAUUCUCUAACGAUAACAAACGAAAGAGUCAAAUAUGAAUAUCACAGGACUUUUGCAGAGAUAAACAUGAAAAGUUAAAGUUUGUAGGGAUAUAUUUGCUAUUCGAUAUAUUUACAAAGAUCUGUAUGAAAUUAAUCCUAUUUAUUAUUGAACUAUUUAUGUUAUUUAAUUAUGGGUAAAUUGCAGAAACUAUACAAUGGGUGGCACUUUAAUUCUCAAUUUUUAAUUUAUUAUAAUUUUUUAUUUGUAUUUUUAGAAAUAUUAUAAUAUUAUAAUAAAGGCUUAUAAUCCAAUUUAAUUGGAUGCAUAUUAUUAUAUCACUAACAUACAAGGGACAUAACAGUGUUAUGAUUAAUGAUGCGUCAAUAAUUAAGAUGUUACAUUUCUUUUACAUGAACGAUAUAUUAAAAUUUAGUAAAUUAAAUUGAAUUAGGGGACUUAAUUAUAAUAAUUUUGAAAAUUUGAGCUAGAAAUUAAAAUUUAAAAACUAAAGUGUCACCUGCGGCGUAAUUUGAAGACCAAACAUAUAAUUUAUCUUAUUAAAAAUAUUGUAUUAAACUUUGGUAAAAACGUUUAAAACUUAUCUCAACUAUCACCAAUUUUGGUCUAACUAUCUGAUAUUUAAAAAUUUUAAUUUUACUAUCGAACCUUUUAAUUUAUUUUAUCUGAGUCAAUCAGUGAUCUUUUAAGUUCAAAAUUUCAACGCAUCGUUUAUCUUAACAGGUUUAAUUAAUAUAUUUUAUAUAAUUUUUGUAACUAUAAAUUUAUUAAAAUAAAUAAUUAGCUUAAAUUUUAUAUUCAAAGAGUCAUCGAAUUAUUUUAAUCAAACAAAUUGAAAAGGUUGGGUGUUAAAAUCAAUAUUUUGAACGGUCUGUAACAAAAUCAAAAAAGUUUCUAAUUCAUAUAAAGUUUUGGGAAAACUUCAAAAAACCCCCUUGUGGUUUUAAUUUUUUUCACUUUAGUACCCUGUGGUUUAAAAUGUAUCAAGUUAGUACCUUGUGGUUUCUCACUUUAUCACUUUAGUACCCUGUGGUUUAAAGUGUAUCAAGUUAGUACCCUGUGGUUUUGCAUUUUAUCACUUUAGUACUCUGUGGUUUUGAUUUUGUAUCAAAUUAGUACCCUGUGGUUUUUUAAACUAUAGGGUACUAAAGUGAUAAAGUGUGAAACCACAGGGUACUAAAGUGAUAAAGUAUAAAACCACAGGGUACUAAUUUGAUACACUUUAAACCACAGGGUACUAAAGUGAUAAAGUGAGAAACCACAGGGUACUAACUUGAUACACUUUAAAUCACAGGGUACUAAAAUGAAAAAGUAUGAAACCACAGAGGGGGUUUUUGAAGUUUUCCCUAAAGUUUUAUACGUUUUAACCUUAAACUUUUCUCAACAACCUUUGUUUACUGUAGUGUCAAAAGUUUUAAAUUGGAGAUUUUUACCUUUGAGCAUUCAAAUCCAAUUUCUGUUAGGUUAAAAUGCAUAGACACCCCUUGAACUUUUAACAUUUUUUGAAAUUGACCCUUAAAAACUUUUUCUUAUUUGAUUUACACCCCCCAUUAGUAAUUUUGGAGAAUUUGUUAGAAUCGAAUACUCAUAAGAGAUGCGUGCGAUUAAAAUUUACUUUUUCUUAAGGUAGAGCAAUUUUGCAUUUUUUUUUUUUUUGAUUUUCACUAAAGCAAUUUUUGAUCACCUGUGAUCCAUCGUAGGCGUUUAAUACUAACAAAUCUCCAAAAUUCCUAAUGUAAGGAGAACCUAAAUCAAAUGAUUUAUAAAUUGAGGGGUCGUAAAUCAAAUAAAAUUGAUUUCAGGGUCAAUUUCAAAAUGAGUUACAGUUCAGAUAAUAUCUAUACAUAUUAACCUUUAAAAUUCUUUAAAAUAUUAUAGUUAGCCCUAAUAAGUACUAUUCAUAAUUUUCAAGGAUAUUCUAAAAUUACGAAAUCUAUCUAUUACUAUAUACUAAAGUAGAACCCUUAAUGAACUCUAUGUAAAAAGCUGACACGUGGCGUUUUAUAUGUUUGCCACGUGUCAAGCUCAAAUAUAGAUUUUUUAUUUUAGAAAAAAAUUUAGAUUUUUUAAGAAAAUAAUAUCUUUUAUUAUAUAGAAAAUCUACGUGUUAAGCUCAAAUAUAGAUUUUCUAUUUUAGAGAAUAUUUCAAAUAUGUUUGCCACAUGGCACUUUAUAUGUUUGCCACGUGUCAAGCUUAAAUAUAGAUUUUUUAUUUUAGAAAAAAAAAUUAGAUUUUUUAAGAAAAUAAUAUCUUUUACUGUAUAGAAAAUCUACGUGUUAANAAGCUCAAAUAUAGAUUUUCUAUUUUAGAGAAUAUUUCAAAGUCACCUAUAAUUAUGUUGUGCGGAUAUUACUACUUUAGGGAAUAUGACUACUUUAGGAAAAAUAAAAUUAAAUUUUUUAAGGAAAUAGUAUCUUUUACAAUAUUAUUAAAAAUCACCUAUAAUGAAUGAAGGUGAUUUUAUUUCAAAGUCACCUAUAAUUAUAAUUAUGUUGAGAUAUUUGAGAAAUUUAUGGAUAUUAUGUUGCGAAAGAAUUGGCGGUGCGGAUAUUACGCGUGAGAAGGAAAAUAUUUAUCUUUAUUUUGGAAUAAAUUAUUACUUAGUUAAUUAUUUAAAAUGAUUGGUUGAAAAUUUCUAGACAUAAAAAUAUUAGUAAAAAAUGAUAGAGGCAUUUUUGGUAAGAGGAAAAAAUUUAAAACUCACAUCACUCCUGUAAUUUUCUUCGCUCUUAAAUAUUGAUGCUUUAAAAUAGAACAUAUUAUUUCCCUACUGUCACUUCUGUAAUUUUCAUUUCGUAAUUUUUUUUCCUUCUGUCACUCAUGUAACUUUUCAUCUUUAUGCAACAAAGUUUUUUUUCUUUAUAUUUUCUGGAAACCAACAUCUAUACAUUUUUGAAUCUUAAAAGUGAUAGUAGGAACAUAAUAUAUGCAUGCUUAUUCUAAUUUGUAUCAAAUAUGAAAGUUUAGUUGAUUUCAUUAUAUGCUUAAAUAUUAAUAUCAUUUGUAAUUUUUCAUAUCAAUUUUAGUUAUCAUUUUAUUUCGCACAUCAAUAUGUAAUGUAAAUUAUUUUGCAUACCAAUUCAUAGAUAAUAGAGCAGGAUUGAAUUUUGCAUUUUAGUUGAAUAUUUAUUUUGGUCCAAAUUUUUUUUUCUCUAGCUUGUGUACUUUAAUAUGUACUAUAAUUAAGGUUGAUAAUAUAUUUUUUUAUUUGUUAAAAAAUAUAAAAUUAAUUAGAAAAUCUUUUUGUUAUCAUCACAUAAUAAUUUUUAUUAUUCUAUAUUAUUAUAUUAGCCGUGCAUCGCACGGGUGAAAAUCUAGUUUUUUUCUAAACUCCAAAUCUCAUUAGUAAAGGGAUAACCCGUUACCCGUUUGGUUCCCCUUAUCCCAUCCCUUAUACCCAAACAAAAAAAAAAAGAGGAGUGGGAUAACCCGUUAAGGGGUGGAAUAGCAAUCCCACCCGGGAUAACCUGUUAAGGGGUGGGAUAGCAAUCCCUCCCCUCUCUCAGGUAUAGGGGUAGGAAUAGAAUAGCUAUUCCCACCCCUAUUUAAUUUUUAAAUUUAAAAUUUAAAAUUUAAAUUAUAAAUUUUUAAAAUUUAAUAAUUUGUAAUCUUAAAAUUAAAAUUUAUAUUUUUAAAUUCUAAAUUUUAAAUUUUAAAUUUUAAAUUGAUAUAUAUUUAAAUUUUUAAAUUUAAAUUUUAAAAUCUUAUAUUUCUAAAUUUAGCCUUGAUCUUAAAUUUAAAAUUUGAAAUUGAAAAUUUAGAACUUUGAAUUUUCGAAUUUGAGAUUUUUUAAAAAUUUAAAUGUUAAUUUUGUAUUUUUGAAAUUUAAGUGUUAUAUAUUCAAAUUUAAAAUUUUAAAUAUAAAAUUUAAAAAUUUUAAUUCAAAUAUAAUAAAGAUGACAGUAUCAUUACUAUCCUUCUUAUUCCACUUACUUCAACCAAACACUAUUUUGCUUACAUCUAGACUAAACUCAAUACUCAACCAAACACAAAAUUACUCUAUACCCACCUUAUACCUCAUCUUAUAUCUAUCCCUGGAAUAAUUAGUUCUUAUUUAUACCUGAACCAAACGACAAGAUAUUUGAAAGUUUUUUUGAAAAUUAAUACGGAUAUUUUGGUCAAUCAGAAAUAUAUUACAUAUUUUUAAAAUUUUGAAAAAGUAUAAUAUUAUUUAAAUAUUAUUUCUUAAAAUAGGAGGACCAAUUGGACAUGCCUAAUAAGCUAAAGAUUUGAAGAAUCUUUGUAGUGUGGGACUAUACACCCAGUUGCCCACCACUACUCUUUUUUGGUUAAAGUCGGCGACGAUUUGCGUGGCCAGCGUUUGAAUUCGGCGCCGAGAUGCCAACUGAAAGAUUCACACAUGCCCACUUUUUCAAAUUUGAAAACUGCGCUGGAGGGGCCUGAAAAGGAUAUUAUGUGUGGUGGUGGUGGUGGUCUCGGAUUUACAUCUUUAUUUCAGUUAUGACUUAUGUCCAUCCUAUCUUUUAUUUAUUCUUUACAUAUAUUUAUAUGGUCAGACAUAACUUAUCUAAACUAUAAAUCAUUUUAAAUUAGCCAUAUAAUUUUUUAAAUUUUAAAUUUUACUAUCUAAUUUUCAAUUUGUUUGAUUUUAGUCGGUCAACGACACAUCGACUUCAAAAUUUGCAACUUAGGCUUCGUUCAGGAUUGCAGGGAAAUUGCGUUACGUGCGAUGAGAAAGAAUGUUGAAAGAAUGUUGAAAAAAUAUCCUGUUUGGCUCCGUACGUAAUAUUGCGUCCGCUUUUCUACGGUCCCACUGGAGAACGCAGAAAGAUAUCCCUAUAUAUUUUUUCCUCAACUCCAUUUUAUCUUAUAGCGUUAAAUAGGCCUCAAUAUCAAACUAAGCCUUACAGUAUUAAUUUCAUAAGCUUUCUUGCCGUUGUCUGAAAGGGACCACAGACAAUGAUAAGAAAAUCUACUGUGAGUUGCAAAUUUUGAAUUAAAAGUGUCGUUAACUUACUCGGAUCAAACAAAUUGACAGCUUGGGCAGUAAAAUCUAAAUUUUGAAAGAUUAGAGCCAAAUUAAAAUCGUCUGUAGUUCAAAUAAGUUCUAUAUGUUUUUACCAUAUAAACAGAUAAAAAAUAGGUAAAAACGUUUCAAACUUGCUUAAAUUAUGAACUAUUUUGAAUCGACCGCCAAAUCGGCCGGUUCACUGAUUGAGUCAAACGAAGGUUUUUUGGAUGGUAUUUUGAUUUUAAGAUAUUGAUCAUUUAAAAUCAAUUGAAGAAAGAGAGUGUGUGCCUAAUUAUUUUUUUAGAAAUGAACUUAGCUGGAAGUAUAAAACGAUUAUGCUAUGAACUUGGGAUCUCGGGUAUCAUCCAUCGAGCCCUUUAUCGCCUGCACUAAAAAAACUGUAAGUGAGAAAAAUUAAAUAGUAAAAUACAUGAAAAAAUUGGGCUCUACGCAUUGACCGUCCCUAGCGCAGGUAGAAGCGGGGAACAGCAUGAUGCUAGCUUUGGCCUAAAAAAAGGAAAAAAAAAGAUGUGAUACGAUUCUGCAUCUAAAAUUUUAGGGGUUGACUUUCCAUUAGAAUUUGAGGUAGUAAACUGUUACUACUAUAUGAUGAGCCCGUUUGUUUAUCCGUAAUCGAUUUUCGGAUUGAAAAUAACUUUCAGUUGAACUUAAAUUUAUGCGAAAAUUAUUUUUUCUUGCUAUUUGUUCGAUAAGAAGCCAAGUUACAGAAACUUUUCACUUGAAUAAUUUAGGUCCUGAUUUCCCCUGAAAUUAUCACCUGAACUUGGUUCUUCAACUUCUGCAUAUUUCUGCAAUCAUAUCGCUGAUCUCGACUUUCUGCAAUCGCAUCCCUUAAGAUAACCAUCUUCACCCACUUCCAAGAGUAAAUUGCACUGUCGGCGCACAAACUUCUAGCAGCAGUUUCACUUCAGUCGCAAAACUUUGAUAAAUGUUUCCAAAUAGCACUUUCUGUCAAUCCACAUUGAAGUUCACCAACAGCGACGGCGACAUGGCUGCCCCGAAAAUGUAAACCAGCUUACAAAGAGUUUUCUCAGAAGCGCGCAAACUCCGUCUUUCGGCCAUGUCGCCGUCACUGUUAGCGAAUUUGCCAAGAACUGACGGAAAGGAUGCAAUUUGAAACAAGUCCAAGUUCGAGGGUUCGGUCGUCCGCUUUGAAGUUUCAGGACAAAAGUGAAGCUCCGCUAGAAGUUUGGCGCGAGCAGUGCAAUUUAAUCCCAGUUCUAGAAGAAGCUGAAAUGAGUAAGCCACUCUAACAACACAAAGUUCUGCACGCAAAAUAGAAUAAAGUAUCUUUGUUCUGCUGCUCCAUAAUACAUCUAACAAAGACAUGACAAAAACAAGCUCUUGUGUAUUUCGCUCGAGUCUCCGUAUACACUCUUGUAGAUUGCGGACAUUUGCAAGAAGGACAGCUUGCAGAUAGACUAUAGUACAGUACUGCCGCAUGUAACUACCGAUCUUGGAAAGAUGCGUUCAUGAGGUUGAUCGCCGAAUCCAUGAACUGCAAAAGGCACAAGUGUAAGUUACUCUAGUGGUAAGAAAUUGUGAAGUGCUGCAAGUAUGCAAAACGCCGAAAGAAGUUGUCAUAUUACUGUAGCUGUUAGGCGCUACAUGAGUCAUUGUAGUAGAGACCAACUAUUUACAGUAUGGGAGUCAUUAGUAGUAGCUAACAUAAAAUUAAUUAUCAUAAAGGAUGCAAAAAGGCUAAGAUGCUGCAAAGUCUUGAAGAAAAGAGAGAGAGAGAGAGAGAGAGAGAGAGAGAGAGAGAGCACCUGAGCCAAGAAGGCAGUAAUGCAGGACUAAAACAAUGCGAAAAAAAAUUGGAGUAUAAUCACGAGAAUUUUUUGUAAAUAUAAAUGCUAAUCUUAUUAGAGAGAGCAAGUCGGUAGUUUUUAUUCACUCAAAUUGUGCCUAAGAAAGGAAUAACUUACUUUUACACCGGAAAUUUUAAAUGUUGCGACUUAAAGAUUGUGGGCAUUAUUGGGGGAAGAUUACAUAAGGUGCUCCUUAUUGAAGAUUGUAUUAGGGACUGGAUUCCCCUCAUCCAACUUGUCCUCUCAGUCCAAGCAAUUAAGCCAACUUUUUAAGAAUAUUUUUUGAAUAGCGAAAAGGACAGACUAAUUUGAUUGCUUGGAUUGAAAGGAAAAUUUUGAUGAAGAGCAUCCAACCCCUCACACAUUUUUAUAUAAGAAGCACAUUCUAGCCCGAAAUUUUUGACACAUCAUGUUUAUGAAACAAAAACUACAAAACUGGGCUUUCCCUAUUAUCUCUGCACCAAGCCUCUCUCUCUCCCUCUCUCAAGUUUUGACACAACAUGUUUACGAAACAUAAACUACAAUGAGCUUCCAUAAACUACAACUCUCUCUCUCUCUCUCUCUCUCUCUCUCUCUCUCUCUCUCUCUCUCUGUGCAUACUCAGGGUCUCUAAUUUAGCAGUCUCAGGGUCCACACUCCAAUCUCUCUCUCCUUCUGGGCUUAGGCAUUCUCAGAGCCUCCAAUCUCCCCCCACUGUAUCCCUCAUACAAUCUUGCAUAAGUUCUAGAAAUUUUGCAUGGUAUUAAAAGAAACACGCCAACUCUUUCUCAAGAAGAAAUGAGAAAUAUGUCCACAUCAGUCAUUCGACUGGUCAGUUCCCCGGCUACCUGCUGUUAACUUACUUUCAAUCCUACCUCCAACCAAUCUAACUCAAAAAUAAAUCUGCCAUAUGUUUACGACAUUAGGUUAUGGAUGUCCUGUAGUUUACUAUUACUUUAGCGAAAAGACAAUACUAUUCUCUGAUUUGCUUCCGAAGAUCGAAUAGUCGAGUUACAAAGUUACCUUUCCAAUGGACCGUAGCUCCCGUCCAACAGGUUCCAGAAAGUUAAAGUUGACAUCAAUAGGCCAGACCUGCAUACAAUUUGAAAAAAAUGGUGGCGCUACUCAAAAACUUAUGGAAACUCAGAAUGCAGAUCUUGCUAAGCACGAAAUAAUAAAAAGCGCUAGUGGCAAUACCGCACAUUAAAGCUCAAAUUUCAGAAAAUAUUAGCCGCAUACGCGUGUAAAUCCUAGGCGCUAGACGGAAAAUAGGACCCAGUAAUGUUCUUUCUAACUUUUUCUCCAAAUAAAUUACAGAUUUGGUUAAACCUAAUGGUCAUCUUGAUAAAUUUAACAGUUAAAACACUUCUCCAUCUGAGAACUAAAAACUCCUCUCUCUCUCCUCCGCUCUCUGUUCAUCUCUUUCCUAGCAAACCAAACAUGUAUUCUUCAAAACCUAUCAUCAUAGACAUAAAUAUUUUUCGAACAAAAAACACUUUUUUCGUGAGAAAUCAAACACCACCUUAGAGAGAAGAAAGAAGGAAUGUUGCAAUAAAGGGUUUAAUUUGUACAACAGUAAAUUAUUUAUCAUCAUUUGAUAUGCACAAGUGAGAAAAAUAUUUAUGUCUAUGAUGAUAGGUUUUGAAGAAUACAUGUUUGGUUUGCUAGGAAAGAGAUGAACAGAGAGCGGAGGAGAGAGAGAGGAGNCACCUUAGAGAGAAGAAAGAAGGAAUGUUGCAAUAAAGGGUUUAAUUUGUACAACAGUAAAUUAUUUAUCAUCAUUUGAUAUGCACAAGUGAGAAAAAAAAAAAAAAAAAGAAGCUAAAUUUCGGAAAUUUAUAGUCGAACCUUCAAUCCCAGCAGCUUAACCGGCGUAAUCUGCCCCGGCACAACGCAAUCCGGCCCCGCCGCCUCAAGCUUCGCCUCCAUGGCGAAACCCUCACCCACCGGAUUCGGAUGCUAGAGACGACGAAACGGAACGAGACAAAACAACAAAUCAGAGCCUCGGAAACCCUAGUAGAAGAACCGCAACCAAAAGAGAUCGGGUUCGUACCCUCAUCACGGCGAGGGCGUGGCUGGUGCUAGGGUUCUGGGGGACGCGGAGGAGGGGGCCGUGGUGGAUCCUCGGCACCGGCUUCUUCCCCCCGCCGGGGGCGACCCGCCACGGCACGUCGUCGGCGAGGAGCGCCCUCUUCGACGACGCGGCGGCGGAGGCGGCGGUGGCGGUCGACAUCGUCGUCGUCGGCGUCGGCGUCGGAAUCUCUGGAUAAAGUGUAGGUGGCGGAGGUUGUGUUUGUGUUCUUGUACGUACGUUCGACUUCGCUAUAAGGCUUGGUUUGGGUGGGGCUGGGUUGGGUUUUGUUUUUAGGGCUUGGGUUUUACUUUCUCUUGCAUCUACAUGGAUUGAUGUGUUGUGAUUUUGUGGAUGAUGAUUUUUUUUUUUGCUUUUUCUUGGAUAAGAUAUUACAGAAAUAUCUAUCAUGUUUUAACGGUCAAUUAAAUUUAGUAACACUAACAAAUAUCGUUGGCUAAAAAUUUAAUAGUUAUUAUAUGAAGUUUCAAGUUCAAUAUCUAACUAUUUUAUAUUUUUAGUGACGGGAGGAGCACUUUAGACUGCCAUCGACGAAAGGUGGAAGGAACGCUCGAGACCGCCACCGGUGGUAGAGACAUGGCAAAAAAUGUGACUUAUGGUAUGAAGGCGACGGAGGCGGAAGGAGCGUCGAGACUGUUGUCGGUGCAGGUGGGAGUAGCGCUCGAGGCUACCUUCGGUGGUGGAGACAUAUCACACGAUCAGGGGUGGAGUCGAGGAGAGAUAAGAUUUUUAAGGUAUAUAGAUCCUUUGGUCUAUUUUUCAAAAUUUUGAUUCUAACCUGAAAAACAAAACCAAGAAAGUGAACCACUUUUAGGGAUGUCAACGGGGGCGAAUUUUCAAAAAUCCUAACCCGAACCAGACUCCAAACUUGAAACCCGAACCCAAACCUAAAUCAGAACCCGACAGAUUUUAAAAAUCCAUAUCCAAACCCUAAUUCGAUCAAAAAUCCGAACCCGAAAAUCCGAACCCGAAACAAUUGUUUCUCUUAAUUUCAAAAUAUAUUAUAUUAAAUAUAAUUUUUAAAAUAUAAAUUCAAAUAUAACAUUAAAUUUGUAUAUACAUAUUAUAUAUAAUGUAAAAUAAAUUCGGGUUUGGGUUUAGGUCGAGUACAAUCAAAAUCCAUAUCUGAAAUCAUAUUCGUCAGGUUUUUAUUUUUAACAUCCAUAUCGAAAACUAUAUCUAUUUAGUAUCAAAUAAAUUCGCUCAGAUCGGAUUCGAAUAAAAUUUUGGGUAUUCGUACUCAUUGACAUCUCUAAAGGUGUCCGUGGAGGCGAGGACCGGAUCAGGUCUGAAUAGUUGAUAUACUGUACCUGUAUCCUUAAAAAAAAUUGUUAGAGAAAAAAAAAAAACAAACCCUACCUAUUUAACUUCGCGUUGGAUCCAAGUCUGGGUACUUAAAUUACUAAUAUACCCAUCGGAUCUAUUUGAGCGGGUUUGAAUAGAGAUUACCCGUAUACUACCCAUUCAAAAUAGGGUUAUGUAUAUAUAUAUAUAUAUAUAUAUAUAUAUAAUUAUGCUACUAUACUAUCAAUAGUACCAAGCCCUUGGUACUAUUAAGUUUUCGGCCGUUGGAUGAAAGGAUGUGCGGUUAGGAUGAUAGUGGUCCCCGGUUAAAUUGAUAGUGGUCCCCUAGGGUUGAGAGGGCGAUUGGUUUAAUCGUAUAAUCUAACGGGUGGAAAUGAUCAAAGGGUANCGCAAUCAGCGACACACCCAAAAUAGUCCCCGAAAUUGGCCUAUUUUGGCCUUUCGGGCAGCGUAAGUACCUAUUGAUGCCACAAUAGAUACUUGUGGGACACUACGAGACAGCAUGAACGCUUUCUCAACCAGCCAGAACUUGAGAUUCGACAAGUUGAAGAAAAUCAACCCUAUUUCCUCAAUUUUGACCGCAUUGAAAAGAGAGUAGCAAAAGGACGCUUCAUUUGUGGUUUAACAAGUCACCGAAGAUGCGGGAAGGUCACCGGAGAAGUUGUCCAGCAACAAAAUCUCAUUGCUGUGUGGUGAUCGACCAAAAAGAAACGGAAAGAGGGAGAAAGAGAGAGAUUGUAUAUAUAAGGGAGAUAGAAAAUCUCGUUUGUGGUAAAAAUGAUGGCUAGGGUUAAUCCGAUCAAUCUAGGGAUUUGGGUCGCACUAAAAUUAUAAGAUAGCCCUUAAAUGUGUCCCCUCUCACAGUGCUUCACAAGCAAUCCCAUCAUAUCAUGACAAAGGUUGCGCAAAAGCUCUCGAAAAUUUUCAAUUUUCAGCUGCAGUUUUCGAAACUACACAUGAAGUGUCAAUUUCAAGGUAUUGCUGUUUCACAAUAGAAAGUCCAAUUUUGGAGAAGUUCAGGUUAAAAUGUUCGUCUCAGAUUGUAGAUAUCCAUAGAGUUCGGCUUCGUUUGGUUAGAGUAUAAGUAAGAACUAGUUAUAUCGGGGAUAGGUACAAGUAUGAAUUUUCGUAGGAACAAGAGUAUUUUUUUAUUUGGAUGAAAAUAUGAGUAAAGUUGGAACUAGAAAAAUUAUGUUUGGAUGAAAAAUGUGAGUAUAAGGUGAAAUAGUUGGUAGUUAUAAAUAGAAAAUAAUAAUUUUUCCUUUAUAAUUGAAUUUAAUAUUUUAAACUAAUAAUUUUAAAUUAAAAAUUUUAAAUUUUAAAUUUUAAAAUUAGAAAUUAAAAUUAAAAUUAAAAAUCUCUCUCUCUCUCUCUCUCUCUCUCUCUCUCAAACACUUGUUCCAUCCCAACCUGGUACAAGAGGGUGGGGGCCCCCAAAUUGUGUUUGGGUACAAGAGGGGGGAUAACCCCCUUAUCCCCCAUCUUGUACCCAUUCCAAACAGAGUGUAAGAGGUGUCUGGCAUCUUGGAAAAUAUUUUGAAAAAUAAAUUUUUUUUAAAAAAUAUUUUUUAUACAUCUAGUUCCUAGAAAAAAAAAAAAAAUUUGGUAUUAGUAAAUAAUGUACAAUCCAUAUAUUUAUGUGGGGGAUAUUCUAUCAUCAAAAUUGUGGGAAUAAAUAUUAUCUAUAACCUAUAUGAAUUCCCAAUGUUCGUUGCCACGUGGCAAAUUCUACUUCACUCUCACUAGCAUGUAACUCUUCUUCUUCUCUUCACCAAAUUUUUAAUAUAUAUUUUAACGGUUCCACUAAUCAAACCUUUAAUUAGUGUAUUUAAUGGUUCUACUACCAUUUACAAUUAUAUCGUUUCUAUCUACAAUUAUUCAUUAUGAUCAUUUCUCUUCCUCCACUAUAUUUUUAAUUAAUGCAGACGGUUCCGCUACCAAACUUUCAUUUACUAUAUUUAAAUGGUUCCAUUACCAUCCUAAUCUCUCUUCUCCAAUUAUUCAUUAUCACAUUUUUUCUUUCCUCCAUCGGACUUUUAAUUCUUUAUUUUCAUUCUAUUCAUCAAUUAUCUAUCUCUCAUCUUUUGCUACACACCAUCGCCUCUUUCCCUCCCUCCCUCUUUCUCUCUCACGAAUGAGCGCCCACUUUCUUCUUCUGCCGUGGUCGGAGGGAUCAUCGUCGUCGUCACUAUCACAAUCACCGGAGAAGGCAUCGUCGGGUCUAUAUCCUCCGCCAACAGUGAGAGACCUUUGGUGAAUGUAGCAAGUGAAAUAUAUAAGAGAAUAUUUAAAUUUUUUUCAUUAUUAAUUACUGUUAUGGUUUUUAUCCGCUGCAAAGCGCGGCUUCUUUCACUAGUGAUUAUAAAAGCCGAAAGAAUAUUUUGGUCUUAUGUUGGUUAGUUAUUUCUCCAAUUAAUGGUGAGAUGAUAUGGCUUGAAAAAAGGGACAAAAAUUUGCUGGGUAGCGUGCCCAAACUAAUUAGUUUGGGCACGGUGCCGGAUAGGUGCCGCAUGUGUCGCGGCGCCCAUCGCAACCAUUGAAAAAAAAAAAAAAAAAGUUGGGGCCCUUUUUUAAGAAAGAGAGAAAGAGAGGGCGACACACGCGUUUGGGCACGCUGCCCAGCAAAUUUUUGUCCUGAAUAAAGAGCAUAAAGGGUCAAUUUAUUGCGCGGGUACUUUUUGAAUUUUUACAAAAAAAUUUUUACUUCAAACUUUAUUUGUUUAAAAUAAAUUUAUACUCUUUACUGUGAUCUUGAGAUCUUGAUUUCUUUUAUAAAGUUAGUAAAAUAAAGGCCAAUUUGCAUAAAAAAUCCACUUAUUUUGGGGUUUUGCAAAACCGGGCCACCUUUUUCCUUUUUGCAGAUUCGGUCCGCUUUUUCCGCCGCCUGACCAAAAUGCCCCUCCUAUAAAAUAGCCUCCCGCGUAUUUCUUGACAUACGUAUACUACCCUGCCGUACGGUCUGGCGCGCAUUAAAUGACCCGUUCAAUCUCAGUCAUUUCUCGGAACCCGGACCACAUCCACCCCCGCUAUUCGCCGACCCCGCUGUUUCCUGUUUGGCUUUAAUUCUUUAAUACAAUAACUCACGAUAAAUGAGAAAAUAUGCACGGCCCGAGCAGGGAUAAUAGUGCAACGCAAAGUGAAACGCCCGAAAAAAUGGUGCAACUGCCAUUAUAGCAGUGCAUCGCUAGGUCGCACCAGUGCGGUGGCUGCGGGGUUCGAAGGUCGGCGAUGUGCGACAUAAGAGUCGGCAGGCCAAGAAGCUCGGCGGCGGGGCUGGAAGGUCGCCGGCGCAGGACGCUUUUCGAGAGGCGCGACAUAGCGGCUAAACGAUUGUGCAAACUGUUCUUACGAAAGAUCAGCGUUCUUAUAACGCAUGAAUAGGUUCACAGAUGAACGCCAAUAAUAGUGCAAGACAGAGUGAAUAAUAGAACAAUAUUUUUAAAAGAGUGCAAAGAUGCUUGUAAGAGUGCAAUAAGGUAUAAAUAAUAGUGCAAUCGAUUUAAAAACGAGUGCAACGAAAGUGCAAUAAGGUAGUAAACCAGUGCAAUAUUUUGAAAAGACUCGUACUAAGCUUAUAAGGGUUCGUUGGAGAGGUUGAUACAAGGUAUAAUAAUAGUGCAACGCCAGGUCGGUGAAAUGAAAAUUUAAUUUAAAGAAGGUUUUAAGUAUUGUAACACAGAUGAAAAGAGUUUAAGAAUCUCUGCUAAAGCGUGUAACAGAUGAUACCUAGUACGAAAUUUUCAAAGAUUUGGCGUUAACAUGAACAAAAUAGUGCAAAAAGGUCGAAAUUUAUAUUAUUUUAUGAUGUAAACAGUGCAACAUUUUAUGAAAAAAUAUUGUAACUGGUAAAUAGUGCAACAAAUUCCUAAACAGUAUAUUAAUUUGUGAACAAGAAUUAUAUUUUCUUCUUUAAAUCCGAGUACACGAUUUUAUACAAGUUUACACAAUACAAAAAGAAUUUGCCUACAAUGAAAAAUUCUAUUACUUCAACAAUAACAAAUUGAACAUAAUAAAAAUUAUGUUACAGAAAUAUCUAAUCAUCGAAACUUGUCUGCAAUUCCACGCGCACAUAGCCUAAGAUAACAUGUAUAGGCCAGGGGAGACUUCCGCAGAAGACUGCGAGGAGGAGAUUGCAAGUAGAAGACUGCGAGGAGAAGACUGCGAGGAGGAGACUGCGAGGAGGAGACUGCCGAAGGAAACUGCGAGUAGGAGGAGGGUCGUUCGGAAGUGUAGAUCCAGCAACGAGGCCUUAAGAUUGAUUUGCACUAUCUGGAGUGCUUUAUUUGCCUCAAGCCCUUUGGAGCUCCGCUCUACCAUGAAACAAACAGUUCAAUCAGCAUAACAUAAGAAUCCAUCAAUAACAAUAAAGAUCUGUAAGAAUUUAAGAACCUGUAUGAGAGAAGGGCCAAUGGGCUCGUGGCAAAUAACGCAUUCCAGAUAGCACGAAUCAAUCUUAACGCCUCAUUGCUGGAUGGUACCCUUCGGAGCGAGCCGCCUACUCCACGAACUCUGCUUCGACUCCCUUCGCAGCGAGCCGCCUACUCCGCGAACUCUGCUUCAGCCAUCUACCGUCGUUGCCUUAACGUUAUGGAUGAACUGUAGCCUAGUAACUAUUGGUCAAGGAUGCGAAGGCGAGGAACGGCGUUCCCGGCAGAAGGAAGAGCCGCGGCAGUGUAGGAGGAGGCUCCAUCUCGUACUUCGGCGCUGCGUUUCCUCUUGCAGGGAACGCCGUUGUCGGUUCACCUCCUUCACCAAAGGUUGUGUUUCCGUAAAGGGAGAUGCAUCUGAAGAACCGAUAUUUAAAAAAACGAAUCGUGGGCUGACAAACCCGCGAGUGCAUCUCUUCCUCACUUAACCGAAUAUACCUUACACGUCACUCAUCGUGCCUUCCACUAGCAUUCAAAUGCGAGGGGAUUAAGGGUGCGACGCGCACGGCAAUUAUUAGUGCAAUGUAGGGUGAAAGACCACAACGAUGAUUGCAAUGGUGCAAUGUGGUCGACAUAAUAGUUCAAUGAUAUCAGAAAGCAGGAAAAGAAAGUGCCGCGCAAGUCAUGUAAUAGUGCAACGUCCGGUAAAAUAGUACAACUAAGUUCAUAAAUGUGCAACUAUGUCAUACUAAUAGUGCAAUGGGUUUAUGGAACAGCAAACACACGUUCUGGCGAAUAGCGUGGAUAUGCGCUCCGACCGCAGCGAGCAUUUAAUGAUUCUAAAAGUACGUAGCGUAACGUCUACGUCAUAGCGUCUAUUCUGUGAGGAUAGGAGACACCGGCGGUUAUAUCGAAGCUGCCUCGGGAAAAGUAAAAGCGAGUUGUUUAAAUAUGGCUUUUUCAGUUUCAAUGCGCGUAAAGGCGUUGCACUGUUAUGGCGAAUGUUACUCUAAUAUAUCGCCAGUAUUGCACUUUUUUUUGUAUUUUGUUCCCUGACGUUGCACUAUUAUUACAGCCUAUUAUUGCCGAAUGUUACUGUAAUAUCUUGCGAUUAUUAAAGUUUUUUUCCAUUUUGUUCCCUGGCGUUGCACUAUUAUUACAGCCUAUCGUUGCACCGUUAUGACGAAUGUUACUAUAAUAUCUCGUUAGUAUUGCACUUUUUUUGCAUUUUGUUUAGUAUUCGCCAGCCCCAAUGUUUGCUGUUCGGCUAUUACUUUUCCGAAAUAUGUGAAACCAAACAAGUCUGAUAUAAUAGUGCAACGAGAAAAGAAAUGCCAGGUGAUACCAUGUAACUGCUAUUCUAAGCGUGCAACACUAGUUCGCACCAGUGCAAACACCUUGAAGCAUGGACUGAUAAUAGUUCAACAUUCUAGUAAAUAGUGUAACGACAAACAUUACAAGUAAAUUCCUACCCAUAUAUUUAUAACAAAGGUAAUGAGAAUUACAAUAUGUACACCAAUUCGUCAUACUGUGAAAAAAAUGAUAGUACAUAUGAAAGAACUGUAACUCGAACCAGCGUCGAAUUAUUACGUGUCAAAAAGACGCAAGAAUUCUGCUGCUAUCUCGCCGCGUCUCCUCGUCAUAUCCUUCUGGCAGAAGUCCAAAUUCCUCCCCUUCUGCAAGUAUUCCUCGUAUGCUAACAGGAAGAUUGCGCAGUCAUUUGACUGAUCUUGCAUAAGGAUAUCUUCCAGAUUGAUCAUCUCCCAGUCGACGGGACGGGUACCGCGGCGCCCAAACAAAUCAGAAAAAUGUUCUUGUAAAUAAUUUCCUAUGAAUUUACACUGCAUAAGGAAACAUUGCACUAAUUAAAAAUAUAAUGGGGUAAUGCUGGUACAAUUUCUAUGCAUUAGGUAACACUUACUGCUUUUUCAAACCCCGCGUUGUAUUUAGGGUUUUUAAUGGAUGAUAAGUGGAGGUACUUCCCGCCUUGGAGAUCAACAGCCAGCAAAUGCCAAUGUUCGAAGUCGAAGAGCGGGAUGAACCAGUAUUUCGCCUCAUUGAUCCUCUCCUCGGUGAUGUCGACCAAAAACAUCUCGGGGCUCAUUGCAGUCCCUAGGGUCUGAUAAAGGAAUGACGUGGUGUAUAUGCACUUGUCCCCUUCCGCCUCCUUGAGUAAAUUCUGGUAGGCGUUAAUAACAUCGGAGCUGACGAAGGCCAUGUGAGUUGUUAGGUCAACCAAGUCCUUCCUCCCGAUGUCAAUAUCUUUCGAAGCCAGUACUAAUGCGGAGGGGGUGGUGCUUGUCAGGAAUUUUUCUAUUCGCUCCUGAUCCUCCUUCGGUAACUCACCCUUGCCGUAGUACUUUAAUUCCAGGGGCGGUGAGGAUUUUGUGACCUUCAAUUUUAGUGUUUUUCCCUUUUUUAAUCUUGAUGUAUCAUCCGAGGAGUGGGGGAUGUCGACGAUUAUUGGGUGCUGUUACCAAACAAUGAAAGAAUGAGAUCGUAAUUACACCAUUGCAGAAAAUUCUUACACCAUUGCAGGAAGGGCUUACACUAUUAUAAGCUGUAUCGCAUUAAUGAAAUGCAUCGUUGAAAUAUUCACACACCUCUGUAAUGCUGUGUUUUUGCAUGAAAGACUUCGAAGUUUGUGUAGACUCUUUUGUCGCCGUCGACAGACGCACCAAGCGUCUUUUCGGGCGAGACUUCUCCUUUUUUUCAAUGUCCUGUACAAAGAAUAUAAAGUAGUGCAACAAGAGGGUUAUAUUACACGAAUAGCAAUAUAUUGCACUAUUCCAAAAGUAUCGAUGUAAUAUCAACUUACACGUUUAGUUACGCGAGUCGUUUUACUGUCCACCGCCUCCGCCGCAGCUGCCGAAGUCGGUGCCGCCGCCACCACCUGUACCUUCGCGGCUGCCUCCUUCGCUGCCUCAUCCGCCGCCUUCGCCUCCUCCUUCUCCUCCGCCGCCUUCGCCUCCUCCUUUACGGCCGGCGCCGUCGCCUCCUCCUUCUCCGCAGCCGCAGUCGCCUCCUCCUUCUCCUCCGCCGCCGUGGCCUCCUCCUUCUCCUCCGCCGCCGUCGCCUCCUCCUUCUCGUCCGCCGCCGUCGCCGCGUCCUUCUCCUCCGCCGCCGUCUCCUCUUCCUUCUCCACCACUGCCGUCGCUUCUUCCUUCUCCUCUGCCGCCGUCGCCUCCUCCUUCUCCUCCGCCGCCGUCGCCUCCUCCUUCUCCUCCGCCGCCGUCGCCUCCUCCUUCUCCUCCGCCGCCGUCGCUUCAUCCUUUUCCUCAUCCAUUGCAGGCGCCUCCACAUAUUCCUCCGCCGGCUCGGUCGCUGUCGCCGCCACCGGUGCCCCCGCCGCCGACACCUCUGGUAUUGAAGAUAACGGGGCCACGUCUUCACAUAUUUCGAUGACGAUGUUAUGCAGCUAAAUUGAAAAAAAUUAUAAAAUUGGCGUCAAUUACACUAAUUCUUUAGAAAUUACACUAUUUAAUUACCUUUUACACUAUUACUUACUUCUUCGCUUAUCAUAAAGGAGUCUCCAGCAAAAAGAUCAGCUUUUGGAUGGGCAUAUUCUUCGACAUUUUCUUCGCAUAUAUUGAGUGGCCGAGGCGCCGGUGGGUGGCCGCUCCGGCUCGGCUGCAUACAAAAUAAGCGAUUAUAUAAUACACUACACAGUUAUAGGAAGCACUAUUACUAAUAAAUUUACACAAAUACACAACUAAACCGAUAAUUUAUUAAUCGAAGUCUAUUAUCGUUACAUUAUUAUUGAGCAUCAUUACACUAGUCUAUCGUAUGUUGAGAAUGUAAAAUAAUAAGAGCGUCACAUACGUCGGCGAUUGUCUCGUCGGUUUUAUUCUUUGCUCCCCAGCGAGGUCGGAGAUUGUACGGGCUUCGAAAUCGUUUGCCCCUUCCCGGCGUGCGAUUUUUAAGACACUCUUUGGGAGCCUUUGGCGGACUCUCUAUUUUUUGACGUGCCGCAUCCUUUCUAAAUUUCGAAGAAGAUCUCGACCGUUCUUUACCGAUUUCGGGCUUCGCCUUAAUGGCCGAGAUCGGUGCGGGCAUCGCCAAUAUGGACGAUCCUAACCUUCUUNUAUUUAAAUUUAAAAUAUAAAUAUAAAUUUAAUUUAAUUAAAUGUUACGUGCAUUGCACGUGCACUAUAACUAGUAUAUAUAUAUAGUUGAGCUAGAAUACUCUCAAAAGCAUCAUGGGGGUGGUGCUUUUGAGUUUUUAGCCAUUGGAUGGAGAAAUGUGAGGUUGGGAUGAUGGUGGUAGGUGGAAUAGUGUUUGAUCCAAGGGCUAUUAGUAAUCAAAAAAUAGAUCCAAUGGUUAAAAAUCUAAUAGUACCAUGGGGGUGAUACUUGUAAAAGUAUUCUAGCUCAAUUAUAUAUAUAUAUAUUGAGCUCCUAAGCUUUUAAAAGUAUCAAGUUAUUGAUGCUUGUAGAUUUUUAGCCAUUGAAUUAAGCGAGGUGCGGUUAGGAUGAUGUGGAAACCUUAGGGUUGAGUGGGUGGUUGGUUGAAAGUAUAAUCUAUAUGAGUAGAAAUGAUUAAAGAAGUAGAUUUAACGGUAAAAAAUUUACAAGCACUAAAAUGAUUUGUGCUUUUACAAACAUCAUAGCCGGACACACACUCUCUCUCUCUCUCUAUAUAUAUAUAUUUAUAUUUAUAUAUAUACUUUAUUAAAAUGUCUGGCAAGAACUUGUUUCGACCAUUAUAUAGACCGAUUAAAAGUCUAAAAUUCAAAACAAUUUCAUAUAUAAACACAAAAAAAAGAAAAUUAUGAUACCAUAUUAUAAAUAAAGAGAAUAUAAGUUGUAAUAAUUACUAAUAUUUAUAUAUUAACAUUCAAAAAAAACAGAGGAAUUAGAAAAUUUACUAAAUAUAAUAUAUAUUUUAAAAAACUAGGUUGUCGUCUAUGAUUAGAGAAAGGAUUUGGAAAAAACUCACUCCUGUCAUGCCUGUAGAGAAUUAAUAUUGCUGAUGAUGACGACGAUGGAAAUAUUGUUUUAUAAAAAACUCUUAGGCGGAAAUGAAACCAAAAAAGUAAAGAGUAAAAAAUUAGAAAAAAAAGAGUAAAAGAGCGGUUAGAGUUUUAGUAUUUCACUAGAAUGAAAAUAUUUAGAAACUCCUCGUCUAUAAGUCCUAUUAAAAUUUGAUCACUUAAUUUCAAAAGUUCAAAUCUUUUUUAUUUAUUAUCAGAUAUUUCAUCAAGUCCGGAUCUGAAUCCAAAUUUGAAAACUAUUCUAGACCCUACCUAUUUAAAAGUUGAAUUCGGGUCAGGCUCUAAUCAAGUUUGAAUAUAAAAUACUCGAAUCCAUAUCCGAAAUUUUAAUGUACAAUUUUAUUACCCAUAUACUAUUAUUUUUUAUCGGAUCCAGUUUAGAACUUUAGGUACGGAUAGGAUUCGGAUAGGGGUCGUAUCGACAUAUAUCACAAUUUUUUUUUCCCAAAAAGGACAAUAGAGUACAAAAUUAAUAUUUAUACAAAAAAAAAAGAAAAACUGGCCACAGUGCGUGGCAAGCGAAGACCAGAUUCCAACCGUCCGUUCAUUCUCCAAGCAACGAUCACCGUCCAAAGUCCGCAAGAUAUUUGUACCGCCUCCUCAUAAGAUUCCAUCGCCUCGUAGAAGGUCCAAAAACUAGGGUUUCAACUGCCGCUUCCUCUACGUCGCGGGUAGGGUUUCCUCCUCUUCUCGGUUAGGGAUCAGCGGAUAAUUUAGGGUUUCGUUGAUCGAUUCCUCUGAUUACCCCUUCUUCGAUUCGCUUUUGUGGUCGCCUUGUUUGUAGGUAACAGGUGGAAGGAACGCAUCAUGUCGGUUAAGGACGAGCACCGGAUCUUUGUAGGUGGGUUGUCGUGGGAAACCACGGAUGAUAAGCUGGAACAGGUGUUUCGCCGCUUCGGAAAGGUUAUUGAAGCUCAGGUAUCGAUUACGUAGCGUGGAAACUCUCUUCUUUGAUGGUAAAUUUGUUCUAAUUUGGUUUUUGUUGAUGAAUUUGUUGUUUAAAGGAAUUUAAUAUUGUAAAGGAGGGGGAUUGUUUGUGAAUGGGUUUUUUGUUGACAUGAAAUGAUCUGUUAUGAGAUAAAAAAAGUAAAUUUGAAAAGAUAGGAGAGGGGGACAGGAGAAGGAAUUGAUCGGUUUGGAUCAAGCUGAGUCAAUUAUGCCAAAAUCAGUUCUAAAUGCAAAUACAAUAUGAUCUUUUAGUCCAUAUCCAAAUUCAAGUAAGAUUUAUUUUUGUGGGUUCGAAUUAAAAGAAUGACACUAAAUGAUCUUCUCAUAUUUUGGGCUGUAACAAAAUUUUAACUUUUGCAUUAGGAUCCAUAGAUUAUCUUCUAUUACUGGAGAAAAUGAAUUUAACCAAGAGCAUAUGAAAUUUCUAGCUGGAACUCCAUGGGAGUUGUAUCCAGGGGUAGCUCAAUAUGCAAUCAACCUUGCUGAUUAGUCAAUCUGGUUUCAAAUUAUUAGUCAACGGAAAGGAUUUGCCUUGCUGAUUUCUUUUUCUUACAGAAAGUAUCUGUAUAUAUUGUUUACAUGAUUUUAGUCUUUAUAAUUCUGUGCCAAAUUAUUGACUUUCCUUCUAUGUGCCCCCUUUGUUACUCUGGUAUUGUGUAACACACAUCCAGGAGUUCAUGGCUGGAUAUUUUGAGAUCAAAUUGCAAGAUGGCAGCCUCAACUGCAGUGCUUUUAAAGACAGAUAGUUGUGAGGUUUUUGAAGUGGACAUCCUGAAUAAGAGAUUUGUUCUGUUUAGAAUGUUGAAAGAGGUUUACCUGUGGUUAUUAGAGUCAGUUGCUCCCUUACCUAACUAUGAUAUGGCCAUAUCAUGAUUUCUUCAGCUGGAAGGUGACAAGUUUGUUCCUUGGCUGUGGGAAGUUGUUUCUUGAAACUUGCGAUCUCUGGUCAGCCUAAGAUUCAGAUAAUUAGUUUUCCCUUAUACUCUGUAGGAAUCAAAAGAGGUUUGCUCUUUUGCUGCACGUUUCAGCAGAUUAUCAUAGUGAGUGCCGUUGUCAUUUCUUUUAAAAAAAAAAUAGGAAUCAUCUUUUGAAAGAUCUUGGCUUUCGUGCUUAGGUGAGUUGUUUGAGAACCUUUUGAUGACCUAUGCUGGCAUUGAACGGAUAUAUGUACGAUCUGAUUGAUUGCGUACAGCCUGUGGCAGCAUUAGAACCAGGGAAAGUAUGAAAAACUAAAAUGACAGAUCUUUUCAAAUGUUGAUCACGGCUUUGUGAGAACUUUCUUUUUCUGUGAAUAGUUGGCACCAAUCCUCAAUUCUCUUUUUUUGCUCUGUGCUCCAGGGAGAAAGGGUUGCCUAGCUGGAAGAAGGUUAUAUAAUUACUUGUUGUUACCAACUGAACUUAGUACGAGAGUUUACAAUGCCUUAAAACUGUUGGAAUGUUGAGGGCGUUGGUUGUAAUUUCUUUUGUUGUCAUAUGGUAUGAUUAACUGGUCAAAGUGGAAACGAAGGGGAACAGUGCAAUACAAACAUUUAUGCGCAUUUGAUAUAUCGUCAGUUUCUUACUAGGAUUGGCACUAGUUUGUAGAACAUUCUUUGAGGACAAUCCAGUUUUACAAGGUCUGCUUAGUAGUAUUAUGAUAUCUAUGUCUUCUAAUUUCCGAAAUACUACAUAUAUGGGGAUCCCUGCUUGAAGAUCGUCAGAAGUUUGGACACUUGGCAAUUUUCUUCUGUCCGUUGGUAGUGGCAAACUGUUAGUAACUGUGCUUAGUAUGUUAUUGGAGUAUUGUUCUUUGAAUUAUUAUGGGCUAGACUUUUUAGUCGUGAUUGUCUUGUGGUUUCGGUUUUCAUUCUGCUGACUACCUUUGUGAUCAAGCUGCUUACUUGUUGCUUAGAAAGUUGAGAGGAUGUUAUCAAACUAGGAUGAAUAAUUAUGGAGAUUGUUGGCAGAUAAGUUGCUAAAUCAGUAGUUCAGUUAUGCUGAAAACCAAAAUUAUAACCUGACCAACUCACUUUCACUCUUGGAAUUUUCAAUUGUUAUCCUGUUGAUAUUGUCAUCUAUUUUAUCCCCAUCGGCCAUUAUUGAUGUUUUAUUUUUCCAAUUUUCUCUAGAUUUUGAAAUUUCUUUUCUCCUUUUCGACAUUUCAAGGAUAUGAUGAUCGCUGGGUGACUUUGACAUCCUAUUUAUUUGGUGGCUAUGUUUUUCUCAGAAAUCACAAACUUUGCCAUCUCAGGCUGUCCACUGUUGCUAGUUGUUGCUUUUAUGAUUGAUGACAGAUGCCAUUAGAAUUAUUUUUAGAGCAGAUUGUGUAAGUGGUUUUUAGCUGCCAAGAUGCAGUUGGUCCUUCUGAAUCCUGAUAGUCAAACCGAAAACUUCUUGAGUAAGCCGCAUGUUGAGAGUAUUCCAUAUAGCUGCUUUGAGGCUCACUUCACCAGUGUAAUUAUCCUUGCGCAUUCAUUUAAUGAAAAAAUUGCUAAAGAGGAGGUAAAUCUGGGUUUGUUCUCUUGUUAGAGGUUGAAUUGAUCUUCAGAAGCUGUUUAUUUCUGGACGGCAGAAACUUUCUGUGAACCUAGCAAAAUGUAAUCAUUGUUCGUAACUGCGGCAGUUUAUCCUUGGUAAUCUUCUAAAAGAUUUCUUUGAUUUUUGAUGAUGUUGGAUUGUUAACUAGAUUUGAUGGAUAAGAGGUUAGCAAUUCAAUUGAUUGGCGCAUACUAUUAUAAAUCAAUUGGGCCCGCAAUUUCUGUGAAUUAUCUGAUCAGGUAUCAGUAAUGUCAUUUUUCUUUUGGAAAAUGAGCAUAUGUGAAAGAUUCUGUUGCGAGCAUGAAAAUGUGCAAAAAUGGGCUGCUUCAGUUAGAGCAGUGGGUGUCUUCUUUCAGAGAUUAAAUCCACUUAACUGACAUAACAGAACUGAGAAAUGACUCACCUUCCUUGUUUUCAUUGUCACACCUGAAGUUAUUUCCUGCAUUUGUUUAUUGUCAGGUAAAUGAACUCCCCAUUUAUCUGUACAGUGAGAUUAUUGAUGGUUAUAUCGAGUUGCAUACAUUUUUUCACUUCCUAAACGAAUUUUACCCGCAAACUAAGUGAUUAUGUGUGUAGAUGCACUAAAUAUUUCAUGUAAUUAGUCAAGAGGGGCUUCAUGCUGUUCUAACCUCAAUUUAGCAUAUUCUUAGUUAAGAAGAAUGCAAUAAAGUGGCUACUACAAUUAAGUUAUAUUAUGAAGAAGAUUUUGGAUUAUUACUGUCUAUUAUUCUAGCUCUACUUUUCCAUACAUAUUCAUGUUUUAGAAAUACAUAUUCAUGUUUUAGAAAUGUCAACUGGCUCUGUUGGUAACAUAAGCAUUGCUUGUGAUCUGUCUUUUUUUUUUUGAAAAGAAAUUCUCCUUCUCUCUCAUACUUCGCCGAGGAAGCAUUGAUUCACAUUAUUGGUACUCUUGUUGUAUCGCUCUUCUUUUAUAUUAUUCAAUUUGCAGAUACAAAAUGACAUAAACUUGAUGCACAUUAUUGCCCAUAAUCAAUAUGAGGUGAUUGUUAAACUGUCUGCACCUGCAAUACUAGUCUCUAAAUUGUUUUGUUCCUUAAGAUUUAGCAUGUCUUGGUCCAGGUUGGCUUAGUUGGUCUGUUGUUUGUUAGUGUACAUUUAAAUUAGCAUUUCUUGUCCUUGCAUGCUUGAUAUUGUGUUUAGUCUACUUUGCAUUGUUAUAUCUGAGCAUCCUUUUAGUUUGCUUGUUUUAGUUUGCCCUUUUGUAUGACUGUUAUGUUUGUUCUGAAGCUCCAAACCCUUUUUUUUUUCGUUGGGGAGGCAGGGGGCGGGUGCUUCGGGUUUUCUAUUUCCUUUUUUGCUGUAUGUAAAUCAGGAAUCAGGUUAAUAGGGAACUAUACAGUAGCAAUCUCCAUUGCACUUUAAAUUAGUAAGAGGAGGAACGUCCUGUGUGGUGAUGUUCGUGUUUGUGAAUUGCCAGUUAACAUGAUUAUAUAAAAUCUUGUGGAUUGGUGUAUCCAACGGCCAUCAACUACUAUGCAUGAUGUUAACUACUUUUAUCUCUAAUCCAUUCUUAACAUCUUUGAACUGUAUAGGUGAUGCUGGAUAGGGACACACUUCGCCCUCGUGGUUUUGGAUUUGUGACUUUUGCAGAAGCACGAGCAGUGGAGGAUGCGAUCACUGACAUGCAUAAUCAAGAAUUGGAUGGUCGUACCAUUUCGGUAAACAAGGCGCAGCCCAAGUUGAGUUCUGAUGACACUGGCUAUGGUUAUGGUGGUGGUGGUGGUGGUGGAGGCUACUCAUCUGGCAGCAGGGGAGGAGGUUAUCGUGGUAGAGGUGAUGGGCCUGCCCCAGGGGGUAACGAUUGCUUUAAGUGUGGCCGCCCUGGCCACUGGGCCCGUGAGUGUCCCUCUGCUGGAGGCGGUGGCGGUGGCGGUGGCGGUGGUCGGUUGUCUUCCCGCUCUAGGUUUGGUGGUGGCGGUAGUGGUGGUGGUAGUGGCGGCGGGCGUGGGGACCGUUUUGGAGGAACGUAUCGCUAUAGUGACCGUUAUAUUGAUGACGAUCGGUAUGAUGGGGGCCGAUAUGGGGACCGAGACCGUGUCGACAGCAGGGACAGUAGGUACGCUGCUGGUGCUGGAGUGCGCGACCGAUAUGCCAGUGAUCGGUACCUGCCUAGCGGGGAUCGUUUUGCUGACAGGUACGGGGCACUGGACCGUUACCCUCAGAAUGGCUAUGGCAAAGAAAGAAGCUAUGAAAGAGAGAUACCACGAGGCGGUGGUGGCUAUGAUAGGGAUGUGCCGCGAGGCACCGGUGGCUAUGAAAGGGAGGGACCACGAGGGGCCGGCGGGUAUGAAAGGGAGGGGCCACGGGCAGGUGGCAGCAGUGAUAGGUAUGGAGGAGGAGGAGGAGGGCCGGCACGCUAUGAAGGAGGUGGUUAUAGGGAUAGGCCUGGGCCCUAUGACCGUCCCAGCAGGGGAGGACGCCCUUCAGCUUACGAUGAUCGCUACUGAUUUGUGUUAUCUGUAGUACACUGAGGAAUUGCUGUUUCCUUUGGGCUUGUGGUAUGGUUAUUUAGCUGUUUCUGUUAGUUCAGGGUGUAUUGACUAUUUAAAUCAGUAGCGGACUGAGAUGGCUCAGUAAGUUUGCUUCUUCGUGCUAGUUGCUGCACUCAGCUGUUUUAUUAUUAUCUAAUUGUGAAUCAGCAGUUUUUAAUCUGCAGCGCCUGUUACCCAACUGACUGUCUAUCUUGGCGGCCGAUCUUCUAGUUAUUUACUUUGGUGUCAUCUUAGUACAGCUUAAACUUUCAUAUUGAUGCUCUGGGUUUGACAAAUUUGGGUUAUAGUCGUGAGCUGAAUUUCUUAUUCGGGUGAGUUGAUGAGCAGCUCUACUUGGAGUAAGAUUUUUACAGUGAUAUUGGUCAGAGUUCUAUUAGCAACCGGUAAGAUGAGAAAGCUGCUUUAUUUAAGGUGCUUGACCUUUGUGGCGACCCGAGUGUCUGUCACGAUCGGUUUUAUGUGGUGAUAAGAUCGUUUGUGUUACACGCGGUGUAAGUAGGAUUGCAUAUGAUACCAAGCAUUUGGGAUGGAUGGAUGGAUAUAAUACAAUGAGAUGAGAAGAUGAAAAAUAGCUAACUUUUGUGUGUGUGUAGUUGUCGAGGACUGGUUGAUUUUGGUCCAUGAAGGUUUGAAUGCUUGAUACUGCUAAGAUGUAAUCACUACCACUUUGCGCCGCAGAUGAUGCAUGCCCUUAUUUUUGUUAAAUGGCAUCUUUUCUAUAACUGAGAGUUUCUGCAGCUUUGCGAAUCUGAAAUUUGGUUGUCACUUGCUCCAUCCUUCCAGUAUAAAGAGAGACAGUAGUACUGGAGGUGGGUUUUUGAUAACAUUGUGUGGGUCUGUUCGGUAGCCGGUGGUCUGAGAUGGGAUUAACAUUGAAUUUGGUUGUAGUUCGAUGGUAUUUGAUUUGAAAAUUUUUGUUUUACUACACUUUCCUGCUGCUCGUCGUCGCUCCGAUGCGCACCUGCAGCUCGCCAGAAUGAAUCUUUUCUCUCCGCUAACAUUACUCCCGCGCCUGCUCAGUGUUAAUGUCGCGCAAUUUCUUACUUGAUUGCUAAAUGUAAUCUAUAAUAAUGAGUUGUUUGGGUUCAUAUAUUUAUUUUUUCUUCUAUUUUCCAAAAUUGAUUGAUGUUGAGAACCUUACUGCAUGCAGAAUCAUCAGCACUCGUAUUCAUGACAAGAAUUAUCAGCAAAUGUUUUGAUGAAAAUCUAUGUAUGGUAUAUGAUUUGUCAUCUGAUUUCAGUGAAGUGGGGAGCUACACUUCAGCAAUAUAAAAGUAUAAAGCUUCUUGGGCAAAUCACACAAACCUUGCACUAUUCCUCCUGUGUUUUUAAGCAUACGGUGGUUUUUAUGCUAUCAAGUCAUUUUCAAUACUGAAAUAUUCAAAUCAACGAUCAAUUUUAUUAAACUUGAUCUAAAAUAAGUAUCUUGAAAAUAGAUUUUAUAAUUUUUUUAUAUUAGUUCUCUAGUGGUCAAAAGGUUUUAAAUCUGACGGCUAAAAAUAAAAAUUUCACAAAAAAAUAAUGAUAUGACACAAAGUUUAAAUGAAAGGUAUUGAUCUUGUUUUAUAUAGUAUAAAAAAAUUUCUAUCAAAAUUUUCACACGAGAUUAGAAUAUUUCUACACCAUUAAAUUUGCAAAUGGCUCAUCUCGACUAUUAAAUUGUUGACUUUGUGCCCUCCAAUCAUUAGGUAAAAUAAUAUCUAAAAAUUGCGAAGCUUAUUUUUUAGUUAUUUUAAAUAUUCUAGAUCAUAUUUAACAGAAAACCUAUCAUCGAUUCGGAAGCGGUGGCAUCGAAAAUGACUUGAUAGUAUGAAGGCCACCGUAUUUGUAAAAUCACACAAACUUAUAUAUAUAUAUGUUUUCUGUUAAAUACAAAGACAGAGAGCCAGAGCUAGUUACGCCACAGUAUUUUUAGAAGUACAAAGACUUUCGUGCAAUCAAAUUAUUUUUGAUGAUGAGCCUAGCAAAUCAAUAAUCAACUUCUUUAAAUUUACUCUAGAAUAUUUGAACUAUCCAAGAAAUUAAAUUUUACGGUUUUUUUGAAUCAUUUACCUACCUAGUGAUCAAAGGGCUCAAAAUCAAUAAUUUAAUAGUUGAGGUGAGCCCUUUGCAAAUGUAACAGUGUGAAAGUUUUUCUAUUCUAUCAAAAACAAGAUUACUGUCUUUGAUUUAAAAUUUUAAUAACAUAUCAUCACUUUUGGAAAGAUUUUUAUUUUUCUACGUUGAUUUUGAGUCAAUUUGGUUAUUAGGUAAAUAAUACAAAAAAAUCACAAAAUUUAUUUCUUACGUGCUUUCAAUACUUUAAAUCAAAUCUAAUAGAGCUGAUCAUCAAUUCAAAAGUUUUAUUAUCGAAAAACAACUUAAUAACACAAAAGCUCACUGUACUUCUAAAAUCAGACAAAUGGGAUUUCAUACUUUAAUAUACCAGGGAAAUACCCGCGUGAUGCUGCGGAUAUAAAAAUAUUUCUAUAAUAAAUUUUAUUUUUUAAUAUUUUUAUAUAGUUUUAUAAGUCUAAUUAUUAAUUAAAUAAAAAUUAUAUAAAAAUAAUUUAAUAGUUAAACCUAUUUAAAUAAAAUUCAUUAAUUGGCAUAUGCGCAGAACAAAUUUAUACUACAAUUUAUUUUAUAAAGAUUUAUAUGAAAAGGAUUUGAGAUAAAUCUAUCAAAAUAAUUUUUAAAAAAUCAAUAAAUAGAAGAAAAAUAAAAUUGUAGAAGAAAUUGUUUAAUAAAAUUAAUUAUAUAUACACACAUAUAUACAUUAUAUUUCUAAAAUUUUACUCCUGAAAUUUAAAUUCUGCAUUUUUUAUACAGCGAUAUUUUACAUGAUUUAAAUUGCAUCUAUCAGUUUAGAUUUUAUUACGCGAUUUAUUAUGCGUAUUAUUAAUAAAAUUAAUUAAAUAUAAUAUAUAUAAUUAUUUACUAAUGAAAUUAAUUAAUUAAUUUCAUAGAGUUUAGAGAUUUAAAAUUUUAAAUUUUGAAGUUUUAAAUUUGGAAAUAAAUAUUAUAAGCUAAAUUGAAAUUUAGAAUUUAAAAUAUAAAAUAUAAAAUUUGAAAUUUAAAACUUUAAAAUUUGAAAGUAUCAAAAUUUUAAAUUUUGAUAUCAAAAUUUAAAAUUUUAUAUUAUAUUAUAUAUAAAUAUAUAGAGAGAGAGAGAGUAAAGAAGGGUUUGGGGGAACACGUGUCACCCUUUGGUUCCCACAAACCCUCCUUUAAUGUAGUAGAAAAGAUGUGUUCAACUGUAAUACUGUUAGGCUAAAUUACAGAAAAAUCCUUUAUAAAUAUUCAUUUUUUCACUUUUUCUUUCUAACUUUCAAAACCCUGUAUUUUUAUCUCUACUAUAUUUUAUCCCCUCAACAUUUCAACUUAUUGUAUUUAGCCCUCCUCCGUCAUGAUUCCAUCACUAUUUCGUACAUUUCGUAUAAUUUAUACCGAAAGUAUCUUUCAAAAUGAUAAAAUAUAUUAAAAAUUAAUUUUUUUCUUAUAGAAGAAGUAAGGAUAAUUUGGUCAUGUUACCCUCCCCAUUAACGCCGUACCAUUCUGAAAAUAUUUCUGAAAUUUUAAAAGGACAAAAUAUAGAUUUCUAAAAGUCAGAAAGAAAAGGUGAAAAAAAUGAUAUUUACAGGGGCUCUUUUGUAAUUUAACCAUUACAAUUUGGAACUAAAAUUCUCUCUAACAACUCUCGGAACCUUGAAUAAUUUGUCACAAAAUUCCAAACUUUAUCUUAAAUAAUAGUCCCCCGAAACUUCUAGGAACCUUGUGAAAAUCGUAGAUAUUUCCAUGAGUUAGGUGGCUUUAUCUCUAUCCACGCUUAAUUGCUAUGUCCACAACUCCACAUGAAUCUCUAUCAUCAUUAGUGCAUUAUUUUUUUAUGGCAUAAAAUGAAAUAGCAUAUACUCUUUUUUUUCUUUUUCAAAUUGAUGUCGUUGAAUUUUAUGAAAGCGUCGUUAUUCUCCAGAAUCAUAACCUCGUCAUUAGAAAACGAUAUUUUUAAUAUUUAUAUUCAACACUCUUCUUUAUGUGUGGGCUUAUCCGAAUUUAGUGUUCAUAAUCUGAAACUAUGUUAAAUUAUUUAAACUUUACAGGCUCAGCUAUUUGAAUUUGAACCAUUAAUUAGUGCGUUACUUUUAUUGCAUAAAACAACAUAGCAAACACUUUUUUCCUUCUUCGAAUUGAUGUCGUUGAAUUAUGCGAAAGAGUCGUUAUUCUCUAGAAACAUAAGCUCGUCAUCAGAAAAUAAUAUUUUUAAUAUUUAUAUUCAAUACUCUUCUUUAUAUGUGGGCUCGCUCGAUCGAACUCAGUGCUUAUGCUCUGAUAUCAUAUUAAACUAUUGAAACUUUACCGGCUCAAUUAUUUGAACCAUUAAUUAAUUAAUUGAGUUUGAACAAGCAAUUAAGCCACUCCUCUAAUUAUAAUUAUGUAUAAUUGUGUGUGAUUAAAUUAAGAUAUAUAGGAAGUUAUAAGUUACAUAUGAGAUAGAGAGCAAGUUUGAACAAUCCACGAUAUUAAUAAGAGGCAAUUGCUUACAUACUUUUGACAAACUUCAAACUUUAUUAUUUACUAUCCUUAGAAAGUUAAUAUAUAUAUAUAAAAAUUAAGUUUUAAUGUUUUGAGUUCUUUCAAAUAUAUUUUUACGGUUAAAUUUUAUUAAUGAACGAUUAGAAAUAACAGCUAUCUCUGAAAAAUUACUAUUUUGCUCUUUUAAAUAUAUCUUUCUACCGUCACUAAUUAACUUUUCUUCUUUGUCCUUUAUUUUGACUUUUUUUUAAUUCAAAUAUAUAGAAAUUCGGACUUAACCCGAAAUGACUUAACGGGUACUAAUAGCAGAGUUAUUUUUGAAUAACAGAGAAAUAUACGAGGAGUGUAUUUGAAAUAAAAAAAACGUAGGAGUAUAUAAAAUAUUUUACUAAAAGUUUAAUAAUAUAUAAAGCCAUGCACAGUGUAUAUAUGUUGGGACGCGGUGGAGGGAAUAUGCUUCAAAAUCCAAUACAAAAGACCAAGUCAAGUCUCUUUAUUGACUUAAUUACACUUCAAGCUGUAUUAAUUGUACAAAUUUUUUUUUAUAUAUAUAGGGCAAAUGCAUUUAUAUCCCUGAAAAAAAUUAAAAUUACGGAUUUGCCGCUACAUAUAAAGUGUCAAUUCUAGUGUAUAUGCCCUCCAAUUAAACUAAUUAUUAAGUUUCAAAAUAUUGUAAGAGUUGAUAGCUAUUAGUUUAACGUUAAUUAAUUAUUAGGAAUAUUAAUUGUUUCACGUUACCUCUUGAAUUUUAUUUUAUUCUUUUUUAGAUUUUAAGAAUUUUGAAUUUGCUGUUCAUAUGAACAGUAUGACAGUUACAAUUAAAUACACUAGAAAGAUAAAAUAAAUGGUUUUUUUUGAAAGAAUAGUAUAUGCUUCGCACUUCGUUUAUUACUAUUAUUAUUUUUAAGAAAUAAGCUUAAUUAACUGAAAAUGUGAAGCAACUAUACUUCGAUUUUGAAACCUUAGAUUUUAACUAUCAAAUCUUUUGCUACUUGCGAUCGGUUCAAGGAUAGAACGACUAGCUAGUUAUUUUCACAUGCAAAGCAAAAAAAUGUAAACUUGAACCAAUUGACAGACUGAAAGAUAUAAAAGUGUCAAUUUUGAAUAGUAGAAGAAUAUUGUAUUUGAUAAUUAAAACUUCUAAAGAAUAAAUCAGUAAUUUCACUAGUUUGCAGUGAUAUAUAUAUAUGUUGGCUUAAAUGGGCCAGCAUUCUGCUAUGUGACGGGAGGCCAUGUGGACUGAGUCAUGUUCGAAAUAGCAUGAGGCUAGAUUGGGCCGAGUCAUGUUCGAAGUGACGUGAGGCUGGUUGGACCGAGUCACAGUCGAGACCCGUGAGCGCUGUAUCUGCACGCUUUAAGUGAAUUGGUUGUGUAUUUCUAACAGUUCGAGCUUUUGGGAUUAAUGGUUAGCGCCAACGAUCUGACAAUAUAGACAAAUAUAUAUUUUAACUAGAAUUCUACUGAUAGUAUGGAGAUCAGUGUUUACUAUCAACUUUUUGAUCAUUAAUGGCUAGGGCCUAGUGGUGGUUGGUGGAAUAGUAAUAAUUUAGUAGUGAAAAAGCUGAUACUAAAUACUAUUCAUAUACUAUCAAUAUAUAGUAUAAUAUGUAAACUCUCUCUCUCUCUAUAUAUAUAUAUAUAUAAAACUAGGUUGAAAUGUUUUUAAUAGCACCAAGUUAUUAAUGCUGAUUGGUUUUUAACCCUUAGAUUAAGAGAUUGUGAGGCUAGGAUGACAUUAACUCACCUCAGUUAAGUGGUUGAUGGAAUAGUACGAUCCAAGAAAUAUAAAUGAUCAAAAGGGUAUAUAUCUGAUAAUAGUUAAGCUCAUAUUUUUUUACAAUUAAGUAUAUGUGUGUGUAUAUAUAUAUAUAUUACUACCAAGAAUUUAGGAAAACAAAAAGAAAAACAUUGAAAUGAUGUUUAAGAUGUCAAAACAUAAUGAUAGCUAGGGAACAAGAAGUCGAAGCUGAUCAGGACACAGUGGAUGACAUGGCUAACGUACAGUGACCAUUAAAAAUUAACGCUACAUAUAUAUAAUAAUUAAGAGUCAAAGGUGGUUUGUUAUAAUUACUUACGUGUGGAAUUUUUCCAAGUUAAUAUGGCCAAUAUUGAACUGAACUUAGGUCGACAUGAAAGAUCAUCUGUGGGGCUCUAGCUUGCCACGUACAAGCUGGUCUUGUAGGUUUGGUGAUCACAAGUUGUAUAUAUAUAUAUAUAUAUAUAUAUGUAUACAACAUUUGACUAUAUUUACCACACAUAUUAUUCACAUUUUUUAUGAUUGAUAGAGAAAGGAGAUAUAUCUAGAUCGCUUUUGGUACGAACUAUCAACCCUGAAACUUGUCAUGUACGUAACAAAAAGAAUAUUAGAUAAUACGAAACAAUCGUCCUGCAUGCUCUGACACUAUAUAUAUGUAAACAAAGAUUAUUAGAGAUAAAUCUCAUCUCUAUCUGUUAUUUCAUUCAUAAUUCUUUAUGUUACAUUACAUUACAUAUAAACAUGAAUGCUGAACAUGUUUGCUGCAUUUAAAACUGGGUUUAGUUGGUACAGAUAAGAAGAUAAGAGUUGAGAUUAUGUUUCUCAAUACAUGUAGAAUAAGCUUAUUUUUAUCCAUUAUCUUUAACAAUAGUAAGCAAUCUUAUUAGAAAUAAUAGUGGCAAUUACAGGGAAAAAAAAAUUAAAAAAUAAAUAUUGAGGAGCUCGAUCGAGUCGGUGUCAUUCUUAUAUAUAAUUUGAACAAAUGAUCAGGUCAACAACUAUACCGCCCGUUUAACAUUUCAACUAGUAGUUGAGUUCAAAGGUAUAAAAAAUAUCUCAAUUCCAUAUGUGUGUACAUGAAUAUUCAACGUUUGAUUUAAUUACCAUGUGUUUUCUUAUUUUAAUCUUUGGUAUAUCAUGCAAGUAUAUCAUACCUUAAUUUGUUCAUCUUAAUUAGAGCUAGGCACUGUUGUUACAUUUUAUUAUUAAAUGUGAAUUUUAAGUUUUAUAACCCUUGCAUGAAGAUUGAUGCAUUCACUUAACUUGCAUUCAAGGCGAAUUGUGAUAACCUCACAUUCGUAAUGAGGUGCAAGUUACAUCUCGCACUUAUCGUGAAACCUAUGCAUACUCACACCAAAUUGUGAAACCUCUUAGCUAUUUAAUACUUUCGUAACCUAUACUUUUGAAACCUAUAUAAAGAGGUUUCUCUUUUCACUUUAACACAACAAAAAAUAAAGACAACAAAGCUAUUUCUAUUCUACUUGAGAGAGAGAAGGUUAAAGAAAGGUGUUUCUUUUGAUGGAGCUUUGGGUUUAUCUACUUGUGCAGAGUUGGUGAAGCCACACGACGAGGGUCGAGUCGUUGUAUCCUGGAGGGGACAAGUCAAUGUUCUACUGCAUCGGUUCAAAGGCUUUGCCAACCGCAGAGGGCUUGAAUCUCCUUAAAGAGAGCGAGAUAUCCGUGCCUCGACUCAUUGAUAUUUUUUAAAUUAUUUUGUAACUAAUCUCUAUUUUUUGAAUAUUUACACAAACAGGCACUAUAUAUAUUGUAUAAAAAAUUCAAAUGAUUAGUUAAGUUGGAUUCAGAUCCUCCUUAAAUAUAGGAGAUGAUCUUUCAUCUUUUAUAAUUAAAUUUGAAUUCAAAUGAUUAGUUAUAAGUUGGAGUCAAAUCCACCAUAGGAGACCGACGACCUUUCAUCUUUUAUAUAUUGGCGGUUAGUGAGGAUGUGAUUUUUUUUUUCCUUUAUUAUCUUGUCUUUUUUUUUUGGUAUUUACUCUUAAUUAGUUAAUUUGUUUCGUGCUGUGUAUAUUUUGGUCUUACCUAAUCAUGUUUUGUAGUAUAAUUUAAUAUUUGAAGAGAAAGUUGAAUACUUAGGCUUUAGUAAUCAGUGCGUUAAUGGCGAGCAAUUUAAUUAGCGACAGACUAAAACAUUUGAAUUGAAUGAAAUUCAACAAAUUUGUUACCUUUUGGGUUUACAAAUAUCUGGGCUUUAACCUAAUAACGCUCAUUUAAUUUGAAUCUCUGAAAAGCUUAAGUUGAUAGAAAAACAGCGUGCGUGCAUGCACUUUUCCUCGAACAAGCUAGCUCAAUAGGUAGAUUUGAACUAAAUGCGAGUUUUACUAUUUUUCUAUUCACACUUGUAAAUGUUGUUUAAUAUUCUAAUAUCUACACUCUCGGUCGCAUUAGUCGUGGACUUGAACUGAAUGGACAAAUUAGAUGAAGCUAUGAGACUAGUUCGCUGUGUGAUCCAGACACGGGACCUCCUAUUUUGGUACCAUACAUAUAGAACAACUAAUUACUCUAAAAGCAUAUAUACAAUGAAAAAGAAUGGCGAUAAAAUCCUUUUUAUUUGAUCAACAAAUUUGUCUCCCCAAGUUAAUUUUAAGCCUCAAAUAUGCGCAUCUCGGAAUUUUCUAAAAUUAAAAAGAAAAAUGAAAUCUGACCGAAUAAUAUUUUGAACUAUAUUUAUUUAUAUAUUUAUUUAUGGGUUUUUUUUGCAAAUAGCCCUCUGACAAAUUUUAUUUGCAAAAAUAGCCCCGUCCAAAAAUUAUUUGCAAAAAUGGCCCUGCCCCUGCCACGCCAGCGCCACGUCAGCGCCACGCGGGCAGGGCGGGCCCAGAUGUUUAAGUUGAACACGGUGAACCAUUCACCGUGUUCAAUACAAGAUUUUUGUAUUGGACAUGGUGAAUGGUUCACCGUGUUCAAUACAAAUAGCUAUUUUGUAUUGGACACGGUGAAUCAUUCACCGUGAACAAUACAAAAACUUUGUAUUGAACACGGUGAAUGAUUCACCGUGUUCAACUUAACCAUCUGGCCCAGUCCCGCCCCCGUGGCGCUGACGUGGCGCUUGCGUGGCGGGACUAGGGCCAUUUUUGCAAAUAAAUUUUUGACAGGACCAAAUUUAAAAAAAAUUUUUGUAAAUGGGCUAUUUGCAAAAAAAGCCCUUUAUUUAUUUAUAUUUGGUGAACUUUAAUUAGUUUCUUUGCAAAGUCAUUUUCAUAUAUUUGGUGAGCUUUAAUAAGUUUCUUUGCAAAGUCAUUUUCAUUCUACUAGUAGCCAACUAAUUAAUUAAUUGUGAACGAAGUUGUUGCAAAUCGAUCACGAGACUUGGAUGGUAAAGCAUCAAAUGUCACAUUGCAUAUUAAUUAAUACCGUAGGAUUAAUAUAAGUGCGCAUAUAUUUUUUUCUUUUUGAUUUUGACAUAAAAUAGAAGAUGAGUUGAUACUUCUAAUUCCUUGCAUGAGUGUGCUUUGGAUGUGUCACCAACCAUAUAUGGUGUGUGUCCUCUCCUCCUUUCAAAGUUUUAUCCUUUUGCAUGCAUAUGUCUCUUGAUUAGUUUAAACUUUUAUUUUUCAUAUAUUGCCCUAAGCACGAAGAAGUGUACUGUAAUCUCCACAAUAUUGUAUUCCCUUUUUCAUAGUGAAGUUUUCUUCUUCCUCGUCCGUAGUUUUUUUUUCUUCAACAAAUUUUUCACGUACAUCUGUAUGUUCAUUUUAUUUUCUAUUUGUAGUUUAUCUACUUUGUAUUCAUCAUUUUCGUUUCUGUUUGUGUGUGCGUCGUUAUAUUACUCAAGCUAAUUUCAUUUUGAUCCUGAAACUUUGAAAUUCUAUAUUUGAAAUCUUAAACUUCGACAAUACUUCAUAUUUUGGUCCUUAUCUAAGAGUUCUUUUCUUUUUAGAGAGAAAAGGAUAGCACGUUAUCUGCUUUAUCUGAGAGUAAAAUUUAUCAUUUACAUCCAGAUCAUGUGUGCAUCUAUAUGCCACGAAUUUUUGGGUACUUCAUCUAUAUUCCAAUUCAAUUAUACAAUUUGUAAGUAGAGUAAAAAAAUAUAUAUACAUAUUGUGUAACAAAACAAGUGGUAGAAUUGAAAUACGAGGAGAUUAAAUUAAUUGCCCUUUAAUAAUAGAUAUUCAGAUUAUAGAUCUCCCCAUCAAUUCAUGACAACAGUGCUUAAUUAUUUCUUAAAAUGGUUUCAGAUUAGAAGCAUUUUUGUAAGUAAAAAGGGUGUGUAAUGACUAAGAAAAUCAAGUUUUUAAGGAGUGCACAUGAAAUUAAUUCAGAUUCGAAAGAAAUAUAUUUUUUGAACUUACACACAUGUAAUAAUUAACCUGAAUUUACACACACGAGAACAUUUGUUAGCGGAGGUUAGAAGAAACAAGUUGCUGUUUUUUAAUUUGCUAGUUUGUAUUUUAGUAGGUUUGUUCAAAGUUGUUAAUCUAAGAAGUUGAUUACAAGUCCAAAUCUUAAUUUAACUAAUGAAACAAUGAUUGCGACUAUUAACUGAUGUGGACAUAUACCAAAUUAAUGUGAUUUAAUUCGUGGGCCUUUCAACAAUUUAUUAUUCUUAUUUUAAGUGCAGUUCCAAACUGUUUUAAAUUAUUCAAGUAGAGAAAAAGAAGGAUAAAGAACAAAAUUUAAAAAAACAUGAUAAUGUACUAGAUUAGUAAUUACUAAUUGGUUUCUUUUGUUUCUCUUUUUUCUGAUAAUCCAAAUUAGGCUUCAUAAGUACGUACGUGCAUGCAUGGUCUAGCUAUUUACGUCCUCGCAUAUAAAGUAUAAGUGCAUAUCAUUGCGUGCAUCAGAACCACCAAAUGAAUUAUCAAAUUGUACGACUAGAAUUUUAUUUAUUUACAUCAAUAAUAAAGAAGUUGUAACUCAGGACAUGGCGCAUCGUGUUUAAGCAAAUAAUUUCUCCUUCAUAUGGUAAAAAUAUGUGCAACCUAACUAUAAAUUCAACCCAAGAUUUAAAAUUUUGAUUUUGCAAACUAAUCUUUUAAUACUUUUGAUUUUGAUUUGGGCCAUUUUGUCAACAUUAUAUUAUUACAAAAUUUGGGCAUACCAUUCUAUAGUCAGGUGAAUUAUAUGCGAUACUCUGAUCAAGACCGUUAAAAUCAACGCUACACGCAAAUUCUAAAGUAGAAGAACAAUUAAUUGGUUCAAAUUAACAUAAUUUAAAAAAUUAAGCAGUAAAAUCAAAAUAGUUUCAGCUAAGUUUAUACAUUAACUUUUACAUAAUUAAAUUCCACAAGGAACAGAUUCGUUAUAUGGUAGGAAAAUUAUUAAAUUAUUAGCCAUAAAAUAUUAUAUAUUUAAUACCUAUAUAUGUAGCUGGUCCAACUGGUGCAUAUAUACACAACCUGCAUAGCAGAGAAAAAAAAAAAAAAAAAAAAGGUAAUCGAUUAGAUAGAUACUAAUUAACACAAAUAUUAAUUAAUUAUCCUACGCUUUAAAUUGCAGAAAGAAUAUGUUACAUGCAUGAAAAAAUAUAAUAGGUAAAUACACUGUUUAUACUUUAUAGAGAAAUUAAAUAUGUAAAAGAAUAUUAUAUUUAUUUUCACAUGUGAUUCUCCGUUUCACGUAUUAAAUUACCAUAUAUUUUUAAAAGCCUAUUGCUUAUAUAUUCCUGAAAAAUUUCGACUUUCUAAUUUACCCCGCUUAGAAGGCUAAUAUUAAAAAUACUCUUUUCACAUUCUAACUAUUUCAAAUAUAUCCCUAAAGUUAAAUUCCGUUAAUAAACUAUUAGCAAUAAUUGUUAUCUGUAUGAAAUUAUUAUUUUGUCCUUUCAAAUAUACUCAUCUAUUAUCACCGACAUUUUUUAUUUGUCCUUAAGUUAGCGGUACAAAAAGUAUUUUGACUUUUGGUCAUUUUAAAUAUACCCUUAUACAAUCACCAAUAUUUCUUAUUUGCUAAACUCUCAUGUGUGUUAUGCGGGGUGGAGGAGGAAACUGUGGAUUACUUAUUCACAAAGUACGUAUUCACCAAGUUUGUUCUAGUGAUGGGUGUGGAGGACGUUCAAGCUCGGGAUUUGGACGAUGACGUGUUUUCCAUCUGGGAUAGGUGGUUGAGCAGAAAAGAAUACCCACCACAAGAAGCAGCUUAACAGAUUUAGUAGGCUGUUGGUGGGUCAUUUGGAAGGUCAAAAAUGAUUCAAUCUUUAAAAAAAUCCUACCGGACCCAGUGCAAGUAGUUCAAAAACUCUAACUGUUGUUGAAGGAUUUGGAAUAUCUUCUGCUAGUAAAGUAGAUCCACAUCGUAACUAGCUCUUUUUUUUUAUUUUUUUUCUUUUUUUUGACCUCUCCCUCUCGCUCGCUCUCGAGGUUGAGGCUGCCUUACCCCUAUAGCCUAGUUCAUCUCGAUCUCUAAUGAAUAAAGCAGGUAGCGUGCUACCUUUUUCUCAAAAAAAAAUAUUUCUUAUUUGCUCUUAAGUUAUUUGCAAAAGAGACAUUUUGAUUUUUUUUAACUUUAGUAAAUAUUUAACUUACGUUUAACCUAAGUUAACUUAAUGGGUGGUAACUAUAGGGGUAUUUUAGAAUAAUAGAGGAACAUGUAAGGGGUAUAUUAGAAAGAAAAAAAAAGUAGAAAUAAAAUAUUUUAAAAUUUUGAGAGGUAUAUAGGCAAUUAUUCCUAUUUUUAAUAGUCCCAGAAUAAAAUGGAUAUAUAUAUAUAUAUAUAUAUAUAUAUAUAUAUAUAGAGAGAGAGAGAGAGAGAGAGAGAGAGAGAGAGUUGAGCUAGAAUACCAUCGAUAGCAAACGGGCUCCGUUGCCAUCCCUUUGUUUUCGAUGAUGGGGCCUCCAAAUCGACGAUCGGCACCGUUGAACGUGAUCUAUACCCCUUAAAGUGUUUAGAAAUCAAAUUUUAUACAUUUUCAAUAUUGUUCUCUUAUCCAUCGAGUGGACAAAAAAAUGAACGGCUAAAAUAAAUAUUCUUUAAAAAAUGAUCAUAGGAGUUUUGUAAUCAAGAUCAAGAGUAUAGAUCUUGUUUUAAAUAGUUUAAAGAAUUUUCUAACAAAAAUUCAAUUGGUUUGAAUAUCUUUACGCUGUUAAACGAGAAAACGCCUCAUAUUGACCAUUAAAAUUACAAAUUUUGAAACAUUUGAUCAUUAGACAAAUGAUGUCGAAAAGAUUUGAAAUUUGAUUUGUAAACACUUCAAGUGGUAUAGAUCAUAUUCAACUGUACCGAUCAUCGAUUUGGAGGCUCUAUCAUCGAAAAUAAAUGGGUGACAACGGAACCCAUUUGCUAUCGAUAUUUAAACUCAACUAUAUAUAAUUAUAUAUAUAUUAUAUAUAUAUAUAUAUAAUAUUAUAUAUAUACUAUAUAUAUAUGUUUUGACUCGACUUUGUUUUACUUACUCACGAUAAAAAAAAUGAGCCUCCGCAUGCAUGCAUGCAUGAAUAAUUUUAACCACAGCGUGGGUUUUGGUAAACUCGGCACUUACUGUGGCUCCUUAUACUAAUCGUCGCCGAGUUUAGUAGUCGAGGGAGUGGCAUAUCCUCUUGAACGAGGCCAUGCUGUGGUCGAAGAGCGAGACGUAGGCCUCCACACUCCCAUCCCCCAUGAACGAGGGCAACAGGAAAAGGGUCCCCUCCAUGGGAGAGUACGUGGGCAUGAAAUAGAAGGGGCUCCCCCCUCCAAAAUCCAGGUCGUAGAACGGAAACCCUAGCCAGCUGUCCAGCUCCAGGUUCGGACACAUCACCACCUUCGCUGCUUCGGCCGUCGGCACCAGCCCCUCCGCUUUCGCCCCCCCCGACGAUGCGAAGUCGACGAACGACCUGAAGUACGCGUCGUCGACCCCCGCGACCGCCUCGUGGAUGAGCCCGGCCGCGUGCCGCAGCGGCCGGCUCACUAGCUCCCCCGCAGCAGCGCGGGGGAAUGCCCAGAGGACGCAAUUGCCGAAGAACUCCUUCGGCACCCGCGGUUUGAUUCGCAUGCGGCCAUUCACUGAUAUUCGUAAGAAAGUUAUUUGGUGGUUGGGAAGAGUGCGGGCCUUCGUCACGGCCCGCCAGAGGUGCGCCACCAGACACUCGAAGGUGGUGAAUUGCCGGUGGGCCCCGAGGGACGCCUUCGCCUUGAGGCUGGUCAGGAACUCGCGGGUGAAGUGCGCCUUGUGGACGGCGAUGUCAGGCGGGUUUCCGUCGGACGGAUUCUCGUCCUUCAGGACGGCGAGUUGCUUUCGGGUGGUGAAUUCUACGCCGCGGUGCUCGAAUUCGACCCUCGGGGGAUCGCGGGGGGCGAAGAGUGUCGCCCGGUCGCGCAGAGGGGACCGCGGGGGGAUCGCCAGGCCGCGCGACGCCAGGCCCCAGGCGACGAGGAAGUUGCUGGUGGCGUGGCCGUCGGCGACGUGGUGGUGCGCGGUGAACCCAACUACGAGCGACCCGCAGGCGAACCGCGUCAGCUGGACCUGCACCAGCUCGGCCACGCCGUCCACGCCGGGGUGCAGGCUCAGUAGCGCGGCCGACGGCUUGAACGGCACGGCACGACACAGCGGCAAAUCUACAGAAGCCUCGACCAACCUCACGCCCUCGUCGUUGAGGAGGAUUACGGGGUUGCCGUCCUCGUCGGCUCCGAGCCGACCGGCCCACUCUCGGUAGACGGCGAGCGCUCUGGCGAGGCCCGACUGUAUCGCAGAGUUCGAAGGGCUCGGUGGGCGGAAGGCGUAGAGAACGGCGACGUGCGUGUCGAAGGUGACGGUGUCGAAGACGCUUAGGGGGAUGUAGGCAUGAUCGGUGGAAGGGUAAUAUCCUUCGCAGAGAGGCUUGAGGAUCUUUGAGCUCUCUACUUUAACCUUCAUGGUUUUGGAACUGUUUCUAUAAUAUCUGAGAGAGAGAGAGAGAGAGAGAGAGAGAGAGAGAGAGAGAGAGAGAGAGGUUAUAGGUUUGUGGUCACUUAUUGGCCAAUAUGUUUCGUAUGAGAGAACAUUGUAGGAGUACUUAUAAUAAGUGCAAUGCUAGAGAGAGAGAGAGUAAGUGCAGUGCUAGAGAGAGAGAGAGAGACACUUAGCAUUUCUCUUAUAAUAUAGAGAGAGAGAGAGGGAGAGUGUGUGUAGAGAGAAUUGACUAUUCUAUGCAGGUAGGUUUGUAACACAGGUGGGUUACAUCUGGCCUUUGCAAAUAGGAUUAAAUACAUACGGUCCCUAAAAAUAUAAUGAAUUAUAAAUGGGUUUUUUUUUUAAUUUAGCCUCCUGUCAAAUUUUUAUUUUAAAAAUAGUCUUGUCAAAAUUAAAUUUGUAAAAAUGGUCCUGAUCCUGCCACGAAAGCGCCACAUCAGCGCCACCCGGGUAGGGGUGGAGCGAGUGUGUAAAGUUAAAUAUGGUAAACCAUUCACCGUGUUCAAACACGGUGAAUGAUUCACCGUAUUUCAUAUUUAUAUUUCUUUUCUUUUCUUUUAGGGAUGUCAACGGGUCGGAUUUGGAUCGGGAUUUUAAAAAUCCGAAAACGAAUCCGAAAAUCAAAUUAAAGUCCGAACACGAAUCCGAGCCCCGCAGGUUUUAAAAAUUCGUACCCAUAUCUAUAUAUUAAAGUUAUAUGGGUAUGGAUUUUUAAAACCCGCCGGAUUCGGGUUCGGAUUCGGAUUCGGAUUUUAAUUUGAUUUUCGAAUUCGGAUUCGAGUUUUUGAAAACCCGAUCCAAACCUGACCCGUUGACGUCCCUAAAAUAGAAGAAAAUGAAUAUAUAAAUAUGAAACACGGUGAAUCAUUUACCGUGUUUUAAUACGGUGAAUGGUUCACCGUGUUCAACUUAACACACUGGUCCUAACCCUGCCCGCGUGGCACUGACGUGGCGCCUGCGUGGCAGAGUUAGGGCCAUUUUUGCAAAUUAAAUUUUGACAUGGCUAUUUUUAAAAUAAAAUUUUUUCAGGAAGCCAUUUGCAAAAAAAAAACCCAUUAUAAAUAUAUUUCUAUAAAAUUUAAUUUUUAUAUAUUAUUUUUAUAAAAAUUUUAAUAUUUUCAAAUAUAUCUCUCUAAUUUGUUACUGUUAUAUAACUGUUUAUAUUUAAGUAAAAUGUCAUUUUUGCCAUCACAAAUAUUUCUUAAAAAUCACAGCAGUAUGAUAUAAGAGGAACAAAAAUAUCAAGUUAUCUCAUAAACUAAUCAGAGUUAAGCAUUUAACCUAUAAUUAAUCAAAGUUUUUUAAUGAAUUCUACCGGUAGCAAUAUAUUUGAAAACAUUAAAAUUUUUACAGACAAUAUAUAAAAGUUCAACUUUGGACCUGUAUGAAAUUAACCCUUACAGAUAUAAAGCAACCUCUCUCUCUCUCUCUCUCUCUCUCUAUAUAUAUAUAUAUAUAUUUUCGUUUGUUUUAUAAACCAUAAACCCUAUGAUGGUGCUUGGUUCAGGUAUAAAGAGGAAAAUAAACUCUUACCCCCCUCCUUGUACCCAAAUGUUAUUUUCAUAGCUGAAAAUUUAUAGUUCUUCGUGAUUAGGAAUAAAGAAAAAUAAGAGUGGAAUAGCUAUUCUACCCUCAUUCAGAACAAGCUUGUUUCUAAAUGGAAAUAAGCUUAGUUAAAGUUUAAAUUUAUUUUAAUUAUUAUACUAACUUAUUAAUUAAUCUAAUUAAUUUAUUUAAGUCAUUAUCUAUUGCUUAAAUAGUUAAAUAAUUAAUUAAUUUAUUAUUUAUGGUUAAUUAGCUUAUCAAGAAUUAAUUAUUUAAUGUGUUUAUCUAAUAAUUAAUAUCUAUAUAGCUCAACUAAAUAAAUUAAUUUCUUAUCAAAUCAUCUAACUAAUUAAAUAAUUUACUACUUAAUUAGAAUAUUAAGUUAUAUUUUAUAAGUAAUUAAUAUAAUUAAUUAAUAUAUUAGUUAUUAUUAUACACUAUAUUCAUAGCUAAUAAAUUUUUUUAUUAAAUUAUUUUUAAUUAAUAUUUUGCUAUUAAUUAAUUAGAUAAAAUAUUAUUAAUUUAAAAUUAUAAUUACUUUUAUUCGGGCUAUUCUAAUCUAACCAUCUAAAUAUUAUUUAUCUUAUUUCUAGAAACAACCUAAUUUUUAUCCAAAUAAAAACUUACUCUAGUUUCUACUUACACCUUGAACUUAUAUUUGUUUCUAAAAUAAGUAGUUCUUAUUUAUAUCAAAACCAAACGUAGCCAUAUAUAUAUAUAUAUAUAUAUAGAGAGAGAGAGAGAGAGAGAGAGUCCGGCUACUAUAAUAUUGAUAGUAUCAAGCCCUUUGUACUAUUGAGUUUUCUAUCAUUAGAUCUACCCUCUGAUUAUUUCCACCCGUUAGAUUAUACUAUUAAACCAACCACUCACUCAACCCUAAAUGACCACUAUCAUCCUAACCGCACAUUUUUUCAUCCAACGGUGAAAAACUGAAUAGUAUCAAGAGCUUAGUACUAUUGAUAGUAUAGUAACAUAAUUCUAUGAAUGUAAAGUACGUGGGGCACCAUGCAUCCACCCCUAAGUAAUAAAUUAUGUGUGUUCGAUGGGAAUUUAAUAGUAGAAUAAUGUCCAAAAAUAAUAAAUUAUUAAUAAAUGGGGUCUCCUUUCAAGUUUGUUUUGUUUAGUUGGGAUCAAAUGCAAUGUUUACGUCAUUAAUGAUCUAUAUAUUUACACGUGCGUGUGUGUGUAUAUAUAUAUAUAUAUAUAUAUAUAUAUAUAUAUAUAUAAUUAAUUAUAUUCUAUAAUAUAAUAAUAGUAAUAAUAUAUAUAUCACUACAAUAGAAUUAGGUUAUAGGGACACAUGUUUAGGAUACUUUUGAGUAAGUGUCCCAUUUAUGCUAAAACUUAAAAACAUAUCUACUAAUGCCAAAACAUAAAGCCCAAUCCAACCAAAAAUAAAAGAUUACUCUACUCAACCCACCACACUCAGUCCAUUUGGCCCGAUUAUAAACAGAAAGGAAAAAAAAAAGAAAAAUCAAUUACCAUCUUUUCUUCUCUCUUCACUCAAUCCACUGAAAUUCUACACGAAGAGCCUUUACUGUCGUCCUCCUCCGCCACCGCAGCCAACGAGAUAGAGUUUCGGCGGUUGCUAAAUGUUUAAAUAAGUGUUGGUAAAUUAGCAGCACUCUUUUAUGUUAUAGCGACACUCUUUAACUGUCACUAUAUACCUAGCGACCCCACAUAUAGCAACACUUUUUAAAAGUGUCGGUAAUUUUAGCUAGCAGCACUUUUUUGACAUGUACCUACAUUUAAAAGUAUCGUUAUAGACCGUUUUUGUUGUAGUGUAUAUAUAUAUAUAGAGAGAGAGAGAGAGUUGAGCUAAAAUAUUAUCGAUAGCAAAUAGGUUCUGUUGUCAUCCAUUUGUUUUCAAUGAUGGAGUCUCCAAAUCGACGAUCGGCAUCGUUGUACAUGAUCUACACCACUUAAAGUGUUUAGAAAUCAAAUUUCAUACAUUUUCGAUAUUGUUCUCUUAUCCAUUGAGUGGACAGAAAAAUGAAUGGCUAAAAAUGAAUAUUCUUUAAAAACUGAUGAUAGGAGUCUUGUAAUCAAGAUCAAGAGUAAAGAUCUUGUUUUAAACAGUUUAAAGAAUUUUCUAACAAAAAUUCAAUUGAUUUGGAUAUCUUAAUAUGGAGUUGAGCUAGAAUACUAUCGAUAGCAAACGGGCUCCGUUGCCACCCAUUUGUUUUCGAUGAUGGAGCCUCCAAAUCGACGAUCGGGACCGUUGAACAUGAUCUAUACCACUUGAAGUGUUUAGAAAUCAAAUUUCAAAUCUUUUCGACAUCACUUGCCUAAUGAUCAAAGGGUUUCAAAUUUUGUAAUUUUAAUGGUUGAUAUGAGCCGUUUUCUCGUUUAACGGCGUAAAGAUAUCCAAAUCAAUUGAAUUUUUGUUAGAAAAUUUUUUAAACUAUUUAAAACAAGAUCUAUACUCUUGAUCUUGAUUAUAAGACUCCUAUCAUCAUUUUUUAAAAAAUAUUCAUUUUCAGCUGUUCAUUUUUGUGUCCACUCGAUGGAUAAGAGAACAAUAUCGGAAAUAUAUGUAAUUUGAUUUCUAAACACUUCAAGUGGUGUAGAUCAUGUUCAACGGUGCCGAUCGUCGAUUUGGAAGCUCCAUCAUCGAAAACAAAUGGGUGGCAACGAAGCUCGUUUGCUAUCGAUAGUAUUCUAGCUCAACUCUAUAUAUAUAUAUAUAUAAUAGGUCUUGUGUGCUAUUAGGAGCACGGAGGCCUCCGUGCUCCUAAGCCGUUUUUGAUGAUGGAGUUUUCGAAUCAAAGAUCAGCUCCGUUAGACUUAAUCUAGCAUAUUUGAAAUAUCUAGAAAAUAAAUUUUCGAUUUUUCGAUAUCAUUUACCUAGUGAUCAAAAGGGUUCAAAAUCAACAAUUUUUAAUGGUUGAUGUAUACCAUUUGCAAGUUUAACGGUGUAGAAGUAUUCAAAUCUGAUAAAAUUUUGAUAGAAAAUUUUUUAUACUAUUUACAACAAGAUCAAUAUCUCUGAUCGAAAAUUUUAGUGCUAUAUCACCACUUUUUUUGAGAUUUUUAUUUUCAGCCGUUGAUUUUGAACCCUUUCGAUCGAUCGCUAAGUAAAUGAUAUCGAAAAAUCACAAAAUUUAUUUUCUAGAUACUUCAAAUACGCUAGAUCAAGUCUAACGGAGCCGAUCGUCAAUUCGGAAGCUCCAUGAUUGAAAACGGCUUAGGAGCACGGAAACCUCUGUGCUCCUAAUAGCACACAAGACCUUCUCUCUCUCUCUCUCUCUCUCUCUAUAUACUAGUGAAGAGACCCGCGCUUCGCAGCGGACGGAAACUAUAAAAGCUACCAAUAAAAAAUAAAAAGUAUCCAUCAAUAAAAAAAAGAAAAAUAAAACUUAUCACAAAAACAAUUAGAUAUAGAUAUAUAUAUAUAUAAUUUUAAUUUUAAUAAUAAUUAAUAAUAAGGAUGAUGUAAUAAGAAUAGUAAUAAAAGAAUUAUUUUUCAUUCUCAAAGUGAAACAACUAAUUGAAAAUGAUCUUUCUUCGAUACUGAAUAUUAUCGGAAUCUAAUUCAAAACUUGCAAAACAAUAAUUGAUAAAUAAUUUUAGAGAAAAAGAAAAUCAUAUUCAAAUGGAACAACAACUUGUAUUGAGAUGAUUUAAUGGUCUUCAAAUUGACUAUUAAAUCUUGUUCUCCAAAGAAGUAAAAAUUUUUCAUGUAAAAGGAGGCAUUAAGACAGUUCGAAAAACUAAAAAACAAAAAAAAAUCAAAAAACGAAAUAAUUAUUUUAAUAAAAAAUUUCAUAUCAUAAAACAUCUAAAUAAUAUAUAUAUAUACCUGCGCGCUUAUCAUCUUGAACUUUCUUAGUAACUCCAGGCUGUUUAUCGAUAUCAGGAUGGUACUGAAAAAAUAAAAAAUAAAAAUCAAUACAAUUGUGCAAAUCCAACAUGAAAGAAUGUACAGAUUAUAUUAUUAAACAUGCUGAAGAAUUCUAUAGAUAAAUAAAAGUAGAGAAUUGAUUAAUCUGUAUUAAAAAAGGCAAGAUGGUAAAGAAAAUGGCAAUGAAGAAGCAGGAGAAGAAACCACAACUUAUGGUGAAGAGAAAUGGUUGCAUGCCGGAAAAAUAAAUUGUCAUAUGAAAAAAAGAAACGGUCGCAUGGAAAAGAUAACUUUCAUAUGGAAAAGAGAAACGGUCGCAUGGAAAAGAUAACUUUCAUAUGGAAAAGAGAAACGGUCACAUUGGAAAGAUAAAAUAUCAUAUGAAAUUAUGGCGAAGAGAAACGGCUGCAUGGCCGGAAAAAUAAAUUGUCAUAUUGAAAAGAGAAACGGUCGCAUGGAGAAGAUAACUUACAUAUGGGAAAUAGAAACGGUCACAUUGGAAAGAUAAAAUGUUAUAUAAAAUAGAAAAACGGUUGAAGAAAGAGGAGAGGUCGAUUCAAAGAGAGCAAAAGAUAAAAUGUCAUAUGAAAAAGAGAAACUGUUGAAGGAAGAGGAGAAGUUGGUUCAAAGAGAGCAAAAAAAUAUAAAAAAUUAAAAAAAAAAAAGGAGGGCUUGCCAUGUCAUCAGUUUUAUUGGGGAUUCAUAGAGGAGAGGUCGAUUCAAAGAGAGCAAAAGAUAAAAUGUCAUAUGAAAAAGAGAAACGGUUGAAGGAAGAGGAGAAGUUGGUUCAAAGAGAGCAAAAAAAUAUAAAAAAUUUAAAAAAAAUGAGGGCUUGCCAUGUCAUCAGUUUUAUUGGGGAUUCAUAUAGAGUUAUAGAUAUAUAUAUAUAUAUAUAUAUAUAUAUUCGUACGUACAUGCAUGCAUGUAGUGAUGUAGGAUUAUAUUUGUGUAUAUGCAAAGGAGAGUUAAAUUUUAUUAAUCAUCUAUAGCUAAUAUAACGUGUCAACCAAUAUAUAAUAACACCAAGGAGACAGUUAAUAUUAUUUUCUUGGAUACAAUAUAAUACAGAUACCAAUUUAAUUAAUUUCUCCAGGAUAUAUAAAAUUAACUGUCUCCUUGGUGUUAUUAUAUAUUGGUUGACACGUUAUAUUAAUUAUAUAUCAUAUAUAUAUAUAUAUCUAAUUUUGGAAGCAUGGUUCCAAUUGAACCAUGCCACGUGGCGCACUUACAGGAAAAGUUCUAAUGUGCCACGUGGCGCACUUAUCAUAAUAUAUAUUUUUUAAAUUUAUCAUAAUAUAUUUUUUAAUUCACAAAUAUUAUAUAUAUAUAUAUAUAUAUAUAUAUAGAGAGAGAGAGAGAGAGAGAGAGAGAGAGAGUUGAGCUAGAAUACUCUCGGUAGUAAACUAGCCGUUUUACUAUCGAGUUGUUUUCGAUAAUAGAGCUUCCAAAUUGACGAUCGGCUUCGUUAAAUAUGAUCUAAACCAUUUAAACUAUCUAGAAAUCAAAUUUCACGCACUUUCGGUAUUAUUUUUUUUCCAUCUAGUGAACAGAAAAAUAAAUGGCUGAAAAUGAAUAUUCUUUAAAAAAUGACGAUAGCAGUUUUGUAAUCAAGAUCAAGAGUAUAGAUCUUGUUUUUAAUAGUUUAAAGAAUUUUCUAACAAAAAUUCAAUUGAUUUGGAUAUCUUUACACCGUUAAACAAGAAAACGUCUCUUAUCCACCAUUAAAAUUACAAAUUUUGAAACCCUUUGAUCAUUAGGCAAAUGAUGUCGAAAAGAUUUGAAAUUUGAUUUCUAAAUACUUCAAGUGGUAUAGAUCAUGUUCAACGGAACCGAUCGUCAAUUUGGAAGCUCUAUCAUCGAAAACAACUCGAUAGUAAAACGGUUUAGUUUACUACCGAGAGUUUCUAGCUAAUCUUAUAUACUACUUUAUAUUAUAUAUAAUAUAUAUAUAUAUAUAUAAAUAUAUAUAUAUAUAUAUAUAUAUAUAUAGUAUAAUCAUUAUGACUUAUAUAUAUAUAUUAUAUAAAAUAUAUAUAUAUAUAAAUAUAUUAUAUAAUAUAUAUAUAUAUUAUUAUAUAUAUAUAUAUAUAUAUAUAUAUAUAUAUAUAUAUAUUAUUCAUUAUAUAUAUUUUUAUUAUAUUAUCAUUAUCAUAUAAUAAUUAUAAAGAGCAUAACUACACGUACCAAAAAUAUGCUCACAGCAGUUAUUUUUUUCCUUAACCAUACGACAGUUAUUUUUUUUUUGUAAACUGCACAACAGUUAUUUUUUUUCUUAACCAAACAACAGUUAUUUUCUCCCUAACACACAACAGUUUUUUUUUUUUCUUAACCACACAACAGUUAUUUUUUUUCCCUUUUUUCUUUGAUGUAGGCAUAUUCAUCUUUCACAAUUAAUAUUUAAAACGUUACAAAUUUUAUCAUCCAUAUAUAUGUAUACAAGUGAAUGCCAUUAUUUUAUUAAUGUUAUCAUCCAUAUGUAUGAUAGAUGGAGGCAAACUUUUUCUUACCUCUAUGCAUCAUCUUUCUACAAAAGGCAAGUUUAUUUCAAAAUUUAAAAAUAAUUACGUGUAAUGAUUUAGCCGGUUGUAAUGUAUAUAUUAUCUUCUCUUUUUUCAGGAUACAUAACACUAAUUUGGACUUCGUCAUAGUAUUGAAAUUUUCAGAGCGUAUAAAUAUUUGGCCCAUAUCAAGAAACACUCAAUAAUACUUUUGGGAGGUAUGUUUGAUAUUUAUAUUUAAAUUUUGAUUGAUUGUUGAAAAUAAUUGAUAAACAUACAUAACUAAUUAUUCACAAUAACAAGAACUUUUUAGUUUAAAGGAAUCAUAAUAUGAAUCAUGCUUCACAAGUUCUAAAAAUUACUUUCCAAAUUUAGUCACUUAAAAUUCUUCAAAAAUAAGUUUACAAAAUUAGUCAUAAAGAAUUGAAAUAAGAUUAAUUAUAUAUAAAUAAUAAUUAUGUUAAAUUUCUAAUGGAUUUGAACCUUUUUACUUCUUCAUUUUAAAAUCUUUUUAUUUUAAAUUAUUUACUUACAUCUAUUAGUAUAUCAUGAUAGUAUUAUUUUAAUUUGAUUCAAUAUUUUUCUAAUAAUAAAAGCUUAAUAUGUAAAAAUUAAUAUAUUUAUAUAAAAUUGUCAUAAAAAGAUAUUAGAAAAACUUAAUAUAUAAAAAUUAAGAAUUUGAAUAAGAUUAAUUUCUUCAUCAUUUCAAUAUAGUAUUCAAAUAUAUAAAUAAUAAUUAUGUUAAAUUUCUAAUGGAUUUGAACCUUUUUACUUCUUCAUUUUAAAAUCUUUUUAUUUUAAAUUAUUUACUUACAUUCUAUUAGUAUAUCAUGAUAGUAUUAUUUUAAUUUGAUUCAAUAAUAUUUCUAAUAAAAGCUUAAUAUGUAAAAAAUUAAUAUAUAUUAUAUAAAAGUUGUCAUAAAAAGAUAUUAAAAAAACUUAAUAUGUAAAAAUUAAUAUUAUAUAUUAUAUAAAAGAUGUAAUUAAAAGAUAAAAUUAAAAUCCGUGCAUUGCACGGGUUAGUUGCUAGUGUAUAAUAACAGUUGAAAAAUGUGUCCAUCCUUUGGAUGAAAAAUGUCGGCAAUGAUUUGAAUAGUGUGAUUAAUAAGCUUUACCUAAAAUUUUUGGAGUUUAACCAAAAAAGAAAAAAGGUGCAGCAACAUUAAAGUUUAAGGAGUUGUUUUCAAUUUAUCCUAUUAUAAAUAUAUAAACGAUCUCUUAAAAUAAUAAUAAUAAAUUGGGGUACUGGAUUCAUUGACCAAGAGGCAAUUAGAACUGGUUGUCACGCAACAUAUAUAUGUGCUCUAAUAUUGUUUCUUAAUAAGUGCAAUCAAGUUCUCUAAUAUGAUUAUUUUUCUUUUUUUUUUCCCUUUUUUUUCCUUUUUUUCCUGUUUUUUUUGAGAUGAAGCUCUUAUGAUUGUUGUUGUAUAGAAAUUAAUGGCUUAAUUGGUUUUUUUAUGGUUAAUGUGAAACGAGAAAAGCUUAAUUUAUCUAAAGAUGUAAAGCAAAUGUUUAAUUUCACUUUUGGGGAUUAGGUGAUAUAUAUUUGGUGAAGGAAAUUAAUCAGUGAAUAUUCAACAAUUUCCCAGGGAACAUUUUUUGCCCAAAAAAUAUUCAAGGAGAAGGAUUUUAAUUUCAAGGGUUAAUCUGGUCAUUGGUUAAGAGAAAAUUAAUGUACGAAAAAUUAUUUUAAACUCAUCCUUACUGGAUUUGCAUAAAAAGGAAACUAAAAUGUGUGCCCGUGACCCUUUUUUCACUAUCAAAAAAUCUCAAUAUAAAGAUGCUUUUUAGACAACGGUUUGAGAGGGAUCGUCCGUAAGUGGCUCAAAAAGUAUCGUCAUAUAAAUUCUCUAAUAUAUCAAACUAAUUUAUUAAAUGAUAAAUUUUAUCUUUAUUUUUAAUUUUUGGAUGUUUUAAAGCAUCAGAAAUUUAAAAAUUUCUGAAAAAAUUUGACGCUUUAAAGCGUUAGAAUAUAUUCUGUCAUCGGUAUACACAUGGCGACUCUUCAUUUCUUGAUACUUUAACUGACACUUUCAAAUAUGUCGCUAAACUAUAUUGGAACGCUUUUAAGUUUCGUUAAAUAUUAAAAAAGAUUUCAUUCUUAAAUAAUAAUUAUUAUUAUUAUUAUUUUUUGGUAGUGUUUGUUAUUGGGUGACUUCUUUUGUCAUGUUUAACAUGGUUACACGUUUGGUCAUAGUAUAGAUUGGAGGCAUCUUUUGCACAAUCAUAAAGAGUGCAAUAAAUUGUAGUAUACUGCUUAAUUAAUUAGUUGGGUAUAUAGUUUAGUGAAAGGUGGAAUCACUCAAAUAGCUUUAAAGCUACGUACGUGCACAAGAUAAUUAAGUAAGGAGAAGCUAAUUAAGGAUGAGAAUUGAAAGAGAACAAAUUAACAUGCAACUAUAGCAAGAAAAACAAACAAAUUAAAGUGCUAAUUCAGAGGCCAAAACGAAUGAAUUUGACAUCGAAAACAAUGUCGAAGUAACGGACCGUGACUAGCGCAGUUGGCUAAGGGCUCAACGGUUGGUAAUCGACGCCCUUAGUUCGAAUUAAACCUAGUUGCUUCGCAUUCUUAGCUGAGUUCAUUUCUAAAGCCCUUUGUUCGAAUUAAACCUAUAGUUGCUUCGCAUUCUUAGCUGAGUUUAUUUAUUUCUGAAGGAUAAAUACCGCGGCAAAAUCGAAAAUAUUUUCACAAGUCGAGAUUUUACAUCCAAAAUGGAGAAUUUAAUUGAAAAUUGUGGUGGUUAAUUUUGUGGGUCACAAGGGCAACUUAAUUACAUCACAUGCCAUCACUUCUUUCAAUCCAAUCGACUUGACUCUGUCCGACUUUUCAUAUCACCCGACUCUGUCCGACUAUUCAUAUCACCCUUUAGUACUCGGUCCUGCUUUAUCUUUUCGCGGGGAAAAAUUUUCGCCACAAGAUGCGAACUUUUUGCUGUAGAUUGAUUGAUACCAUCAUUGAAAAUAUGAAGAUCGGUCGGUGACGCAUGUGCUACGUACAAAAUAGGGCUUUUUUUGCAAAUAGUUCCCUUACAAAAAAAAAUUUUAAAUUUGGUCCUGUCAAAAAUUUAUUUGUAAAAAUAGCCCUGGCUCCGCCACGCAAGCGCCACGUCAGCGCCACGCGGGCGGGACUGGGCCAGAUGGUUAAGUUGAACACGGUGAAUCAUUCACCGUGUCCAAUACAAAAAUACGCUAUUUGUAUUGGACACGGUGGAAUCAUUCGCCGUUCCAAUACAAAUAAUGGAACGGUGAAUGGUUCACCGUGUCUCAAUACAAAUACCUCCAACUUAGCCAUUGUGGGGUAUUGUAUUGGACACGGUGAACAUUCACCGUGUCCAUACCAAAAAUCUUGUAUUGAACACGGUGAAUGGUUCACCGUGUUCAACUUAAACAUCUGGGCCCGCCCUGCCCGCGUGGCGCUGACGUGGCGCUGGCGUGGCAGGGGUAGGGCCAUUUUGCAAAAUAUUUUUGGACGGGGCUAUUUUUGCAAUAAAAUUUGUCAGGGGCCUAUUUGCAAAAAAGCACCUACAAAAUAAGUUGUCAAUUUAAGCCCCAUGUGUUUAUAUACAAGUUGACAAUUUAUCAAAAAAAAAAAAAACAAUAAUUAAAAAUCAUUAGUAAUAAGAUCCCUUAGCAUAUAUAUAUAUCUCUUAAUUAGUAGCAAACAUGGUUUCAACGAACGGCGACAGUGAUCAGGAAAAAGUGUGUGCAAGCAUGUUAAGUCCAUAGAAGCGGUCUCAAUUAAAGCUCCCAAUUAAAUUAACCACUGAAAUCAUUUUUAUAGUUAAAAUAGUUUUAUAUAUCAGGCAUCCUCUUCUUCAGCAUGCUAUUAAGUAAGCUUAUUUAAAAAGCUAUAUUUAACUGUUAAAUGUUGACCUUUGCUUACAUUAAUUAAAUAUAUUCUCCAGCUUUCUGAUACCAAAUACUAUAAAAUGCAUUUAUGAAUAGAGGGAUAGUAGUCCAAACCAAAAGAAACUAAAGAUAUAUGUCUUUUUAUUUAGAUUUGUCUAAGUCUUAGUUAAUCUAGUCAAAGGCAUUUUCAAUCUUCAUAAUCUUUUUUUAUAUAUAUAUAUAUAUUGAUGGAUAAGUAUUGAAUAAUAAUGAGACGUUCAAACUUGGUGCUUAAUUUGAUUGCACGCGCUUGAGAAAAUUUUUGCAAUUCUAUAGCUAUAGCCACUGUACAAUCUGAGUUUUAUAUAUAAAUAUAUAGAGAGAGAGAGAGAGAGAGAGUUGGGGAGGGGGGGAAUAAAACCAUAAAGGCAUGUUGGAUGCAUGAACAUUAACUUAAUUAUUUGACAUAUAGUCUUUAUUUGCUUGAGAAGUGCGUGGUAAUUAGUAACCCUAGUUUGGUACUGAGAAACUGCUUGUAUACUUAGGUUUCGUUUGGGAUUGCGGAGAGAUUGCAUUACGUGCGGUAAAAAAUGAUGAUGAAAAAAUACCCUAUUUGUUUUCGUAUGUAAUAUUGCGUUCCGCAUAUUCGGUUACGGUAUAUUUUCUGCGGUUCUAUCGGAGAACGCAGAAGCAUAUCCGUAUAUACUUUUUCUCAACUUCAUUCUAUCUAAUAGCGUUACAUAGACCUUAAUACCAAACUAAGUCUUAGAAUGCUCAAGAAAUUGGAGAACGCUUCUAACCUUCUCUCCUUCAAUUCUAUAAAAUAAUAUUAUACGAUAGAAGCUGAUUAAUUAUUUAAAACACUUUUGAAUAUUUUGAACUAUCUAAAGCAUAAAAGCAAGUGCUUUUGCAAAUGGUAUCCCAAGUUAGGGUUUAGUAGAUGAGAAGCAUGAUCAUAGAUGUCUAAAACAGCUAGCAUAUGCUAAAUCAGCCUUCUAAUUAUUUCCACGAAAUGAGAAAAAAUGUCAUCUUUUAGGCGGAAUCCGUUAUCCUAACAACUCAAGAUUAAAUGUCAGCAUCCUUCGAGGGACUAAAACGCGCUCUUCUCAAUUGUAAUUAAUCACACACAUGAAGAAAAAAGGCUCCGUAAAAAAUAAGUUAUCAUAGAAUAAUUUAUCCGAACAACCAAACAAGAGAUGAGAUGAAUUGUACGUAAACUCAGCAUCUGUUUCGAAUUUGGUGAAAUAUUCGAGGCAUCAACACAACUGCUUGAAAGACCGAUCGUCUCCGGCACGUACCAGUGGCAAAACACUUGAUGGAAUUGGCAUCUGAACUUCUAAGUUUGAAACUCAGUAGCUUUAUAUUCAAGCUAAUUAAGUUUAUUUCUCGAAAACAAUAGAUAAACUACUACUACUAAAACAACAGCAGCAGCGACGAGGUCGACAACAACAACAACAACUGCUUGAAAGGAAGCAUUUCUAAACUAAUUAUUAAGCGUUUGUUAUGUUAGGUAAGAUGAUACUACUUCCUAUAAAGCUUUUCACACGCAAAAUCCUAGACCUGCGAACCUACCUCAACUUCCUAUAAUUUAAUUUCUUCUUCAUCUCAAUUUGAAUUAUUUCUUUUCUUAUUUGAACUAUGUUUUCCGCCGUUUUACGCCCACUUAUGAGAUUUAUUUAUCUUCAACAUAUAUAUAUAUAUAUAUAUAUAUAUAUAUAUGUGUGUGUGUGUGUGUCUAUGUUUUAUUAAUAUUACCUAUGGUCGUACUAUUGCUGUUGUUUUUAUUGUUGUGUAUAUAUAUUUAUGUGUGUGUGUGUGUGUGUGUGUCUGUAUGUGUGUGUGUGUAUGUAAACUAUGUAAAAAUUUGAGUAGAUCUAACACUUUAGUUGCAAAUUAGUAAAAGCGUUUAUGUUACUUCACUGUUUAUGCAUUUGUAAAUUGAAUAAGGGCUAUUAGCAGAUCUAAAAAAACUGUAGACUUUGGAGAUUUGGAUCUAACAUNAUAUAUAUAUUUCUGUAUGUUUUCAUCUAACUCUGUUUUAUCUAAUAGCUUUAAAUGUUCCUUAAUAUCAAAGAGACCCUUAUAUAGAGAAUAGCAAUAAUUAGCUGGUUUUCUUUUUGAAACUAUAAAAUUAUAUUUUUGGAAUUACAACUGUGUGUGUGGAUCAAUUUAGGUGAAAUGUCACUUUGCAAGGGUGGUAUAUGCCAUAACUAGUGAAAAACUGUCACUAUAUUAUUAACAUGCAUAUUUUACUCAUGAGCCUUAAUUUUGUUGCUGCAACCCUAAUUUAGAAGAUAUGACCAUGCAUGGUUGGUAGGGUCCAAGCAAAGCAGUGGAAGAGCUCAUUUAAUUCUAUGGGCAAUUAAUGGAGUAUGCUUCAAACCUAAUGUUGACUUUGUCCCAACCAACAAAAAAUCCAUGUACAAUUGAAACCUCAACAAAGGUGAUAACUAGGAGUGGUCUAUUCCCCAUAUAUAUAUAUAUAAAUAUAUAUAUACAAAGGUGUUAACUAGGAGUGGUCUUUAUAUAUAUAUAUACAAAGGUGAUAACUAGGAGUGGUCUAUUCCCCAUACAUAUAUAUAUAAAUAUAUAUAUACAAAGGUGUUAACUAGGAGUGGUCUUUAUAUAUAUAUAUACAAAGGUGAUAACUAGGAGUGGUCUAUUCCCCAUACAUAUAUAUAUAAAUAUAUAUAUACAAAGGUGUUAACUAGGAGUGGUCUUUAUAUAUAUAUAUACAAAGGUGAUAACUAGGAGUGGUCUAUUCCCCAUACAUAUAUAUAUAAAUAUAUAUAUACAAAGGUGUUAACUAGGAGUGGUCUUUAUAUAUAUAUAUACAAAGGUGAUAACUAGGAGUGGUCUAUUCCCCAUACAUAUAUAUAUAUAUAUAUAUAUAUAUAUAUAUAUAUAUAUAUAUAUAUAUAUAUAUAUAUANNNNNNNNNNNNNNNNNNNNNNNNNNNNNNNNNNNNNNNNNNNNNNNNNNNNNNNNNNNNNNNNNNNNNNNNCGAACCUUACAAAACAUACUCUAAUUCCCCAGCAAAUCAAACUAUAUUAAUUUUUUUGUCACAUUAAACUUUACAUACAUUAAUUUUUAUAUUGUCCAUAUUGAUAUACGUAAAAUGAACGAACCUCUAUCAUCUUUCACGAUAUUAAUAUUUUUUAAAUAAACCAACGUACGACAACUUUUUAUAUAAAAGUUUAAAAUAAUGAAAUAGAAAUACUACUACCAUUCUAAUAGAGGUUAUAUCUUUUAUUUUUAUAAAUAAGAUUUUUUUAUUAAUCUUUCCAUGGCAAUAGAAAAUAAAUAUCAAUGACGAUAUUAACCCAGAGGAGCAUAUCAAAGUUGAUAUCGUCAACCUUAAGUUUAUGUAGUUUGAUUUACAGCUAAAAUCUAUCUAUACGUCAAUGUGACAUCACGUUAAUAUUGAUGCAUAUUGGUAUGCCAGGGAUUAACGUUCUAAAACAAUUAGGUAAGUAACAACAGUGUGAACCAGUAAAAACCAAUUUAAUCAACGCGUAUAUAUAUAUAUAUAUAUAUCGCCGAGCUUAUCCGGCUGUACUUUGCUCAAGGGGCGCCUCGUAAAAGAGAAAGCAGGAGCCUGCAAAACAAGCUAAGGCCGUGAACGCAAGAGUACGGGCCUUGGGAGCGCUAGCUAACCCUCUUUUAAAUGGUUGAAAGCAGGUUCGGGUGAUUGAUCGGGACAAAAUUUGCCCACAAAUAUAGGGUGCAAAACAACUCUAAAAAUAAAAGUCAGCAAGUUAAAAUCUGUUGAACAAACUAUCCAUUUACUAUAGCUUUUUAAUAUUUUAAAUCAAAUAUUUAUGAAAAUUAUUAUAUCUAGUUCAAAUUGCUUCGGCUAGCAACUAAACCUUCGGUGUAAUAGCUUUUGUUAAACCAUCGUGCCUCGCGAAGCACGAUGGCUAUCAUAUCAUCGGAUCGAGAGAGAGAGAGAGAGAGAGAGAGAGAGAUAUAUAUCUCUCUCUCUCUCUCUCUCUCUCAUAUAUAUAUAUCCGGUACCGAUAAUAUGAUAAUAUUCAUAACCUCAGGAGCUUGAGUAUUCAACAAAAGUUACUAUCUCGAAGGCUUAGCUGCUAGGUGAGGCAAUUUAUACUAGAUCUCAUAAACUUUGAAAAUCUUUUAUUUAAAACAUUUAAAAACUUUAGUAUUAUUUCAGGUAGUUCACCCGUAUUUUACUUACCAGUUUUAGUUUACUGCAGGAUUUUUUUCUACUAGUAUUUUUCUUCAUCUUGUUGGAGUGCCUUUUAUUUGUCGGAAAGUAGCAAAUUCAAAAUCAAUCAUCAAAAUAACCUUUUUUCUAAAUAUAUUUCUUAAAUAACUAUAGAUAAAAUUAAUUAGCAGAUACCAACUUGCUAGCUAGUUAGAUAAAAAGACAUCUAACCUAACAUUAUAAAUUCUUCAAUAUUAAUUGUCCUUUGAUGUCACACUUCAUGCCAAAACAUUGUAGGUUCUCCACCAAACUCCAUCCUCUUUCUCUCUCUCUCUCUCUCUCUCUCUCUCUCUCUCUCUCUCUAGAUCUACUCAAGAGGUUGAAAACAUUGCAAAGGUCUUUUUCCAUAAAAGAUUUGAAAAGGUUGCUAAGCUCCUAUCUAGAGGCAUGGACAGCAUAGGAUUAUUUAUUAUUUGGUUUUGAGCAUUGAACCAAAUAUAUAUAUACAUAGUAGAACUUGUGUGCUAUUAGGAGCAUCGAGACCUCCGUGCUUCGAAGCCAUUUUCGAUAAUGGAGUCUUCGAAUCAACGAUCGUCUUCUUUAGACUUAACCUAGCAUAUUUGAAGUAUCUAGAAAAUAAAUUUUGCGAUUUGUUUAAACUUGAUCUAGCGUAUUUGAACUAUCUAGAAAAUAAAUUUUGCGAUUUUUCGAUAUAAUUUACCUAGUAAUUGAAAUGACUCAAAAUCAACGGUUGAAAAUAAAAAUCUUAUAAAAAGUUAUGAUGUAGCACUAAAAUUUUCAAUUAGAGACAUUAAUUUUAUUGUAUAUAGUAUAAAGAAUUUUUUAUCAAAAUUUCAUCUGAUUUAAAUACUACUACACCAUUAAACUUGCAAACGCAAUACAUAAACUAUUAAAAAUUAUUGAUUUUGAGCCAUUUCGAUCGCUAGGUAAAUAAUAUCGAAAAAUCGCAAAAUUUAUUUUCUAGAUAGUUCAAAUACGCUUGAUCAAGUCUAACGAAAUCGAUCGUCGAUUCAAAAAUCUCAUCAUCGAAAAUGGCUUAGGAGCAUGAAAGCAUCCGCGCUCCUAAUAGCACACAAGACACACACACACAAACUUCAGAUGGGCUUGGACCUUUUUGUUCUCCUUUUAGCGAGUGCUACCAUUGACACCCUCUUAGAACCGAGUGUCUCUAGUACAAGUGGCAAAGAACUUAGUGGUUGGUAUCCGAGGUCUCAAGUUCGAAUCUUAAUUGAUUUAUAUUUUUCAGCUAAGCUUAUUUCUAAAGACACCUUUAAGUGGUAUUAACAGAUCAAUAACGUGCAGACAAUCACAUAGAUUGCAUGCCGAUUGAUUCACAUGCACACCCAAAAACACUGCUAAUGUAUGAAACAAAUAUUUAGGCCAAAGCAUUAUCAUCAUCAUCAUCAUCAUCAUCAUUAUUAUCAUUAUUGCAUAAUUUUGAGAAAGUUGAUUGAUUCUGCCGACUCAAUCCCAUGUAAAUCCAAAAGUUAAAAGAAUAUAAAAAGGAUAGAGAGGGAGAGGGUUUGGUGGCUCAGCUACCACAGGUAUAUCCACUAAACCCUACCUUCCAAAUUAACCUAUUGUCUUAAUUCAAAGUUGCAACUACACCUACAUACAUGUUAGUUAGUACAAAUUAGUGGGAACUCUUUGACCACCAAUUUCCUUUUAUAGUUUCCAAGGAUCUUCAUCAAUCUUUGUGAUGAGACAUUUUGUUAAAUUAAUCAACUUGCAUGAAAUAAUAAAUAAACCAGCACCAGAAAUUAGACAAAUUACAAGGCCUAGCUUGAAGCUAGGAGGAUUUGAUAAAUAGGGGGAAUAGUAUCAUGCACUUUUUUAGGAUUUGCUCUAGAUAACCAUAACUUUGAACUGAGUAGUGUAUAUGUUGAGAAUAUUUUAUAGAUUGUAAGUAAUAUUAAUUGUGCGUGUGGUGUGUGUAGUAAAAAACUGUAGUCCUACAUGGAGAGUUGAAAAUAGGGGCACACAGUACUACACUACUAGACAAAAUGGAAUAAUUGGGGGGGGGGAUAUUUGAGAGGAACUAAAACAUGCAUAUAUAGAUACAUAUUAUAUUGGAAAAACUUCAAAAAACCCCCCCGUGGUUUCGUGCAUAUAUAUAUAUGUCUAGAUUACCGUUUUUUGAGUUAUCAUGUUUCGCGAACCAUGAUAUCUAUCAUAUCUUUCAUCUCAUCGGCCUGAUAUAUAUAUAUCACUCUUUCUCUCGGGCUGAUGAUAUAAUAGCUAUCAUGAUUUACGAACUAUGAUAGCUUAAAACAUGGCAAUCUAGUAUAAUAAGUUGAUUGGUGAGUGAGUUGGGAUCUCAUAGUGAUAGUAAGAUUGGCGUGUAAGGAAGCAGGUUUCCAGCUUUUGGAUUAACGUUCACCAACCAUGAUAAUUAUCAUAUCAUCUGAUAUAUAUAUAUAUAUAUAUAUAUAUAUACGAAAUCCAGAGAUAGAUGGAGGAGUUCUUUUUUUUACGUUCUUAUGGACGUUUGUCAUAAAAACUUACGAAAAGUAUUUUUCAUACUACUACUUAAAACUAGAUUCUUGGGCGCACGCAGACCAUACGAAGACCUUCGUGCUUCACGAGACACGAAAAUUCAGUAAAAGCUACAAGCCUGUAAGCUUAGUUGCUAGUCGAGACAAUCCGAACUAAAUUUCAUAAAAUUCAUAAAUCUUUUAUUUAAAACGCUAAAAAAAUAUAGUAAACCGAUCACUAGCUUCACCGAGUUUUAGUUGCCGACUUUUAUUUUUAGAAUGUUUUAUACUACUAUACUGUAAUUUUAAAAUUUAGUUUUUAUAAUUAGAACAAAAUAUAUCAUAUUUUUUAAAAGAUAGUUUUAAAGUACAUUAAACCUAUAAAAGUGUGGCAAUUUGGAAGUUGCCAAGUGGUGCCGGUAAUUUUAAUAACUAAAACUUGGAGAAACUAGUGAUCCGUUUACUAUAGCCUUUUAGUGUUUUACAUAAAAGAUCCAUGAAGUUUUUGAGAUCUAGUUCAAAUUGCCUCGGCUAGCAGCUAAUAGCUUUUGCUGAACCUUCGUGCCUUCCGAGGCACGAAGGUCUUCGUAUGGUCGAGUGAGGAUUCUUGGGAAAAAAGAAAAAAAAAAAGGAAUACCUCAUGCUUUUUCAGUGGUAAAUAUAAACAAGAAUUAAACUUAUAUUAUCCCUUUUGAAGUUUUUGGAGGGGACACCAAAGCACGUAAGAGUGAAACGAUGGGACACCAAAUUUUGCAUAGUUAAAUGGGGGGACACCAAAGUAAAAAUAGAAAAGCCUUCGAAAAAGCAAUUAUAAAGCAAUUUAAUAUAUGUUUUUUGAAGUCUAUUGGUAGAUAUAAAUAGCUUAUCAGUGAAAUCAUAGGAAAUUAAAAUUGAAACAGUGACUAAAAAAUUUUUUUAUUAUUAUUUUAACUAUUGUUUUUUUAUUUUUGCUUUGGUGUCCCCCCGUUUAACUAUGCAAAAUUUGGUGUCCCAUCGUUUCACUCUUANUUAGUGGAAAUAGUGAGAAUCAUGAUUUGAUUUAAUCUCUAAUUAGAUUAGAGAACAAUUAAAUAUUCAUAGAUUAUUAUGAGAUAAUAUUCUAAUUAGAUUAGAUUUAAAUAUGAAUAUUUAAUUUAAUGGAUAAGAUCCAAUUAAAUUAAAGAGAGAGAUAAAGAUAAAAUAUCCAUAUGGAGAAGCAUAAAUUUAUUUUUAUUUAUCCUAUGUGGCAACUAAUUGGAUAUGAUCCAAUUAGUAUGACAACUAAUUGGAUGUGAUCCAAUCAGUUGCAACAGGUAGUGGGAUGUGCCGGUUUGUACGGCUUUAAUUAGAUCGUGGGAUCUAAUUAGUUGCAACAGAUCGUGAGAUGUACAUAAGGCGAGGCUUCAUUAGUAGUUAUGAGAGUGACUACGUGAGGAGAUAUAUAUAAUAACUUUACGAGAGGGAUUUAAUGAUCGCCUCUUGAGAAGUAUCAGAUUAUCCAUCUCUCUCUAUUAUCCUUCGUGAAAAUCAGUAAAUCUCACAAAAGGGAACGUAGAUAUCAGAAAACAGCAAGCACCGUCUUUGUAAUCUGCGACUCAUCUGUUCCGUGCGACGGAAGGCGUUGGAUCUGCAUCAAUUCCGUGUGGAUACGCGUAGAGGCCGGGCACAUGCGCGGCUAAUCGGAAUUUCAGUUUCAACCGUACAGUAGAUCAAGAGACCUUAACUGGUCCGAGGUGAUGUAGCCUGAACUUCAAAUCUGUUUAGGUUAGAUUAUUAUUUUACAUUGUAACAUGAGAAUGAUCCGCCGGCAAUGGAUUGAUUUGUUUUUGUUUUGGUUCAUAUGUGAUAUGAUUUUUGUUUUUCGAAAAUACAAUUUUAAUUUCCGCUGCGAUUUUUUUGUGCCGGAUAAAUUCUUACAGUGGUAUCAGAGUCGAUUCUCAUGUUCUAUGUAAAAUAUUUACGAUCUGUAUGGUUUGAUUGAAAUUUUGGAACCUUUUUCGAUUAGAUCAAUCGAUAUUGUUUUUCUUAAGUUGCACGUAGUGCGAUUUAUUGGUUUCACACCAUAAAAUAAAUAUGUGGAGACUUGAGAAAAAUAUAUUAUUGAGUUCCAAAAUUUUUAAUCGAUGUUUAGAUCGAUUUGGUUAUUAUUUUCGGCAUAGUUUUUAGAUGGGUGAUGAUCAUGGACCUUAGGCAUCUGUGAUGUGAUUAUGGAUGUAUUUGUAAUUUGAUUAUGGAUGUAUUUGUAUUUUGAUUACGAAGGGCCUGCGUGCCACUUUUAUUGAGAUCUGCAAAUCCUUGUAUUUUUAUUAGAUAAAAUUAGGGUUAUUUGGAGAAGAAUCCACAUCAAGCGUUGAUGGAUUGGCGUCGCAAAUCGUGAUGGCAUCAAAGGAUGUAUCAGAUCCAACAGAAGAAGAUGGCUAAAUAUUUGCAAGAGUUAAGAAUAUGUGUGUAUCACCCUAUAGACCGAUUUGACUCAUCGGCUUAAGUCGAAUCAAAAAAAGUCCAUGAUCAUCCCUAAACUAUGCAAUUUAUUUUUGUGUAUGUGAUACCUGUGAUUAAUUUUAUAUGAGAUAUAACAUGUGAUGAUGAGACCGAUAUAUAAUUUUAAAACUCCCUAUAAAAUAUUAAGUUGAAACGAAAGGGCAUUUGAUGCUCUAUCGUGGCCUUCCACCGAUCACAAGAUGUAGCAUUGUUUCAAGCAUUGAGUCGUCACGCAUGGUCCCAUGGGACUACUUGUGUUUGAACUAUGCAAACAUCUUGACAUAGGAUGCUACAAUAUGGCAUUAUCAAUGGAUUCAAGAAACCGUCCUAUGAGGGUCUUUUGAUAAUUCCAUAUUUGUAGGAGAGAAGGAUUAGACUUAACUGAGGUUGUUGCACCAAGAAACCGUCCGGUGAGGCGUAAAAAUCUUAGAGGCCAAAGGACGAUUGGAUUGCACAUAAGAUGUGUCGAGGUAAGAUGUUACCCGUUCAUUAAAUUACAGUUUUCCAAGAAACUGUCUGGUGAGGUAAAUCGUAAUUUAUGAAACCCCAAUCACCACUAAGAAAUCUAACGGAUGAGGAUUUCCGUCUUUCUACUUAGGGAGUGUAGAAAUUCGAUAAAAUUAGUGGGAGGAACCUUUUAAACUAAUAGACCCUAGUUUAAUAGGUUAAAGAAAAAUACUCAUCUAACUAAAAUAUCUACUUUCUGCAGACAAAAUGAAUGCCUCUAACCCUCUUUCUCAUAUAAUGGAAUCUAACCGAUUAACCGGCCCUAAUUUCCUAGACUGGCUACGUAACCUAAAAAUUGUUUUAGGUAUUGAAAAGCUUGAUUAUGUUCUUCAAACUCCAAUUCCCGAGCUUACCGCUGAGGCCACAUUUGAAGAAGUUGCGGAGAAAGACAAGUGGGUUGAUGAUUACCAGCGUGUCAAAUAUUACAUGCUGGCCUCUAUGUCAAAUGAGCUGCAACGACAGUAUGAGAACUAUGCUCGAGCAUAUGAGAUGCUUGCGCACUUACAAGAGUUGUAUGGUGCACAAAGCCGAACCGCAAGAUAUGAGAUAUCAAAGCAAUUGUUUAAGGCUCAGAUGACUCCAGGCACGUCAGUCAGUGAACAUUGUCUUAAAAUGAUUGAUGAUAUGGAGCAGCUAAUAAACCUCGGCUUGAACUUGGACGCAGACUUGCAGAUCGAUCUGGUUCUACAGUCUUUGCCAGAAUCGUUCUCUCAUUUCGUAAUGAACUUCAACAUGAAUAAGAUUCAUGCCACUUUGUCCGAGCUCAUGAAUAUGCUAGUCACAGCGGAAAGCACGUUGAACACAAACGGGAUGGCGAUGGCGGUUGAAAGAAUUUCAAAAGGAAAGUUCAAAGGAAAGAAAAAGUUUCCUAAGUUCAAGUCAUCAGGUGGAGUGAAGAAAGCCAAUUUUAAGAAAUCCGACAAAGGCAAGGCUAAAGGAAAGUGUUUCCAUUGCGGAAAGGAUGGACAUUGGAAGAGAAAUUGUAGAGAAUAUAUUUCUACCCUAAAAGAAAAAUUGAAGGAGGGGCCUUCUGAAGGUAUGAACGAAAUGCUCAUCGUUGAGGCCAAUAUGAUUGGCUCUACUUCUUCUUAGAUAUUCGAUUCUGCAUGUACCUUACAUCUUUGUAAUUCAUUACAGGAUCUAAAGGGAAGUAGAACACUGAAGGACGGCGAAGUGACCCUACGUGUGGGAAAUGGAGCAAGCGUUGCUGUGUUAGCCGUAGGGAGCUAUUCUUUGAGACUUCCAUCUGGACAUAUUUUAGAAUUAGAGAAUUGUUAUUAUUCUUCUUUAGUUGUUAGGAAUUUGAUUUCUGUUACAACUUUAGUUCGAACUGGUUAUCGUUUUAUUUUUGAAACUAAUGGUUGUUUUAUUUAUUUCCAAAAUAAAUUGAUAGCUACUGGUAGUUUAAUUAACAAUCUCUACUUUCUAAAUCUGGAUGGAAAUGUUGCUAAUAUUGAACAUAAAGAGAAUAAUUCUCAAAUCAAGAGACCUAGAGAUAAUAGUCUGAACCAAAAGUAUCUAUGGCACCUUCGACUAGGUCAUAUUGCAGAAGAUAGGAUAAACCGACUGUCCAAGAAUGGGCACUUGGGAACUUGUGCUUUAGAAUCUUAUCCAGUUUGUGAGUCUUGUCUUCAAGGCAAAAUGGCCAAGUCACCCUUUGUUGGACAAAGAGAGCGAGCCACAGAGUUACUUGCCCUUAUACACUCGGAUGUGUGUGGACCGUUUAGUGAAACGGCUCGGGUGGUUAUCUUUACUUUGUGACUUUUAUCGAUGAUUAUUCACGGUAUGGGUCUGUGUUUCUUAUGAAACACAAGUCUAAAACCUUUGAAAAGUUCAAAGAAUUCAGACAUGAAGUAGAGAAGCAGACAGGAAAAAGUAUUAAGGCUUUUCGAUCAGAUCGAGAAGGCGAAUACCUUAGUGCUGAAUUUUUAAAUUAUCUCAAAAAAAACGGUAUUCUCUCUCAAUGGACACCUCCUAGAACUCCGGAAUUGAAUGGAGUUUCAGAAAGAAGAAAUCGUACUUUAUUAGAUAUGGUACGAUCGAUGAUGAGCUUCACAGACUUACCUUUAUUUCUUUCGGGUUACGCUCUAUUAACCGCAGCCUACAUUCUAAACAGGGUGCCUUCAAAAUCUGUUCCUUGUAUUCCGCAUGAGAUGUGGUUUGGCAAAAAACCGGGUCUCAAUCAUUUAAGGAUUUGGGGAUGCCCAGCUUUUGUUAAAAAACUUAAAACAGAUAAAUUGGAGGCUAGGUCGGAUAAAGGAAGAUUUAUUGGUUAUCCGAAGGAGUCUAUGAGAUACUAUGUUUAUCUUCAAAGUGAACAAAACGUGAUUGUUAGCCGACAUGCAAUUUUUUUGGAAAAGGAGUUUGUCCAAGAAGGUGGUGCCGGAAAGGAGAUAAUGCUCAAAGAGAUGGUCUCAAAUGAGCAAAUAAUUUCUCUAGAACAAUCUGAACAAGCUAUUCAAACUGAACCCACUAUUACACAAUUACCUCAAAGAUCUGGUAGAAUAUCACAACCCCCAGAGAAAUAUCGAGAUUUCGUUAUGGAAUGCACAAAGGAAAUGUUCCUCAUUGGCGAUAGUGAUCGCAGGGAUGAUCCUACCAAUUACGAAGAGACGAUGUCAGACAUCGACUCAAUAAAAUGGCAAGAAGCUAUGAAGUCCGAGAUGGACUCAAUGUAUACCAAUCACGUAUGGACUCUUGUUGAUCCACCAAAAGGUAUAGUACCUGUUGGUUGUAAAUGGAUUUUCAAGAAAAAGAUUGGUGUGGAUGGAAAAGUAGAGACAUACAAGGCGAGACUUGUAGCAAAAGGCUACAGUCAACGAGAAGGUCUCGACUAUAAAGAAACGUUCUCUCCUGUGGUCAUGCUUAAAUCCAUUCGAACGUUACUUGCCAUAGCCGCAUACUAUGACUAUGAAAUCUGGCAAAUGGACGUAAAAACUGCUUUCCUCAAUGCAUUCAUAGAGGAGGACAUAUAUAUGCAACAACUUGAGGGGUUUGUGUCUGAUAGCCAGAAGCAUAAAGUAUGCAAGCUUCAGAGGUCCAUUUAUGGAUUGAAGCAGGCUUCGAGGAGUUGGAACAUACGGUUUAAUGAUGCAGUCAAAACGUUUGGCUUUGUGAGAAAUCAAGAUGAACCUUGUGUUUACAAGAAGACUAGUGGGAACCAGCUUGUCUUUCUUGUAUUGUACGUGGAUGACAUUCUAUUGAUCGGAAAUGAUGCAGGUUUGAUGACCUCUGUCAAGGUUUGGUUGUCCCAAAAUUUCGUGAUGAAAGAUCUAGGAAAGGCAGCCUAUAUCCUUGGCAUUAAGGUCUAUAGAGAUAGAUCUAAGAGGUUGAUCGGUUUGUCACAACAGAUGUACAUAGAAGAUGUGUUGAAAAGGUUCAACAUGGAAAAUUCCAAAAGGGGUCUUCUUCCUCUUAGACAUGGAAUUAAUCUUUCCAAGAUGAUGAUGUGUCCUAAAACACCUGAGGAAAGAGAGCGUAUGAGCAGAAUUCCCUAUGCUUCCGCAAUAGGAAGUCUCAUGUACGCUAUGCUAUGUACAAGACCAGAUAUCACACAUGCCAUAAGUGUUACGAGCAGAUAUCAGUCCAAUCCAGGUGAAGAACACUGGACUGCUGUGAAGAAUAUCCUUAAGUACUUGAGAAGAACUAAGAAUUUGUGCCUAGUGUAUGGUGGAAAUGAGCUAACAUUAGAAGGCUUCACAGAUUCAGACUUCAUGUCAGACGUUGAUGAUAGAAAGUCAACAUCAGGGCAUGUCUUCAUAUUGAAUGGUGGGGCUAUCAUUUGGAAGAGUUCCAAACAGAAUACAACAGCAGAUUCCACCACUGAGGGAAAGUACAUUGCAGCAUCUGAGGCAUCAAAGAAGGCAGUUUGGCUUCGAAAGUUCGUGACGGAACUAGGAGUGAUGCCUUCUAUUGAGGAACCAAUGCCAGUUUACUGUGACAAUAAUGGAGCUAUAGCACAAGCUAAAGAACCGAGGUCUCACCAGAAGUCCAAGCAUAUAGAUCGACGCUACCACAUCAUCCGACAAUAUAUAGAUGAGCGUCAGAUUGUUGUGCAGAAAGUAGCAUCCGUAGACAAUAUAGCGGAUCCCCUUACUAAGCCGCUCACACUUCAAAAGCUAGAUGUGCAUUUAGAAAGAAUGGGUAUGAGAUACAUGAGCGAUUGGCAUUAGUGUAAGUGGGAGAUUGUUAGUGAUAUACCCUAAAGCUAAUCGGUGACAUAGGCUUGUGAACAUAUUAAGUAUUUUUCUUAUUUAAUAAAGGGAAAGUUUUACUCAUAUUUAUUGUUAGCAGUACAAUAUAUUUAUAUGAAUCGUCCAUUGAAUCUUCGUUAAGAAAAUAUAUUCCUAAGAGUUAGGAAUUUGAGAUAUAUAUUUCUUUGUACAAGAUUCUUAAACGCUCCUAGCCAUAGCAAUAUCAUAAGAACGAUGAUAUUUCCGAAUAGGCCAGUGCAUGCUACACUUCUAUAUUGAGGUGACGAAUCUCAAGUCAUUAGUGUACGGACACUAAAGUAAGCAUGCAAUUGCUUGUUAGCGAACAAGUACACUGAGCGUGACCAUUUAGUUGAACAAUCACAUGGCUCCAUAUUCGCCAGUGACUAGUUCUUUGCUACCGUUGUGUGAAGUACUCCUCGAACCUAAGGCAUCAUAAUUGCUUCACAUAUAGAUUGCUACUGUUUGACUAUACUAAUACUUAGACUCUAGUCAUUGGUCUAUGUCUGGUACUGAUUGGCUGUAGUAGUUUAUAUGGGGAGGCGUGUGAAUGCGCAAUAAGGAAUUCAACACCCCUAAUAAUGAGAGAGAGAACGUCCUAUGUAGACUAUCGAACUCAACUCGGAAAAUCCUUGGCCAGGGUACGUGGUGUGUAAAAAGAGUUUCCAGCUGUGUUACCAUAUUUAGUCAAUUUUAUAUAUUCUAGUCAUAUGAUCGAAUAAUAAGAUUUGGCGAAUAACCAUAAUUUUAGUUCGAUCGGGGCGUUGUGUGUUGGAAGGAAUUAAUCACACGGUAACGGUUAGCGGAAAGGUUCGUUUUUCAUCAUCAUUCUGGAUUGUCGUGAUAUACUGCUAGGUGUCACUCGCGGACAGUGAGAAAAGUAAAAAUAAUUUAAAUAAAUUAUUUUAUAGAUUAGAAAAGUUCUAAUUCAAUAUUGAAGAGUUUGAUAUUGAAUUCCACUGUCGAAUGAUAAUGGACCUACGCGGUCACACACAAUAGGAAUUGUGUGCAUCCAAUUUGAUAAGAUGAGUCCAAUUAAUACACUAAACAGUUUAGUGGAAAUAGUAAGAAUCAUGAUUUGAUUUAAUCUCUAAUUAGAUUAGAGAACAAUUAAAUAUUCAUAGAUUAUUAUGAGAUAAUAUUCUAAUUAGAUUUGAUUUAAAUAUGAAUAUUUAAUUUAAUGGAUAAAAUCCAAUUAAAUUAAAGAGAGAGAUAAAGAUAAAAUAUCCAUAUAGAGAAGCAUAAAUUUAUUUUUACUUACCCUAUGUGGGAACUAAUUGGAUAUGAUCCAAUUAGUAUGACAACUAAUUGGAUGUGAUCCAAUCAGUUGCAACAGGUAGUGGGAUGUGCCGGUUUAGAUCGUGGGAUCUAAUUAGUUGCAACAGAUCGUGAGAUGUAUAUAAGGCGCGGCUUCAUUAGUAGUUAUGAGAGUGACUACGUGAGGAGAUAUAUAUAAUAACUUUACGAGAGGGAUUUAAUGAUUGCCUCUUGAGAAGUAUCAGAUUAUCCAUCUCUCUCUAUUAUCCUUCGUGAAAAUCAGUAAAUCUCACAAAAGGGAACGUAGAUAUCAGAAGACUGCUAGCACCGUCUUUGUAAUCUGCGACUCAUCUGUUCCGUGCGACGGAAGGCGUUGGAUCUGCAUCAAUUCCAUGUGGAUACGCGUAGAGGCCGGGCACGUGCCCGGCUAAUCGGAAUUUCAGUUUCAACCGUAUAGUAGAUCAAGAGACCUUAACUGGUCCAAGGUGAUGUAGCCUGAACUUCAAAUCUAUUUAGGUUAGAUUAUUAUUUUACAUUGUAACAUGAGAAUGAUCCGCCGGCACUGGAUUGAUUUGUUUUUGUUUUGGUUCAUAUGUGAUAUGGAUUUUUGUUUUUCGAAAAUACAAUUUUAAUUUCCGCUGCGAUUUUUUUGUGCCGGAUAAAUUCUUACAGUCCCCAUUUUAUUCAUAAUUUUUCUCUCUUGAAGGCCCUUCCUCCUUUCUAGCUUCUCUUAUGUCCUACCAAACGCUGCUCAUAUUUAUUACAACUUACAAGAAACUUCUAACUCAACAAAAUUAUAAGUAUAUGCUAAUCCGCUUCCUUAAGGAUGAUGCAUGAUCAAAUUGCCCUAUCUAACAAGUGAGAUUAUUAAAAUUAAAAGGCUAUACAAAAUCAUAAGAAUAUGUGGCUUUAAUCCCACGUGAUGCAUGAGACAGUACUGAAUCUCAGGUACUAUACAAGUACAGGUUAGUAAUUUUUUUUAUCUUUGCAGGCUCAUAUAAUUCUCAAUAAAGUUUUAAAGAUAUGAAUUUUUAAAUUUAUCUCAUAAAAGUACAUUAAGCAGACUUUCAUACAAUAUAAGAUAAAUUGUACCAUAAAAUUUUAGAUAGGUACUAGAAGAUAAUUUUGACACAUCAUGCGACCAUAAAUUUUCUAAUAUGCUUUCACUAAAAAUACAAAAAGUGAAAUAUUUAACUAAAUUUGGUCAUUCAAAAAUAGAUUUAAAGUUGAAGAUAAUUGUGACUAUUCUGUAUAUAUGAUAAAUCUAAACAUAACAUAUGUAAACAAAUAAGAUAAAAUUGUAGACAUACAAAGCUAGAAUUGUAACACCCCGUACUUUUAAACUUCUUUAUUUGACUCCUAUUCUUAUUAAGUUUGGACCUUUUCGUAAAUUCCUAUCUUCAAGGGAUUCGGCGGCAUUUUGUUACUUAAUUAGUAUCUAACUUAAUUAAUUUUCUCCCCAACCCUCACCCGAUCAAUCCCUCUUUUUCCCCUCCCCUACGACUCGCUCUCUCUCUUCCUCACCGCAUCCGUACGACCUCUGUCGUUCCGCAAGUGCGCACGCGACGCCAUCCGAUCGUCGCCGUCAUCCGUAGCCGCCUCCGCCGCAAUCCUCUUUGGCCGUUAUUUUUGGUUCACUAUCGACGGCAUCCUGCCGUCAUCUUCACCAUUUUCGAAAAGGUUUUUCUCUUUCCCUUAUUUUAUCUCUAUAUCGAACCUUGUGAUCAUCCAACCUUCUUAUUUAUCGUUAUAUUAUUAUUUUGAACACUCGCCUCAUGAUGAUCGAAAUUUAAAACUAUCAAAAUCUGAUUUGCUUUGAUCUAAAUAUGUGUUAUUCGAUCUAUCAUUUUAUCUUGUAUUCCUAUCUGAUUUAGUUAUAUAAAUCCUCCAUAUUCUGCAUGCUUCUUGUAAUGCUCCUUACAUGUUCGAUAAAAUGCCUAAGAGAGGGCGAACUUUGUUUUUGUUUCUAAUUCCAAUCCUAUCUGAUUGUAAAUUGCCUAUUAAUAUUUCAACAUCUGAAAACCCUCUUUUCGAGCAUUAGACCCUUCGUUUGUUAUUUAAAACUUCAUUCAUCUUAUCUUGCUUCUUUGAAUAUUUUAGUUUUUGAAACUCUCAAUUCUCUUGAUUGUUAAUUCAGUUUCUUCGAGUUCACUAUUCUAAAUCUCUUUCGUGCUCCGUUUUGCCUUUUUGCAUGCAUCUGUAGUCGACAUUGUCGACCUAUGUGAACCUAUCCGAAUUCAAACUUUUGUAUAAGCUUGCUUUCUAAAUAUAUAUGUUCUCUUUGUAAGUUUAUUUUUAAAUAGCUUAUAGAGAAUCGUAUAUCUCUAUUUUAGGUUCCGACGAUUGAUCUCGUGCAAUUUUCGAUUGGAUAGCUUCUUAACUCAGAAGCCGCUUUUGAGGUAAGCGACUGGACACCCGUUAGUUUUUCGUAAGAUCAUUUAGGAAAAUAUUUCGAUUGUAUGAAAAUCUUAUUUUGUAGAUUUUAAAAUUAAGUAAAUAUUUCUGUAAAUUGAGCUUCAACUGUGAUUGACAAGUUCUUUUAGCAAAAUGAAUUUUUGAAACUUGAUAAUCUGUUCUGUAAAUUAGUGACUGGAUAAUUUUUGAAGUAUGAUGUCUCUUGGUAUUCUGCUAUGCUAAUGUUGGCCAUGUCGAUAUGUAUUUUGUUAUAGAAGCGAGCUUCGUCUUUGUCUUGUGCCUUCAGGUGCCUGCGCCUAUUCGCGCCUCUGCUUUGUUUGCGCCUACGGGUGCCUGUGUUUUGUACAUGCACCUUUGGUGCCUUUGUUCUGCUUGCGCCUUCGGGUGCCUCUGUUUUGUUUACGCCUUCGGGUGUCUUUGGAUCUCGCCAACGGAUCAUAUGAUAUAGUUAGGUGCCGGAGACUUAAGAUCUAUUUCGUUUAUUUGCUAAAUGAGAAAUGCAUUUGAAAAAAAAAAUUAUAAUUUCAGACCAAUCUGAAUUUUUGAGUUUUGAUAAACUCUUGUUUUCUAAAUUUUACAAAUUAAAAACCAGUCGCUUGAAUUAAUUUUUGUAUUCGUUUAUUUAUUUGUAUUGUAUGCUUAAUCCGACUAAUAUGGUGUAUGGUUGCUUACCCAGGUACCAAGACCGAUUUGCCGGGCGGGGCUGAGACCGAGUGAACGUUAGACGUAGCUAGUUUUGAUUUUUUGUCCUUUUAGUUUUAUGCCUAGCAUAUUUAGAUGUGAAUAUUUUUUUGGACUUCGUAAAUGAUCGUUUGUUAUCUUUUAUUUCGUUAUUUGUUCGUACUCACCUUUGUUAAUUAUGAUUUUUAGUGGACCGAAUUUAUUGUGUUUCUUAGUAAGCUUUAGUUCUAUAGAUGUUAGAAUUCCAUUUGAUUUUAGUUAAAAUUCAAUUUCUUAGUCUCAUCCUAUGAUUCUUUGGAUUUAGUGGAAAAUUUGGUAAUCAUCUUUUUGCUAGCUUCCGUCUGAUUCUGUAGCCAUGCAUAUUUGCUAGUUUAGCAGAUAUGCGGCGUCUGUUACGCCUCGGGUUUGGGGCGUGACAAGAAUAUCAUCCCAUAGUACAUUCAUUUAUGAAUGAUUUAACUUUACAUGAUUUUUGAAGAAUAAUGUGUAAAUUCAUCUACUUAAUCUCACAUAAAUAAAUAUAUAAUUGAAUUUGAAAAAAUUUUCUAAAUGUUUGAGUAUAAUUAACCCAAUGUAUAUAAAUUUGGAUAUUUAAAUGUAAUUUCAAACGAUAUAAAAAAGAAUUAAUCUAAUGUUAUUUAAAUUGUUAAAAUUAUUAUAAAGUGUAAAUACAGUCUUAAGAUUCUAAAUGUUAGUGGUUAUAGAAUAUAAGAAUAGUCAUUAAAUUGGACAUUGUUAAUAAUGGAGAUAGCAAUUAGAUAAAUAUAAACAUUGAGAUAUGGAACACAUGUUGAUAUCUAUUGAAAAUUGCACGUAUUUUGAAGGUUGAGGUAGGUUCACAAUUUCACUCGAGAUCUCCAGUUUUAUAUAUAUUAUUAUGUAGACGGCACAAUAAUAUUGUAUGUCAUAGAAAAAAAAGGCAUUUACUACAUUAAUAUAUUGUCAAAUCCACUUUCACAAUGAACAAGAAUCUUUCAUGUUAUAACCAUGAAGGUGUGGAUGGAUAAUAACCUAGUAUGAUUAUAGAAAUGACAGAAAAUAAAGUCCUUGAUGAAAAAGCAUGUUACACGUCUACUAGCCAAAAGAGGUAUACACUAUGCUAUCCUAGUAAAAAUGAAGAUAAACGUAGUAUAAAUUAAUGCAACAGCUUAGAAAGCAAAAUAAAUUGUAGAGCCAUUAAAAAAAUGUGUAACCUAUAUAACUAUAAUAAAAGUAUUCCAUACCUUCCACACAAAUGGCUGACCUUUUCUGCAUACUCUUCAACUGUCUAGUUUCCUGAGUAGACAAGGACAACUUUAGAGGAAUUUAUAAGCAAGAAACAAGAAAAAUUAUAAUUGAAAUGACAUGAAAUAUUAAACAUACAGUAGGUAUCUUACGAACAUCACCCAGUUUUCUCUUUUUGAUGAUACUUCUAUGGGGGAUAUUCCCCAUAGGGGCAUCUCUCGACAUAGGGAAAUCGCCAUCGACAUAACUGUUCUCUCUUUUUUUUAAGGGCCCUUCACUUGGAUUUUCCUGAUCAUUCUCAUCUGAUAACUUAUGCUUGAAGUACGCGCUUCUUACAAUGACUUUUCUAUCUGUUGAAAUCUCAUUGCUUUCUUUACUAUCUUUUGCAGAGCUGUCGUUUUCCUUAUGUGAUGCUAGAAAUGGUUUAGAAAUUUGAUGCUCCUGUCCUGCCAAGAAAGAACAAAAAUGGAGUAUUAAUAUCAACUUGCACAAAUUUCAUAAGCAAAUAAAGGAAAACAAUAAUGUGAGGCUGCAUCUGGUUUAGAGUUAGUGAAGGGUAACUCUUUAAGUUUUCCCCGUUAUUCUUCUGAAUACCAGAAAUUUUAAAAGAGGCCCGUAGUUUUGGUCAAAAGCACUAUUUCCCCCAACAAUUCCAAUCUCCUACUAUGUUAGUCUAGUCCCCUAAUUUAACCCUAUAAUCAUUAAGUAAUCCCUAAUGACUGCAAUUGUUCCUGCAAUCAUUGUAAGGCAAACCAAAAAUAAAAUUGACUCUGCCCUUCAUUAUUCAGGAACAGUAGGCAGCAUAACCUAGGGACAAAGGAAGCUCUUCCACACAAAAUUGCCCUGAAUCAAUCUGUGCCUAAAGAGAUAAAACUGGAACGACAAUAAAAGAUGCACUAAAGCUUACCAUCCAUGUUUAAUCCAAGUAGAUUCCUUUCAUCAGAAAACUUAGCUUCCAUCUGAUAAAGAAAGCAAAAAGAUAAGCAAUUCACAAUGAUUUGAAGAGCAAAUUUCAAUUGAUAGAUACAGAAGCAUGUUCACAUAAAGAGAUUUUACAUAUCUACCCCAGCAAAAUUAUAUACUUAUAAAUAUCCUUGCAAAACCUGAACUUUCUUAUAUGCCCUUUCAAAAUACAAUUUCUUACACAUAUAAACAUUCGUGACAAACAUCUCUCUUUAGAAAUCUCUCUCUAAUUGAAAGCCAAUUUUCUUCUUGAAGUGCAAAAAUUUCCCUAACUUAUUAAUAUAAGGGCAUUUUCAUAAGAAAAUGCACUUUUCGCAGGGCUAAAUGGAAAUUCAGAUUUUAUAGGGGUAACUACAUAAAGAAAUAUUUCUGCAGUUAUAAAUAUACACACAUAAAACUUCAACAUAAAAUUUCAUAGCUAAAUAAAGGAUCAUAGGCAUUACUUCCAAAUCAAUGCUAACACAAUCCUGUGAAGGAAGAGCGAUAGCACCAUCUCCUGCACUGAGCAAGAAAUCUUGUUUUGUGUCCAUAGGAACAGUAACAUCAUCUUUAGUUGAACCAGGUGAAUCGGAGUCUUCAUUUCCAGAGCUACACAAUGGCGGUUCAUCUGUAGCUGAUUCCUUAGGCAUGAUGUUGGGGGCUCUGAAUUUCCGCCUCAUUUCAAGCGAUGCUAGGCCUUUGAACGUUAAGGAAUUGGGGAUUGCUUUAAGUGAUGCUAAAAAUGGUUUUGAAAAUUCAUGCACUCGCCCUGCCGAAAAAGGAUAAAACCGCUUCUUACGAUCACCUCACACAGAUGUUAAUAAGCAAAACAGUAAAAGAAAAAUGUCUGCAUUUUCAGGGUAUGAGGGGGAUAACUCAAAUAAGAAGGGAUAAUAAUUGUGGCCAAAGCUGAUUAUUCUAGAAUGACCUAGGAACGACAAUUCAACCUUUCCCUGAAAUAAAUGUCGUCAACCCUUUAUGCUCGCUAAUCUCUGUUACAACCAAUAUAGGCCCUCAUUACUAAGCUAUCCCUGCAAUCACUACCAUUAUCCCUGUAAGUCAAACCAAACAUAAAAUUGACUAUGUUCAUGGUUAUUUGGGAUAGCGAUUGGGAUGACCCAAGGAUAAAAGAACUCAUUCAACCUAAAGAAACCAGACCAUCCCUAUGGCGUAAAAUUAAGCUUACCGUCUAAGUUUGGUCCAACGUGAUUCCUCCCUUCAAAAGAAAUUUCAGCCUCCAUCUGAUUAAAAAAAUGAUAAAAAGAAAUUAUUACCAUUCAAAAAGCAAUUAACAAUUAAUAGAACGCAAGCAUGUUUACUUCAAAUAAAGAAAAUCACUAUCAUUACUUAACUGUUAAAUCCUGUGAAGGAAUGGUAACAUUAUCUUCAGCUGAGACAGGUGAAUCAGAUUCUUCAUUUUCAGAGCUAAGCGAAGACGAUUCUAUUGUAGUUGAUUGCUUAGGCAUGAUUUUUGGGGCUCUGAAUUUCCGCCGUGCUUCGGUUGACGCUAGGCCUUUCAAUGUUAAGGAACUUAGAAUAUAUAACUUGUAUAUGUGAGGAAAUUCUUUCAUCUCAAAUAAACAUAAAGUUUUGCUUUACAAUGCAAUGACAAGCCCAAGAAGCUUAUUAGCUACCUCUAAAUUAGCAAUUACAGUUAAAUACAUGCUUGAUGACAUUAACAAUAAAUCCUCAGUUGAUUUACAUGAAGAAAAGAAAUAGCAAAUACAGUGCUGAAAGCUGUUUAUGUACAUGAGAGUUAAGCAUGACUUCCAAAACUGUCGUUGCUAAAAUUUCAGGCACAAAUAUUAACACAUGUCAAUUCACUAGUCAUGUUAACCUCCUUUGCUUACUUAGCAACUGCAAAACAAAUCCCCAAAGUGUAACCUAAAUUGCAUUAAAUUUCAAGGUCCAUCCAUCCAAUGGAUACAGAAGUAAUUUGUUAACACAUUUUUCUGCACAGGCAAACUUGGCCUUUUUCCUCCGCCUGCAAUACUGAACUCUCUAGCUGAGCAAUUUUGAUCAACAACUGAUGCAGUUCCCGUUACAUUCUCCUGUUAACAAAAUAUAUAGCAGAAUCAAGAAAUAUGAACAAGAAAUUUGUCCCUGGGAUCUUAUAGAUGUAUAGUAUACAUAUCAAUCAGAACAAAGCGAAGCUGAUCCAAUAAACAACAGCUAUCACUCAGAACUCUGAGCUCCGCCAAAAUCAAGUCUCAUACUCUUUUCUUCUUUAUUUAGCUUUUUCUCAGUGGCUUCUGAAUUAAAAAACAAGCAUUAUGCUAAUAAUGGAGUGAAAAGAAGCUUUACAUGCCUAUUGGAAAGAAUUGCACUACGACAUGAAUGUUCUAUCAAGUGAAAUUCAAAAGAUUAAAAUAUACCUCAAAUGGCAUCUUUGAAAAUGGAUCAAUAUAACCUUCAGCUAUGCCUUUGACUACAUCUUGUGGCAACCAUGUAAGAUCAGUUAAGGCAAGCUAUGAUUACGUUAAUUUCUAACAUCGUUCAAAUACGUAAGAAAGACUUGGAAGGCCAGAUAUUAAUAUGAUAGGCGGAAGGCUCCUAAGCUUUCUCUCUUAGGCCCCAUAUAGUGCCACUUACGCGACAAAUAGUGCAUAAAGAAAGAAAACUUGGAAAAUUAGCUAAAACAGGAGGCUUAAGGAACUUGAAUAAUAGUCUAUACUUAAGCAAAAUAAAGACAACAAGAAAAUGGACAAAAGGUAAUUAAAAAUAUAUCGGAAUAGAUUAUAUAUCAAGGAUAAGUUAAGCAGCAUAUCAAGGAUAUGGGCCCAGAAAAUCCAAAUCUUCACCAAUGUCGUGAGGAAUGUCGGAUAGAUGCACUAUGUCAUCUUUUGCAGGAUCAUAGACUCUUUGAUGCUGAAAUGCUUGAAUUGCUUUCUUGAAAUUUUCUUCAUAAAGAGGUGGGACAUAUAUGCCACCAUACCUCAGGUGCUUGAUUACCUGAAGUAACUAAUUUGUCAAACACAUGCCAUAUUUCCAUCUUGCUAACUUUCUAAGGACUCCAUGAAAUCAGAGACUUACAUGAAUAAUGAUAUCUCAAAAUGUUAUUAGUACGAUAGUAAUAUCUUAACCACAGAGGGCAUAGCUAUACUAUAUAGUUUUCAGGCAGUUAUAACAUAUUAUAUUGUUACAUCAAACACCAUGUUAUCCAUCAGGGUAAAAGAUUGAACAUUCAAGUAGAGGUAAAAGUAGGGAAAUACCACUUUUAACAACAAUUAAUGACAUUUUGAAUUUUCAAUAACAAAUAUAGAAGCAAGGGUAUUUCAGAUAGAUUAUCUGAAUUAAGUACAAUCGACCUAUCUAAAAAGAAUUGAGGAAAUAGGAGGUCAGUGACCAAGGAGAUGUUUAGACAAAUUAUGGGAGGACAUCUGAAGCAAUGUUAUAUCCAUUAGAUGCCAAACAUUAACCAAAUGAGUCAUAAGUCAUAACUAAGCUACUCAUCCUACUAGACAAGCUUCAUGAACAUGAACAUGCUGAUGCAAACUCCAAAGAUACAUAACGAGUUGUUAUGCUGAUUUCUAGUAUAAAAGAUUUCUGUCUAGGCCACCAAAUAUGGCACCUAUAGUCUAUGACAGAAACAAAACAAAAAAAUAGAAAGUUAUCCAUUUAAGAACCUAGGCAAUGAAGAUCAAAAACAAGUUUAAAAUAAUUCACAAAAAAAAGUGAAUAACCUUUUCCUGGGAAUAAUUAUCCAUACUUUUUGCCCUAUAGUUUCUGAAAACCUCCAGUAAGCUUUAUUUCUUCCUACUUUUGUACUAUUUAGUUACUUAAAAUUCUCUUUGCAGCAUCAGUUCAAUGAUAUUACUCAAAGUUCAUGCUAAUAAGAACUGUGUUAGGCUAAUACAACUUGAAAAAGCAAUGUGAUACAAGGCUGAUCCUAUAUGUAGAAGAUAUCAUUUAGCCCUAUCAGGGAGGGAACAUAUAUUAUGUAAAGCAACGUACAAUUGCUUAAGUGAACCAGUGAAUGAAUCAUUAGCUUGCACUUCAUGUAAUAUCCUAAUUACUGUAAAAAAUAAACAUAUACACAUCAAGCUUUCCUUACUUUAUCACAGCUCUUAAGCUUUUGGAUGAGUGCAUGAGCUCUUUUUAAGCCCAUGCCAGGCAAUGACUGUAGGUAAUCGCAGCCGCUAAGAAUACACAUCUGAAGCACCAUUUGUUUACUGAAUCCAGCAAAGUCAAGCUCCUUAUUUUGCCCUAACUUUGAACUCCGGAAUUCAACUCCCUGCCCAAAUUUGUCCAUCUUGAAGAUAAUCUGGAAGAGCUUCAAACUUCAGCAUUUCCAGAUAUUGGAUAGAUAAACCAAUAAGAGAAAGAGAGAGACUUUGGCUACUGAAUAACUCACUCUAGAACAGCCAAAUGGUAUUAAAUCAGAGUCCUCAGUAAUUACUGCAUCAACUAGCUUGUUUAUGGACAAGAAUGUCAUUUGUGCAUCAGCCUCAUAAGGUGCCACAAUAUAGUCAACUUUUUCCUGCUUCAAUACCUGCAUUAGCGCAUAUAUAAUAAGGUUAUGUAAAUCUAUUUGGGAACACAGAAAGAGAGGUUUCAACUUAGAUAACUGUGAGACCUAAGAGUGGAUGUAAUAAAUUAUCUUACCUGGAUUAAUUGAAAUGCAAUUGAAGGUGUAAUAUCUACAGCUUUCUGGUAGCACUCAAAGGCAGCAGCUGAAUUGCCAGCAGCUUCGUGUUCCAUAGCACGCUCAAGAUUUUCCUUUCUCACUCUGCAUGAGAACUCAACUAAUUUCUUUCCCUAAUAAUAGAGAUUUCCUGAUUAUGAAUCGACUAAAUUACUUUUCUCGACUAAUUAUAUGUGAAAAUUUUGGGUAUAUUUUACUUAAACAGAAAAUAGAAAGUACUUAAUAUAACAUUUACAAGUCAUAUUCUUCCCCGAACAAAAUAUAAGUACUUUUCACAUGCUAUGAACAAAAUAAUGUCUUUCCUUAUAGAUUAGUUAAAAUAGUACCUUGCACGCUUUGUCUCUUGAUCGAUCUUGAUUGGUAGAAGCCCUCCAUCAAAUAUAAGAAUGGGUUUGACACCAUAAUGACGUAAUAAAUUUACUCUAUGCAUGCAGUAGUCGAUAUGCCUAGCAAUUCAAGGAGAAAGCUAACCUCAAAUUGUUUGAUACUAUUUAAAGUAGGAAAAGAUUAUGAACUCAAGUGCAACUGGAACUACAUUUAUAAUGAAAAGCGCGAAAAGAUUUACAAAGAAGAGACAAAGCCCUAAACUUCUUGUUUGAAUAGCCCUAAAACAUAUUGUUUGAAUUGCUUUACAAGGGCACAAAAUGUUAAAAUACUGAUUAGCAAAUUAUUUAGAAGUCAAAUCAUGUUUUCAAGCAAUUCUUGGAUUAUGAAAAACUUAAUAGUAGUUAUUGCAUUCACAGAGAUAAGAUUGCAUUAAUAAAGUAAAGAACAACCUAAAUUUUCUUUUUCAGUGAGCUGAUGAAGUAUACAGAAACACGAUAAAAACUAACAUGUUACUACAAGAAAACAGAAAAGAAGGAAAUAAAAUGAGAUUGACGCAUUUCAUUUUUUAAUUUUCACAGUUAUAGAGUUCCUUAGUUUUCUUCCUUACAGUUGUUCUCAGAACAUGUUAAGAAUAAAGCAGGUAAGAAAAUAGACCAAGGGUGGUGCCCUUGUCAGAUUUCUAUUGUCACAAUUACCGAGGUUCCUUGUUUUUUCCCCUUACGCGGGUUAAAUUCAGAAAAUGUAGAACUAAGAGAUGGGACUGCCUUGCAACUGCAACCUGUAGAAGGCACAUAAUAUAAGGGAUUUUUUUCUUUUUUUCUUUUUUCUUCUUUUUUUUCUUUUGGAUACAGGGUUGUACCCUAUUUCGGCAAUUUAAGUUAUAGUAGUAGACUAGCAGUCAGAAAGAAACCAAAGAGAAUUGUAUAUAAUAAAAAAAAAAAUUAGAACUUGAUUGUGGAUAAGAAUAUCGACCCAUAUCAAGCUAUCUUUAUCUAUACAUAGCUAUCUCCUCUUCUUUGUUGAACAUGGGUUUGUUGUGUUCCCCUUUUUUAUCCGAUCAAUAGCAAAUAACAACAGCAAAAGAAAGACGAUGCCUCAAAAUAUUUUUAAAAAAGGAGAAGAAUAGAAACUUACCCAGAAAUAAAUGAAACCCAUGAACUGACAAAGGUUGCGAGAUAGUGGAGGAACAGUACAGAAGACAAUGCAUGUACUAAAUAAACACUGUUUUACUAAUCCCAUUCUUCAGGGUAAGAAUGAAGAACAGUGAGUAAUAUAGGGGGUGUAAUCGAUGACUGCAACAGAAAAAAGAUAUUAAAAUGAGAAAUUAGACCUUGAUUGAGCAUGAGAAGAUAUAUUAUUAUCAUAUAAGCUUCCUCUGACUUAAGCACCGUCUCUUCUUCUUCAUCACAUGUGUUUGCAAAAUAUUCUCUCAUUUUGUUUUCUCAAAUGGGUUAAUCCCAAAUCGUAAACAAUGCCAUUAAAAACCACAAAAUGCCCAAAAAAAUUCAAAGAAAAAAACCCACCAAGCAAGAAGUGAACCCCAAGAGUUGAGAAGAGUUGCAAGAAAGUCAGGAAAGAACACUAGAGGCUGCAAUGUAUAUGAUCAAACAACCAAUGAGCUAUCUCCUCUAGAAGAAUAAUUACAAGAAAGGAGAUAAGAAAAUGUUCUUCUCUAGACCUAGCUAUCUUCUCUUCUUCCUCGCCUGGGUUUGUUCCUUCCCCUUGUUUCCUCAAAUGGGUGUCUCAAAUCAAAAAUAUCAGCAUUAAAGAACCAUAAACACCCCGUCAUAAAUCAAAACAAACACCUUACCCAGCAAGAAAUGAAACCUGCGAUUCGACGAGAGUCGCAAGAAAAUGGAGAAAGAUGACAAUAAUUAUAUCAGAUAAAAUGAAAAAUAGAUCUUGAUUGAAUAUCUUCCCCCACACAGACUCUUUUUCGCAUCGGUUUGUUCCCUUCCAUUCUUUUCUCAUGUGUGUAUCAUGCAUUGCGAACAUUGGGAUUAAAAGAAACACAAGCCCCGGCAAAAAGCCGCUUCUUUUUCGAUUUGGGUUCGUCACCCUCCUCUUGUUCCCUCAAAUGAGCAUCAUACAUUGCAAAUAAGAACAUCAAAGAAACACAAAAAUGCCCUAAAAAGAUCAAAACAAACACCUUAUCCAACAAGAAACAAAACAAACCCGAGAUUUUCCGACGAGGGUUUGCGCGAAAUCGGAGAAAGAACAUCAUCACGUAGGGCAACGAUUAAGCACGGGAGAAAGGUUAGAGAGACGAUUACCUGGAGGUGGGGAGGCUCUUGCAGAGGUUGGAGGCGCAGGAGAGGGCGCCCUUGUGGAGCCACGAGUAGGUGUCCACCGCAACACUCUGCCCCCUCAUCUCCUUCACGUGGAUCGGCGCCAUGAUCGACCUCAGCUGAGGAAGAAGCCCCUGAAUCCCCAUUGCCCUUCCCCCUCACCUCUCCCUCUCCUCUCUCUCUCUCUCUCUCUCUCUCUCUCUUAGACUCUCUUAGAGAGAGAGGGGGAGUGAACGAAAUGGGCGGGAAACGAAAUUGAAGGGAGCGGGAGGAGGAGCGACGAAACGAGCUGGCGAGUUGGGCUCACGUGCAGAUCACGUGUUCUCGGGUUUAUGCUAUCAAUAGAGUGGCUGAACCGGGUGUAUCACAAUAUAUAGAGAGAGAGAGAGAGCUGAUCUAAAAUACUCUCAAAAGCUCCAUGAAGGUGGUGCUUUUGAGUUUUUAGCCAUUGGAUAGAGAGAAGUGAGGUUGAGAUGAUGGUGGUAGAUGGUGGUAGGUGGAAUAGUGUUUGAUCCAAGGGUUGUUAGUAAUUAAAGAGUAGAUCCAAAGACUAGAAACCUAGAAGUACCAAGGGGGUGAUACUACUAAAAGUAUUUCUACUCUUUAAUUACUAACAACCCUUGGAUCAAACACUAUUCCACCUACCAUGAUCUACCACCAUCAUCUCAACCUUACAUUUCUCCAUCCAAGGGUUAAAAACUCAAAAGUACCAACAUAUUGGUGCUUUUGAGAGUAUUCUAGCUCAACUCUCUUUCUCUCUUUCUCUCUCUAUAUAUAUAUAUAUGAGCUAAAAUACAUUUUUUGUAAAUACCUAUUUUCAAAAAUAUAUAUUUUACCUUCUCAAAAUUUCAUGUUGAUGCAUUUUGUCCCCAUCUGUCCGAAUUUCGUCACUAUUCGUCGAUAUUUUAUAAUUAAAUUUAUUUUUUUUCUUAUAUAAUAAGUUAGAGCAAUUUGGUCAAUUUGUUCUUUCCAUUAAUAUCAUAAUCCUUUAAAAAAUAUUUCUAAAACUUUAAAAAAUUAGAAUAUAAAUUUUUGAAAGUUUGGAGAAAAAAAUAAAAGAGCGGAUACUUAUAGAGGGAUAUUUUUGUAUUUGAGCCACUUGUUUAUCAUGGACCAUGCUUUAAUAUUUGCGGACUUUUUUUUAUCUUGGGAUUAAAACCCCGAAUUGAGCUAGAGUAUUUUUAGAAGCACAAAUCCUUGAUGCUUUUAAGGUUUUAACACUUGAAUCUACUCCUUGAUUACUAAUAGCCUUUAGAUCAAACAUUAUUCCACCUCCCACCACCUGCCACCAUCAUCUCAACCUCACAUCUCUUUGUUCAAUGGCUAAAAAUUCAAAAGCACCACCUUCACGGUGCUUUUUUGAGAGUAUUCUAGCUCAACUCUAAAACUGCAUUUUAUUAAAGAAAUAAAGUUUGAUCACAUCAUUAUACAGUUUUGGAGAAUAAAAUAAAUGCAUUUCCACACAAACGAAGUGGGAAACAUAAGUGGAAAAAAGUAAAAAUAACAGGCUCCAAAUCUAAAUAUCAAAUUGACAAAUAAAUAAGUUCAUAAAUAUUGAAGCUCAUGAUAAAAAAUAAAAUAUAAAGAAGAUAAUAGAUAAAAGCAAUUAUCCAGUUUGCACUUCCGUUCCUACGCUCAUCCCUCGAGUUAUAUCAGAACAUAGUUAUUUUCGAAUCUACCAAGCUCUAGUACGCAAAAUAUUCAUGAAGCCUAUGGUGUCUGAUAUAGUUAAAAAAAAAAAAAGUUUUUAGUAGCGAAAAAGCAGAGUAAGAAAGAGGCAACGAACUAGAUGAGUGUGGAAAAAUACUUGGAGAAAAGCAUGAAAGGCGACCAAAAAUAACAAAACAAAAAGAAAAAAAAAACAACAAAAACAAAAAUCCAAGUCUAUUUGUCGGUUGAGAAAAGAGAAAAAGAGGGGAAGGGUCUACGAAGAGUUAAUAUCCGACGAUUAAUGUAUGUUUAUUUACAUAUUCGAUGGAUAAAAUAUGCAACAGAUGGAAGAACUACGUAUAAUAAUUAUCUCAAAAGUCAAAAGUUAGUAAUAUAUAUAUUCAAUGCAUAAAACAUAAAUAAACUUUAUAAUUUCUAAUAAUAUAUAAAGGUAUUUUAAAAACCAUAAAAUAAAUUUAAUGUGAAAUCUCUGUAAUAGAAUUUUGGCGUGUGAUGUGCUGCAAUGUACGUUAUUGUGUCCAAAUUGUAAUUAUCCAAAUUUAGGAAAAUGCUACCCGCACACUUAUACAAAGAUUUUUUUUAUUUUUUAUUGCCAAAUAAAUAUUUUGAUUGAAUGAAUUACAAGCAUUUUACCAUCCGUUCCUGUACUUUUUAAUAUAGAAAAUUCUAUUUCUAAAAAAUUAAAAAUAAACACAAUAUGAAACGAAACCUUAGUCAUUACCUUAUUUCCAGCUAGUUUUUUUGCUGUUGAAAAAGAAAAUAAAAACUCUCCUUUCCUCGCAUUUUUGUUAAAUUCCGCAUGAAUUUUUGCCAAAUCUUUUUACACGCAGAAGCGAAAAUGCCAGGAUAGAGGUGCGCAUCUUAACCACUCAAAAAAUAUAAAAAUAAAAAUAACAAUAAUAAUCCUAUGGUCGCAUGCAGAGUAUAUUCGUAGAAAAACAGGGUUACUACAGGACAACACAAAACACAUGAUAUAAGAAUCAAAUCAGAAACACUCAACAAGACAAAAUUAUCUCCAAUGACCUCAGAUUGAGAAAAGCGUAACGGACCAACACACAAGCAUAUUCGUUGUAAAAACCAACAAAACACCAUCGAAGAUAGUAAGUACUUCUGAAGGUAUAAAUUGAACUGACAGUCUCAAGGCAUACAGCCAUUAAGUUGCCACUUAAAGUCGGUAAUAAUUAUUUCAAGCACAGUCCUUCAGUGCUCCCCACAUUGUUAUUAGGAAGUCCAAUAAUAAAGCCAACAGAAGCAGAGGAAUAAAAGGCGAAUAAGAUUUACGACUUAAGCAUUCAGCACGGCACUGGAUCCACGGCGGCACUCGUUCAACAUGUCCAAAUAAAACUGGCACUUGCUGAUGUCGCUACCAAAGUUGUUAACGCACUGCAGUAAUAUCAGAAGAAAAAGGAUGAGAUAAAAAAAUCAGAAUAAGCUGAAAAUAGUACAAAUUGAGAGUAAAAAAAAUCAUUCAGGCCGAAGGGUUUCUUUUGGCUUGGUCUGAGCUUCUGCAGAAGUGCGGCUGGAGUAGAGCUUUUGAACGAAUCACAAGGAACUUUCGCAUGUGAAAUUCAAAGCUUGCUGCAGCAGAAGCUCAAGUUUCAAAUGAUAGCCGUUGCUUUUGGAGGCUAGAAACUCAUUUCGAUCACAACAAGAACAGUUUAAGCCUUUCUCGCCUUAACCUAGUUUCAAAAUCGCUAAUCCAAUAAUACCAUACAAACCUAAUGGUUGUGAUGUUCAGGUUAAGCAAAAAAAUCAAAAUACAGGCCGUACUGCAAGACCUCAAUUAUAGGACACCUUAGAAAACACACCUGCAAUUUUUUAUUCAUGCCCCCCCUUCAAGUUUUACUUGGUCUGAUUGGAGUUAUUUCUGUGAGUUAAAUCAAGGGAUUUCAUUAAAUUCAACGGUUCAAUCAACAAUUAGCUUUCAACCAUGAACGGGGAGAAGAACUAUUUAUAGGAUCUGUGAUUUUCGUCUGCUGAAAGCAGCUAGAGCUGUUAAAAGGAAUUGCAGUUGAAUUUAACAAGAGGGCAAUUGCUUAAAUCAAAAUAAGCAAAAAAUGGGGAUGUCAUCAAGAAAACAAUGUUUAUGUUCUAUUUUUGAAGGACUUAGUUGUUGGGGUCUCUGAACUUCUUCGCCUUCUCAAACGGUAGAGUUGUAAAGUUCAACAGAGCACUGAUCCAAAAGCACAACAUAAACUUGGUGUAGAAUGUAACUGUAAUCAGUUCUACGAUAUCAAAGAAGGGACAACUACAAAUUUAAUUUCCAAAGGAAAACAUAAAAUAAAAUAUAGUAAUAGGUAACGCUUCCAUUACGAAUGAAAAGAAAAAACAGAAUGAAGAAAGGGACUAAGAAUCGAUGAGAAGUGCAUACAUCUUGAAAGGCCUUUGAGUGGAGGCCGCAAGCAUCAGACCCAACAGCAUUACCCAUAGGGGUAGCUGCAGCAGCAGUAGCUUCAGUGGCUACAGUCUCAUGUUGAAUGGUUCGGGGGCCCAUAACAGCAUCAACGGCCCGGUGUGCCAUAGCACUACCCGUACCAAAAGCCAUGCCUGAAGAUAGGGGCAAAUAAUAAAUCAACACACUUAUGUAGCUCCAGAGUGAAGUGAAACGGCAAGUAAAACCAAAAUAGAACCUUGAGCAAUUGUGGAUCCAAUUCCUCCGAGAAUAGAUCCACCACCCUGAGCAGGAGCUGGAGGUGGGGCCUGACGAGCUGUAUGAACAAUUAAACACAACAUUAGCACUGAUCACAUUGCAAAAAUAGAGUUGCAAUCAACAAACUGAUUUUAAUUGAUUUCUUAAACCAAGCUGCAUGUUUCAAUGGUAGUCUUCAAGGCAUAAACAGAAAAUACUCUCGCUAUAUAACUCUCCCAACAUUUAAUACAUAACAGCGAGUAAGGUUUCAACUUUAUUAGCAAUUGAAGUUUCAAUCUCAGCCGCUGACCACUUACUUCGGUGAUUCAGGAUCUCUUCCACCAUUCCUACCACAACUAAUUAUUUUUUACAUUUAUAUAGUGAUGAAUGUCUAAGAUUGAGCCUUCAACUUUAUUUUGCUAGUCACCCUUCACCUGAGUUCUACUCCUUAGAAACUACCAAAAGUUUGAAUGGUUGUUAAAGGCGAAUUAUAUACGUAAAACAUUUGAUUUAGUUGGUAUCCUCAAAGGACCAAUACAAAAACAAAUAGGCAAUUAAUGAAAGGCAUGCACAAAGAAAUUGACAGCUAGUACAGAACAGAUCAAUUAGCUCGAAUUUAUUGGAAGAACUUUGCUGAUGAUAAUUUUAACCAUGCUAAAGACACUGAAAUUUUGUUCACUGCAACAUGCUUUGAUGCUCAUAAAACAUGAAAAUAAACACUACAUUAAUAAUCAGAUUAUUAAGAGAAAACUCAUUACAAUUCCAAAUAUCAAUAAACGGCAACAUAGCCAAGUAAAAGGAAUUGAGAGAAGAUGCCACUUCUUUAAGGACUGUUACAUUUGAAAUAUGGCACAAGGUAUCGAGGACAAAAAAAAACAUGGAUAACUUUUUAUACAGAUGUUUAGACACCUCUAUCAUUGUAAAGCAAAAGGCACGAAUUACCUGGUUGAGGUGGGUUUCUUACUGGAGCGGCCCGUGGAGCAGCACGAGGUGCCGACCUUCCUACAAAGAUAAUUAAAAGGAGGAAGAUCGGUUAUAUCUUAAAGAUUCGCAUACCUCUUCUUUAACUGCCAUGUUGAUUUUCAGAUGCACUUAUUAAUACUAUGACCACCAACUAAAUUUCUAAACAUUUACUCAACCAAAUACCAUGCACUAAGACUAAACAAAAAUCAAAUAAGAAAGAUUGACAACAAACCAAAACCUCAGCUCACUUGUCAAGCAAAAACUGAGCGAACACUAAACACACGUGAAACUGUUUUAGAAUUUUAAAAAGGUCCAAAUAUUACUUCUUCCUUUAAACUAUAAAUGUACAUUCAAGUGUACAUCUUGCCUAUAGUGCUUUUACUGUUCUUAGUGGAGAAAGCAAACAAACAUAGUGAAAAGAAGGAGCGAAAAAAGUAACGGAACAUAAAUUCUAAAAUUGAUAAUUCUCCUACAAAUAUUCAAUUACAAACACUUCCUUACUGGUUGUAAUCUAGAUGUUUGUGCCUCUACACAAAUUCAUAAUGGGAAGGAGCAAUUUCUCGACUGAAAUCAUUAGUCAUCCAGUAUAGAACUUUUGUUCCAAUUAUGUAAGUACUAACAGUGCUUUAAGGAGUUUUUAAGCAAGUAAACCCUCUCACGUCAUUCAAUAGAGAUCGAUGACCUCUAAGUAGUUCUUAUGACACCAAAUCACCUGGUGCUUAUCAAUACAGAGAGCCCAAUUAAUGAACAAAGGGAAAGGGCUCACUAUUUUACAUCAUGACUGCAUAAAUCAACAAAUGAACCAUUACUCUCCACUUAGCAAUAAGUCAUAUGACAUAACCAUUUCCUAAAGUCCUAAAUAAUAACAAGCAUAUCAAUUUAAGACAUAUCGACCCAAUAAUAUUUGCAUCAACCAAAAAUACCUUAACCUUAAUAAAUAUUUCAGCUAAUGAUCGCUCUUCCAUUUUUAUGAUGGAAACAUCUGAGACAUGACAUUAGCCCCAACAGUAAAGAACAUGUCUAUCAGAUCAUAGAGAAAUCUUAUUUCAUAAGCCAUUAUUUGACCAAAGAGCGAUCAAAUCAUUGCAUACACAGCUACAAUAAGAGAUACAAACCCUACAGAUCUAUCGAUCAUUGAAACCCUAGAGACAGAGAGGUCCAUUCCUUGCUGCAAGAUGCUUCCUAAUAAUAAUCAACGUCUCGAACAGAUCAUAAACAAAUAUCAUUUCAAAAGGAAAAAAAUUAAAAAAACCAUCGUUGACCAAAAAACAACAUCAAAAUUGCUCCAUAUGUAGCGAUAAUAGGAGACUAAUCAAUCACCCUGGAAACUAAUCAAUCAUCUAAACCCAGGAGAGAGAGUAGGAUAAUCAUAAACACAUAUCAUUCCAUAAGGAAAAAAAAAAAAAGAAAAAACCUCAUUGACCUAAAAAACAACAUAAAAAAUUGCUCCACAUAUAGCGAUAAUAGGAGACAAAUCAAUCACCCUGGAAACUAAUCAAUCAUCCAAACCCGAGAGAGAGAGGGUACGCUACCUCCAAAUCUCAUUUCCUGAGUAAACACUCACAUUUUUAACAAAAAAAAACAAAAACAACAUCAAAUUGCCGCAUAUGUACAAACCUCAGGGAACAAUCAAUCAUCUAAACCAUAGAAAGAGAGAGAGAGAGGGGUGGAAGCGCUACCUCCGGAGCUUCGGCGAGCCAUGGCGGCGGCGUAAGGAGGGGAGCGAAAUGAAACCCUAGGAGGAGGAGGAGCGGAGCGAGUAAACGGAGACGAAGAGAAAUGGUCGAGGAGAGAGAGAAUUGGGGGUGAGAACCAUAUUUAUGGGCUGGUUAGAUGUAGUUGUAAAUACAGUGUAGUUAAAAAUACAUACAGUUAAAAAUGCAGCAGUUGUAAUUACAUAUAGUUUGUUUGAUUUUGUGUAAAUGCAAUUGUUGUAAUUGCAUUUUUUCUAUUUGGUAAUUUGAACGUCAUAGUUAUAUUUGUGAAGUUUAUUACCUUUUUAGAUAGAAUGGUGGGAUUACCUUAACUAUACAUAAAAUAAUUGUAUAAUUGUAUAAUUUUAUUAAUCAUUUAAAUUUACUAUCUAUAAAUAAAUAAGUGGAUAUAUAUAAUAUUUUUAUAUUUUUCAAUAAUUCUUCAACUUAUCAAUUGACACAUUUAAAAUUUUUAAUUUAUUUAAUUUUAAUAUGUAAAUCAAACUUUAAAAUUUAAACGAUUCUCUCAUUUUUUUAUCAAAUUUAAUAAUUAUAAUUAAUUAAAACUUAUUAAAUUAACAUACACGAUCACAUUCUAUAAAAUUUUUUUUAAAAAACUAUAUUUAUAUUUUAAAUAAAAUAAAUUUAAAAAAAUUAAUUUUUUGCACAAAGCUUGUAUUGUCUAAAAAAUUUUAUUAGUAUGAGUUUAUUUACAAGUAUUUUUAUUUACCUAUAUACAUAUAUUAUUUAUUUAUUUAGCUAUUUAUUUAUUUAUUUAUUAUUGUUAAUUUGUGGGUGAUCCUAUCCCUCACCAACUGCUGCAGUNUAUCGGAAGCACGGAGCCUUCCGUGCUUCUAGCUCGUUUUCGAUGUUGCGACUUUCGAAUCGUCGAUCGGCUCCGUUAAACUUGAUCUAGAAUAUUUGAAGUACCUAGAAAAUAAAUUUUAUGAUUUUUCGAUAUCAUUUGCCUAGUGAACGAGGGGGCUCAAAAUCAACGGCCGAAAAUAAAAAUUUUACAAAAUGUAAUAAUAUGAUAUUAAAAUUUUAAAUCAAAGAUAUUGAUCUUGUUUUAUAUAGUAUAAAGAAUUUUCUAUCAAAAUUUCACGUGAUUUAGAUAUUUUUACAUCGUUAAACUUGCAAAUGGCUCACUACGGCCAUUGAAAUUUGUUGAUUUUGAGCCCAUUCGAUCACUAGGCAAAUGAUAUAAAAAAAUAAUAAAAUUUAUUUUCUAGAUACUUCAAAUACUCUAGAUCAAAUUUAACGGAGCCGAUCGACGAUUCGAAAGUCGCAACAUCAAAAACGAGCUGAAAGCACGGAAGGCUCCGUGCUUCCGAUAGCAUAGUAGCCUCACUCUAUAUAUAUAUAGGCUAGGACUACUGUACUCAUAAGAGUAUAGAAUACUUUGUACUCGUAAGUUUUCGGUUGUUCGGAUGAAAAAAUGUACAGUUAGGAUGAGAGAGGUUACGGUUAGGUUGAUAGUGGGCCCCCUAGGGUUGACUGAGUAGUUGGUUGAAUAGUAUAAUCUAACGGAUAAAAAUGAUUCAAAGGUAGAUCUAACGGCUAAACACUUAUGAGUACAAUAAACUCUAUACUCAUAAGAGUAUAGUAGCCGGACUAUAUAUAUAUAUAUAUAGAGUCCGGCUAUGGUGCUUGUAAAAGUACCAAGCACUUGGUGCUUGUAAAUUUUUUACCGUUAGAUCUCUAACUUUGAUCAUUUUUACCCGUUAGAUUAUACUAUUCAACCAACCACCUACUCAACCCUAGGGGUCACAUCAUCCUAACCACACAUUCUUUAAUCCAAGGGCCGAAAACUUACAAGCACCAAUAACUUGGUAUUUUUAAAAGUAUAGGAGCUCAAUUCUAUAUGAGUCCGGCUAUGGUGCUUGUAAAAGUACCAAGCACUUGGUGCUUGUAAAUUUUUUACCGUUAGAUUUCUACCUUUGAUCAUUUUUAUCCGUUAGAUUAUACUAUUCAACCAACCACCCACUCAACCCUAAGGGGCCACAUUAUCCCAACCGCACAUCCUUUAAUCCAAGGGCCGAAUACUUACAAGCACCAAUGACUUAGUACUUUUAAAAGCAUAGGAGCUCAAUUCAUAUAUAUAUAUAUAUAUAUAUAUAUAUGUAUUAUUGUUAAUUUGUGGGUGAUCAUAUUCUUCAUUAACUGCUGCAGUUGAAACUGCAGCCAAUUUGGAUGUAGUUCCAACUACAGUAUUUGGACCUUCUUGUGCAGUUGCAACUGCAGUAGUUGGACUCAACUGCACUAAAUCAAACAUAGGAAUUGAGGUUGCACGCAUUUGUAACUGCACUGCAGUUGCAAAUGCGUGCAACCAAACAGCCCAUUAUAGACGAAGCGUGGAGCAGAGCGGGGGUGAGCGAAUUUACUCUUUUGACCUUGUGGGCGGGGUAAAUUUACGAACGAUAUUCCGGGCGCAUCCGAAUAUCAUGAGCCCUUCGGCUUGGAGGGUGUCGGAAGCCGUGUGAUCGGGAUCCGACGGUUGGUGAAGCGCGGGUUCACGCGAUCGUGGAUUCAUUUCAACUUCGGGUUAUACACUUUAACAUCUUUUUUACAACAAAAAGGGGGCGUUUGGUUCCUCGUAAAAAUGGUCAGAAAAUUUUUUUUUCAGUUGAAAAUUAUUUUUCUAGCGUUUGGUUUGACGUUUUUUACAGAUUCUAUGGAAAAGCUUGCCUUUCGUUUUCCGCCAAGAAUCGGCUGAAAACGAAAACUCACCAUGGAAAAAUCGCGGCUCAUGUUUUCCUUGCAUCGGGUCCACGAGCUCAUGUAAGAGCUCGUGGACCGAGGUGAGUGGUCCACACUGGACCACUCACCUAUAUAUAUAUNCAGGUUAUACACUUUAACAUCUCUUUUACAACGAUAAGGGUAAAUUUUUUGAAUGCCCUCCUAUAAAACUACUAUCUCAUCAACACCCCUACAAAGUUCAAAAAUCACCAAUACCCUUGUAACAACUAAAAUUUUUCCCUUAAAAUAUAUUCUCCAUUGGUCCUAUUAGUAAAAAUUCAUUCAAAUUAAGUGGAUUAUAUAUAAAAUUCAAAUUUUACUCCCUACAAGAUAAAAUCAUAGUAAAAAGUUGGCUUAAAUUACAAAAAAAUCUUCUUAUAAAUAUUCAUUUCUUUACUUUUUCUAUCUAACUGUCAAAAGCCUAUAUUUUACCCUCAAUAUUUCAAAUUGUUGCAUUUAGCUCCCCUUCGUCAUAAUUUAUACCAAAAAUACAUUUCAAAAUUACAAAAAUAUACUAAAAUUUAUUUUUUAAUAUAAGAAAUAAAUAUAAUUUUGUCAUUUUGUCCUCUCUAUUAAUAUUGUACCCUCCUAAAAAUAUUUUUAAAAUUUUAAGAAAAUAAAAUAUAAUUUUUUGAAAAUCAGAAAGAAAAAAAUAAAAAAAUGAAUAUUUACAAGAAAUUUUAUGCUUUUUAGUUUAAAAACUUAUAUUAGAUGUGCAUAUUUAUAAUUUUAAAAUAUAAACAAAUAAAAAUUAUAGAUUACACAUUUAAUAAAGAAUUGAAAUAUUGUACUAUAAACUGUAAAAUAAAAAAAUAAAACAACAUAUAUUAAUAAAUUUUUUUCCCUAGUUGUAGUAGUUGAGGGUAAAAUUGUUAUUUUAUCGAGCUCACUAGUGUUUAACUCUCUUUUACUAGAUAAGGUGUACUAGUAAUAAAUUCAUAUAUUUAGAGGAGUACGCACGAUAUUUUGAUUUCUAAAGAUAUUCAUGAAAUUUUAAAAUUUUAAAGUGGUAUGUUUGAAAUUAUCUCUAAUUUAUAGCAUUUUCCAUUUAUAAGACAUUUGUCAAUUUAAUUUUUAAGUUAAGUUCUACAAUAUAAUUUAAUUAAUUAAGUGAUGGUAUGAUGAUUGAUAACAUAAAAAUAAAAAUAAAUAAAUAAAUAAAUAAAUAAAUAAAUAUAUAUAUAUAUAUAUAUAUAUAUAUAUAUAUAUAAAGCAGGACUUGAUUAUAAUAAUAUAAAAUAUUUGCGUCAAAAAUUAUAUUAAAUUAUAAAAAAAUUUUGUAAAUAUUCGCUUUUCGUUCUUUCUUCCGCAGUAUCAUAAACCUAAAUUUUGUUCUUUUAAAAUUUAAAAAAUAUUUUCAGAGGGUACGAUUUUAAUUGGGAGGGUAAAAUGACAAAAUUGCCGGCGAAAUUGCCCUUACUUUUUUGUAAGAAAAAAUUAAUUUUUGAAUAAAUUUUUAUUGUUUUGAAAAGUAUUUUCUUCAUAAAUUAUAAAAAAAAUGAGCGAAAUAGUAAUGAAAUCCUGACGAAGGGGAAUUAAAUGCAACAACUUAAAAAUGUUGAGAGAGUAAAAUAUAAAUUUUUAAAAGUUACGGAGGAAAAAGUAAAUAAUCGAGUAUUUAUAGGAGAAUUUUUUAUAAUUUAGGCAAAAAAUUAUAAUAGAUUAAAAUUGGAAAACCGAAGUAUUAUAAUAGUUUUAUAGUUUGCGGAUCAAAAGUGUAAUUUAGUCAAAACAGAAGUUGGUCGAUGUAACAAAAUAACUAAAGUUGAGGGGGGCUCCAUACAUUUUCACCUAAAUAAUUUGUGGCGACGUGGCCACGCCCCGCGGAGAGAGAAGCGGUAGCGGCGAUGGCCCGAAACGAGAAGCGGAAGCGGGAGCGGGAGCGGGCCCUGUCAAACCCUCCAAACCCUACCCUUCCCAUCUCCAGGCGCCUCCGCCGCCCCCUCCCCCUCGCUCCGGCGACCCCCGCGGCGGCGGAGGGGGUCGGCGGCGGCGGCGCCUCCUCCUCCUCCGCCGGCGCGCCGUCGGCCGCCGCCGCCUCCUCCUCCGCCGGCGCGCCGUCGGUGGUGAUCGUCACGGGGAUCCCCGGCGACUGCACGGUGCUGGAGCUCAAGUCCCGCCUCGAGAUCUACGGGCCCGUCGCCCGCACCCGCGUCGACGCCGCCGAUGGCGUGGGGUACGUCACCUUCCGCUCCGCCGCCGCCGCCGACGCCGCCGUCGCCGCCUCCCUCGACCCCGCCCGCGGCGUCGCCAUCCGAUCCAAGAAGGUUUCGUUCCCUAUCCUCUCCCUCAAUUCGGCUCUUUCUUUGAUUUAGGGUUUAGUUUCUACCCUUCUAAUUGAGAUCUUGUGAUUUUGGGCGGUGCUUUUUGAGAAAACCACCUCGAAAUUGGUGGCAAAGGAUCACCUCUGGUGCUCUAUUUUCAAAGAAAUUGAUACAUACCAAAUGAUCUAAAAAGGUCUCUUUCCUUUCCUCUUUUCUUGAUUUAGGGUUUAUUUUCUAGCCUACUAAUUGCGAUCUUUCUGAAAUAAGGGAGGUUUUUAAGAAGCCACUUCGAAAUUAGCGGUAAAGGGAUCACCUUUGGUACUCUAUUAAAAGAAUUGGUAGAUACCAAAUGAUCCUAGAUGGGACUUAUUUUUUUAAUGUUUUAAUCCUUUUUUUUUCUUUCCCUCUCUAGGGCAUGAAUCUGUUUUAGGUUUAGUUUUUACCCUGCUAAUUGAGAUCUGUUGAAAAGGGGAAAUUUGGGAACUGAUCAUUUGGAGAUUAUUGGGGAAAAAAAGGCACCUUUCAUACUCUGCUAAAAUAUUAGAAGCUGGAUUUGGAACUUGAACCCAUGUGAUCAUGAAAAUAGAAGGCCUAAUUUUUGUGUUUUGGAUGAUCUUAAGGUGGUUUGAUUACAGUUUCAAUGAAAUUCAGCUAUUGUUUGCAGCUUACAAUUUGUGGUCAAGUGUAAAUUCAUAAUGAAUAUAUAUACAUGCAAAUACUUAUGAAAAUCAUUUAUGAUGAAGUUAAAAUCGGUGUCCCCCGGAUGUAAAAAAAUUGAAGUUCGGUAAUUACAUGAAUUUACUUUGAUUCUAGUGAGCAAUGGUGUAACUUGCUCCUUUCCAAAAUGGGUGUCGAAUACCAGCAUACUUAUGGCACAGGGUUUUCUGGACAAUAAGCCACUGUAAUGUAGUUAAGCUGCAAGUGGUCCUUUCAUAAUCUAAGCUAAAACGUUUGCCGUAUGAAAUGCUCUUACUUGCAGAGCUUGAGAAUUGUUUGAAGUAGGUCUAUUGCUCUUUACUGAUUCUAGUUGUCAAAAGAGUGUACCAUUACUGUAGGGAUCAAAUAAGAAGCCUCUCGGAUGGCCAGCAGCGAAUCUAGGAAUGACAGAAAUAAGAAACAACUGAAACAUUAAUGACGUAUCAUGCUACAGUGCAGUGAACACUUGGCAGCAGUUGAAAACUACUAUUCUUCUUCCUGUUGAAACUACUGUGGAAUCUUAGUGGCUGAUUAAGAUUUUUUAAAGGGGUCAAUUUGCUGUAAUGAGGAAACCUUAUACGCAGAACAGUUCUAACAAUCUCUUUAGUCAAAUUGCUAUAAUAAGAAAGCCUGUUAUGCUGAAUAAGAAUUCAUUAAUCUGUUUUGUAACUAUGUCUUCAACUUUGUCUUGGUUGUUAUCUAUUAAUUGAAACUCAUCCAUGGUCGCCAAAGAAGAUUAAUGCUUUGAUCUACAAUAUUUGGAUUUUUCUACAUAUAGACCACACAUUUUUUUUCAUAAAGAUGACUAUCGAUGUUUGGAUCAUAGAAUGGUAAAUCUUUGUAUAUGGGUUGUUUGUUCAAUAGAUUGGUUUCAAAGGGAUGCUGAACUUUUAGGCAGUGUUUGGCUCGGGAUUUCUAUUCUCAAGAUAGAUAAAACUAUCCCUCGGAGGUAUGUUUUUGUGUUAAACGAGGUUUGUUUUUGUGUUAAACCUAUUGUGUUAAAGGGAUAGUGGGAAUUAGUUGGGAUAGAGGCUUAGUUGUGGAAACAGCAUAGUUCUAUCAUAAACUAUGGAGUUGUUAUUCCAGGGGAUAGACUUGUCACGAAUAUAGUUCCCCAUUUAAUUCCAUACUGGGAUAGCGUAUGCCACCAUUUUACUUGGAGUUGUAGGAAUAUCUACCAUUAUCCCUACUCUAUUCUCCAACCAAACAAUGCCUUAGGCAGUAUUUAUUUGAGGAUUUUUAUGUCGAGGAUAGUGAGAAAUAUCUCAAGGCAAUGUUUGGUUGGAGAAUAAAGUGGUGAUUGUGGUAAAUAUCUCAUUAUCCUGGAGAAUAAAGUGGUGAUUGUGGUAAAUAUCUCAUUAUUCACCAGACACAAUAGCACAAAUGCUAUCCCCACUUGGAAUCAAAGGCCUAUUUGGAUGGCACAAUAAGUUAUCUUGGCUACAAGAUGAUUUAUUUCAUUUGUGAAAAAUGACAUAGAGGUUAAAUAUAGUAUAUUGUUGUUGACGUCUAAGCGUACUGCUUAUAUGUAGAUUAUUGCAGGCUCCUUGAUUAAGCAGGAGGAAUUAGAAUAAAAUAUUCAUGCACCCAAAUAGACUUUGUGGAAGAUAUUCCCAUAGCAAGUUUGUCUCAGGGGACAGCAAUUCCAUGGGAUAUGAUGGAAUUGUGCUAUCCCUACGGCUAGUCUUUUAUUCCAACUAAUUUACAUUAUUCCGAGUUAAACACAAUGAGGUUAGUAUUAUGAACACAAAUCCUUAUUAGGAAUGUUUUUGCUAGUUUGAGAAUAAAAAUCCCUAGUUCAAACACCACCUAAAUGUGUUUUGAAUGGCGCACCCAGAGCAUGUGACGUAAUGGGAAUCGGGUAUUUUUCAAUGGCGCACCAAGGAUGGGAAUUUGAUUGCAAAAUGUAAGCAAAUACUAAUUUUUUCCGAGUCAAGACUUCAAGGACUAACUCAGAUCACUGCAGAGGUGUAGGGACUAUCCAUACAUUUGAUCGGAUAAAAAUCUGUCUUCUAUUUUCUGCCCCAGAUAUCACAUUCAUAGCAGGGCUAGAAUGUGCACAAAAUUAAGUUUUACCAAACAGUUCAAACAAGUAUGGAAACAAUUUGACCACUGUGAGUUGACAUUUUGGGCCUUUUUUUCCCCCCAAUGUAGGUGUUUGUGGUGCGGGCAAGCGAUCCUUUGCAACAAUGGAAAACCGGAGUUGGGGCGUCUCCUUCCCUGUCGAAGCUUCUUCGGCGAGAAACGCCAUUGAGCAAGCACGGACGGAGUAAUAAGAAACUGAAUCCAAACACGACUAUUCCAAGCGAGCAAAGGGAGCCGGACUUGUCUUUCAAAGGAAGGGAAAUAGUUGCAUAUGAUGAUCUCUUUUAAGUUUGAACUCUCUCUUGUUUAUCAGGACUCCCUUUGGUUGCUGCAUGGCCUUGUGUUAUGUUUCUUAGCUCUAGGUAUUGUCAACCAAAUUUUUGGUGUAGUAUUUUCAUGUGUUUUUUAUGUCCUUUAGAUGUGUUAAGUAGAGAUGUUGCUUGGAUACUGUUGCUGUAAAAGUAAUUAAUAUAUGUGGUUAAAAUGGUUGGUUAAUUAAAUGCUUUUAGUAAACCCCGCGAAGUGUCACUUUGGUACCUACAAUUUUGUUGUUGUUUCGCCAUAAAACACGCCGAUAACUCAAUAUAGUAAAGUGAUACAAUUUACAAGCAUAAAGUGCUACACUUUAUGAAUAUGGAGUUAAAAUACAUCAUAUUAGUAGACACUAAUUUUUAUUUUACUCCCAUGUGGUUCGUAAAUUAUAUCAAUUUACUAUACUAUUUACCGACAAGGUAUCAAAUAACACUUCUCAAGACACAUUUGAUAGAAAAAAUUUUCAUUUCUUCAGUUCCAUGUAUCUUACUUCUUCACCAGAAUCGUCUCCGGUUAGUUCCGGUUUAAUAUCGACUUAAACCGCCUCUCGCUUUUAUGUAAAAGUGAGAUAUUCGUACGCAUGACAUCCCUACUUUGUGCAACAGGAGAAUCUAACAACUGCAGAUGCAACAAAUGCAUGUCUUGGUUUUGUGCAAUUAAGUUCCUUGGUACUGGUACUGCUGACCCGACAUUGCAUAUCUGCACUUGCUGCUAGUACCUGUUCUCAGCUUUGGAUUCCAAGAAGUGGACCAAAAACAUGAGCCAAAGCAAUUGAAAGAAGCCUUAGUAAAGUGUUAGUAUUAUUUCUUGGGAACUGGGUUCAAUUGUUCCACCACCUUCUAAAAAUACUUUCUCUUGAGUCUCUAAACAUGACCAUAUGUGGUUUAAAAUGUAUCAAGUUAGUGUCAUGUUGUUUUAUUUUUAUCUUUUCAUCAAUUUUUUCGUUAAUAUUUCGUUACAUUAUAUAUAAAAAAAUUUCAGAUGCCCCAUCUAAGUUUAUCGAAUAUUCACUUUAGUGCCCUUUAGUUUUAACUUUGUCACUAAUUUAACGUAAAAAAUUAGUGGAAUAGAAAAUAAAAAAAUAAAAAUAAAAUCACGGGAUACUAAAUUGAUACACUUUAAACCAUAGGGUAUUAAAGUAAGAAAGUGUGAAACUAUAUGGGUGGUAUUUGAAGUUUUUUCAAAAAAAAUUUCAGUGGGUAGUUGUUUCUGAACCACGCUUUAUUGAGGAACCUCCAAUUCGCUGUUAUGUGUCAGUUUUAUUUUCUAUUUAAGAAUUAUAAUUUUUCUUUUCACUAAGAUACAAACUUUCAUUUAAAUUUUCGCAUUAAAAAAGUACCUAACAAAUUUUUGAACGGAGACAAAACUAACACAUGACACCGGAGUUGUUGGGUUAAUUGCACCACUAGCCCUGAAGUUUUGCCAAAGUUUCAUUUCAGUCCUAUUCUAUGAAAGGAAGCUUAGUUUUUGUGUCAAUUUGGCCUAUUUCAUCAUCUGAUGUGAAGCUUAUGGAUAGUAAUUCAAUAUUUUCUGACAAAAAAUUUGACAUCAAAAAUUUCUUUCCACCUGAAAAGAGUAUUUGGUGUUGCAAUGGGCUUUUAUUCUAGAAAAGAUCAGUAAAAAUCAACAUAAGAUAACAAAAUGGACCAAUUUUGGUAUAUUUGUAAAAAGUUUAGAAUGCUUUAAAAGUUCAAUUUUGAUAAAAAUUUUGCGGCUACAAAUACAAUUUAACCCUUUUUUUUGCCAAAUUGAAAGGAGACCCCUCAACUAAAGAUUAUUUUAAAAUCAAUCCUUGUACAAUUUUUACUACCCUUUUUCAAGUCCUAGAAGUUUUCAAGGAGUGCUUUGGGAAGUCGUAAUUUAGUAGAGCCUUUUUUCUCUGGUGUAGUGUGCAAUUCUAUUUUUAUAUUCCAAAAUCAUUCCCAAAUUUUUAGAUGUAUUAAGGAACCCACAAUUUCUUUUUUCUUUUAGAUAGAGUUACAUAUAUACCCCUCCGAAAUUAUUUAUUUGCCAAUGGUGAGUUGUAAAUUUUGUAAUUUCAUGCCAACCCUUCAGAAACUCGCUUAUUACAUUUAUCGCCUUGGAAAGCUUAAUUUUCAUAUAGGUAAACUUGAAAUUGAUAGCUGAUCUUUUGUUUUCUUUUCUUUUGUUUUUGUUUUUUUUUUAGAUUGAGACCCCCUCAACUUUUCAAUUUUGGAAUUAACUAAUUUUAGUUUGAAAAAUUGGAAAUUCACUCAAAUUCGUUGGUGAUUUCAUAAAAAAUUUAAUAGCUUUAGUUAUAUUUUAUUAAGAAUAGUUAGACUAAUUAAUAAUUGAUAACUUAUGGAGAGCCGUUAAAUUUGAUAAAUUUUUUAGGUAUAAAGGCUCAAAUAAAGAAUGUUGAGGAUCGCGUCGUCUUUACACGAGUUUAGAUUAAGAUUAAGAUUCUAAUUUUCUUUCAACUUUUCACCUCACCCAGUUAUAGAGUUGACAAUCUAACUUAUUGUUUACAAGUCAAUUUAUGUUCGACUCGUUAAUAAACAAACUAAACACAGACUAAAUUUUUCAGCUCGAUAUUUUAACGAGCCAGCUCGUGCUUGGCACGUUUAACAAACGAGUGAACACGAGCCGGCCUCAGAUCGCUGGUUCGGCUAGUUGACAACCCUAGUCAAAUUGGUAAAAGUGAGAAUACAUAGGUUCAUCCUAAUAAAAGAAGCAUCAUUUGUACACAAUCAUACCCCUGAUANCAUUGCAUAUCUGCACUUGCUGCUAGUACCUGUUCUCAGCUUUGGAUUCCAAGAAGUGGACCAAAAACAUGAGCCAAAGCAAUUGAAAGAAGCCUUAGUAAAGUGUUAGUAUUAUUUCUUGGGAACUGGGUUCAAUUGUUCCACCACCUUCUAAAAAUACUUUCUCUUGAGUCUCUAAACAUGACUGUCUGUGGUUUAAAAUGUAUCAAAUUAGUGUCCUGUGGUUUUAUUUUUAUCUUUUCAUCAAUUUUUUCGUUAAUAUUUCGUUAUAUUAUAUAUAAAAAAACUUCAGAUGCCCCAUCUACGUUUAUCGAAUAUUCACUUUAGCGCCAUUUAGUUUUAACUUUGUCACUAAUUUAACGUAAAAAAUUUGUGGAAUAGAAAAUAAAAAGAUAAAAAUAAAACCACGGGGCACUAAAUUGAUACACUUUAAACCACAGGGUACUAAAGUAAGAAAAUGUAAAACUACAGGAGUGGUAUUUGAAGUUUUUUCAAAAAAAAUUUCAGUGGGCAGUUGUUUCUGAACCACGCUUUAUGGAGGAACCUCCGAUCCGCUGUUAUGUGUCAGUUUUAUUUUCUAUUUAAGAAUUAUAAUUUUACUUUUCUCUAAUAUACAAACUUUCAUUUAAAUUUUCGCAUUAAAAAAGUACCUAACAAAUUUUUGAACGGAGACAAAACUAACACGGGACACCGGAGUUGUUGGGUUAAUUGCACCACUAGCCCUGAAGUUUUGCCAGAGUUUCAUUUCAGUCCUAUUCUAUCUAUUCUAUGAAAGGAAGCUUAGUUUUUGUGUCAAUUUGGCCUAUUUCAUCAUCUGAUGUGAAGUUUAUGGAUAGUAAUUCAAUAUUUUCUGAUAAAAAAUUUGACAUCAAAAAUUUCUUUCCACCUGAAAAGAAUAUUUGGUGUUGCAAUGGGCUUUUAUUCUAGAAAAGAUCAGUAAAAUCAACAUAAGAUAACAAAAUGGACCAAUUUUGGUAUAUUUGUAAAAAGUUUAGAAUGCUUUAAAUUUGUUUUACAAGAAUAGGAUGCAAAGUUCAAUUUUGAUAAAAAUUUUGCGGCUACAAAUACAAUUUAACCCUUUUUUUGCCAAAUUGAAAGGAGACCCCUCAACUAAAGAUUAUUUUAAAAUCAAUCCUUGUACAAUUUUUACUACUCUUUUUCAAGUCCUAGAAGUUUUCAAGGAGUCCUUUGGGGAGUCGUAAUUUAGUAGAGCCUUUUUUCUCUGGUGAAGUGUGCAAUUCUAUUUUUAUAUUCCAAAAUCAUUCCCAAAUUUUUAGAUGUAUCAAGGAACCCACAAUUUCUUUUUUCUUUUAGAUAGAGUUACAUAUAUACCCCUCCAAAAUUAUUUAUUUGCCAAUGGUGAGUUGUAAAAUUUGUAAUUUCAUGCCAACCCUUCAGAAACUCGCGUGUUACAUUUAUCGCCUUGGAAAGCUUAAUUUUCAUAUAGGUAAACUUGAAAUUGACAGCUGAUCUUUUGUUUUUUUUUUCUUUUUAGAUUGAGACCCCCUCAACUUUUCAAUUUUGGAAUUAACUAAUUUUAGUUUGAAAAAUUGGAAAUUCACUCAAAUUCGUUGGUGAUUUCAUAAAAAAUUUAAUAGCUUUAGUUAUAUUUUAUUAAGAAUAGUUAGACUAAUUAAUAAUUGAUAACUUAUGGAGAGCCGUUAAAUUUGAUAAAUUUUUUAGGUAUAAAGGCUCAAAUAAAGAAUGUUGAGGAUCGCGUCGUCUUUACACGAGUUUAGACUAAGAUUAAGAUUCUAAUUUUCUUUCAACUUUUCACCUCACCCCGUUAUAGAGCUGACAAUCUAACUUAUUGUUUACAAGUCAAUUUAUGUUCGACUCGUUAAUAAACAAACUAAACACAGACUAAAUUUUUCAGCUCGAUAUUUUAACGAGCCAGCUCGUGCUUGGCAUGUUUAACAAACGAGUGAACACGAGCCGGCCUCAGAUUGCUGGUGUUCGGCUAGUUGACAACCCUAGUCAAAUUGGUAAAAGUGAGAAUACAUAGGUUCAUCCUAAUAAAAGAAGCAUCAUUUGUACACAAUCAUACCACCCCUGAUAAUACAUAUAGUAAAAACUAGAGGGGGUGAAAAAAAACACAUUCCCAAAAUUACAAAAAUCCCAAGUUGGGAUUAAAAUAAGUGUUUUCAAGUUCAUAAAGCAGUGUAAUAGUUAAUAUAUCUACAAUAUGCUACUCUCUUAGCUCUUAAAAAAAAAAGAAGAAGAAGAAAUGUUCCUUCAAAGUUUAGAUAUCCAAGUGAGGUUCAUAGAAAUCAUUCAUGAAGGGUGACAAGAUCUCCUCCUCCAGCAUCUUCAGCACCCGACUCAUCGCCGGCCGAUCCUCGGGGCUCGCGGCCGUGCACAUGGCGGCAAUGUCGAGGAUCGCUUCGACCGCCUCGGCCUCUACGCUUCCGCAUCUCUCGUCGACGAUUUCCUCGAGCCGGUGCUCUCCCGUCAACGUGUUCAGCUGCGACAAUUUGAAAACCACAUUUGGCGCAACAAAGUCAUUAGUUCUCUUUUCUUUUUCUUUUUUUUUUCCUUUCCCUAAUCACCGUAAGAGGGCUCGAACUGUAACGACUGAAAGAUUGGGGACGCAAAUUUAAGGGCCGUGUUGCAAUUUAGUCGCGAAUAAGAAAAGAAUAUAGAGAGGACUAUGUAGUUACAUACCCAGCCAACUAUGUUCAAGCCUUUUUUGACAAAUGAGGGGUCCGUAGGCCUCUUUCCGGUUACCAGCUCUAGCAAGAGAACCCCGAAACUGUACACAUCCGACUUCUCGGUCGCGCGUCCGUUUUGUAGAUAUUCUGCCAUAUUUGGAGCGAUUUGCAACGAGUCAAAUUAGAGUUAACGGCAUUUUCUAGUGAGAGGUAUGGCGACGAGCAAUCAAUCGAAAACUUCAAAUUAGAGCUUCUGGUUCUGGAAUUGAGAAGCUCAUUUUGGAUUCUUAUUGCAAUUUGAAAAUCAUUCAUGAAUGAACCGCGAUUGCCUGAAUUUUCUAACAUUUUAAUAUGAGAACUAUAAGAAAGGCUCAAAAUUACUACCGUACCUGGUGCGAGGUAACCGAAAGUACCGGCGACCACGGUGGUAACAUGAGCAUCUUCGUCCACGAGAAGCUUGGCGAGGCCAAAGUCCGACACGUGGGGCUCGAGGCUCAUGUCGAGAAGUAUAUUGCUCGAUUUGAUGUCCCGGUGAACUAUCGCGGGGGAGCAAUCAUGGUGCAAGUACGCCAGUCCUCGGGCAGAGCCAAGCGCGAUCUUCAUUCGCGCAUUCCAAUUCAGCGGCUGCUCUUCUUGGCCGCUCUCUGAAAUUAAAGGUGCAACGUGAAAAUUUUGCCGAAAACUUCGAUAGUUGUAUCACAGGAAAAUUGAAACAUAAGAAUAAUUUGUCGAUAACUUAGAGAACUACCGAAGCGAUGUUUUUUUUGAGAGAUAGGUAACACGCUACCCGCUUCGUUUAUUUCAUUUAGAAAUAAACUUAGCUGGAAAUGUGAAUCAACUAGGAUUCGAACUUGGAACCUCGGGUACCAACCAUCAAGCCCUUUGCCACUUGCUCUAGGGACAGUCUGUAACUACCGAAGCGAUGUUAUUCUUAGAGGAAGCGAUGAGCACAAAAUUGCAUCUUAUUACACAUCCACCGCGUAAGUUACAAGAUAAAUUUCGCGUUUAUAGGUAGUUCUUGGAUAGAAAACAAAGUUGUAGGAGCUUACCAUGAAGAUAUUGAUCUAAACUCCCCAAGGCCACGUAAUCGUAAAUGAGAAGCUUCGCGGAGGGUAGCCUACAAUAACCUCGCAAGUUGACGAGGUUGAUGUGUUUGAUGCUUCCUAGAAUCUCGAGCUCCCUCUCGAAAAUCUGAUCGGACCCAUCGUGGUUCCGAUCGAUCCUCUUUACGGCAAAUACACUACUAUCGUCCAUCAUCAUCUUGUACACCGUACCGAACCCGCCAGACCCGACCACAUCAUCCUCGUCGAGCAAUUCGAGCUGUUUGAUUAUCUCGCUUGAUGUGUAGGGGAGGUUCCCAUGAAAAGUCACAAGCUUAGCGCCUAAUGAAAGACGAACCAAAAUUAAAUUAGAGAAGUUUUGAAUAUCUUGCAAAGUAUGAAUUUUCACAUGUGCCGAUUGAAAAGCUUUGGUUCCUCGGAAAAGCAUGAAAACUGUUCCUAGAAACCAAACAGACGAAAAAAAUACUUUUUCAGCUAGAAAACUAUUUUCUGGAAUAUUUUUUGGGAUACCGGACACCCCCACCUCUUUAGAAAAUUUUCUUAUAAAACCCGCUUUCGACUUUGAGUUGGCUGACUCGCCAACUUACAAUAAGUAUUUUUUUUUUUUGCACAAGAAACUGCACUUCUAAGGAUAUACAUGAAAAUAAAGAUACGAGCGCUUGUAGUUAAAUAGAAUAUUCGACAUGAUUAUUUAUGUAAGAGCACAUUUAGUUCAUAUGUAGCUUAUUACCGACAUCAUGAGCAAGCUGCUUAUCCAUUUUUACAUAUCUUCUGCCGAGACCACCACCCUUUCUCGCGAGCAAACAUACCCAAAGGAACCCCAGAAGUGCUACGAAUGCGAGGGCCAUUGUCGACAUCGAACCGAUAAUAAUCCCGUUGAGAAAAUGCGACGGUGUUUUUUCACUAGGGAUCGAUGAGAUUCCUAAAGGUUUAAUUGCACGAACGAAAUUGAAACCUCAAUUAGUAACACACAGAUUCUUUUAUUUUUAUUUUGUGGUGAAAUACUAGCAUCUCAUAAUAGAAACCGACCUGGUGCUGUAAGCGACUCGGAGUGCGGCAGUACUGCAGGAAACCCUAGUCGAUCGCGACAUAUUUUCUGAAUUUGCGUUNAUAUAUAUAUAUAUAUAUAUAUAUAUAUAUAUAUAUAUAUAUAUAUAUAUAUAUAUAUAUAUAUAUAUAUAUAUAUAUAUAUAUAUAUAUAUAUAUAUAUAUUUUUAAGAUACUUUUGUACUAAUUCCAGUUUAAUUCACAAAGAAGUGACUAAGUUUUACAGGGAAGACGAGUGAGCACAGAGGGGGGGCCGACUUACGAGCUACUUCCGAGAGUUUUAAGCACUCCAACAUUCGGGAUCUCGCCAGAGAGGAAGUUGGUCGACAGGUUCCUGCGGCGAAACGCAAGAAAGUUAGAUCACAUUUACUAGCAAAAUCAGUCAGCGCAAAUAAACAAAAUAGCAGGACCGAUAGAACAGCUCACAGAAAUCUCAAAUGGGCGAGGCCGCCGAUCGAGGGCGGUACCACCCCCCUCAGCAAAUUACUCGACAAGUCCCUAAAAUUUCAACACUAAGAUCAUCAACAAACCAUCCAAAUUAACUAACAAAUAGAAAAAGGCCGAUGGUUUCGGAAGCAACAUACAGGAUGGUUAGAUGAGUGAGGUCCCCGAUCUCGGGAGGGAUACCGCCUUGAAGGUAAUUAGCUCGCAAAUAACUACAAAAGAUAAAAUUCAUGGAUGAAUAAUAAAUGGAAAUUUUAAAAAUAAAAGUAAAAAAAAAAAAAGAGGAGAAAAAUGUGAAAUGAAGAUAUACAUUGCUCUUAGCUCAGUACAGUUCUUGAUCUCAGAAGGGAUGGGCCCAUGCAAGCUAUUCUGAUGAAGAGCCCUAUCGCAAGACACAGAUCGAAAACCAGGAUAAAUUAAGGUGAGAUUUUGAGUUGUUAGAACCACAUAAAAAACUGUAAAAACUAACAAAAAGGAAGGUCUUAUAAAAAUGAAACAAAAUUAUGUAAUAAAUGAGAAAAAAAACAACUAUGUGGUGUGCAUUCAUAGAAUCACAAGACACACAUGAAAACUAGGAGAAAGAUGAGAUUUUGACAUGUUAGAACUACAUAAAAACAGUAAAAACUAACAAAUAAAAAAAAAGUCCUUAUAAAAAUAAAACAAAUAUAUGUAAUAAAUGAAGGAAGAAAAAAAUUCAUAUAGUCACAAGACACACAUAGAAAACCAGGAUAAAGGUGAAAUUUUGACCUGUUAAAAUAUAUAUAAAAACAGUGAAAUCUAACAAAUAAAAAAAUCCUAUGAAGAUAAAACAAAAUUAUGUAGUAAAUUUUUUUUUUAAAAAAAAACUAUAUGGUGUGCAUUAAUAUAGAAUCACAAGACACACAUGGAAAACUAGGAUAAAGAUGAGAUUUUGACCUGUUAAAAACCACAUAAAAACAGUAAAAACUAAUAAAUAAAAAAGAUCCUACAAAAAUAAAACAAAAAUAUGUAAUAAAUGAAAAAAAAAAAGCUAUAUGUGUGCAUUUAUAUAGUCACAAGACACACAUAGAAAACUAGGAUUAAAGGUGAGAUUUUGACCUGUUAACAGUUCACACCACAUAAAGAGUAUAAAAACCAACUAAAACACAAAAUAGAAAUAUGUAAUAAAUGUUAAAAAAACAAAAAACUAUAUGGUGUGCACUCAUACAGUCUCUGGAGCCUCUGGAGCUUGCCAAUGCUGGGAGAAAUAAUACCUCCAAGCUGCAUAUAUGGCAGAUUACUGCAACAAAAUUACCAAUCAAUGAGAAAAUAACAAAACUUAAUGAAAAUAACAAAAAUUUAAAAAAAAUAUAUAGGCCAUUUUGAAAUAGACCCCUCAACUUUUGUUUCCAUCUAUUAAAUUAAUGAUUUUUUGCUAAAAAUUAACAGUGAUUCUGUUGAAUUUAACUGUUGUAAACACUUUUCUUAAAAGUAAACUCCUGAGCACUUUUUCAACUUCAAAACAGCUAUGUCAAUAAACAAAAGUAAAGGGAGGUUUCCAUUGAUUAAAGAAAAAAAAAAAGAGUUACUCACAUGGAUUGGACUCUAAAAUGAGGGAAAGAGCAUGAAAUCCCAAUCCAUCCACAGGGAUGUGGGUCAGUUUCUCUCCAACUCCCCAGCAUUUGCUUUGUGUCAUUGAAACCAUAUUUUAGCUCCAGGAGCACCUCACCUGUAUAUACACAUAACCACCAAAAAUUUUUUUUAAAAAAAACACAAAUAUAAUAGGAAAAUAUACAGUUAAAGAGUAAGGAGUGAGUAAAUAAAAAUACCAUCUUGGUUCAAGGAGAGGGAAGGGGAGGAGAGGAGAGCCAUGGAGAGAACACAAGCUAAGAGAGUUGAAGCACAGUAGUAGCCCAUUUGAGGAGAGUGGUUUUUUUUGGUUGGGGAUGGAUGAGGAGUUUACGAGUAGCAGAGAAGAGAGAAGAGAGAGAGAGAGAGAGAGAGAGAGUAAAGAGAUGAGAGAGGGUUGAGUGCAAUGAAUUAUGGGGGAGUGUACUAAUUAUGAAGGGGCAACCGUGAGAGAGAGAGAGAGAGAGAGAGAGGGGGCAAAAUUGGAAGAAUCUAUUGAGUGGACCUGGUUCACCAUUUGCCGGUGUCUUGAAAUAUUUUUCUGCUUAGAAAUUUAAUAGACACGGUCUCCUGCAGUGAGUUCAUUUAAGGGGGCGUUUGUUUUGCAGUAUUGAAAAAAAUUAAGGGUUUGUUUGGUUCAUCCAUUUUGGGUAUGAAAUGAAAAUCGGUUUGAUCAAAUUCGAUUAAUUUUGUUUGGUUCGUAUGAAUCAGUUUGGGAUUCCUAUUCCGGACUGAAAUGUGAAUGGCCCAUUAGUCUUCAACUUGAUUCCGAUCUUCUAGCCCGGAUUGAGAUUUCAUUCCGGAAGCCCACUAAGUCCUCGAAGCCCAUGUGACCAUCUCACCCUCCUUCUCUUCACCCCUUUCUCAUCAAAAAAAAAAAAAAUCUAUCCUCUCUCAAAACCCUAUCCCUAACCCACAUCAAUAAAAAUUUUUAAAAAUAAAUUUGAUAUUUUUUUUGAAAAAACUUAUUAGAGAAUAGUAUUAUAUUUUUCAUAAAUUUUAAAUAAUAUAAAUUUAUAUUUGAGAGUAAAAUUAGUAUUAUAGUAUUCUAUAAUUUUUUUAGUUUAUACGAACCAAACAAUAAAAUGUGAAUAGCUCAUUCCAAUUCCCAAUGCACAAAUAAACCAAACGUCUUGGAAGAGUGGGCCAUUCCAAUUACCAUUUCAAUUCAUUCCCAUUCCAUUAUUCAUUCCAAUUCCACCCUUAAACCAAACAAGCCCUAAGUGUUUGGUGCUAUUAGUAGCACCCCCAGAUGAACUCUGAUCCAUUUUAAUCUAUGAGCGUGUUUGGUUCGCUUCUUUUUCACCCUGGAAUUGGAAUCGGAAUGGGUGAAUCCGUUUGUGGGUGUUUAUUACGCGGGAGUCCCAUUCCGAUUCCGAUUCCCUAGUGGAAUGGGAAUCCCCCAAUCACCUAUUUAUUCAAUCCGGCCUAGAAGGCCGGAUUGGAAGUUGAAUCCGGACAGAAUGGAUAUUUAUUUCGAUUAAAUUUAUUUUUUCAACUUUUUUAAUUAAAAUAUGAGUUAAAAUUUAAAAAUUAAAUAUAUAAUUUUAAAUUUUAAUUUGAANUAAUAUAAAUUUAUAUUUGAGAGUAAAAUUAGUAUUGUAGUAUUCUAUAAUUUUUUUAGUUUAUACGAACCAAAUAAUGAAAUGUGAAUAACUCAUUCCAAUUCCGAAUCCACAAAUAAACCAAACAUCUUGGGGGAGUGGGUCAUUUCAAUUACCAUUCCAAUUCAUUCCCAUUUCAUUAUCCAUUCCAAUUCCACCCUUGAACCAAACAAGUCCUAAAAGUUAUGAGUUUUGGCAAUAUAUCUCAUCUCUACUUCACUGUAGUUAUGAGUUGAGUUUGUCAGUCUCCUCCAAAUACUCGUGCUUACAGUUCGAUAAGGAGAGAGAAUUCCUCGCGUGGGAUUGGAUGAAACAGUAACAUCAUAAGUCUAUUUGUUUAUUAUGUAAAACACACAAAUCUCAAAAUAAUGUAAAUAGUUCUCACUUUAGUAUUUUUAUAAUUUAAAAUGUAUAACUUUGUAUUAUGUGAUUUUCUUAAUUUUCUCUUUUCCUUAGCUAUUCUAUUAAUUUCUCUAUUAAAGCAUAUUGACAAAACUUCAAAAUACCCUAUUUUGGUUUACUAAUUUUUCACUUUAAUACCAAUAAUUUAAUAAAAAUGUUAACAAAGUAGGUAACCAAAAGAAAAAAAAAUGACAUCACAUGAUGCUAAAGUGAUAUACCUUGAACCAUAAUGUAUUAACUAGUAAAGUUAUCAGCGCAUUGCGGCCGGCUGAUGCUAUAAGAGACAGAAGAUUGACAAAGUAAAAUAUUUUAAAAUUUGUUCACUUGUCAUGAGAAAUCAAUAAAUACAAAUAAAAGCUAUGAAAUAGAUAUAGCAAAAUUUAAAAUUUCAGCAAAUAAAUUACACGUAAUAAUAAUAAAAAAACAGCAAUAAAACACUACUCCAUACGCACCUUCCACUUCUCAUUCAUUGCUAUUGUCAGUGUCGAGUUCCUCUUUAAUCACGACAACAUAUAUUUUAUUUUAUUUGUUUUUUUUAUAAAAUUGAUUUGUUUAGAUGACAAUAAAUGUGAACAUAUUAAUUAAUAAAUGGACACGUGGAAGACGUAACAUCACGCGGAGAUAAAAGAUAAUAAAUUCGAUCAUCAGGAAUAAGGAAGAAGGCAAGGAUGGGAGAAGAAGACGAGGAUGAAGGAGGCUUUAUCAUGUGGCAAAGUUUAUGAGGAAUAAUGUAUAGGUAUAUAGAUUAUUAAAAUAGAAAGUCUCCAACUAUAAAAAAGGUAUUUGAGAACUUUUGAAAAAAAGUUUUGCUUAGCAUUACUAAGAUCUUAAAAUGAAAUUUUAUAUUUGCUAGAUAUGAUUUAUCAAGACUUUGUUUCAUAUGAUUAUUUUUUUGUUUUUUCUAUUUUUAUGUUUAAAUUAUAGGUGAUCGAACAUAUGAACUUUUUUAUUCUUGUUAUUACUAUUUACCUGCAAUAUAUUAAAAUAAGAGGAAAAAAAGUUAUCACUAAAUUUCGUCUUCGGUUGCCAAACAUAUUUUGGAAUAUUAGAGAUUUUAAACAAUUUAUUGUUAAUUGACACACUCAAUCACAUAAAAAUCUAUAUAUAAUAAUGUUAAAAAAUAAUAAUAAUAAAAAUACUAAAAAAUUAUAAUUAUGUAAAAAAUUAUUUAUGUUAAAACACAUGAUAUUUCAACCUCACGGUUAUAAUUUUAAAAUUUUAAAUCUAACUUUAAAAAUUAUGAUAAAAUUUUUUUACCUCCUCUGCUGACGUGGUGGACCGGGUUCACCAGCCAAAAUUUUCUCUGUCUGAGGGGACAGAGUACGAAUACGUUGGCAAUCGUGCGGAGGGGCUUUUUUGUCCGAGAAAUUGAGAAAUUAGAAAAUACAAAUUUUAGCCGUUGGUGGGUAGGGGGUGGAUUCGAAGAUUUCAAAAAAGCGGCCUCGGGACACGCAUCCUCUCCACCCGGCACUCGCACGUGCGAACGAGGCCAACGGGAGCGGAGACCGGCACGUGUGUAUAGGUUUUUUAAAAAAUAAAACAACAAUAAUGACAAACUAUUAACCUAUAUUUAUUCUGGGGUUAAUUACGUACUCAUUCCUGCAAAUAUGGUGAAUUACAGAUAUAUUUCUACAAAACUCAAUUUUCAUAAGUUGUUCCUGCAAAAGUUCUAAUGUAUUCAAAUAUAUCCCUCUGGUUAGAAUCUGUUAGGAAACUGCUAAUCUUUUAAUAGUAUGUUCGUGAAAUGAGCUUUUUGUCCUCACAAAUAUAUCCCUCCGAAAGUAUUUUCUCUUUCUCUUUCUCUCCCUCUUCGGGCUGCCGGAGCGGAUAGCGGCGGCGGCACUUCGGCAAGGUCGGGGUCGGGGUCGGGGUCGGGUUUGCCGGCGGCGAAGAAGAGGGAAGAGAAAGAAUGAGAGGAAAAAGAAGAGGGAAGAGGAAGAAUGAGAGGAAGAGGGAGAGGAAGAGGAAGAAGGAGAGGGUUCGCCACCGCCGCCGCAUCUUCUCUCUUGUGGGCGACGAAGAAGAGGGAAGAGGAAGAAGGAGAGGAAGAAGAAGGGAGAAGAGAAAGAGAGAGAGGAAGAGGGAGAGGGUUCGCCGCCGCCGCCACAUCUCCUCCCUCGCCGGCAACGAAGAAGAAGGAAGAGGAAGAGGAAGAGGAAGAAGAAAGGGGAAAAGGAAAGGGAGAGGAAGAGGAAAGAGGAAAAGGAAGAGGGAGAGGGUUCGCCGCCGCCACAUCUCCUCCUUCGCCGGCGACGAAGAAGAGGGAAGAGAGAGGGAGAGAAGAAGAAGAGAAUAAAAACAUUUCACUUAUUAAUUAAUCAUGGUUAAGUAUUUUAACUGUGGUUAAUGAAAUUUCUCUAAUCGAAACUAACGGCAGUGACAUAUUUGAAUACAUUAGGACUUUUGUAGGGACAACUUAUGAAAAUUGAACUUUGCAGGGAUAUAUCUGUAAUUCACCAUGUUUGUAGGGACACGUAUACAAUUAACCCUUUUUUUUUUUUUCACGCAGUAAAUUUUUCGUCACUUCCACUAGUGUUUUAAAUCAUUAUUUUUUUCUUUACCAAACUUCUAAUUAAUGUUUCGCUGUCAUCUACAACUCUCACAUCUCUGUCUCUAAUUAAUUCAUCAUUACUUUUAAUUAAUACAUCUAAAUCUAUAAUCCUCAUCUCUUCAUCUUUAAUUAAUUCAUCAAUACACUGCCGCCCUCUCUCACUAAUGCACGCCUACCUCCCCUCUUCGCUGCGGCCGAAGGAAUUGUCGUCGUUGUUACUAUCACCGUCGCCGAAGAAGGCGUCGUCUCGAGCCCAUCCCCGCCGCCAACAGUGAGAGACUUUUGGUGAGUGUGGCAAAUGAGUUGCACAACAAAAUGCUUGAUGUUCUUUUAGUAAUAAUUAAUCCUACAAUUUCUAUCCACUACGAAGCAUGAUCGCCUUACUCGCUGAAAUUCUGACUUUUAUUUACCAACUCAUUCUUAAAAUUAAGAAAAAAGUUAAAACACAGAAAGCUUUUUGUAAAUAAUUUUUUAGUUUCACUUUUUUGACUUCGAAAAGUAUAUAUUUUAUCUUCUUAAAAUUUUAUAAAUAGAGAGUUAUGGUGUUAAUAAAGAGGACAAAAUUACUAAAUUACCCAUACUUAUUCUAUAAAAAAGUACUAUUUUAAUAUAUUAUUAUUAUUAUGUUAAAGGGUAUUUCGAUAUAAAAUAUAAAAAGUACUUUGUUAAUAUAUUAUUAUUAUUAUUUUAAAGAGUAUUUUAAUAUAAAAUAUAAAAAAUAGAGAUCAGCUUGAAAUUUUGAGGGAGUAAAAUAUGAUUUUUUUUAAGUUUGUUUGGGGUUGGUAGUGAAGUAAAAAAUCAGAUAAAGAAUGCGUAGUUUUGAAAUAUAGUAUAAUCUGCCGAUCUUGCUUUUACUUUUACUCAUAAAAGGUAAAUAAUUUUUUUUUUAAGCUUUAAUGACAGUUCAAUUUGUAAUUUUAUUUAAAAAAUAUAGUCAAUUAAAAUCUUACAUAAAGUUUAGAAGGGUUAAUUGUUGUAAAUUUUAAUAUUUAUGAGGUUAUUUGACAAUGCUUAAAGUAUUAGAACCGUUUUUACAUUUUAAAAAAGAAAAAUGCCACCUGGUAUAGUGGUAUAUUUUAUUUUAUACCCUCCAAAGCAAUGGUUCACAAAAUUUUAUUUUUGAAAUUUCAGUAAAAAAGAAAAAAAAAUAAAGUGAAUAAAAAUGGGAGCAGGUAAAUUUUACGUCUAUGCUAUAGAGUGUAUGGAUAGAAUUACUAUUUAAAAAAAAACAAAAUAAAAAAGUUGGCCUUUAUUUAGAAAGAUCUAUGAUUAGGAUCUUUUUAUUUUAAAUACACAAUUCAUUUUGAUUUAACAACACUUUUAUUUUGAAAUUUGGCUUAAAAUCUCAUCCAAUUUGGUUUAAUUUCGAACACAUUAUAUUGUUCAAAAUUCGGGUAUGGAUCGAAUCCAAAGACAAUAAGCACUAUUUAUUCUAAAUGAUUGUCCAAUCCGAUUUUGAUCGGGAUCUAAAUUGUUUGUUGAGCGAAGCGAGAAUUUUGAGAGCAAGAAAUAGAAAUAUGCUGAGUUUCGCAAGUUUGAUUUUGUCGCUUAGAAUCAUAGAGUCAAUCUCUAUAUAAUUAUAAAUGAGGAGAAUUUUUUUCCAAAUAAAUUCUUAAAAAAUUUAUAAUUCAUCAAAUAACUCUAUAAAAAUUUUAUUUAGCUAAAUAAUUUUAUUUUAUCUAAUUCACUGUUAAGAUGAAAGAACAAUUAAAAAACAAUAAAUCAUUCAUCGUUUUUAUUAAAAUCUAAAAAAUAGUAAACGAUUCAUCGUCUUUUUUUUAGGAAAAAAAAUUGUAAAUAAUUACCUUUUUUUUUUUCAAUCUAAAAAAAACUGUGAACGAUUUACCUUUUUUUUCAAUUUUUUUUCCAAUCGUGCAGUAAGUUAGAAAUUAUUUGACCAAAUAAAAGUUUAAAAAAUUAAUUUUUUUGAAAAACUUUAACUAAAAGUUUGAAUGAUUUCACAACUUUGAUAUCCACACACAAAGAAAAAGAAAAAAAAAAAAAGAAGAAGAAAAAAACAGAGAAAAAACUGAACUGAUACUUGGGUGCUUCCGCACAUGACGCGGCGCACCGCGUCCAAACGACAAACUACGACGAACCCAAUCCAUUCGGUCAAAUCCCCUACACCCGAACCCGAACCCAAACCCGAACCCGAACCCCUCUCUCUCUCUCUCUCUCUCUCUCUCUCUCUCUCUCUCCCCCUCAGAUCCGCAUCGAACAAAAAAAAAUAUAUAUAAAAAAAAGAAAAAGAAAAAUCAUUCGGACGACGAGGAAGACGAAGAAGAAGGGGCGAACGAGGGAAUUCGAAACCCUCGCACCCCAAUCACACCUCCGAUCUCGAUCGGCCCCCACCCCCGCAACAAUGGCGCCGGAUGCCGCCGCCGAGGACGAGGAUAAGUGGCUCGCCGAGGGCGUCGCCGGGAUCCAGCACAACGCCUUCUACAUGCACCGCUCCCUCGUAUGAAAACCCUAAACCUAAUCUCCGAUGCUUAUCCCUUUGUAAUUAUUGAUGAUGUUGUUGUUGAUAGGAUUCGAACAAUCUGAAGGAAGCCCUCAAGUUCUCGGCGCAGAUGCUCUCGGAGCUGCGAACGUCGCGGCUCUCGCCACACAAGUACUACGAGCUGUGUAGGCGAUUCUCUCUCUAAAGCUCUUCCUAGGUACCUAAUUAGAUGAUGAUUUUGGUGUUUGGGGGUUCUGAUGGUGUGGUUGAAUUCCUCGUUAGAUAUGCGCGCGUUUGAUGAGUUGAGGAAGCUGGAGUUGUUCUUCAGGGAGGAGACCUCGCGCGGGAACUGCUCGGUCGUCGAUCUCUACGAGCUCGUGCAGCACGCUGGCAACGUCUUGCCGAGGCUGUAAGCUUUAGAAAUCGUUCCCUUUCGCUUUUAGUAUUGUAUGGAUACUUGGGUGUCUGAUUAUAUUCUUAGAUUCUUAUUGUAUUGUGUAUAUCUUCUGGGUCUGUGUUUGUUUUCUUUCUGUUGAUAUAGAUAUUGUCUCUUUCCUUUGAAGAAAGAAGAGAAAAAAUAAUGACAAAAUUGAACUGAAAUUUGAAAAUUUGAUCUUUAGUUUGUUUUGUAUAGAUAUUGUCAUAAAAUGUCCUUUCAUUUUCAAGACAAGAAGAAGAGAAAAUAAUGACAACAGAUUUGGAUUCAAAAUUUGACUGUUCUUUGUGUGGUGAAAAUAUCGUUUCUUUCAUGUCUUUUCUUUUCAAGAAGAAGAAGAAGAAUGGCAAAUGAUUUGGAUUGAAAUCUGUUGUCAUUAUUUUCUCUUCUUCUUCUUCUUCUUCUUCUUCUUCUUCUUCUUCUUCGGAAUAAAGACAUCUCACAAUAAUAUUUUUUACCAAACAAACAAAAGCUCAAANAAAAUUUGACUGUUCUUUGUGUGGUGAAAAUAUCGUUUCUUUCAUGUCUUUUCUUUUCAAGAAGAAGAAGAAGAAUGGCAAAUGAUUUGGAUUGAAAUUUGAAAUUUUGAGCUUUUGUUUGUUUGGUAAAAAAUAUUAUUGUGAGAUGUCUUUAUUCCGAAGAAGAAGAAGAAGAAGAAGAAGAAGAAGAAGAAGAAGAAGAGGAAGAAGAACAAUGGCAACAAUUUUGGGUUAAAAUUUGAAAGUUUGACCUUUUCAUGGUUGAUGAUUGUUUUUUAUAUGGAAUUACAAAAGAAGGAAAGACACAAUUUUAUGAACUAUCAAAAGUCUUUUUGCGUAUACUUGAUGCAGUCAGUUUAAACCGGCAAAGUAAAAGUUCAAAACAAAGGUACACACAGAAAAAUCUAUUGCUUAAGACUUUUAUAUUUGAAGUUCAAUGUGUUUGUUAUCAGGUACCUUCUCUGCACAGUGGGAUCUGUAUAUAUAAAAUCAAAAGAGGCUCCUGCAAAGGAUUUGCUUAAAGAUCUUGUGGAAAUGUGCCGUGGUGUUCAACAUCCUCUUCGUGGGCUUUUCCUAAGAAGUUACCUCUCUCAGAUUAGCAGGGACAAGUUGCCAGAUAUUGGUUCUGAGUACGAAGGGUAAAUAUAUAUUAUCUAUGCUAUAAGGUCCAACUAAUCAACUUUCACUGGCAAUAGCCUGUUAAUAGAGUUCGUCUUUUGUUUCAGCCUGUCAUAGAUGCAGACGUACAUAUAUGAUGUCUAGUACUCGAUUAAUCAGUGAAGUUCUUUGUUAUAUGCCAUACAGCUCAUUCCAACUAUAUAUUUCUGGUCUCAAAUUUAAGUCUGAAAGUUUAGGAGUUUGGCAGUGCUUAUAUUUUACAAGGGACUCUUGUAGGAUCAUCUUGUCAUAUAUCAUUGAGCAAUACUAGUGCAAGUUUGAGAUGCAUUUCUUCCUCCAUUUCUUUUGACCUUAGAUGACGCUAACCAAAUAAUAAUUUAGUAGCUGUUUUGCAUGAUUGUUGUUAUCUAUUCUAAAUUUUUAUUUCAUUAUCUUACAUUUUUCAUUUUGCAGGGAUGCUGACACUGUUAAUGAUGCUGUUGAGUUCGUUCUUCAAAAUUUCAUUGAGAUGAAUAAACUCUGGGUUAGAAUGCAGCAUCAGGUUGGUUGAAUUGUCAGAUAUUUCACGUGCUGUUUGUUUAUAUGUAUAGAAUCCCAGUACAUGCGUCCAUAUACUUGGGCGUGUUUUGUACCAUAAAAGUACUUGUAGUUAUGUAGGUAUUUUAGUGAUUGGGAAUUAUUGAUACUUUUAGGUGAUCCUGAGUUGAGACUAGGAAUCGGACUUUCUCGUCUGCAGGGACCUUUUCGGGAAAAAGAGAAGCGGGAAAAGGAAAGGAACGAACUUCGUGAUCUUGUAAUAUCGCCAUCUUUCAAUUAAAUAAUUCCGCCAAAGCAUCACAGUAUAAGUUUUUCACAUCUUCCUUUACGAUUUUGUUUUGGGUGAUUUUCUUCUAGGUGGGCAAAAAUCUUCAUGUUCUAAGUCAGAUAGAGGGUGUUGACCUUGAUAUGUACAAAGAAUCUGUUCUUCCCAGGGUGUUGGAGCAGGUUAGCUUAUUAAUGCUUCGUUUGCAUGGAGAGAAUAUGAGAGAAAUGAAGAGAAAAGAAAAGGAGAGAAAAGAAAAGAAAAAGAAGUAAUUUUUUCUUUCUGAUGUUUGGAUUAAGGGACAAAAAGAUGAGAAAAUAACGUUCUUUUUCCUUUCUGUCCCUUUAUCUCCACUUUUGGAGAGAAAGAUUAACCUUUUAUGGAAGGUCAUUUUCUCUCUGUUUGUCAACAUUUCUAUUCUUUUCUCUCUUCAAGUUUCAAUCCAAAUGAGACAAAAUUAAUUGUUUUCUCCUUUCUCCUAAUUUUCUUUUCUAUUCUCUCCGUUUCUCUCUAUCCAAACGAGUUUAAAGAGCUGAAAAUUUUUUCCAAUAUAGCACACCUCACAAAUCUUAUUAAUUUGUUGGCAGGUUGUCAAUUGUAAAGAUGAGCUUGCUCAAUUCUACUUGAUGGAUUGCAUAAUUCAAGUUUUUCCAGAUGAAUACCAUUUACAAACUCUUGAAACAUUACUAAGUGCAUGUCCUCAGCUUCAGGUAGGUAACUUUUUUUUUUUCACAAUUUUGCAUAGAUCUUUUUCUUCUUCGCCUAAAUGAGAUCUAAUGUAGGAUUGUUUUCGUAGAAGCCUUGUAGGUGAUAGGGUUAGCUUUGAUCAAGAAAUAGGGUCGAGAAGGUGUUGAAAUCCUUAAUUAUAGAAGUGAAUGAACUCUCUCCAGCAAUUAUAGCUGUAACUGAGUCUGAAAAGUUAUGCUGCAUGACAGCUGCAUCAUCAAAAAAGCAGCUGCAGCGAUGAAGGGCUGCUAUCGCAGCCGCAACAUCCUGGAGAAGCAGUUGCGGUUGCUGUAAGCUGCAGCAACACAGUAGAGGGAGAGGGGGCACAGCACCUUUGUCGCAGAGAGAAGAGACGGCAGGGUUCUAGGGGAGAACAAGAAGAAGAGAGGAGGAGAAGAGGGCGGCAGCAGCUUCUGUGCAGCCGCGGCAUCCUGGAGAAGCAGUUGCGGGUGCCGUAAGCUGCAGCAACAGAGUAGAGGGAGAGGGGGCACAGCACCUUUAUCUCAGAAAGAAGAGACUGCAGAGUGUAGGGGAGAACAUGAAGUAGAGAGCAGGAGAAGAGGGCGGUAGCAGCUUCUGCAAUAGGGAGAGGGAAGCGCUGGAAACAGGGUGGGGGAGGCAUAGACGUAUAUCUCAAUCAAGCUUUUACUAAUCCAUAUAACCUGAAUGGCAAGAUCAUCUAGGACCUUAAAUAGGCAUUUAUGCCCAAUUUCAAUCAAUUAAGAAGACCUGAGUUUUAGGUAUUUGAUCCUACAUCAUAAAGAGAUGAGAAAGAGAUCAAACUAAAUACCUAAUUAACUUAUUCACUUUCAUAAUGAGAUCACAAUGAAGAUUCCAAAUUAAGUCUAAAUAAAUCUAACCCACAUAGACAUGAAUUGAACUGAAAACGUAUCCAAUUGUAACUUGAACUGAAUUCCUAGCCAAAUUGGAGAACUAAUUGACUCCAAUAAGACCACUUAAAGCUAAGACCUAUGGAACAGUUCUACGCCAAGAUCGCUUUGUGGGACAGUUCUGCAUCAAGACCUCAUUUAGUAGUGAUUUAUUUGUUAGUCACUUGCUCUUUGUUUCUUCCGAAAUUUGUCUUGAUUGAUAUGGAGAAUUUACAAAGAGCCUUUAUUUCUUUGUUCUCUUUGCAGCCAACUGUUGAUAUUAAAACAGUGCUAUCUCAACUUAUGGACAGACUUUCAAAUUAUGCAGCUUCAAGUACAGAAGUGAGUAGCUAUCAUAUUGUUAUCCCAAUGCAUAGCUUGAGAUAUCUUUCUCAUAUGUUCAAAUAAAAUGCAGGUACUUCCAGAAUUCUUGCAAGUUGAAGCUUUUGCAAAACUAAAUAGUGCGAUAGGAAAGGUAAAUUUACUACUUGUGGAUAUAUGUUCUGUUAUGCAUUCAUGGAUAUAUUAAAUUGAAUCUUGGAUCAAUUUACUGUCUCUCGGUAUGUUGUGAUUCAAGCAUGACUGUGUGAGCUCAGAUAUUUAUUGCAUAAUUUUUAUGGCGUCUACCCCUCUGUGUUAUUCUCGUGACUCAUAUAGAGUCAUUAUUGGGUGGUUUAUCUCGGGUUCUGAUCAAGGUUUUUAGGGUUCAGGUCGUUUUUGGUCAAUUCAUAUGGUAGGUGAUUCAGGUUUAACUUCUUUUUGAGUUUUUGAUUAUUUAUCACUUUGGGUUCACAGUUCCUCAGGUUUUGUGUGGUUUGGUUUUGGAUUUCUCAAGGUGUCGGGUUGUUUAGGACCUUCAAGUUUUCACAGCCUCUGAUUUCAGAUCAUUCCUUUCAUAGCUGCCUGAGUUUGGGCCUAUUUUGGGUUGAAUCUGUGGGCUUCCUGACAUUAUUUAGCUUUCAUAUCAUGUUCAAGUUGACUUAGGUUUGUCUUUUUUCUGGAAAUGUUUUGUUUUGAACAUCAUAAAGUUGUCAGUGUUACAAUGCUUUCUGAACAUUGGGUUUGCCUCAUGGCUCGUGUUCAAUAAGCUUGGGUUUGGAUUGCUUUUGGUUUGACUUGUUUGAAGUUUCAGGUGCAUGUCAUUUCAUUUUUGUCUCUCUUAGAUUUUGGUUGAUUAGUUUUAGGACGGGGAGUAGGUUUGGACUUUGGUCAUUAACCUUUCCUUGGGUGAUUAACUUUUCUAUCUUAUGCCCUUUUUAUCUGAUUCCUUAUUUCUCUCCUUAUUGUCCUAUUGUUAAAAUAAAACUAAAUAGUGGAUAGGACUUUUGUCAGUCUGUUCAUGUGAAACAAACCGUUAUACUCUAAAAGCUUAAGCUGUUAGUGAAUGGUGCUUAUAUAUUUUUAUAUUUAACACUACCCCCACGUCUGGGCUCGAGACUUUUUGUUAGGAAGGCCCAUGAUGUGGACUUGAAUUAAAUGGGAGGAAAUUAAUAAUGCUAGGAGUUUGACGUGACUCGAACUCAGGACCUCCUGCUCUGAUACCAUGUGAAACAACCGUUGUACUCUAAAAGUUUAAGCUGUUAGAGAACGGUGUUUAUAUAUUUUUAUAUUUAACAGUUCGGUAUUCUAGGUUUGUGUAGUAUUGACAAUAUUUAAAGGUGUGCUUUUAGUAGGGAUGUCAAUGGAUACUGGGUAUGGAUACCCGAAAUUAUCCAAAUCCGAAUCCAAACCGGGCAGGUUUACCCGAUGCUAAACUGAUAUGGUUUCGGAUACGAGUAUAAAAAGCGAAAUCCGAUAGAUUCGAGAUCAGGUAUGGAUUUUGUUUGUACUCCACAUGAACCUGAACUCGAACCCGACGGAACCUGAAUAUAUUUUACAUUAUAUAAUAUGUAUGAAUGUUUGAUGUUAUACUUGAAUUUGUAUUUUGAAAAAUUUAGAUUUUAAUGUAAUAUGUUUUGAAAUUUGGUAAAGAGAAAUGAUUGUUUCAGGUUUCGGAUUUCGGGUUUUUGUUUGGGAUCGGUUUUGGAUAUGGAUUUUCAAAACUCAUUCGGGUUUCGGUUUUGGUCGUCGGCUUUAGGUUUGGGUUUUUGAAAACCCGCCUCCAAUCUGACCCGUUGACAUCCCUAACUCUUAGGUGGGUUGGUGAAGGGAGGCAUGAGCAUUAGCGUUUGCAGAUCCAGUUUGAAAUGCAUGUCUUUUUUGAACAAGGUAAAAUUGAUGAUACAAUUUUUGACUCUUGAAAGUUAUUUAAGAGUGAAAACGCAAAGGUCUAUCAUCAUUUCUUGUUUUUUUCUUAAUAAAUGAUGGUGUAUUAUUCUUUAUCUCCCAACUUAUAUAAUAUUAUACAUGUUUGCGGAAUUGCGGUUGUAUGUAUCUAGAUCUCUGUAUCUUCUCAUGCUUAUGUACAGCUGUUUGUUCACAUAUAUUUGCUCAAGAACAUGACAUCUCCAUUAAUUCAUUUGUUUUUAAGCUACUUUUAAGUCUAUUUUAUGUUCCUAUGGCAGGUAAUAGAAGCACAGGUUGAUAUGCCAUCUGUAGGAGCGAUAACUCUCUUUGUAUCUCUCCUAACAUUCGCUCUCCGUGUACACCCUGAUCGACUUGAUUAUGUGGAUCAAGUAUUGGUAUGCCUCUUAAAUUUGAGCUUUGCUCUGAAUUUUGAUAUGACUACAGUAAUGUUAUUGAAUUGUUUAUCAUGCUUAUUAUAUAUACAAUAACCACCCAAACAAAUAUUAUUUUCAAAAGUUUGACAUUCAUACAUGUUCAGUACUAAUUAAGUAAUUAUUUAUUAUGAGUUUAAUUGUGAAUUAGGCUUGAAGUCUGAUUCCAAUUUAUUUAACUUCCUUAUUAGUUUCAAGUUCUUUAAUUGUGACCCUAAUUUCAAUUUUAUCCCGUGUUUCAAUUUUAUGAAAUUUAGUCUUUGAAGUUUUGCCCUCAUUUCAGUUUCGUGAUUAGAGUUUCAACUUUAACCAAGCAAAAUGAUAGUUUGUUGUGCCUUUUUUAAGUUGACAGACAAACCAAAGGAUUUAAUUAUUAUGUGGAACAAGAUUCGGGGACUAGAUUCUUUAAAUUGAAAGAACAUAAUUGAGCCGAGGUCAAAUUCGAAUGACUACAUUUGUUAUUUCUUUCAUUAAAUGAUUGUGUAUCGAAUAUAUGACCGGUAGGCAAGCUGGUUGGUGUUUUUGUACUGUUUGAGCUUUUGGAUUUUUUGAUGAUUAUAUCUGAUCCAUGAGAUACUUAUGUGCCAUCCCAAUAUUCCACAGGGAGCAUGUGUCAAGAAACUUUCAGGCAAAGCAAAACUUGAGGAUAGCAAAGCAACCAAGCAAAUUGUCGCACUUCUAAGUGCUCCUUUGGAGAAGUAUAACAGUGUUGUCACUGCAUUAGAACUUCCAAACUAUGCACAGGUUAUGGAUCACCUAGAUAGUGGCACAAACAAAGUGAUGGCUAUGGUUAUUAUCCAAAGCAUCAUGAAGAACACCACCUGUAUAUCAACCGCUGAUAAAGUAUACCACUUUCUCACUUUUUCAGUGUUCAUAGAAAUGCUUUUUCUUCUCAGCCCAUAGUAUUUGUUAUUAUUUUAGGUCGAGGCUCUAUUUGAAUUAAUAAAAGGGCUCAUAAGGGAUAUUGAUGGGGCUCAGGAUGAUGAGGUGAACAUCAAAUUUCCCAAACUGUCUCUUUGAUGUGUUGCAUACUUACAUUACCUUAUUUUAUAUUUACCUUUAUAUUUACCUUUCGUAUCAGUAACUGUCUUUCUUAAUUCCAGCUUGAUGAAGAGGAUUUCAAGGAGGAGCAGAACUCUGUUGCUCGCCUCAUUCACAUAUUGCAUAAUGAUGAUCCUGAUGAGAUGUUGAAGGUAACUGAUGUUUCUAAAGCUUUAUGUUCAUUUGUUUAUUCUGUUCCUAAAGCUUAGGUUCAAUUUUCUAUCUUCAUUGACACUUUUGUGCUUUAUUGGUGCCAAAGCUUAGCAAUUGAAACAACAAAAAGGCUACUUAGCUAUCCUUGUCGCAUAUGUAGAUGACUGUUUACUACAACUAUAAAGUAGGUCGUGAUACAAAUUUAUAUACAACUAUUAGUUAAAGCGGAGAGUGAGAAUGUCUGUCCGAGCUUUCAUCAUGUGGACAAUUUUUUACCUAUUAUAUUAUCAUGUAGCUACACUACAUAAUCUCUUGUUAACUAAUUUGAUAAUGUGAUGUAAAGUGCGAUGUAUACAAUUUCUAGAUUUGGAGAGUGAUAUUUAAUCUAUAAAAAGCCCUUGUCAUUAUCUUUCUUAAAUAUCAUCAAAUAGAUGAAAGAAAAUUUUCUUUUCUUUGGUAGCCACAUUUUCACUUUAUCAUUAUCAUUAUUGAGUUGCUUUAAAUAAAUUAGAGAAAUUCUUGUAUUCUAUAAUAUCCAUAUAUUAAACAAGAUCUUUAUCAUUAUAUUUUCUUGAUUUUCUUUAUAUAAAUGGAUUAUUAUUUUCUCAUAAUCGAUAAAUUCCAAUCAUAUUCAUGUUGUGCAAUGGUGCGUGAUGGUUGACCGGUGCUACUCUAAUGCAGAGCAAGGGCAUUUUGUUUAGUAUCAGGAAAUUGCUGAACUGUUGGAAAGACCCAUUAAAAGGUUUAGGUUCACGUUUUUAAAAAUUGCUACUUCCCCAUGUCUUUUAAAGUAACCCUUGGUUGGCUCAUCGUCUGCGUCUGCUUUUAGUAGUGGUAACUUCUAGUGGAGCGUUUGGCAAAGAGAGCAAUCUGGAGGUUCUGCUGCAGUGAAGCAGAAAUGAGAUUUUGAACCUCAAAAACGAAGCUCUGAUUUGGUAGUUUUCCUUUUACUGCAGAAAGCUGUUGGGGGUAUAUUAAUAUAGUGCUUCUCCUAAAAUCACAAUUUAGGCGGCGGUUCAUCAAACAACACACGUUAUUGUGAGGCCAAAAAGGCUUAGAAAGAUGUCUGACAGUCACAAUGACCUUGUACUGAUACUGUUUUUUCCUUUCAGAUUAUAUGUGCUGUUCAGAAGCAUAUUCUUCUUGGAGGUCCUAAGCGUCUACCUUUUACCGUGCCUCCUUUGGUCUUUUCUGCUCUUAAGGUUUGUUAAAUUAUUCUUCACAUGGUAAAAUAAUUGUUUCAUAUGCUUUGAAUUUAUUCAGCGAAGAUCUCUCUAUAAUUAUCAUUAUCAUGGAUUCAUGGUCAUCAUCAUUAGUACCCACUUCUUCCACUGCUUAAUUAUCAUUUACGAUGCCAUGAUCAUUGGUAUAGACUUCCUUCUUCCGCUGCUUGGAGUUGGCAACUGAGUUUAGACUUAAUAGGCAAUAGUAGUGAGUGGAACUUUGUGCCCAGUCAAUACCAACACAUUUAGGUGUGAGAGUAGCCUGCAGAAAAUGCAUACAGCUAGUCCUUGCUGGAUCUCUUUGGACAAUCCACCAAGACAUCGGAUCUCUUUGGACAAUUCACCAAGACAUCAACCUAUGCUUAAGUGGCAUCAGAAUUCUUCUGCAACCACAGCGAUGCACCCUACACUUUCAGAUGGGCAUGAAAGCUAAGAGUCAAGGGUAUUACUACACUGGGAAUUUUGGUGCUCUUGUGUAAUCGAGAGCCAUUGUGCAAGUUCAGACAGGUUUUAACUGAUUGGGUUGUAUCCACCUUAGUCGAAAGUUUGGUAAUCUUAGGUUGGCCACUAAGAUUGGUAAUCAAAGUUUUAGCUUGUAAUUUCUAGGUGCAUAUAUUAUGCUAGGCUAUAAUAAUACUCCAGUAUGCCUAUCCACUGAUUGUAUUUUAAAAUUAAAGGAAAUUAAUUUUUGUUGAAAAGGAAACUUUUGUGUCGUCAUAUUAGAAAGUAACAUUAACUAAUUAUUUUGCGAACUAGUAAGCUGAAGUAGCUUACUUGGAAAGUUUUGCUAUAAUUUUUCAUGUAUAUUAAACAAAGAUAGGCCUGUGUCGUUUUUUUUUUUCCUUUGCAGCUUGUUAGACGUUUACAGGGUCAGGAUGGAGAUGUGGGAGGAGAAGAGGUCCCUGCGACACCUAAGAAAAUAUUUCAAAUUUUACAUCAGGUUUUCUUCAUGACAUCUGUUGCAUACUCCAUUGAAAUUUGAAUGGAUGAAAGGUAGCUUUACAGUGUAAGGCUAGGCUACUAUUGAUAAGAUUUGAAUGGUAAUACUAUCGAAUUAAAAUCUAUUGAGUCAAAAUUAUUGUGAGGAAAUCUAUAUUGAAGAUACAUACCAUUAAAUCUGAUCCAGAUGAUGUUUAGACACAAAUGUUCACAAAUUUUGGAGCUCUUGACCUAGGUGUCAAGCGGGGUAAAAAACAAGGAGAGUGUAUAUUUAAUAAGUGUCUAUGUACACGACAAUUGAAAAUCAGAGCCACUAGUCUUGAUCUAGACAAUCUAAAAAUGUUUCUACGAAAGUUGAACCAGUCUAGACUGUUAAACUAACAAGUACUUCACAUCGUCUGUGAAACUAUCAAUUUCAAGACAGUCUGAUUUUAAGGUAAAAGAUCUCUAUUAUGACUUGAUACUUCAAAUAGCUAGAUCAUGUCUUAUGUCAUGUAUCUUCAAUAUAAAUGUCCUAACAUUGGUUUUUGACUCAACAUGAUCUGCAUCCAAAUCUUAUUAAUAGCUACCAAACCCAAAUUUCAUAUGUGUGAUGGCUGUAUUUACAAAACUUCAAGUGCUCAAAUCACUUACAGACUAUCGAGGCAUUGUCAUCUGUUCCUUCUCCAGAACUUGCAUUGAGGCUAUACUUGCAAUGUGCGGAGGUGCGUCCAUUUCUCGGCUCCUCUUUUCAUUCUCUUCUGUUCAAUUAUCUGUCAUUAACAACCCACUCUUCUUCAGGCUGCCAAUGAUUGUGAUGUAGAACCUGUUGCAUAUGAGUUUUUCACUCAAGCAUUUGUACUCUAUGAAGAGGAAGUUACUGUAAGUAACUAUGACUUUUUUUUUUUCCAGAGCAUUGUGUAUAAUUUCCUUUAAUGUCAGAAUGUAUCCUCUUAAAUGUCUUUUUGCUUAUUCAAUUGCUCAUUAUGUAUCGGUUAUUGUUGUCUGAGCAGGAUUCUAAAGCACAAGUGACAGCAAUUCACUUAAUCAUUGGAACUCUGCAGCGGAUGAACAUAUUUGGGGUGGAGAACAGGGAUACACUAACACACAAGACCACGGGGGUGGGAUUCUUUCUCUUUGUUUUUAUGUUUGCUUUUUGGAUCCUUUGUACUUUUAGGUAGUUGGAAACCAGGAUUAUUGCCUUUUCUGCUGUUGCAAUUGUAUUACCUCGAAUAUUCGUUUUUCCUUUUGUGCAGUACUCGGCGAAACUUCUAAAGAAGCCUGAUCAGUGUAGAGCAGUCUAUGCAUGUUCACAUCUCUUCUGGAUUGAUGAUCAGGAUGGAACAAAGGACGGUGAAAGGUAUGAAUUCAUAAAUUUUGUUGCCUUUUUUUAACAAAUUGCGGGAAUGUUCUGACAAAAUUUUUUAACAAGGUGUGAACUCAUGCGUUAGCUCUCUUGUGCAUCUGCAAAUUUUUUUAAUAAAAGAUUUACUUGCCAUUGCCACGUUCUAGUCUCCAUAUUUGUUUACCUAAGCUUUUACUCCGUAUGUAGAAUCUGCUAGUCCUAAUUUUAGGCUCAAUUGCGGGAAUGUUCUAACAAAAAUCACAAUUUUCACUCCUCUUCCCCCUCUUGUUCUUGCCAUAGGUCAAUGAGGUGAAAUAUUGAUUACAAAAUUUUUUGGGGCGAUAUGAAAAUCAUGAUUAUUUGUUUGAGGCUUCCUGAAUUUUGUCAACCCUUUAUUUGUCAAGAUUAUAAUGUUAAUUACUGCUCAUACUUGUAAAAAUUAAAAAUCAACUAAAGCACCAGUUCUCGUUUUUUUUUUUUUUUUUUUUUUUGAAUUUGCUUAUAAAGCAAACUGAACAACUUUACAUAUCAGUCCCAUCUUAUGCUUUUGCUCGUGCUUUAUCUGAAUUUAAAUAAUAUUAGCAAAAUGUACAUAACUUUUCUCUUCAAGCUGCUACUGAUCUAUCACCCGUGCUUUCACUGAAUAUAAAGAAUAUUAGCGGAAUAUUGUAAACUUUUCUCUUCAAGCUACCGCUAAUCUUUCUUUUGUUCCAGGGUCCUACUUUGCUUGAAGCGUGCGUUGAGAAUUGCGAAUGCUGCUCAGCAGAUGGCUAAUGCUACAAAAGGCAGCAGUGGAUCUGUUGCACUCUUCAUCGAAAUACUGAACAAGUAUUACUGCCCAACAAAAUCUUUAAUUUAGGGUUUGUUUGCAGAUUCUGCUUUUCCGGCCUGGAAGCUCAUUUUAGCUUACUGCCAUUGCAAUAGCUUCCGAUACCUUUUAAUUGCCUAACAUUGGUUGGCUGCUGGUUCUUGAAGUGGAGAAAUCUUUUCAAGAAACCAUGCCACAUUUAGCUCAACAUAUGGGCGAAAUCUUUCCAAGAAGUAGAGAAAUCUUUUCAAGAAGCCAAGCCUGACUCUUAAUUUAGGCACUCCGGUUCUAGAAUUUGUUAUAUAUUGUAAUUCCAUCUCUAGAAGUUGGAAAAGUCGGAUGUUCGUUGCCUUUUGCUGUAAAUAACCUUUCCUAAGCCUGUUUCAAGUAAAUGGAAAGUUUGAAAUUAGAAAGUCAUUUUAAAAAUGGUGUAAAACAGUUUUUCUUUGCAGCAAAAAUUACAUAUUCUUUUUUCUCCAGCGGUUAGCUUUAAAUUGCAUCAUAUAGGUUCAUUGAAAUGUUUAACUAGAAAGUCCUAGAAGGUCCAGAGACCAAGUCAUGAUAUCGGGAUAGUAUGGGAACUGUCAAUACAUUUUACGUCCAAAAUAAUCCAUCAUGGGACAUAUCCUAGGAAACUGAGUAAUUUGCCUUUACAGGUACCUAUACUUCUUUGAGAAAGGAAAUCCCCAGAUCACGAGCUCAGUGAUUCAGGGGCUGAUCGAAUUGAUCACAACCGAGAUGCAAAGCGAGAAUGCGACGUCCGAGCCAUCUGCCGAUGCUUUCUUCGCAAGAACUCUGCGAUACAUCGAGUUCCAGCAGCAGAAAGGUGGAUCUGUAGCUGAAAAGUAUGAGGCCAUCAAGGUUAGUUAAUUCCUAUUUUUUCUGAUUUGAGCUUCGAGGAUGCAGUCAUAAGUUCGAUCUUUUCUCAGUUAAUUUGGGAACUGCUGGUAUCUGUUGUAAGAAUCCAAGAGUAGCAUUUUGCCGUAGUUUUGAUAUUCAGAGGGCCUCAGAACUCAGAAGCUAUACUGUUGUGCAAACUUCAUUGUUUGGACAUAAGAUUUUUGGUAAUAAAGUGUACUCACAGUUGUUGAUGAGUUUUCUGAUGCUUGCUAUCAUUAAUAAGUGUUCGGUUUGAUGCAAGUGUCCAUUGAUUUGGUAGUUCGAUAUAUCAUUGUUUGGGGUCACUUAAUACUUUUUUCGGUUACGAUCGAACUGAUGACAUCGGGCUUACAUAGCAAGCAUGGACUGUUUCCGGAGCUUGCAGUUCAGGCAUCUCGUCGACUUCUCUGGUAGGGCGUGAAGUCGGGAUCGAGCGAAUCGUGAGUGUCCUUCCCAUUAUAUCAAACAUGUCUAGCUAUUUAUUUAGAAUAAUUGUUGAAUUUAACCAUCAAACUUUGUAAACUUAGGUUUGCAUACGGAGUUAUCUGUGAGUAACACAGUAGAAUUAUAUAAAUCUGAGUAAAACUACUUAAUAAACUAUCAAUUUAGAUAGUAAGUAUAGAAAACAUAGGCCCUCUUUUAUCUAAAUUUUUUAUCUAUUUUUGGGGCUGCAAAUUAAAUAAAAUAUUGAGAUGUAAAAUAAUGUGAUAAUAAUAUGCCAACUAGUUUUAGUAAAGUUUUACAAUCAAGUUUAUUAAAUUUAAAAAUUUGUAGAUUUAUUUGAGAUGAUAAUAGAGUGCAAGGUGAUAAUUGGUGCAAUUCUUAGCGCACGCCGUAAUUGAGACAGAAGCUAAAAUACAAAAAAAGGCUUUCUGUUAUUUAGCCAGGGUAUAAUAAACAAAAGAAAAAAAAAAAAAAAAAAAUCUUGUACACUCGAGAAGCUCCGAAUUGGAAAUGAGAGAAACGUGCGGGAAGCGUCACAGGGCAUGAGUCCGAACGACAGCGACGUGCACCGACGCGAAUUUCAUGCGCGGCAGAAAAAGCAAACACGAGUCCCGCCAGCCAGCAUCUUUUCUCCGCACCAGAGAGCUUGCUGGCGUCUCGCGACGUCGGUCACGGAUUGAGAGCUCCCAGGUUUCGUCUUAGCAACGCACUAGCUAUUUUUGUAAUUCACGGCACGUAUUGUUUGAUUUGCACAGUAUGUCAAUUUUAACAGUGCGGUAAUUAUACAAUCAUGCAAAAAUAUAACGACGGUGGUUGGUUGAAUAGUAUGAUCUAACGGGCGAAAAUAAUUGAAAAAAAAUAAACUUAAUGGUGGAAAACUUAAAAACAUCAAGUGCCUAGUAUUUUUACAAGCGCUAUAAUCAGUCUCUCUUUCUCUAUAUAUAUUUAUAGAAUUAGGCUAAUAUACUAUUAAUAGUUGAAUUGAAAUACUAUCAGUAACAAAUGAACUUUAUUACUUCUGUUUUUUUUUUUAAUAAUAAUUUGUAAUUUGACUAUCGGCACUAUUGAAAAGGAUAUAAACUAUUUAAACUAUCUGAAAAUUAAAUUUUAUACUUCUUGAAUAUUGUUUUCUUGUCUAUCGAGUGGACACAAAAAUGAACAGUUAAAAAUAAAUACUUUUUAAAAAUUAAUAAUAGAAAUCUUGUGAUCAAAACCAAAAUGUUAAAAAUAACCACGUAUGCAUGGUAAAAAUGUUAUAAAUAAACAUGUACAUUAUUUUAUUCAACUAUAUCAUGUGAAAGCAAUUAUUCCUCAAAGAGUUGGGGGCAUGGGAAGCAUGCAUUAAACACUAUUAUAUGUAAUGAAUUUAAACAAGCGGAGAGCACUAAAAGAUUGGGUUAAUUUCAUAUAGGUCCGUGGGUUAAUUUCAUACUGGUCCCUAUAAAUAUGGUGAAUACCAAAUAUAUUCCUACAAAGUUUAAUUUUCAUAAGUUAUUACUGCAGAAGUCCUAAUAUAUUCAGAUAUAUCACUGCCGUUAAUAUUCGUUAGAAAAAUCUAGUUAAUCACAAUUAAAAUACUUAAAUAUGAUUAAUUAAUAAUGUGAAUUGAUAAAUUUACUUUUUUUCUUCUUCCUCUCCUUCGUAUUCUCCUUUUCUCCUCAUUACUCUUCAUCUUCUUCGUCGUCGUCGUCGUCGUCGCCGUCGUGGUGCCCGCGUGGGCCAUCGUCACAGGCGCCUCUGACGGCAUUGGCCGCGCCUUCGCCUUCCGCCUCUUCCUCGUCCUCGUUGGUUGCAACCCCGAUAAGUUCUGCAAGGUCGCCGACGUCGUCGUCGUCGCCGUCCGCUCCGGCAGCCUGAAGAGGAAGAGGAAGAGGAAGAGGGAAAUGGCAAACGUGUCAACUGUUAAAAAAUUAACAGUUCUCUAACGGAUACUAGCAGGAGGGACAUAUCCGUAUACAUUAGGAUAUUUGGAAGAAUAACUUAUAAAGUUGAACUUUACAUAAAUAUAUUUGCUAUUCACCGUAUCCGCGGAGACCCGUACAAAAUUAACCUUAAAAAGAUUAGAGGCCCAACCAAAAAGAAAAUGAGAAAGGUAUAUAAAAAAAAGAAGGAAACAUCUAAAAAUGUUAACCAAAAAAAAAAAAAAAAAAGCAGAAAAAGAUGGAAGUGCCCCGAUCUUCACCAGAUCUCACGAUCUCAGCCGUGGAAAACUUCGGUAGAGUCAUGACUCGGCAGGCUGGACCAGACCUUAACGAUUGACGUGACACCUGCUUUCCGGGAUUCAUUUAUUCUAAAAUUAGCUCGCUCAAUCUUUUUAAAAUUUUGGAUCUAGUCAGCAUCAAUCAAAUGAUGUGAAUCUUAACAGACUUUAUAAGGCGCUCCGCUCUACCGACAAUAAUAAUAAGCCGAUAAGCCGCAUUUCUGUCUGCUGUAUGGUCAUGGUUCAGUCACGAUUAAUUUUAUAUUUUCAGCUGGUGAUUAAUCUUUUACAAAUCUCUAACCUCGUACAAAUCUCUUAACCUGUCAGCUUUAAUUACCGUUCAAAAUAUUGUAGUCAGAUUAAGAAAUUUAAUUCUACUAUACCUUAUAUAUAGAAUUACUUUAAAUCCUGCGGGUUUUUUAUUCUAAACAAAAAUAAAACUUUUUUAGGAUAGUUAAGCGUAACAUUUUAAACUAUAGAAUAACAAAAUGAGAAUAUAAUAAACCACGGGAGAGCAAAUUGAAGCCUACCCUUAGAUAAAAAUAAAAAAAAUUAACUAAUUAUUAUUUUUAUGCAAAUGUAGUAAAAAUUUAUGAAAAAAAUUUAUGUGAAAGAAUUUUAUCAUUUUUUAUAUAGAGAGGGUAGUAAGUCGAAAUUCAUUAAUUCAAUUUGACAAUUUCGUUUCAACUAAAAUCAUAUAUAUAUAUAUAUAUAAUUGAGCUAGAAUAUUUUUAGAAGUACCAAUCUCUUGGUGCUUCUAAGUUUUUAGUUCUUGGAUCUACUUCUUGAUUACUAAUACCUCUUGAAUCAAACACUAUUACAUCUACCACCACCUAUCACAAUUAUCCCAAUCCUCUAUCUCUCCAUCUAAAGACUAAAAAUUCAAAAGCACAACCCUUUUGAUGCUUUUGAGAGUAUUCUAGCUCAACUCUAUAUAUAUAUAUCACACCCUAAUUAAAUUUUCCAAUCACCGUUUAAUCUUUCUUUUACUCUUUUUUAUUUCAAAAAAUGAUACUCUUUUUUUUGGCACUUCUUCUCAUUGUGCUAAGUACUCGGAGGAACAAUCAGACCCAAUUAGGUAGUUAUAAGUUUUCUAGUUUCCAAUUAACAAGACAUGCAUCUCCGGCGAUGGCGGAUUAGGGAUUAAAGAUAUGGAAUCCAUGAAUUUGGCUCUUCUAACCAAAUGGUGGUGGCGCUUCUUCAAUGAGCCUAAUCUCCCUUGGUGCAAAUUAAUCAGAACUAUCUACUAUACCAUAAGAAGGCCACUGCACGAGAGCUUAGCCUUUGUCCCACACUUGCAGUGGUGGAAAGGCGUGCUCCGCUGCCAUGAGAUCUUCACAUGCGGUAUAACCUAUGAGCUAGGUGACGGACAUAACAAUAGGAUAUGGCCUGAUAUCUGAAUUGGCGAAUCUCCCCUUAGCACGCUCUUUCUGGAUAUUUUUGCGAGUAUCACAAACAAGGAUGCCUGAUUGUCCCAGUGCUGGAACGCAAAUGGGUGGCGAUGGCGGUUCAUUUGUCAUGGUUUCGCGGCGUCCCGAUCCGCCGAAAGGCGCGCUCAACUGACGGAGCUCAAAGACCUGCUUCGACACUGCUACCUACGCAACAAAUCAGACUCAUACAAAUGGCGGUGGACUUCGAAUGAACUUUUUAUUGUCAAGUCCCUCUACCGGUUCAUCACUGACGCUGGACAGUUAAACUAGACGAACAACGAAAUUUGGAGGCUGAAAAUUUCAAUCAAGGUCAAAGUCUUUACCUGGCUGCUGCUUCGGAAGAGACUACUCACAGCCGAUAGAUUGCUACGCCGGGGCAUGGUUGUAGACCAACACUACGUCUUUUGCGCUGUGCUACUUGAAAGCUGCGACCAUCUUUUCUACACUUGCGUCUUUGUUCGUUACCUACUCCUAAGUGUAGGCGGUUCACGAAUACCUAGCGACACCCCGGGCGACGUCCGCAGGCUCUAGACAGACACCUCUGCUAUUUCGGCCAAUUUGACGGGAUCAAAAGGCCUCAACCUUCUAGCCGCGAUCUGGUGGGUGGUUUGGAGGGACAGAAAUAAUUUUGUGUUCCAGGCAAUACCGACCAACGCUAGCCGCUCACUUGAACGGGUUAACCUUUUGAUGAGCAACCGGACCACGCUGCACUAAUGUGCCGCUAGUCUACUAGUUUUCUUCCCUAUCUCCCUCUCCUUGCCCCUUUUUUACUUUAUUCUUCUUGGCUUUCUUCUGGUACUUUAUUCCCUGUCUUCGAAGGCCUUAGUUGCUUCCAUCAUGUAUGCUCAGUUUAUUUUACUUACUGAAUGAAGCAAGUAGCUUGCUACCUUUUUCUCAAAUUUUUUUUUUCUAGUUUUAUUUUUACAAGAUUAAUUUAUACUAAUAAAAAAUAAAAUCAGCUAAGUUGAUUUUAAGUCAUUUGAUUUUAAUAUGACUUGAUCAAUAAUUUUCAGCCAGUUUGAUUAAAAUCAAACUGGUUUAUUGAUUUGAUGAUUGAAUCGUCGAUUCGAACGGUUUAAAACGAUUUUUUCACUUAUUUGAUUCAAAAGAUCAAAAGAAUCACUUUAUUCACUUGGUUAUAGUUGUACCGAACCGGUUAGUUCGAUCCAGUUUUAAAAUCAUUACGUUUGAGCCCUUUAGGGUGUUUGUUAUUUUAUAAAAUAGUGAAUUACUAAUUUUCAAAAAAUAAAAUUUUCUUGAAAAACACCUUUUUUAUAGUCUUUUUUUUUUCCAUAUAAAAAUCUAGAGAUAAUAUUUUCUUAAAAUAUGAAAAAAAUAAUUUUAGAUAAAUUAUCUUUUUACAGAAUCAAGCGGACAAAAAAUACUUUUCUAACGAGAAAGCAACUUUCAAAAAUAUUUUUCAAAAAAUCAAACAACUUAUUAGCUUUGUGGGUAAUAUCAAACCGCCUUCUGAAAUUAUAGAGUAAGAAACCCACAAAUAACUUCAAAAAAAAAAUUCUAUUUUUUUUAAACCUUUCGAAGUAGCAUGAUCAUUAAAUAUUAACUGUUUCUAACGUAAAUGACAAAGGACUUAAGUUGAUUCAUAUUUUCAGUUAAAUUUAUUUUUAAAAGAAACAAACGAAACCGCAUACUAUUUUUCUUUUAAAAAAAAAAGGUAUGAUCAUGCAAAUAUUUAUUUAUUUAUUUAUUUAUUUAUUUUUUUGGAAGUUGAUGAUCAUGUAUGUAUGAAAAAAAAAGGGCCCAAUUGUAAAUGAAUUAAAAGUUUAUAUUAUGGUAAUAAUAACUGCACAUAAUUUAAAGCUCAUAUAGAGUCAAAUGUGAGUCACAGAGCUACUUUACUUUUGAUUUUCUCAAAAUAAAUUAAUAUUUCACAUAGUCCACAUCAUCCUCCUCUCUACAACCUUCUAACUUUACUUUAAUCAAAAUGUGUUGUUCCCAUCAUCAUAAGUGGAAAUUAGUGGGCUUAUAUAUACACUUGGUUUCAUGCGCCAAAAGCUAGGGAAGUGAUUCUCCACAUAUUUUCAUAGAGACCCUCUCAAUUAUGAGCAAUUUGGAACCACAUCCCUCCUUUCUUUUUUUUUCUUUUUUUUUUUGUAUUGAGACUCUUUAAUAAACUCUUGAAAAUUUUUAUUUGCAUUAUCUUUUAGUUAAAUUAAAUUAUACAGGAUGUAAAUCAUAUACCCUAUCCAUUCAAAGAUUAAAAUUUACUGAAAAAAUUCAGCCCUUAAAUGAAUAGUUGUAAAAUUCAUACGUUUGUAAUACUGUAAUAGAAUGUGCAUAAAUUAUUUUUUAAAAGUUUGUUAUAAUCAAAUUUAUUUAUGGGAUAUUUAGUUUUUGUCAUUAUUUUUCUAUUUGUUUAGUUCCCAAGAGAAAUAGUGUUUUUAUUUUUCAAAUAUUUUAUCCAAAAAUAUAACUCUAGAAAAUAUUAUUAACUAUAAUUUUUUUUUGAAAAAUUAGGUUUUUGGAGUUUUUCCAGAAACCAAAUACUUAAUUAGAAAAACUUAAGGACGGCGACAAAAUAUUCAUAAAUGUUUGGUGCUAAAGUGCACUUUAUUGUCCUUGUGUUCCGUUUUGCUUUUUUUUUUUUUAUUCCCCUUCAUCAUCACGCAUAAGUAGAGACGUGGAUGGGUACGAAAUCUGAAAUUUUAUCUAAAUUUGAAUUUAAACGAAACGAAUUUAAACGAUGCUAAAUGAAUAUAAUUUUGAAUGCAAGUAAAAAAAAUAAAAUUUUGAUGAAUUUAUAUUGGAGUAUAGAUUUUGUCUAUACUCGGUCCAAAUCCGAAUCUGUAUUGAUUUUAUAUUAUAUAAUAUAUAUAAAUAUUUAAUAUUAUAUGUAAAUUUAUAUUUUUUAAAUUUAAUUUCAAUAUAAUAUUUUAAAAUAUGAUAGAGAAAAAUAAUUAUUUCGGAGUCAAAUUUUCAUAUUCAGAUUUUUGGGUUUGGAUAUAAAUUUUUAAAAUCCAUCAGAUUCGAAAUUGAAUUUGGAUUUGAGUUUCUAAAAAACUGCCCGAAUCUCGCCCGCUGACAUCCUCACACAUAUGUAGGGCCAACGGGUUGGAUUCGAGAUGGAUUUUUAAAUGCCUGAACCUGAACCUGAAUCCGACUAUUAAAGUCAAAAUCCAAAGUCGAAUCCGCAUCCGGCAGAUUUUAAAAAUCUCUAUCCAAAUUCGAACCGAUCAAAAAUCCAAAACUUGAGCCCAAAUAUUCGAAUCCGAAACAAUUAUUUCUCUUUACUAUAUUUCAAAACAUAUUAUAUUAAAUCUAAAAUUUUAAAAUAUAAAUUUAAAUAUAAUAUCAAACAUACAUAUAUAAUUAAUUUUGAUUCGGAUUCAGGUUGGAUAUAUACAAAAUUCAGAUCCGAAUUUGGAGCUGUCGAAAUUAUAUACGAAAUUAUUUCAGUUUAGUAUCGAAUAAAUUCGCUCCAUUUCUAUUUGGGUUCUAAUAAAAUUUCGUACUAUCACUACCCAUUAACAUCCCCACUACGCACAUGACAUCCACUUUCUCUCUCUCUCUCUCUCUCUCUCUCUCUCUUAAAUACACUCCCUAACAACAAUUCUUUCCCUCUCAAACUCUCUCUCUCUUUCUCUCUCACUUACUCUCUCUCUCUCUCUCUCUCUCUCUCUCCUACCCUUCUCCCCUCUCUGUUUUAGAACCUUAUUAAUUUACACCAUUACUACAACAACAACAGCAACAACAAACAACAAUAACUCCUCUCGUGUGUAUAUAUAUAUAUAUACAAGAAAUUAAAAGCCCCUGGAAUAAAAUUUAAUUUAUCCGAGAAUGGGGGAGGCGGUGGAUAAAGAUCCCUCCUUAGAAGCCGUCGUUAAAGAGGCCGUGGAUUUGGUAUUCCUCUUCUUCUUCUUCUUCAUCACUUCAUCAUCUUAGUAGAAGGGUGUUAAAUUCAAUUUCAAAUUUCAAAUUUCAAAUUUCAAAUUUCAAAUUUCAAAAUUCAGAUUUGAGAUUUUUAGGUUUUUUUUUUUUAAAAAAAACAAAAAUCUGUCUGGCAGGAGAACAUUCCGUUGGAGGAGGUGUUCGAGAACCUUCGAUGCGGCCGCGGCGGGCUGACGUCGGCGCAGGCCCAGCAGCGCCUCGCCAUCUUCGGCCCCAACAAGCUCGAGGAGAAGGAGGUCUGCUUUUUUUUUUUUUUUUUUUUUUUUAUUUCGGUAACAAACUUAUCGAACUUACCUGAAAUAUCGACCGUAAAAUUUUGAUUUUACUAUCCAAUCUUUCAAUUUAUUUGAUUUGAACUUUAAAUUUAAACUAAUUACUUUAAUAAUGAAUUUAUAAUUACUAACUAAAAUCUGUAAAUAUAAAUGAAAAAUUCAAAAUUUGAAGUCAAAAUAUCGCCGACGGACUUAAAUCAAACAAGUUGAUAGCUAUAUAUUUUUUACUUUCUCUUUUUUAACAUUUGGUAAACUUCAAUUUACCCUGUAUUUUUUUUUUGACUUUGCUAUCAUGUGGUUCAAUCAAAAAGUUGCACUUAACUAUCUUAUAGUUUUAUUUUCGUUUCAACACAAAAAAAAAAAAAAAUCUAUCGUUAAAUAGGAUAGUUUAGUAAAAUUUUUAAAAAACCGCGAAGGUGGUACCUUGUUCAACAAUGGGUUUUUAUAGUGAAAUAAAAAUAAAGUUAUAGGGUAUUUAAGUGUAACUUUUUGAAUCACUGGGUUGCAAAGUGAAUAUGACCUAUACCAAGGGGGCAAAUUGAAGUUUACUCAUUUUAUUUUUGUUAGAAAAAAAAAAGAGGGGAAGGGCUUGGGUAGGAAGAUAUGGAGGGAAUCCUCUAGUUUGGUAUUGCAGUUAGGGAUGUCAAUGGGUACGGAUAUUCAAAAUUUUAUCCGAAUCUGAACCUGAAUGGAGCGGAUUUACCCGAUGCUAAACGGAUAUGGUUUCGAACAUAAAUAUCAAAAAUAAAAAUCUGACGGAUAUGAAUUCAGAUAUGGAUUUUGACUCUACCCGACCCGAACCCGAACCUGAACCCAAUCCGAACCCAAAUUUAUUUUACAUUAUAUAUAAUAUGUAUAUAAAAAUUUGAUGUUAUAUUUGAAUUUGUAUUUUAAAAAUUUAGAUUUAAUGUAAUAUUAUUUUGAAAUAUUGAAAAGAGAAAUGAUUGUUUCGGGUUCAGGUUUGAGUUUCGGAUUUUUGGUCCAGUUUGGGUUUGGAUAUGAAUUUUUAAAAUUUGUCGGGUUUGGGUUCGGAUUCGGGUUUUGGGUUUGGAGUCGGAGUUGGGUUCGGGUUUUUGAAAAUCCGCCCCGAAUCGGACCCGUUGACAUCCUAACUGCGGUCUUGAAAAAAAGAAAAAAAAAAUCAAAAGCGCUUUCUAUCUUUCUACCACAACGGGAGCCGGAAUUUUAUAUGCUUUUGGCUCCGCAAGCCCGAACUAGGCCUGUAUUAUUUUUGUUUUUUUUAUUUGAAUUGUUUGGGUUGGUUUAGUUGAUAAUUUGUUAAAUUUAAUGGCUCUGUAAUCUUAUAAAAUAACGAGAAAAAUGUGUGGAGACACCCUCAAUUAGAGGCCAUUAUGAAAUGUGCCCCUCAAUUUUAUGUCUCUUGAUUAACAUUUCCUCAAAUUUUAACCUUUUUUGGGCAUUAAGUGGUGUCAAUCAAACGUAAGUAAAGUUCAGAGACCUAUUUCAAAAUCGCCUAUAGUUGACGUGUUCUUAGUACAAUUUUUUAUUUUUUCUUUUUGGCGAAUUAUGCAAAAAAGGAUCUAGUGGAUGUAUGAAUUGUUAGUUUCAGGAGAAUGAAUUGUGGUGUGUUUGUGUUUGCUGCAGGAGAGCAAAAUUUUGAAGUUCUUAGGGUUCAUGUGGAACCCUCUGUCUUGGGUUAUGGAGGCUGCGGCAAUCAUGGCCAUCGCCCUCGCCAAUGGAGGAGUAAGACCCCGAACGAGACCGCAAAAUAUCCAUUCAUUUUGUUUCUCCUUUUUGGAAAACGCAAAUAUGUACAUUCCUGCUAAGUUUGCAAAAAAUUGCAUUUUUCCUUAAAUUUUUAGUAAUCUGAUAUUAGACUAAACAUUUAAAAAAUUUACUAAUGUGUGACUCUUUAAGUUGACUAUUAAAAAAAAACAACUUUUCUUGUAAAGAUGGUUAUUUUACCCUUGAAAAACAUUUCUUUUGAAAAGCUUUUACCACAUCUGUUGUCAUGUCACACGAACGUUGAAUCCUAAACCCUUUAAAAACUCUUCAAAAGAUAAUUUUUCGAAGUCAUAACGGUCGUACCAGUGAAAUACUAGUGGUUAACUGAAGUCGACAAAUGGAGACGAAUUUUCAAAGUUUUCAAAUUUAGAGGCAUGUAUUUGAUAACUCAAAACUUUUGAGAGACAAAUGCCAAUGCAACUGCUUUGCAAGAAUAUGUUGACAAUUUGCUCCCCUUUCUUUGUUCUAUCAAUUUUCGCAAUAUAAUUUGCUUGAAAAGUUUGAUUACUUCUUAUUGAGGGAAUAGUUUUUGAGUUUUGAUAUUUGGUGUUCUUUAAAUCAGGGGAAGCCACCAGACUGGCAAGACUUUGUGGGUAUUAUUACUCUCCUUGUGAUCAACUCGACAAUCAGCUUCAUCGAGGAGAACAAUGCUGGCAAUGCAGCUGCGGCCCUCAUGGCUCGGCUCGCUCCCAAAGCAAAGGUUUUUAACACUUUACUUUCCACUUCUCAUUCUUGAAUUUUGAUUUACUCAAAAGUCCUCCUCUUGUGUUCUGAACAAAUCUUAGCCAAAGUCAUAGAUUGCAGGAAUAAGUAGCAAAGAUUUUUGCAAACCAAAUCCAUUUAAACCCAAAAAAAUAAACAAAUCUUGAUAAUUUGAUCUUUGUUCCAAAUUGCUACUUUUAAUGCAGGUUCUUAGAGAUGGGCGGUGGAAUGAGGAGGAAGCAGCCAUCCUUGUUCCUGGUGACAUUAUAAGCAUCAAACUCGGAGAUAUCAUCCCUGCCGAUGCUCGUCUUCUUGAGGGCGAUCCGUUGAAGAUCGAUCAAGUAUUUUCCUUCAUUACUUUCAUCCAUAAAUUUAUGGUUUCAACAUCUUUUGCUUUGAAUAACUCCGCGGUUUCUCGCUCUCUUUGAUAUCUUUUUGUAGUCUGCUCUUACUGGAGAGUCAUUGCCGGUCACCAAAGGACCUGGUGAUGGUGUCUAUUCUGGUUCGACAUGCAAGCAGGGCGAGAUUGAAGCUGUAGUAAUUGCCACUGGUGUUCAUACUUUCUUUGGAAAGGCCGCACAUCUUGUCGACUCCACCAACCAAGUUGGUCAUUUCCAAAAGGCAAGCUAGCGAAAUCUUUUCCAUUGCCUGUUUCCUCCUUUGAAUUUUGAAUUCUUUCUUUUAUUUAUUAUUUAUUUAUUUUUGGCUUUCAGGUCUUGACGGCUAUUGGGAACUUCUGUAUAUGUUCGAUUGCAAUAGGAAUGUUUGUGGAGAUUAUAGUUAUGUAUCCUAUUCAGCACAGAGCCUAUCGUCCGGGAAUCGACAAUCUAUUGGUUCUUCUCAUUGGAGGGAUUCCUAUAGCUAUGCCCACUGUUUUGUCCGUCACAAUGGCGAUUGGGUCCCACCGCUUAGCUCAGCAGGUUUGCUUGGCCUUGUAUUUACAUUCCAUAUCAUUCUUUUUAAUUUGUUUAUGAGGGUAAAUGUGAUUUUUUCUGGGAUUCCAAUAACAAUUUGAAAUGAGUUCCGCUAAUUGUUUGGCCUUGUCGGAGGUUCUGCAGAAUUGACUUUUGAAUAGAAUUGUUCGAAGAAGCAUUGAUAGCUUAGUAGUCUUCUCGAUAUCUUUCUAGUUUAGCAGAAGCAAAAGUUUCAAGCUAGAGCUCUAUGCAGAAACUUUCUGCUUUCUAGAGUAGAGAAGCUAUUGAGAAACCAGGUCAAAUAGGCACUAAAUUUCAUGCCUUGAGUUGUUUAUUGGUUUGUGUAGGGAGCUAUCACAAAACGAAUGACCGCAAUUGAAGAGAUGGCCGGCAUGGAUGUUCUAUGCAGUGAUAAAACUGGAACAUUGACUCUAAAUAAGCUUACCGUGGACAAGAACCUCAUCGAGGUUAGGUUUUACUGGUCUUUUUCUCUAGUAUCCUUUGAAUGCCUUUUCACUUUUUCUUUGGCACAUGCAUCCUAAUAAGUGAAUUUCCCAGGUUUUUGCAAAAGGUGUAACUCAAGAUACAGUAAUCCUUAUGGCUGCUAGAGCCUCGCGACUUGAAAACCAAGAUGCCAUAGACACGGCCAUAGUUGGGAUGCUAGCGGACCCAAAAGAGGUAAUUGUGGCUUUUUAUAUUCUUUAUGCUACCUUUGUAAGAUCCAUACUUCGCACCUACUUGUUAAUAUUGUAGAAUUUUAGCACUUAUUUUAAGUUGGUGAGUCAUCCUAUUUGAGGGUAAGUUGAUUUUGUUUUAUAAUUAGUUUUGCAGAAAGGGAAAUUUCUGUAAAUACGAGGACAUACAGAUACGAAACUAAUAUUCUAAUGCGGGUUAAUGAAAAUUUUCACAUUUUGCAUACACAUAAGCAGAAAAUUUUCUUGGGGGUAUAAGUACAUAAAUAUCUUGUUUAAUAUUUCCUCUUAAUCGUUAUGUUUUAAAGGCACGGGCUGGCAUUCAAGAAGUUCACUUUCUGCCAUUUAACCCAACUGACAAAAGAACUGCUUUGACUUACAUCGACAGUGACGGAAAAAUGCAUCGUGUCAGCAAAGGUGCACCGGAACAGGUAUUUAUAUCUUAAACAUCUGAAUAUCGUUUCACUGGAUCAUUUUUGCACAUGAUUUUCUCUCUCUCGUUCUAACUUUAUUGGUUAUUCUAAUUAAACUGCAGAUUCUCAACCUCGCACAUAAUAAGUCAGAAAUAGAGCGUAGAGUCCAUGCGGUGAUUGACAAGUUUGCGGAGCGUGGGCUUCGCUCACUUGCUGUAGCUUAUCAGGUGGGAAUUUCGUUAGCCCAGUCAUUCAUCUGCUUCUACUUUUUCUGGUGUAGCUGCCAUUAAGUUAGUGCAGCUUUUCCUGGCUUCUGCGAAGAAAAGACUGGAGCUUAUGCUGUGGUCGGAAGCUGAGAUGAGCUUCUGAGCCCCAAAACCAUAGGCUUCAAUUACAAACUUCUGUUUUUGUUGCAGUGGGAAGAAGCCUUUGGAAGUGAUGUAAGUGAAAAGGCUGUUAGUGCUUUUUCGAACAGUUAUUACGUGACAACACUUUUUCGCAAAAACUCCAGCCAAGCCAUACAAACUCGUGCAUUUGAUUUGUGAUUCCUAUUAUGUUGGUGUUUUCAGAUUUUCUCCUAAUGCGCAGGAAGUUCCGGAAGGAAAGAAAGAGAGUCCGGGAAGCCCAUGGCAAUUCAUCGGCAUCCUGCCACUAUUUGAUCCCCCCCGACAUGAUAGUGCGGAAACAAUUAGGAGGGCUCUCAACCUUGGUGUCAAUGUAAAGAUGAUUACAGGUCUAGUUUCUCUUAUCUAAAAAUCUUUUAUCUGAUUUUUAUUUUCAAAGGUGAUUUUGAUUCGUUUAAGUUACUGCUAUGUAAUGAGCUGAACCAGAAUAUCAACUAAUAAUCUUAGUAACUUCUAGUUUGAAGUGAGUUUUGAGCAUUUGGUUCAUAGUAUAUUUGCAUUUAUUAGACCUUGAGGAUCAAUUUCAUCAUUCUGAAUUUCUGAUAUCAAAAUAUCAGACCUCGAAGAUCAAUUAAAUAUUUUGUUUGCCCUAUCUCAUCAUGUAAUGACCCUUGAUAAAAUCAUAGAUUGUACUUUUGCUUAGGUUCUGUUCGACGGAAAACAUGACGAUAUGGAUGUUAUGUGGAUAUAUUCAAAUGACAAAGUGCCGAAUGUAUUGUGGACUGAUUUUUGUCAUGCUAGCUCUGCAUACAUUUGAUUAAUUUUCAGUUCCAUUUACUUACUGAUUCUGUCUAUUUAUCUCCCAAUGGUUUUACAUUGGAAGUUUCUUACUUGACAAUUAAAUUACUUAAUCUGGUAAUAAGUACUGGGGCUUUGUAAUAUUGCAUCAGGUGAUCAACUUGCUAUCGCCAAGGAAACAGGCCGUCGUUUGGGGAUGGGUACAAACAUGUAUCCAUCUUCUGCUUUACUGGGCCAGAACAAGGACGAGUCAAUAGCCGCUUUGCCAGUUGACGAACUAAUAGAGAAGGCUGAUGGUUUUGCUGGCGUAUUUCCAGGUUUUUCAUUCUUGUUCUUCCUUUUUCCCUUCUUUUCCCUCUUUUGUUUUCUUCGCAUAUAUACCCCUAAAAGUUUGUGUAUGAUUGCAUUUUCAAUCACAGGGUUGAUCAUUUUUUCACUCUUCACUUGGUUCAUCUAAUAGGAAUCUAAUUCUCAUCGUGUUUCUUCUUCUAAUCCUAGAGCAUAAGUAUGAGAUUGUCAAGCGAUUGCAAGCGAGGAAGCAUAUUUGUGGAAUGACUGGCGACGGAGUAAAUGAUGCUCCUGCUCUAAAGAAAGCCGAUAUUGGCAUAGCAGUUGCGGAUGCGACUGACGCUGCUCGCGGUGCUUCUGAUAUUGUUCUUACUGAACCUGGCCUGAGCGUGAUUAUCAGCGCUGUGUUAACUAGUCGUGCAAUUUUUCAAAGAAUGAAGAACUACACUGUAAGUUAAUACCAAUGAAUCACUAUCACCAACAACUCUCCUUUUGUUUUGCUUAAUUUGUUCCAUUGCGGUGGUUUCGUUUGUUGCAGAUCUAUGCAGUCUCCGUUACCAUCCGUAUUGUGGUAUGUUUCUUGGCCUUUGAAAUUUGACCACCUAUAUUUCAAGUAAUGUAUUAGAAAUUGCUUUUCUUUUUCCUUGGGACUUACUGAGACAAUGUGAUGAUUCACUGGAAUGUUUAAUCAUAAUAUUACACACCAAUUAAUCGCGAAUAGGAUCACUAUGGUCUUAAUAUGAGGCUUUGAAACCAUUUAGUUUUAAUUCAUGAGCGAAAGUUUCUGUCAAUUUCCUCGUUUUUUAUGAACUUUUAAUAGAAAUCCUGCUGAGGAUUGAUGUGAUAUAUAUUUUUUUUUACAUCCUUAUUGCAUCAGCUUGGGUUUAUGCUUCUCGCUCUGAUAUGGAAGUUCGACUUUCCUCCAUUUAUGGUCCUCAUAAUUGCAAUUCUGAAUGAUGGUAUUAUUUUUCGCCUUCGAAGUCUUUUGAGUUUUAUCGUGACCUUUCUUUUCUCUCUUUUUUUUCGUUUCAUAUGAAGCUCUUUUUUAUUGUUUUAUUUCUUUUCCUUUUUUCUCGGCAUGAGCAGGUACUAUAAUGACUAUAUCGAAGGACAGGGUGAAACCAUCUCCUCAUCCUGAUAGUUGGAAGUUGGCCGAGAUUUUCACAACUGGAAUUAUUCUUGGCGGUUACUUGGCGGUGAUGACGGUCAUUUUCUUCUGGGCUGCGUAUCAGACUGAUUUCUUCCCGGUACCCACCUUGACAUAUUUGAAUAAUCAAGACUGUAAAACAUUUGCAAGAUAAAAUCUUUAUAAAUAUAUUUAACUGGAAGGUCACUUCUGAAACCACUGGUUUUAAAGCUUGUUUGAGAAACUUCUACGACAAUUUUACAUCGAGGCAAAAAGAAACAGCUUAAUGUUGGAGCUGAUUCUUUUUAAGAUCCGCUAAGCCCGCAUGGGCUUCGAGAUCAAGUCGAAAGUUGUUGAGUAGAGAUAAUUGUUCUAAAAAUCUGGCGGAACAUGCUGUGAAGAGUGGAAACUCAUUGUUUUCCUAACCAUUGUUUUUUUUCCCCCUCUUCAGCGGGUAUUCAAGGUCGAAAGCCUUGAGAAAACAGCCCAGGAUGACUUCCGAAAGCUCGCCUCCGCAGUUUACCUGCAAGUUAGCACCAUUAGUCAGGCCCUUAUCUUCGUCACACGAUCCCGCAGUUGGUCGUUUGUCGAGCGCCCUGGUUUGCUUCUCGUCACUGCUUUCUUGGUUGCUCAGCUGGUGAGUUUCUCGACUUUGUUCUUUGUUUUUUGGUUGCAUAUAUGCCCUGGUAAAUAUUCGAAAUUGCAUAAUACCACUGUAAAAUUGGUAUGUGCAUUCUUGCUUAAUUGUGAAUGUUGCCCUGCUGGAGGUAUAUAUGAAGAAACGGUAAGUGCAAGGGUUCGUAUGUGAAGAGAAAAUAAAGUUUCUGAAUAGCAUAUGAAAAUUCGGAUUUUAUGGAUUUAUAUGUAAAUAGAUAAUUUUGUCUGUUUUACUGUUCGAUAACAUCCAUGCCUACAUUCUCCGCAUGCACUGUUGCAGAUUGCUACGGUGAUCACUGUUUACGCCAACUGGGGGUUUGCUGCGAUCGAGGGGAUUGGAUGGGGCUGGGCCGGUGUUAUUUGGCUUUAUAAUCUCGUCUUCUACUUCCCUCUCGAUAUCAUCAAGUUCCUAAUCCGAUACGCUCUCAGCGGGAAGGCGUGGGAUCUCGUCAUCGAGCAAAGGGUAAUUACCGCACAAAUUUAUUAUCAAUAGUAUCUGAAGUUUGAUCUCAACUUUAGCAACAUUCUCAGAGUUUCAAUUUUAACAAUUUAAUCUCUGAAGUUUGUGUCGCGCCGUGUCGUUACUUUGCUGAAUUGCUGAUGCCGGUGUUGUGUCUUUAUUCAGUUAUUGGAAAAAACAAAGGGCUCAAUUGUUUCUUGAGAUGAACUUUAGUGACCAAAUUGUUUAGAUUGAAGCUCAAAGACAUAAUUGAAACCGAGAUCAAACCUGAGGGACUAAAUUGAUACUUAAUACACAUUAAUGCUGCCGAUAUACGCUGCUAAUGCAUUACUGAUGUGGAUUAAUCUCUUAAUGCAGAUUGCUUUUACGAGGAAGAAAGAUUUCGGCAAGGAAGAGAGGGCACGCAAGUGGGCGCAUGCACAGAGAACGCUGCACGGGCUGCAGCCACCCGACACCAAAAUGUUCAGUGAUCGUGCGAGCUUCGCGGACCUCAAUCAGAUGGCUGAAGAGGCCAGGAGGCGAGCCGAGAUUGCAAGGUACGAGAACCUGACCUUACUAAGAUAAAGAGCCCCGACAUGGAGCUUUUGCAGAAGUUCUCUCGGUGGCUCGUAGCUGCAGUAGAAGCAGAAGCGCUCUAAAGUUGGAGAUUGUGCUUUUGCAGUCCAAAAGCUCAUUUUUAGCUUCUCAUCAAUCAUCACAGUGAAAGCUCCAUAAAUUUUGUUUGCGAAAUGCCUAGUUUCUAGGAGCUUCUACUUUCGGAGCAGAAAAACUUUCUGAAAGCUAACAUGAUAUAUAUUUUUGUACGGUGGGUUUUUCGUACUGAAUUUGGCACCGCCGAUUCUCGAUAGCUUUGUUUGAACAUUAACCUCCGUUCUGGGUCGACUAACACUCUCAUAAUGCUACUUUGCGAUUCGCAGGCUUCGGGAAUUACAUACACUGAAAGGGCAUGUGGAGUCUGUUGUGAGGCUGAAGGGCUUGGACAUACAAACUAUCCAGCAAUCCUACACCGUCUGAUCGAGCAUCAGCCUCUGGAUUCAAGUAUAAGCAUAUCUGAUAGAUUAAAGAGAAUUAUGGAACUAAUCUCUCUCUCUCUCUCUCUCUCUCUUAUCUACAUUGACAACAUGGUUGACAUGAACUACAUAGCAUAUGGAAAUAGCUAACUAUGCUUUUAAGCCUUGUUAUUCACAAGUUGUAGACACUGUAAUACGUAGGGAAAUCACAGAUGAUAGAAUAAUUUCUAUGAGUUUAUUUGGCAGCAAAAAUUGAAAAUGUGAUAGUAGUUGGUUUUCAAAAUCUGAUUCUGAGAAUCAGAUUUCUGAUUUCAAAAAUUCAAAAUCAGAAGCAGUUAAAUCUGUAUCUUAAAAUUUGAUUCUAAUUUUGAACUCAAAUUUCAAGUUAAGAUUAUAAUUUUAAAUUUUUUAUUUUAUAUUUGAUUUUAAAUUUAAGUUUAGAUUUUAAAUCUCAAAUUUUAAAUUUUAAAUUUUAAAUUUUAAAUUUUAAAUUUUAAAUUUUAAAUUUUAAAAUGUUAAAUUUUAAAUUUAAGAUAAAUUUAAAUUUUGGCAUUUGAAAUUUGAAAUUUAUUAUUUUGACAUUCUAAAGUUUAAAUUUGAAUUUUAGUUUUAAAAUUUUAAAUUUUAAGUUUUCAUUUUCAAAUUUGAAAUUUAAAAUUUAAGUUUCAUAUUUUAAAAUUUUAAAUUUAUAAUUUAUAAUUCAUAAUUUAAAAUUUUAAACUUUUCAAUUUUAAAUUUACAUUUUAAAUGCAAAUAUCGAUUUUUUUUUUAAAUUUUAGUUCAAAUUUUAAAUUCAAAAUUUUUAAUUUUUAAAGUCAAAUUCAAAAUUCAAAAUAAAACUUAGCAGAAAAAAUUUAUUAUAUGCAAGCAACAAAAAUAUUUUUGCCAACCAGCUUUAUAAAAUUAUUUCAGAAAAAUAAUUUUCUUGUUAGACUCAGCAAAAUGCUUUACAAUUUUUAAUCAAAAUUAAUUGUCCAAACCAAAUAAUAAUUCUGCAAAAACUACUUUUUCAGAAUUUAGGCCAAACAGCCCCAUAGUAUUGUCGACCAGUUUCGUACCAGAAUUCGAGUUCAAGAGCAGGUUCAAAACCAAUUUCUAACAAAUCCUGACCUGAUCCAAAUCUGAGCUUUCACAAUGCCGGCAAAGCAGUAACCAGAAGAGCAACCAUAGUGCAACCAAGCACAAACAGAAAGACACACAGAACCCGCGAAAGCUUUUUAUCAGAACUGAGAAAGAAAUCCGCAUGAAAAGCACGACACAACAAGGUUCUUAUGCUACAUUUCCUGAUUCAGCAAAUCAGCUGGAAAACCCCUCAAAAUUUGAGUCUGCAACAUGCAGAUAUCCCAGAUCAUUCAUUCAACUCUAGCAGUAACUGAGAUGACCGAGAUUUAGUCCUGAUAAGAGAUUUGUUAACCACAAGGUUCAAGUUUGGCGCAUGGAGAGAAAAGUACGAGUUCCUGCUCACGCACGUUUGAAAUUUGAGUAGCUAAACCACUAAGUCACUAAGUAGCUGCUAGAUAUAUGCGCAAUGCUAACUCAUCAACAUCAUUAUUGGAUGUGUUUUGUUAUGCACUCGGCUCACAGAAAACUUAAGUGAUUGUUCAUCUUCUAAGACUGCACCUACUGUUGCAGAUCAUAUAUGCAAAACACAACAACACUGAUCAGCAAGCUAAAACACCCAAAAUUCAACAUAUAAACAGGCCAAAACAUUUAAAAUAGAACAGAAUAACCUACCGAGAUCCAUUGUGAGACGCAGUCCGAAUACAAUCACCAAAAUUGCAUCUCCCUGAAUCUUUAACCUAAUGACAACUCUCUACAAUAAAUGCAUGCGCUCGACAAAAGAAUUCAUCAGCCACCGAUUAAGAGACUCGCCGCAACCCACAAAGCACCCUGAAUUGCCAUUUUCCAUAAAGAACGGAAACCCAAAGAGGCGAAGCAGUUCCUGAACUGAUCUGCGAACCAUCGACGUGCCCGUAACUCUACUUCGCCUCCCCCACCCCGUUACAAUAUCAAUCCUUUGAAACCCCAUCCCAGAAACCAUUAACUGCUUCUGAAACCAAGCUAAUGUUCUCGAUAAAGCAGUAACCGCAGUCCCCUCGGACAUCAAAUGAAGGUUUAUAAGCCAAUAAGAAGAGCUUUUCUCUCGCACUGAAUCUGGGUAAACAUUCCUCUCGGCAGCCACUUCCCACACAAAGCCGGCUUCUUCCUUUAGCCCUGAUUUGUGGAGGAAGUCGAUAACAGAGUCCACGAGCCCCCUCUUACUCUCCCUAUCCUCACUAUGCAUCAAAUCAAAGAAAUAACUGGCAUGGCUCUUUAUAUUCCAGCCGCCCGGCUCGGCAUCGGGCAAGUGAAGAAGAAACGUAUGGGCUGGGUGGCCUGUUAUCGCCAUGAGCUGACCACAUAGGCCCAUUUGUUCGCGGGUCUCAGUGCAACAGCUAAGAAGGAGAGUAUAGGUUUGAAGAGAAGGAACAAGCCCUAAACCGAGCAUUGUUUCAAGCACAUGGUAAGCAUCGGCAAACCGGUUGGCUCUGAGGAAGGUGCUCAAUAAGGAAUUGCAUGUUGGAACAUUGGGCCGGAGGCCCGCAUCAAGCAUAGCCCGAUACCAGGUUCGAGCUUUCUCAACGUUCCCAGCUUUACCCCACAAAUCCACUAACAGGCCGUACGCAGGCUCGUCAGGAACCCAGUCUCGCCUCAUCUCAAGAAAGACGGACUCCGCCUCGUCAAGAUGGCCGCACUGGCCGAGAACCUCCAUGACAAUGCUAUAGGUUAUCUUAUCGGGCCGAAAGCCUGCAGCCUGCAUGUCUCUAUAUAGCUUCACGACGCUUUGGUAAUUCCUCGCCUUCGCUUGAAGAGCGAUCAUAAUGUUAUAAGUCACCAAAUUAGGAACACAACCACGGUCGAUCAUCUCGCAGAAGAGCUUAUAAGCUGCAGCAAGAUGCCCAGCUUUUCCAAGGCAAUUCACCAUCACACUAUAAGUAAAAGUAUCUGGGGAAAGGCCCAUUUCCUGCAUUCUUCUAUACAAAUCCAUAGCAAUAUCUAAAUAUCCGGCUUUUGCAUGGAUAUCAAUAAGUGUGCAAUAAGUAACUCUAUCAGGCUCGUAUCCGGCUUCUUGCAUUUCCUCGAACACUUUAACGGCUUCAUUAAUGUAAUUAGCACGGCCAUAUGCGUGGAUUAGACGGUUGUAAGUUACCACAGUUGGUUGAAACCCAUCUCUGAUCAUCUCUUCCAGAAGCUUUCUCAUAGCACCAAAUUGCCUCGAUUGCCCAAGAAUUCCGAUCAUGGUAGUAUAAGUAUGAUCAUCAUGCCUGAAGCCAGGUUGGGCUUUUAACCACCUAAAGAAACCUAGAGCAAUAGAAUGGUCACGGAGCAAUUUAAGCACUUGAUUCGCUUGAAACGGGUCCAACUUGGAAUGGAGAUUGUUCAAAGCCUGUUCUGUUCCUGGACCCCAUUUUGCCAGCUGCAGUGUGUGGUAAUACUGCUCGACUGUGCGAACCGUGUUCACACUUCUUGUAGGAUUUCGAGACUUACUGAUAGAGCUAAAAUUUCCUGCAGUACUGGAAAGCACUUUCUUGUCCGAGAAGCCCAUUGAGUUGUCUUCUGAAAUGACACUACCUGAAUGAAAUUUCGCUUUUUGAUGAAGAGACUGCCUCUGAUUCUUUGCUUGGGUUUUAAAAGUCCCAGAAGUACUCUGAUUGGCUUUCACAUAAACACCCCUUGAACUUCGAUCCCCAAACUCGCUUUGCAAAUCUGGAUUUGAAUUUGAAUUUGAAUUUGAAUUUGAAUCAGAAGUCGCCACGAUGUUAUUAGAUGAGUUUGGCUGACCUUUGGAAUUGUUUGAUUUGUUGGGCUUGACAUACUGUCCAGUAAUUGGCUUAGAAGAAUGAAGAAUACUGCUUUGAGAAGCUUGAUCCCCAGCUAGAACAUAAGAGCUUCUGCUUUCGGAAAAGCCCGGUUUCAAAGUUGAUGAAGAGGAAAUAAUAUGUGGGGCAACUGAAGGCAGGUAGCUCGAGCUUCGAUGGUUAAUGGGUCCGAUUGCAUUGGCUACGUGGGGACGGGCAGCUUGUGGAGGAGUUUCAGCUACUGAUACAUUGGCUUUCUUUUGCUGAGAAGUGGUUUUUGACAACUGCCUUUUAGAAACACAGGUUUCAUCUUCAGAGCCAGUGCAUGAAGCUCCAUCUGAGCUUCCGCUCCGUGGACCACUGAGAUAGAAGGAUCGCGCACACUGAGUGAGAGUGCUGAGUUGCUUUGUUCUCAACAUUAUCUGCAAUAUAUUAACACCGAGUUAUGAGCCAGAAGAGCUUGAAGGGUGGAGCUUUUAAGCUGUAUAUAUGAGCCCUUUACCAUUAAAAAUUCCAUAAGGAUAGAUGAAACAAAUAUAACAAUAAGUGUCUAUAGCGCGGAACAUCAAGGACAAAAGUUUAAGAAAACAUAUAAGCAAAGUUAAACAACUAAAUGAAUGGCAGAGAUCAUAGAAGUAUUUUUCAAUUUCUAAUAUCCUAAAUUGAGAAAAUUUUUGCUACCUGCCAAUAGUUUUCUUUUAUAAAAAAACUUCGGGUGAUAAGGAACACAAGAAAGACCAACAUAGUAUGCCCAAAGUAGGCAAUAAAAAGAACACUGAACAGUGAUGCAUUAUUACAUCAUAUAACUGUGAGUUGAGCAAUGAGGAUGUAAUUACAGUGCCUCAUGAUAAUAAGAUGAGAACUAUACCAAUUAACACUCAAAACGAGGAAGAUUUUGCUAAAGAAAGCCCAGCCACAAACUUUUACUUCAUCAACUCACGACAGGUGCUAGGUCCAGAACAACCAUAUGAUAUGAAGUGGCUAUCGUGAAAUUCAAGCAAAACUAGCAGCUAAUCAUCAAUUUACAAUAGGUGAAUGCACACAGCGCUUACUGGAAUAACAGAGGAUAUUGAAAUAGGUACCUAAACUUUAUAUUGAAUUUACUACCAAAACUUCCAGUAUAUGUUUGAUUUAAGCACCUCUCCAACAAAGCAAAUGGUAUCUUUAACUCAUCUUUAGGUACUUCGUAACCUAAUUAAAUAUUCCCUCACUUUAUGAAUAUUCUGUAACAUUUUUGAGCUAAACUAUUUCUGACCAAACUUGAUGGAAGAUUUUAAAGUCAAAAGUAAUGACUAAUGAGAGAUAAUGUAGUUAUUUUCCCAUUUCAAAAUUCCCCAUUGUUCAGGUGAGGUCUGUAUUUCUGUACCAUUAAAAUAAGUACAUGGAUUGACAAGGAUGGUUCAAACUCACAAAUACCCAAGUAACUUGAAUUUAACCCAAUAAAAACAAGAUGAAGACCCAAACCAGUUUAAAGGCUGUUGCUGUUUUAAAUCUCCCUGUUACCAAUCAGCUAAAAAAUGUAGGGAUAGGGGCUUUUCAAACAUUAAUUCAGACAGCAAAAAUGUAGGGAUAGGAGCUCUUCAUUGACUGCAUUACACAGAACUCUCUUUACAAAUCAACAGGAACAAGCACAAAAAAAAAAACCCAAAUCUUCUUUAGGUGCUAUCUAAAUUCUGCAUUUUUCCUUUUUUGCACAUUAGAGGGUAAUGACAAUGGUUCAAUUAGACUAUCAUAACCUAAACAUAUAUCCCUUAGGUUGCUAUAUCUUCUUUGUAGAGUACACAAACUUCGUGCAAAACUUAGAAGAUUAUAUUUAUAUUGAAUCCAGUACCGAAAACAAAGUACUUGAAUAGAUUACAAUAUAUGACCUGAGAAAACGUUAAAGGAAAACAUACCCUUCAAGGGUACAAAUGAUGAUAAUGAUAAUAGUGAGGAAAUGAUAAUCAUGACAACACAUGCAGUGAAAUUCACAGUCGGCUGAUCUAAUACUGCACUCUACUUCUAUUAGAAUUCUCUAUUUCUAUUAACUGCACUUCGGACAAAAAAGUAUUUAUAGACUUCCUUUGGACUUUGGAGAAGAGAAGCAUCCGUUUUCAGCCAAAGGAAUUGAAAUAAUAAAAGGACUAAAAAUUUAACUAUCAUAAACUGACAUUUUAGCUAAAAAGACAGGUUUAUUUGUUACUUGCCAACUGACUUGAGAAAUAUACAACUGAAAAUAGUACAUACUGAUAGUGCAAUACGUUCCUAAGGAAUUCUGAGCUAGAUCUUCAGCUGCCAAUAAAUUCCAUGUGCUCCCCCAUGGGCAGACCUGGAACAAAACAUUGAUAAUAAUUAAUAACAAAUAAUUGGGCUAAGUGCUAUUUCCAAAUAAUAACAUAGGCACGUGGUUAUUAUCUAGAGAAAAGGAAUAUGCAUAUUUCUUCAAGCAUGCAAACCAUUUUACAAAGAGAAAAUGCACCAUUUCUUUUAACUCCUUAGUUAAAAGAAACUUAUGGAAGGUCAACAAUUAAAACUCAGAAAAAUUAUUUGAGAGAGUUACACAUGCAUAUCUAGUAAUGCUAGCGGUUAUCUAGCCAGAUGUUGUGAGUAAUAGCAUAUUUUCCAUUUCUAUUCAUUCCUAUGUAAUGAAUCAGGAUAUAAAACUCGACAAGGUAAUUGAAUUCGUAUUCUACUAUCAUAGGAGUAUAUGCAUAACUUGCAAAACUAUCAAAGUUUUUUUCAAUCAGAUAUUACAGUAGCCAAAUAAAAGAUGUACUCAACUUUAUUUUCUUUUAAGGGAUUUCAUACUACUUAAGUCCUACCCAAGUCCUGGAAAUAACUAAAACAAACAGUAAACUACUGCUAAGACAUAAAACAGCCGCUUGCCCGACCCAAUGAGAAAAGAACAAACUUUCCUGGUCACCUCGAUAUCAUUAUGGAAAAUUUAUUUCAAAGAACAUGUUCUUUUGCUAGUUUUUUUUUCCUAAGCACUUCAAAAAAGGAAUCAGAUUAUUUUGAGAAAUUUCAGCUAAUUUCCAGUUGCAAUGUUCUCAUCCAUUAGCUACUGAUUUUAAACAUUGAGUAAAAUCACGCCGGAUACUCUAAAGAGAAACCAUAAAAAAUUACUGAAGUGUCAGCUGCAAUCAACAUCUUACACAAUAAUGAGCCAAAAAAAAGGCAAAUCUGAUAAAAGAUUAGAGCAGCAGAAGUAGGAAAUGUGUACUCAGUACUCCCCACUGUAUGUUUUUACAAAGCCUUAAGACUACAACCCAGUAAUGCAAGAAUAUCACCUGAGGCCAAAAUAUAAACAAGAUUUGCUUCCGAUCACUCUCUUUUGUCUCCAAAUUCUCUUCAACUAAGAUUAGAGGGUCUCCCCAAUAGUCAUAUCCAAGUAUUUUAGCAAAAUUAGUAGUUUACCAACACUGACCGCCAAGAAAUGUUGAUGCAUUACAUGAUAAAAGAUCAAUUUCAGCAUUUCCAUUAAUCCCAAUACGAAAACCCUAGAUAUUAGAGCUUAAUCCCACGAUCAAGAUGAUCCGACUCCAUCAAAAACACAAUCUUCUUCCUCCACCUCUUCUCCAAGAUCCUCAACCUCAAAACACAAAGGAACCCAAAAAAGAAAGGAAAACCCUAAUUUGAGACGCUCCCAAGUCUUCCUCACCUGCAAUUGAAACGAACAGCGGCAUUGAGAUGCGGCGAAUCGAACGGCCGCGGCGGAGGAGGAGGUAGCGGCGGCGGCGGCGGCGGCGGCGGCGAGGGUUUCUCCCACGGAGUGGGAGAAACAAGAGAGAGAGAGGAGAGAGAGGCGGAGGAGGAGACACUACAAAAAAAACCCUAUUUUUUCCCCAUCGACGACUUUUUAGUGUUCUUUUUAGGUUACAGGGGCGUUUUAUACUUCGCGGCUUAGGAUCCUCGUCACCGGAGCGGUGCUAUGCGUACCAACAUAAUUACCCCAAUUGCCGCUGCCGAGCCAUACGUCGCCACGUGGCACACGUUAAGUGGUUUAACAUACUUUGGGGGAGUUUCUGAAGUGUUGGUUACUUCCCUCAAUGAGAUGCCGUAUCUUUGACUUGAUAUUAAGCGGUAAUUAAGUCGACGAGAAGUCUCACGCACUUGAAGAGUACGGUGCGAUGUGAGUGGUUGGGGAUGUGGGACCCGGCGUUCUGAUUGGCUGGAAGAGGGACGGUGGGGUCGGUUGUUAGGAAAGUCGUGGGAUCGCAUUCCGCAGAAAUACGCGAGGGAGCGGGAAACAGCUGAAACGGGAAUAUUUUGUAAACCCUAGCUUGUCGCCCAAGGAACGGCGAGAUAUUAUUGUAGACAACACAACAUUUGGGGAAGUGUUUCCUGGACCCGGUCUACCAAGGCCCAGUGAACCAGGAAUUUUUUACAUGGACCUUAACUGGGAAAUUAUACUUGUACAGUUGUACACCCCAAAAAGGUGCAGAUCACCCGAUCUUAUACCUCCUAUCAUAGAAUUCAUAAAAAUUCAAAUAAUUUUAAUUAAAAUAUAAUUUUUUUUUCUUUUGCAUAUUCUUGUUUUUUUUUAUUUUCUUCUCUAAUUUUCAAAAAUUUAUAUUUUACUUUAUUUCGAAAUUUCAAAUUGAUAUAUUUAGCCACAUUCUGUCAAUAUUGCGUGACUAUUGAGGAAAGGAGUGUUUUCGUUUUACCGGAACUUUUUAUGUUUUAACUAAUAGUGUUAGUUAAAAAAAAUAAUAAUGUGACAAGUAGAAAAUAAUAGUCAUUCGCAGAAGAGGAUAUUAGAUGUGUGUACCGUUACUUCCUUAACUUAACACUUUUGCCUAUUGACAUAUGAACUUUUUUGAUUUUGGUAAUUAAAAAUCUCUAAAUUUUAUUAAAUAGUCGAAUUGGCUUCUAUCUUCAAUCAAAGUUACUAAUGGAACAACUUUUUUUUCAAAAAAAAAAGCUUAAGCGCUACCGUAGAGCAGUGUCUUAAUGUUAUUUAUAUUUAAUGCUUUUUUUCAUAUUUGGGAUAAUGGCGCUUUGAUAUUUUCUGUUCAGUAUUUUUCCUUAUAUUUGACUAGAGAUAUUUUGAUAAAUCUUUGCCGUGAAUUUAAAGUAAAAGAAGGUAAAUUAUUAAACUAAGAAUCUGGUAGAAUUCAAACUCUAUUUCACCUACUAAUAAUAGUGAAAACAGCUCUUGUUCUUUGCAAACUUAGGUUGUAAGAAAAUGAUGUUCCAUUAUUCUUUUAUAUAUAUAUAUAGAGAGAGAGAGAGAGAGAGAGAGUGUGAGUAAGGCUACUAUAUUCAUAAGAGUAUAGAGCCAUUCGUACUCAUAAAUUAUUUUCGAUGAUGGAGCUUCCAAAUCGACGAUCCACUUGUUAAAUAUGAUCUAGAGUAUUUGAAACUUUUAAAAAAUAAAUUUCGUAAUUUUUUGAAAUCAUAUAAUAAAUUCUAUCAAGCGGGCAUAAAAUAAACAAUUAAAAUCGAACGACCUCCUAAAAAUAAAUUAUCGGAUCUUUAAAUUUAAAAUCUAAGUUAUUGAUCUUUAUCUAGAUAGUGAAUAAUAUUUAUAUAAAAAAUUCAAUCUAUUUUAAUUUUUUUGCACCGCUAAACUAGCAAGUAUUCCAUACUGGCUAUUAAAAAUUAUCAAUUUUGUGACCUUUUGAUCAUAAGGCAAAUAAUGUCGAAAUAUUAUUAAAUUUGAUUUCUAACCGUUUUAAAUGCUCUAGAUACAGCCGAUUCGGAAGCUCUAUUAUCGAAAAUGACUUGUGAGUACGAGAGUGAUCAUACUCAUAAGAGUAUAGUAGCCUGACUUUAUAUAUAUAAUUGAGCUCCUCUAUUUUUAAAAGUACCGAAUUAUUAGUGUUUGUAGAUUUUUGGUCUUUAAGUUAAGGGAUGUGUACUUGGAAUAAUAGUAGUUUUCUAAGGGUUGAGUGAGUAUGUGGUUCGUUGAAUAAUAUGAUUUAAUGGAUAAAAAUAAUUAAAAGAAUAAAGCUAAUGGUAAAAAAACUUACAAGUACUAAGUACUUAAUGUUUCUAAAAACACCAUAGCCUAACUAUAUAUAUUGAGUGAGGCUACUAUGCUUCUGGAAGCACGGAGCCUUCCGUGCUUCCAGGUCGUUUUCGAUGUUGCGACUUUGGAAUCGUCGAUCGGUUCCGUUAAACUUGAUCUAGAGUAUUUAAAGUACUUAGAAAAUAAAUUUUAUGAUUUUUUGAUAUCAUUUGCCUAGUGAUCGAAGGGACUCAAAAUCAAUAAUUUUAAUGACCGUGGUGAGCCGUUUGCAAGUUUAACGGUGUAGAAAUAUCCAAAUCACGUGAAAUUUUGAUAGAAAAUUUUUUAUACUAUAUAAAACAAGAUCAAUAUCUUUGAUCUAAAAUUUUAAUGUCAUAUUAUCACGUUUUGUAAGAUUUUUAUUUUCAGCCGUUGAUUUUGAGCCCCUUAGUUCACUAGGCAAAUGAAAUUGAAAAAUUACAAAAUUUAUUUUCUAGGUAUUUCAAAUACUCUAGAUCAAGUUUAAUAGAGCCAAUCGACGAUUCGAAAGUCGCAACAUCAAAAACAACCUGGAAGCACCCUGAAAGCACGAAAGGCUCCGUGCUUCCAGAAGCAUAAUAGCCUCACUCUAUAUAUAUUAACGAUAGAUUUACUUUAUUACUCAAUCCUACUGCUUUAUUAUCAUAACCAGAAGAAAAAUAAAAAAAUAUAUUUUUCGUGUUAUAUAGUUAUAUAAAAUUAUAUACAAGACAUGUGAUCAAAAUGGCAGUUUAAUUUAUACCUUGCUCAAAAAAAUAAGCCAAUUAAAUAAUUUGAUGAAGUUUAAUAGGUCUAGUUGCCAAAAUUAGUAGUUUAGGUAUAUAUUUGCAAAUGCUUUUUCCAUACAUUCUUUCUUUUUUUAUAUACAUUUUUAUUUUUCCGAUGAGUCGAGGGCGCUACGCAACUACGAAUUAUACAUACCCAAGGAUGAAACCAAGGGCACCAAAUUUAAUUUUUAUACUUUUAAAUUUUUAUGCACCUAUUUAUACUUCUUUUCUAAUAAUAAUAAUAAAAAAAUCUAAUAUUCAGUAGUAAUUACCUCAUAGUGUACGAGAAAUUUCAAAAAUUGUAAUGCUUAAAUGGAAAGUGCCUGCACUUACGAUUAACCCAUUCAAAAGAAAACUAAAAAAAAAAAAAAUCAUGAAAUUUAAAUUUAUAAUAUUGGAGCUGUCCAUAGACCCGGUCCAUGACGUGGUCCGCCGCGUUUGUGUCGUACACGUGGGGUGCUGUUUGGCUCGUAAAUUAACUGCCACAAAUUGACGAAACGCACUCAGUGGACCAUGAUCACCACGUCACCCGUGAACCGCCUCAAAAGUUUGCUAUGUGACCCCUAUUUUUCUAAAGCAAAUGGUGUAGUUCAGCAAAAAAAAAAAAAAAAAAAAAAAAAAAAAUUUCAAUGGACACAAAUUUCUAAAUACUUUUCAGCUUUUAUUUUAUAAAAGUUGUAAUGCGCGUGAGAUAUACGUCACAUUUAUAAAGUUUUGCAAGGUUAAAUAAUCAUUCAAAAAAUUAGAGGAAAAAUCUAAAUAAAAAUAGAAAUCAGUGUCCAUUGAAAUUGCAUAAUAGAGUUUGGAGAAUAUUCUAAUCAAGAUUCCUCCCUAUUUGUGUUUGUAUAUGAAAUAAUAAUAAAUAGGGAUAAUUGUCUAUAUAUAUCCUUCAAAACUUUAGAAUAUCUCAUUUAUUCUUUUUUUUUUUCCAAUAUACCCCUCAUAUGUUCCUCCGUUUUUCUAAAAUAUCCCUAUAGUUACUACCCGUUAAAUUAACUUAGGUUAAAUAUGAGUUAAAUAUUUAUUAGAAUUAAAAAAAAUCAAAAUGCCUCUUUUGCUCUUAAUUUAAGGAUAAAUAAGAAAUGUUGGUGAUGAUAGAAGGGUAUAUUUGAAAAGCCUAAAAAUCAAAAUGCUUUUGUGCCCCUAACUUAAGGGCAAAUAAGAAAAGUCGAUGAUGGUGAAAUAGUACAUUUGAAAGGGCAAAAUAGUAAUUUCAUACUGAUAACAGCUAUUGCUAAUAGAAUUUAACUAUAGGAGUAUAUUUGAAAUAGGUUGAAACGUAAAAAUGAUAUUUUCAACAUUAGACUUCUAAAAUAAGUAAAUCAGAAAGUCGAAAACUUUUCAGGAGUAUAUAAGUAAUUAUCUGUAAUAAAUAUAAUGUUGAUUAUUUGGUUGAUUGGGAAAUUGAGAUAUAAUAAAUAUUUUUCAUGAGAAUUAGUUGAUUGAACAAUGGUUGAUCUUUUCUUAUGUAUAAGAGAUUUAUCUAAAAUCCUAAAAUAAGGGCUUGUUUGAACAGUGUCGUAAAAUAUAGUAUUGUUAAUUAUAGCGCUAUUCAGUAAUACUGUACUGCAAAAAUACAAGCACUAAUAUUUAUAUGAAAAUUAAAUUGUCUAAAAUCCAAAAAUAUGCAAGUGAUUAGGUUUACUAUCGAAUAUAAUAUUGUUCGUAUUAUUAAGAAAAGUAUCAUAAAUUUCUCUCCCUGGCAAAAGCUCGAGCUCAUAUUGAAGUAGUUUUUAAAAAAUAAACCUUUUUUUUCCUACAAUUUCGCGUACAGAAAAUUUCUGCACACAAAAUAAACGCACUGCCUACUCAGUUGAGGUGGAAUGUAUCUGAGCCAUAUGAUGGGAACGAUUCGCAUAUGUUCCCACCUCAGAUCACCUAGUUUUGAAUCAUAUCUUACAAAUGAAACAAUAUAUGUAUAAUAUAUGGCAUAUUUAGAUAUUGAUAAAUACAUAGAAAGUUUUAUAAUUCUAACAUAAUUACUUGAGUGAGGAUACUAUGCUAUCGGAAGCACGGAGCCUUCUGUACUUCCAACUCGUUUUCGAUGUUGCGACUUUCGAAUCGUCGAUCGGCUCCGUUAAACUUGAUCUAGAGUAUUUGGAGAACCUAGAAAAUAAAUUUUAUUAUUUUUCGAUAUCAUUUGUCUAGUGAUCGAGUGAGCUCAAAAUCAACAAAUUUCAAUGGCCGUAGUGAGCUGUUUGCAAGUUUAACGGUGUAGAAAUAUUCAAAUUACGUGAAAUUUUGAUAGAAAAUUUUUUAUACUAUAUAAAACAAGAUCAAUAUCUUUGAUUUAAAAUUUUAAUGUCAUAUUAUUACAUUUUGUAAAAUUUUUAUUUUCAGUCGUUGAUUUUGAGCCCCUUCGUUCACGAGGCAAAUGAUAUCGAAAAAUAAUAAAAUUUAUUUUCUAGGUAUUCCAAAUACUCUAGAUCAAGUUUAACGGAGCCGAUCGACGAUUCGAAAGUCGCAAUAUCGAAAACGAGCUGGAAGCACGGAAGGCUCCGUGCUUCCGAUAGCAUAGUAGCCUCACUCUAAUUACUUUAUAAAAUUUGCUGUAUAAUUUGAAAUUAGUACUCUAGAUCUCAUUAAUUGUUUCGAUUUGGCUUGGCAUUAAUUAAUUUUAAUUCCAAAUAUUCACUUCCCUCUUUUAGAGAAAGCACAUGGGAAAUGCAACGCAUCUCUAGGGCUAAUUUUGACACCAACAUUAAUCCAUGCCUUGAUAUUAGUGCAUUAUAAAAAGCCCUUUAAAUGUAACAACAUACCAAUGUUAUAGUACUCAAAAUUAAUUAUUUUGGAAGCAAGCAUGAAGAAAUCACAAGUUGCUUCUUUAGCUAUUUUGAUGAUCCUCCUAAUUUGCUCUCUUGGUGAGUUUCCUAAAUAUUUGUUCCUUUAGUAGUGUUAUUAAAAAGUUUUUUAAAAGAUUAUUUCAAUCAAAUUGCAAAUAAUCAUUUUCUUUCUAUUUUGUUAUUUUGUUAUUUUGUAGGGGAGGUGUUGAGUGCUCGACGAAGGUUAGCGAUAUGCUUCGACGCAAGAGAUUUUCAUCAUGAAUGCAGCGAAAGCGAAUGCUAUGAUUAUUGUUAUUCCCGCUACAAGAACGAGAAGAACCUGACUAGUUACUGCGCCUCACAGGAAUCGUGCGUUUGCGAAUAUCUAUGCCCGGGACGUCGAGCCUAGUCUUCAAAAUUUUUGCUAUUUAUGCUGCCAUAUAUUGGCCAGUUACGUUGUAAUUUACAGAAUCAAUUCCACUGCUGAUGUCAUAACUUACAAUUCUGCUAUUCUUGGAUUAAUAAAUGGUUGAGACUGAGUCUUUAAAUUUUUAUUUGCUUAUCAGUGUUCGCAACGAUAUCAAAUACAUGUUCUUAAUCGUUUUCGUUAGAAGAUUCUAAAGAGAUUAAAUAUAAUUAAAAGGGUGCGUGGAAGAUAUAUACACUUGAUUAUCGAUCAUCAGAUAUCAUAAAUUAUUGUAAACACUAUUUUGAGUUAUAGAUUGAGUAAUGGCGCGUCUCGUUCGCAUGCAUUUUAUUUAAAAUUUAAUCAGAAUGUGGCAUGUGAUAAACUCUUCUUAAAAAUAUUUGCCAUAAAAUAUUUCUUGAAAUGUUUUACCAAUAAUCAUAAUUAGGCAAUUUACAUGACCUAAGUAGUUUGUUAAUUUUUUUUCCUAAUUAAGCUCAUGCUUUCGAAGGCAAAUUUUGUUAAAGUUGAGUUUGAUACAGUAUUUUAACUGUAAAUUAAUGCUGUGUGGUUCCUAAGAAAAGUACAAACAUAAAUUUUUGAAAAAAAAAAUUUCAUAGAGAACUUAUUUUCUAGUUUUUUUUGGUCCAUUUGGUUUCAAAAAACUUUUAUUUUUGAAAUUUUUUUCCAAAUUUGUGAAAAGUUAUUGUUUUUGUUUUCUAUUUCUUUGAAAAAUAAUGGCGAAAAAAUUUGCAAUUGUCCCGAUCUUAACGUAGACGCGCAUGCUCACCUAAAAAAUAAUAAUAAUAUAUAAAUAAAUAAAAAAUAAUAAUGGAGAAGAUUAUAAUGUCAGAAGUGUACAAAUCUUUCUUAUAUACAAUUUAAAGAUUAUUUGAUUCCACAUAAAACUGUGGAAAAUUAAUAAUUUUUUUAUAGAAAGUAAUUUUUGAUGGAAAAGGAGUUUCAUGGUCUCUAAUGAUUAGUUUAUUAUAAAAGAAAAGGAAUUUUCAUAGGUCAAUAAUUAAUUUUUUUUUAUCUGAUUAUAACCUUAUCAUAAUAAUUAAAUGAAUAUUUAUUAUUAGGUUUAAACGAGUAAGUUUAUCGUAUUACUAAUAAUAUAAUUUUAUUAAAUAAUUUUACAUUUAUUAGAUUUAAAUCCUAAACAAUCUUAAUAAAAUAAUUAAAUUAACAAUUAAUAUGCAUGGCCAUGUUAUAAUUUAGAGAUUUUUUUACGGUUAUUAUUAAUCUAAGGUAAAAAUAUAUAGAACUCAUCUGAAUUGUAGAGUAAUUUGAUUCAACUAUCCAACCUUCCAAAAUUUUAAUUUGGAGUCUUAUACUAUCUAUAGUACCGGAGCUCCGGUACUAUAGUCUUGUUUUCAAUCUUAGGGUGUUCAAAUUAAUGAUCCACAAAUCUUAGGGUGUUCAAAUUAAUGAUCCACACCGUUAAAUAUGAUCUAGGGUAUAUGAAAUUCUUAGAAAUAAAAGUUUAGUUUUUUUCGACAUCGUUUACUUACUAAAUAAAUUAUGUCAAAAUGGACGGUGAAAAUUGAAUAAUCUUUAAAAUUUGAGCAUAGGACUUUUAAAUUCAAGAUCAAGAAUGUUAACCUUAAUCUAGAUAGUUUAAAGUAUUUUCUAGUAAAAUUUGAAGAAAUUUAGAUUCUUCUACACCGUUAAACUUCAAACUCGCCAUAGGGGCCAUUAAAAAUUGAUAAUUUUGAAAUUGUUUGAUCAUAAAGUAAACUUUCGUUUGAUUUAAGUUAUUUGAUAGUUCCUUUUUAGAAUAUAAAAUUUCAACAAAUUGCUUACGCUAAUAAAUUUACAUUUACUUAAAUUGUAUAGAAUAUGCACAUUAAGCCAACAAAAAUAAACGAUGCAACAAAUUUUAAAGUUAAAGAGUUAUUAACGGCUCAAAUUAAAAUAUUCAGAAGAUAAGUUAAUAAAAUCAAAAUUUUUAAAGAUUAUAUAGUCAGAUUAAAAUAGGAGAUAGUUGAGAUCAGUUAUAUAUUUAUAUACAGCUUUUUUUUUUUUUCCUUAGUUUAAUAUUAUGUUCUAGUUAACCUAUAUGUUCCUAAUAAUGCAUCAUUUUAAAUCUCUGUUUGGAUGGAGAAAAUGGGAGAAAAAAGAAAAGGAAAAAAUAUUGGAGCGAAAAUGAAUGGAAAUUUGAGGAAAGAAAUUAUUUUUUUUACCAAAUCGGUGUGAUUCAGGCGACAUAUAUAUUACGAGGUAUUAUCACGUACAGAAACAAAUGAAGUUUUAUUGCACCUUAUCGCGGUGUAAAAAUAUUACAUAUAUACGGGUAGUGGAAUGUAAUUAGAAGUUGAUUUAACAUAAUUAAUUUACAAAUUUUGUGGGAUUAUGCAUUCAAUUCAUUUCAAUUAAAAUUUAUUGCCUUUUAAGCAAAAAACAUGUGGGGGAUUCAAUGCAUGUAAAAUGGGUAAUUUAUCUUAUAUGGAUUCUCCUUAAAUGAAGGAAGAAAAAAAUUAUUAAAUGAACUCACUAUUUUGAGAUGUUCUACAGUGUUAUAAAUAGCCAUAAACCUCCUCAUUUAANCAUUAUUCUUUGUAAUCAAAAGUUGCUGAUAUAAGGUUCUUAUUUUUUUAACUAAAAAAUAUUAUUAUUUACUUUAUAAAAAAUAUAUUUAUAAAGAAGAUAUAUUUAUCUAAAAUAUAUUAUUAUUUAUAAAGAAGAUAAAUGAACCCGUUGCGUAGCAUGGGUUCCUUAACUAGUACUCCUUAUCGCGGCACCCUUCCUCUCUUCUGUCAACUUCUUCCUCGGUCACGGCACGGUUAUAUCCUUCUGGAAUGCGCGUUGGUGUGGUGACUCAGUUCCAAGGUAUCGAUUCCCGAAUCUUUAUUCGGCUGUGAAACACAAGCAUCUGUCCGUUGCUAUAUGGUUUCAUCGUUAUGCUUCUCAGGCCAAUCUCGCUGCGUGCUGGCCCGCGCAAGGCAUGCGCGCAGCCCGCGCUGUCGGCCCAGCGCUUGGCCCGUGGCGUGCGUGGCCUGCGCGGCCCGCGAGGUGCGAGUGGUCCGCGCGGCCUGCGCGGCGCGCUUGGCCUGCAAGGCCCUAGUGGGCAGGCUGCGCGGCCCAUGCGGCCUAUGCCGUCCGCGUGGCCGGCACGGGCAGAGAGAUCCGUGGGCCUGCGCGGUGCGCGCGGCCCUGGCGGCCGUGUAGUCCGCGUGGCCUGUGCGCAGCCCGUGUAGCCUGCGCCCGGCCCGUGCACGGCCGGCGCAGCCUGUGUAGCAUGCGCAUGGCCUGUACGGCCACCUGCACGCCCAUGCGGCGCCGAGUCGCGUGGUCACCAUUUUUUUUUUUUUUUAUAUAAGAUAGAGAAUCUUAAAAAAAAAAACAUAACUCAAGAUUUAGAAUACCGAAUCUUGCAAGAAAUAUAUCAAUGGGAAGUAUAUGAGGAGCUCUUCCAAAUCAUGCAAGUUUCACAAUUGGAUAUGCAUCACACAUCAAACAAAAAACUUGCCCAAAGAUCCGAUUUAGGGUUUCGUUUUUCUCAAAAAAUACAAAACCAAAUUAAAUCAAACUUUGUAGAUCUAAUCUUCAAUUUCGGUGCUUUAAGAUGUGUGAAAUCAAGAAAAGUUAUCCAAUUUUGAAAAAUCCACCAUUAAUGCCCUCAAGAAUGCAAGGAAAAAAUCUAAAACAUGGUAGAUCUAUCUUUUUAACGCAUGCAUUCUUGUUAAAAGUUGAUAUAGGGCACGAAAUCAACCUAAAAAGGCUCUGAUACCAAUGAAGAACGCAGCGGAAGUAUGGGUUCGUACUUUUUUUGCGGAAGCGAUUCGCGUUACAACGCGAUGAGCUCGGAUCGGAGAGGUUGAUUUACGUGUCCUUGGAUCGUCCUUGAAUAUCUUCUAACGCCCCGAACUCGCGGUGGAUCGAACUACAAACGAGCGCGAUCGCAAAUCCACCGUUCAAGUCCCUCUAGAAUAAUAAGUUAAUGAAAGAUGUGGUUUCUCGCUUUUUGUUUUCUUAUUCUCUUUCUUUUUUUUUUUCGUUCAUCAUUUUAUGUGGGAUCACCCGUAUAUUUAUAAUGGAUUCCAAAAUCCUAAUAGCAUUAGAGAUAAGGCCAAAUCGGUUAUUAUAUAUUAUCCUAAUAUGAUUAGAAUUUAUCUCUAAUUAGCUUUUCGAUUUAAAAGCGAGAUUAAUCCUAAUCUAAUUAGAUAAUAUAAUAACCACCAGAUAGAGCCUGAUUAUGGGCGCACCCGAUUUGGUUUAACCGAAUGCCAACAUCGGCUUUAUCGCCCCACUCGGCCUUGUGGAGCAGGUUGAACUCCAGCAGCUCGCUGCUCUGGUCCACUCUGCUUCUCUCUCCGAAUCCAAAGAUGACCUGCCCUCUUGGAGAUGGACCAAUUCUGGAUUGUUUUCAGUCCGAAGCGCCUACGACUUCCUUUCUUUUGAUGGAGUCAACGACACUAAAAUCCCCUUCCUCUGGAACCUUAAGAUUCAGCUGCGAAUCAAAGUCUUCCUGUAGUUAGCUGCACGCUAUAGAAUCCUCACUGCCGACUUUUUAGCCAUGAGAGGUUGGCACGGUCUUUUUAUCUGCGUUCUCUGCAACUCCGAUGUGGAGACUUUGGACCAUAUUCUUUUUCGCUGCUCUUUCGCUACUUCCCUUUGGGGCGAGCUUCUUCUACCACUACUAUCCGCACUGCUGCUGAGGUCCGGUUCCGAGCUGCUGCGGACCUCCGAUUCAACCCGGAUGAUGGCAGAUCAUUGGAGCAAGCUGAGGAGGGCACUGUCUGGUCAAUCCAGGAUCAACCUUGACCUUUAUGUGGCUGCAGGUUGUUAGGAACUUUGGAAUGAAAGGAAUCGACGACUAUUCUACAAUCAACUUCGUCAAAUUGAUAGUUUGAGGAGAAGUAUACUUUCGACGAUGCAAGUGUGGAAAUUGGCGCUACGGACUUGACUUUGUUUGCUGUUGUUGUUGUUUUUGUUGUCUUGGACUAUGAGUCUUUUUAUUUUGGCCUAUGAGUCUCUACUUCCUUCUUCUUUUCUUUUGUUUUGUUUUGUUCCGUUUUCUGUUUCUCUUCUAACGGGCUGCUGGAUCCGUAUCUUGUCCUCAAAUAGGGUAUAGCCCUGUUUAAUCGAAAAAAAAAAAAUUCUAAAAGACUUUUUUAUAUGCUUUUUUUUAGAAACUAAACAAACCAAUAAUAGCCAAAGAAAUUUGCAAUUGUCCAAAUCUUAGGAAUCUUUCUUACAUAUAAUUUAAAGGUUAUUUGUUUCCACAUAAAAUUAUUGAAAUAAUUUUUUUAUAGAAAAUAAUUUUUUAUGGAAAAGUAGUUUUGUGAUCUGUAAUGAUUAGUUUCUUAUAUGAAAAAAAAGCAUUUUUCACACUUCUGUUAAGAUCAAUAAUUAAAUUUUUUUGCAUCUUAUUAGAAUCUUAUUAUAAUAAUUAAAUUAAUAUUUAUUAUUAGUUUAAACUAGUAAUUUUAUCUUAUUAUUGUUGAAUAAUUUUACAUUUAUUAGAUUUAAAUCCUAAAACAAUCUUAGUAAAAUAACUAAAUUAACAAUUAAUUGUUGGUUCAGCAAUAAACCUUUUUACAGUAAAAAAAUGCUGAAAUUAAUUUUUCAGAUCAUUUUACUGCGAACCAAAUAUAUAUGCCCUUAACAUAUUAUAAUUUGCCGCGAUACAGACUAAAAUAUAUAAAACUUAUCUGAAUUAUAGAUCAUUUUAAUUCGACUAUCAAUUAUUUCAAAAUUUUGAUUUUAGUACGCAAUCUUUUAGUUCGUUUGAUUUAAGUAAUUUGAUAAUUCUUUUAGUAUAAAAAAUUUCAACAAAUUGCUUACUCUAAUAAAUUUAUAGUUAGUUUAAUUGUAUACAGUGUGCAAAUUAAGCCCACAAAGAUAAAUGAAGCAUCAAAUUUUAAAGUUAAAGAGUUAUUAACAGGCUCAAAUUAAAUAUGGUUAAUUUCACACGUCCCUGCAAAUAUAGUGAAUGACUAAUAUAUCCUUACAAAAUUCAACUUUCAUAUGUUGUUCCUACAAAAGUCCUAAUAUUUUCAAAUAUGUCCAUCUGAUUUGUUAUGAUUAGAGAACCGCUUGUAUUUUCAAUUUUGACAUCAUAAAUAUAUUCCUCCAAAAGCUAUACUAGUAUAAUAUAAAUUGGUAAAAAUAUCAAAAACUAAUUAGGGUUAAGUAUUCAAUCUAUGAUUAACUAAUUUUUUCUAACGGAUUCUAACGACAAGGACAUAAUUAAAAACAUCAGGACUUUUGCAGAAACAACAUUUGAAAGUUGAACUUUGUAGGGAUAUAUUUGCUAUUCACUAUAUUUGUAGGGACAUGUAUGAAAUUAGCCCAAUUAAAUAAUUCAAAAGAUAAUUUGAUAUGCUCUUCUACUUUUCAUAAAUAAUAUUUUUAACAAAUCAGGGUGAUUUAGGCGACGUAUUAUGAGCUAUCACUUACGGAAACAAAUGAAGUUUUAUUGCACCUUCUCGUGGUGUAAAAAUCUUACAUAAUAUAUGGGUAGUUGAAUGUAAUUAGAAGUUAAUUAAACAUAAUUAAUUUACAAAUUUUGUGGGAUUAUGCAUUCAAUUUAAUUAAAAUUGCUUGCCUUUUAAGCUAAAACAUGAGGGGGAUUCAAUGCAUAUAAAAUGGGCAAUUUAUCAUAUAUGGAUUCUCCUUAAAUGAAGCAAAAAAAUUAACAAAUUUAAAUUAANGAUUCUCCUUAAAUGAAGGAAGAAAAAAAUUAUUAAAUGAACUCACUAUUUUGAGAUGUUCUACAGUGUUAUAAAUAGCCAUAAACCUCCUCAUUUAAAAAACAAAUAAAAAAUAUUGGACAAUUAUUAUUAUAAUUAUAUUAUAAAUUAUCAACCAAGAUGAGGAAAUCACAAGCUGCGUAUGUUGUUAUUUGGUCGAUUUUUCUAAUUUUCCUGCUCGGUAAGUUUAAGUAUAUAUUAAUCCCGAUUCUUAAUUUUCGCUUAUUUAAUUAAUGUACUGUUUUAGGGAAUAUAAUUUCAUGUUUACUUAUCUAUAUAAGCGUUUUAGAUGUUUUUUUAAAAAUAUCUACAGUAGAUUGAGUAAAAUUUUGGUGUUUAGAAAAUUCUUGCACACUGUUGAUCUAGCGAAUUAAUAUUUGCUAAUAUUUGCUUUCGAUAAUGCUUAAGUUAUACAUUGUUAUAAUUAUUAUUCUAAAUCAUUUCUCACCGUAUCAUGUCAAUAUUUUAGUUCAAAAUUACACUAUAAGAUUAUAGGUUAAGUUAAAUAAAUUGUAUGCACGUAAUUUAAAAUAUUAAUUUUACAGCGGAAUAGAAGCAGGAUCAAACAUACCCUGACUAAGUGCAAUCGAAAAGCAGAUAUAACUCUUAUAAUUAACUCGACAAUUAAAUCUUUUUUUUGGGUUUUUUUUUUUUUUGAAAGAACUCAAAUGUGUUGAUUAGAAUAGUAAAAAUUUGAAAUAUAGACUACUAAGUGCAAGUUCAUAGAUUUAAAAUUGUAGGUAUUUUUUAUACUGUCACUGAUUUUGUUACUUUUAUGAAUAUAACAAAUAUAACAAGAGCUAGUUAAGAAAGAACAUGAUGAUGGAGUAACUUUUAUAAAUAGGUCCUGUAAAUAAUAAUUUUAUUUUUUUAUCCACAUCAGCGCCAUGCAAGACAAGAAAGUACAGCUCGAAAAAUAUUUAAAAGAAUCAUGGUCAGUCAAAUACGAUAGUACAGUUGCCGUAUUCUAGAACACGAUAGACGAAUUACCGUAGUCAAUUUACAAUUUUUGGGUGGCCUUUUCUAUCUAGCAUGAUGCUCAUGUAGAAUUUUUUUAAGAAGUUAUUUUUAUAAUUACAAUUUCAUAGGAAUUAUUUGUGAAAAAAAUUAAGUUAUAGAUGGACAGAAGUAGCGGUUGACAAUGCAUCUCACUUUUCGCGAGCUAAUUCGUGUUCGGCUCGAAAUGAGCUCGAGAUCGAAUCGCUUAUUCAAUCACGAGCAGAAUUCUUCAGCUUCGGCUCGUUUAUAAAAUAAACCGAAUACGAGCCGGCUCAGCUCGCUCGUGUUGGGCCCGUUGACACCGCGGGCAAAAGCAGGAUUUAUUUAUAUAUAUAUAUAUAUAUAUUUUAUUUUAUUUAUUCUGGCGGUGCAGGGGAUGUGGUGGAGAGGGGAUUGGGGGCGGUGUGCUACGAUGUGAUAAAUCUGGGCCACAAAUGCCAGCUCUCGGAGUGUUUAUCGAUCUGCGACUCGCGCUACCAUGGUGGCGAAGCCUACUACUGCGGGGCCCCACAAACCUGCGUCUGCGAAUAUCAGUGCCCGGCACGCAAAGGAUAAUGAUAAUAUUAUUAUUAUUAUGAGUAUGGUUACUAUAUUUUUAUGAGUAUAACUUUUUUUUGUACCUAUAAAUUUUCGGCCAUUAGACAUACUCUUUUGACUAUUUUCAUCCGUUAUAUUAUACUAUUCAACCAACUACCACUCAACCCUAGGGAAUCACUGCUAUUAUCCUAACAGUACAUCUCUUUAUCCAACGGUCGAAAAUUUAUGAAUACAAAAGAGUCUAUACUCAUAAGAGUAUAAUAUUCCUAAUUUAUUAUUAUAUUAUGGUAUUAAUAAGACGAGUCGAGUGCACGUUUCUUUUAAAAGCACAGGAAUAUUUAUGUUUGUGACUUUUUAAUCACGGGAUCGAUUUUAAGAUUCGUAUAGUAUUAUUAUUAUUAACAACGUGUUUCAUUAUAUCUUCUUUACUUGUGCCGUACGGAUUUUAAAGCGAUCUGGCGGGUAAAAAAUUACGAGGAUGUCGACUUCUUAUAUGGUUUUAAAAGUACAGGAACUCAACUCGUAGUAAUUAGAACUAGACUUGUAUGAUUUCAAAAGUACACACGUCGUAUUUUAUGUGGAGAACUUCCGAAUUGGCGAUCGAUUUUGUUAGAUUUGAUCACGAGUAUUUAAAAUAUUUAGAAAAUAAAUUUGUAAUUUUUUGAUAUUAUUUAUCUAGUAAUUGAAGGGGUCCAAAAUAUCGAUUUUAGUAAUCGUGGUGAGUAGUUUGUAAAUUUAAUGGUGUUAAAAUAUUUAAAUUAUAUAAAAUUUUGAUAGGAAUUUUUGUAUACUAUAUAAAAUGAGAUCCAUAUUUUUUUUAUCUAAAAUAUUAGUGUCCUAUCGUCACUUUUUGUAAAAUUUUUAUUUUAAAAUUAAAAAAUCAUGCAAUAUAUUUUAUAAGUAUUUUCAAUGCUCAAGAUCAAAUGAGCCUACUGUCGCUUCUCAAAUCCCAACAUAAAAAAUGACUUGAUAGUAUGAAAGCCGGACUCGAAUAAUAAUAAUUAUAAUUAAGCCGCAUUUUUCAACAUAAUAUUUCAUUUCUUUUUCAUUUUCAUUUUUUUUGUUUUUGAAUUUAUGUUUUGUGCGGGGGAUUGUUAUCAGCUUUGGAUGAUGUCGAAGUUCUUGCGGCCGCUGCAUGUCUAUUUUCUGAUUUUAAGACAUUAGAGAAUAAUAUUGUUUAAAUUAAUUACUCUUUCGCAUAUCUGCACUUUGAUUUUGUUUUUUAAAAAAAUAUAGGAUGCAAAUAAUGGCGUAAAUGAUACGAUAUUUGUGGAGAGUGAAGAAAUUGAGGGCUCGUUUUGUUCAUCCAUUUUGGGUAUGAAAUGGAAAUCGGUUUGAUCAAAUCCGGUUAAUUUUGUUUGGUUCGCAUGAAUCAGUUUGAGAUUCCUAUUCCGGACUGGAAUGGGAAUGGCCCAUUAGCCUUUAACUUGAUUCCGGUCUUCUAGCCCGGAUUGAGAUUUCAUUCCGGAAGCUCACUAAGUUCUCGAAGCCCAUGUGACCAUCUCACCCUCCUUCUCUUCACCCCUUUCUUAUCAAAAAAAAAAAAACAAACUAUUCUCUCUCAAAACCCCAUUCCUAACCCAUAUCAAUAAAAGUUUUUAAAAAUAAAUUUGAUAUUUUUUUUGAAAAACUUAUUAGAGAAUAGUAUUAUAUUUUUCAUAAAUUUUAAAUAAUAUAAAUUUAUAUUUGAGAGUAAAAUUAGUAUUAUAGUAUCCUAUAAUUUUUUUAGUUUAUACGAACCAAACAAUGAAAUGUGAAUAACUCAUUCCAAUUUUCAAUCCACAAAUAAACCAAACGUUUUGGGGGAGUGGGCCAUUCCAAUUACCAUUUCAAUUCAUUCCCAUUUCAUUAUCCAUUCCAAUUCCACCCUUGAACCAAACAGGCCCUGAAUGUAACUAAAAGUUUGGUGCGAUUCUUAACUCACAAUCUCUUACUGCAAUAGUAUGAAAUGACACUUUUGUUUGGCAAUAAUUAAAAAUAAAACAGAGUUAUAUUUUACACUGUAUUUGAUAUGCUGAAAAACUAUAAAUUCUAUAAAGAUAUUACUCUAUUUAAAAGAACAUAGAGAGUUUUUCAAAAAUAGAGUAAGUUAGCUCAUUGCUCUGUACUGAAAGUUUGCCAAGCGAUGGAAUAAUAUUUUAAUAUAAGAAAUCCAUGUAAAAUUUUAAAGUAUCAAAUACAUUUUAAAUUUUGAAUAAAUAAUUUAAAAGGUUGGUUUUUAAUAAAUAAUUGUGUAGUUUUGAAAAGCCAAGUCUGUUAGCAAUUAAAAGGUUGGUUUUCAUAGGAAUUUUUGCCUGACUCUGUAUUGCCUGAGACAAGCAGGAGAUCUUCCUCUUGCUUACUUUUAUGUUACUUUGUUAUCUUUCAAAGAAAAAAAUUAACUUAUGAGCAGUGUAAAAAUUGGAGUACUGAUGAGUUUAUAGAUUUGUUUCGAUUAUUAUAUUGAUUUUGUUUUGUAAUGUUUUGUGUGAGCUAAAAUUAGGAAGUUAACUAAUUUGUUUUCUUAAGUAUUUGAUUAAGAUUUUACUAAAAAGUUUUGCUCUAUUCUUCAUGAAAGCCCUUUAGUUUNUAUUAAUUUUUGCAUCUGAGUAGAAGCAGGAUCAAACAUGCUCUAACUAAGCACAGUUGAAAAGCACAUAUUACUCUUAUAAUUCGACAAUUAAUUAGUCUUUUUGGUUGGUGUUUUUUUUUUUUUUUUUACUAGAAUAGUAAAAAAGAUUGAUAGUCCAAUUGUUGUAUUCUAGAACAUGAUAAAUAAAUUAUUGUAUUUAAUUUAAAAUCUUUAGCUAUCGUUUGAUUCGGGUUUAAGGAAAAACUAGUUAUUUCAGGGAUAGGGUUAAGUUUAGGGUUAAGGUGGGGUUAGAGUAUUUUUGUGUUUGGUUAAGAAUUGGAGUUAGUCCAGGAUUAAAGAAAAUAGUGUUUGCUUGUAAUAGGUGGGAUAAAAAAGAUAGUAGAUAAAAUAGUAUUUUAUUUGGUUGGAAUAGUGGGGUGGGGUGGGGUUAGCUGGGGUUAGCUAACCCCACUCCAAAUGGGCUAUUCUAGGUUAGCCCAUUUGGGGUGGGGUUACUAAUCCCACCCCUCUAAAAUCAUGUUUGGAAAUAAAACCAGAGUUAAGGGGUUAUCCCACCCCGUAACUCCGAACUAAACACAAGCUUAGCUAAUCCUUUCUCCCGCAUGACCCCAUGCAGGGGGAAAUUUUUUUUUUAUAAUUAUAAUUUUGUAGAAAUUAUUUUGAUUUUUUUUUGAAGGAGCUGAGUAUAAAAAAAGUUGGUCUCAAAUACGGAUUUAAGUUCUGUAACACAGGUCGUGCCAAAAUUUUUUUGGCAUGAUAGUACGGUAUGAUGUGUGCAAUAAAAUACUCUAAUUACUUAUUACGUAUCUCCAUCAAAUCUCUUGAACUUUAUUGAAAAAGUUAUUUACUGAUUUAAAUAAUAUAGAAUUUUAAACUUGUUAUAUGCAUAAUACGUCACGUCCAAAGUUGGAAAUACAACAGUUACAACUGCAUGUAUCAUAUUCAGUUGGAUGCAGUAGAAAGCGUUGUAACUAUAAAUAAUUUGUUUGGUUGCAUGCAGUUGAGAAAUAAAUUUUAAAAUUUUAUCAUUUUAUAUAUAUGGCGUUGAGAUUAUCUUCAAUGUAAAAAAAAAAAUAUUUUCUGUUUAAAAAAUAUUUAAAAAGGUAAGGUUACCUUUUGUUUAAAGUAACUCUUUCCACUGCUGCAGUUUGACCUUCUCCUGCAGUUUCUAUUGUAGCAGUUAGUGUUAAAUAUAUUAAACUAAACACCGAAUUUGUAUUUACAUACAGUUACAACUGUCGUGCAGUUGCAACUACAUGCAACCAAACGGUCUCUUAAAUUCUUGAUCGCAAAUAAUGUACAGAUAGACAGAAGCGGGAUCAAACAGGCUCUCGCAUAUUUAAAUUUUAUCUUAUUUAUUUGGGUGGUGCAGGGGCUAUGUUGCAGACUGGAGAGGGGGCGGCGUGCUACGAGGAGAUAAAGUUGGGCCACGAAUGCGAGCUGCCGGAGUGUUUCACGAUCUGCGACACUCGCUACCACCACAGCAGCCAGGCUUAUUACUGCGGCGCCCCACAAACUUGCGUCUGCGAACNUUCUGUAGUUUAAAAUAUAUUAAUUUAGUGCCCUGUGUUUUCAUUUUUUUUCUUUUUGUUAGCCUCUCCGUUAAUUUUUUUAUUAAAUUAUAUACAAAAAAAUUCAGAUGCUACACCUGUAGUUUAUCGAAUAUUUACUUUAGUAACUUUUAGUUUUAACUUUGUCACUGAUUUAACGAAAAAAAUGAGUGGAGGGGAUAACGAAAAGAAAAAAAAAAUCAUAUGGUACGAAAGUGAUACAUUUUAAACCACAGAAGAUACUAAGGUGAGAAUGUGCGAAACCAUAGAGACGGUAUUUGAAGUUUUUCCUAAAUUAAAUGUAGAGAUGCGUUAUGUUAAAUGAGUUGUUUGAAUUAAAACUCAUAAGCUUCCACUGUAAUACUACGUGAAAUGAAUGUUUGAUUCUUAAAAAUUAGGCUAAAAUAUAGAAAAUUCUCUUGUAAAUACCUAUUUUUCACGACUUCCAAAAAAUCUAUAUUUUAUCUUUUUAAAAUUUCUAUCGCUGUUUCGUCUAUUUGUCAAAAUUUAUACUAAAAUAUUCUUGUAAAUAAUAGAGACAUAUUCAUAAAUUUUAUUUUUUUUCUUAAACAAAUAAUGGUUAUUUGGUCAUUUUUGGCCUCACUAUUAAUGUCAUAACCCUUUGAAAUAUUUAUAAAAUGUCAUGAGGCAAAAUUUAAGAGUUUGAAUAAUAAAAUAGCCAUUUUGAAAUAUUAUAAAGUUCAUGGUAAGACGGUCAACGAACCAAACACGAGUUGGCUCGUUAAAAUAAUGAAUUGAAAAUUUUAGUUCGUAUUCAGCUUCUUUAUUAAUGAACUAAACGCGAGCUAGUUAGCAAAUAGUAAGUUAGAUUGUCAGCUGACUCAGCCUUGCUGUCGACAAAAAGGUUUGAAAAAAAAAUAAAAUAUUAGAAUCUUACUCUAAUAAUUAAAAAUUAUAAAAUAUAGAUAUCUUUACAUUUAAGUUGAAAAUUCAGGUCACGUUUGUCUCAUUUAUUAAACGAAUUAUCAACCUCGAGCUCGUUUCGAGCUGGCAUAGUUUAGGGUAAUUGCCUGCUUUUCCCUGUCUAAAAGUUAGAAAUCAAAAGGUGGCGGAGUAAUCACAUUAUAACAGAAGCACAAGGACUACUCAUAUAAUUUACAAACCAAACAAAAUAGCACUGCAAAGGGGAGCGGAUCCGGGGGCGGGAGGAGUCAACCACCUCUUAUUUCUUUGUGGAUUAUGACAGAUUUAUUUUUAUCAUAUUUUUUGUUUAUGUUUGUCGCUCUAUUUGGGACGGGUUAAAGCACGAGCGAAUUUUUGGUGUAUUUUUUUGUCAAUAGAGGUGGAGCAAAGAAAGGAUAGAUCCGCUUUCGAAUUCUAGAUAAUUAAACUACCACAUCUCAAAAGUGCGGCACGGAUUUUCCUCUUUCUCGACUCCGACGUGCAUGACCUCCUCUUGGGAUCGCUCUCGUCCUCCACCGCAAGAGGAAUGAGGUCCGUGAUGCAUUCGACAAUCUCGACCUUGAUGACGGCGACGGAGGAGGUAAUCUGUUCGACUACGACAAUGAUGAUGAGUAAGUUGCACCGUUUAAGACUAAAUUGAAAAGUUUAAAAUUAAGUUGUACCAUUUGAAAUUAAAUUGUAUCGUUUGAAACUGUUUGAGACUAAUAUGCACCAUAAAAAUAGGAAUUAUACUAUUUGAGAUUAAAUUGCAACUUCUCACAACUAAAAAUUUGUGCAACUACCAACCGUCCCUAAAGCAAAUGGCAGGAUCUGCAUGAGGCACCAGAGGGGUGACUAAGACGGUAAAACAAGCUAACCAGGACAGUCAAAAUCAAAGACCACCCUUGCUUGCUCUUCUUAGCUACUGGAGCUUUCCCUAAAGAUUGAAAUCUGACAAAUAUUUGUCUCAUCCCCAAGGCUCCUAAGCCUGAUUAUAUUACACAGUUCCGUCCUAUAGGCUUAAAAGUUUUGGUGUCUUUCCAGCCCGAAUUAGGAUUUGUUCUGAGAAAAGAAGAGGGCAUGCUUUCUUUGUUCAGCUUUCUGAAAUCGAUGCAGACUCGGUGGUUGGUAUCCGAGAUCCAAGUUCGAAUCCUACUUGAUUCACAUUUCCAGCUAAGUUUAUUUCUAAAUGAAAUAAAAUGAAGCGGAUAGCGUGUUACCUAUCUCUCAAAAAAAAAAAAAAUUGUGCAACUUUUCAAAUAGUACAACUUAGUCUCAAAUGGUACAAUUUAAUUAGUUUCAGAUGAAAUGAUGCAACAUUUUCUUCUUCUUUUUUCUUUGCUUUUUGGCCUUUUCCGGAUCAGCCGCCACAUGAUGGCCUUCUCACACGUCCGCGCACACACACUCAUAUAACAAACAUAUAUAUACAUAUACACACUUAUACGUACACAUAUAUAUAUAUAUACAUAUACAUAUACAUAUGUAUACACGUAUACAUACAUAUACAUAUUCAUACAUAUACAUAUAUAUUCCUUUUUUUUUCUUUUUUUUUUUUUCGCACUAUGUAUGUUCUCUCUAACGUCAUCAAAUCCUGCGAACGAGAGAGAAUCUAGAGAGAGAGAGCAAUAAGUAUGAUUUGGCCAGUUUAUUAAAAAUUCAAACAUAUUCUACAAAAAUACAAAAAAAAAAUUACAAGUUUUGAAAAAUGUAAACAAAAUUUUUUAAAAGUUUUGAUUCAACUAUCUCAUCUUUUAAUUUAUUUGAUUUAAGUCAAUUAGUAACUUUUGACUAAUUAGACAAAAUUUUGACACCAACGUACGUCUACUAUCACCUUAGAUCCGAUCCAUUUGACUAACAUUAGUUAUUUUAAAAAUAUUAAAAUAUAAAUUGAACUAGUGAAUUGCAAAUUUUUAGAAGUUUCUUUUAAAAAGUAAAAGAGUUUACAAGUUUAAAUAAUUACUUGCCAAGAAAAGAAAAUUCGAGUGGUUUUUACUCCAGCUGUAUUUAACCUAUUUUUAAGCGAUAGCUAGGAAUGCAAAUGGAUCGGAGUUGACGGAGCUUAUACUUAUAUUAGCCCGAAUGGUGCAAUAAAUGGCGGUCAAAAUAUAAAGAAAAUAAUAAUUCAUUUUAAAUCUGUCUAAUGUGCUAAGAAAAGAAGACACUUUAAUUCGCGCAAAUUCAUCAAAUAUCUACAAAAACUCUACUUCCAUUUCGAUCCGUUCUAAAUAAAAUGGUAAGUAAAAAUAAAUAAUAAAAUAAAAAUCAAUCCAUCCCAAAUAGUCCCGUCCCGCCAAAGAAACGGGUCGGGUGGUGCGAGACCCUUGCUGCCACCCAUCCGCCCCGUUUGCAUCCCUUUGAUGAUCCGGUUCGCAAGAUGACAUGGUAGACCAGGUCCAUCCAAAUAACUCGUCGUCCUUUGCAUGUGCCCUUUUUUUAAAUAAAAAAAAACCAUCACCAUUCGCGUUCUCCUCCACACGCUCGAGAUCGCGAUCGCGAUCGAAAUCGAAAUCGAAAUCGAAAUCGUUCGAUCGAGAGAGGGAGAGAGAGAGAUCGAAAUGAAUGUAGAGGAAGAGGUAGGAAGACUCAAGGAAGAGAUCCAGCGAUUAGGGCAACUCCAAUCCGAUGGAUCUUACAAGGUACAAUAAUUAACUAAUAAUUCCCUUCUUUUUCCGCAUCUGGAUCUGAGGAUGUUGCUUUAAUUGUUCGGUUUUUAGUUCUUUUUUUUUUCUGAUUGGACCAAUGCAAUCCACAUUCGCACUUCUCUAUGCAUAAAAUUCGUUCUUUUUCGUUAUUUUCUAUUUAAUUAGAAAAUUUUGUGAUUUUUGCAGAGAAUUAGAGUGAUAUUACAUCAAUUUAGGUUUCUUUUCGUGUUUUUAUCUCUUUUUUCGGGUAAUUUUUAGUGGAUUUUUAUGUAAAGGCAUGUCGAUUUGGUGGGGAAGCGAUAUUAGGUCCUUUGAUUCCAAAUUACAAUGUACUUUCCAAGUUAAAGUUGUUUGAUAUUCGAACAGUUUUUUCUUUAUUUAAAAUUUUCUAUUCGAUCGAGUGGUAGGUAUCUCGAACAAUGCAAUCCAUAUUCGCACUUUUUUGGAUAUAAAAACUGUUCUUUUUAAUCAAUUUCCAGCUAACGUGUUUAGUAGCAGGAAAAAGCUGUGAUUUUUAUGCGAACUUUGGGUACAUUGCAAUAAUUUAGGUUUCUUUUUAUGUUUUUCUUACUUUUUUGGGUUAAUUCAAGUGACUCUCGACGUAAAGGUAAAGGCUCAUCAAUUUGUUGGGGAAAAGAUAUUAGGUCCUUUGAUAGUUCCCAUUUAAAUUAGUUAGAUAUUAGAAUAGCUGUUUGUUAUUCUAAAGUUUCUAUACUAUUGCUUUGUAUCUUGACCAAUGCAAUCCACAUUCGUUCUUCUUUUUAUGUAAAAAUUGUCCUUCUCCAUGAAUUUCCAGUUAAUGUGUUUUGUAUUACAAAAAGAAAGAAACUCUGUGAUUUUGCAGCCUAUAUUAUUACAUUAUUUCAAGUGUUUAUUCAUGAUUUUGUUUUCUUGCAUUUUUGGGCAUAAUAUUAAGUGGAUCUUGAGACAAAGUCACGACGAUUUGUCGGGGAAGAGAUAUUAGGUCCCUUGGUUCCAAAUCACAAUGUAGUUUCUAGUUUUAGUUGUCGGUAAUAUGGCACGCAUGGGAAGAGUUUAAUUAAGUGGCUAACAAACAAGAACAAUCUAAGAGUGAAAUAUCAUAUGGAUUAUGUAUCUAGUGAGAGAUUAGUGGUUUGUUUUCUGUGGUUCGAAUCUGAAUGCUUGAUGGUUUAUUGCUUAGGAAAUCUUGGAAAGUCUUUAAUGAGUUAUUAAAACUUUUUACUUUGAAACAACAUGCAAUUUCUAGGAAACAUGAUUUGGUAUGUUAGUCCCCUUUGAUUCCAGAUUAUAAUUAAUGUAGCCCCCAUUUGAAGUAGAAGGUGAUAUAGUGUACAUGGCAUUGGUUUAAUUCGAUGUCCAAGAAAUAAGCUAGAGGGAAAAAGCGCAUAGAUCAUAAGUUAAGUGAGAGAUCCGUGCUCAGGAAAUUUGAUUGUUUUUUGAGUUUUGAAUCUGAAUGUGCUCGUUGGGUUAUUGCUAACGGAUUUUUGGAAGUUCCUUUAUUCUCCUUCUACGAAUUUAAGAUUUGAUCUCUUUAUUUUAUGUGCCAUGCUUUUGCACGACUUUGAUACCAAUCCGUUGCAUCUCCGAGAGCCUAUUUUGUGGCUUAUUGUGUGAAGUUAUAGUCGUACAACUUCAUGUUACUUAUGUAGCUAAGUGUAUCUUAGUUGGGGUCGAACUGUGAAGUGAAUAGCAAUGAAGGUUGUGGAACCAAUUUCAUUGGGCUAGGAUUAAAUAGAACAUGAGGUUUGCCUUUUCUAACUUUUGCCACUCAUAGACUAUGCUCAGAUGGACUCAAAGAAGCGAGACUAGCAAUAAUAGUAACACAUUAGUAGUUGUUCAAAUAUCACAAGAUUAUUUGGUGUCUUUACUGGAUGUUGUGGAGUAGUUAAAAACUUAAUAGCUUUCCCAAAAAAUGCCACUGACCUAUUUGAUAGAUUAAAGUUUUCUGGAACUGCUGAUUACCUCUAUUCGAUCUCUUAAAAUCUUUAACAAUAAUCUCAUAAGGUAGGUCCAAAAAAUUACGAACUGCUUCUCAAGCCAUUAAAGAGUCGCGUCUGUGUACGAAUGAUGGAUAAAAUCUUCUUCUCAUAAUUUAGCAAUUAGAAUUAGUUGCUUGUAUCAACUUGAUAUGACACAAUUUUGUGAUUAAGGAAACAAUAGAGCGUGAUGGGUGCAAUGCACCGCACGGCCGUGAAAGCAUCUCCUGGCAUGCUUUCGGAUAAGCAUAUGAUGAGUUGAUUUGAUCAAAGCUAUUUUCUAAUUUAGCUCAUUUUUUUAGGUGCAAAGAUCUAUUGACCAAGUCGAUAGGCUGUAUCCUGAGUUGACUUGAACAAUUGAUAUUUUUCUUGAAAGUUGAGACCGUGAAAUGAACCAAAGUCUUGAAUUUGUUGGUAACAGUGUUAUAAGGUAACUUGAGGGAAUAGUAUACUAUUUAUGUAUUUGUUUACAUACGUAGGUAUGUACAUAUGUGUAUGUAAUGAUGUAAAUACCAUGAUCUCAUUUUCUAGGGGGCUGAACUUAAAUGCUGAGUUCUGUGCUAUCUAAUGACUGGUUCACAUCAUUGAACCAUCCUUUUCUAUUCAUGCUUUUGUAAUAUAUAUAUAGAGUCCAGCUACUAUAAUAUCGAUAAUACUGAGCGCUUGGUUGUAUCGAGUUUUGCAUCGUUAGAUUUUUCCCUUUGACCAUUUGCUCCCAUUAGAACAUACACUAUUCAAUCAAUCACCCACUCAACUCUAGGAGACCACCAUCAUCCUAAUCGGGAACCAUUAUCAUCCUAACUGCACAUUCUUUCAUCCGACGGCCGAAAACCUAAUAGCACAAAGUGCUUGGUACUAUUAAUAGUAUUUGGCUUGUUUUGCUAUCGAGUUUUUAAUUCGUGGAUGAAAAAUUAUAGUAGAAGUAGUAUGAUAGUGGUCCCCUAGGGUUUAGUAAUGGUCCUCUAGGGUUGAGUGGGUAGUUAGUUGAAUAGUGUGAUCUAAAGGAUGAAAUUGAUCAAAAUGUAGAUCUAACGACUAAAAAUCGAUAGCAAAAUAGCCAAAAUACUAUUAAUAGUAUUCCAGCUUAACUCUCUCUUUCUUUCUCUAUAUAUAUAUUGAUUUUGUGUUAGGGCUCCUUGAAAUGCUUUCUAUUUAAACAUUCUAUUUGUCCUUUCCUUUCUUAAGAAAAAAACCUUGGAGCAUGUUUCGCUUGUAGCUCGACGCAUCAUGUUCUACCGAUAAUUUUAAGAUUCUUCACGUACUUUCUUUGAUUUGCCUGUAGGUAAAGUUCGGAGUCCUCUUCAACGACGACAGAUGCGCGAACAUAUUCGAAGCACUUGUCGGAACCCUGAGGGCCGCGAAGAAGCGAAAAGUUGUCGCAUACGACGGGGAGCUUCUGCUUCAGGGCGUCCACGACAACGUGGAGAUAACUCUCUUGCCGUCCGCGCUCGGAACUGCGUAAACUACCAUACUGUCUCCAAAUGUGAUUUGUGCAUGCGGAAAUAAAUGAAGUUUAUUAUGUGAGCCAUAGUGAGUAGGAAUAUGAAGCUGCCAAGCUUUUAUUGAAUCAUGAAUUCAAUGUGGUGUUUGUAUUAAUGUUUAUAGCAUAUAUAAGAUCAUGUAUUCAUGUGAGAGAGCAUUUAUAAGAUCUUGUCAGAUUAUUAUUAUUAUUAUUAUUAUUAUUAUUAUGUUUUGGCGGAAAACUUAGCAUCAACGGUUUUUCAAUCUGAAAAGGAUAUCGCCGCUAAUGGCAACUGCUAAAUUAUGUGAAAUAAUUAUUUUUCUGUGAACGGUAUUUUUGAUAUUUAUAUGGGUUAAUUUUAUACAGGUCUCUGCAAAUAUAGUGAAUAACAAAUAUAUCCUUAUAAAGUUUAACUUUCAUAUAUUGUUCCUGCAAAAGUUAUGAUAUUUUCAAAUAUAUCAUUACGGAAUCCGUUAGAAAAAUUUAGUUAACCAUAGAUUAAAUAUUUAAUUCUGGUGAGUUUUUGAUAUUUUUAUUCCUCUUAUAUUAUAUUGUUAUGAUUUUUAGAGGGAUAUUUGUGUUCUCAAAAUUGAAAAUAUAAAUAGUUCUUUAACGAUUCUCUAAUGAUAACAAAUUAGAGGGACAUAAUUAAAAAUAUCAUAAUUUUGUAAGGAUAACAUAUGAAAGUUGAAUAUUAUAGGAAUAUAUUUAAUAUUCACUAUGUUUAUAAGAAUCUGUAUAAAACUAACCUUAUUUAUAUUCAAUAUAAAUUUUUAACGAUUCUCUAACGGUAACAAAUCAGAGGGACAUAAUUAAAAAUAUCAUAAUUUUGUAAGGACAACAUAUGAAAGUUGAAUAUUAUAGAAAUAUAUUUAAUAUUCACUAUGUUUAUAAGAAUCUGUAUAAAACUAACCUUAUUUAUAUUCAAUAUAAAUUCUAAUAUUUGGGCUCGAGACAUUUUGAUUUAACGCUCUGAUAUGGCAAGUCAAUUUGAUAACAUGCUAUUUAAAUAGAUAUGCUCGAAAAAUUCAUUAACUUUUGAUAAAUAUUAAAGUUCGAUAAAAUUUAACAGUAAUUUUUUAAAACUCAAGAUUAUAAUUUUUUUUUUUUAUCAAAUAAAACUUAGACAAUUACAGGACGAUCGUUAAUAAAAUUAAAUUUUAACAAUUUUUUUUUGAUGAUUAGAACUUGAUAAAUGUCAAUUAGAAAAAAUAAAAUUGAGGCCUCAGCAUAUUUCAUUUUUAUUCUUUUUAUCAAAGACAAUGGCACCGGUCCAUGGCUGACGCGGUGAACCAAAUUAUUUGUCACGCCUAUUGUUACACUGACAUGUGGGCCCCACAUGUCAGUGUCAACACCACACUGGGACUAAAUAAUUUCGCACCUCCCAUGCCAAAAAUGGAAUAAACACUAACUAAAUAAUUUAUCCCCCAAUCCAACCUUUGCCAAUGCAAUAAUUUGCCACUCCCCUUCUCAACGACAAAUUAUUUCCUGCACCCGAUGCAUCACUACACUCGAUGCACCACACCUUAAAAAAAAAACAAAAAGAAAUCUAAAACAUCUAAUAAUUCAAAAUUUUAUUAUCUGAAAAUUACGUAGUUCAAAAAAUUGAUGCUAGAGAGAUAGUCAUUGUUUGAUUUUAUUAAAAAUAAAUAUUUAAUAUUUAUAAUUUUUUCUAUACAUAGGUCUUUUAAAUAUUAUUAAACAUGUCUUAAUGAGUUAGGUUCUGAUUUUGACACUUUUAGUAUAAAAUUUAGCAUUAUAGUGUGUGAAAAUACUCAAUAUAGAUACGAGUAGCAUUAUCUACAGAGCUAGAUAUAAAAUAUUAUAUAAUUUAAAAUUAUUACUUAAGCCUAAAGUAGUUUUGGUUCAAAAAAUCAAUAUUAAAGAAAAAAACUAUUAUAUAUAUGUUUCAGAAUUUUAUAGAAUAUUUAUAUAAGAAGUAUAUGUUCAAGUGACGAGCUGAAUUGUUUAAUUUGACGUAAUCUUAUUCGACGCAUUUAAUAUUAUUUAUUGUUUAAAAAAUUGAACUAAUAUUAGAGAUAAAAAAAAAGAAAUUUUUAGGAUGGAAUUAAUUGUCUAUAACCAUACCUUAUAUAUAUAAUAUAUAAUCUUAUCUAGUAUUAUUUUUCAAAAAAAUUAAUUAAGUUUUAAACUAGAUAUUUUUUCCUUAAAAAUUACUUUAUUAUUAUUUUUUAAUUUUUUUUUUAAACUAUUUGGGACUAUAGGGCAUUUAAGAGAGUGGUGUAUGGGAUGAUAUACUUGUACACCCGGUGCAAGCAAUAAUUUCGUGUUCUCACCUGUGUCUCGCUCUAUGUAUAUAAAUGGCGCUCAUAGAGAGAGAGAAAAUAACAUUUUUUUUCUGUUUAGGAGAGAGAAAGAGUGAUCCCACUUAUCCCCAAAAUUCGUCAACAAUUUCUCUCUCUCUCUCUCUCUCUCUCUCUCUCUCCCUCACUCUCCUUUUAAAACCCUAGAAUCGCCUUCCCCAAUUUUGCCGCAGUAGAUCCCUCGUCGCCACCAUUUCCUGUAGCGUUUAUACGAAUCCCGCUCCGAUUCCUAGGGUUUUGGACUUGUGGGGGUGGGGGGGGAGGGAUCAACUCUGGCGGAGUCUAGGGUUUACAGGAUCCCCUGCUCAUCGCGGUGGAGGAGGAGGAGGAGGAGGGGGAGGGGGUUUUAGGGUUAGUGUUAGGGUUCUGGGAGGGGAAGAAGGGUGUUCUUUCUAAGGAGGGAGAGGUGGAGCAAGAAGCAUGUUGAACGUGCUGAGGGUGCAUUUGCCCUCGGAGAUACCCGUGGUGGGGUGCGAGAUCACGCCCUACGUGCUGAUCCUGAAGCGCCCGGAGAAUUCGGUCUCCAGCGACGACGUCCCUGAAUCGAGCCCCGUCAAUGGCUGUUGCAUGCAGUAUAGAUGGUGAGUUUCUGUUCUUUUCGGUGGACUCAUUAAAUCUUGUAAGGGUAGUAGAACAAUUCGCUGUUCGCAUCAUGUAUUUCUCGAAUUAUAUAGUUGAGGGGCUAAGAAGCACGAUUGAUUGGGAUGAUGCUAUUUCCUUGCGUUGCCUGUAUUUAUUACACUUAAUUUGUUCUUUAAUUUGGGAGUAAAUGGGUUUAAUCUUUUGAUAAUUUUAGGCUUAAUUUGGUAAUGCAAUGGCCAAUGGUGGUUUGGAGGCUCUGAAGAAUCUGAAAGUGUUUUGGAGUUUCCUUCCUCUAAUACUAUGAAAUGGUGGUGGGAAUCGCUAUCGGAGCAUCCGGCCAACGCUUCUCUGGGUGCAAUUGCCACCACCAUUUUAUAGGACAGGAAGGAAGCUUUAAAGGACUUUCAAGUCUUUCAGGCCCUCUAAAGCAUGAAAGUGGGUGCGUUUGGCUACUAAAUCUCCAAACUAGGCCUUAGUCUUUUUGAAGAAUUUAUACUACUUUUUAUAAUUGAUUAGUUGCCUUAAAUAUUCUUGAAACUAGACGAGAAACAAUUUUAGGCUGCUUCUGAUUUCAGUUGCUAUUACUUUUUAAUGGAGUGUUUGGCAUUUAGAGAUUUUUGGAGCUUUUGCUGCAGCAGGAAAGCUAGUAUUGUGAUUUUGAGCCCAAAUAUUGAUGCUUUGAUUUGAAACAUUCAGUUCUGUUGUAGAGAUGCACUGUUGGAAUAUACUGCAUCUUAGACCUCAUUUCAUGAAACUACACUAGCUCUACAGCAAGGCCAAGGUGUUGAAGUUGAAUUCCCAGCAUAAGUGACUUGCUUGGGGUUUCUAGCUUUGUUUUUGCGUUGAAUAUGUCAAAAUAUGAACGUCUAAAUGUUCAUGUGAAUUCUAUGCAUCAUUUUCUUAAGUCUAGAAAUAUACUAAGUCAUGCAAAUGGCAGUUGUCUAGCUCACACUAUCUAGCUCUCUUCCAUUUCCUGGGGAAUUAAGAAUUGUGUGCUAUAUGAAAUUUAGGUUACUUAUUAGUAACUUGGAGCGUGAUUGGGAGUGCAAUGACUCAUAUAUAGUUCUAUGGGGACUGGGGAGAAGUUACUAGAUUAUUUGACUUUCAUUAUUGAUUAAUUUAUGACAUCUGUAUUGAGAAAAGAAUCUUUGUGAAAACAAAAAGAUUAUGGUAGUAUGAUAAAAGUUGAGUAAAAAUGCUAUGUAGCUUGGUUUGAUUGUUUGGAGAAUUUGUCGUUUGUGAUUAUGGCAUAGGUGUGAAGAUAAGUUUCCUAUUCCAAAAAUUGAUUGCUGUGGCUAUUGGGAGUGGAAUAAAAAUGUCAUACACGGCUUGUUGUUUAUUCUGGAUAAUUUAUCUCUUGUUAUCCUAUGAGUUUCUUUUCUCAAGACAUGAGAAAGUUAAAUUACGCGACCCAUGCUUUCCAUGGGAAUUGUACUUAGUAAUGAUCGGCAAUUGGUUAGGUCAUUGUGUUUAGGUUGUCUUGUGAUGGCAUAGCUGGACCACGUAAGCUUGAUCCAACCUGACUUAACCAGUGAACGAUUCAAGGUGGCUCUUCUACUUGAACCCAACCUAUUGACUGAACGGGUCAACCCAAUCCAAAUUGUCAGUGCUGCCUGUAGAAUCAACACAACAUAUGAAAAAAGGGAGGCUUUUUAUCAAACGAUUGGUAGACGAAUAAAGAAAGGGAAUCGUAAAUGAUAAAAUGUUAGGUAGAAGAGAUGGUUUUUGCUCAAGGAGGUCGAGUUCCCAGCAAGCAUUGCAAUCCUGUAUGCUAGCCUCACCCUGCUAAUUGGGUCUGCAUGUUUGAGAUGGCCAUGCUUUAAGAAAUAAGAUUGUUUGACUAGGAUCUAGGUUUUUGGGCAUGGGAUUUCCGGUAACUGUUGAUUCUUUUGUUAUUGCUAGAUCUUUGAUACUCGAAUAGUGGCAAAGCAAGAAAAAAACUUGGAACCCGUGAUGUAUCACUAUUCUCCAUCUUUAAUAUAGGAAUGCUCUCAAAUUGUAAGAUUGCUAAGAACUAGAAUAUGUGGUGAAGAAAUAGAGGAUUCAUAGAUAGAAAAAGAAGAGAGCAUAGAUGGAAAAAAGGGCUGUGAAUCCUCCCUCCAUUCCUCUCUCUUUUGCCCUAUAUUCUUGUAUCACUUGAAAGCCAAUUUGGCAAUGUUUUACUGGUGUUUUACUAAUGUGGGAGGAGGGACUUACAUGAACUGUUUGGGUAAGAUACUGUGAACCCGGGUUCUAACUUGCCAGUGAUUCCCAAGCUCUUGGCCUGUACUCCAUUGGUUUACUUGAUUAGCUUGUUAAAUGAGUCGGGUUCGAGUUGGGUCGGUUUGAACCAACAAAAACUUGGGUCAAAAUUGUGAGCAAUGUUUAAACUCAGCGCCUAGGCGCAAGGCGCAAAUCUCAGCGCCUCAGGGAGUGAGGCGAGCUCCUCAGACGUGCCUCGUGAUAUUUACGUUUAAUGUGUCUAAGGUGUAAGUUUUUGGGUUUUGAGUUUCUUUAUAUUCUAAGAUGUUUAGAAUUUUUUUUUAAAAAAAUUUCUAAUUGAACGUUUUCUUUUCCUUUUCUCUUGAUCGUUCUCUCUUCUACCCCCCAAUGACAAUAAAUAGCAGCGGCAAAAAGAAAAAAACAGCAGCAGACACUUUUAAGCUGAAAGUUGAAAUAUAAUUUUUUUAAUUUUUAAGCUGAGAACAUUUUUGCAUGUGAUUUCUUUACUUUUUUUAUGGUUAUUUUGUUUUUGUAUAGCUAUUUUAGAAUUUUAAUUGAGAUCUAAAAAGGAUGUAAGCAUGUAUGUGAAUGCUUGUAAUAGCUAGAUGUUUUAUGUUUUUGAUACUUCCUUAUGCAAUCUGUAUGUUGAGUACUGUUCCUAGUUGGAACCUUUGUAUUGUAUUGAUUGCGACGCCUAGGACGUACAGGGGAAAUUCUAUUAGUUUGGCGGUCUGUCGGCGUGCCUGAACCCGACCAAAUAGGCGGGGCUCGGGACGUGACAGAUAAGAUGGUUCAUUUAAAAUAGGCUUGUUAAUAGUGUUUUAUUUUUAUUACAUAUGUGCCUCACCUUCUUGAGGCGCGUGCCUCGCACCUAGGCUCCAGAAGGCCUUUGCGCUUUUCUGCGCAUUGCGCCUUUUCAAACACUGACUGUAAGACCCCAGGUAGUCCUAUAUAGAUAUAAUAGGGCUAAAACUCUUAACCCGGUUUAAGCAUUUUGGGUGGUGGCUAGGCCCAAGAGGUUAAGAGAGUUAAGCUUGCUAGGAUGGGAGUAAUUCUAGGAUGGGUGACUCUCUGGGAAGUUAGGGCGCACAGUUGGUAUUAGAGUCAAUUACCAGCCGAAAGAGCGAGAUGAGUCUCGGCUGAGUAAGGAUUAUAUAGCGGGAAGAACGAGGCUCUCAUGCUGUUGACUGUUGUGGGCGGAGUGCAGCUCACCACAAGGUCAGUUUAGGCUAGCGAGACGAGCCUCACAUUGCCUGGUACUUGUGAGUCUGAGCCUGACGAGGACGUCGGGGCUUAAGGAGGAGAGAAUGUGAGACUCCAGGUAGUCCGAUAUAUAAGAUAUAAUAAGAUUAAAAUUUUUAACCCGGCUUAAGCAUUUUGGGCGGUGGCUAGGUCCAAGAGGUUACGAGAGUUAAGCAUGCUAGGACAGGAGUAGUCCUAGGAUGGGUGAUCCCCUGAGAAGUUGGGGCAUCACAAAAACUGUGGCAAAUUACUGCCUAGAGUUAAGAUAGCACAAGAUGGCACAUGAUUGCACAUGUUUGCAACUUAGGCAACCAAUGCUUAUUGCAUGGUAAGCAUAAAGUUGAUGUAGGCUAAUGCUUUGAGAAAGGCAUUGAGUACCUAUCCAUUUGUUGUUUAAAUCCCUAAGAAUUGUAAUGUCUUCUACUAUUAUAUGUGCUUCAGAGUUAUCUUUAUCUGUAGUAUAAGAUCUGAGCUCCUAAUUUUGAGAAUCUUUCUAUAUUCUUGUUGAAGAAGCACUAACUGUGGAAUGAAAUGGAACUCGAUUUCUAUUAUAAACUUGACAAUGUAAUUACUCAAAUUUAGUAAUCAGUUAUUAUAUUAACCAUUCUGUUGUGUUACAAACUCUUAUUUACAUGUGCACUAUGUGGGGGAUAUCAUGGGUCUUUGAAACUAAUCGGGUGUAAUUUCAUUGAUGAGCUGCAAGUCUGAGAGCAAAACAGCUGUCUAGUCUCUUUAGUGUUUGGUUAGCAAUAGUAAGUAUUCCUAUGAUUCAACGAACACAUUUGACUUUUGUGGAACUCACACCUAGUAUUGAGCAGGCCAAACCCCAGUGGGCGGUAAAUAUAAGAGUAGGCUUUAAUACUGAAAAUCCCAUUCUGCUAUCACCUGCUUUGUUUAUGAAGGAUCUGUAGAUUUCCUCUUUGAAAUUUACUAAAAUCACCUAUCAUGAUGUCAAUGAAAUUUCCGAUGCUAUGCUCACAUAUAUCACAUUUCCUAUUUGCAACUUAGGAGGAUAUUUGCUCGAAGUAGUGGAUAUUUGUCUGAUAUCAUAACAGUUGGGUCUCAUAUUAAAUUUUUUCUAGGUAUCGCAAUCAAAAUGAUCAGAAGGUUGCUGUAUGCAGUGUACAUCCAACUUCUCACGCAACACUUCAAUGCCUAGCUUGUAUUAAGUAUAACGUAGCUGCUCCCAAGAGCUUCCACUGCACACCUAACUGCUUCACAGAUGCAUGGCAGCAUCACCGGGUGCUGCAUGAUCAAGCGAAAGCUGCAGAAAAGUAUAGAUCUGUAGCGGAAGAAUCAAGAUUAAAUAGUGGUGGAUCAACAUCUAAUACAGGAGAAAGUAUAGGCUCAAAAACUGUGGUAGAUAAGAGUGGUGAAACAUGGUUUGAAAUUGGCCGUUCUAGAACAUAUACACCGACUACUGAUGAUAUUGGUCACAUACUAAAGUUUGAAUGUACAGCAAUAGAUGCAACAUCAAGAGCACCUGUUGGAAACCUCAAUACUGUUUUGACUUCUCGAGUUAUUCCGGCUCCCUCUCCUGCUCCCCGUCGAAUGAUGCAAGUUGGAUUUGAUGCUCGUGGGCAGUUUGAUCCUGAUGGUCAGAGUGCAUUUUCAGGGACGUUUUCGGUGCUCUCAUACAACAUUCUCUCAGAUGUAUGUGCAUCAAAGGAACAACACAGCUAUUGCCCCUCCUGGGCCCUUUCAUGGCCUUACCGGAGGCAGAAUUUGUUGCGAGAAAUUAUUGGUUAUCGUGCAGACAUUGUUUGUCUCCAGGAGGUAUGUGUUUUCAGCUUUCUAAAUCUUUGAGCGCUUUUGUUAUUUUGUAUACUGUGGUGUUAGACACUCUAUUUUGUAGAUAGAAUAGUCAUAGAAGUACUAAACUGUAUGUCAGUUUUCCAGCCUCACUACUAGUUUUGUGGAAGUACUGAAUGAAUAAUCAUGUGAACCUCUAGAUCAUGCGUAAACACUUUUCUUUCAUUGCAAUUGGGCCGUUAACAUUUUCACUGGUGCUAUAUGCAUAAUGGCAUUCAUAAUUUGGUAGCAAGCUGAAAUAGGCAGUUGUUUUUGCAGGUCCAAAGUGACCACUUUGAUGAAUUCUUUGGCCCUGAACUAGAAAAACAUGGGUAUGAUGCUUUUUAUAAGAAAGAAACAUCUGAGGUGAGCACAUUGACAUUAUAUCUAUAUAUAUAUAUAUAUAUAUAUAUAUAUAUAUAUAUAUAUAUAUAUCAGCUAAUGGACAAUGCUAAUAACUGGUGAUUUAUUCAGGUUUAUAGUGGACAACCCAAUUCAAUCAAUGGUUGUGCAACCUUUUUCCGUAAGGACAAAUUUAUAUUUCUCAAAAAAUAUGAGGUAGGUGUAUGUUGCUAUUCUCAUGGAUCAUUAUGAAAUCACCUACUUAUUCAGUUCCAUGCACAGGUUGAAUUCAAGAAAGCUGCAAAUUCUGUAAUAGAAUCAGUAGUUCCAGCUACCCAGAAAAAAGCUGCUUCACAUCGAUUGGCUAAGGUUGUUGCUGCCUUGCACCAAGUUCAUGACUUUUGACCUUUCUUUUGAAUUUCAAGUUUGUUUCUAAUGAUCAUUUUUGUAACUCUUUCCUUUGGUAGGAUAAUAUUGCUUUGAUUGUGGUUUUGGAAGCUAAAUUCAACAGUAAUGGAUCUGAGAAUUCAGGAAAGAGACAGGUUCUAUGUGUGGUCAGUGGACGUGUUCCUUUUGUCCUUUUCCUAUAGCGUUACUGUUCAUGUUUGUCUAAGCUUAGGCUCAUCUGGGUACCUCUUUUAAAAUGAAUAUGGGUUUUACUUUUGAGAUGUUCAGCUACCAUUGAUAGACAGACUAUUCCCUGCAUCCAUGGGGCUAAAUAAAGCCAUGCACUGCCAGCACAUCCUGUCUCAUAGUACAAUCUCUACUGCUAGUAAGCUGUAGUCUUUCUUGAUUUGAAAGUUUUCUUCUUUAAAACUGGGUAGGAUGGUUGGAUUGGAAGUAUGAGAUGGGAUAAAGGCGUCUCACUUGGCAGGGCACAGCUGACAUGGUGCACUGAGUGCAGGCAAGGAUUUGCCUGAAGCGUGUAAAGAUUUUUCUUCAAGGGAGCAAGGGUGCUUUUUGGAGUACAUAAUCAUGAAAUAUCUUAAUAGCUUUCGUAAUUUUAUAAUUUGGUCAUUUCCAUGCAGGCCAAUACACACAUAAACGUUGAAGAGGAUCAUGUUGAUGUUAAACUCUGGCAGGUUCUCGUCCUAUCAUAUUCUGAUUUGAUUUUGCCGUGGUCUUCUUCUAUCUCUUUAAGAUCUUUAUUUGUGUAUUCCAUAACCAUGGCAGGUGCAUACUCUUGUGAAAGGAUUGGAGAAAAUUGCUGCUAGUGGUGAUAUUGCAUUGUUAGUGUGCGGAGAUCUCAAUACAGUGCCCGGAAGGUAAGCAUAUUGAGCUCUUUAGCCACUCCUUAUUUACAGUUCUUAAAUAAGAACCAGUUUUCAUACUUUGUAGUGUUCCUCAUGUGUAUUUGGCGAGGGGAAAGAUUGACCACUUGCGUCCGGAGGCUGUCUUUGAUCCCCUGGGAGUUGUUCACCCUCUAAGCAAGUUUAAUCACCAGCUUCCUCUGGUAAUAUUUAUGUUGUUAGGUUUGGUUAAUCUGAGCUUAAUUUUAAAAAAAAAGUCUGUUAAACAUUUUUUCAUGUUGCAGGUUAGCGCAUACUCAUCUUUUCUGAGGACAGUUGGUUAUAAUCAGAGCUUGGAGCAACAGAAGAGGAGAAUGGAUCCUGCAACAAACGAACCUCUGUUCACAAAUUUUACUAGGGAUUUCAUUGGAACGCAUGAUUACAUAUUUUAUGCUGGUAAUGUUUCCUUUUAAGCUUUCCUAUGUGAUAUAAGAAUACCAUUUGGAAGCAUCUAUAUUUGCUUUUAAUCCCUUCGGAUAAUCAAAACCUGUAGAUAAUCCCCUAAAUUAUUAGAAAAUCCUGCAUUUUAAUUCACAAAAGGAGGUGAUGCUUAUGUUUUAUAAAUCCUCGGGUUUAUUCAUAGCUUUUGAUUAUCGAGGAGAUCAAGUGCAAAUCACAAUAUUCCCAGGGUGCUUUCUGUAUUUUAACCAUAAAUUUUUUAUUCAGUUUGAUAAUUAAAUUCAACAUAGUAAACAUAUUGUCGUUUCAGCGGAUCGUUUGACGGUCGAAUCAUUGUUGGAGCUCUUGGAUGAGGAAAGCUUGCGUAAAGACACAGCUCUUCCAUCUGCUGAGUGGUCAUCGGAUCACAUAGCACUGCUAGCGCACUUUCGGUGCAAGCCUAAAAUUAGAAAUUAAAACUUGUGUGAGUUUGUAGACCUUUCUAUCUCACUAUUGUUUUUAUUCUUACAUUAUGUAAGCCUUUCACCUUUUACCCUUGCAUUCCAAUGUUUUUGCAUGUGUAUUUUGCUGAUCUAGGAAGUCUUUUAAGGAGAGUGACCCUAAAAUGUUGAUCUUUGUAGGGGGGAAAAAUCUUGAGGGGGGAAAGAAUCUUAAUUUCUUAUGCCAGCUAUGCUGCAUGAGAUUAUAUUAUCUUCUUAUAGUUGCACCUUUAAUAGUUACAUAGAGUGAAUUACGUACAAAAGGUGUUACUAUUAUCGGGGUUUCUUACAUUUUAGCUUACAUUAAUAGCCCUAAUAUGCUAUCAUCUUGCUUACGGAGUUUGAUUUAUACCCUUCAGCAAUCACAUGCUUCAUACUUUGUAGACUCUUCCCUUUUUUUCAGUCCAAGCUGAUUGUUUUGCUCUUUUAGUACAGGUUCACCUCAGUAAUGCUUUCCAUGGGACUAAAGGUAAUCGAUCGACACAAAGCAUUCUGCAAAGGCUUUUAAAGAUGGUGGUGGUGCUGUUCCUUGACUCUCUCAUGAUAUAUGUGCAUCCAUUUUAUUUUAGUAACCAAGUAAUAGGAUAUCAUGCAAAACAUAUUGGUGUUUUUUUUCUUUUUUUUUCUCUCCAUGAUAUAGGUUAAUAUCUGGUUUAACCAAAGUGUAGCACAGGUUUCAUUAGAACUUUACCCUACUAUGUUGACAUUCUAAGACCUUAAAAUCUGUUCUUCCAAAUUAAUAGCAGAUAUAAAGUUCAUAUCUUUGCUUCUUUUAGAACAUGAGAAGAUGAGUAUUUACGCUUACACGGAUAUGCUCGAGGGUGGGAAUGCCUACCAGCCUGACUAUCAGUACUAGUUUAUUAAUGUUACCUUAAUCGUUGUAAUUUUAGUGUACUUUGUUGAGCAUCAGAGCACCUGCGGGCCGCAUUAGUUACCGAAUCAAAAACUGUCAUGGUGUUUAAUGUGAGUUAAUAAUGUAUCUGAAACUUAUCCGAAAGAUGGGGUAAAAUGUGAAUUUAAGUUCAGCUACUAUUAAUACAUAGUUUUACUUACCUUAGGCAAAGCCAUUGACACCCAUAGUUUUCAGGAUGUUGUGAUUGUCAUCUGUAAAUUAAAGAUGCAAAAAAUGUUGUGAAUCUUCGCUUCAGGGUUAAGAACACGAAGUGCUUAUUAGUGGGAAUCGAGCAUCAUCCUUUGACAAGCACAUGGCCACAGAGGCCACUAUGUCUUGUCUCUUCAUAUGCAAGUCAUUUUGCCGUAACCAGAUGCUCUCUACUUUUGUGUAAAUAAUAAUAAUAAUAAUGCCUAUAUAUAUUAUCCUCACUAAGUAAGCCGUAGCUAAUCUCACAUCCAUUAAUUUUAUGGACAAUACCAGUUAGAUGUGGAAAUAUGCUUUUUCCAGGAAAACAAAAAACAAAAAAAAAAAAAACGAAAAGGAUUAAUGAGUAACUAGUUCUUGAAAUCUCAGUUAAUUUCUUCUCUCUGAAUCUUUUUAGUUGGAUGAUCAAAAUUACUUUUUCUCUUUGGUUUAAAUUUUAGCUGCUUUUGAUUUUGGGCCUUGAAAUUUAAAAAACUAAUUUUAAAAAUCAGAAUCAGAUUUUGAAAACGAGUUUGUCAAACAUGCUAUUAAGUCGAAAAUCACUUUUGAGCCCAAAAUUAUUUUUCAAAAGCUAGGCCAAGUACCCUCUUAAUUACACUCUCUACACUAUGCUUUAUUGUUAUUUUCAUUUGCUAUAUUAUAUAUAUAUAUAUAUAUAUAUAUAUUCAAAAACACUAUUGUAUUAUUGUAUUUUAUUGAUCUCUACAUUAUAUUUUAGAUUUUAUUUUAUUUUUCUACCUUAUACUAUUUUUUCUUUUUCAUAGAUAUCACUAUAAGAAAAUCGAAUCCAAAUCUGACAGAUUUUAAAAAUUCAUAUUCGAAUUUGGCUAAAAAUUCGAAACCCGAACGCAAACUUAAACCUAAAAAUUCGAAUCCGAAACAAUUAUUUAUCUUUAUCAUAUUUCAAAAUAUAUUACAUUAAAUCUAAAUUUUUAAAAUAAAAAUUUAAAUAUAGUAUCAAAUAUUUAUAUUAUAUAAUAUAAAAUCAAUUCAAGUUCGGUUUUGGAUCUGAUGCAGACAAAAUUCAUAUCCAAAUCCAAAUUCCUAGAGUUUUUGUUUUCUAUACUUACAAAAUUGUAUCCGUUUAGCAUCGAAUAAAUCUGCCUCGUUCGACUUCGGGUUCAUAUUCAGAUAAAAUUUUUAAUAUCUGUAUCCAUUAACAUUCCAGCACCAGAGGUUCCAGUUUAUGGAUGACAUGGUGAACCACGUCUACUGAAUAAGUUCUUCUCACAAGCUUGACCAUUCCUCCGCAGCCAAACGAACAAACUAUUCUUACCUGAGGAAAAGUAAAAAACGUGUAAGAGAAGAAGACCAUUUUAUUAACAAUUUCGUAGCCUUUUAAUUUUGAACUUAUAAAUUUAUCAAAUAAUUCAAUAAAAAUUUUCUAUUCAAAAAAUUCACUAAUUAAUCAACCGUUUUAAUCUCAUGCCUUAUCUGUAAUUUUGUGUAACUUCAAAACACAAACAAUAUUAUUAUUUUUUCCUACCAAUUAUAAUAAAUUUUACAUUUUGUGUUGGAAUAAAAGAAUUAUAUUUACUUUUGUUUCAAAAUUUUAGAAAAUUACAUAUAAUACAAGCAACCAAAAGAGUUGUACAGUUAUUGAUUUCGAUUGAGGAGUGGGUCUAAUUGUUAAAAUUCAAACUAAAAUUGAUGGAGUCUUUGUAUGAUAUUUUUAUUCUUAGCCUUUUUGCAUUAAAAACUUUCUAAUUUUGCAAUUUUUUGUUUGAAUUUAUAAACUAGGUCUUUUUUAUUUAAAAAAAAAUUGAGUAAAUUGAUUCUCUGUUCAAAAUACGGCUAAAAUAUACGUUACAAAUAAGAUGAAUUUUCAUUUACGUUUGUAAUAUAAAAUAUAAAUAAAUAUUAAUUGCGUAAUAAUUCACAUUUUCGCAAAAAGAGUCCAAAAUUAGAAGCUUCAGAGCAGGAGGUGUCGAAGGGGGAAGGUAAGGUCGAUCGAUCUCACUCCCUCGCUCGAUCGAAUCGGUCUCUUCUCCUUGCGAAAUCGCGUCGAUUCUCUUCGGGUUCUUCGUGAUUCAGCUUUAAGUUUCCUUUUUUUCCCCUUUUUUUGGUUUUUUGGGGGGUUUUUUUCCGGGAUUGAGAGCUCGGCGAUGGCCUCGGCGAAGUCGUCCCGGUCGCGGCCGACGGCGCCGGCGAGCUCCGCCGCCGCGGUGGGCGGCGGCGCCGCCGUGGAGGGCGGCGCGAAUCUCACCGACAAGCUGAAGAUCUUCAAGACCGAAAACUUCGAUCCCGACGCCUAUGUGCAGUCCAAGUGCCAGUCCAUGAACGAGAAGGUCCCGAUUCAGCUCCCUCUUUGAUCGAUUUUUGUGUAAUUUAGUAGUUUACUGCAGAUUAUGUGUAGUUUUCGAUCGAUUUGUUGCUAAAAGAUUCAAUUUUUUAACUGUUAUCCCCUUCCCAAAUAUACGAGAAUUGAGAGCUCUUUCUUCUUUUUUUUGUGUUAAAAAAGGUUACAAUUUGAUCUUUUGGUGAAUCCAUUGUUGGUUAGUGGAUUCAAUUGCAUUACGCAACUGGGAAGCAAUACUUGUUUUUGGAUUUUUUUGAUCAAAUUUGUUGAUAAAAGGUUCAUUUUUCAGCUGUUAUCACUUCCCUGAAUAUGAGAAUUGAACACUUUUAACUUUAUGUUUUGUUCCAAAGAGAAAAAAAAAAAAAGAAGGUUGCUAUUUGAUGUUGUAGCGAAUCCGGUAUUGUUUAAUUAAUUUGAUUGCAUUCCGCAAUUGGAAAGCAAUAUAAUCUCAUCAGGUCUUUUUGAGUUUUUGAUUGGAUUUAUUGCUAAAAGAUUUCAUUUUUCAGCUGUAAUCCCCUCCCCAAAUUUGAGAAUUGCGAAUAUAAUAUCUUAAUUCGUCCUUUGUAUUAUGCUCUGCAUAUUCAUUCUUGUAGCUUCUUAUGAUGUUUAUACACACUAGCGGCUUCGCAUAAACAGAGCUUCUCGACACCUCGUUAAACUCAUGUAGUGCAUUUUACCUACUUAAAUAUCCAUCUACUCCAGAAACAUUUGUGGCGCGAAAUGCAACUAAAGGUUGUUGGAUAUAUUUUCACUUUUGUACAGGAAAUCAGGCACUUGUGCUCGUAUCUACAUGAUCUGAAAAAGGCUUCUGCGGAAGAAAUGCGUAAAAGCGUCUAUGCUAACUAUACAGCAUUUAUUAGGUCUGUAUCGAAUUGUACUAACACUUAUUAGCCUUUCUUCCUACAAUAGUGGCAAAGUUUGAUGCUUCUUUGUCAACCACUUGAUUAAUUAUUUAUUGUUGUCUCUACAAAGGUUCCCAUGAUCUCUAAAUAAAUUCUAUGAGUUGUAAAUGUACUUUGUCAUCUACCUAUAUUAAUUCUGUAGAUUUAGAAUGUUUGGCAGGAACUUUCUUAGAAAACGUUCUUAUUUAUAUCUUUAAUGUUUUUUUUUUUUGAUGGCUUGUGUUUAUUGUAGAAUUCGUCCAUUUUGAUGAAUUCUGUGAGAGUUUAUGUUCAGUAGCCAAUUUCAAAAAUAUCAUUGCUGUCAAGAUUAUGGGAGGAUAGCCUGAUGGAGGAAUGAGCUGUGUAUUUUUCUAUAAAUGAGUGACAUUUUCCUGAGAAGAUUGACAUUCUAGUAUAUUAAAUUAUGUACUACUUAAGAUUGCAUUCAUACGGCUUCAGUUUGUGUGGUCAGUACUUCCAUACGGCUUUAUGAUUUUACGUACCGUAUGUCGAAGUCGCAAUUGAUGUUUUUCCAAAAGUUUGACACUGUUGUUACUUAUUGGGUUUAGCUACUUGAGUAGGACGUAAGAGUAUGUAACAUGUAGGAAUGACUAGUGUGUGAGCUAGCGGUGGUACGCAAGUCUACCUCGUCGAAUAAUAUGUUUACAUCUAGUUUGUUAAAAGUAUUAGAGGAUGUUGAAUUGAUCUCAUUUUCACUAAUAAACAGAACAUCGAAGGAAAUAUCAGAUUUAGAAGGCGAGCUUCUAUCCAUCAGAAAUCUGCUAGCAACUCAGGCAGCUUUAAUUCAUGGUUUAGCAGAAGGAGUAAACAUUGAUUCUCUCACUGCUGGUUCAGAAGGCUCUUCAGAAGACGAUUUCACAAGUGCUCAAGAUCAAGAACCCUCGGAUAUUCAAAAGUGGGCAUUGGAAUUCCCUGAUUGGAUUGACGUGUUGCUUGCUGAGAGGAGAGUGGAGGAAGCUUUGGAUGCUUUAGACAAAGCGGAGCACAUAGCAUCAGAAGCAAAACAGAAACAGACCCUAACCACAGCAGAAAUCUUAUCAUUGCAGAAUACUAUUUCUGACCAUCGCCAAAAGUUAGCAGAUCAGCUUGCCGAGGCUGCGUGCCAGUCUUCAACUCGUGGUGUUGAACUGCGUGCUGCAGCCUCGGCUCUUAAGAGGCUCGGGGAUGGGCCUCGCGCUCACACUCUGCUUCUUAACGCUCAUGAUCAAAGGCUUAAAUACAACAUGCAAACUAUUCACCCGACGAGCACUUCGUAUGGAGGAGCUUAUACUGCUGCUCUCUCGCAGCAAGUCUUCUCUGUUAUUGGUCAGGCUCUUAGCGACUCUUUAGAAGUCUUUGGCGAUGAGUCAUCCUACAUGUCUGAAUUAGUAUUAUGGUCCACGAAACAGGCGGAAACCUUUGCACAGCUAGUAAAGAGGCACGCAUUAGCUUCUUGUGCAGCUGCUGGGGGCUUGAGAGCUGCUGCAGAGUGUGCUCAGAUAGCUAUUGGACAUUGUUCGUUGCUUGAAGCUCGUGGGCUAUCUCUUUGUUCUGUUCUUCUGAAACUAUUCAGGCCCAGCAUUGAACAAGCACUAGAUGCCAAUUUAAAGAGGAUUGAAGAGAGUACUGCUGCGUUAGCAGCUGCAGAUGAUUGGGCACUCACUUCUCCACCAUCUGCUACACGUACAUCUACUAGGACUACUACAACAAACUUGGUUUCCCAGCCGAAACUAUCAAGCAGCGCACACCGCUUCAAUUCAAUGGUUCAGGUGGUAUCUAUAUUCUCAUUUAGGAUAGCUGCAUGGAAUGGAAUUAACAGCUAUCUUAGAACCUUUUUUUUUAUCCUGAAAAAAAAAAAGGGUUCACAUUUCCGCGCUAACUUUCCUAUGUAUUGCUAUCUUUGUAACGUUUUAGCUGUUUCUUAAAGGUUAGAAAGUGUCUUAAGGUGUGAAAGAUGGUGAAAUUUUAAAAUCUUCUGCUUUAAUCGAACCAAUAGCUUAGUAUAAAAUUUGCCAUUAUAAAUCUUAUUCCAACUGUGACAUCAUGUAAUUUGCUGGCGUCCAUUGUAUGCUGGCUCUUAAAGAAUUUUCUGAAAGACUUGCGCAUAUCCUCCUCAUGUUUGUUUUUUUUUCCCCGCUGUUGAUAAGUAGUCCAAAUUUUUUGUAGACAUAGAACUUUUGGCUUUUCUUUUGCGGAGUAUUAAACUGUAAUUUUCUGUAUUUCUUUUCUUUCUAUUGAGAUUAAGUUUGAUAAAAGUUUUAUGCUUUCCUGCCCUGUGGUGUGUACAGCAUUUCUGUUAUGUUGGUUCAUUUCCAUAUGAAGCCCAAUAAAUAUUUGUUUCGUAUUUAUUUUCUUCAGCGAUAUCCACCUAAUGUUAUCUACACUUCAUUUCUGUUAUGUUGGUUCAUUUCCAUAUGAAGCCCAAUAAAUAUUUGUUUCGUAUUUAUUUUCUUCAGCGAUAUCCACCUAAUGUUAUCUACACUUCAAACUGUUUAACAUUGUUGCAAAACUGAACAUGCAAGUGUAUCGUUUGUUUUCUAAUCCAAAUAUUUGUGGGAUGUGGAGCAAAAUCAAAUAUAGAAAAUGGAAGGUAUACAAUCUUUUUGCUGAGGAUAUACCCCUCUAUGUAGCUGGAGGAGAAAAGGUUCAUGAAUUUAGUGGACUACGUUCAAAAGUUACAAUUAAACUGUCUAUCAAAUUGUUCGAAACAUUUUUGAGUAUUUCCGAGUGAAAAUAAAUUACCUGUUGUGCGGGUAUUAAUGUUAAUGUUUCCUGUCUUAAAUAUCUAUUGUAGACCAACUAUUCUAAUUCCAACUUAUUGCUUGCAGGAUUUCUUUGAGGAUGUCGGGCCGCUCCUGAGUAUGCAGUUAGGUGGCUCGACCUUGGACGGCAUUCUUAAAGUCUUCAACUCAUACAUUAAUUUGCUAAUAAAUGCACUACCAAGCUCCAUGGAAGACGAGGCAAAUUUGGAAGGUUCCACAAAUAAGAUUGUUGGAAUAGCAGAGACCGAAUCUCAACAAUUAGCACUGUUAGCUAAUGCAUCUUUAUUAGCCGAAGAGUUGCUACCUCGAGCGGCCAUGAAACUCUCACCUCAAUAUACUAGUGGUGUGGACGAUCCUCGUAAAAGGGUUGCGGAUAGACAAAACCGUGCACCUGAACAGAGGGAGUGGAAACGAAAGCUGCAACGUUCCGUUGAUAGGUUGAGAGAUAGCUUUUGUAGGCAGCACGCUCUUGAUCUUAUAUUCUCAGAAGAUGGUGAUAGCUAUUUAAAUGCAGAUAUGUAUAUUAAUAUGGAUAAUACAGUUGAGGAGCCGGAUUGGGCUCCCUCCCCAGUCUUUCAGGUGAUUAUCCUUAAUUCUGAUAUCUUAUCCGACCUUUCUACUUGCACUUAAUUUUAUUUCUUUUUCCCCCCAUUCCCUUUUGUUCUAGCUUAUAGUCAGCAAUAUAGCAUCAAUGCUUAAAACCAACCUCAGGUCAAAUUAUAACCGGAGAGGCGGAUAUGUAAAUUUUAUCACCCAGUUUGAGCACGCCAAGAACGUUCCAAAUCUUUUCUCUUUUUCUUUUCUCUAUCAGAAUAUCUUCUAAGUUUCCUGUUGUUUUUAUGUUUGCAUUUUCUUUCUGAAUCACGUUGAAUUUUAUAUCUUAUGAAUUCUUUUUGUGUUGUUGCGGCUGCGUGCAGGAACUAUAUGCAAAAUUGAACAGGAUGGCGAACAUAGCUGCAGAUAUGUUUGUCGGCAGGGAAAGGUUUGCUACCUUGUUAAUGAAGAGACUCACCGAGACAGUCAUUUUAUGGCUUUCUGGGGACCAGAGCUUUUGGGAAGACAUCAAGGAGGGACCAAAACCUUUGGGUCCCUUUGGUCUUCAGCAGGUAUUUUCUCUCUCUCUUUUUUUUUAAAAAAAAAAAGAAAAAUUGCUGUCAAAUAUGAUCUGCUUAGUUUGUUUCUUUUUGUGUAGUUUUAUUUGGAUAUGCAGUUUGUGAUCCUUUUCGGACAAGGUCGGCACGUGCAGCAAGUGAUUUACGACAUGAUUGAUAGAGCUAUGGCUGCAUUUUCUUCGACUGGAAUGAAUCCAGACAGGUAAUACCUGCACCUCUUGGUCGAUUUUCAAGCAAUACAUUAGUUCUUAGAUGAACAAUUUAGGAAAUAAGAGAUAACAAAUACUUGUGCUGAAUUUCUUCGAAUAUUUCCAUCAGACAAAAAUAUUUCAUUUUUCAUUUCGAUCGAAAGAGAGAACUCCCUGCUACUGCUCCAGCAAUUUCUUCUCUGAUGAUUUUGGAGAGCAGUGCAUGGCGGCAGUUCCGGCAAUUAAUCUUUCUCACCAGUUAAAUUUUUACUUCUUUUCACAUGAUAAAUAUUCGUGUUAAGAUAUAUUUUGCUGUUUCUCUUGUUCUAUAGUGUCCUCCCUAGUGAUGAUUGGUUCAUCGACGUUGCUCAAGAAACUCUCAGUAGAAUAAGUGGUCGAGCUCAAGCCGCCAACGGAGAUAGGGAGCCAAAUAGCCCUACUGCUUCUGUUUCCGCACAUUCCAUGUCUUCAUUUAGAUCACAUGGUAGUUCUUAGUGUGCAGUUUUUUUUUUGUUUUUUUUUUUCUAUUUUUAGGGAACUUGGGGGGAGGGUAGUUCAUAUACAUAAUAAUAUCCCUGCAAAAUAAUCUAGUUUACAUCAAUGCUCCUGAAAUUUUGAAUUUUUUUUCGUAUGUACCCCCACGAAUGGCUGCUUCUUACAAAAAGGGCCAUUAAAUUGGGGAGUCAUUCAAUUCAUUAGCAGAAGUUUGGAAGUUUUGGAACAUUUUGUAUGUGUGAGAGUUUAGUUGUUGUUAAGGGGCAUAUAUAAACAUUCAGAUUCUGCGGGGAUAUAUAUAGGAUUUUAUUUUUUUCUUUGGUAGGUCCUUGUAUAAUAAGCAGCGGUUCAUUUUAUUAUUAUUUUUUUCUUUGGGGUUGUUUUCCAUUUUUGUAUUUUGUGGUAGCAUAGGUCAUAAUUGGUCACUUUGAGUAAAUAUCUAAAAUAUAAUUCUUGGGGUUUUGUAUGUAAAUUUCCAUACCAAUAUAUACAGAGUCCAAACUCCAUGCAUUAUUGUAUUCUUUCAUCAGCUUGUAAUUAAGAAGUGAUUAGUAAUAAUCAGAAUAUAUGCUUCAUUAAUGGAGAAUGAGUGGAAUAUUUUGAUUUUGAAAUUUGUCGCUAUUCGGUGUUCAAAACCAAAUUUGAAUGACUAUAAGUUGUUGAUCUGAAGAAAUUACAGAAAGUUGCAAAAUCGAAAGCAUUUCGGCUGUUUCGCAAAUUUGCAAAACAUGUGGACCUGUGUGUAUAAAUGCCUGCCUACUUAAAUAAGAGAAUUAUUUAAUACAGCAUGUUCAGAAUCACAAAGUGAAUCUUCUUGUUUAUAAAGAAAACUUUCUUUUUUAUUCUUCUUGUUUAUAAAGAAAACUUUCUUUUUUAUUUUUUGACUAUAAUUAUUUGUUUGUGAUUUUUCUCUCAUUUUGUUAUUUUAUGAUAUUUUUCUUUGUUGAAUCAAACAGUUUAAUUCAUUAAAUAGGAGUUUAAGUUGCUGUUUCAAAGUCAUUUCAAUGAUGGCAUUGUUGCCUGAAAAGAUUUAUAAGUAAAUUUAAGGUAAAUUAUACUUUUGGUCACAAACUAUUGAGUGUUGUAAUGUUUUAGUCCUCGAACUUUAGUUAGUUGUAAUUUCUAUUUCGAAUGAUCAGACAUAUAAUAUUUUAGUCAUCGGACUUUAUUAAUUAUUGCAAUUAAAUUUCACGACUCAAUUUUUUUUUGAAUAAGUAUUUAAUGAAUUACUAAUAUCAAAGUAAUAUAGUAUUGUAAUUAUUGUUGCAUCAUCAACUAGGAUAUUGCUAUAAUUCAGAAAGUUUGAAGACUAAAAUAUCACAUAUCUCAUAGUUCUAGCUAAAAAUUUACAACUUACUAAAAUUUGUGGACUAAAGUGUCAUGCGUUUCAUAGUUUGAGCUAGAAAUUACAAUAAAUUAAAAUUUGAGGAGUUAAGUGUCACGCCGCUCAUAGUUUAGGACCCAAAGUGUAAUAUAUCCAUAAAAUUUAGAAAAAUACUUCUUGUACACUCCAAAAGGAGAGGUAGAUCUUACACCCGUAAUUCUAGAAUUGAUAAAAAUUAAAUUGGUUUUUAGUAAAAAAAAAAUAAAAAAAUUAAAGUGAUAAAAAUGAUCUUAAAAUAGAGUGGAUGUAUAUUUAGGGUGUACCUGUAGUGUUGCUCUAAAAAUUAUCUUUUAUUUUAGAAUUGUAUUUAAUCAACACGGAAGAAAAUUAAGCAAUGGAACAUACUUAAUUACUUUGAUUAUUUGAAUGUUUCAAAAGCUCAAAAGUUUUUUAAAAGUUUUUAUCCUCCUAUGCUAUAAAAAGAUUGUAGAAUUGCCCCCAGAAAAAAAUGCUUCUUAUAAUAACAUUAAAGCAAUAAUGAUAACAACAAAUAAGAUGAUUGUUUACAUAGUGAUUACUUUAGUUCGUUUGCAUGCAAAUGGAUCAAGGUUGAUGGCGCUCCCGCUUCGAUCUGUCGCGAAUAGAGCAGUAUAUAAAGACUAAAACUAAAAAAAGUAAUCCAACUCGAAUCCCCUCAAAUUCGCUUUUACAAUAGAAGCGCAAAGGAAUUCACUCUCGUCUCGAUCUGCCCCACAAAAAAUAGGAUAAAAAUUAAAUCGCCUCGGAUAACCCGCUAAGAAAACUUGUGGAUCCAAGAGGUGGCUAACCUCUCCGGCCUAGAGGUGUCAGCAGGUCGGAUUCGGGGGUGGAUUUUCAAAAAUCCGAACCCGAACCCGACUCCAAACCCGAGACCCGAACCCGAAUCCGAACCCGACGGAUUUUAAAAAUUUAUAUCCAAACCCGAACCCGAUCAAAAAUUCGAAAUCCGAACCCGAACCCGAAAAUUUGAACCUGAAAUAAUUAUUUCUUUUUUCAAUAUUUCAAAAUAUAUUAUAUUAAAUCUAAAUUUUUAAAAUACAAAUUCAAAUAUAACAUCAAUUUUUUAUAUAUAUAUUAUAUAUAAUACAAAAUAAAUUCGGGUUCGAGUCGGGUUCAGGUCGGAUUCGGAUUUGGAUUCGGAUCUGGUACACUCAAAAUUCAUAUUCGUCGGAUUUCUAGUUUUGAUAUCCAUAUCCGAAUCCAUAUCCAUUUAGUAUCGAAUAUUUCCGUUUUAUUCGGAUUCGAGUUCAGAUAAAAUUUUGGAUAUCCAUACCCAUUAACAUCCCUACUCCCGACCCCAGAUCCGUCCCCAAUUGCAUUCUUAUGCACAGCGAUGAAGCGAAGUAUAUAUGCGACUAUUUAAUGCCGGCCCCAUUCUUGUUCAUCUCUUUAUACCUGUCACAGAAAAAGCCAUCCCCUUCUUUGAACUUUCCUUUAUUCCCUUCAAUGCAUGCAAUUGGCCAACAACCAAGUCUUUUCUUUUUCUUUUUUUUUUCUUAUAAUAGAUAUGUCAGACGAAAAAAUCUAGCAAAAUAAUAUGAUAAUUUUAUGUUAAAAUAAUAUUAAAUUUUUUUUUUUUUUUUUUUUGNUUAUUUUUUGACUAUAAUUAUUUGUUUGUGAUAUUUCUCUCUCAUUUUGUUAUUUUAUGAUAUUUUUCUUUGUUGAAUCAAACAGUUUAAUUCAUUAAAUAGGAGUUUAAGUUGCUGUUUCAAAGUCAUUUCAAUGAUGGCAUUGUUGCCUGAAAAGAUUUAUAAGCAAAUUUAAGGUAAAUUAUACUUUUGGUCCACAAACUAUUGAGUGUCGUAAUGUUUUAGUACUCGAACUUUAGUUCGUUGUAAUUUCUAUCUCGAAUUAUCAGACAUAUGAUGUUUUAGUCAUCGAACUUUAUUAAUUAUUGCAAUUAAAUUUCACAACUCAAUUUUUUUUUGAAUAAGUAUUUAAUGAAUUACUAAUAUCGAAGUAAUAUAGUAUUGUAAUUAUUAUUGCAUCAUCAACUAGGAUAUUGCUAUAAUUCAGAAAGUUUGAAGACUAAAAUAUCACAUAUCUCAUAGUUCAAGCUAGAAAUUUAUUAAAAUUUACAACUUACUAAGGUUUGUGGACUAAAGUGUCACGCGCCUCAUAGUUGGAGCUAAAAAUUACAACAAAUUAAAAUUUGAGGAGUUAAGUGUCACGCGGCUCAUAGUUUGAGGACCCAAAGUGUAAUAUAUCCAUAAAAUCUAGAAAAAUACUUGUACACCCCAAAAGGAGAUGUAGAUCUUCCACCCGUAAUUCUAGAAUUGAUAAAAAUUAAAUUGGUUUUUAGUAAAAAAAAAAAUUAAAGUGACAAAAAUGAUGUUAAGAUAGAGUGGGUGUAUAUCUAGGGUGUACCUGUAGUGUUGCUCUAAAAAUUAUCUUCCAUUUUAGAAUUGUAUGUAGUCAACAAGGAAGAAUAUUAAGCACUGGAACAUACUUACUUUGAUUAUUUGAAUGUUGCAAAAGCUCAAAAAUGUUUUAAAAGUUCUUAUCCUCCUAUGCUAUAAAAUGAUUGUAGAAUUGCCCCAAGAAAAAAUGCUUCUUAUGAUAACAUUAUAGCAAUAAUGAUAACAACAAAUAAGAUGAUUGUUUACAUAGUGAUUACUUUAGUUUGUAUGCAUGCAAAUGGAUCAAGGUUGAUGGCACUCCCACUUCGAUCCGUCGCAAAUAGAGCAGUAAAUAAAGACUAAAAACUAAAAAAAUAAUCCAUCUCGAAUCCGCUCAAAUUCGCUUUUACAAUAGACUCGCAAAUAAAUCCACUCUCGUCUCGAUCUGCCCCACAAAAAAAGGUGGAUUUUCAAAAAUCCGAAUCCGAACCCGACUCCAAACCCGAAAUCCGAACCCGAAUCCGAACCCGACGGAUUUUAAAAAUUCAUAUCCAAACCCGAACCCGACCAAAAAUCCGAAAUUCAAACCUGAACCCGAAAAUUUGAACCCGAAACAAUUAUUUCUUUUUUCAAUAUUUCAAAAUAUAUUAUAUUAAAUCUAAAUUUUUAAAAUACAAAUUCAAAAUAUAACAUCAAAUUUAUAUAUAUAUAUAUAUAUAUAUAUAUAUAUANAAAUAUAACAUCAAUUUUUUAUAUAUAUAUUAUAUAUAAUACAAAAUAAAUUCGGGUUCGAGUCGGGUUCAGGUCGGAUUCGGAUUUGGAUUCGGAUCUGGUACACUCAAAAUUCAUAUUCGUCGGAUUUCUAGUUUUGAUAUCCAUAUCCGAAUCCAUAUCCAUUUAGUAUCGAAUAUUUCCGUUUUAUUCGGAUUCGAGUUCAGAUAAAAUUUUGGAUAUCCAUACCCAUUAACAUCCCUACUCCCGACCCCAGAUCCGUCCCCAAUUGCAUUCUUAUGCACAGCGAUGAAGCGAAGUAUAUAUGCGACUAUUUAAUGCCGGCCCCAUUCUUGUUCAUCUCUUUAUACCUGUCACAGAAAAAGCCAUCCCCUUCUUUGAACUUUCCUUUAUUCCCUUCAAUGCAUGCAAUUGGCCAACAACCAAGUCUUUUCUUUUUCUUUUUUUUUUCUUAUAAUAGAUAUUUUUUUUUUUUUUACUGUAUAAUUAUUAUAUCGAAUAGAAAUUCAAUGAAUAUACUGAUUAAUUAAUUAAUUAAUUAAUUAAUGAUUAUUAUUUAGCUAGUAGUUGAGUACAGGCUAGUUAGUUUUCAGCACCACAGAACAUCUUUACUUGUCAGUCAUGUGAUGCAAACUGCUUUGAAUCAACCCUCAUAAACAGAGGGUUACUUGCAAGGUUGCACCAUUGACCUUUUCUGUGUUUUGAUGUUAGCUUAGAACCAUUUAAAUUCUUAUUAAUUUCGACGAAUAGAUCGCGUCAACGCAAUUAAGUUUUACUUAUAUAGAUUAUAGUCAUAGUCUGAUAGCUCUUGAAAACUCUCGGCAUUAAAAUUUUUUUAUAUCUUGAAAAAUUUGAUGGCAGUCAGUUCCAGAUUGACACAGACGAGCGUCGGGUGCUCAAAAAGAGAUAAUAGGAAUCAUGUAUAAGGUCGAGAUAGUUGUAGCCGUGGAAAAUAAUACUAAGGUGUAGUUUGGUGGUAUAGUUGCUAAAAAUACUAUUUUUAUAUUAUAAAAAAUUUUAAAAUUUGAAAAGCGCUUAUAUUAAUCUUCACUCCACAAGUGCUUAAUAUGUUUUUCCGACAGUAGUUUCCACCGUAAUUUUAUAUAUAAAAAAAGGUUGAAAAUACUUUUUUAAAUUUUAGUCCUACGAUAAUAUAAAAAAUAUUAUUUUUAUGACGGUAUGGGAUAAGAGUUAGGAGCUAAAGUAAAAAAUAAAUAAAUAAUUAAAAGUUAAGAAUCCGAUAGGGACCAAAAUAAAAUAUCGGGCACAGGUUGGGGUCCAGCGGUGUAAUUAAUCCCACAAGCAUUAUAACUACACUUCACAUGCAUUAUUAAUGUCUCCAUGAUUACUUCAAUUUAUUAAUUCAUUUUUUCUUUCAUUUUCUCCGCUCCUUUUUUCCUGCUCCCUUCCUGCAGAAGCAAUUCCAUCAUUCACUUCCAAAUUUUCCUUAAUUCGUCCCCAUCCACUGAUUGAAUUAAAUCGAUCGAUCGAUCGAUCGAGCAAAAAUGACGACUCAUCAGCAGCACAGAUUAAUCCGACGGCUCCCCGCCGUCUCCGCGCUCCUCAGAAGAUCUUCUUGGCCACCUGACGAUGAUCGUCAUCGCAAAGAAGCGAAAAGCGCUUCUGCGCACCGUCUCGUUCCGCUGCUGCUGCUGCUGCUGCUUCUGCUGCUUCUGCUGCUGCUCUACGGCGCGAUUUUUCCACUAUCGAUACUCGCAUCGGAGUCCGGUGAGCAAAUUAAAGUAUUACUUAAUUCGUUGUUAUGAUUUGAUCAUUGAUUAUCUACAGUUUUUUUAAUUAAUUUGGAGCUGAUAAUUUUUUUUCUUUUUGUAGAAAAUUAUAGUGGAAGAAGCAAAAACUUUAGUAAAUCCAUCAAGACCCACAUACCGGUGGAACAAAACAGGCUGCAGGCUCGCAAAGAGAAGCCCAACUUUUCGUCUUCGCAAAUUCCGUGCUCCAAACUUAUCAACGGUUCGGCCCUGCUUCUGCUUUUGCUUUUUAAUUUUAGCACCAAUUAUCUCGUAUAAAUAAAGUAUUCGACAAGAAAAAUAAAAAUUUUAAAGCUUUUGCUGUAGUAAGAAACUAAGUUGUUAAAAAAUUUUAUUUUUUUAAAAUAAUAUACUAUACUCUAUAGCAGGGCCAAACAGAUAGGCAGACGUUGUGUUUGUAUAUAAGAAGUGCGAUUUAAUCACAGGUGAGAAGGACGAGACGAGCGCGCCGUGGAUGGACGCCGACGGCCUGCUAUGCUGCGACCGGAGCCACCACCGGACCGACGUCUGCUACAUGAGAGGCGACAUCCGGACGUUGCCCGGCUCCGGCUCUAUCUUCCUCCACAACGCGCGGCACGGCAGCACGGCGCCCGAGAAGAUCCGGCCCUACACCCGGAAAUUCGAGCACGAGAUCAUGCAAACCGUUCAGGAAUUCUCCCUCGUCCCCGUCCCCGCCAACGCCAGCACCCGCAGGCCGCGGUGCGACGUGACGCACCGCGGCGUCCCCGCGGUCGUGUUCUCGGCCGGGGGUUACACCGGGAACAUGUACCACGAAUUCAGCGACGGCUUGAUUCCGCUCUACGUGACUUCGCGGCGGUUCACGGCUGCGGCGGAGGGCGAGGUGGUGUUGGCGGUGGCGGAUUCCCGCCGGUGGUGGGCGUCGAAAUACCGGCAGGUGUUCAAGAGAAUGAGCAAGUAUAGAAUUGUCGACCUCGCGGCCGACCAGCGGGUGCACUGCUUCUCGGAGAUGAUCGUCGGGCUGCGGUUCCACGGCGAGCUCGUCAUCGACCCGCAGCAAAUGCCCAAUGGUACAUACUAAAUUAAACAUAACACUGCAUGCAACCAAAUAAAUUAUUUAUCUUAUUAAAUAACUAUUAUGCCUUCGACUAUGUGCUUGUUUAAACUGAAUUAUAUUUAUAAUUAUAUUUAAUCAAACGGCUUCUUAAAAAAAAAAAAAAAACAACACUAAAUAUAUCAUUGAGUUAUGGAAAAAAGGUUCAUUCAUAUUAUAAGGUAAAAUUGGCAUUGGUUGUUGCCGCAUCAUUUUCAGCGCCACGUGGUGCGUUGUCGAGUCUCUAGCUUGUAGAUAAGCCUAAAUUAUAAUUUUUAUUCUCAAAUUAUGAAUUUGAAAAUAUUUUGUUACUUAAAUUUUAAUUUAUGUAAAUUUUAUAAAUUACUAUAGUCAAGUUCUAUAAGUUUAUUUAGUUGCGUAAAUAUAUGCAUAUGGCUGGUGUAAAAAAUAAUAUAAUAUUUUAUUUAUUGUUCUGUUAUAAAUUAUAUAAUUUAUAUCACUGUUACUUAACUUUUUAUUAAAUCAAAUAAAAUAAUUUGUGGAAUAAUUUAUAACAAAAUAAAAUUUUAGGACCAAAAAUUUAUUGGUAAAAAUUAGUAUUUUUAUAAAAAAAAAAGAAAAGAAAAAGAAAAAAUAAUAAUAAUUGGUUAUUGGCGUGCAUAGGUAGCUAGCAAUGAAUGUGAUCAUGUUAGGUUGAUGAUGACAACAAAUGGACAUCGACACGCAAGAGAUUAAGCAAAAAUUUAUUUAAAACAAAAAAAUAAAAUUUUUUUUUUUUUUUUGAGAGAUAGGUAGCACGCUACCCGUUUCGUUUAUUUCAUUUAGAAAUAAACUUAGCUAUAAAUGUUACGAACUUUUAGUCCCUCUACGUCAUUUUUAAAUAACAAGAGAAGCAUAAAAUAAAACUAAUGAAUGAACCAGAUAGCUUACUAUAUUUUUUUCUUAAAAAAAAAAGCAUAAAAUAAAAAAAAAUUUAAAUACCAUCCAUAUGGUUUCGUAUUUUUUAUUUUAAUAUUUUGUGAUUUAAAAUAUAUUAUUUUUAUAUUAUGUGAUUUUAUUUUUUUUUUCCUUUUCAUUAUUUCUUUCGUUAAUUUUUUUUGUUAAAUCAAUAAAAAUUAAAAUUAUAGGAUACUAAAGUGAAAUUUUGAUAAAUCACAUAAUACUAAAAUGAAUAUUUGACAAACCAUAUAUAGGGUAUCUGAAGUUUUUUCUGUAUAUAAUUUAACACAGAUAUAACGGAGGCGCUAAUAAAAAAAAAAUGAAAUCAUAAGGUACUAAAGUUAUACACUUUAAAUCACAUAAUAGUAAAAUAAGAAAACAUAAAAUUACAAUACUGGCAUUUGAAGUUUACCCUAAAAAAUAUUGUACAGUGCAAAUCGCGCUCAUCUAAUAUAUUUUUGUUUACGUGCGUUGUAAUUUAUUUUCCAACAUCAAAUAAAACUAUUUUUUUUUAUAAAAAAAUGGAGUUUUACUUUGUUGCAACAGAAUAGUACUAGCAGGACUUUUGAUCUUUUUUUUUCUUCAGUACUUUGGAACUAAUAUGAAUGAUAUGCUUAAAAAGAAAACAAAAAAUAAGAAAUUAAAAUGUUGAAGACAAAAAGUACAGAAGCCAAGCUGGGAAAUGCUUUGGUUCACCAAACAUUCAACUCCCCCAACAAAAAAAAAAAAAAAAAAAAAAAAAAAAAAAAGAAGAGAAAAGAAGACAGCUUGGCAUACAAUUGUCCUUUUUGAACGUUUUAUACGUUUGGCACCUUUCUAGACCUGACUGUCUGCCCAGGUGGUCUGAAAAUUUUGUCCCCCAAGUAUUAUGUUAGAAAACAAUUGCUUAUAUAUUUCUAAAAAAUUUUCAACUUUACGAUUUAAUAUUUUUUAAAAGUUAAUAUUGAAAAUACUUUUUCUACAUUCCAACAUAUUUCUAAUAUAUUUUUAAAGUUAAAAUCUGUUAGUUAACUCUGUUAUCUCUGUAAAAUUACUAUUUUGCUCUUUCAAGUAUAUCCUUCCAUCAUCAUUGACUUUUUUAUUUGUCCUUAAAGUUAGGGGCAUAAAAAGUAUUUUGACUUUUAGUCUUUUCAAAUAUACUCCUCUAUCGUCACCAAUAUUUCUUAUUUGUCUUUAAGUUAAGGACAAAAUUGAUAUUUUAAUUUUUUUUAACUGUGGUAGAUGUUUAACUCAUGUUUAAACCAAGUUAACUUAACAGGAGAUAACUGCGGGGUUUGGUGAUUGGUAUCCGAGACCCAAGUUCGAAUCCUAGUUGAUUCACAUUUCUAGCUAAAUUUAUUUCUAAAUAAAAUAAACGAAGUGGGUAGCGAGCUACCUAUCUCUCAAAAAAAAAAAAACUGCGGGGGUAUUUUGCAAUAACGGUGGAACAUAUGAGAGAUAUUUUAGAAAGAAAAAAAAAAAAGGAAUAAAUCGGAUAUUUUCAAAUCUACGAAGGGUAUAUAGCUAAUUAUUUCUAUAGUAAAUUUGCCUUUUGUUUAGUUUUUUCUAGAAGUAAAUAGAGUCAUUUUUCUUCUAUAUAACAUAUUUUUUAUAAUAGAACGUCCAAAUCAACAAUCAGUUUCGUUAAAUAUAAUAUAAAUUAUUUAAAUUUUAAAAAAAUAAAUUUUAUAAUUUUAUAAUAUUAUUGGUCUAGUAAUCAUGUGAUGCUAAAUUUAUCUUUAUAUUAGUUAUUGUCGAUUCCAUAUCUUGUCGUAUGCAAUAUAGAGCCAUCAUCGUGUCGUUAGCAUGCUCUGUUUUUUAUCCUGUUCUUCUCGGCAGGACUCUGAUCGCUUUUCGAAUAUUGGCGCCAAAAAAAUAUUUCAUUUAUAAAAAAUUAAUUUAUAAAAAUUAAUGCUGGCCAAGAAGAGUCUUGCCUAGACCCUAAUUAUAAAAAAAUUAAUUUAUAAAAAAAAAUUAUGAUUUUUUGAGUAACCAAACAUCGCUUAGUAUUUGUAUCUAUCUAUCAGCGAUAUAUUUAUUUGUUUAACGGUGUAGAAUAAUUCAGAUAAGUUCCGAUGCAAAUGCUGCAGGAGAGGGAAUUCAGGAUUUCCAGGCACUCCUCCGGCAGGCGUUCGACGGCCCGCCCCUGCUGCGAAAAUCGCGGCAGCGGCGACAGCAAGCUCCACUGCCGCCGCCGCCGCCGCCUCCCACCUUCGAACACAGCGAGCCUGCCGGACCGAGGAUCGUCAUCUUCGUCCGAAACCAAACCCGGGUGCUGCUGAACCUGCGAGAGGUCGUCGAGGCAUGCGAGGAGGCCGGGUUCCGGGCGCAGGUCGUCGACGCCAAGCAGCACACCCCGCUGGCGGCGAUCCACCGAGCCGUGGCAUCCUCCGACGCGCUGCUGGCGGUGCACGGCGCGGCGGUGACGCACUUCCUCUUCAUGCGCCCUCCGGCCGCGCUGCUCCAGAUCGUGCCGAUCGGGCUGGACUGGGCCGCCGACGCCUUCUACGGCGCGCCCGCGCGCAGGCUGGGGCUGGAGUACGUGGAGUACAAGGUGUCGGCGGAGGAGAGCUCGCUGUCGGACGAGUACGACCGCCGGAGCCCGGUGCUGGCGGACCCGAGCGCGGUGGCCGGCAGAGGGUGGUGGGAGAUGAAGAAGGUGUACAUGGACAAGCAGAAUGUGAGGGUGAACGUAAGCAGGUUCAGUGCGACGCUGCAGAGAGUGUACCGGCACGUGUGCGCACUGCAUCUGCAUGCAUGUGUGCGUGUGCAUGAUGUGCAUGCGAGUGUUUGAGUACGUAGUUGAUUGAUUCAAAUUCAUUGGUUGGUGAUGAUUCUGUAAGCACAAAAUGUUGUUUUUAGUUAGGAAAAAGAUUAGUGAUGUGAUUAGUUAGAGCCAAUUUUAGUAUCGAUCGGCAGGUUUUUUUUUUGUUAUUACAUUUUAUUAUUAUUUAAUGACUUCAAUUUGGGUUACUCAAAUAACAAAAGAAAAAUUCUUUCAAUACUUGCCCGCAACCGCAAGGUCAAAAUGUAUAUAUAGAACUUAACAUUAAUUAUGGAUCAUUUUGAGAAAAAUUACUUAAUCUUUUAAAAUUUUGAUUUUAUGAUCUAAUCGAAAUGUUUGAUUCGAGUUAGCUAACAGCAACUUGACUUCAAACUUUAAAUGUGUCGUGUCGUUUAUAUUUGUAUACUUCAUCCAAUCCUCACUAUAAAUUUAUUAAAAUAAGUAAUUAGUUUAAAUACUAUUGACUGAUCCAAACUAGAAAAAUUUAAAUAUUAAAAAUAACAUCAAAAUUUUUAAACAUUGAAUAACAAUUUCAAAAUAAUGUAAGCUCUUACCUACCUGAUAUCUCAUUAGAUAUUUUUCUUGAUUCAACUUAAAUUCUGCACUUCAUCAUAUUCUCCCAUACUCCUUGUUAGAUUAUCAGGGUUACAUUAAAGUUAAUACAAAAAAAUACACAUAAUGAUUGAGUAUUUGAGAAUGGGGCUAAUACAAACCUCGUAUUUCGUAGUCAUAAAAGUAAACCUCCAUCUACCGCGCUCGAACAUUUAACGCCACAUAACUUAUUUCGACAUCAAAACACUCCAUUUACAAUUUAGAAACAUAAACAAACAUCAAAAACAGAUUUAAAAAAUAGAGACAAACAAAAAUAAAUGGAUCAAACAAGGAAUGAACUACAGAACUGAUUUUCUCCACUGUACCAAUUACAAUGUAAAUCAACAUGGUUCAGCAUUUAGGGAAAAGAUUACAUGAUAGAAACACAAAUAUUGCUACAUCCUGCCGCAACACAAAUGAGAACUAGCACUACCACCUGCAAAUGAGACUCGUUACGGCGACUACGGCUUAAAACUACUAGUUUUUUUUCCCCCUUCCUUUUUCCCCUACAUUUAUAACAGUCAAAUCUCCCGAAAUAUACAACAAGAAACCAAAAAUGGAAACAUAAGAUAUGACUUAGGAUGAUUUAACCCCUACCGCUAAAUUAGGGUUGUAAAGUACACACUUGGAGAAAUCGAAAAGAGGGGGGCAUGAAACCCCACCAGGCAUUUGGUAACAUAUUCUACAACCCUCCCUACAAAAGUUAGGCUCGAUUAGAAGAUUAAAAGGCAAAGGAAACGAAGAUAGAACAGACGAAAACCUACCGAGCUAGUUGACCACUAUCGCCGGAGAAUUCCCGGCAAUUGAGAAGUGAGAACAAAUAAGAAGAGAGAUUGUCGAAGGGGAAAGAACAAGGAGAAAAAGGAAGAACAGUUACCCAAUUAGUCUAAAUCCUAUGCCUACAGCCCUACCAAAAUUAUGAUUCAUCGAAAAGGGGGAAAUAGAUUUCAAGUUCUUUUUAAAUUUCGAGACGAUGGGGGUGAUCAUCAGUCCCAUGCGCUGGUGAUCCCUUGACCACCAUAGCCACCGCCGCUGCCCCCACCAUAUGCCGAAGACUGCCCAUAUCCCCCGCCUCCAUAUCCUCCACCACCAUAGUAAUCGCCACCGCCUCCCCCUCCCUUGCCAAAGGAGGAAUCUUUCCUAAAGUCCCUGCCGCCAAAGCGGGGCCCGCCACCCGAUCGGCGGUUCCUACUGCCACCACCAUAAGAAGAACGAGAAGCAUAGCGUGAGAGCCACGAGGGCACCUCCUGGUUCGCCUCUUGCAUAAGUUCGGCGAGCGGCCUUGCCAGGUUCAAGUUGCUUUCGUUGAAGAAGGCGGUCGCCAGUCCAGUCUUACCGGCCCUCCCCGUCCUACCGAUGCGGUGGACGUAGUCAUCGAUGUCGUUGGGCAGGUCGAAAUUCACUACGUGCGCCACAUGAGGGAUGUCGAGCCCACGUGCAGCGACGUCGGUUGCAACUAGGAUUGGAGUCGAUCCACUCUUGAAUGAUCUUAAAGCAUAUUCUCGUUCCUUACGUAAUUGUAUAAAAGAUAAGUUAGUAUAAAAUUGAGAUAUAAAAGUAAACAAAAUAGUUUUAGUGAUUCAGUGAUCGAUCAUGAUAUUCCUACCUGCUGGGUUCUAUCCCCAUGAAUUGUAGUUGCAGGAAAGCCAGUCAUGCACAACCAGUGCUCCAGUGAAUCAGCUCCUCUUUUCGUCUCCACAAAGACCAAGGUCAGAGCUUGCUGCAAGGAUCAAAACGAUUCGAAUCAGCAUACAAGAGGCAUAUUAAUGCCCCAUCAAUCAUACAAUGAACAGAGGAUAAGAGACAUAUCAACUGACUUAUGAUUCGAAGUAGAUAGAUAUUGGCAAAAUUAUUGCAUAAAGAGAAAAAGUCUAGAGAGGCAGGAGAAAUCUUAUGAUUGAGUGGAUAAUACCUUUCCAGAAGCACCAUUAGCUAUCUGGGCAUGGAGAAGGUCCAUAAGAUGGCUUCGUUUGUCCGCUUCCUGGACAAACUCAACUCUCUGGACGAUCAAAUCAGUGCUAGAGCCAACCCUUCCAACGGCAAGAAAGAUGUAAUUGGAAAGGAAAUCAGAAGCUAAUCUCUGCACAGACAUAUAAGUACAUGUCAGGAAACAGUAUAUGACCGAGCUUUCAGAAAAAUCUUAAAGAGAACAUAAGGGCACAACAAAUCAUAAAAAAAAUUGUGCUGCAUGAGAUUCUGCUUCGGCACGGACACACUAGUGUCCGAAAGGGCAUGUAAGCACCCUAUGCAACAAAAGUAAGAAAUCAAAGAUAAGGAGACACAGAAUAACUAACUAAUUGAAUACAUUCAAUACUGUUUGUUUCCACAAUUUUCUGUAUCAAGCCCAAGUUACUAUCAUCAUUUGGGUAAAUGUGUUUGUCAAAGUGUCUUUUGUAAUUUCUCAGUGAACUCAGCCAUGUUGAUCUCAUCUUGGCCUCCUUCUUAAGGCACCUUCACUACUCCUUCACAAUGGUGCGGCAAGUGGUAUCUGUUGAACAUAUUCUUAAGUUCAAACCAUCUUAAUUGGCUUUUGUGCAACUAAUCCUCACGAGUACCGCAAUCAACUAAGUGGUAUCUGCUGAUCCACAUUAAUAUCCGCAUCAUCACAAUAACCCCACUAGUCAGUGACACUAAAGUACAGAAGUUGUUUUGCACUGAGAAACAUGCGCAGAUAGCCAUUUGUUCAUCCAAUUUAUGGGCCAUAUGAUGAUCAUAGAGACAAGUGACAAAUCUAAAUUUUAACCAUACUGUUACCAACUUUAUGAGCAAUGAAAGAAAAUACAUUGGACCAUAGAGCGAGGGAAACAGGAACACUCCUUAGCUACAUCUUCUCCAUCAAGGAGAAAUGCAUCUCCAUUUUGGUACCCUGCCUCAUUAACAUUCCAUGUAAACAAUCUUAGACCUACUUACCAUACACUUUUAUAUUCUAAAUUUUAUCGAUGUACUACGACCUUGAUGUUCAACAUUAAUUUGGUCUAGCAAUAAUAGCACUUUUAUCAACAAAUAACUAUCAUGAAACAUCGAGCUGAAUACCUCUACUUGAUUGGAAUGUUACAAGUGCAAAUGAGGUAGUUAAGUUUGAGCCUUGGUGUAACCAAAUUAUUACAGGAAAUACCCAUUUUAUCAAUCAAUUAUCAUCGACCAGUUGUAGCUCCAUCAUACAUAUCAUAAUCAUGUAAAUUGUUAUGUUAGGGAACUCUUUCCUUUUCAAAAUCACCAUGAUCAUACCACUCUCUAGAAAUCCUAUCAAAAGCUUUUGUGAACUAUCAAGCAUCAAAUUAAAUGUACACCUCCUUAAAUUCCAUGUUUCAUUUUGAUGAUUUUAGAAAAUUCAGAAACUUCUCAAGAAAAGAACAAAAAACCUAAAACCAAAACUGCAAACAUUGUCAAUACUCGCAACCCCCCCCAAAAAAAGCUCCAAGGGCUUGAAUUAAAAUUGACAAUGAUAUUUUCAACCUUGAGAGUGAUCUAUAUAAGAAUAAAGACCGAACUCAGUUUGUCCAAUAAACGAAACAAUCACAAACUUUUAGGUUAAUAUGCAUCCAUACAAACAAAAUAUGAUGAAAAAGAGGAACAAAACCACCACAAAUAAACUACAUAAUUCUUUUACUCAUUGUCUAGAAUAAGCAUGUGGAGUAGUAAGCACAAAAAGUAAUUGUUUUCCAUAGUUUCAGCCAAGGUUUUAAGUGCCCGUCGACACAGGCCGUACCGUGCCAAUAAGAUACCGGCACGAUACAGAUAGUAAGUAAUUUUCUCAAUAAAGUUCAAAAGAUGUGAUAAAAAGACAUAAUAAAUAGUUAGAAUAUUUUAUUGCUAAAGAAAAUAAAUAUUUCAUGCUAUUAUGUGUCGGCACACAAGAAUUUUUUUUACCGGCAAACAUCGGCACGGCUCGGCACGCACCGUGACGUACAAUGCUGGCAAGUUUCCGGCACAACCCCGUGCCACGGCACUUAAAUCCUUGGUUUCAGCCAACAAUCAUAGCAUCUGUUCAAAGAAUAAAUGGAAUAAUUCUAAUAAACAUAAGCUAAGGUAGGGCAGUGUUAGAAGACAAAUGUUAGUACGAGGUCCAAAAUAAUGUGUACAAUGCCAGCAUAAAUAAAUAUGACAAACAACACUCUUUAAGAGUCUGAAAACACAGACAACAAAUAGCGGCGAAGAAGAACACCUGGAUCUCUUUUGGAAAUGUGGCACUGAACAGCAUGGUUUGCCUUACACCUCGUGGAGGCAUGUCCAUUUGCUCAACAAUUCUACGGAUCUGUGGCUCAAAACCCAUGUCAAGCAUUCUAUCAGCUUCAUCAAGAGCUAGAUAUUUAAUCAUCUGUAAUGAAACCCUGGCACGCUCCAGCAAAUCCACCAGACGACCAGGAGUUGCCACGAGGAUUUCGACACCCCUUUCCAGCUCCCGCAACUGCCAAAGUGCAUUUAACAAUAUCAGCAAGCUAGCAUAUUACAGUAUAGGUCCAGAUAAAAUCCAAAUAUGAAAAUGAGUUACCAACAAGUAAAUUACCAAACAAACGGUAAAAUAGACCCUUGCAACAUGCGAGAAAGUAAUACCUUCAUGACGUGAGACAAAUCAAUGUUGCAAAUUUCUAAAGAAUUUCCAAAGAGGGAGAUGAGGCCUUACACAAAUCUCUAAUUCAAAACAAAUAAAAACCAUAUUAAAGGAUGCUAAGGCCUAAUUUACCAACAAAAAGAUAUCCAAGCAACAAACCGAGUCGAUUUCACUAAAGGUGUAUUAUGCUUCUUCUCAUACACGGGGGAGAUUUAUCGAAAGAUAUACACUCUGGAACAAUUAUAUGGAAUACUAAUCUACUUUCUCCACUGCGGAUACUUGAAAUGACUUCGAGGAAUGACAAUUGAUAUGACAAAUCCUACCAUGUUCUAGUUUAGUUCAAGGCAGAGCUGAGUGAGCUGGGUUAAAUUAGCCGAAAGCAAUGGAAAACUUAUUUAGGCCUUGUUUGGGAAUGAAUUGUUCAAACCCAACCGCUAUGAUGCUUUAGAGGGCCCAAAUUCAGGAAGAUCUGAAAAAACUUUAAAGCUUCCUUUUUCCAAUCGUAUGAAACGGUGGUGGAAGCCGCAACCCACGAAGCAUCGGUGCGGUCACAUCACCAUUCCGAGAAUUGGAGAAGGAGACCUCUAAAGAUCUUUCAGACUUGUUUGGACCCUCUAACGUUUAGGCAAUGCAUUUUGAAAGAAGGUCUUUGAUGUUACGGGCGUGCAUGGAGCCACAAAGAAUCAAAACCAUACAAGAUCACGCCAGCUAGCACAGGAAGUAAAAUCUGUGAAACUUCGCAUGAUGUAACACGAUUUUCCUCGCAGUUUUGCAGGAAACCAGGAUAGCAACAGUUUAGAUGAUGAUCCCACACAAUAAGAGGAUCUCCAUCAGCACAACUGACAUGCAAACAAUUAGGAGUGUUCAGUAGACAACAACAAAAACCCUAGUUCAACCAUCUUACACUCAAAAUAAGAACAACUCACAGAACAAGCAUAAUCUAAGUGUGAUCCAAGCAAGAUCAAAAUAAUGAACCUGCUGAUUGAUCGGUGCUCCUCCGUACGCGACGACCACUCGGACGCCUGUUUGAUACGCGAACUUCCUCGCUUCCUCGUGUAUCUACACGCAUCCAUCGAACAAACACCAAUCACGAACAACAUGAAGGAGUAGGAAACAGAGAGAUUGCGGGCAUUACCUGCACCGAGAGCUCCCUCGUCGGGGACAGAAUCAGCGCGAGCGGAUACGCCGCCCUGCUGCCGCCCCUCGGCCGCUGCUGCUGCUGCUGCGGAGGGCAGCAACGCAUGACGCCGCUGAUGAUGGGGAAGCAGAAGGCGGCAGUCUUCCCGGAGCCGGUCUGCGCGCAGGCCAUGAGGUCGCGGCCGGCGAGGGAGAUGGGGAUGGCGUGGCGCUGCACGGGGGUCGGCUUGGCGUACUUGCACCGCCGGAUGUUCGCGUUCAGCGCGUCGCCGAGGUCGAUCUCGGCGAAGGCGCCGACGGGCGGCGGCACGCCGUCGCCGCUCGUCUCGACGGGGAUGUCGUCGUAGGCGUCGAAAUUGAUGCCGGUGUUCUCUCGCCCGUCGAAUGCCGCAGCCGCCGCCUCCUCCUCCUCCUCCUCGUCGGCGGCGAAGGGGUUCGGCUCGCGGUCCCUGCGCUCCCAGCCGGCACUGCCGCCGGCACGGCGACCGCUGCUGGCGGUGGUGGUGGUGAGGGGGGACGGCAGCAGGGCUUUGGGGAAUGUGUCGGCGGCGGGGGCGGCGGAGGACGGCGGCGGGCGGCUGCGGAGGUGGGGAGGGACGUAGGAGCUACGGGGGACGGCGGACGCCGAAUUGUCGGCGUGCGAGACGGAAUCAGCCCAAGAGGACGGCAUAAUUCGGGGUUAGAAAUUACUCGGCACAAAAACCCUAUUCUUCGAUCCAAUUUUAGAUCUAAGAACCAUAAACCAAAGCAAGCAAAAAAAAUGAAAAGAAAAAACAAGAAUCAAAACUGUGAAAAAUGGCGAGGCGAGAUUUAAAAGAAGGGGAAUUAAAAGGAGAAGAGAACCUGGAGAGGAAAGAGAAAAAAAAAAAAACGAAGAAACCCUAAUAUUUAUAUUCUGCAGCGCCUUUUUGUUGUUAUGAGUGGAGCGCACAACAAAAAUAUCUUCUGUCGGCUGCAACGUCUUAAUUUCCUUCUUUCAAAUAUAUUGACAAAACCACUUAAUUGUAGGAAUUUUUUAAAAAGGGUUGUCCGUAUAUUUCUCAAAUUUCUAAAAAUAUCUCAUCUGUUUUUUUUCUUUUCUUCCAAUAUACCAAUCAUAUGUUCCUCCGUUUAACAAUUUAAGUGUCGUGAUACGAGAUCGUGCUGAAAACUUGUUGGCACGGUGCGUGCCGAGCCGUGCCGAUGCGUGCCGGUCAAAAAAAUUCUUGUGUGCUGACACAUAAUAGCAUGAAAUAUUUGUUUUCUUUAGCAACAAAAUAUUCUAACUAUUUAUUACGUCUUUCUAUCACAUCUUUUGAACUUUAUUGAAAAAAUUACUUACUAAUUUAAAGAAUAAAGGGUUUUGAACUGUGCAAUCGGUAUGAAGUCUGUAUCGUGCCGGUAUCUUGUUGGCACGGUACGGCACGGUGGAUACGGCCCGUACCGACAUGCACUUAAAACCUUGCCUCCGUUAUUCCAAAAUACCCCUAGGGUGCGUUUGGUUCGAGUUAUCCUGCCAGGAUUACAAGCAAUCCUGUUAGGAUAACUGUGUUUGGUUAAUCCGCUAUAUAAUCUAGUCGUUAAUGUAGCAUUACAAAUCGAGCAAGAUUACAUCAAAAAUAUUAAUGGGAGGGGGGUCGUGUAUCUUGCAUUACUGAAACCCGCUAAUACUACAUAUUAUGUAAAAUGACAAAUUUACCCUCCAACAACCCUAAUCUAAUUAACAGCACUAUUUUCAUCUCUCUCUCUCGCCUUCCCCCCUCUCUCUUGCACACCGCUUUCUCUCGCUUUCUCUCUCUCUCGACGUCUCUCUCUCUCUCUCUCUCUCUCUCUCUCUCGCACGAACACGUAUCAUCUUCUAUUGCGUCGUCCUCCCAGGUAAUCAUCACGAUCUUCUUCCCUCCAUUCGUCAUUUUCGCAAAAAAUAAUAUUCAAAUGACCACAAUAAGGGUAAUUUUGGAAAAAACUAUAUUUUUAUGUCAGGAUUACUAAAUUUUAUAGACUGAACCAAACGUAUUAAUGCUAUAAACACUGUAAUUUACAUUACUGCAUUAAACCAAACGCGCUAAUAUAGCAUCAAUAGUAAUCUCACGCCGAAAUCCAAGAUACCUGGAUAUGUCGAGAUACUUUGUAAUAUUACAUAACUCGAACCAAACGGGCCCCUAUAGUUACCAUCCGUUAAGUUAACUUGGAUUAAAUAAAAUAUCACUUUUGCCCUUAACUUAAAGAUAAAUAAAAAAUAUUGGUGAUGAUAGAAGUGUAUAUUUGAAAAGACAAAAAAAAAAAAACUUUUUGUGCCUCUAACUUAAGGGCAAAUAAGAAAAAGUCGGUGAUGAUAGAAAUGUAUAUUUGAAAGGCCAAAAUAGUAAUUUCACGAAAAUAAUAAAGUUCAUUAACAGAUUUUAACUCUAGGAGUAUAUUAGAAAUAGGUUGGAACGUUAAAAAGAUAUUUUCAAUAUUAGUCUUCUAAGAGGAGUAAAUCCGAAAAUCAAAAACUUUUCAGCAGUAUAUAAGCAAUUGCCCCUUUUGAAAACGCUCCUUUAUUUUAGUGAGUAUUAUUAUUAUUGAAAAACAAAAUUUAUGAGUACUAUUAUUGUAGUGAGUCAUGACCGACCGUCCCUAGAGCAAGUGGCAAAGGGCUUGGUGGUUAGUAUCCGGGACCCAAGUUCGAAUCCUAAUUGAUUCACAUUUCCAGCUAAGUUUAUUUCUAAAUGAAAUAAACGAAACGGGUAGCGUGCUACCUAUCUCUCUCAAAAAAAAAAAAAAAAUUAUUGUAGUGAGUCCCGUAAAAUGCAUUUUUUUAUUGAUCGUAGAUAGAUUACUACAUAUGAUAUGAAAACUUAUUAUUAAGUGUUAGCUUAUUGGCAAAUACAAUAUAAAAAUUUAAUUAUUUCAGAAAUUUUAUUAUACCUUGCGAGAUUGUAAAAAAUUUUAUCAAAACGUAAUUUCUUCCUUACUACUAAUUACUAAUGAUAAAGGUAUUUCUCAAUCACACACUGAAGAAAUCCAAACAUAAAAUUCAGCAAUUAAAACAACAACCACCUUCGCUUGAUCCAAGAGAGAAAAUGACUGUAAGUAGAAAGUCAAUUCAUGACUUAUUCGCAAUUGACUCACAUAAGUAUCGGGAAUGAAAUACUGAACUGAAAAAUAAAUUUCGUCGCAAACUAUGUGCUUCUUUCUCUUCUGAUCAUUGUCUCAUAAUUACAUUAACAGGAUACACGAUUCACAUAUAAAGCAUCAAUCAAAAACAUUGAUACAACAUUUGAACGGUGGUAUAAAGCUUGUAUUCGUUGCAGAUGCUUGGUACAACAAUAUGAAGACACCUUCUAUUGUAGCUAAUGUGGUGAAAAUAACCAAACUUUAAUACCCUGGUGAGUAUUUGUUAAAUUUGUCUUCUAAUAAUGCACAAAAGUUGUUAAAUACAUUAUGUAAUCACUGAUUAUCAAUUAAGUAUAAAUUAAAUGUUGUUGUGGAAGACAAUACUAGUACCGCAAGUUUCGCUACAUUAGGAAAAAUUGCACAAGGUCUUAUACAUACUCUGCGGCACAUCAAUUACUAAAGGAGACGAAUUACGACAAUUCAACCAUACCACCUGCAAUAUCAAAUAUUUUGAGCUUGGAACAUAUUUUUCAAGUGAUGAUUAAUGUUUGAAACUAUAGAAGCGAUAACCUUUCUUUCAAGGUAACUAAAUCUUUUGUACAGAGGAUUUGAAGUUUUCGUUACCAUUCUAUGAUUCAUCAACCAUCUUAAAGGAUCAAUAUACCAAUAGGUAAUAUUACUUUGCAAAAAAUUAAAUUUUUUAUUUCUUAAAAUUAUAUUCUUUUACUUUCUUUAUGCGAUUAAAUAAUUAUUCAAAUUUAUUUCAACAGUGCAGAUGCAGAUAGCUCUACUUCACAUGACUCUCAGAAAAAAAAAAGACCACGAAACAUGUAAGUACUUUUAUUCUGUCAUAACUUUCUCAUUUACAAAUAAAAAUAAUAAUUAUUACUUUUUUUUUUAUAGAUUUGAUGAAGAUAGUCUACAGCACUCUGAAUAAUGAGAAGUCCUCUAAUAGGAUCCAACAAAGAGGAUGCAUAUUUGAUAUGGAUUCUAUUAUUGUGGCCUAAAAAUUAUUUAUAUUAAAAAUAUUUAUAAACUUUGGCACUACUGUUUUGCUUUACGAAAUGACUUCGUAUCAUGUACAAAAACUUCUUACAUUUUUUUAUUAUAACUAUUUUGCUGUAAGGAAUAUUUAUAUAUACCGAAUCUUUCUAUAAAAAUUGUUACUGAUAUUUUACUCUAUUACGUGGCUUUUACAAUGUAUAAUAUAAUAAUUACGAACUUAUAAAUCACACCCGCUGCAAAUCGCGGGUAUAUUACUAGUAAUACAUAGAUACAUCAUGCAUGCUGCAAAUCGCGGGUACAUUACUAGUAAUACAUAGAUACAUCAUGCAUUAAUCGGAUAUUUUUUCCAUGAUUUAUUUCAUAUAAAAAGUUAAAUCUCUCAAUUAUAAAAAAAAACGAUUGAUGGAAAAACUGUAAAUUCAUAUUAUAUAAAUAAGUAGAUGAAUUUGAUACUGGCAAUAAUUUUUUAUUUAAAAAGGACUAAAAUAAAAUAUAUUUGAAAGGUUAGGAGCUAAAAUGUUUUAUGUUUUGUAAUGUCAAAAUCGAAAGUUUUAAAGACCAAAAUGAAACUUGACUCAAAGUUUGAGGAGUGAUAGCAUUAUUAGGGCAUUUGCUUAUUUAUUUUGGCUACAAUUUUUAAAUUUAUUCUAAAAUUAUAAAAAUACUCUUCUAAACCUCAAUUCCCACUAGUAAAGUGUUUGGAGACAUUUUAUGGAAUUUUUGAAAAUCAUGAGAGUAUUUUGGUUAACUAAGAGUACAUUAAAUAUUUUUGAAGUUUUAGAGGGUAUAUUAGAUAUUAUUUUCAAAAAAAAUAAAGCAACACUACUUAUGGUACAUUCCAUAGUGAGGUAUACAUCUUUCGUUCACUCCGUUCAAAGACUAUUAAUUUAUUACUUGUCACAUCAAUCAUUUAGAUCGUUGUGAACUCUAUGAUGGGAGUAUAAGAUCUUCACCCUCCUUUUGAGCUGUACAAGUAAAAUUUUCAAAAAAUCCUACUUUUAAGGUGUACAAAUAAAAAUUCUCAAAAAAAUAUAGUAUAACUAGAGGUGCGUGGUGAUAAGAUAACUAUAUGCAUCUUAUUUAAUUGGAUAUAGUAAAAAGUACUAUGAUUAUUUAUAAUUUAUUUGAUUGUAUGCAGUUGAGAAAAUGUAUUUUUUUUUUAAUUUUAUCACUUUUAUAUGUGGGUGAUGAGAUUAUUCCAAAUGUAGAAGAGAAAAUUACUUUUAUUUAUAAAUAAUUAGAGAGGUAUACUUGCUUUGUGUUCAAAAUUAUUCGCUUCAAUUGCUAACAUUAGAAUUACAGCUAAUUUUAGUGUACUUUCAAUUGCUGCAAUUACUCCUCAUGCAUUUUCAAUUACAGUAACUGAAUUCAAAUUUAUUGAAUCAAAUACCGAAUUUAGAUUUGCAUAUAAUUAUCACUUUACUACCUCACUUGAUAAUAAAUUUUAAUAAAUAACUAAAAAUAAAAUUAUAAGAUAGUAAAACAUUUGAAAUUAUAAGAUAGUUAGAUAGUAAAUAGAAAAUGCCCUGAACUAAAAGACUAGUUGACAUUUUUUAUAUUUUAGGGGUAAAAACGUAUGUAAUUUAUUUAAAUUAUAAAUCAUUUGGAUUUGACUAUCUAAUCUUUCAAAAUUUUAAUGUUACAUAAUCUUUCAAUUUAUUUAAUUCGAACCGGUCAACGACACUUUAAUUUUAAAACUAAAAUGUGUUAUUUAUCUUUGCAGAUUUAAUUAGUAUUCUCCAUACAAUAUUUCUCACAAUUAUAAAUUUAUUACAUUAAGUAACUAGAUUAAAUUUUGGAGUCAAAACGUAGUUAACUGAUUCAAAUCAAAUAAAUUGAAAAAGUUGGAUGCUAAAUUAAAAUUUCGAAAGGGUGGGUAGCUAAAUUCAAAUAACCCAUAGUUCAAGAUAAUUUCAUAUAAUUUUAUUAUUUUGGAAAAACUUCAAAUACCACCCCUAUAAUUUCACACUUUCUCACUUUAGUACUAUGUUGUUUAAAGUGUAUCAAUUUAGUAUCAUGUGGUUUUAUUUUUAUCUUUUUAUUAUCGAUUUUACUAAUUUUUUUCGUUAAAUCAGUGACAAAUUUAAAAUUAAAGGGUACUAAAGUAAAUAUUUGAUAAAUUUAGAUGGGUGUCUGAAAUUUUUUGUAUAUAAUUUAACAAAAUAUUAACAGAAAAGCUGCCAAAAAGAUUAAAAAAAAAAUAACAGGACACUAACUUGAUAUACUUUAACAGAGUACUAAAGAAAAAACGUGCGAAACCACGUGGAUGAUAUUUGAAGUUUAUUUUUUUUUAUUUAUUUCUUAAUUUUUUUAUUUUGGUUUUGAUUUUGCUCGUACAGUGUAUUAGCGCAGUUACGGUUGGAGCGUCGCACUCGCACACCGACUCUCCUGCGUCAUUCGCUGCUACGUCGUCGUCGGCAUCAUCUUCUUUCCCGCUUCAGUAAACCGACACAAACCCUCUCUCCCGCUCUCCGUAUCCCCUCAAUAUCCUCGCCCCCCCAAUUCGCCAUUCCCGCUUCGUGAUCGCACUAAAACCCUAACCCCAAUCCUCGUUAAUGGAGAGGGACUCUUCUUCCUCCGACGAUGACGAGGAUCGCCGCACCCUCGUCCCCCAGAGCGAGGCGAAGCCCCCUCCCCCUACACCUCCCCCCGCCGCCGCCGCCGCCGCAGUGUUCGAGAUCGCCCGNCCUACACCUCCCCCCGCCGCCGCCGCCGCCGCAGCGUUCGAGAUCGCCCGUGGCGCUGCCGCCUCCGCCGCCCGCAGCUGCGGCGGCGGCGGAGGCGGCGGCUUCUGGUCGAGCAAGCGCUACCUCCUCCUCGCAGUGUGCCUCCCCCUGGUCCUCAUCCUCCUCUUCUUCUCCCUCGACCUCGGCCGCCUCUUCCGCGGCGUCUCCGUCAUCCGCGUCGCCGGCGACGGCGGAGACGGCGGAGACCGGAUGCGGGAGGCCGAGCUCCGCGCUCUCUACCUCCUCCGCAACCAGCAAUCCAGCCUCGUCAAGCUCUGGAACCGCACGGUUUUCAACGCGGCCCCGUCGCCCGCCGUGGCUCCCGCUUCGGCGAGCUCGAAUUCGUCUUCGGCUAAGGUAGAUCUGCCGCCGCAUUCCUCGAUCUCUCUUUCUUCCGACGAAUUCAGAUCGGCAUUGCUCGAACAAAUCAAGCUCAACAGGGAGAUCCAAAAGGCUCUCCUUUCCUCGCACAGGCUCGGGAACAUCACGUCAGAGCCUUUCGACGAGGACGCGGGCUUCGAUCCCUCUAAUUCGGGGCUUGAUCUCUGUAGAAAGGUGGAUAAACUGUCCGGCAGAAGGACGAUCGAGUGGAGACCGAAGAAAGACAGGUUCUUGUUCGCAAUCUGUCUGUCCGGUCAGAUCUCCAACCAUUUGAUCUGUUUGGAGAAGCACAUGUUCUUCGCGGCGCUUCUUGAUCGCACCCUGAUAUUGCCGAGCCCAAAACUCGAUUACGAAUAUGACCGCAUUUUGGAUAUCAAUCACAUCAAUGAGUGUUUCGGCAGGAAGGUGGUAAUGCCAUUUGAGGAAUUCUCAGACAUGAAGAAGAACAAGAUAACCAUAGAUAGGUUUAUAUGCUAUAUUGCGUCGCCGCCUUGUUUUCUGGAUGAGGAACACAUUAAGAGGUUGAAGACUAUGGGGAUUUCCCUGGGCAAGAUCGAAGCGGCAUGGCCGGAAGAUGCCAAGUUGAAGGAACAAAAGAAGAGAGUGGUAGGGGAUAUUACACCAAAGUUCUCGUCCGAUGCGGAGGUUCUUGCAAUUGGGGAUAUGUUUUAUGCAGAUGUGGAGGAAGACUGGCUGAUGCAGCCUGGCGGCCCGCUGGCACACAAGUGCAAGACUGUGCUCCAACCAAGCAGGCUUAUCAUGCUCACGGCGCAGCGAUUUGUGCAGACUUUCUUGGGAAGCAACUUUAUCGCUCUUCAUUUUCGUCGGCAUGGUUUCCUAAAAUUUUGGUAAGAUUUUUAAUUUUUUAUAAGUUUUUCCUAGUAAUAUGCAUGAUAAUUGUGCUAAUGCUAUAAAUAUUGGAACUUCAUAAUGCUGAUUUUGUAGUUUGGGUCCAGCUGGUAGCCAUGACAUGAGACCACUCUAACCUUGCCGCAUCUAUUUGCCUUACAUGUCAUGUCAUUUAUUUGUUGUGGUAAAUAGUUGAGUUAGUGAAUAGUUCCUUCUAGCCUGUCCAAUGAAUCAUCAGUAUGAACUUUGGUACUUCUAACCUUGGAAGCGACAAAGUUUAUUUUGUGAAAUACAAUAGGAUUUUAAUUAAUUCCUUUUGAUUUAUGAUGAUUUUUCUUUGAUAGUAAUAUCACAUCCAUGUUCUGUCUAUGGUACACUGCUUUUAUGUACUGCAUCAGAAUUGAUGCUGAAAUAUUAGGUUGCAAAAUUUUCAGGAGGAUAUAUUUUAAAAGUUGCACAGUUCAUCUGCAAAUAUGUAUGAAUAGUGAUUAAAAGGGUAUGACGUAUGCCGCUUUGUUCAGAAGGUAUGAUCAACUGAUAAUCUGACAAAACUUGUAAAAACUGCUUGCCAAUUCUAGGUGUCGUGUGUAUGGUAUCAUACAUGUCAAGGCUAAUUUGUGCUACAUGUUUUAAAGCGUUUGUGCUUUUAUCCUGUAAGAGUAUAAUGAUUACUAAGAGGACGUGUCUAUGUUGUAAAGUUACUUUAAUAUGUAAGGUGUGUCUUUAUAAAAUAUUGUAUGUUCAUAUGAUACUUGAAGGAUUCUACUUGAAGGAUUCUUCAUAAUGUUUGUAGGCUAUUAAUUUUGCAUAAUGGUGUUGUUAAAGCAAUAUUAACAAAUGUAGAGGGGGUUAAGAUUUUUAUUAUCAUGAGUCCUAACAAUAUUAAGAUUAAGCAAGUUCAAGAUGUUUUGUUAUAGACCUUUAGUUAUAUUCAUAAACUGAUUAGAUGUCCUUGUCCUUGCUCGGAUAUGUACUAUCAUAAGUUGCAACAACACUUUCUGUGAAACAAAACAUAUGCAUGUGGAAUUGUAUAUCAUUUCUUUAUUUGUAAAUACACAUACGGAAGUACGUAAACUCACACAUAUAUUGGUGCAUUUGUGCUUACCCAACAUAUACACACCCACACCUGGUGCAUUUGUGUUUACGCAACACGCAUGCAUCACGCACUCAUGCAUGCACACGCCUGUGCGCACACACAGGUGCAUGCAGUUGCUAACGCAAAGACACACUCCCUCGUGCCAUAUCUACACGCAUGCACAUGCUCCCACACUCCCAGACUCACACACUCACAUCCACACACAUGCGUGCACGCACAAACACAGACAAAGAGGCACAUGCACACCCACACCCACACAUCAUAUCAGCAUAUCCAUCAGUUAGACCCUAUUCUAAUAUUUAUGACCAUAAAUUGUAUAGUCGAAACUGAUCAACUGCCCCUUUAUAUAAUUGGACAUUUAAACUCUGCCUAAAAUUUAGCAAGAACCUUAAACCUUCCUUCCCGAUUUUCAAGGCUUCAGCCCUUUAUCAUGUAGAGACCCCCCUUUGUCCUGCAUCGCCAGGUACUCUCUACUAGCCAACGUAUAUGUAUGCUUUCCUUGUCAGAUUCCGGUUGUACUUUGGUACUAGAACCAUACCCUAGCCAACUAUGCUUCUAUUAUCAGAUUGGUCUCUCAAGGCAUCGUUCCCUAUUUGUGGUUCUCCAUAUGUAAGCUCACCUAGUAUGAUUAGUUAGGCAAAACCUUUAUCUACAAGUUUAGUACAUGUGAAAUAUCUCUUGGAGGGUAAUUUGGCAGCUGUAAAUUGUUAGUCCUUGCAGUGUUGGGGAAUGUCAUAUGUAGGAAGUCAUGCUUAGCUAUGUGCAAUAAGUUUUCCAAGCCAAAGUUAAGAUGAAUUGCAAGCAGCUAGAAAUCACUUGAACAACUAAAUUAUACAUUUGUGAUCCACAUAGGGUGAGAUUCGCAUGUCAUAAUUUGCAUUUUAGAUCAAAUAGAGAGUGUUAGGAGAUGAUUAUGUUCGACUGAGAGAGCUUUUGAUCUUCAAAUUGGUACAAAUUAACUUGUUUUAGAAUAGUACAUUAUGGACAACAAAAUUCUAAUUGAAAUGAACUCUGUAGGAGGAAUCACUAAGAUGGAUAAAAUUCUAACCCUGGAUCUUCGAAUGGGGAGCUAUAAAGAAUUCUCUAAUUUAUUAUUGUAUGGAAUUGGGCAUUCCUUUCCCUUGCAUCAAUUUCAAUCUGUGACACUAGCAGAGCUAAAGAAGGGACCUGUUCCAAUACUCUAUUAAAAAGUCGUAGUUUUUACAGGACCUGUUUCUCUCUAAAUAGAACGGGUAUUGGAUCACAUCUCAAAAAUAUUGUUGACAAAGAGAUAGCAUAUGCACAAUAGAAGCUCCUGGGAAAUUAAAUCUGUUUUCUGAUAAGAGUAUCUAAUGUCUUUAAAGUCUAAUCUCUCCACAAGGUAUAAAGCCACAAGAAACUGUGAACUCGAAGAGAAGGUCUUGCCUGGUCCGAACCUCUCAUAAUUGUUCUGUGCUGCCUGAGAAGGAGGCGCUAACGUAAGUUUCUGUCUGAAGGGGUCCUGACUACUUGAAAACAAUCUGCAUUGCUUUGUACAUGAAACCUGAUCCGAGAAUAGUUAUGCCUCAAACGAUCACGAUUGCUUGACAACAGUCUGGACUGUUUUGCUAAAUAAGUCUUGAUUAUGGCUUCUUUAUGUCUAUUAACUUAUAAAUCACCCUUUUUAAUUUGCCCCAAACAACUACAGAGUAAAAUAUGGGUUUCUUUUCAUAAUUAUUGCUAGUUUUCUCCCGAAAACCUAGAUUCUCCUUGCUCUUCAUCUUCCCCAUGACCCAGGUGAGGACAUAGGGUUAAUGGCCAUCCAACAUACUUUAUGUUCUUUUUUUCUCGCUUGCUGAUUUUGCUGGUGAUUCAUGGAUUUGGAUUAAGGUAUUGCACCCUAUGUAAUUGUUGACGCGUAAGCUUAUCAUUGAGAAGUGUUAGAGGGGCGGUCAAAGUUGGUUGGUUAGAUGUUGUUGAUAAGCCUUUGGGGUGUAAUUUGUUAUGGAUCCUAUAGGCUCCAUCGUGGGGUUUGCUUCAUAAAUCUUGGUUUGCUCAUAAACUUUUUGGUAUUGCUUAUCUGCUUAUCCUACUCUGAUUGAUAUAUUGCACUAAGAUUAUUGCAAAUUUAUUGGUUCCAUUAUUUUGGUACAUUUGUUCAGUUCCCUGUAGGUUUGUUAGUUGGUCAGCUAAUAGGGACAUUCUGGAUACAACUCGCAUUAAUUGCAACAAGCUGAUUGAUUUUACCCUUCUUACACUUAUUCUUGUCAAAUUGUUUGCAAGUCAAGUAUGAAAAUAUUUUUAUUUAUUUAUUAUAAUAAUCAAUUUUGUUAGGGGUGACUGGUAGCUAUUCUUUAAUUGUGGGGAGAACAGACUACCUGGUGAACUGGUCUCACUAGGACAAUUAUAUUUUGGCUUUGCACCCUAUGUGAAAAUACCACUUAUAUACUACAUCUUUGUCCUAUUUUGUACAUCUUUCUCUGAGGAGUUGCAAUACGAUGUAAGCUACCUCCUGUAUGUUAAUUAAUAGUGUGUUGCAUGUUGCUUUUAGCAUGCUAUAAUUAUUCCUGAUUUGCCUCCAUAUGAUGGGCAAUAGUUUGUUAAAAAGGAGUAUCAAUCAAUCUCAUGAUAUUCAAUGUAUUUCAUCUUUUCGCGCAGCAAUGCCAAGAAAGAGAGCUGCUUCUUUCCCAUCCCCCAGGCGGCUGAGUGCAUACUACGAGUGGUCGAGAGAUCCAAUGCCCCCGCGAUCUAUCUAUCCACUGACGCUGCUGAGAGUGAAACGAAUCUUCUCCAAUCCUUGGUUGUGUUAAAUGACAAGCCAGUCCCGCUCGUCAAGAGGCCAGACCAUAAUAAUGUUGAAAAAUGGGAUGCCCUAUUAUACAGAAAUCACAUUGGCGGGGAUAGUCUGGUAAAUUAUUUUCUCUCUUAUAAACUAAAGAUCUAUAGUACAAUUCUUUUUCUUCUUUUUGGGGUCUCUGCAGUACGCACAUAUUCUUUGCAGAAGCAUUUAUAUAUUUAUAUACAGCUGUGAAAUCCUACUUUUAAUAUGUACUCCUUAGGAAGUGAAAUUUCUUGCCCAAAGAACCCUUAAUUAGGGAAUCAGCCAAUUUAUGAAGGGAUUUGAUCUUGUAUUAGUGAGGGAAUUAUAUUAAGUACAUAUGUCAUGCAUGUGUUUCUCUGUGCGUGCAUGUGCUCGUGUGCAUGUCUCUGUGUGCAUGUGUGUGCGUGUGCUUGUGCGUGUGUGCGUGUGCUUGUGCAUAUAUGUGUGCUCAUGUUCUUGAAAUCAACUUAUCGACAGGCAUACUGAAAAUUCAGACUUUGCAGGGAUAAUUAUGCAUAAAGUCACUCUCUUUAAUUGGUUGAUUUAUGGUUAGAGUCAUUUUAUACAUUGGAUUCUCUUUUAUUAAUCUCCAUCUUGCAUAUUUGCAGGUCGAGGCAAUGCUGGAUAAGACAAUAUGUGCAUUGUCGAACGUAUUUAUAGGAUCCUCUGGUUCGACAUUCACCGAAGACAUUCUUAGACUCAGAAGGGGUUGGGGUUCUGCAUCUCGGUGUGACGAGUACCUUUGCCAGGGCGAACGGCCCAACUACAUAGCUGAACAAGAAUAAGAGGAAAACAAACUACGAGAUUCGGUAAUUCAUUGCAUCUCUCCUCGUCUACUCUCUACAACUUCUACGCCUCUGGUUGUUGUAUGUAUAUUAAUGUGUACAAUUAUAGUGUGACCUUGAUUGAUUCAUUUUUCGAACCACUUAUUUGAUUUUAUGAAGUUAACAGCCACCAUUUCUUCCUACCAAAGUCAGUCCCCUUUCGUUCGAAGAUUUUUAGUCGUUACAUGUUGGUUUGUUUUGUUGACAUAUGAAGUUCAUGAAACUAGCUUUAGAUAGGCAGGGUCUUGAUAUGUACAUCAUCAUCAUGCUGACAGGGUACGCCAUUCUUCUUUGCCUAACGCUCUUGUAUUGAAACACCGCAACAGCAUAGAAUUCCCGAACAUAAUUGUCGAUACAUUGUUACAGCAGCUCUCGAACUUCACUUCUUUUCUCUUCUGUUCCCAAAAAUUUUAGGAGUGAAACGAUGUUUACGACCGAACCAUGUAUGUAGUCAAUCGCUUACCCUUAAUCAUUCUAUCAAGUACCACACCUUUUGAGCAUCUUUGAAACACUCAUUUAGACUAUUCUCGUUCUCUUAGCGUUUGAGUUAACUUGCUCUGCCCUUCUUCAUCAACAUGUUGGAGCAAGCUAACGGGAAAACAAACUGCUAUGUUUCUCCUUUGCUGUGGCAUGCAACAUAGCGCAUAGAUGCUGUGACAUAAUCACUUUGAAAAACAACAUCCUUAAAUCUCACCUCGAAAAAUCAAUUCCAUGGAUCUUCUAUCUUGGAGCUUAUGAUCUGCUGCAAAGAGUUGUUGUUGGGAAAGAAAUGAUAUCUAUCAUGCAGUACUGCACCCUAAAGAGGGGUCAAACUGGCCCUACUGUUCUUUCAUUGGAGCAAAUGCAUCUAAGUUAGGUACCAGGGAACUACAGUUUCUAUAUAUUGCUUUACAACGCAUCAGCCCAAAAAAUGGCCCUUUUCAUAUGUUGUUGUGCUGUGUUAGGCCCUACCAAGGUCCUAUAGUACUGCAAACAAUGGCUCCGCCUUGCUUUGGAGUCUUAGGCUCCGUUUUGAAUUGCAGGGGAAUUGCACUAUGUACGGUAAGAAAAUAUGAUAGAGAGAUAUAAUGUUUGUUUUACGUAAUAUUGCGUUCGGUAUACCGCAAUGAAUUGGUUAUAAUAUAUUUUGCAUUCCCACUUGAAAAGGAAGAAGCAUAUAUUUAUAUUGUUUUGUUUCAACUUUGUUUUGUCUAUUAGCGUUAUACUUGGUCUCAAUACCAAGUGGGCCCUUGGUUGGAACCCAUGAUGGUUUGUUCCGGUUGGUGACAUUUAUCAUUCAUGGCCCAAGCUAACCCAACCACCUUCUACACUAGUGGACAUGGCACUUUGAUUUAUUAUGUGGUCAUAGGAAAGGUUAAUUGCUCUUUGGAGCAAAAGUUUCCUUGGAACCACUAGAUUAAGUUGCAAGAAUUUUCUGCUUGCUGAGUCCAUCUCAGUUACCAGUUGAGUCGACUACCGGAUGUCGGAUCACCACCUAGGUGGAGAUACUCUUUGCGUUUCAGAUGGACGGUCAGAUCAACAGCGUAGAAAUUUUCUGUCCACUAGAUCUAUCGAGAACACUUAAAGAAGAAAAGAAAGAAAGGGUUUUUUUCCAAUUUAGCCCCCGGGCAAAUUUUUAUUUUAAAAAUAGCUCUGUUAAAAUUUAAUUUACAAAAACGGCCCUGGUUCUGCCAUGCAGGAGCUACGUCAGUGCCACGCGGGCAGAGCUGGGGUCAGUUGUUAAGUUAAACAUGAUGAACCGUUCAUCGUGUUCAAAUACGGUGAAUCGUUCACCGUGUUUCACACGGUAUAUUUAUAUUCCUAUAUUUAUAUUCAUUUUCUUCUCUUUAAGGAUGUCAACGGGUUGGGUUUAUAUUGGGUUUUUAAAAAUCUGAAAUCGAAUUCGAAAAUCAAAUUAAAAUCCGAACACGAAUCCGAGCCCGGCAGAUUUUAAAAAUCUAUACCUAUAUCCAUAUAUUAAAGUUAUAUGUGUAUGGACAUAUGUUAAAGUUAUAUGUGUAUGGAUUUUUAAAACCCGCCGGAUUCGGAUUCGGGUUCGAGUUUUAAUUUGAUUUUCAGAUUCGGAUUCGGAUUUUUUAAAACCCGAUCCAAACCCGACCCGUUGACAUCCCUAAAAGAGAAGAAAAGGAAUAUAAAUACACCGUGUGAAACACGGUGAAUCAUUCAUCGUGUUUGAACAUGGUGAAUGGUUCACCGUGUUCAAUUUAACACACUGGUCCCAGUCCUGUCAGCGUGGCGCUGACGUGGCGCCUGCGUGGCAGGGUCAGGACCAUUUUUACAAAUUAAAUUUUGAUAGAGCUAUUUCGAAAAUAAAAUUUUUUCAGGGGGUCAUUUGCAAAAAAAGCCCAUAAAGAAAAUAAUUGGCAUUUGGAAGUGGGGGAGAAAAGAGAUAUCAUUCUCUUAUUGGGACCUAGGUUUUCUCCCUCUUUCUAUUUUUUUAUUUUUCUCCUUUUUAAGCACUUUCCUAUUUAUGCACUCCAUGCUCCAUUUCUAUUAAAAGGAGUCUUUAGAUAUGCUAAUUUAUUUUUGUUUGUUUUUUCUUCAUAUUCAUCAAGAAGGAUCUUUUAAUUUAACUCUCCUUUUAGAUUUUUUUUUUUUGUCUCAAGUCCCUUUUAGUUUCUUUCUGUGAAAGAUUUUGCAUAAAGUAGCAUCCCACUUGUAUAAACUAAAACCUAAGCCAAAAUUGGCACCAAAAGAUAGAAAGUAUGAGUUCCAUAUCGUAAAUUUGGGAUUGUUUUUGAUCGAUUUGAAAACUCUAUGAUCGAAAAAUGAGUCCAUGAUAGCACUGAAUCUCUAAAUAUAAUCAAUGACUUAAUAUAAAUACUAUAAGUACAUGUAAUCUAUUUUAAGUCUCCAACAAAUGUAUUGGUUCUCCCAUGAGUCAUGAGUGCCUUCCGGAUUUGGUUCUGUAGUAUGGACCCAGGCAACAAAUAAAACCUGAAGGUAAUGAUGGUAUGAUGACAAGUUUGGAUGUUGGACUUUCUCAUGAUUGAGGUACAGGAAUUCUUGUUUCUGACUUUUUAUUUUGUUAAUUAGGGCUACUCUGUACCUUCCCAAUUUGUAUGCCGUAAAAAUCUUAGUUGAUGAUAUUUCUAUCCUAACUUUUGUUAUCGGCAGAAAAGAUGCAUUGAACAUAAUCAACAUCGUUGCUCGUUAAUGAUAAUAAAAUUACUUUUUCAGCAAUAAAAGUUCUCUCUUUUUAGGCUAGCAAAAGCCUCUUAAUAUACUGUUAUCUUAAAUUUCUAUGGUGAGAAUCAGAAAAAUCAUACAAUAGGUAAAGAGAUUGAAGAUUCGAUCCACUAAAACGGGAUUGAGACAAUUGAACCCAGUACUUGAAACUGAUAGAAAAUAGGAGUAACUUUCGUAUUGUAUUACCGACCGUCCCUAGAGCAAGUGGCAAAGGGCUUGGUGGUUGGUACCCGAGACCCAAGUUCGAAUCCUACUUGAUUCAUAUUUCCAGCUAAGUUUAUUUCUAAAUGAAAUAAACGAAGCGGAUAGCGUGCUACCUAUCUCUCAAAAAAAAAANCUUGAUUCAUAUUUCCAGCUAAGUUUAUUUCUAAAUGAAAUAAACGAAGCGGAUAGCGUGCUACCUAUCUCUCAAAAAAAAAAAAAAAAAAAAAAAACUUUCGUAUUGUAUUACCUGAAAGAUUAAUCUAACAGAGAAUGAUUUAGAAAUAAUUUAAGAUACAAAAUCUGUUGUGGCUCUCGCACUAUUAGAAUGCUAAUUUGAUUUUGCCAGGCUAGGUAGCGCAGGGCAACCAAUGAUACUACUCGGAAUUCCAAUAUAACAACAAUAUAAGAAUUUAAUAUAAAACUAUUUUGUGCGUUCAAGUUCAUCAUCAUAUUGAUCCCUAUAAAGGAUAACAUUAUAGUUUUUUAUUAUAUGCAAAGCUACGAAUAAUCAAGAAGGAUAUCGUUGCAACCAAUUAUAUCUUCUAAUAGCAUUAGAAUAAAAAUUUCCAGCUCUCGAUGGACAACAUAUGCAUAACCACUUCAAAAGUAAAGAGCUACUAGUUUUUUCCUCUCAUUUAAUGUUGCGAAAGGAAAACCCCCUCUUAGAAGUUCUUUUUUAUUUUGAAAAACGCUACUUACACACAAUAAUCUAAAAAUCGGGUCGAACUGGCCAAACUAAAAACUCAAUCGACGGUCAAAUUGUGAUCUAGUCUAUAAUGUGGUUCGAUUCAGUUCUUUAAAUCAAAUGAGUCAAAAAUCAUUUUGAACGGUGCGAACCGACGGUUCAAUCAUCCAAGCAGUAAAUCUGUUUGGUUUUAAUCAAACCGGUCAGAAUUUUUUUAUUAAAUCAUAUUAAAAUCCAACAACUUAAAAUUAAUCUAACUAAUUUUAUUUUUUAUUAGUUUGUAAAAUUAUGUCAGACUGAUUUGUUUGUAUAAAUGACGGACAAAUAUCGUACGAGUAUUUUGUCAAACGGAUAUUAGUUCCGUGACAAGAGAUAUUCACAUGAUAUAAGUAAUGACAUAACUAUUAGUUGUUCCUAGCACAUGCAAGUUCCAAGCCAUGGAACAAUAUGCUAUUAAUGAAACAUAACAUUAUUAAAAUUGUAGAUCAAAAUACUAUGUAUGGAUGAUCUGAAUUGUCUAAACAAAGAAUUCUUGAAUGGCCACUGCAUUACAUUGAUUUACAAUGAUUUAUUUGAACUAGCUAAUAUCUAAGAUAAGAAAAAAGGUCCAAAUCAAUUUAUUUUUUUCUGUUUUUUUUUUCCGCCAAUUCAACUUUAAUUAAAAGUUUUAAGACAUGAAAAUAAUAUGCUGUAUUUCUCUUUAUAUAUAUAUAUAUAUAUAUAUAUAUAUAUAUAUAUAUUAUAAGUUGAGCUAGAAUACUAUCGAUAGUAAACGAGCCGUUUUACUACCUAUUUGUUUUCGAUGAUAGAGCUUCCAAAUUGACGAUUGGCUCUGUUGAACAUGAUCUAUACCACUUGAAGUGUUUAGAAAUCAAAUUUCAAAUCUUUUCGACAUCAUUUGCCUAAUGAUCAAAGGGUUUCAAAAUUUAUAAUUUUAAUGGUCGAUAAGAGGCGUUUUCUCGUUUAACGGCAUAAAAAUAUCCAAAUCAAUUGAAUUUUUGUUAGAAAAUUCUUUAAACUAUUUAAAACAAGAUCUAUACUCUUGAUCUUGAUUACAAGACUCCUAUCAUCAUUUUUUAAAGAAUAUUUAUUUUCAGCCAUUCAUUUUUUUGUUCACUUGAUGGACAAAAGAACAGUAUCGAAAGUGCGUGAAAUUUGAUUUCUAGCUAAUUUAAAUGUUUAGAUCUAUUUAACGGAGCCGAUCGUCAAUUUGAAAGCUAUAUCAUCGAAAACAAAUCGAUAGUAAAACGGCUCGUUUACUAUCGAUAGUAUUCUAGCUCAACUCUCUCCUCUCUCUCUCUAUAUAAAUAUAUAUAUAUAUAUAUAUAUAUAUAUAUAUAUAUAUAUAUAUAUAUAUAUAUAUAUAAAACUAAUAAAAAGAAAUUCAUUUUUAGAUUAAAAGAUUGUAAAAUCUAAAUCUACUUUUUGAGUGUAUCUCGGGCUUUGACCGCAGUUGAUCAGCGACCCACACGUGUCGUUUCGCACGCGCCGAGCGUCGCUGUAUAUGCUCGUCACGUGUUGUCCCGAAACACGUACGAUGAUGCAUGCAUCAUCAUGAUCCUCAGCAUCAUCAUCAGAGCAUCGGACGGCCGAUACUGCGCGAGGGCAUUUCGGACAAUUCGCAUGGGAACCGAAGACACACCCCGCUAGGCAACGGCCCGGCGUUCGAACGGGACGGAUGUAGUACACGCAUUACUUUGAGAUUGGUGCGCUAUAUUUAUGUUACGUUACGUUACGUUACGUUACGUGACUAUACUCUUCAUCAUGGGGCUGUUCGUGUGAUCAUCGCGCGAAUCUCAAAGAAUGACGUGUAUAAAACUUACAUGCACUGCAAAUUAUUUAAUUUUAGUUUUAUUAUCUAAAUUUUUAAUUUAUUUGAUUUGAAUUAGUUAACGACACAUUGAUUUUAAAAUUUAAAUUAAUUAUUUAUUUUGAUAAAGUUAUAAUUAUGAGUAUUGUAUAAAGUAUACUAAAUAUAUCUGUAAAAAUAAAUAAUGCAUUCAAAUUUUAAAGUUAAACUGAUGUUGGCUGAUUCAAAUCAAAUAAAUUAAAAAAUUGGUUAGUAAAAUUCAAAUAUUGAAAGAUUAGAUAACUACUAUAAUUUAAAUAAGUUCUAUAGGUUUUGACCUUAACUUUUUUCAUGCUUCUCUAAAUUGAAAAUUAUCAGGAGUGUAUUUGUAUAUGUUUUUCUUUUUUUUUUUUGAAAAAUAGAUAGCACGCUACCCGCUUCAUUCAAUAGAUAGGUGAAUUAGGCUACAUGAGUGAGGUAUCCAAGGCCUCAGAAAAAAAAAAAAUGCAGAGGAACUCGACUCUGGCUAGACUUGACCGCUUUUCUUGUCUCGACGGAAUGGGAUAAAGAAUUUUCCCUAACCAAGGUUGAAGCCCUUCCUAGAGUAACCUCAGAUUAUUGCCCUAUCCUUCUAUCUGGGGAAAACAGUGGCUCAGGAAAACGGAAGUAUAAUCUUUUUCGCUUUGAGGAAGUCUGGCUAAAGCCAUGAGAAUUUUGUCUCCAAACUACCAGAAUGGUGAAGGGAAGGUAAUUGGAAAAAGGCGGCCGUAUUAACAUUCACAGAAAAGUUGAGACAUUAUCGUAAGAUAAUCAAAAAAUGGUGUGCGACGGAGUUUUACAGCAUUAGAGGCUAGAAGAAUAGCCUUAUAGUGUAUUUGUAUAUGUUAGGGAGCUUUUAAAGCUAUUGGUGAUAGUUUUUUAUAUUGAGAAAAGGACUUGGGUUAAUAAAUUUUAUUUUUAGAAGGUUAUUGGUGGUAUUUUUAAAUUUUGGAGGAAUAUUUAUAAUACUUAGCAGUUUUAGAGGGGUUGUUUGAAAUUAUUCCUAGUUUCUGACUUGUAUUUUGUUUCACUUUGGCCUGUAACCUCUUCUUCCGUAUGCGCCGUUCAUCGUGUCGAAUUCAACAAAAAUUGAUGAGAUUUUGAAUGAUUAUAAUCAACUACAAAGAAGAAUAUAUUAAUGUUAGAAAUCUGAUAUUAAAGUUAACUUUUUUUUUUAAAAAAAUAGAGAAUUACUAAAUUCAAAAUUAAAAGUGGAGGACUGAAAUGGCACGUAGGUGAGAGUUCAGGGACUAAUGAUGCAAUUUACCCGACGAGGACCGAAGAAUCUUCUCUCUCUCUCUCUCUCUCUGCUGCUAAUCUCCCGCUCUCUUAUUAUUAUACUCCCCUUUUUCCUGUUUCUCUCUCUCCCUCUCUCUUCCCGUUCUGCCCCCACCCACCAAACUCUCCUCCCUCCUCCAACUUCUCCUCUUCCUCUCAUGGUUUAGAGAGAGAGUGAGUGAGUGAGUGAGUGAGGAGUGAGAGAGGGUUUUUAAAUUAUUUUCUUUAUUUUCUCUUCUCUUCUCUUCUCUUCUCUUCUCUUCUCUUCUCUCUCAGGGGAGGGUUAAUUUGGUAAUUAAAUAAGCAAAAUGGCGGCGGCGGCGGCGGCGCAUUUUAGCGCGGGGCGGUGCGCAGCGGCGCUUCUGCUUCUGCUUCUGCUUCUGUGCUUAUCGUGCGCCGCCGGGGGGAGGGCGGCGCGGGAACCGAGGCGGCGCCGCGGGGAGCUGCACCGCCACCUCGGGCGCCUCAACAAACCCCCUCUUAAGACCAUUCUGGUAAAUUUCUUUUUUUUUUAAGAAAAAUUAAAUAUAAAAUUAGUUUUCUAAUUUUUUCUUUCUCUUUUUUUUCCCCCACAUUUUUGCAUGAUUUUUGUUUGCUGGGGUUUUGAAAGAGUAUUUAUUGAGUGGUUUAUUUAUUUAUGUAUUAUAUUAUUUUAAUUUUUUUUGCGUAUCUGUUGCUCAGAAUUUUCUGUGCUGAUAUCAUAUUAAUUUAUAUGAUAUUUUUAUUUUCUGACAACUUAUGUCAUCAUAGAUGAUUUUUUUUUCACAUUAAUAUUCAAAUUUAUAUUCAACAAGAAAAAUUAUUUUCUUAGCUUCAAUUGGGGUUGGUUUUCCAUUUUUUGUCUUUUUCUUUAAAUUUUUUCUACACCAAAAAAAAAAAGAAAAUCAUCCACCCAUGGUUUCUUUGUAAACACUUUUAACUCAUAUCUCAACUUUUUUUUUUUGUUUUUGUUUUUUUAUAUGUUGGGGUACUUGUGUUACUUUUCACUGUUGAUGAAUUAAUGAUACUUAUAUGAUUCUAUCACUCUUUUUUUCUUUGUUUUUGUUUUUUGAACUACAAUGAUAUUAUUCCCAAAAAAAAAAAAAAAAAAAAAAAAAAAAAANUUUAAAAAAAAAAAACAGAGCCCAGAUGGAGACAUCAUAGACUGUGUGCAUGUCUCUCAUCAACCAGCUUUUGAUCACCCUUUCCUCAAAAACCACACUCUCCAGGUACAAAAAUCCUCAGCCCCUUUAAUUUACACUCUCUUUCCAUACCAUUUUUAAAGUUUAAAGUUUAAAGUUCAAAUCCCUCCUCACUGUUUCUGAUAUUUGCAGUUGAGGCCAGCAUUCCACCCAGGAGGGCUAAUGCAAGAUGAUGAGAGCAAGUUUAAGAUCACAGCAUCAUCAGGUGAAAAGACCAAAAAGCCCAUGACUCAGCUGUGGCAUCAGAGUGGUGAGAGUUGCCCAGAAAACACCAUUCCCAUUAGGAGGACCAAGAAGCAGGACUUACUGAGGGCCACCUCUUUUAGGAGAUAUGGGAAGAAGAAGCACAAUAGCUUCCCAAGCCCCAUGUCUGGUGAUCCUGACCUCCUCAAUGAGAGUGGACAUCAGGUACAACUGGGUUGCCUUUGCUUUUGCUUCUGCUUCUGCUUCUGCUUUCAGCUGCAGCCGUUUUCGGCGGAUCGAGCAUAAGUUGGUAAAGAUAAAAGUUUGUGUUGGCUUAAAUUAGCCAGCAUCCUGUCUUGUAACGGAAGAUCACAUCAUAUCAGAUUGGGUAUGUUUAAAGUGACGUUAGGCUGGUUUGGUCGAGUCACAAUUGAGAUUCGGAAGUAUUGUGUCUGUAUUUUUUAAGUGAAUUAUUUGUAUAUUUAUAACCGCUCGAGCUUUUGGAAUUAAUAGUUAACGCCAACGAUCCGACAGUUUGAAGCUUUUUAAAUAGGGGAAGAUUCUUAAGCUAUUGGGAGAUCUUAACAUGGUACUUCUUCAAAAAUCAUUUUAUCGACCAACGAAAGAAUAAUAAAUAAUGGCACGAACGGUGGAAGAGAUUCCAAAUAAAAUGUGUAUUAGCCUUCAAUUUUUAGUUUGGUAGUGCGCCUUUCACCUUAGUCAGACUCCUUCGCAUAGAAGGAGAACUUGCUUUUUAAUGAAGUGAUUCUCUACUUUGCUUGAUUCUCUAAUGUCUUUCUUUGAUCUUUAUUUCAUAUAUUACCCUAUUCUUUUAUUAUCUAUUUAUGUUUUUUUUUUGCCUUUUUUGGGGGUUUUGUAGCAUGCAAUAGCUUAUGUAGAGGGAGACAAGUACUAUGGAGCAAAGGCAACCAUGAAUGUGUGGCAACCAAAGAUUCAACAAACCAAUGAGUUCAGCUUGUCUCAGAUAUGGAUCUUAGGAGGCUCCUUUGGACAAGACCUCAAUAGCAUUGAAGCAGGGUGGCAGGUAACACACACAUCCCUUGUCCAACUCUUUUCUUAAUAAAUGCAUCAAAAAGUGCUCAUAAGUUUCAGUUUCUGAAAACUCAUCUCAUUUUGAUGGUUUUGUUUUUUUUUGGUUGGUAAAAUAAUUUCAGGUUAGUCCAGAUCUUUAUGGGGAUAACAAUACAAGGCUGUUCACCUACUGGACUGUAAGUCACAGAUCCUUUCCACUGCUCUUCUCUCGAGUUCUUUUGCAAUUUUUUGUUAGGAUAAUAUGUAAUAUACCCUUCAAACCAAAAUUCUUUUGUUGAUUUUAAAAAAAUUCUUUCAAAUUUCUCAUUUUUCUCCGGGAUUUUCAGAUGGGAUUGGGUUUUAGAAGGGUAUUUUGGAUACUGAGGGAUAAAUUUGAAAAUUUUCAAUAGUAGUAACAGGCUCCCCCUUUUUUUCCAAGUAUAUUUUAUCACCUUAAGAUAUGCUAUAGAUGAGUUGGCAUUGUCUUGAGUUAUGUAUUUAUAAGUCUAUUUAUUGUUUUUUUGGGUUGAUUAAACUUAUUGGUCCCUAAUCUAAACCCUAAAUUUUUUUUAAAAUUUUUUUGUUCUCAAUCAAAUUCACCAUGAUUCUACAUUGAUGCGGUUAUUUUAUCGGAAUCAACGGUCACUUUGAUGGUAGGGGUAGGGACUCAAUCGAAGCAACUAAAAAGCAUGAGGAAAUAAAUUGUAAAAAUUAAGAAGUUAGGAAUCAAAGUAAAAGCCCUUUUUCAAAUGAAAGAGGUAGAGGGAGAUGCAAACAUUCUUGAUUCCCAACAGAUGGUCUUGACUACUGCUUUUUUUUUUUUUUUUUUUUUACCUUUAUAAAACAUUGCAUGGUUACUCUUGCUUCUUGGUAUUGGAAUUUGUAGAGUGAUGCUUAUCAAGCUACAGGGUGCUACAACCUACUGUGCUCUGGAUUCAUCCAGAUAAACAAUGACAUAGCAAUGGGUGCUACCAUCUACCCAAUCUCUGGCUAUGGCUCUCCCCAGUAUGACAUCAGCUUAUUAGUCUGGAAGGUAAAAAAAAAAAUUUUAAAAAAAAAUUACCAUAAGCCUCACAUCAACUAAAUUUUUGUUAGAAAAUUCUUUCCAGCCAUUCAUUUUCAACUAGACUCUAGAUCUCAAAUAUAAAAAUUGUAUCAUUACUUUUUGAAGGAUAUUCAUUUCCAGCAAUUUAUUUUUCUGUUCACUUGAUGGACAAGAGAACAAUAUCGAAAAUGUGUGAAAUUUGAUUUCCAGAUAGUUUAAAUAGUUUAGAUCAUGUUUAACGGUGCCGAUCAUCAAUUUGGAAGCUCUAUCAUCGAAAACAAAUCGGUAGUAAACUGAGCCGUUUACUACUGAUAGUAUUCUAGCAAAACUCUCUCUCUCUCUCUAUAUAUAUAUAUAAAAGAAUACAGCAAGGGAGCAGAGAUUCUCUGCCACUUGAUUCUUGUUUCUGUAAUCUAAUUGAGAAAAAUGUUGUUUGCGUAGUGCUGUUUGGUGAAGUGAUUUAGGUUUUUUUUUUGUUCAAACGCUUUACUCGAGAUUGCUGAAGCAAGAAGCAGAAGCAGAAGUCUCUUUCUAAUGCACUUAAAACAAGCUGUAACCAUUUACCAAUAAAUGAUUGGAUUAAGCUUAAUUUUAUAAUCAGUCGUCGUUACUUUCAACCACAUCCUUGGAAUUUUAAAUUGUCAAAUUUUAAUAAUGUAGUCUGCGUAGUUUGUCUCUUACGUGAAGCAAGUCAUUGUUUUAUUCUCUACAACAAAACACGCCAAAACCGUUGCAGUAAAAGUAAAAACUUUGCAGUAACAUAUGAUGCCGAGCGAGUUCUAUAAUCUAUUUUUAUUAGUAAUUCGAAUAGUUAAGAGUAGUUUAAAUUUUAUUAUUUAAGAGUUUUUCGUCUGUUAUUUGAAACAGGAUCCGAAGGAGGGGAACUGGUGGAUGCAGUUCGGGAACGGCUACGUGCUCGGCUACUGGCCGUCCUUCCUCUUCUCCUACUUGGCCGAGAGCGCGUCGAUGAUCGAGUGGGGGGGCGAGGUGGUGAACUCGCAGCCGGGCGGCGAGCACACCGCCACGCAGAUGGGCAGCGGCCGCUUCCCGGAGGAAGGGUUCGGAAAGGCGAGUUACUUUCGGAACAUUGAGGUUGUGGAUGGUGCAAACAACUUGAGAGCACCUGGGGAUGUUGGGACCUUCACUGAGCAAUCCAACUGCUAUGAUGUGCACACUGGGAAGGGUGGGGACUGGGGGAAUUACUUCUACUAUGGGGGGCCUGGUAAAAACCCUAAUUGUCUAUAGAGAUAUUAUUGAGCUUAACCCUAAUUAUUAUGAUAAUGUGUUGGCUUGGUAUGUAAAUUAAUGUUCUUUUUUUUUCUUUUUUUUUUUUUCUCUCUCUUUUCAAUUUGAUCCAUGUUAAGUGGUUGGGGUGAAUAUGGUAAAAAGUGUCUUCCCUGUUUGGAGUGUUUUGUUCAUGCUUGUGAGUGAAUGAAAGGUGAAAAUGUAUGGAGACCCUUUCUUAACUUUUGGUUACUUUGAUUUUAAGUUAUUUAAUAAGCAUUUACUUUAUUGAUAAAAGUUACACCUCCUUGAGCAAGAAAAUGGCUUGAAUUGUGAAAUUUGGUGAAUCUAUUAAUUAAUUUAGUAACUUUAAUUAAUCUUAGAGUUUAGAAAGUCUUAAGGAAAAAAGAUGGAGCUACAAAGUUUUAUUUCAUAAUGGCCUAUGGAGAGUUCUUCAUACAAUUUUAGAGCUAGGUUACCUUUUGGUAUUAUUUAUCUAUUCUUUAAGUGGAUCAAAAUUUGAUAAUUUUCAGCGGCUAAUAUAAAAAUGAAUUUGACACUAUUUCACUGCUAGCUAAAUUAUACCAUACAAUUAUAAAGUUCAAUUAUUUCUCAAAAAAAUAUAUAUAUAAAGUUUGAUUUCUAGAAAAAUUAAGUAGUUUAGAUGGUAUUUGAUGGAGAUAAUUGUUGAUUCAAAUGUUUUACUGCUGAACUGAUGUGAAAGUGAAUGACUUUGUUUACUUUGAGAAGUAUUUUAGUUUUAUAUUUUUUUUAGGCUAAAUUAUAGAAAACCCCCUGUAAUAACCUGCUUUUUCACUUUUCCCCUCUGACAUUUAAAAACCUACACUUUGCCUCCCUGUAAAAUAAAAAAUGUUCACAGGAGGGUUACGGUGUGUAAAAUGACCAUUUUGCCCCUCGCCAUUGUUGUCUUCUUCUCCAUCUUGCUCAACCGCCCCUUCGUUGGGCCGCGAUUCCCACCUCAAUCGGCCGCGAUUUCUCUCCAUUUUUUUCUCCACCUGCUCCCCUUCUCCUUCUGCACCCUCGCUGCCCUCGAUUUCGACGACAGUAGGAGAAAACCGAGAUGGGCGACAGUAGGAGAAGGGCAAAGAAGGCGAAGGCGAGGCGACGGAGGACGGUGAAGGGGAUGUGGAUGAGGGCGAGGCAGUGGAGGACGGCGAGGCCGCUAGGCGGCGAGGCGGCGGCGAGGUGGCGAGGCGGCGGCGAGGUGGUGAGCCAGAGGGAGUCGAAGCAACAGCGAGAUGGCGGAGGGGUAUUUUCGGCAUAAAAAUAUAUUUUUUAACGGAACCCUGACGGAACCUUAACGGUAGGGGGUGAAGUGCACAUUUUUUAUUUUACAGGGGGGCAAAGUGUAGGUUUUUAAAUAUUAGUGAGGAAAAGUGAAAAAAUGGGUUAUUAUAAGGGGGUUUUCUGUAAUUUAGCCUUUUUUUUUAUCCUAUUUUAGAGAGAGAGAGAGAGAGAGGGAAUCUCUGAGCAUGGUCAAACAGGAGUAGGCUAGGUAUAUUUUAUGACAAAUAUGGGAGAAAAAGCAUGGAGCUCAUGACAAAAGAUCAUCUUUCUGUUUUUUUUUUUUUUUUUUUUUUUUUUGGUGUGGUAAAAAGUAAAGAAAAUGGACAAUUGGACAAAAUUUAAUUUGGUGGUGGGUAGGUGGAAGCAAGAAGAAAAACAAAAAAGAAAAGUAAAAAAAUAAUAAUAAUAAUAAUGAGGGGGGUGUGGAUUUAAUUGAUCAUGGUAAGAUACCAGAACAUUCUUGAAAGAGAUGUUGUGCAUGUGGUUUUGGGGUGAAUCAUGAAUGGUUCUCACAUUAUCCACACACAAGCAACUUUUUGGCCCACUUUUUAUUUUAUUAUUUUAUUUUUAACUUGUUAUGGUCAUACACCAGCUUUUUAAAUCCCUUUAACUUUAAUAUCUUUUCGAAUUUUUAAACAUCUUAUUAUUCCAUAGAUGCAAAAUGCACUGGAGACCCCUUUAUCUAUAGGCCAUUUUGAAAUGACACCUCAACUUCAAUUAUGUUAUGAUAUUUUUGAAUUGCAUAAUUUUAGUCAAAUAAAUUAAGAUUUUAAUCAAAUUUAUAUAAAGUUCUACCAACUUUACCAGCUUUAAUUAUUUUAAGCAAAUAGAACUAUUUAAUUUAAAAAUUAAACUAAACUAACUAAAAUAACUUAAAAUAAAAAAAAACAUAAUAAAAUUUGUAAAAUAUCAGUAAGGAAAAAGUAAAUUCGAGUUCUGACGUGUCAUCGCGUUUCGUUCGGAUCUCGAAGCUCUUUUAACCUGUUCUCAUCUGGCUCGGACCUGAUCUUUUAAGUCGGUUUUGUUCGAUUCUCACGUAACUAACUAUCUUGCUUUUGUGUUGAAAACAAUUUAAAUUCUCAACUUGCAUGUAAUAAUGUAAAAAAUUUUCUCCACCAACCAAAUAGUUUUAAAUUUAGUGGAGAAAAUUUAAAACUAUCUUUUGCACUACUAAGCUAGUAUGGGUCACGAGCGAAUGUAGUCGAGAGAAUAAUUUUGGGGAACCAUUCACAUGCCAUUGAGAAGAAGAGGAAUUAGCGCUUUUGGAAGAAGUUAAAUCCGAUUCCUACCUACACCGUCCUGCUCUGAAGUCUGCUGAGUUGCAGAUUCAUAGGUAGAGUGCAGACAGCCAUCUUCUGGAUUCGUGUUACAAAACAGGACAAGAUUUCUACAUCGGCAAGAAGUUCUCAAGAUAAGUGUCAAAUUUGCAUACAUUUAUUUGGAGGCGGAGCUCGGUUCAAGUACAGUGGGUCGGGCCGGGCUGGGCCGGGUCGGGUCGGGUCGGGUCGGAUCAACUAACAAACAUAAGAGGUCUCGGAUUGACUAAUUUUUGACCCGAUUGAGGUCACGCCCUAACCUUUUAAAAGUGUUUUACCUCAUCCAUACUUUUUUUUUUUUUUUUUUUUUUUUAGGGAAAACUUCAAAUACCUCCCUUGUAGUUUUACUUCUUCUCACUUUAGUACCACGUGGUUUAAAGUGUAUCAAAUUAGUACCCUGUGGUUUUGCACUUUUUCACUUUAGUACCAUGUGGUUUAAAGUGUAUCAAGUUAGUACCCUGUGGUUUUAUUUUUGUAUCAAGUUAGUACCCUGUGGUUUUUAAACCACAGGGUAGUAAAGUGAGAAAGUGCGAAACCACAGGGUACUAAUUUGAUACACUUUAAACCACAGGGUAUUAAAAUGAAAAAGUGUGAAACCACAGGGGAGGUUUUUGAAGUUUUCCCUUUUUUUUAAUAGAGAGAGAUAGCAGGAUAGAAAAUUUUAAAUUAACAGAUGAAAUCAUAAAUGGAAUAAAAAAAAUAUUCCAUACACAUUACAAUAAUAAUAAUAGUAAUAAUAAUUAGUUAAUUAAAAAAUGAAUUAGGUUUGAAGAAUAGAUCUAUCAAGUCAACAAUUAUUUAAAUUUAAAUAUCAGAUUCAAAAUUAAGCUUAAACUUUGAGUUGAUUUAUAAAUUUAAAUGUACUUCAAAAUUGAAUUUAAAUUUUAAAAUUAAUUUAAUUUUUUGAAAUUUGGGUAUAUAUUAAAAAAAAAGUUAUAUGUUAUGGAAUACAAAUAAAAAUAUUUUUGGUAUAACUAAAUCGGAAACAUAUUUAGAAAUAAAUCAAAUUUGAAAAAAAAAAAAUUAAUUGAAAAAUAGACUUUGCCAUCAAUAAUUAUGUAAAUUCAAACUACAAUUCAGAAUCUAUUGUAAUUGAAAAUUAAAAUUAAAACUUAAUUUGUAAAUAUGACGUGCAUUGCACGUAUAUUAUUUAGUAUUGGAUUUUUUUAGAAAUGAACUUAGCUGAAAAUGUAAAGUAACUAGGGUUUGAACUUAGAGAUCUCCAGUACCAACUAUUAAAUUCUAUGCCAAUUGGGCUAGAGGGUAGUCCGCUAUUCUAAUUCAUAUUUUUAUGUAAGAGAAUGUAAGGUUUACUGAAUUUGAAAUAAUUAUAAUGUAAGUGCAACUACAUUUGUUGUAGCUAUAGUCAAAUACUGUAGCUGAAACUAUAGAUAAGGGCUUAAUUGCUACAUUUAGACCUACUUUUCAAUUAGAUAUAAAAUCUUGAAAAAAAACUUUUUUGCCUUAUUUUUUUAAAAAUAAAUUAUCAUCUAUUACCAAGUAUAGUGAGGUGUAAUAUAUUCUAUAAUAGAGUGUAGUACUAGAAAAAUUCUAGAAUGCAACGUGUAUAUUGGUGACGUGGCGUAACAAAUCAAUCAAAUGUAUCCUUUUAAGAGUAUAUUACACCUCACUAUACUUGGUAAUAGAUGAUAAUUUAUUUUUAAAAAAAUAAGGCAAAAAAGUUUUUUUUCAAGAUUUUAUAUCUAAUUGANUUCAAUUAGAUAUAAAAUCUUGAAAAAAAACUUUUUUGCCUUAUUUUUUUAAAAAUAAAUUAUCAUCUAUUACCAAGUAUAGUGAGGUGUAAUAUAUUCUAUAAUAGAGUGUAGUACUAGAAAAAUUCUAGAAUGCAACGUGUAUAUUGGUGACGUGGCGUAACAAAUCAAUCAAAUGUAUCCUUUUAAGAGUAUAUAUCCCAUCAUGAUUGUAAAAAAAUAUUUUUAUUGUACUUUUGUUUGAAAAGAAGGAAUGUAAUUGGUUUGUUAUUGAUGACGUGGUGCAAGUGUGACAGUGUAGAAGUCCUCAUAGUACUAGCACUUUUAUUUUAUUUUACAAAUUUUAAUGGGAUAAUAUGGAAGUUGGGGUGACAGCUCUUUUUCCUUUGCAUUAAUAAUAAGGGCAAAAUUACAUUUUUGGUACUCAAACUAUAACUUAGUUAUAAUAUUUUAGCUGAAAUUUUCUAAAUUAUUACGAUUCAGUUUCAAAACAUAAUUUAGUUGGUUAAAUAUUGAAAAUUAUUAAUACAAAAAUAAUAAAAAAAGAAUUGUCAUUGAUAACGCGAUAAUAAUUCAGAUGUUACAUCAAUUCUAUCUCAAUAAGUUAUCAAUAUUUAACCAAAUUAAAUUAGGUUGUAGAGCUUAAUUACAAUAAUUUAAAAAUAUUAAAUUAAAAGCUAUAAUAUUAAAGUUUGAAGACCAAGUUGUCACAUGCCUUACAGUUUGUGGACCAAAAGUGAAAUUUACAGCUAUGAAUAAUAAAACCAAAGUAAACUUUUCAGUAACGUGCACCCCACGAAUUUUCGUCCCCCUAUCUUUGGAGAAAUUAGGCAAAUAUAUAUAAAUUUUAGGAUAAAUUGCACAUUUGGUCCACAAAUUAUGAGAUAGCUAAUAUUUUGUUUCUCAAACUUUUCAGAUCCUAUAAUUCAAUCUAGUUAACUAAAUAUUGAUAUAUCUUGUGACGCCCCAACUUCUCAGGAGGUCAUCCAUCUUAGGACUACUCCUGUUCUAACACGCUUAAUUCUUUUAACUUCUUAAGCCUAAUCACCAUCCAAAAUACUUAAACCGGAUUAAGAGUUUUAGUCCUAUUAUAUGUUAUAUAUAGGACUAUCUGGGGUCUCACAUUCUGCUCCCUAAAGUCCCAACGUUCUCUGCAUGACUUAGAUUCACAAAUACCAGACGAUGUGAGACUCGUCUCGCUAAUCUAAACCGACCUUAUGUUGAGGUGCGCUACACCUACAACAGUCAACAACAUGAAAGUCUUGUUCUCCCUGCUGUAUAAUCAUGGCUUAGUCGAGACUCGUCUCACACUUCUAACUGGUAAUUGGCUCUGAUACCAACUGUGAUGCCUCAACUUCGUAGGGGGUCACCCAUCCUAAAACUACUUCUAUCCUAACACGGCUAACUCUCUUAACCUCUUGGGCCUAACCACCACUCAAAAUACUUAAACUGGAUUAAAAGUUUUAGCCCUAUUAUAUAUUAUUAUAUAGAACUACCUGAGGUCUUACAAUUGUGAUUGAUGAGGUGCCAAUAAUUAUAGACUAUAUUAUUUUAUAUCAGCGAUGUGUCAAUAUUUAAUCAACUAAAUUAGAUUGUGAGAUUUGAUUGCAGCAACUAUAAAAGUUUGAACAAAAGCUCUCCUCACGGUAUGAGAAUCAAACAUGCAAUUUAUCCUAAAAUUUAUAUGCAUUAUAAUCUUUUUUAAUUUUAUUAUUUACUCUUUAAAUAUUUUAGUUUACUAUUCUAUCUUUCAAUUCACUUAAAUUAAGCCAUUUAAUCUCACACUUCAAAAUUUGAAUGUGUGGAUUAUAUUUACGGACUUGAUUAGCAUCUUUUAUGUAAUUCAUUCUACUACAAUUCUAUCAACAAAAAUGAUGGACCUAAAUAUUGUACCAAAAAAUUAUUAAAUAGAUUAAAUCAAGAUGAAACAAGAUGGACUAAAAUUCAGAUAAGAUCUAUACAUUCUAAUUGAGAAAAUUGUUGUAACUAAUUAAAUCCAAAUUAUGUAUAAUCAAAUAUCAUUUCGAUAAUAAUUUUUAUGGUGGAAAAUAAAAAUUAAUAAAAAUUAAUUAUUAAAAUUAUAAUUUUUAAUGUCUAACUAAUUUAGUAACAUCCAAACAGGUUGGUCCAAUCAUUUGUGUGUUUGCUCAUCGCCUUCUCAAAUCCAACAACCCCUCAAUUUUAUGAUAAGUUAUGCCACUAAUGAUGGAUAAUAACUAAUUUUUGAUGAUAAAUAUUUUAAAUUUAAAAUUCAAUCUGAUACAUUACAAUCGAUACUGUUUAAAAGGCCCAUAUAUAAAUAGUCUCAAGGUUUAAAAAGUUUAUUACUAAAGGCAUUAAAAAGUAAUUUCAAAUAACCAAUUGAGUCAUUAGUUGAUUUGUAAGAAAUUAUUGUCUUUGUUCAGUCAAAACCCAAUCUAACAAACAAAUACGGUGUUCAAUAAUCAACGCGUUUCUCGCGAGCUGAGUUUUAUGAAUGGUUGAUCGAAUCAAACUGUUGACCGAAUUGAAAUUCUUUUAAUAUUCAAUAAAAUACGAUAUACGAUUCUAUCAACACGUUUCUCAGCUCUUAGACGUAAAAUGAAUCGAACUCAAAAGCUUUAAAUGAAAAUUCGGCUAAAAAUAGAACCGAACUAAAUAUAUUUUAUUAAUUAAAAAAAGGAAUGUUACAAGGAUGGAGAGUAAUUGGGCUCAAGUUACAUAGAGCCAAAGACAAAUUAUAUAAAAAUUAAAAACUACUCUUAAAAAAACUAUAGAUGCUGAGAAUGGAAAAAAAUAUUAAAUAAGUAACGAUUUUUUAUCUGAAAAAAAUCUUUAUUGCAGGCAACUUCUUACUAUUUAUAGACCAAUUGUUUCGGCCCAAAGUUUAUUUGUCUUUGAGCUUUAUUUUUCAGCUCUUGAUGCAACAUAUGUUAUCUUUUUAUAUAUUCGACUACGUGAGUCGAGCAGAUUAUCAGCUGGUACCAUAUUUUCUAGCGCUAACUCAACGGUAACACAAAAUAAGUUAUCACUUAAAUAGCGAGAAAUUAGUUUUCAAAAUUUACAAUUUUUUAUGUAUAGAAUUUAAAAUAUGUAUAACAUAUAUUAUAAAUUAGAUUUUGGUUUAAAUUUUUUAAGGAUUUAAUAGUACUAAUCCACCGAGGGCAAAUAAUAAUUUCUGUACUGUUGUACGCCUCAAAACAACUAAUCAAUGUUACAUUAAAAAAAUAAUAAUAAACAAAUAAAAAAAGAUAAUAUCUAAUUUAUCCUUCAAUGCUUUAAAAAUAACUAAUAUACUUCUACUAAAUAAAACUAUUCUUAUUAAUUUUUUUAAAAAAAUUAAAUAUAAUUAUAACCUUUAGAAUUUAUUAAAAAAUUAGAGGUUUAGACGAAUAUUUUGAAAAUAAAAAAAAAAUACUUUUAAAAAUUUUGAAGGGUGGUAAGGAAUACAUAAUAAGUGAAAAACCCCCAAAUAAAGAAAAAAACAAAAAUAAAAAAACAACUAAUCAUAGUAAACCAACCGACCCAGCUGUGCCGACCAACCACACACCGAAUGGCCAGCCGGACAUCUCUCCCACGGGCAGCCCGGGCAGUCUGCCCGUAACCCCUCUCUGCAGUCUUCCCCCUCACCUAUAAAUUCCCUGCCUUCCCUCCCCCUAUCAACAACCCCACAAAAAUAAACUCUCUCUCUCUAGAAAUCGUAGAGGAUCUAUCAUCCAAUUUAUUGUUAUAAUUUACUUCCUUCGUAUAUUCAUACAUUCAUAGAAAUGGAGGCGAGUUUGAAGAUGAGGCUCUUCGCCGCCGUCGCGAUCGCCGUCGUCGUGAUGGCGUCCUCCGCGGUUGAAACUGCCGCCGCCGCCCCCGCCCCAGCCCCCGGUCCCUCCUCCGACGCCUCCGCCACCGUCCCCGCCUUCGCCGCCGCCUCGUUGACCGCAAUUCUCUUCGGAUUCCUCUUCUGCUGAUCAAUUCAUACAAUUCCUAUAUAUAUUGGAGAUAUAUAUGAUUAUUCAUAUUUUCCGUGAAUUAUUAUUGUUUCAUUCUUUUUUUUGUUAUAAUAUUUUUUUUUUCUUUGUUUCGGAGAUAUGGGUGGGGUUAUUGGAUCGUGGAGUAUACCUGUGUAUGUGGUGGCUUUUUAAGCGUUAUGAUGAUAUGAAGUGAUUUUACAAUAUUUGUUUUGAUAUAAUAAAGAAAAAGUUUUAUUCAUUUUAUCGUUUUUUGUUCUAUUGUCCCUAAUAUUACCAAAUAGUAUGCUUUUCAUUUUUUAAAAUAAUAAUUAUUUAAUAAAAAAUUAGAACCCUUCUCACGCCUGAAAUUCGGUGCUAAGAAAAUUUUUACAACUAACCACCCAUUCGAAAUAUACAAUGAAAAGUCAGAGCAACAAACACAGAAAUUUCCUCCGCAUUGGGUUUGCAGAGCGUCCACGCUCUCAUGAUCCAUAUUUAUCAAUCAAUCACAACCGUCGAAUCCCUUCUAUGGAGAAGGUCCAACUGUAACAAUGUGUGAUGGUGUAAAAUCCCAACAUCUGCAAGAAUAAAUCCAUGCAAACACGGCUCACGAAGAAGAUAACCACAGCUCCAACAAUUUCAGAAACAUUCUAUACAUGUUCAUGAUUUUCUUUACUAGACUACAAUUAAACGGAGAAAGAUACUGUACUAGCUGGGAAAUCUCUUUUACAGUUCAUCGUUAACCGAAACCUUGCGGGGAGCGUGAUUCUUUUAAAUCAAACUAGAUCGAGGUUACAAGAUACUUAACAACAAAAGUUACAAACUGCGAACAAUUAUGACAAAAUAAGUGUCUAAAUGAACCCUUUGUUGCAGUGUGCCAUAAGCUCCAUUAAUUGGAAUCAUCACCAAGCCGGUCAAUCGAAAUCCUAUAUCGCCCACAACGCGGUACCUGCGAAACUGAAUGAAAAUAUUCGUAUGUAAGCUUCGGGCACUGAUAUUAGCACAGAAAAAUUUGAUUAGGCCGGCAAAAUCCAAUUUCGCCUCUUAAAAGAUGAAACAGGGCUAAACAGUAAAUAUAAUCUGGAUUUUUCGCUGUUAGUAGCAAAACACAGGUCAUUGCUAUCAAUUCCCGUAAAGUAAUUUGGGACAGUACAAAUAAAAAAAAUUUCUGUUUUGUCAAAAGAUACAACCAAUAACUUGAAAGAAAGAAGUGUAGUUCUUCAUAUGAAUCCUAUGUUUAUGAGGUCAUUUGUAACACUAUAAGUAAGUUGUCAUAAAACCUGACCCAUUCAUAGUCUAGAAAUGCUACAAGUUCACAAUUUUGCAAAGGGAAAAAGAAGCGACUCCGACUCAGAAACGGAUCUCUUUCUUAUCUCUUACCAAAUGUUAGUACUCGCUCUCAGGAUUUGUACCCCUAGUUAUUCAUAGAGCAAAAAUUAUGUCUUCUGCAGAGUAUGCAACUUGUAACAAAAAAGGAAAAAAAUAAACAAAAGAAAUCAAGUUUCAAAUUUCAAUUACCUCAAACCAGUAGUGAAGCGACUUGCGGAAAAAAAAAAAAAAAAUCCUAACCAAAGACAUCAGCUAUAAAAUAAUCUUGGACUGAAGGGAAAUACAUACUUGCUAAAUACAGCAGUUGAACAAUGAAGACAUGGGGUCAAGAUGUUAUGUUUUCAGUUGACCAGUUGAUUUAUUUGAUUGAUCAAAUUACUGCAGAGUUUUUCAAUCUCAUGAAGAUUUUAUUUUUUCUCUCUCUAGAAAUUCGAUCAGAUCAUGGGAGUACCCCAGGAACUCGUUCAUCGGCUCAUCAUCUAGCCCUAUCUAUGCACUCGUUAUGACUAGGGUGUGCAAAAUGCCUCAUCAUCUUGCAAGCAAACACAAGCUCGCUUGUUCGCCUACGUUGGUUUGGUUCUCCAUUGGAACUUUUUAUAUCUCAAGGUUAUCAAAAACAUGCUAAUCUGAGAAAACAUGUAAGAAAGACAAAUAUUUACAGCAAAACCAUUCAUAACAGGUGUGCUCUGCAUCAUUUCUAUUUUUAUUUUUUUCUCAUGUUCUUCAUUGCUUACUUGGCAAUCUCCUAUUUUUUCCAAUGAAAUAAAAAGGAAAAAAAAACAAUCAACAAUGUAUUUUCAUUUGUUGUUUUGAAAUACAUCGCAUAAAUAAAGAGUAUCAGAAAUUCAGUAUGCCCAUUCCAAGAUACCUUUAAUCUCACAGUACUUGGAGGAGAAAACGAAACCUACGGAACUCCAAACGCUACCUUAAAACUCAACAACUCAAGAAAGGAAAAGAGUUGGAAGUCGGGUUGCUCAAGGAACAAGUACCGUGGAAUACUAAUCUCGGUGACCCUUUUUCAGCGAAAGAGAUAUCUUGAAACUUAAAAUCUCUCUAUCUAGCGAAUCUGAUUGUCCACUCUGCAGCUAUUUCAUCAUGCUUGGCUCUAUCAGUCAAGUACAAGCGAGCGAUGCUCGAGACAAGAGGGUUAUCUGCAAAUAUCAAACAAUAAAGUCCUUGUAAGAAAAGUUUUGAAAUUCGAUGAUUUACACAACUGGCGAACUAAUCAUUGAGAAUGAUUAGAUAACAGCAGUACAUUACAUGGAUCAGGAUUUGUGAUGAUAUUUUUGAUCGCCAAUAAGACCUUUGAAAUUGUCAGAGUUGGGCUCCACCCGUCCUUCAAAAUGUCCAAACUUAAUUUGCCUGCAGAAUCAACAUUGCAGUGGUAUAUUCGUGUUUUGAAAGUCACCUACAAAGCAAAAUUGCGAACCAGAAAUGUCAAACAGUUAUUUCGUAUGCAAAAUAUAGAAAAUUCGAGUUAUUUUAAACAAUAUACAUCACAGUGAGUGUGCAUUUAUAGGACUCUGCAUUAAAGUCAAUAAAUAAAUAAAUUAAUAAAGAUCUAAUAAAUAAAGAACUAAACUCAUUGAUACAGUGAUCUUGCCUUAAGCUGCUCUUUUAAACUUCUGCAGUGUUGUGUAUCAGAUAAUCUCGUAAUAAAAUGUUUCCACAUACAUUUGCUUCAGAUAGUUCAUAAUUUUUCUUUCUUUUUUUUUUUUUUUUGGUUUACCAGGAUGAAUUAGUGCGGCAUUGCAUCCGUACAACAAUUUCAUGUUGCUACAAAAGGUAAAUGUAUACAGACAUACCUGAAACUUAGCACAUUUUGAAGUAGGUGGAUGAACUUAAAAUCUAUUAGUUUCAGUACCUAACCUUCCAUAGUAUUCUUAUUUCAGUACAUCUCUGUUUGGUUCCGCCAAAAACAAACUGUUCUGUCACAGAAGCAAUAAAAUAUUCUAUCAAGUAGCAAAAUGUUACAUCAAGAAAGUUAGAAACACCAUUACAUUCUAAGCGUGCCAUUUUUCUGCUUUUUUAAAGCAUGAACUUCACUUGAUUGGAUGCGUCAGCACAUGUACUUCUCUUUUGUUGUCAUUAUUAAUGAAUCCGCAUCGUACCCCAGCCAGUUGCAGAAUGGGAUCUUCUUCCAAAAUUCUUUUUAAAAAAUCUAAAAGAUGUUACUGCUGAGUUUUUGCUUUUUGUCGCCAAACAAAUUCCACAAAUUUAUAGUUUGCAAGCAAUCUGCCAGUUCAUCAAAUAAGUUACAUUUGUUUACGAAGUAAAACUUCAACAAAACCACAAAAACUACUACACACUCGUAUAGAAGCCAAAAGUUGAACUUACAAAUCUGAUGCUGGAUUUAUGAAGUAGAAGAGAAGACCGUCAUGUAUAUAUUCAAAUUCUCUUACCAUUGGGGGUUUGAACGGAUAUUCCGAUGGAAAUAUAAUGUCGAGGAAAAAUAUGCCGCCUUCAUAUGGUGAACCUAUAAAAGAGAACCAAUAUGGGCUUGUGAUAUCUUAUAAUUGAACCCUCAAAUACUGGCAUAAAUAGAGAGCAUACAAUUAUAAUGUAAAGCAAUCAUUAAGUAGUUAUGAUUAACAAGUGCUUUAGCACUUGGGCUCUGUUUGGAUGUCGAAAUAAGCUAUCCAGUGAUAUCCUAUUUGGUACGAAGUUGCAAGCUAGAAAUAAGAUAAUAACCUCGUGGUGAAAUAUGCUAUUCUAGCAAAUCAUGAAUGUCAAGACCUCUCAAGGAACUACCUUUCAAUUACACAAGAAAAUCUUUAUUUAUUGGAAAGGUGAUACAAAAAUAACUUAUUCCAACAUCCAAAAAACCUUGAGGUCAUAAAUGUGCCAAUUUCAUAUGAUAAGAAAUAAGAAAAGAAGCAAAAAUCAAGAGUUUAAAAAGUGGAAUUGUAAUACAAAACUUUAGAUUCCAGAAAAUAAUAAUAAGUCUGGUUUCAGAGUAAGCACAGUGAUAAGAGUAUAACAGUGGAGUUGGAAAAAUUUUAUAAUAAGGAUCAGCCAAAACUAAGACUUGUCGAACUGGCUAAAGUUUGAAAGCAUGCAGCCACUUAGAGUGAUGAGCCUUGACGACCUUAUUUCAUAAUAGUGAAACCACCACCGAGAACAACAACAAUAAUAACAAACGCCAUAAUAAUAGCAAUUUAGCUUGAUUAAGUGAACCAUAUUCUUCUGUCUAUCUUUUCUUUUUUUAAUACAAUUGCUUGUUAAACAACUCUCUCUUACGGCAGUUUGGGUUUUCCCUCCAUCUUAAAACACUUUCUUCCUGAACAUAAUCACUCCUUACUAGUGCAGCUAUGUGACCUAUCUAAAUAGAUGUGUAAAUAACUAGACAUCUUAACUUUCUUACCUUCUUAAAUGUAAGGCCACUUUGUGAUUUUGGUUAGAAAUGUCAGGACAAUCAAAUUGGAAUUUCACACAACUUACCAUCUAUCAGUGCUAAUAUAAACUUUUGUUAUACAUGACCUUUUCUUAUCUUUCUAGUAAUUCACAUAUCCACCUCGACAUCUUCACGUCAAAAAUUCAAUGUCUGUGCACAUGUCAUCUCCCCAUUUUCCAAAUGUUUCCAUCGUAGGCACAACCAGUCAUGAGAAGUUGUGGAAAAUUUUCAUUUUGAAGUGUGAGAUAUAUUGGCGGUCACAUAACAAAUGUCAGAGCCCCAUUUUCUACCCAUCCUACUUUAGUUCUAAGCUCUGCAUCCCUCUACAGAAGAUAAAAGAUCCAUUUUAUGUGACCUAGCAACAGAAGAAAUAAGUCAACAGCAGCAAAAUGAUUCGUCAUAUCAACACAUAAAUCAAGAUCACAGUAUAUCUAAAUUAAAUUCGCAUUUCCAGGCAAACACUAGGGUUGUACAAACAAAAGGGGAUUAGUCUAUCUGUCGCACAUUUUUCUUUACAUAUGAAGCAGAAUCAGAUGAUAAAAUAAUAUCAAAAUCUCUUGCUACCACUCUGUUCGGAACCAAAUCUGAAUCCAGUUUAAUUGAGAUUACUUUCUAGAACAAUUCAGUAGAAUUCAUGAAGAACAAAUAUUUGUUCAUUUACUUUUCACCAUUUCAGAUGCUGAUGUGUAUACUUUUCCUGAUUCACUCAUAGUAGCAUGACUACUGUAAGAAAGGACAUUACUGAAUUAUUGACAAAUCAAACCUCAAACUGUAGGAUUUGAUUAUGUUAUAAAAAAUCCUCUCAUUAAAUCAUCACAAAUAUAUAAACAUCUUAUAAAACAAUGGUUUUAACCAGCAGAAUUAUGAAAACUUUCUAAAUAUCCUCCAUAUAGCAGCAGUUAUGUAGUUUGCAUACUGUUUACUUCAAUCCUCAUCUCAAAGGUGUUAUUUCGAGUCCAGCUGGCAUCCUUUUCUUUACAAACAUGGGGCAUUUGAUCCGACGAUCGAUACUGUUAAAUACGAUGUAAAUUAUUUGAAGUAUCUAAAUGUCAAGUUUCUUUAUUUUGAAAAAUCACAUAUAGUGCAUCAAGUUCUCACAAAAUGAAGCAAUUCAGAAGGGGUACAAGGGUGUCAGAGGUGCUAGUAGUAGCAGCAGUAGAGAUUAAUAAAGCUAGAAUGCGUUUUUGAAGCAAAAAAACUUGUCUACUUCCGUAUCGUUUCUCGCGAUAGAGCAUCCGAAUUGUCGAUCGGCACAGUUAAACACAAACCAGGCUAUUUGAACUUUCUGGAAACAAAAAUUUCUGAUUUUUUAGCUUCAUUUGCCUUCAAUGAUUCAAGCGGCUCCAAACUUAACAAUUUUUUAAUGGCUAAUACAUUUAAGAUAAAUUUUGUCAUUACGUAAAUGACGUUAUAUAAUAGUGAAAUUUCUGUUUCUAUGAAGCUCAAAUAGUCUAGAAGAUCGUGUUUAACAGUAUCAAUCGUCGAUUCAGAUGCCCCGUCGCCGUCAUUUAUGUAAAAUUCAAGUGAUUCCUUAAUGGCUAAUAAAUCUAAGGUAAAGUCGAGACCACUUGAUCACUAGGUAAAUGAGGUCGUAAAAUCGUGAAAUUCUUAUUUCAGUGAGGCUGCUACUCAAACAGUUACAGUAUCAAUCAUCGAUUCGCAUGCCGCGUCGCCGAUCAUUUACGUAAAACUCAGGGGGCUCCAACUUCCAACACUACAGACAACAAUUUGAGACUAGUUCAUCACUAGGAGGUAGGGAUGAGGUAAAUGAUGUCGCAAAAUCGUGAAAUUCGAUUCCUAUGAAGCUCGAAUAGAUGCGGAAGCAGCAGUAAUACUAGAAGUAGUAGCGGCGGCAGAGAGAGAGAGAGAGAGAGAGAGAGAGAGAGAUGAAUGCAUAGAUAGAUAGAUGGAUGGAUGGAGACCGGAGGGGCCGAUGAGGGUGGAGAGCCAGUGGUAGAGGUUGUCGCCCUUGGGGCCGGCGGAGCAGUCGGCGGGGGGAUCGGCGUUGAGCUCCAGCAUCUCCUUCUGUAUCCUCUUCCCCGACGCCGACACCGACGUCGCCGACGCCCACGGCCGCACCCCUCCCCCUCCCCCUCCCCCUCCGCCGCCACUGCCGCCGCCGCCGCCUCCCGCAGGAGGCUCGCGCUCGCGCUCGCCAACAAGGACGAGGAGAAGCAGCAGCAUCUCCUGGAAUGCGCCGCGAGCAGGCUGGAGUCUGGACUGAGGAAUUCGAACGCCGCCCGCUAUUUCUUUUCACCCGGACAGCAAAAUCAACAGGCCAUUUUGCAGGCGAUUUUCUUUUCUUUUCUUUUCUUCUUUUUUUUUUUUUGAAAUAUAUAUAUCUAUAUAUAUAUAUAUAUAUAUUUUUUUUUUUUUGAGAGAGAAAGGUAAAGCCGGAAAUAUAAUUCAAAUUUGGGAUUCUGGUAUCAACCGUCAAGCCCUUUGUCACUUGGCACCAGAGAUGAUUGGUGUUAUUUUUUGAAGAAAUGGCUACUUGUAGCAUUCCUUUAGGAUAUAUAAAUAUAUAAUAUACACUCCAUCUAUGUAGAACGAGAUAAAUUUUACUAAUCACAUUAAUAUAAUUAGUAAAAAUUCUUCUCCAUAGGAUGAGUACGAUUAUCAUUAUACAUCUUAGGGUAUGAGUAGAUUGGCUAAAAAAAUAAAUAAUUAGUAAUAAAUUUUCUAUCCUAGGAUAGAUGGAGUGCACAUCAUACACACUUCUUUAGAGUGUAUGAGUAGGAGCCAUGCUACUCAUACACUUCAAAGGGAAUACAUCUUAUAUCCACUUCAUCUUAAGAUCAUUAAUAUCCUAUUUUGCACAUCAAUUUUUUUUUUUAUCUUUAUUAAAAUUUAUUUAAAUUUUUAUUAACUCUGGAACGAGAGUAUAAAAUCUACACUCUUUUUUGGGUCAAUUGCAUACUGAUUCUUAUAAACAUAGUAAAUUACAAAUAUAUUCCUAUAAAGUUCAACUUUCAUAAGUUAUCUCUACAAAAGUUCUAAUGUUUUUAGAUAUGUUCCUACCGUUAGAAUCCAUUAAAAAAGUUUAGUUAACCAUAGGUUAAAUACUUUACUGGGAUUAAUUUUUAACAUUUUUACUCCUCUUAUAUUAUACUGUUAUAACUUUUGGAGUGACAUAUUUGUGAUGGUAAAUUGGAAAUAUAACAGUUUUCUAACGAUUCUCUAACAAUAACAAACCAUAGGGACAUAUCUGAAAAUAUUAGGACUUUUACAGAAAUAAUUUAUAAAAAUUGAACUUUAAAGGAAUAUAUUUGUAAUUUCCUAUAUUUGCGAAAAUCUGUAUGCAAUUAACCCUUUUUUAAAUGUAUAGGACAUCUUUUAGGACUAUCGACCAUGUGGUAAUAUCAUUAUUACAUUUUAAUUAUUAAUUAUUAAAUUUUAAAUAUUAUUAUUAAAUUUACAUAUAUGUUCAAAGUCAUCAACAUGGUAGGAUAUUCAAAAAUAAAAUAGCCCAAUAAUUUCUAUAAUUUUUUAUUAUAUAAAUUGACCCCACAAAAAUUUUAAGGAUAAACUACACUAAUACUAAUAAACAAAGUAAGCAUAAACAAUGAAUAACAAAAAAUGAUGUGAUUGCAAAGCCAAAAUAUAAUUAUUCUAUUAUAGUGACACGCAGAUAAAUAUUUAUUUUACAACUAUUUCAAGGGACAGUUUACAUUCUUUUCUAUCUAUAUUAUGGAUACUGGAUUGUUACUAUAGUUUUUCAGAGAUGACAGGUGCAAUCUAACUCGUCAGCUGCUUACCGUCCUCAUUGACGGUUCUGAAAAAAAAACAAUAAUAAAAGCGUGAAAACUAUAUAAAUAGAUUCUAGUGGAUUCAACCGUUAAAAGAUGGACUUACACUAUUAGAUCUACUCAAGACACCCAAAGUAAAGAAGCACUAAACUAGCGAUAAAGCAACAAAAAUAACAGUAAUAAAUGUGAUGAAACUAUUACGUCUCUAAAAAGAAAGAAAAUUCACUACCAAUGAUAUUAAAUAUGCAUGAAUUAUGAUAAGAAGGACUUGUCAAGGGUAUCCAAUCACAACGAUCGGCUCUGAGUCCGGUCAAGCCUGCAUCAUGCUUGGCAAGCCGCUGAACAUUUCCGAAGGAUAGCAGUUUGAUAGCUUAGGAUAACAUAACCAAAUCUUUAUUUGAAGGAAGUAUGAAUUAUAGAAAACUUCAACCUUGGAAGCAGGCUUUCAUGAGUCAUCACGACCAGAAAUGUGAUAAAAUUUCUUAACAAUUUAGAUGCCUUUUGGGUUAAUAUCACGAUCAAUAAUUAUAGGUCUCUCGUUUUUGGAAAGAAACUAAUCUGGGAUAUCUCCUUAUUAGGCGCAUCUUUUUUUUAACUGUUGGUACUUUUAAAGAUGGGUCGAAAGAGCCAUUACAUUAACUGUGCUAAAACUAAAAUUUUAGCUCAGCGUUGACUCUUUAGCAUGCCUCUCAACAAAAAUCUACCUACCGACCGUCCUUAGAUCAAGCGGCAAAAGGCUUGGUGGUUGGUAUUCGAGACCCAAGUUCGAAUCCUAGUUGAUUCACAUUUCUAGUUAAGUUUAUUUCUAAAUGAAAUAAAAAAAAAAUCUACCUUUCAUAAUUCAAAUAAUGAGAGCCAAGUUAUACAAGUUAAUUUGAGACUCUUUGAUAAACUCAAAAUAUAGACCGAAAUUAAAUAGUCAGAAGUUAUAUAAAAUUAGGAGUUCGGUGGGUUCGAACUCAAUACCUUCUGCUCCGAUACCAUAUUAACUUAUAUAAAAUAUUCGUUUUUCUCCACAAAUUUAAACAUAAGAGAAUGGUGCUUGUAAUAUAUAUUCAAUAUAAUUUCGGUGCAAAUUACCGCCUAAGCAAUUGCUUACUAGAGUAACAUCCAUGGAUGCGCUUUGCCCUCUUUAUUCUACAAACAGCAACAAUUCAAACAUUUUCUGGAGUAAUCUCCUCGUACGCUCAAAAGUUUCAAACUAUAAUGUAUGAUGAAACUAAAUGUUAGAUUCCCGCCAUCCUCUGGCACAGUUGGAAUAAUUGAGCGGGCGAUUUCAAAAUGGUCUAUAGUUGAGUGAGUUUCCGUAGUUGUAGAUUAAUAGCAUUUAAUGCAAAAGUUAAUGCGGUGAGACUAAUUUCAGCAAGUAAUUUUUCGAGUGGUAUUUAAAUUUUUUUAAAAAAAUUUGAACGGUGGAUCACAAGUUUACAACAUGACCCAAGUUCAAAUGACUUUACUUCCUUCUUUUUUUUCCUUUUUUUUUUUUUCUUUCUUUUUAAGAAUAUGAGAAGACAUUCAACAGCAAUGUGCAGUUGCCAAUCAAUUUGAGAUAUUAUGUUUUGCAAACAUGUUUUUUUUUUUUUUUACUUUAUCCAGAAAAACAGAACUAUUGUAGAANAGUGUUUUUGAUUUUUUUUUCUUUUUACAAAUAACUAUUUGAAUAUCUGAAAUCGAGUUUUAUUGUAAAUUAUGUAUUUCCUAAAAUUUUGUAAUUUUGAAGUAAAACAAAAGUUCACACUCAGCUAUACAAAAAAAGGGAAAAAAAAAAUAAGAUGAGGCCUUUCCAAAUAAUGUAGAAAAUAUAAUGUUUUUAAACGAGGUAGUGUUGUAUUAUGAGACAUAAAUUAUAGUGUAUAAUAAAAGAAUAUUAUACGUACUGUAGAAAGAACCUUGUUGGAAUGAUUUAAUGAAAAUUUAAGUAACAAAUAAUGAGAGCAGCAGGAUCACAACUUUAUAUUAUUAGUUUUGUGUUCAAUUGAAAGGCGCCAAGCGGGCCAUGUCAUUGAGAAUGAAAUCAUUUACGGCGGUUCGGAGAAGGUUGGGUUUCGUGUGAGAAAAGGGAGGAUGGCGAUGGAGAUAGCAAAGCCAUUGAGAACAAGAAGAAAGUAGAAAUUGAUGUCGGGACAGAUGGUGGAAACUGUUGCCCAAAAGAUAUAAUAAAAAGAAUUUACAAUUAGUCUUAACACACUAUUUUAUGUGUAUGAUAGAUAUCAGAUGGUUCAUACCAUAUAACAAAUCAAGCUCAAAUCCUCUUAAAUAUUGAUGUGAUUUAAAAUUGACUUAGAAUUCUCUGGAACUCGGUCAGAAGAAUGCCACAAAGAGGUUGUGUAUCCUAGGGGCAAGCUUAUGGCUCAUUUGGAGGCAGAGGAAUAAUUUGCUUCUCAAACAACGUAACUCGAAUCCCACAAAUGUGGUAGGACAAAUAAAGAGCUUAGUUGAAUAAUGGGAAUUUUACUGUAGGGCAAGGUGUUUGGAGAACUGCUCAUUCGCUAUGCGUGUGUGGGUUUUUUUUUUUUUUUUUUUUUUUUUUUUGGUCCUUUAAUCCUUUAUUUUGCUGUUUGUCUCUCUUUUUCGAUCGAGACCUCAUUGCCUCAUUUACAAAUCAUUCUCAGCUACAAGCUGAUCAAUCUGCCAGUUCUUUUGCUCCAACAAUCUUUUGAAGAAUUCACGAUUUUUUGUGCUAAAUUCAUUUUCUGAAUGAAUGAAGCGAGUACUGUGCUAUUCUUUUUUCAAAAAAAGAAAAAGACUUUGAUGUCAUAUUAUCUAAAAAAUUAUCUUAAUAUGAAAUGACUCAGAAUUAAUUUUAACUGAAAGCAUCUUCGAACGAAGAUGACCCAUAAUAUGUUCAAUGUGAUAUCUAGUGGCAGUAAACUUUAACUUAAAGAUUGAAGUUUUUGACAAAGUUUAUAAACUUUGGUGAGCUGAUUAACCAAAAAAACAAAGAAUAUUUACGAAGCAAACAAUAUCCUAAAAUACAACACUGUAAGAUAUCAUUAAGACAAAAAGACCUAUUGCAAAAGGACCUGUAGUCAGGGGACCUCACUACAUUUUUACGCAGAAAAAACAGUAUAAUAAGACUGAAGAGACAAAAUACCCAAGAUUAUAACCUUUGAUAUACUUGUUACCUUAUCAUGUAGUUUUAGAACUAUUUUCUACAGGACCCAAUCUACAAUUACUAAAUUACGUGUACUAUAUCCUCAAUACAAAACCUUACCUACAAAACAGCCUCCAUAAACAAAUCAGAACUAUGGAAAAAAAAUCAUAUAAUUAACUCAGAAAUUUAAGUUGUACUACUUCAGAAUUUCAAAAUUUUCUGAAGUAGUUCUUUUUUUAAAAAAAUAAAGUGAUAACAUUUCUUUCACAAGAAAGGCAGUGUAUUAUUAGGAAGAAAAUCCCAGAUCUGUUAACAAAGAAACAGCAGAAAGCUUGUGGCAGUAAAACAACAAAGCCAGUCUGCAAUUGCUACAACCUCAACUACAAAACAAUCUCCAUGAACAAAUCAAAAACACACUUUAAACAAAAUCGCACUUCUUGUUAUGACUCCAGGAGUCUAUCUGAUGAUGAGGAUGUUCCGAAGGCACUAUCCCCUGCAUCAGCAAUACUCGAAGCUGCUCCCGACAAGCCGUGAUAACCGAUCGGCGGCACGAAAUAGACCGGCACAGGCAUCUUCGGCGGGAGAACCGGCGGCGGAGAUUCGAAUUUUAGAACGGCGACCGCCUGCCGAAUAGACGGUCGCAGUGUCCAGUCAGGAUGGGCGCACCAUAACCCGACCGCCACCAGCCGUCCCAAUUCCGCUUCGUCGAACGCUUUGUUCAGUCUGUCAUCGGCUGCUUCCUGAAUUGCGUUUCUUCCGUGCAUCUCCCACGCCCAGGGGAGCAACCGCGCCCUCCCCGGCUCCUCCUUCGGCUCCACGGGCCGCCGCCCGCACGCGAUCUCCAGCGCCACGAUUCCGAAGCUGUAGACGUCGGACUCCUUGCUCGCCUUCCCCGUCGUCACGCAUUCCGGAGCCAAGUACCCCACGGUCCCCGCGAGGACGGUGGUUUGCGCGCCGAUCGAGUCGUCGUGAUCGAUGAGCCUCGCCAGGCCGAAAUCGCCGAGCUUCGCGUUGAAUGCCGAGUCGAGCAUGACGUUGCUCGGCUUGAUGUCUCUGUGCACCACGCACUGCUCGCACUCCUCGUGCAGGUAGAGGAUCGCGGACGCCAGGCCGACCGCGACCCUGUACCGCGACUGCCACGGCAGGAAUAGCUCAGUUGAAUAGAGAUGAAGGUCCAGACUGCCGUUCGGCACGAGCUCGUAGACGAGCAGGAAGUCGGCGUCGCGGUCGUGGCACCAGCCGACGACCUCUCCGAGCUUCCGCUCCUCCGCGAAGUUGUCCGUCGCGGCGGCCAAUUCGGCGUACCGGAACCUCCUCGGCCCGCUGCCGAUCUCGAACUCCCCGGCCAGCUCGUCGUAGGCCAUGCUGUCAUCCUCCUCCUCCUCCUCCUCCUCCGCUUCUUUUCGUCUUCUCGCGUUCCUCGCGUUCCUCCUCCUCCUCCGGAGAAGGAACAGGAUCAGGCCGAGGAUGGAGAUCAGAACUGCGAAUCCCGCCGCAAUCGCGAUGGCGAUUUCGAUGUCGAUUAAUGUGUUGUCGGGGUCGAGAGUGGAGGUGAAUUCCCAGUGGAGUAUCUGGUGCAGCUCGACGGCGCCGCCGGUGGCGGCGGAGAAGCCGACGGCGACGCGGUCGGGGAGGUGCUGCCGGAGGUCGACGGCGAAGGAGAGGCUGCAGGGGCGGCCGUCGAAGGAGGGGCUGUCGUCGUAGGUCAGGAAGACGGUGAGGUUCUGCGCGGCGCCGUCGUAGGCGAUCCACGCGUUGGCGACGCGGCCGUCCUUCAUGCUGCUGCCCCACGUGAGCGUGGCGGCGGAGCGGAUCGAGUUCACGUCGACGCCGACGUGGUCGGCGCUCGGGUCCCACUCGUUCUCGUAAGUAUCGAAUUCGACGGCGACGAGCUGGCCGGCGGGAUCGGCGGCGGCGGCGGCGGCGGCGUCGAAGAGGCCGAGGAAGCCGCCGGAGGAGUGGUUGGGGAGGAGGGAGGGGAAGGGGGAGAGGAAGAAGGCGAGGCCGUCGCCGAAGUGGAGGGGGUCGGCGGAGCGGACGAGGAAGGAGAAGCGGGUGGAGACUCCGGGGGGGAGUUGUCGGCGGAGGCGUCGGAGAAGUUGAAGGAGAAGGAGAGUGGGGCCGCGGAGGGGAUCAUGGAUAUGGAUAUGGAUACGGAGAAGAAGAAGACGAAGGAAAAGAAGGAGGAGGGAGACAUCGUGGUGUGGUGCGUGGGAUCAGAUGCCGCGAUUGAUCAUAAUCCCCUUGCAAAAGCGUUUCUUGAGUUUAGAAAAAGGGCUUAUUGGUCGAGGGUGGUGGAGUUGGUUGACCGUGGAAGAGCCGCUACAUUGUACUACACCGCACGAUGAGUUGGCCUACUCGGAUGUUUCUUAUUUAUUUGUUUUUCCAUUGGAUCCGUUAUUCUUACAUGCAUUGGAUCUAUUAUUAGUUACGACCCAUUGUUUUCUUCUUUUUUUUCUUUUUUUUUUUUUUUUUGGGAGAGAUAGGUAGCACACUACUCACUUCGUUUAUUUUAUUUAUAAAUAAAUUUAGCUGAAAAUAUGAAUCAAGUAGGAUUCAAAUUUGAGACCCCGAGUACCAACCAUCAAGCCCUUUGUCACUUGCUUUAGGAACAGUCGGUUACGACGCAUUGUUAGAAUGGAAGAUACUGCAUAUACAGAAACAAACCUUCAAUUGGACACGUUGAGGAGUUUUUAAUUUGCUGUUAUUCAAGAGAUAAUUUUUUUUUUCUAAAAUUUAGAUUUAUUUUUUAAGAAAUAGUAGUAGAAAAUAUCAAAUAAAUUUUUGAACAGAGACAAUACUAACAUAUAACAACGAAUCGAAUAUUUUCUAAUAAAACAUCGUUGAGGCGACUUAUGCUUUGUCCGUAUAUAGACCUACUCGUGGAUGUAAUUUUGCAAUCCUUUCGUCUUAGAAUUUUUAGAAAUUUAAAAUAAAUUUUAAUAAUAAAUAUGAUAGUAGAUCGAAAGUUUCGCAACGAGACAUCAUUCGAGAGCUUCCACAUGUAGAUCUACUUAUAAAUAUAAAUUUUACAAUUAUUUUAUUUUUUUGAAAGAAAGGUAGCAUAAUUUAUUUUUGCUUCGUUCAAUUUUUAUUAGAAAUAAAUUUAGCUUAAAGAGUGAAAUAAUUAGGCUUUGAAUUGAAAUAUUGAGUACCAACUAUCAAGCACUUUAUUAUUUGUGCUGGGUGUUAGCUUUUUAUUAUUGGCUAAAAUAUAUUAAACUUUUUAUUCCAUAAUAACAGAUCUAGAAGACUAAUAAGUUGAGUUCGGUGAGUCCAAUAAGCUAACUAGUACUGCGGUCCGUACUAAAUCUAAACAAUAAUAGGCCCGACAAUUGAAUUAAUGUCAGCACGAUGGCUGAAUCAUUCAGUACUAUGAGUGCGCACUUUUUAUCUGUAUGUAUUUUUGAAAUAGUUUAUUAGCGCUAAUAGUCAGGCUAGAAAUAGUUGCUCAAAAAAUUUUAAUAAGACAAAUAGAGAAAUAGCAAUGCUCGAUUUUGGUGAUGAUCCGCAAUUUGUACGGCUGAAUGGGUUGUUGGAGGAUAUUCAUCCUAUAAACAUUUGUGAACUCAUAACCUUUUAAUUCGAAAUAAAGGGACAAAAAUUUUAUGGGCAUAGCCCCCAAACUAGUUUGUUUGGGGGCUAUACGGAUCGCCGCCGCGUGGUCGAUCUGACAGCCACGUUUCUGAGUUGUUUUUUCUCUCUCUCUCUCUAAAAACACAAUUUUUUUUUUUUUUGUUUUCCAUCUGUGGCCAUCGGAUCGGUCACAUGGCGUCGAUCUGCAUAAUCCUCAAACUAAUUAGUUUGGGGACUAUGCCCAUAAAAUUUUUGUCCCAAGUAAACACAUAUCUCUCCCAUACGACUGUAUUAAUGAUGAAGCUUUACUACUUUAGGUCCUUGAUUGACAACAAGGGUAAAUUGCGGUUUUAGGUUUGUCUGGUCUAAAUUCUAAAAAAUUAAUUUCUCCGUAAUUUAUUUUAAUUUGAAGAAUUAAUUUUGACCGAAAGCUAUAAAGUAUUUGACUAAAUUUAGAUAAAUUUCGGAAGUGAAUUUAUAAAACCGUUUGGCAAAAUAUUUUAUAAUUUUUUUUGAUAUUUACAAAUAAUAAUUUUAUUUUAAAAUAACUUAAAAUUUAAAAAUGAAUUUAAAAUUUCAAUUUAAACUUCAAUUUAUAUUUUAAAUUUUAAAUUUUAAAUUCAUAAAAAAAUUUAAAAUUUGUUACUAAAUUUAAAAUAUAACUUUGAAAAUUUAAAAUUUAAAAUUUAAAAUUCUAAUUUCUAAAUCAAAAUUUAGAUUUUCAAUUUCAAAUUUAAAAUCUAAAUUUUAAAUUUGAAUUUAAAAUUUGAAAUUUUAAAAUUUAGAAUUUAAAAUUUGAACAUUAAGAGUUUAAAAAUUAAAAAUUAAAAUAUAAAAUUCAAAAUUAAAAUUAAAAUUUAAAAUUUUAAAAUGUUGAAUUCUAAAUAUUUGUAAUUUGUAAUUUGAAAAUUACAAUUUUAAUUUUCAAAUUUAAAUUUAACUUCUUAAAUUUCAAAAUUUAAAUUAUAUCUUAAAUUUUAAAAUUUGAAAUUUAAUAUCUAAAUUUUAAAUGUUAUAUUUUGAAAUUUGAAUUUUCAAACUUGAAAUUUAAAAUUUAGAAUUUAAAAAUUCAAAUAUAAAAUUUAAAAUUUAAAAUUUAAAUUAAACUUAAAAACUUAAAAUUUGAAUCUACAUUAAAUACAAUUUUUAAUUUUGAGCCCAAAAUUAGAAUCAAAUUUCAAAAGUUAGGUUUUAGCCGCUUCUGAUUUUGGUUCUCGAAAAUUUAAAAACUGAUUCUAAAAAUAACAAUCAGAUUUUAAAAAUAAGAUUGCCAAAUGCUAUAUUGAGUGAAAAUCACUUUUCCAAAGCUAGCCCAAACAUCCACUUUUUGUUCAUAAACUAUGUGGGGAGUGACAUUUGGUCUUCAAACUUUAAUUUAUUAUAAUUUUUUAUUUAAAUUUUUAGAAGUAUUACAAUUAAGUCUCACAACCUAAUUUAGUUGAUUAACUAUUGAUGUAUUGGUAAUGUAAAAAUAAUGUGCAAUCUUGAUUAUUUGCAUAUCACCAAUUACAUCACUACUACACCACUUUUAUCUUAGCCACAUACAAUAAUUAGUUAAUUAAAUUGGAUUAUAAGAUUUAAUUACAAUAAUUCUAAAAAUUCGAGCAAAUAAUAAAUUAAAUUAAAUUUUGAGAACCAAGAUGUCGCCCAUCUCAUAAUUUGAGGACCAACGUGCAAUUAGGCCAGAGUUAUCAUUUUUUUCAUUUCUCAUAAAGUUUAUAUAGACUAAUGUAGAAAGAAAUAAUGGAUUGUUUAUAAAUCUUAUAUUCAAGUAUUUGUUUGACGGUAAGUAAAAAAUAAAAAGUUGAAAAUAAUUUUUUCUUACUUUUCAAGAUUUUUUAAAAAUAUAUCACCCAUCCAAUAUAUUAAAUUAUUUAAAAUUAGUAUUUUUUUUUAAAAAAACAAUAACACCAAUGGAAUUGGAGGGACUACUUUUUUAUUUUACUGUCAUACGAUUUUAAAAAUUACACUUAAUUUCUCUUUAGUUAUAAAGGUGAUCUUAUUUUGUUAUUUUAUUUGAUUGUUGAUUUUUUGGGCAAAAGUACAGAUAGAACUAUAGAAUGAUUAAAUAUAAUUUUUCAAAUUAUAGGAUGAUAAAACGUAGGAUGAAACCAUAGGAGGGGCAUAUUGAGGUUUAUUAAAAAAAAUUAUUAUUCAAUGGCUAUAAAAGUAUGUGAUAGAUGAAGAACAAAAGAAUUCAUGAUUUAGAAAUAUGCAGAUAAACUAGAAGCAAGGAACAAUUUGUAAAGAAAGCGAAAGAGCAAGAUGACUUGCAUAAUAUAUUGCCCAGAACGAGCACAUCAUUCCAUUCCAACUCAUAGCCCAUGAGCAACUCAUCAAUAGACUCAAUAUGCAUCUUAAAAAGCAAAUGCCAAAGCGAAGAUAACUACACAAACAAAACUUACAAAAUUAGCCACCACCAGCAAAUCCAAUAAUGGAUAUUAUAAGCACGAAAUGAUAGCCAACAGAUCUUUGUUUGAAGUUCACAGAUUCAUUUCAUGAAACACAAAAAAAAUUUAAAGACUACUGAAUUCAAGAAAACAGUAAUUUUUUUUGCCGACAUUACUCAUACGGUCCGAACUUAACUACAAACCAAACUGCAUGACAAGGAGAAAAACAAAACUAAAUGGGAAACAAGGGAACUCAUAUAAGUACUUUCUGCAUAUCCUUAAUAAGGCUUUCUACCUUCUCAUGAUUAGGCUUCAACCUUCUCUGCUUCGUCAAGGAGGAUCGCCUUGGUAGGCUUGGCGAGGAAGUCUGUGUACUCCUGGAAUGGCGAUUUGGUGAAGCGGGUCUCUCUCCAGAAGUCGGGUGUCAGGAACCCGUAGGUCUUCAUCAGACAGUCGAAUGUAGCCUGCACCACAAAUAUGCCAUUCUCAGUAGCCAAGUAAAAUUUUCAGCGUACUUAAUAUUGUACAUGCAAAUAAUCAUUAAGGUGCUUGAGGAACAAUGUAUGAAGGCAAAUUAAUUUUGAAAAUUUUGAUGGAGGACUUGAAAAUUCAUUCUAUCAAAAGUGUGAAACAUAGUCAUGACAAGAGGGCAGCAACUAUAGCCCCUUGGCAAGUUCAUUAAGGGUGCCUUUAAUUGCCAGGAAUGGGUAUGUGAAACUCGCAAGCACUGGUGUUUGGUCAGCCACCGAAAAUGCCAGAAUGUGCAAACUGCAUACCAGAAGGACCCUGCAAACUCAACCUCCUCGUACAAGUCUGUAAAAUCAGAGGGCGCACAGACCUCGUGGUUGCACAUAACCAAGCAUGCAUCAAUAGCAAAAUGUUGGAGCCAUUAAGUGACAAAAGAGAUUAGAAUAACAUUAUUUGAUACACAGUGAGAGGAUUACUGCAGGUUUACACUCUACACAAAUAAUAAAUCUCAAAGCAGUAAACGAUAAUAAUAUAUUAAUCUACAAUUCAAAUCAAUAACCAUAAAAAUAAAUUCCAAGAAGCAAGAACCACAGAUCUAAUAAUCAAUUUAACUUCCAGUUAUUCUCUCUGAACUUUUCUUAUCACAAAAAUAUGGGAUAAAAAUGGCAGCAAAGCAGUUAAACAAGUAUAUCAUAAAGAAGGGAAUAGGUAGCAAACACAUUUGUACAAAAAAUAAAGAGAUAAUUUACAAAAAUACUACAAUUUCAAAACUUAAAUACUUCGACCACAUAUGAACAAUUGUGGUAUCAUUUAAAUUCUUAACUAACGAUACUAUUAACUUCUCAGUAAGAGAACUAUAAGAGAUAAAAAGUAAAUCUGAAGUUAAUUAUAGCUAAUAACAACAACAUAGAUGAUUAAAUAACAAAAAAAAUAAACUGACAGUACAUGGUAUUAAAACAAGAGCACAUAAUAAUAUGAUUUUAGUGAUAUUUCAUAUUCGCUGCCUUUUUUGAGAUCUAUAUGACACGCUAAUUAUACCACAUUUAAUUGGUAUAAGAUAAAGGCACAAAACAUUCAUUUACAGAGUAUAUUUUUAAGUUCUGUAUGACAGAAUCUAUGCCUUUAACUUUAUAAUGUGUGAAAACAAUUACGCGUAUGUGACUUUUUCAGCACAACACAUAUGUAGAAGCAGAUCAAGAAAUAGAUCUCAGAACCCAAUAUUGCCAUCAUGAUUCAAGUUAACUUACAAAACCCUGCCAAAAUCGUAACUUUCACCCAUUUCCUACCUCAUGUUAAAAACCAAAGUAUUGCAUAUUUGAUUAACCAUAGAUUACAAAGUUGCAAGCAAUUUUAAUGUGUUGAUGAAAAGUAAUCAAUAUGAAAUCAACUACUAACAAGUUAACCAACAAAACCUGCCAAAAUCACAACUUUAACCCAUUUCCGAAUCUUAGAAAACCAUAUUUGAUUAACCAUAUGUAUUCCAAAAUUGUAAGCAAUGUCAAUGUGUCGACGAGAAGUAACCAAUAUGAAAUCAAUUACUGAAAUAAGAGGUGGAAUAAAACAUGAUUGUAUUGUAUACCUUGACGAAGUUGCCGAGGGUCUUGGUGGAGCCGCGGGAGGAGGUGAACACGUCCUCGAUGCCGGCGAACUGGAGCACCUUCUUGGGCACGCGGGCAGCGACGAUACCGGCCCCCCGUGGAGCAGGAACCAUGCGGACGGUGACGGAGCCGCACUUGCCGGUGACCUUGCAGGGAACGGUGUGGGGCUUCCCGAUCUUGUUCCCCCAGUAGCCCCUGCGCACGGGGAUCACCGAGAGCUUGGCGAGUAUGAUGGCGCCGCGGAUCGCGGUGGCCACCUCCUUGGAGCACUUGACGCCGAGCCCGACGUGGCCGUUGCCGUCGCCGACGACAACGAAGGCCUUGAAUCGCGUGCGCUGGCCCGCGCGGGUCUGCUUCUGGACGGGCAUGAUCUUCAUGACCUCGUCCUUGAGGCCGGAGACUAGGGUUUCCACGAUCUGGUGCUCCUUCACGGGGAGGGAGUGGAGGUAGAUCUGCUCCAUGCUCCGGAUCUUCCCCUCCUUCACCAGGCGCCCUAGCUUCGUCACGGGCACCCACUUCUCCUCCUCCUGGCGGGGGCCACCGCCGCGCCCACCGCCGCCGAAGCCGCGCCCGAAGCCACCGCGCUCGCCGCCUCUCUCCGCCAUUGUUGCUUCGGUUGGGGCGUGGGGAUGAAGGGGUGGAGGGGAUGAGGGUUAGGGUUUUUUGGAGAGCGGAGGCGCUGGAGAGGGAUGGAGAGAAUCAACGAGGUAUGGUUUAUAUAGUGGAGGCGAAGGGGGUCGCGGGAGAGAGAUUAGGGUUUUGGUACACUCCCAAAACGGGCCGGGCCACAGCACGGCACGGGUGCUGUAGCACCCGUUCCGGCCCGGCCCGGUCAGAACAUACAAGCCGUGCUAGGCCUUAUUUUGCGGCCGGACGGCCCGGCACGGCACCCGUUACACGCGGAGUGUAACGAGUGUUUCGGAUCUUCUACGGUGGGAUUACCUCUAUGGAUCUAGUGAUGAACGGCUAUUAAUAACCGCUCGAUAGAAGAGAUUAUUGUGUGGACCGGGUCCACCACGUCAACUAUAAAUACUAGUACUAGCUUUUAACUAUUUUUUUGGGUCCUCUUAAACUUUAAUUUAUUAUAAUUUUUUUUCUAAAUUAUUAUAAUUAUGUUCUAUUAUAUAAUUUAUUUUAUUCACAGCAGUAUGGGAAUUUGUUAUGUGAUAAUGAUUAAGACUUAAUUUGAUAUUGAGCUCCACCUGACGUUAUUAGAUAAAAUGGAGUUGAGGUAAAAGUAUAUAGAGAUAUGUUUUUACGUUCUCCGGUGGAAUCGUAGAAAAUAUAUUAUAAUCGACUUAUUGUGAUAUACGAAACGCUAUAUCAUAUACGGAAACAAAUAGAGUAUUUUUUCAUCGUACUUUCUCACUACAUGUAACGCAAUCUUCCCGCAUUCUCAAACGAAGCCUAAAUAUUAUUAUUAUAUUAGUAUCAUCAGCGAUCAAUUAAAUUACUUCAUCGAACUUUAUUACAACAAAAGCAAUAUUACUGGUCCACUUUAAAAUAGGGUACACAUCAUACAUCCCCCUUCAUCCAAGAGUCAUUAUUUUUUCACCUAUCACAUCAACUUUAUUGUUUUAUCUUGAAAAUAAUUUAAAUUACAGUAUUAUCUAUUUUUUAUUUAAAUACAAUUAGAAACAAGAUAACAUAUCUAUAAUAUCCUAAUAAUCUUACAUCAGAUAAUGUGAGGGAGUGUGAAAGCUAGAUAUAUGAAAGUUAGGUUUAAACAUUUUGUGUCGGUGAUAUGGGCCAAUAAAUUAGUGGUAUUUGUGGGCUAUAUUAUGAAAGUUUCACCAUAAAAUUAGUCAAAAAGCCCAAUAGCAAAAAAAGUACCCAUAACAAACCAUUAAAUUCUUUUAAAAGAGAAAAGUAUGGACAAUAUGUGAUUUAUUCCAUUUACAUUGUCUAAUUAUCACUGCAUUUUACAACCUCCUCAUCCUUAUUUUCCUUUAUUAAUUAUACACACAAGGAGUGGGAAUAACAUUUCCCUUCUUAGUCCACAUUGCAUUAUCACAUGCACUUAUUGUGGAUUUUUUAUUUUGCCCAACCAAGUUAAUGUUUUGCAUAGUAAUCCCAUGGCAGGGAAUGCUUUUGCUGCAGUUGAAGGUGAUAGCAAAUUGAGAAGCACUUGUCCCCUUGAUGUUUUCAUACAAUAUGUUGCUUACUUCCACAGCUGAUUUCUACAUUCAAAAAAAAAAAAUUCAUAAAAGGAUAAAGUAACAAAUCAAAAUUUAAAGUUCAAUCUCAAUCAGCAAUUACUUAUUUCAUUUGCAGUGUGAUUCAGAAUUUUUCCACCAUUUAAACAACAUUUUAUUACUCUUUCUACGUAAAGAGUGAUCAACGACUGAGAUUGAACCUUCGAAUUUAUUUUGUUUAUGUGUCGUUCACUUGAGUGGGACUAGUAAGGAAGGAAAAUUGCUCUUGUACCUGAAUUUUGCAUGCCUUGCUAGAGUCGCAAUAAUUUUGGUCAAUAAUUAUGGGGUUUUCAACAUUAUCCAUCAUGAUAUUUUUAAAUACUACAGCUCUUACAUAGCCACUCCCUCCCUGUUCAAAAAAGCAUGGGUUAGGAACAAGGUAUGAUUUGAAAAAAAAAAAAAUUUUUUAAAAAAUAAUAAUAAAACUGAUACACCUAUUCAUGUGCCCAUUAACUUCCACAAUAUUGUGGUUUACAACUUUAAACAUCACACAAGCAUAAGUAGUGUAAGGAACAAUGUGCAUAUUGUUAUAUACAUAAGGAUAAAGUGUAAAUUAUGUAACAAAUAAGAUAAGAUUAUCCUUUGUGGCAAUUUCUAAUUUAUAUUUCCAUUAGGAUAGUUUUUAAAUUUUAGUUAGUGCCAUAAAUUUAAAUAUAUAUAUUUUUUAAAAUUGUAAUUUUCUCUGUAACAAAUGAGAUAAACUCAAGUAAACUGGUGAUCAAGCGUAGCAUACUUUAGUCUCCAAAAACUCUCCAUCACAAUAUAUCCUUAUUAAUUAAUUAUAUUUUUAUCAUGAAUGUUGCUCUACUAUUAUUUCUAAGGUAAAAUACUGUUGCCAUCCUGAUUCUGCAACUUGGUUUUUAUACUUUAUACUUAAACACUUCAAUCUAUAAAUAUUUACAGAUGAUUACAGUCACAUCUAAAAAUAAAAAAAGAAAAAAAUUUCCAAUCAGGUACCCACACACUCACUAUAUAUUCUAAAGUUUCUAAUACAACAACUCAGUUUCUGUAUCUUUUUACUUAAAUAACUUCAGUUUCUAAUUGUAGCCUCUAAAAGUGAAAAAAUAAUAAUAAUAAUAAACAAACUCUUUUAUUCCUUUGUACAGAGCAGUUAUAAACCCACCAAUAAAGUUGCAACUAACAAAUCAGGAAAAAAAAGAGAAAAGGUGAGCUACUUACUAUAUACAUUUGGUAUAACAAACACCUACAAAUACUUUAAAAUAAAACAUACAAUCCAAUAAUUGGAGAAAGUGACAAGACCAAUUAACCUAACAAGAGAAGAACACUUCUUUGAUUCAAUUAUGAGGGAAUGUGCAAAAACUUGAAUUAUGAAUCUUAUAAUUUCCCCCUUUUUUUUUUCCUUUCAUGUACAAAAAAAAGGGAAAAAGGAAGAGUUAUAUGUAAAGAGUAAAGACCAACUAAUUAACCUGCCAUGUUUUGAUCCUUGCUCCAUUUUGGGUUCCAAUUAGUUGUGCUGUGUCUACAGUUACAUUUGAGACUUGGGCUUUUGAGUUUCUUGCUCCUAAGCUCCCAAUGCUGAUGGAAAUAAUCAUAUUUGUUAAAAAAAGAAAAAAACUCAAAUAUCAGAAUUAAUCAUAUUUUUCUUCUUCAAUUUGCAAAGCUAUAAUAGCAAAUUAGUAAAAUUUCAGUAGUUUGCAAUUGAGAGUUUAUAUAUACCUUAUUCCAUGACCAGGUCCACAUAUUAUUUUCAUAAUGUUAACACCUUGAGAUCCAGUAGCGAUCGAAAUGCAGUCGUCACCUUCAUUAAAUAAAUCAAGACAAUAAGUAAACAAAGCAUAGCAUUUAAGCUUUGUUUAUGUUUUUGUACACAUGUUUAAUCAAUGUUUUAUCAUGCCUGUUCUGAUUACACAAUUGGUAAUCUCUAUAUUUUGCGUGUGUGCCACAUGAAUGCCGUCGGUGUUAGGGCUCCACGAUGGCGCGGUUAUGGUGAGGUUGCUCGUUUUCACGUUCGUGCUCUUCUCAAAAGAUACUUGAAUUUGCGGGCUAUUCCGCACGCUCAAGUUCUCCACCCUCAAGUUCUUGCAAGAAUAGAAUGUCAUAGCCUACACAAGAUCGAGAGAAAUCACACUUCGAAAUACAGUGAACAUGUCUAAAAUGUGAUCUCUUUGUCUCAACAAGUAGAUUGAAAAUCGUACCGUUGGGGCAUCCUUGCAAGGCUGAAAAAGGCGAGUAGAACGGUUAAGUUAGAACUUUUCUUAUAAACGAAAGAGUGAUGAGGAAAAUGUUCGUGAAAUAUAUAUAUAUAUGCUUACGAGAGAUUUGUUCACUUUGCAUGAGUGUAGCCACCACAUCUUUCCAUUACCAUUUAUCGUUCCACCGCCCGUCACCGAAAGAUUUCUGAUACCAUUGAAUAGUAUCCAGUGUCUUUGAUCCCCCAACUUCCAAUCGGACAGUUUCGAAGGUGCUUCGAUGUUUCCCUUGAUCUUAUUUCAUUCAAACACAUAAAAAUUAAAAGAAAUCAAUGAUAAACUAAACCAAUUUAUAUAUAUCACACAUUUUAUUAGAACUAUAUUAAUUUGUAUCUCACCACCAAUGUCACACUUGAUUUGCAUGAGCCAGAGAAUGUGAUUUGCUUAAGGAGAUAACUCUUCUUUUUAGGAACCAAAAGAACAGCUGAAACAGAAGAGGAGCAAGCAUGUGCCCAGGCCUUUCCAAAUGCCUGAGUAAUUAAACAAACAAAUUAAACAUUUUGUCCUCCAUGCAUAUAUGUACUAAGCGCGCAUUAAUCACCUUCGUGUCGUCGGUUUUACCAUCACCUUUAGCGCCAUAGUAAUCCACAUUGAAAACAUUUGAUCGCGAAACUUGUGAUACACCAACUCGAUCGAAUCUUUCGUCAAAGGGCGACAUAAAAUGAGAAGGAUAAGAUGCGGUGCCGCAUAAAGAAGCGCCGCCGACGAGAUCGCCAAUGGUGGUGUCACCUUCUAAAUUUCCAUAGCAGGCGAUGAGGUCGCUAACGAACAACGCGACGAGAUAGAGCGAAAUAAGCUUAUGUACUAGGGCCAUUUCUAUAAACUAGUCUUUGUAACAAGGAUCAAUAAAAUGAUAUGCUUUGUUUGGUAUAUAUAUAGGAUAUAGUGGUGGAACAAUGUAAUAAUGAGCACUGCAUAAACACGAAGUAAAGUUUACCAAAGCAUGAUAUUGAGAUAGAGAUGUUGUGGAUAUUGGUGCAUGAUUUAAUAUAGGUAUGGGGAAUGAGAUGGAAGAGUCUUAAACGCAAGUGUCUUUGAGACCAACUUCUCUCUACCAUUUUUUUUUUUCCUUAAAUUGCAAAAGGAGAAAGUAAGAAGAAUAGGGAGGGAAUAUCUAAUUUAAAUAUUGUACUUAAUUUGUCCAUCAUUUAUCUAGUAGUAUAGAUUACACGCAUUGGGCCCACAAAAUUUGGAAGGUACUUCACACAAUAUGUUUAAUAAAUUUGGCUUGUGUAUCUUAUUGAGAUACUAAUUUGUUACGUACUUCAUAACAUAAUAUUUAACAUCCAAAUAGUCCCACAUCUCAUAAUCACUACAACAGAAUUAGAUUAUAGCGACAUAUUUUUUUAAUAUUUUUACGUAACUAUUUCAUUUAUGCCAAAAUUUUUAAAAAAAUUCUACUAAGGCCUAAAUAUAAAGCCCAAUCCAAUCAAAAAUAAAAGGUUACUCAACCUUCUCCCCUCUCCUUCUCCCCUCACUCAAUCCACUGAAACCCUAGACGAAGAGCCCCUCGCUCUUCUCCUCAUCCGUGUCGCAGCCGACAAUAUAGGAUUCCGGCGGUUGCUAAAUGCUUAAAUAAGUAUUGAUAAAUUAGCAGUAUUCUUUUUAGGUUAUAUCGAUACUUUUAAACUAUCACUAUAUACCUAGCGAGCCCACAUAUAGCAAUAUUUUUUAAAAGUCACGGUAAUUCAGCCGGCAGUACUUUUUUUGACCUGUAUCAGCAUUUAAAUAUGUCGUUAUAUACCAUUUUUGUUGUAGUGAAUGUAGCUAGGAGAGCAUGAUAGUCUUAUAUAUGACUAAUGCAUUAGUACUAAUAAUCUGGGCUAGUGGCAAAAUCAAAUUAAAAACUAAAGGCUCAAUCUCAGCUGCUGAUCACUUUAUAAAAUUAAAUUAGAAUAAACUUUAUAAGGCUAGGGGGUCUCAAAUUAAGAACUCGAGAUCUUGCUCAAAUACUAUAUAAACGGGAAGCAAGAAGAAAGAAUGAAUCAAUCUAUUUUAUCUAUAAUCCAAUAUAAUAAUUAUGUUGAUAUUGAUAUUGAUUUCUAGGGACGAGACAUCCUGCAAAUUAUUUCUAGACUAAACUAAUUGUUCUCUAAAACCUUUAAAAACUUAAACUAGUAGAGAACUGUCGCUAGUGCAAGUGACAAAUAGUUUGGUGGUUGGUACCCGAGGUUCCAAGUUCGAAUCCUAAUUGAUUCACAUUUUCAGCUAAGUUUUUUUCUAAAAGAAAUAAAUGAAGCGGUUACCAUGCUACCAACAGAUAAAUAUGUGAAUAUUGAGAUAAAGAAACUAACUUGUCGUAUAUAGCAUAAGCUAAUUGUUCUUUAAUGGUGAUGCUUUAGCCAUUAACACGCGGCUGGGGAGAGGGAUGGGCACGGAUGAGUGCCGUUCUAAAACUUAAUUAGUUCAAAAUAUACAAACUUUGAUUGAUGUACUACAUAUAAAUAUAACACAAAUAUAGUUAUGGUCACACCUAAACUUUUGGCUAACAACAAAGGUGUGGAAAUAAAGCAAAAACCUUGGAGGUAAAUAUGAUUCCAAUACUUUUGCUUUAAAUUUUCAGAAGAAAAAUAAUAAUAUAUAUGAAAGAAGAAUACCCAGCUCUCCAUAUGUCAAAUAUAAAAAUUAAAAUAUAUUUUUUUUAGCAUCUUUUAUGGUUUUGGAGAAUAAUGGUUGUUUCAUAUAAUCUAAUAUCGUAUCAGAGUAGAAAAUUUUGAAUUUUUGGACAAAAGUGUUGAAUAUAAAUAUUGACAUAUGAGACUCAGAUGAUUAAUCGAUAUGACAAUGUGCACCGCAAUAGGAUAUCGUCCCUCCUAGUACAGAAAACAUGUUCAUUUUUUUCAAUGUUUGAUUUUUUUUUUUUUUUUUUUGGUUUAACUUUAAAACUCAUAGACCCUUUGUAGAUCUACUAACUUUGAAGCAAAUUAAUAACGAGUUUUAUUGAAUAAUGAGACCAACUUUCAGUUAAGAAUACAAAUUUAAAUAGAACACCUAUUCCUUAUUAUUAGUUUUGAUCUUGUGAAUUUGUCCAUAAACUAAGUAUUAACAUAACAUACUCUUAAUAAUGACUGUGCGUAGUUUUAUCUUCACACAUCUAUUUUAAUAAUAUAUCUAGAAUCACAUUCUUAGGUUAUUAAGAUGUAUAUGAUUCUAUUCUUACUAAACUUUAUGAAAUAUUAACACUUGGAUCACUUGUUCGAGUACCAGAGAUAUUAAAACACUCUAAAAGAGCUAUUUUUCUACUAAAAAAAAAGGGAUGAAAAGAAUUGUGCCAAUCUGUCCCAGUUGCAUGCCACUAGCAUGACGAAGCGUGCCGACAUUUGUACACGGUGUGUUAUUGUGUUGUGUCGUGCUGUGUCGAUAGGUCAUGUAUCACUGAUACGAUAAUUCUUGUUCUGUUUGAUAGUUAAAACUUUUGGAGAGACAAAUUAAUUCAUAAUUUCACUACUUUACAUCAUACAUAGUCAACUUUUACAAAAGAAAAACACCUCAAAUCAUCAGCACCCACUGAAGUUAACAAAGUGUUCACAACAGGAUUCUGCAAGAAAACUCAGCUAGUAAGCUAAACUAUCACAUUAACCCUUAAUUGAAACUGUUCUGAAUGCAGGAUAAUGCAAAUCAUUUCACAAAGUGUCAUGUUGAAAUUGUAAAAUCAUUUUGCGAAGUCGCAAGUCAUUGGAACACUUGAUUGGCCUAAAACUGAUACUAUUUGAAUUUUUCUCAGAAAAAGUUUGCAAGUGCUCUGUACAUGGACAAACAAUAACAACCUAAAAGAGUGUUUCGUUUCCUCUCCUGUAUCUUGAUUUAGAUGUUCUCAUGCCAAUCCAAUUGAAUGGGGCUUUUGCGGAACAAUAAUCCACUAUAUUUCAGAUUUUGCAGCAAUCCACCCUUUUUAUGUUUUUUGCACUAGAAAAAACAUCCAUUGGAAAUUUCAGCCAAGAGAAUUUUGGUCCUGUAAAAGGAUAGUUUGGCCCGAAGUUGCAAAAUCAAGGAACAAGUGGAUUUUUGUUUUGCAACAAGGCAGAUCCAGAUAUCUUAUACAUCAAAAGCUCAUUCACCUGCAUAUUAUAGUGAUUCGUGCGUGACUCAUCUAGGAAUUGGACAAUAAUUCAAAGCCGGUUCGCCUGUGGUAGAGGCUGGAGCAAGCAUCUUCCUCUCUACAGAUAAGAAGCGGUUGGACCCUCCUGUGCUUUCGAUGGAUCUCAUAUACUCCGAGGCAUUGUUCUCGAUUAUUAAGGCGUCCUCGAGCUCCCUGACGAUAUCCGACAUACUUGGACGGAAGGUCGCGAAGGGCUCUGUACAUGCCAAGGCAGCCUCUACCACUCUCCACAUUGAUUCUGAGUGGUAUUGACUCUUAAUGGUCGGAUCCACGAUUUCUUCGAUCCUUGACUCUCUUAUAAACGGUUUUGCCUAGACCAAAAAAUGUUCAAAGGUUAGUGAUGAUGAUCAUUAAAAGGUAGUAUUUCAUAUUUGAUAUUUUCUGUAAUUGUACAGUGAUUUUCUUCAACUCUAGUUUAUUAUGUAUGAGGUGAAAAUACGAUAUGAAUUACUGCUGGAUAAAAGUUGGACAUGACAUCAAGGUAUUUCCAUACAAUGCCGGAAUAAAUUAUCCAGUGAUAACCUAAGCGAUAUGUCUAAUUACUAAUUACAAGCUAGGAGUUUGGCUUUAAUUCCUUGAGAAGUCUCGGCAGCCAUGAUUUGAAAGUGUAACGUGUAUUUCACCGACGAGGUGAUCUAUCUUAUUAUGAGAAAAUGACUUGAAGACCAGACGUGGUAUGCCUUUCGAGACACUAGAUUACCCUGCUCAUCUAACGAAUACUACAAACUCCGUAAAUAUAUAAAGGAGAUAGGCCCAGUAAGAUGUUCAUGCAGACAAUAUACUCAGUAAGUAGAAAGAACUACGCCAAAACUAAGCUCAGCAAACAAAACUAGCUCUGUGUUUCAGAAUCUUAAAAUUUUGAUAGUAUACUCAGGAGUAGAAGGAUGUAAUCUGUUGAAAUCAUACCCAUUCAACUAAGCUCCACUCAUUUCGCGGCCUGUGAAUGUUGAGAGGCUCCCUUCCUGUUACAAUUUCUAAAAGAACGACACCAAAACUAAACACAUCACUUUUGGCUGAUAGCUGCUGGGUCGAAUAAUACCUGCAACAAGAGAAAAUUCUUCAGCAUGCAUUCCACUGUGAUGCUCAAGUUGUUCAGUAUAAAAAUUUUAAAUCAAUAUUUACAAUUUUAGGAAGCACUUGGUUGCGCAUUUCCGUAGAAACUCUUGAACUAAUGGAAUUAAAGAACAAAGAUGCCUUUAUCAGCAUAAAUCAGGAUGAAGUCAUGGCUGAUUUCAACGUGUUUUUGAAAUGACGAAAAGAAACGACAACAAAGCAUCAAUGUACGGGAAAAGUCAAUGAUUGCUUUUACAAACCCAUCUAACUAACUUUGUAGCCAAAUCCAGGCCUUAAUCUCUCCGUUCAUAUCUUCAUCCCUACUAUGAUUAGUAAGCCUCGAAUACCUACAUGAAAGACUAGUAGUUUGACCACAUGGUCCACAUCAUGGCUUAUUAAAAAGCCCAAGCUAUCAAGUAUGCGGAAAUCACCUUUGGGCAAGGGCAACCUAUUUUCAUCUCCAAGGUUAUAAUGCACUCACGAGGGCACAAGCAUGCAUAAAUAAAUAUACAUAGACGGGGUAACUAUAACCUGUUUGUUGGCUUAAAUGGGCCAGCAUCCUGCCCUGUGGCGGGAGGCCGGGUUGGGCCGAAUCACAUUCGAAAUGGUGUGAGGCUAGGUGGGCCAAGUCAUGUUCGAAGUGGCGUGAGGUUGGUUGGGCUGUGUCACAAUUGAAACUCGUAGGCGCUGUAUCUGUAUACUUUAAGUGAAUUGGUUGCAUAUUUCUAACAGCUCGAGCUUUUGGGAUUAAUGGUUAACGCCAAUGAUCCGACAAGUGCUAUUAAAGCCAGAGAUCACGGGUUCGAUUCCCGCAUGCUGCAAAUGUGUGCAGAUGCUAGAGGGCGGAUUGUUGGCUUAAAUGGGCCAGCAUCUUGCCCCGUGGCGUGAGGCUGGGUGGGCUCGAGCUUUUGGGAUUAAUGGUUAGCGCCAACGAUCCGACAAGUUAAUGUUAUUGUAAGUGUCGCAAAAUAAAUCAAAACAUAUAAAAUGGUAUUUAUCGCUAAGCACCAGAAGACUUUACUUUCGGUUAGUUAAUAAGCAGUCUUCUUCAUUAGCAUAAUUGAAGAGGUUUAAUCAGUAGUAAGUGCAAGGAAAAAUUCCACGACUGUUCAAAUUUCAAGUGAAACAUGAGUAAACUUACUCAGGGUCCAGGUAUCCCGCAGUUCCUCUCACUUCCAGGGAUGCUCCGCUGUCCCCUUCUUGAGGCGCAUAUUUUGAAAAACCGAAGUCGGUCACUUUGCCGAUCAUGCUAUGAUCUAGAAGAAUGUUGCUAGAUUUGACAUCCCUGUGGAUGAUGCAGCGCCCAGCAAAAUUGUGAAGGUACAUCAAACCUGAAUCAUUUCAUAUAAUGGAGUUGUCACCUUUUGCAUUAUCUCGAUUUCUAACACAGCAGAUGAUAUACGUAAUGCGCCAAAAAUGAACAAUUUAAAGAUAGUGAAAUUCAGCAUUUACAAAUGCAAACUGGCAUAGGACAUCGUGCCUACAAAUGCGAACUCAGAAAGGAAACACUAUUCUUGGGGCUUAGGGUACUAGGACAUGCUAAACAACGCACUUAGUUUCCAGGCCAAAUAGAAUUUCAUAUGAAUCCUAGCCAGUAUGGCAAGCUCCACUUGAAUGCAUUCACCCAAAGCACUGCACUAGCUGCAUUCCUGAUCACAAGCAAAAAAUAUAUCCACAAGGAGGCGGAACUCACCUUUAGCAGCACCAAGUGCAAUAGACAGUCUAGUAGGCCAAUCAAGCACUUUCCUUUUUGCUGCUUCACCUUUACAUAAAAAUUAUUGCAUUCAACGAAGAGGAAGUAAAUGAAAAGGCCAGCUAAAUCAGAUAAUAUGUUAAACUAAGAUGAGUACCAUAAAGACGAUCUUGUAGCGAACCAUUGGACAUGAAUGGAUAGACCAAGAUUUGCUGAUCAUUCUCACAGCAAUAGCCAAGAAGUGGGACCAAGUUGUCAUGCUGAAUGGUUGAGAGAAUCCUUAACUGUAAAAAUAUUGAAUGCGCUAGUUAGAAGAGCUUAAUUUGAUUCAGCAAUACAGAAUAGUCGGGAGUCGCUUGAUGUGGUGUUCCUUGUCUAAGGGUGCCACAUUGAAAACUUACACCAAAGGAAUUAGUUUCCGAUAAGAUUGCAAAAUCUUACAGAGUCCUCAAAGAAUCUAUUAAAGUUUAGCUCGUUAUGAAUCACUGCGUAGUUUGUUCAAAUGGUUUACCAUGGAAGGAUAUAGACUUACACAAAAGAAACAUGAAACCCAAUGCAUAAUUUGCUUCGAGUUAAAGAAAAUUUUGGUCAUAUUUUUACCUCAUUGUUGAACUCGCGUGUUCCCUGAGUUGAUGAGGACGAUCGAACUUUGACAGCCACUUCUUGACCAUGUGGCAGAACACCUUUGUAGACAACUCCGAAUCCACCCUCCCCUAUCAAGGUUUUGUAGUUUUCUGUGGCAUUUUGGAUGUACUGAAGUGGAAACUGCUGUACCACAGGGUUGGUAGGAUCGUGAAUGCUCUCUGAAAAUACUGGAUCUACAUAUAACAAGGCGAUUCAUAUUUAAUAAGAUGGAUUACAGCAAUAAAGAAACACACACUUAUUCACCUAGGAGCUUGAACUCGAACAUUGCAGUUUGUAUGAAACUCAAUGGCCUUCUUAAGGAUUUAAAUAUAUUAUUUUAACUCUUCAACAGGAAAUAAAUUGAUUAUCAUUUCAUAUUACUGAGCAAAAAAGAUAUUUCUCUUUACUUCAAUGUAUCAAAUUUUGCCUUAAAUGAUUGUUGCCUUAAUAGGAGGUAUUAUAAGAAACAUAUGAAGAAGAUUGCCCAGUGUUAUUAAAUGCAGAUAAACAAAAGCGGAUGAGUAUUUCACGGGCGUACUCUUUAUAGCUGGGUGGCCUCUUUCAGCAGGGGGGCGAACACGUCUGUAGAAACAAGUUAAAAACAUCCCAAGAGCAAAUGUACAGGCAAGAGAUCCUCCAGCAAUGCUUCCUACUGUGUAAUUAUUUCGUUGAGGAGGUGUCUGUUCUUGAUCAUAACAAUUUCUUGAACUGAAUUGAAUAAUAGUCACAAGAAAUAUGAGACACAUAUACAAUAAAUAUAAUGCCAAACUUCGUAAACCUGUACUGUUGUCAUACUUUAACGUAAAAUUCAUCCUUUUUGAUAACCCUGUAGGAAGUUGAUCGCUCAAUGAUGGAUUGCAAUUGAUUGACCUAAAGCAGAAAUAGAAUUUAUUAGCCAAAAUUUGAGUUGGAAAGCAGUCUUUUCAGCAAUGUGGACUGCCAAAGUUGAAUUUGGUGGAAAAUUUUCCAAAAAAAAAAAGGACUUAACAAAUUUGAUAAUUUCCUGAGCAACUCAAAAGAUUCUGGAAUGGAUCCUGUGAAGUUAUUAUUAUCCAGAUUCCUGACAAAGAAGGAAACUCAGAAUUCAUAGGAAAUUCAAAGAAAAGGAUGAUUUUCAUCGACGAGAAUCGUUUACUACGAGAGCUAGCUCACAUACAGCUCAAUUAAGUCUGUUAGGUAACCUAUGGCUGUAGGAAUUGGCCCUUGCAAGCUCUUUGAUGAGAGAUCCCUGCCACAAAUAGUACGAACAGUUGUCGCACGAUAUCAAAUCGUUAGAAUGAAACUAUGGGAUAGAGUUAAAACAGCAUAAAAGUAGUGAAGGACCAAAAUUAUAAUGUAAAAAGCCGACCAAAAGAAUGAGUCGACUUUACGGAGAAGAAGGUACUUACAGCUUGAAAAUGACAAAGGUGCCAUUCUGUGGUAGGCAGUAGAAGCCUUCCCAGGGAGGAGACAAGCAGGGGUCCCCAUUCCACUUCUCCAACAUAUUGUUUCCUGGGUUUCUCUCCAGCAACUGAUACCUUACCUCCUUCGCUACAUCCACUGUUUGAAAUGAUAUUUUGCAUAUCAAACUUUUUCUAGCUAGAAAAAAGUAAUAAUAAUAUGAAGCCAAACUCAAAAAGUAUUUUAUGUUUCAAUUUUUUGGCAUCCUCAAGUUCUUCAAUAACAACUCAUUACAGUGCAUUACUAUGAGUAAAUUGGAAUGAGCCAAUGACAAAUCCAUUGCAUGUGUAGAAAUUAGAAAUCGUUCGGUCGAAAGUUAAUCAUGCAAUGCAGUCUCACUACCUUAGUUCUGAACUUGAGAAAGUGUCUGCUAAAAGGAUCUUCAGACAUUUUCUGGUACACUACAUUUUACCGCCUGUUUGAAUGCUACAUAGCUGUUAUCAUGUGAUAACUGAUGCAGGAAAAAGUUUUGGAUAUACGAUCGGUACGUACUAAGGUCAAGGAAAAUAUUAUCCUUUUUCCUUUAACGAUUAACAUAAACUGCCUUUAAGAAGGAAAUCACGUGAAUGUGGGUCAUAAAUGAAUCAUAAUUUCUUUAAGUCAACUUAUGCUAAUCAUUAAAAGAAAAAGGCAAUGUUAUUCUAAUCAUUAGAUGAAUUCAGGCCUUGAAUUCUUUAAGGAACAUAGCACUAGUUUUACUCUAUGAUCUGAAGUUUCUAACUAGAGAUAUUAUUAAAAUAGUAUCAAAUAUUUGGAAGGAUAUUCUUUCUCUCUCCUUUUCGAUCAAAGUACAUCUAACUACCUGUUACUUAUGAGACAGGUGACACUUUGUUCUCAAACUUUAAUUUGUUACAAUUUUUGGCUCAAACUUUCAAAAUUAGUUGCAAUUAAAUCUUAUAACCCAAUUGAAUUGACUAAAUAUUGAUAUAUUGCUAAUCUAGAAGUGAUGCGGCAGUGUUGCGAUUGAUGAUGCGCCAAUAAUUAAGACGCUUGUGUCAAUGUUUAGUCAACUAAAUUGGGUUGAGGGACUUGAUUGUAACAUUUCUGAAAGUUUGAACUGUAAAUUACAACAAAUUAAAGUUUGAGGACCAAGCGUCCAAUUUUUACCCUUCUAAGAAUCUUCCUUGUGUCAGUUCCCCUCAAUUUCAUCAACAACUAAUAUCUUUAUAUCAUGAAUUCCGCGAACGCAUGAUCACAAAACAACAAUCAAACCCUAUCGUCAAAAAGAUCGAUCUAAUAGAAAAUAGAAAACAGUUCAAUUCAUUUCGUUUAUUACGACCUGAUGAUCUGAUAUCAUGUUAAUCAAAAGAUUGAAAAGACAGAAAAAGAAAUAAUGAUCUUAAAAAUUACUUUGGCCCCCAUAUGCUGUUAUUGGAAGGAGCAUCAGGAGCAGGAGGAGGAGGAACAGAGCCAUCCAAUUCACGGUUCCGCCAUCGCGAAUUCGGAUUUGGGACCGUCAGAUCGAGGCUGGGAGGGGAGGGGGUAUGAUGGCAGUCUGCCUUCUCCUUCUUCUUCUUCUUCUUCUUCUUCAGUCUGGAGGGGAGAGCUGACGUCGCCGUUCUUGUCUGCUUGUUGGGGGUGUUUGUAAUAGGAGGUGGGAACUGCCGCCAACGGCAAAAUUCCAUUCUUUUAUUACUGGGAUGGUCAGCAACUCUUUACAGAAAUAAAAUAAAAUUACAAAUAAACAAAAAUAAAAUAAAAUAAAGGGACCCAGUCUUGACUGUUUCCUAGUGAGGGAUGGGAGAAAUUGUUGCGCAGAGACUGAACAGCCGGUUGAUUUGGACGUGAUUAAAAUGAUCAUGUAAAAUACUGUCAGUACAUUUAGGGCAUAUUUGGUUCAUGAUUGGAAUAUGAAUGAGAAGUUGAAUUGGAUUGCUUCGGAAUAAAAAAUGGAAUGACGAAUCAUCUAAAAAUGUUUAGUUCAUUAUCAGAAUGAAAAUCGGAAUGAAAAUUUAAAAAUUUUUGAGAGAGGGUUUUGAUUAAGAGAGAGGAAAGUGAUGAAGGGAGAGGAGGUAGGUGUUGAUGAAAGAGGAUUUUGAAUAGUUUACUUUGGAAUGAGCCAAUCUGGAAUUCAAAGCCGGAUUGGAUUAUAAAUGAAUUUGACUAUUCCCAUUCCGGAGUGAAGUGGAAAUCGGAAUCUGAUUCUUAUAAAACAAACGGCAACUAUCGGAAUCAAUGAAUUCCAUUCCGAUUCCAUAGUCUAAAAUAGGUGAACCAAACACGUCCUCAAUGUAGAAGGAGGAAGGCUAUUGUGCAGCAGCUGCACCACAUGAUGAUGACCGAUUAGUUAUUUAUUUUUUUAAAAAAAUAUAAUAAAAAUAUAUAUAUUUUUUUAAUUGUGAGAUGGUUGAAUUUUAUGGAAGGAAUUUGAUUGAUUGGAAACAUCAUAUCAGCAAUAUGACUGUUAUAUUCUAGACUUUUUCAUAUAAAAGUGUAUAUUUUAUGUCUUUAAUUUUAAUUUUUUUUAUAAGACAAAAAACCAAUUGUAAGCCAUAAGAAACCUACAUUAAAUUUUAUACCUUUAUUAUAAUAGGUGUACAUAUAGUAUUUUGAGUCUGGCUACUAUACUAUCGGUAGCACGAGACUUUCGUAUUAUCAAGUUUUUUUUUGAUGAUGGGCAUCCGAACUAACAAUCAGCUUUGUUAUACUUAAUCUACACUAUUAAAAGUAUUUGAAAAUCAAAUUUCAUAAUUUUGCAACAUCAUUUACAUAUCAAAUUGAGUAAUCCAAAAAUGAACAGCUGAAAAUAAAAAUCUAAUAAAACAGAAUGAUAAAAGACUUGAAUUUAAGAUAAGAGAUACUGGACUUAUUCUAAAUAGUGAAGAGAAUUUUCAAUAAAAAUUUUAUCGGAUUUGAAUUAUUUUACACCAUUAAAUUCAUGAAUACAUCACCUAUUAAAAUUAUUAAUUUUAAAACUUUUUGAUCACUAGUCAAAUAAUAUUUAAAAAAAAAUUCGGUUUCUAAAUAUUUUCAAAAACGUAGAACAUAUCUAACAGAGCCGAUCAUCAAUUUGGAAGCUGUAUCAUCGAAAACAACUUAGUAGCAUGGAGACUAUCGUGCUACCGAUAGUAUAAUAGCCGGACUCUAGUAUUUCUCCAUGAUUAAAUCGGGUCCAACCCGGUUUGCUCGACUCGAUUUUUACAGUUUAGAUUAGGCCUAGACUUCCCACAAUUUAUUGGAUCGGAUCGGAUCUCAAAUUUUGAGUCCCAGAAAAUUUAAGCUGGGCCACCAUUAUUCAUUUCUUUCGUUGAUAUUGAAUGGUUCGGAAUUUUUUUUUUGACUUGCUGAUUUGGUCUAGUUUGGGUCAUAUCGAAUCUAAACAGUAUUAAAAUUUUUCAAUAAUACUGUAGAAAUUACAUAAACAGUAUUAAAAUUUUUUAAUUAAACAUUUAAGGUACUCAAAAUGCUUUCGGAUGAUCGUUACAUAAAACAAUCUCGCCUCACCCUUUUUUUUUUUUUUUUUUUUUUUUUUUUUUUUUUUUUUUUUUUUUUUUUCGCUAAUCUUGAUUCAACAACUUGCAUAAGAAUUGUUAUAAGCCAAAUUCUAAAACAAAAAAUGCAUAUACUAAAAAGCCACUUGCAUACAUUUAAAAUUUGGUUCCGCAUAAUAUACUUUUGAGUUUCUGAGUAUUUAUUAUUUUUUCAAAAAAAAAGGAGAAGAGAAGAAAAUGAUCAACUGCAAAUUUUUUCAGGAAUCUAAAUAUGAUCUGAACUUGCAAAAAUUAUAUGAAGGACCUAAAUUUUAAAUUAAAAAAAAGUAACUGGAUUAAUUUUUCAUGCAAAAGCCUAUUAAUAUUAGGGUAAACUUCAAAUAUCACUUCAAUAAUUUCACACUUUCUCAUUUUAGUAUCCUGUGAUUUAAAGUGUAUCAAUUUAGUGUCAUGUGGUUUCACACUUUCUCAUUUUAGUAUCCUGUGAUUUAAAGUGUAUCAAUUUAGUGUCAUGUGGUUUCUUUUUUUUUUUUUUUUUUUUUAUUCGUCAGCUCCUUCGUUAACUUUUCGUUAAAUCAUAUAUAAAAAUCUUUAGAUACCCACCUAUAGUUUAUCGAAUAUUCACUUUAAUACUUUUAAAUUUUAACUUUGUCGCUAAUUUAACGAAAAAAAUUAAUGGAGAAGAUAACAAAAAGAGAAAAAUAAAACCACAGGGUACGAAAGUGAUACAUUUUAAAACACAUGAUACUAAAGUGAGAGAGUGCGAAACCUGAGGAUUGGUAUUUAAAUUUUUCCUUAAUAUUAUACUUCAAUUAUCUUUAUUAUUAAAAAUUUUUUUCUCUUUCUCCAAGAAUUAGGGGCUUGAAGGCUCCACUAACAAAAGCUUAAGUUUGGGCUUGUAUCACCAUUUUAACAACAUCUACAUCUAAAUAUAGUCUUUGGAUCAGGGACGAAGCCAGAAAUAAAGAUUCGGAGGGAUCAAGAUUUAGAUUUGAUAGGAAAAAAAUUUGAUCUCGAAUAAUAAGAAAAAAGUUUAUCGGAUUCACUAAUUAGUUAUUACUAGCAAUAAUUAUGAUAAUAUGCUUAUAGAGGAACAAAACUGUAAUAGUAAAAUUUUAAAAAAAAAUUUGAGACACAGAUUUUAUUAAAAAAAUUAAUUUGGCCCCCUAAAAUUAAAAUUUAUAAUAUUUUAAUUUUUAUUACAAAGGACUUUUAUGUAAAUUUUAAAAAGUUAGGGGGGCCAUGGCCACUGUGGGCCCCUCAAUGGCUCCGCCCCUGCUUUGGAUUGAUAUAUUUAAAUCUAACUAUUAAGAUUGUAACUGCAUGAGGAUUUUUAAUUAUUGCAGUUAGAAUUAUAUCCAAAUUAGUUACGGUUCCAACUGUUAUCACCCCAUUUAAAUAAAAAACAUAAAAAACUUCUUCAAGCUACCAAAAAAAAAAAAGUAUAGUCGUACCAUUUAUAACCACACAAAACUCAACAAAACAGAUAGAAUUAUAAUUACUGUUCUUUUUGGUGUAUCAAGGUGAGGUCAUGUUUCGAGUCUAUUGUACUAUUAAGCAUCGAGGUUACAUAUUAUUGAACUCUGUUCUAGAAUCACUAGUGUCAAGUUCUAGAGAAUCUUAGUCAUGUCCCACAACAUGCAUCGAAUUACGUUCCGCAGAACCCGAAAGCUGUUUGAGAUAGAUCUGUUAAGUUAUGUCCCUGACCCUUUGUAUUAGGUUUUAGAAUUUUGGUCGUCUUCCAAAGCCAACAACUUAGAUUCCAGGGGUUGAACCUGAUCUGAUCUGGUACGUUGAGUUCUAUAACCAGCAAUUUAGGUUUGGACCCAGGGGUUGUCGCAAUGAACAAGUUAAGUUAAAUUCAACUCCGAAAUAAUCUAAUCUUGUGGUUUACAAUUUCGGUUGGACAAAUAAUAUCUUGUUGAGAACUUUUAAGUGGAGAUCCAUAGCUAAAACUGAAUAAAAAACUUCAGAUGAGCGGUGGUAAUCAUUUCUCCUUUAUUUGGAGGUUUCAGGGUUUAAAAUUUUAUAUUCUCUGUUCUAAAGCUUAGAUCUUUAUUGUGAAAAACCCUUACUGAGAGAAAAAAUAUAGGAGAAUUCUAAAAGAGAGUUUCUUAUAUAUAUCUAAACUCUAUUCCCUGUACUGAUUGUGCUGUAGAUUAAUUAAAGAACAGAUUAAAAAAAAUCUUCUCUGUGGACGUAGAUCGGCACAUCGUUAACCAAACUACAUUAUGUCUUGUAUACUUUGUUUAUUGUAUUGCUUUCCAUCCUUGUGCUUAUUUUCUCGAUCGAUCUCAUCAAAGAUUCAGUUUCUGUAUAGUUUUAUUAUGCCGAGAGGGUUUAGAGGUGUACUUGAAUCACUCCAACCCCAUUUUUCUUUCAAUAAUUACUAUUAAAUUCAAAUGAAACAACCCUUUGUUGUUUCUAGGUUCCAACUAGUAUAUUCGUUCCCAUCCAAGGACGCGGAAAUUGCGACAAAUUCAACCCAUCUCAAGAGUAAAGUCACCAUCUUAAACAAGUUUAAAAAAAAAAAAAAAAAAAAUCCUCUUUCUUUAACAUUCCCAAGUUAUUAGCGUUGGGGCCAAUUGUGUUUCCCUUUUUGUCUUGAUUAGAACUAAUUAAUACAAAAUCUAGUCUACGUAGUGUGUACAAAAAUAAUCUUUUUUAAUCAUCCAAUCAUGCACACAAGUGCUCUAUUUUGGAGAUUACAAACAAGAUGCUCUCCUAAAAUAAUCUUAAGAUGAUGCCAAUUAAUUAUCAACUUAUUUUAAAGAAAAAACUUGGUAAAAAACGCAUGAACACCCCUCAACAAUAGGCCGUUCUCAAAUGGCCUCCUCUAAGUUUGAAUUUUUUGAUUGAGACCUCUUAGCUUUCAUUCUUUUGGAACUAAGCAUAUUUAGUCCGAAAAAAAAAAGCAAGAGAAUAUAUGGACAAAUUCAAUCAAAUUUAACGAUUUUAAUAACUUCUUAAUGAAUAAAAUUAAAAUAAUUAAUGACUAAUGGCUAAUGGAACUACAACUUUUAACAAAUCUCUAACUAACUAAAAAUCUAGAAUAAUUUAAUUCCAAAAAUUCAAAAGUUAAAUUUAAAAAUCACACAUUUUAUCAAAUUCGAUAACGUUAAUAUUUAUCCUCAAGUAAACUAUGAAAGAAAUUUAACUAAAAUAAGUAGAAUAAGUUCAGUGGGCUCUCGAUUAAAAAAAUAAAAUUAAGGGGGUCAUUUCAAAAUUGGCAAUAGUAGAGGGGGGUCUCUCCAUACAUUUUUUCACCUAAAACCUUUAUCCAUCUGUCUAAUUAUUUAAUAAUGUAGCAAGACAAUCGAUCGCCUUCAAUCCCUUUGUUUCUUCGGCCUCCCAAAUGCUACGGGACGCGUAAAACUCCAACAAUAUUUGUGACACAAAAUAAUUAUCAUUUAAGAAAAAUAUUAAUGUAAUAAUGUAAUAACAAUAUAUAAAAUUACUGAUGCUAAUAAUAAAGUCUAGCAAAACGACAAACAGGCGGCUGCCAACUGACGCUAACGGCGUCCUCAACAAGACGUUAUUGUCUGCACCCGGUGCAUCAAAGCGCACAGUGCACCAUAGCUCGGCCAGAGGGGAAAAGUCUUAAAAUAUAGCAGUUAUAUGGCGACUUGUUGGGGUGUCAACCAGCCGAACACGAGUGAACUGGGACCGACUUGUUAAAGUAUCGGGUCGAAAAAUUCAGCUCAUGUUCGACUCGUUAAUAAAUAAGCCGAACACGAGUAGGCUCACGAGCUGAUUAACGAGUAAUAUAUUAAAUAUAUUAGAUUGAAUAUAUAUAAAAAAUAAAUUUAUAAAAUUUUACCUAUUAGACUUUGAUCUAAUGAUUGAAACUUUACAUAUAAAUAAAUUUUUUUAUAAUUAAAUAUAUAUAUAUAUAUAUAUAUAUAUAUAAUUAUUUAUUUAUAUAUAUGAAUAUAAGUUAAAUAAAUUAUAUAAAUAUAAAAUAUAUGUAUUCCAGCUAUUAUCGAGCUAACAGGAGCGAGUUGACCCUACCUCAUGUUCGGCUCGUUUAUUAAACGAGCUAAAAAUUUCGUGCUUGGAUCGUUUACUAAACGAGCAAUUUGAUCUCGAGCUCAUUUCAAGCCGAACGCGAGACGGCUCACGAAUAGUGAGCUAAAUUGCCAUCCCUAGUCAUGUGGUGUCUCCAAUUGAUCAUAUUUAUCUUAUUCAUAACUAUUAAAAAAACUACUAUAGACAUCGAUAAUAUAGUAGAGCUAUUAUAGAGUAGACUUUCUCAUCACUAGGCCGGUUUGUUAUUGAAGGUCAUCAAAUCUAAUAUUAUUAGGCAAAGCGAAAUUAAAACAAAAGCAUAUAAAAAUAUACUCAGAUUUUCUAUAGAAUUACAAAAAAUAUAUUCUAUCCGAGUUUUAAAGUUCACCACCACCACCCAAAAUCCUUGAGAGCCUAAAAGUUUGAUAAACAAACUGAAAUUCAUGAAUCAAAAAGUUAAGUCGGUACUGUUCAUCUUUUUAUCAUUCUUUUUAUAUAAAUAUAUGCAAAUAUAUUUAUAUAAUUAUAUGCAAAUAUGUAAAUAUAAUUUAUUUACAUUUAAAUAAAUUAUAUAAAUAUAAAAUAUAUGUAUUCGAGCUGUUAUCGAGCCGAACACGAACGAGCUGACCCCAACUAGUGUUUAGCUCGUUUAUUAAACGAGCUUAAAAUUUCAGCUCGUGCUCGGCUCGUUUACUAAACAAGCGAUUCGAUCUCAAGCUUAUUUCAAGCUGAACACAAAUUGGCUUGCGAACAACAAACUGGAUUGCCAUUCCUUAUUACGUAGUGUCUCCAACUGAUCAUAUCUGUCCUAUUCAUAAUUGUUAAAAAAAAAUUACUAUUGACAUCGAUAAUGUAGCGGAGCUGUUAUAGAGUAGACUUUCUCGUCAGGAGGAUUGUUUGUUAUUGAAUGUCAUCAAAUCUAACAUUAUUAGGCAAAACAAAAUUAAAACAGAAGCAUAUAAAAAUAUACUUAAAUUUUUUAUAGAAUUAUAAAAAAUAUAUUCUAUCGAAGUUUUAAACUUCACCACCAUCCUCCAAAAUCCUUGAUGAGAGCCUAAAAUUUUGAUAAACAAACUGAAAUUCGUGAAUCGAAAAGCUUAAGGUUUUUAACUCGAUGCUGUUACUAUUUUUAUCAUUCUUUUUGUUAUAAAUUUUAUGUAAUUAGAAAUGUCCGUAGAUAAAUUUUUUUAUUCACAUUGUGCUCGCCUAACUUGCAAUGUAUGAGGGCGACAAUUUUCUUACAAAAAAAUAAGAAAAAAAAGCUUUAAGUCUUUCAAGUUUAUAUUUUUUUAUUAUCAAAUAAAUAUUUUGAAUGUAAAAAUUAAAAGUAAUUCACCAACCACUUCUACAUAUUAAAAAAAAUGAAAACAUAAUAAUAAUAUGAAACAAGAUCAGAACGAGUAGAUUUUGGGCCCAACAGCUUAUAACAACAAUUUAUUUCUCUUAUUAUUAUUAUUAUUAUUAUUAUUAUUUCAUGGAGGGUCGUUCACUCCUAAUACACGGUAUUUAUGGAUGCACCGAGUGCAGGCACAUUUUUCAUCUCUGAUGUACUAUCACAUAGCCAGCGACCCACCCCUAUCUUCUUGUUCUUCACCUCCCUCCCCAAUCAGUGAGUGUACUUCCUGCUUCCCUUCUCCUCCUCCUCCUCUAAUUUUCCAUUUUCUUUGUUUUUUUUUCACUCACUGUUUUUCCCCAAAAUAAUCAAAAUCCAAAACCUCAAUACUUCCCUUGUGCCAAAUAAUGCUCCAAAGCCUUCUCCCUCGAUCUCCCAUCACUAAUGCUGCCAGCUCCGACGCGCCGCCGAUGAGUCGACCGAAGCGCUCCGCCGACGCCCGCGACCUCACACCCUCCUCCUCCUCCCCAGCAGCCGCCGCCGCCGCCUGCGACGAUGACGACGAUCGCCUACGGAAGAGAAAACAACUACAAUUAUAUCCGCAACCGGAACCGCAGCCGCCGCAGCAGCAGCAGCAGCAGCAUGUUGUCGACGUGAUUCAAGAACGUAAGAAUGAUAACACCUAUUUUUCCGCCGGUAGUAGCAGUAGUAGUAGUGCAGUGGAGUCGCGGGUGCUCCGCCUGCUGGGGCUGCUGCUCCACUGCGCCGAAGCCGUGGCUGCCGACCGGCUAUCGGAGGCACGCGACAUCCUCCCGGAGAUCAACGAGCUCGCGUCCCCCUUCGGUUCCUCUCCGGAGCGCGUCGCCGCGUACUUCGCCGACGCGCUCGGCGCCCGCAUCCUCAGCUCCUACCUCGGCGUCUACUCCCCGCUAAUCCACCACCACAAACCCCUCGUCACUUCCCACCACAACCGCAUCUUCAACGCGUUCCAGGUGUAUAAUUCGAUCUCCCCGCUGGUCAAAUUCUCGCACUUCACCUCCAACCAGGCGAUCUUCCAGGCGCUGGACGGCGAGGAGCGGGUGCACAUAAUCGACCUCGACAUCAUGCAGGGCCUGCAGUGGCCCGGGCUCUUCCAGAUCCUGGCGUCGCGGCCUCUGAAGCUCCGGUCGCUCCGCAUCACCGGGCUCGGGUCCUCCCUCGAGCUGCUCGAGGCGACCGGCCGCCGGCUCUCCGACUUCGCCGCGGCGCUGGGGCUGCCGUUCGAGUUCCAGCCGGUCGAGGGGAAGAUCGGGGACCAGAGCAAGGCGGGCGGCGGCGGCGGCGCGUUCGCGCCGCGGGACGGGCGGGAGGUGGCCGUCGUGCACUGGAUGCACCACUGCCUGUACGACGUGACGGGGUCGGACGAGGCGGCGGUGUCGGUGAUCAAGAACGUGAUCCGGCCGCGGCUGGUGACGGUGGUGGAGCAGGACCUGGGGCGGCACGGGGGGGACUUCCUGGGCAGGUUCGUGGAGGCGCUGCAUUACUACUCGGCGGUGUUCGACGCGCUCGGGGAGGGGGCGGCGGCGGAGGGGAGUCGGGAGGAGGAGGAGGCCGAGCGGCACGACGUGGAGCGGCAGCUGCUGGGGGCGGAGAUCCGGAACAUCGUGGCGGUCGGGGGGCCGAAGCGGACGGGGGAGGUGGCGGUCGGGCGGUGGGGGGAGGAGAUGCGGAGGGCGGGUUUCGAGCAGGUGUCGCUGGCGGGAGGGCCCGCGGCCGCGCAGGCCAACCUCUUGCUCGGAAUGCGGCUGCCGUGGAAGGGGUACACUCUGGUGGAGGAGGCCGGCUGCCUCAAGCUCGGCUGGAAGGACCUCUCCUUGCUGACGGCAUCAGCUUGGAAGACUGGAAACAGCCACGGCCCCGCAGAAGGCGGAGAAGACCGAGACCACGUUCAACCGCCGCCGCAGCAGCAGCAGCAUCAUCAUCACUCAUCUCUCUUGACAUAAUCACUUUGUUUUUAUUCUUGCCCUCUGUUUUUUUUUUUUUUUUUUUUAAAUAUCUGUACCCAACCGAAGAGUUAGUACGAGAAUUGCAUCUUCAAACCGUUAGAAUUUCGUCCAAGAAUUAGUAUAAUAACACGAUCUGCUACGUUAUUCGGAAGGAAUAUUAUAGCUGAUGAUGAGUCGCCGAGGCAUUCGAUCUUCAGAAUGCAUAGACGCUAGGACGUGAAUAAAUCCUUUUAAUUGUGAGAAUUCGAAUAUCCGAAUAGUCCUUUCACAUAAAACAAACGUUUUAACUAGUGCUUGUUAAUCAUUUACCAUAAUUGAAAUGAUAAAACCAAUAAUAAUAAUAUGAGAAAUGAUUCAGUACUUUAUUAUUAAAAAAAUAAAAUAGAUCUUAACUAUUAAUUAAUAGAGAGUAAAGAUGUAAUUUUAACAUUUAGUAUGUAAAAAGGUUACAUUAUACGAGGGUAUUUUGGUAAUUAAACUAUGCAACAUUUAAAAUAUCCUAAAUUUAUGCAUUCAUUUACACUAAUUUGAAAAAUUGAUUGAUUACCCUAAUUUAGGCAUUAAUUAGACAUUAAUUUAACCGACCGUCUCAAGAGCAAGUGGUAAAGGACUUGGUGGUUGGUACCUGAGACCCAAGUUCGAAUCCUAGUUGAUUCACAUUUCCAGCUAAGUUUAUUUCUAAAUAAAAUAAACGAAACGGGUAGCAUGCUACCUAUCUCUCAAAAAAAUUAGACAUUAUCAGCCGUGAGAUUUCAGCAUCUGAAGCUUGUUGACACAUUUGGAGAGUGUCGGGACAAGUCGGAAUUGUUUUGGCGUGAAAUAGACGCAAAACAGACUCAGUGCGACGCGAGAGUAGAGUUUUAACAUUGGAAUCUGCAAAGUGCAGGUUUUCAGUGUUGAGUACCGGUACCCCAGUGUAUUUUUCAAACAGACUGCUCUCGGGUUGCGCCAAUUUGAUGCUGAGUACCGGUACGGCAUCGGGCUGGUACCGGUACCCUGUGUGCGAACUUGCGGGUUGAGAGGCCAUUUGAGUUGGUAGAGGAUAUUGUAGUCUUUAUUGAGUUGGUGAGGGGCAAAAUGGUCUUUUUAGUUGUUGAUAAGCUUGCCACCUACUCUCUCGUUUCAACAUGGUCUGAGUAUAAUUAUCCUUACUCUCUCUCUCUCUAGUUAAUGGUGUACUUGGUUGAGGCCUCGGGUGGAGUGCGGAUCGACGUUGACUUCGCGCCGGUAAGCCGUUCGAGCGUGGGCGUCGAGGUUGCGCCGUUGGAGGCCGAGCAAGGGCGUGUUUUCCUCUCUUUUCGAUUUCUCGUCGUAGUUGGAUGUGCGUUUCGAGGUGGGUUGAAGUUUACCGAAAUCGUCGAAAUAUUUUCUAAGUUUUAGUAUUUGUCGAUAUGUAUCAUCCGUCUAUUUUUAUUGCUAGUACUCAAAUUUAUGUAUUAGUGUUUAAAUCUGAAUUUGGAGUUAAGCUAGUAGUUUAAUUUUACAUGUUGGAUUUGGAAUUGACUUAGGAGAAAACAUAUAGAUCCUACACUGUCACUUUUUGAAAAAUUACCAGAUUUAGCUUCUGAAGCUGUUGCGCCUUGUAUCCGCGCUGUUAGUGCGCAUUUGAUACUCAGAUAGCUUCUGAAGCUGUUGCGCUUUGUAUCCACGCUAUUAGUGCGCAUUUGAUACUCGGAUAGUGUUACACCUGUCAAGUGGUAAAGGAGGAUUAGGAGUAGUAGUAGGGAGGUUUAGCUAGAAUAAUAAGAGGGGAGAGGAGGCUUAGCUUUUUCUCUGCUUCAAGUCUCAGGUUGGGGAAGCAUCGGUCGUCGGCAAGGGAGCGUGGAGAUUAGCGGCAGUGUGAGGGGCGCCGGUGGAGGAGAAAGGGGCGAUGGAAGCGGGGAAGAGAAUAGGGCGAUCCGAGCGAUCCGACAAGGGACUUAGAGCAGUCGACAAGGCGACCCAAGAUUUAGACAAUUCUGGUGGAUUCGGGCGUCUGGCGGAUUCGGGCGCAAGGAGGGGGGGACUGAUCCAAUGUGCCUUGGGAGAAGGCCGGGGAAGAGGCCCAUGUGAGAAUUUGGGCAGCAGAUAGUAGGCUUAGGGAGUCCAAUUAGAAUUAGGGUUUUGCUUUUAGUGUGUGAAUAAAAAGGGCAGCGUGUAACUCAAGAUAGUUUUAUGUGAAAUUAAUGAAAUUUUCUUCUUCCUCAUCAUCUCCCAAUUUGUCACGCCCCGGGCCCAAUUUUAAAAGCCUUUUUAAAACAGAGUUGCGGAAAACGUGCCAUUUUUUUUUUUCUUCUUUUUUUUUUUCAACCUGGCCCACGUGACGUACAGACCCGCCACAAAUACAAAGUUCCUCUGUCCACUCGGACAGAGUCUCCUUUGUAUUUGCACGGCGUACCAACGAUACAACAGGAUCUCAACCACAACCUACAUUUACCAAUCAACAACCAAGGCAUGAUAUGCAUUUCCAUACAGCUAACAAUCCUUAGAAUGAUGCAUGCCUCUAAGCACUCCUUAGGCGCUGGAUGAUGCAAUGCACAAUACAACAAACAUCCUAUUUAAAAGUGCUCCCCACACGGAAGCUUUUGUUUUUAAACUCUAAUUCAAUCAUUCAUAAAAACCAUUCGAAAACCUUUUUAAAACUGUUUCCCACACGGAAACUCUAUUUUGAAAACCGACUACCUCGAGGGGUAGAAAACCACGAUGCAUAACUACAAGAAAACCAAAUCUCCACAGAACCAAAACCACAGAUCGAAAACUCCAAUCUCAUGUAUAAAAGAAACCAACACCACAGUUCACAUACAUUCAAGCAUACAUAAGAUCAGCUAACUGAACCAUUAUUAAGAAAACUACUAAGUGCGGGAAAGAAAUAACCAGGGUGACGGUCGCUACUGCCGUCUAGCUAGAUCGUCCUCUCGUCGAGCCCAAAAUCCAACUCCUCGUCUCUGUCACCUGGGGGGGAAAAGGGGGGUGAGAAACCGCAACCAUGGUUUUCUCAGUGGGUACGACAGAGCCACGAAGGCAAGUCGUAAUCACCGGAAACCAAAGGAGAUAGAUAAACAAGUAUAUAUCUGUAAGCUGAUAUGAAAUAGAACUACAGUAGCUACAACAGAUAAAUAGGAAGCAAUAAAUAAACCUGCUACUGUAUAGAAAACAAUGCAAAGAAUGCCUCAAUGUACUGAACCAGAAACUGUACCCAAUCUGUGCCUGCUGUAUCGGUCCGCAGACCUCAAGCGCUACCUGUCACUAACUGCACCGACCUGAUCCAUCCGCCCCGCAGGACGACCUAUCCGGAUAAGUACACCUCCGAUCGGUGGCCAAACCGAUCCGGUGUCAUGAAUACCCCCAAGUGCCGUGACUAAGUCAUGCUGAUAUGCUCAAAUAAAAACAAACCCGGCUAAAGCCGGUGCCUAGGCCGAAGCCAACAACGAGGGCAUACAAUGCCAAACUGAAAUAGAAGCUAGGGCGUACAACGCCGAACUGAAAUAGAUGCUAGGGCGUACAACGCCGAACCUCGAUCAACCAGAUCGAAACACACGACAAGAGAGUCGAUGUGUUGCCUGGACCCAAGGUCCACAGAGAUACUGAAAUACAAAUGCAACCUGCUCUACAUGUCUAUCAACUACUAACCAAAUGCAAUCAAAGAGGUACGAUAUACGAAAGAUAAGCAAACAAUGACAUGUAGAGACUAAAAUACGGGAAUAGAAAAACAGGAGAAGGAGGUGAAACGCUCUCACCGACUACCAGCUCGAAGCACCCACCUGUCACUGUCGCGUCGGAACACUGGGUACGCACAAGUCUACCGGACCUAAGAAGAUCCACCAAGUCAGUAUCCAAACCACUAACCCAAAGCACGAGACUCACAAACCCCCACACAGGAUCCCCGUAAUCGGUUUCCCAAAACCGAUUACCGUAACUCACCGGAAGUCCCGAAAAGCACACCGGGACGCCGUCGGGACCCACUAAGUGUCCCGAACUCACCGACUCAUACCACGAGUCACCCGCUGCCCCAAAACAUUCCAAUUUGGAUGCCUUGGCAGCGAACACAAGGUCACACAACAAUACGAUCAUCGCCGGAUAAUCGUACGGAUCCGGGUUCCCGGAAGUGUCUAUUUCGACACCGGAACCCGCCGUCGCUCACCUAUCGUCAUCGAACCCACAAAAUGACGAUGGUGACCAGCCAACAAGGCUCAGCGAUAAAACACGAAGCAACCAAACACCGUCGAAAAGAAUCCGGACCGAAACCGCGUUCUUUCAGCGAAUUUCGCCGAAAAACGCACCGAAAUCGACCUACCGAUUUCCGCGGAAGCUAACGGACCAUGGACAAUCAGUCCAGCGGUCAAUACAAACUCUUACACGCUGCCCACAGUAGCCACACAAUGCACAAUUGCAUAAAAGACCCUCUAAUUACAUACAAUAUCAUCAUUUUAUGUAAUUUGACCGAUCAAGCGGCUCGUUCACGCAAACCAAGGACUUUCAAAGUCCGCAGAGACACGUACUGACAGGUCUCGAUGUACCGGAGUCCGUGCUCACGAUCCGGAGCACAGCGGCUCACUGUGGGAAGCGCGGGAGCAACCCGAAGGUUCAGCGAAUAGCGCGCAGUCAGGGAAGAUCGCGCUGCACAGAACUAGCCGGACACUUUCUGAUCCAAAGUGAGGUGAGCACUGUGAUCAGCACUGACCAACGAUCACCGUGCUCACCUCCGGAGGCAUCAGGACAGCCUCGGAUCGCCGGAUAAGCGUACGCAAACUCAAAACAGCAGCCAAAAAGGCUGAAACGGAGCGACAUCGCCGAAACAGCGGAACGGAGUCUCCCCGACAGAAACCAAGGUGAGCACGAUGAUCAGCAACUUGCCAGGAUCAUUGUGCUCCCUUCCGUACAGAUCGGGGAAGCUCGGUAAGCUCGGAACAUAAAUCCAUCACAAUAAGCCCUAUUUCGAGCUUGGCCGGAGCAACCUUGCUCCGGCCGGCCUCCGGCGGCACGGCGGCGUGCGCGGCGGCCAGGGACGGGUACGGGGGAGGUGAGGAGUACCGAGCUCACCUCAGGUGGCGGCUGGAAGCGGCGGCGGCGUCGGCGGAGCAACCCGAGCCCGCAAGAAAGAAGCUCGGGCUCGGCGGGUUUCUCCGGCCACGGCGGCGGCCGGGAAAGGUCGGGGACGUCGGCGGCGGGUCCCCAGAGGCUAGAAGGGGAGGAAGGAGGCAGCCUCGGGCGGCGGCGGCGGGGAAGAGUGGCCGCACACAGCCCUCGGCCUGGGCUCGGCUGGGCGGCUGCAGCCGGCCGAGGCGGCGGCGGCGGCGCGCUGGGGUGGCGGCGACCGACGGGAAAGGGUGCCGGGGCACGGGGGAUGUCGGCGGGAGAGAUCUCGGGCGGUGGCGGCGCGCGGGCAGCGGCUGCAACCCAGCUCGGCCUGGGCUGCUACCCAGCUCGGCCUGGGCUGCUGCAGGCGGCUGGAGCGGCUGCGGCGGCGCAGGCGACGGCGGCGGUCGGCGGGGAUGAUCGCCGGAGCACGGGGUGACACCGAGGGAGGGUCUGCAGGAGGCGCAGUCCCGGGCCUUCACUCAACCCGAGAGGAGAGAGGGAGAGAGAAAAAGAGGGAGAGAGAGAGAAGUGGUGGCUGCGGCGGCGGUUGGCCGGCCGGGGCUCAGUCGGCGGCGGCCCGGGCGCGCGCAGCAGGUGCAGGGGAAGGAGAGGGAGGCGGCUGGGUGGUGCGGCUAGGGCUAGGUUAGGGUUACAAGGCUCCAAACCCUAGAGAGCUAUAAUAAAUACUAAGGUGAAAAAUGCAAAAAGGUCCCCCAAACAUCAGAAUUUCAAUCCGAGUCCCUCACAGCGUGUGUAAAACACGCGAACACCCCUCUACGUGCGAUCCCACGCGAAACGGUACAUAAAAUAUCGCGACUUUUGCGAAAAUACCGUUUUGCCACUACCGACCUCUCCUCGAUCAACGCGCGAUCUCCGCAGAUCCGUCCGUCAGAUUUGCGAACGGAUUGCACCAGUGCGAUCAGCACGACGGAGACAACAAAGCUACGAUUUCGUUUCGUCUUGAUCGACCACGGAUUCACGACAAAAUCCAACCUUCUUCGAAUAGAAGAAAACACACACAUAAAUACAUAUAAAACAUGUAUUUUUGGAUUUUCUCGAAAUCCGUGCGUCGAACUCAAAAUCCGUCAGCGUCAUUAGCUCCAGAACAGCUGACCCGGUCGAAACGAGCUAUUGGACUGCUAUGAACAGAGUCCGGUACGAGCCAGAAGCCAACUUCUCACCGUGGCUUCUCCGGAAAAUCGAGUUACUAUUCACUUUAAGUGAAACUUGGAAAUCGCGUAGAAUUUCCGUUUUAACUCGAUUUCCCCCGAAACUUGACGAGUGCUUUUGUAAUUAAAUUACACACAAAAACAUCGUCAACCGAGAGUUUAGCUACACUGUAAAAAUCUCAGUCCUUACACAAUUUCUCUUAAUCUCUCUUCUUCUUAAUCCCCCACUCAUCUUAUUCCCUCUAUUCCCUCCUUUCUAUUCUUUCUUCAUCUUCUUUAUCAGAAUAUCUCAAUUCUGAUCUAAUUAAUCCGAGUCAGGCAGUUACGUGAACCAUCAUCCUCGAUGCCGUCCAUCAUCUCAGCGAGAUCUCAUCAUCGACGGGUUGCGCCGAGUCAGGUACGUAACAGAUAGCUUCUGAAGCUGUUGCGCUUUGUAUCCACGCUGUUAGUGCGCAUUUGAUACUCGGAUAGCUUUAGGCGUUGUGGGUCAUUUGUAUCGCAGCUGUUUGUAUGCGAUGGAUACCCAGAUUAGUGUAGGAUGAGUUUACGCUCGUGCUGGAAUGCCGAGCUUAUUUUACAGUAGUGUGUAGACUGUUUCGAACUGUCGGGUGCCGUCGCGGUUGACGGUGGAAUCAGAUUGCUGUUUUUGCAUCAGAUUGUGCCAAGAGCACGUGAGCUUUGGUUGUUAGACCAGUUAGACCCAUUUGCUUUGAUUAUAGCCUGUGAGAGCCUGAUUGAGCCCGACAGAGACACGAUUGUAUACUUGGUUCGGUAGCGCCCACAAGUGCCACUCCGGAGUCGGGCUUUGUGCGUUUGCGUAGAUGUCGUAGUGUCCAGUGUGGAUUUGCUCUUCACCAAUUACCCAACGUGGUGGUGGUUGGUAUAGCUUCAGCAGGCGAGACGGGUGCGUUCACACUCCCUAGUGAGAUUGGGUCAGAGAUUGCAUCUUGCUUAUAUCUACAUAUAGGUAGUGUUGGUUAGCGAUAGUAUAGUGGUAUGUAGCUGUAAAGUUUUUUCAGCUUCUUUUACUAUCCUUGAGUAUACUUUUUGUAGACUUAGUGGGUGAAUCGUCGAGGUCGGUAGCGGUAUCCACUGAGAACUACUUCUUUUUGCAGUAGUUCUCAUACCCAGUUGUUGAUCCCUUUUUGUAGAGCCUUCGUCAGCGGUUGCUGUUGUUGCUGAUUUGGAUCGUAGAAAGGGAGUCGCGAACAAAAUCCCUUCCAGUCUUGUUACUGUUCUAGAGGAGUACCAGCUGCACGUAGUUUUGAUUUUUGGUUCAUAUACAUACUGAUAUUAGAUACUCGUUUGAACAAGUGAUGUCUGUAUCUUGGAGACUAUGCAUGUAUAAUGAACCUGAUGUUUAUCUAUAUGUAUUUACAGUUCUAUUAGCAGCUCUAUACUACUAGUUGUAGUUUUGUAUGAUGACAUGUACAAGUACAACUAUCGCUUCGUAUACAGAGGAAAUUCUUUUGUAUACGACGGGUCUGUUGGCGUGCCCGGAGAAACAUGGUAAUCUGCGGCGUGACAGAAAUUUUGUAUUACUAUUUAAAAAAUUUGUAAUGCUGAUAAAUAUUUUAAUUUAACAUACUUAAUAUGUUUAAGAAAUUUUUAAAUUCCUAUAGUUUAGACAUUAAUUUUGUAUCACUUAUUUAAAAAAAUUUGAAUGUAGGUAAAAAAGUUAUAAAUUAAAUGUAUUUAAUAUGUUAAAAAAAAACUUAGGAUUGUUCUACUUAGACAUUAAUUUUGUAUCAUUAUUUAAAAAAAAUUUGUAAUGUUGGUAAAUAUUUAAAUUUAACAUAUUUUAUAUGUUUAACAAAAUUAUGAAUUCAUCUUAGACAUUAAUUUUAUAUUACUAAUUUUAAAAAAUUGAACGUGGUCAAAUAUUUAAAUUCAACAUAUUUAAUAUGUUUAAAAAAAUUUAAGAAUUUUUCUAAUUUAGAUAUUAAUUCUUUAUCACUAUUUAAAAAAUUUAAUGUGGAUAAUUGAUUAGAAAUAUAGGGUAUAAUUCAAAUUUAUUCUUAGAAUAGAAUUGUAUGGAUAAAAUUAAUUCAAAUUUUAAUAGUAAAAAUUGAUCUUUUAAAAUAAUAAGAUCAUAUAUUGUAAUUUAAAAUAUAAGCUGAAAACAAAUAAAAUUUGAAGUUUAGAACCUAAAAAGUAAAUAGAAACCUCCAAUAAAUUUAAAUAGUGUAGUGCAAUUUAAAUUUACCAAUAAAUAGAUUUAGGCUAUAUAAUUUAAAUUUUAAACUUAUAACAAAUCUCUAGAAUUUUACUAGAGUAAACAAAAUUAGAAAUGUAGAUAAAUUAAAUAAAUUUAUAUUGAACAAAUCUAGGCUAUUUGUAUAUUUUAUUAAUUUGAUCAGUCCAAUUAAUUUGAUUUCUUAAAUUGAUUUUGACUUUUAUCUUUAAAUUUUUUUAAUUUUUAGUUGAUUUUUAAAAUUUUAGUUUGUUACCUUUUGGUUUACGAUUAGCUUCUUAACUUUUAUUAUUCAUUUUAAUUAAAUUAGUAUCAAUGAUUUAAAACCAGAUUAAAACGAUUGAUUUGACUGAUCAUACUUUAAACUAUUCUAUGAAAUAUCCGAUUUCAAUCUAUUAAGCUGAAUAAGAUUAAGAACAAUCUGGAACCGUUAAAGAUAAUAAACAUUUCAAACAGAAUGGUAUUUUAACAGUUAGAGCUAAUAAAUAUUUUAAACAUAAUUUUAAAUAUAAAAAUUAAAAAUAUUAGGAUUCCUGUUUAGAAAAAAAAGGUUAGAAAUUUGAAUUCGAACCCGACUAACAAUUGCAAAACUUAUUUAUGAUCUUGACGGAUUUCAAAAACUCAUAUCUAAAUCCGAAACUGACCAAUUUUCCGAAAUCCAAAACCGAACCCAAACCCGAAGACCAGAACCCGAAACAAUUAUUUCUUUUUACCAUACUUCAAAAUAUUUUAUAUUAAAUUUAAAUUUUUAAAAUAUAAAUUCAAAUAUAAUAUUAAACUUUAUAUAUGAUUCGGGUCUGAUUCAAGAUGGAUAUUUAGACAAAAUUCAUAGUUGAUCUACAAAAUAAUCUCACAUUCUUGUUGUCAAAUAAUUUGAAACUUUUCUUAUAUGAAAUGCCAAAAUAUGAGAGGAAAGGUAGAGAGAAAAAAAAAGAAACAAACAGAGAAUAAAAAUUUCGAUAAUAUAGUAGAGAUAAAAUCACUAAAUUGCUUAUAUAUUAAAAGACAAGAAUAACCUUUUUCGAGGUAUCUGGUAACUGUACCUCUCCCAAAGUGACCUGCUAUUGCAGGUCACAAUUUUACAAAAAUUAAAUCUGAACCAUUGAAUGGGAGGGAAUGAACAGUAAUGAAAAAAAAAGUAUAGAAAUAUUAUUCUAAUAAUAUUAGUAUGAACAGCCAAACAGCAGUUUAAUUGGACUAAUAUACGCUGGAACCGAGACGUGAAGUUACAUUUAUUACUAUUUUUCAUUUAUUACUAUUGUAGAUAGUAGGUUUAAAAAGUAACAUGUAACAUUUUAUCCAUAAAUUAUUUUAUAAAAAUGAAUUGGUAAAUGAGUUAUAAUAAAAACUCACUUUUUUAACUUUGCCCCAAAAUUUUUCAAAAUCACUGAAAGUAAAGAGCUUCUAAAACAUGAUGUGCGCUAGCUCUUAACUUUUACCUUUGAAUUUAUUUUUAAAAUUAAAAUUUAACUUAAAUUUGAAUUAGAAUCAUGAUGCUAAUUUUACAUUCUAAAUUUUAUUUAUAAAUUCAAAUUCAACAUAAAAAUUUUUAAUUUAAUUUGUAAAUUUAUAUUUAAAUUUAAAAUUUUAUUCAAAUUUAAAUUCUAAUUUUAAAAAUUUUAAUCAAAUUGUUUUAAUUAGCUACAAACUUCAAGCUGAGCUUGAACUUUAACCAAACUAUAAAUUCAAAUUAUUGAUUGAAAUUUGAAUUCAAAAUUUAAAUUUUUAACUUAAAAUUUGAAAAGAAUUUAAAUUUGCAUUUUGAUUUAAUUUCAAAAUUCAAAUUAUGAAUUCAAAUGUUCAAAAUUUAAUUAAUAUUUUAGUUUUUAAGAUGAAAGUUGAUUUUAGAAUUCAAUUUUAGUUUUAAGUUGUAACUUAAACUUUAAAUUUUAAUUUUAAAUUUAUCUAUAUAUCUUAAAUUUUAAUUAUAAAUUAAACUCAUAUGUUAGUUUAAAUUUAAAACUUAAAAUUUAUUUUUAAAUUCUAAAUAUAAAUUUUAAUUUAAAUUAUGAGUAUAUGUUGUUUGUUUAUAUUUUAAUUUCUUUAUGUAAAAUCAAACAAUCAAACCACUAAACUACAAUUUUUUACUUUUAACUUUAUGGUCAACUAAACAAUCAAACUUAAAAGUGACACCUAUAAAAAUGAUUUUUUUCAUUUCAGUCACUUUGAGGCAACCAAACAUGCCCUUAAUAGAAGAAAUGAAAGUGAUUUUUUCUUGUUAUUGUUUUUUUUUUUUUUCGAUUGGAAUAGAUGAAUCUCUGUUGUAUUUUUGGCAUUAACUAUUAAUCCCAAAAGAUCGAGUUGUUAGAAAUAUGCAAUCUAUUCACAUAAAGUGUACAGACACAAUGCCCAUGGAUCUCGAUUAUAACUCAGUUCAACCAUGCUCAUGCUAUUUCGAACAUAACUCGGCCCUACGCGGCCUCCUGUAUUUCUUUUUUCGAUUGGAAGAGAUGAAGUAUGUUGUUCAAUACUCUAUUGGAUUGUUAGCGUUAACUAUUAAUCCAAAGAGGUCGAAUUGUUAGAAAUACAUAAUCAAUUCACUUAAAGUAUAUAGAUACAACAUCCAUAGAUUUCAAUUAUAACUUGGCUCAAAAAGACUCACGCCACUUUAAACAUGACUCGGCCUAAUCUAGCCUUCUGCCUUUUUUUUUUUUUCUUUUUCAAUUGGAAGAGAUUAAAGUGUUUUGUCCAAUGCUCCGUUGGAUCAUUAACGGUCGCUAUUAAUCUCAAAAGCUCAAGCUAUUAGAUAUACGCAACUAAUUCACUUCGAACCUACAACCUCUUACUCUAAUACCACUUGUUGGAUCGUUGGCACAAUCAUUAAUCUAAAAGCUCGAGCUAUUAGAAAUAUAUAAGAACUAAUGUCUUAUUAUGAUGCGUAUUGCCUCGUCAGAAGCAAUCAAUUUAAAAGUAAAAACCCAAAAGUAAAAAAAUAUAAAAAACCAAAAAACACCCUACAUGAUUUACUACUAAGGGUGAAUCGCACCGUUGGUCUCAACCUUUACCUGAUAUUUUAUUUUGGACUACCUUUUAUUUUUAACAAAUAGAUUCUUAACGGUAUACUAUUGAAAUUUCUUUUUUAUAAGUGCGCCUACUGUGUAAGUCUAAUCUCGACAACUCAAUGUCUUUUCACGUGCUUACGAUUACCGCGAUCUUGCAUAUGAUACUUACGGUCUUCUUUGAAGUAGCCAAUUUUCUUGGCAUCUAGUCGGAACUGCUACGAGAUUUUUUUAGAAACUAGAAAAAAUCAAUACUGGCGCUUGAAAUUCACUAGAUCAUAACAGUAAUUUAUGUGCGUAGAUAAAAUUUUAUUGAGUUGAUGUGAUUUAUUUUCUCAUAAUUAAUAGAAAUUGAAUGAUUGAGACCAAAUUAAAAAUAGAAUUAUAAAAAAUAGGGAUUUAGCAGUAUAGAUAAAGGGGACCAAAGUUAGCAGCAUAGUUAAAGGGAACCAAAGUGAAAAACCACAACAACUUAAAAANGUCAGAAAGUAACACGUACCUCAUGUCUGGCCAGAUCUUUUCAAGCGUUCAAUCAUUGAUGCCACGAAAUUUGUACAACAACUCGUGCCAGUUCAUUGCACAUGCAACAAAAUUUUUAGGUAUGUUUGAGCAUUAUAAGUUAUUCCCCUAUAACUAGAUAUUUAAAAUUUUUAAAUUUGACUGCUAUUGAUACUGUAUUAUUAUGUUUGAUUUAAUAUAAUAAUAUAAUACUAUAUUACAAUAUAUAUAUAAAAUAUUAUUAUUAUUAUUAUAUUUGAUUUAUUUUAUAAAAUUCAGUUAUUCUGAAAAUAAAGUGCAGUUUAUUUCAAAAUUGUCUUCAGUCAUAUUUGGCCAAAGAAUUUUAUUGUUUACAAAUAAUAUUUCUUUUACUAAAAUUUAUUUUUAAAUAAUUUAAAAUUUGAAUUUAAAUUAAAAAUUUUGAGAUUUAAAUUUACAUCUGAACAAAAAUAUAAAAUUUAAUACUUUUAAUAUAAAAUAUAAACAUGAAAUGAACAGAAGAAAUUCCAGUUUAAUUUUCUUUCACGCCAGAAAAUAAGAAAUAAACAAACAAACAAAUAAAUAAUAAUAAAUAUUAAAUACAAAAUAAAAACUUUCUUCAACAAUAAGUAGGAAAUAAUGAUUUUUGAUUGAAGAGAAUAUCAGAAACAUUAAUUACUUGUUAAGAGAAGUUUUAACAUUUUUACUAUAAAUGUAACAACGUAUGAUACAAGGCAGUUGUAGACUUGCAUUGUAGCCGAACGUGUUCCUUCCUCAAUGAGCAAACUACAAUACGUAAAAAAUUUCAGCAAAAUGUAACUUUUUAGUUCUAUUUGUGAUUUAAACUGGCCCAACCUACCCAAUUUUUUACGGAUCAACUCGAGGCCGAGCCGUGCCUUUGUUAGGAUUUGGUUAGAUUUGUAAAUUAAUUUUAGAUAGAUAAAAAUUAAUGUUUAAAUUUGUUGAAAAUAAAUUAAAAUUUAAAUAUUAAUUAGAGUAUGAAUCUAAUUAGAUUAGGAUAAAUAUUUAAAUCUAUUAGAGAUAAAUGAUAUAUAGAUUUAAAUAUUUAUUGGAAUAGAAAUCCUAAAUAUAUUAGGAUUCGGGUACAUUUUUUAUGUAAGCUUUAUAAAUAGCCAAUUAGUGAAGAGCUUAAGGAGUAGUACCGCCGCUGAGAUUCUUGAGAAGGGUACGGUGAGCUGUCUUGAAGUCAUUGGUGGACCGUACUAAAGAGAAGUUUGGCCAUAAGUUGCAUGCACCUAGUGCACGGGUGCAUAUGAGAGAGAAAAAGUAAAGGGUUGUCUUCUUUGUGGGUUUAUAGAAGACGAGAGAAUGAUAGAAAAGAUUCAGAAAGAGGGCUUGAAUUGUAGCUACUCAGUUGCAGAAGAGAAGUCAGGUGUAAUCUUCUCUUAUUUAAUAAAUCUUAUUUUACCCAUAUAUUCUCUAGUUGAUUUUUCUCUCUUUUGUGAUUGUAUCAACUUUUGCUGAGAAAACAGAUUUAUAGUAAAAAAUUCGAUUUAACGCUUCCAUUGCGGAAUCCCAACAAUCGGUACCGAAUCCACAGCAGUCAGUAUCGGAGCGGGUUGCAGAUUCUCAAAAUUCGGUAUCAGGACGAGUACCGGAUUCCCAACACGAUUGACUUAACCUAGCGAAAGAGCUCAGUUAGCCAAGCCUGAGUCAAUUUAGAUCGACAUAUGAGAAAUCGUAAGAAGUGAAAUGAAUAAAAUAUGACGUAAGAUAUUUGGGAAUAUAAUAAAGUAUAGAACGUAUAUAAGCUAAGAAAUUAUAAGAGUAAUAGAGGUACUGUACAAAAUGUGCGAGGAAACUUCUAGGUCAUCCUAAUUCAAUAUGCCGAUAACACAAUUUUCUUCUGCGAGACGGAUAAAAAAUUCAUGUAAAUUUUGCAAUUCAUCUGGAAUACUUUUGAAUGAACCUCAGGAUUAAUUGAAAAUCAAUAAAUAUAAGUUUAUAGGGAGGAACGGUAGGAAAGAUUGGUAGGUUAAUAGCUUGACAUGUAUUGUGGGGAUGCUUCCAAUAAAAUAUUUGGGUUUUCCACUUUCAAAUAGGCAUUUGGAAAAAGAAGAUUGAUAGAUGAUAAUAAACAAAAUAGAAAAGAGAAUCGACGGUUGGCGGGCAAAAUACUUAUCUUAUGAGGGCAGAUUUGUUUUGGUCAGUUUGAUACUCUCUAACUUCCUAUACACUAUAUUUUUAAUUUUCAGGUCCCAAAAUGGGCAGUAUGCCGCAUCGAAGCUUCGCGAAUAUCUUUCUUCUGAAAAAGGCGCUCAAAGUCUAGCGGCGGACAUGCCUAGUACCUUGGAAAAUCAUUUGUAGAAAUAAGAAGAAAGGUGGACUCGGGGUCAAAAAUAUGAGGACAAUGAAGGUCGCCUUGUUGACAAAAUGGUGACGGCGACUUUUUAGAGAGCCAAAUCUCCAAUUGAAUAGAUUGAUCAGAGCCGUAUAUAUACUAUACUCGAGAAGAAAUUAAACAGCUGAGAGAAGGCGCCUCUUUCAGACUAUUCACUAAUUAAUUAAGGCAGCGUUUGGUUAGGGGAUAGGGAUAGGAAUAGGUCCUUAUCCCCCCUUUAUACCCAAACGCUAAUUUUUUAUCCGAGAAUAGUAGCUCUCGGUUAUCCCUACCAACACCUCCAUUUUUUAUAUAAAACUAUCUAAAAUUGUUCUUAUCCCCGAGAACAACCCAAUUUUCAUUCAAACACUAUUUUUCUUAUCCCCAAACUUGUAUCUAUCCCUGUAAUAACUAGUUCUUGUUUAUACCCGAAUCAAACGGUACCUUUCAAGUGGAGGAUAGAAUACGAAACGGGAGAAAGUAAAUCAUUGAAUUAUGGUCUGACAGAUGGUAUGCGAUAUCUACAACAAUGUUGUUUACAAGGUGGUGAGAUUCGAGGAUUGUGCCUCAAACCGUGGAUGGCGAUGGAACUUCGAUCAUACUCAAGGGGCCAACGAGAUAUCGCUGCAAGAUUGAAAUUGAAUGUAGAAGUUCAAGGACCUUCUUUCUACUAUCACAUUGGAGGACAAGACAUAUGCGAUUAGAUAGAGGAGGACUACCAACCAAUUAUUUAUAGUUGAAUCGCUCUACAAUAUUCUCGCAGAUGAGGAUUAGGGGACUCCAACACCAUCCUCAAUUUGGAGACUGAAAAUUUCAUAAAAAGUAAAUAUCUUUGUGUUGCUAGUGUUAAGGAAAAAGGUUUUUUUUUUUUUUUUUUUUUUUUUUAUUUUUUUUUUUUUUUUUUUUUUUUUUUACCGACUGUUUCUAGAGCAAAUGUCAAAGAAUUUGGUGGUUGUUAUCCCAGACUCAAAUUUGAAUCCUUAUUGAUUCACAUUUCCAGCUAAGUUUAUUUCAAAAAUGAAAUAAACGAAGCAGCUAGCGUGCUACCUAUCUCUCAAAAAAAAAAAAGGUUUUUUUUUUUCCCCUACGUACUUUCCCCUAUCUCUCAAAAAAAAAAAAAAUUUUUUUUUUUCCCUACGUACUUUCCUCUAUCGCGAGGUCUAAUUGUCUCACCUCAUGUAGUUGAAUCCAUUCUUCUUUAUAAAUGAAACAGAUGAUUCGCUACUUUUUUUUCUCCAAAAAAAAAAAAAUUUGAAACGAGCAAAAAUACAAGAAUAAUUAAGGGCGGGGUAUAAAAUAAAAAUGUAAGAUGAAUAUUUGUAAUUUACGCAGAAUUUCCAUUCCAUUGCAUUAUUAAAUGCCGCGUUUAUUUUUGGUGGCAUGAGGAAGAACCAUCUCUCACGACAUAUUCUAUACUAAAACGGGAUAAAAUAUUAGUGCAAAUUAAUGUCCUAUAUUUUAAUUGAUCUUCGAGGCGAGUUUUGUACUAAAAAAUUUGUUUUUUUUUUUUCUAGUAAGACUUUUUGCGUGUGUAUAUUUUAUGUUAUCCAAAUUCUUAUAGAAUCUGUUGGAAAAUAAUUUUAUUUUUUUAAUAUAGAAAAAUAUGUUUAAAAUUUACGUUUUGAAAUAAUAUAUUCAAACAGUAAGCAGCAACUUGUAAUAAAAAUAUAUCUUGAAAUUUACGUUUGUUUGGUUGAAGAAAUCAGCCAAAAAUUGGCGAAAGGCGAAAAUGCUCCAUUUUUUUCAAAUUUGUAAAAAAUAGUUUUCCAAAAAAAUUUUACGGCUAAACUAGUGUCAAAAGAUUUCUAAAUUGACAAUUCUAACGUCUGAUGUGAUGUAUUUAUAAGUUUAAAGGUAUAAAAUAAUUCAAAUUAUAGUAUACUUUUGAUAGAAACUUUUGCAAUUAUUUAGAGCAAGUUCAGUAUCUCAGAGAUAUUAAAUCUUUUAUUAUUAUUUUUUAUGAAAUUUUUAUUUUCGACCAUCUAUUUAAGACUAUUCUUUCCCUACCGUUGAGCCAAUUCGGCGCGAAUAGCUGGCACGAUGGGUCCAUACCAGUACAGCGGUUUCAGCGGUGCACCGGGAGUACAAUAGGGGCACCAGAAGAAAAACGAACCGCACCAAAAUUGAGGGAGUUAUAGCAACCGCAAGCAGUUAUAGGCAGUCCUGAUCGGCCGAAGGUGGUCCAAAAUAACAGGAGAUAAUGGUUGAUCGUGCAAGGGUUAUAACCAACUCAGGGACGACUCUAUAAAUAGGCUCAUAUUACCCUAAAAAAGAGUUUUUUUUCCCUGCGAACAAAAGACCACCUUUAUUUUACCGCAUCUUUCUUCUCUGCAUUUGCCGUUUUUUCUAGGAAUAGCUUGGUAACUUAAGAUCUUGGAGUCUGUCUGCCCCCCUGGGCAUCACUCCGUUGUAGACUAAAACCCAUCUCCCUGUACUUUCCUUCGUUUUAUUUAAUAGAAAGUUAUUUUCGGCUCUUUAGGCUGACAAGAUCUCGUGUUGUUUUGGCCAUUCGGCUCUUCUCUCGGCCCAGUUUCUGACCUGUUUCAAGUAUUCGGCUCAUCCCAGCCGAGCCGAAUCUACUGUAGAGGUUUUCGAAUCCGACUGAUCCGAUCCCUCAUCAACCGAAUUGCUUGAUCUGUCGAAGGGCGCACACUUCGAGAGUCAUCGUUCGCAACCGCUCAUCACUCCGACGCACUCCCCGAGAAAGAUAUUUGACCGGGUCAAGGGGUCGGGAAGAUUCGGCUACUAACACCUACAUAUUGAAAAAUUAUAAAAGUUGGUUUCCAAAUACUUCUAAUAAUCUUUAUCAUACAUAAAGAGGCUGAUCUUCGAUUUGAUAUCGCAUUUUUCAAAAUAAUUUGAUAGUACAGGAGCCUCUAAGCAGGAGACGAGCAUGGUAAAAUUAUAGGCUAAAUUACAUAAAAUCCUCCUGUCAAAAUCCGAUUUCUCACUUUCCUUCCCUAUCAUUUAAAAACCUACAUUUUAAUUACCCCUAACAGUAGGGGUGAAGUGCAUAUUUUUUAUUUUACAAGAGGGCAAAGUGUAGGUUUUUAAAUGACAGAGGAAAAAAUAAAAAAUCGGAUUUUGACAGAAAAGUUUUCUGUAAUUUAGCCUAAAUUAUAACUGCAAUUUUCCUAAUAUUGUAUGUUCGUUAAUAUAUAGAGACUGCAAAGGUAACGAAUUACAAUGUUAAGUCAUUAUAUUACAUAUAUAUAUAUAUAUAUAUAUAUAUAUAUAUAUAUAUAUAUUCAGAGUAAAUUUUAUUUUUUGUUCGAGCAAACAAUAUAAAUUAUGAUUCAAUAUAAUAUAUCUGCUUUGGCAAUAUCAAAAAAUAUUCAAUCUGGAUACAUCCAAAUCCCAAGUCAAAUGUUACGUAAUUGCAGCAUGGGGUAGAAGAUUUUAACUCGUCACAGUGCGGUUACGGGUUGUUUGAUUUUCGGAAAAAACUCUCAAAUAAUUGUCGUGACGGAAAAAUAUUUUCCAUCCAUUUACUUUCCAAGAAAUAGCAGUUGGGUCGGUGACAGAUUUGGACAUAAUUUCACCUGCCAUAGUUAAGCCUUCUUCUACAAUUCUAACUACAUCAACUAAAUUUAAAUAUAUCAAAUCAAGAGUAGGGCUUCUAUACUGUUAUGAGUACAGAGCUCUUUAUACUCAUAAGUUGUUUUCGAUGUUAGGGUUUUCGAAUUGACGAUCCACACCGUUAAACAUGAUCUAGAGUUUUUAAAACUUAUAGAAAAUAAAUUUUGUAAUUUUUCAAAAUCAUUAUAAAAUCCAUCAAGCGGGUAUAAAAUGAACGGUCAGAAUCGAACGACAUCAUAAAAAUGAAUGCUUGGAUUCUUCAAUUUAAGAUUGGAGUUAUUGAUCAUUAUUUAGGUAGUGAAUAGAAUUUUCUAUCAAAAAUUCAAACUAUUCCAACUCUUUUACAUCGUUAAACUAGCAAAUAUCCCACACCAGCCGUUAAAAUUUGUCAAUUUUGUGAGCUUUUGAUUGUAAGGUAAAUGAUAUCGAAAAAUUAUAAAAUUUGAUUUCUAGAAGUUUUAAAUACUUUAGAUAAUAUUUAACGGUAUGGAUCGUCGAUUCGAAAGCUCUAUCAUAAAAAACGACUUAUGAGUACGAAGGCGAUCGUACUCAUAAGAGUAUAUUAGCCGGACUCUCAAAUCAAACACUAUAUAUUGGAAUAUAUAUACAAUUACAUUAGUAUACAGUUACGGUUGCAUGUAGCCAUUCAAUUCUGUAAAAUAGGUAAAAAUAUAUAGAAUUUAUCUCAACUAUCAUGCACUUUUGGAUCUGACUAUCUAACCUUUAGAAAUUUUGAUUGUACUAUCUGACCUUUUAAUUUAUUUAAUUUCAGUCGAUUAAUAAUUUUUUAACGUCAAAAUUUGAUUGCGAUGUUUUUCUUUACAAAUUUAGUUAGUAUAUUUUAUGCAAGUAACAUAAUUAUAAAUUUAUUAAAAUAAGCAAUUAUUUUAAUUUUUAUAUCUGAAGAGCCAUCAAAUUACUUAAAUCAAACAACUUUAAAAGUUUGGUACAAAGAUUAAAAUUUUAGAAGAUUAGGUAGCUGAAUCCAAAUGGUUGAUAUCUCAAGUAAGUUUUAUCUACAAAAUAUAAAAAAUUAUACUUGUACUUUCCAAAAAAGGUAUGGAUAUUACUAGAGAUGUCAAUGAGUCAGAUUCGAGAAAAAUUUUCAAAAAUUUCAAUCCGAACCCGAUUACCAAAUCCGAAACACGAACCCAAACCCGAACCAGAAUCCAAAAAUCCGAAUUCGAAAUAACUAUUUUUCUUUACCAUAUUUCAAAAUAUAUUAUAUUAAAUCUAAAUUUUUAAAAUACAAAUUCAAAUAUAACGUUAAAUAUAUAUAUAUAUAUAUAUAUAUAUAGAGAGAGAGAGAGAGAGAGAGAGAGAGAGUAGGGCUACUAUACUCCUAUCAAUAUAGAGCCCUUUGUACUCAUAAGUUAUUUUUAAUGAUAGAACUUUCGAAUCAACGAUCCACAUUAUUAAAUAUAAUCUAAAGUAUUUAAAAUUUUUUGAAAAUAAAUUUCGUAAUUUAUGGAAAUCAUAAUAAAGCCCAUCAAGCGGGCAUAAAAUGAAUGGUCAAAAUCGAACGACUUUAUAAAAAUAGAUGAUCGGAUCUUUUAAUUUAAAAUUAGAGUUAUUGAUUUUUAUCUGAAUAAUGAAUAAAAUUUUCUAUCAAAAAUUCAACCGAUUCCGAUUCUUUUAUACUGUUAAACUAGCAAGUAUCUUAUACUGACCGUUAAAAAUCAUCAAUUUUAAGAUCUUUCGAUCUUAAGAUAAAUGAUAGUAACAAUUUAUAAAAUUUAAUUUUUAGAAGUUUUAAAUGCUCUAAAUCAUAUUUAACGAUAUGGAUCGUCGAUUCAGAAGUUCCUUCAUCAAAAAUAACAUAUGAGUACAAAGGUGAUCGUAUUCAUAAGGUAAUGUUUAAUGGCAUAGUCGUCAAUUCAGAAGCUCCAUUAUCCAAAACAACUUAUGAGUACGAAGAAGCCUAUAUUAAUAACAAUAGUAGCCCUAGAGAGAGAGUUUACCCUUAUAUGUUUUUUAAAGGUAUUAAGUCAUUGGUGCUGAUAAGUUUCACCUAUUGAAUUAAGAGAUGUGUGGAUAGGAUGAUAGUGGUCCUUCGGAGUUGAGUAGGUGGUUGGUUAAAUAGUAUGAUUUAAUGGUUGGAAAUGAUUAAAGGAGUAGAUUUAAUGGCGAAAAACUUACAACCACCAAGUGCUUCGUGCUUUUAUAAGUACCAUAGCCAGACUACAUAUAGAGAGAGAGUAGAGUUACUAUACUUUCGGAAGUAUAAAGGAGUUGGUGACUUUUUGGUCCUUAGGUCAAGAAUUGUACAAUUAGGAUGAUAAUAGUCCUCCCUAGGGUUGAGCGGUCCCCAUAGGAUAAUAAUAUUAAUUUAAAUGUUAGAAAUAUUCAAAGAGGUUGAUCCAAGGGCCAAAAAGUCUAAAGAACUAAGUCCUUUAUGCUUAUAUAAGUAUGAACUAGGCUGGAAUGCUAUCAAUAGCACCAAACACUUGGUGCUACCAAGUUUUCCGCCCUUGGAUGAAGAAAUGUAUGGUUAGGAUGAUGUGAGCCCCCUAGGGUUGAGUAAGUUGUUGGUUGAAUAGUAUAAUCUAACGGAUGAAAAUAGUCAAAGGGUUAAAUCAAACGGCGGAAAACUUGGUAGCACCAAGUGCUUGGUGCUAUCAAUAGUAUCCCAGCCGGACUCUAUAAGUAUAGCAACUGUACUAUAUAUAUAUACAUAGAGCUAGGCUGGAAUACUAUUGAUAGCAAAAGGUCAUUUUUGCUAUCAAAUUUUUAACCCUUGAAUGAAAAAUUAUAAGGUUAGGAUGAUAUUAGUCCCUUAGGGUUUAGUUGCAGAUAUAUCCCUGCAAAGCUCAACUUUCAUAAGUUAGAAUAGUUUUAGAAGCACCAACCAAUUGGUGCUUCUAGGUUUCUAGCCCUUGGAUCUACUCCUUAAUUACUAAUAACCUUUAGAUCAAACACUAUUCCACCUAUCACCACCUACCACCAUGAUCUCAACCCUAUAUCUCUCCAUCUAAUGGCUAAAAACUUAAAAGCACCACUCCCUUGGUGCUUUUGGAAGUAUUAUAGCUCAACUCUAUAUAUAUAGAGAGAGAGAGAGAGAGAGAGUCCGGCUGGGAUACUAUCGAUAGCACGAAGCAUUUGGUGCCAUCAAGUUUUCUGCCGUUAGAUUUACCUCUUUUAUCAUUUUCAUCCAUUCGAUUAUACUANUGGGGGGCAACGGAGCCCGUUUGCUACCGAUAGCAUUCCAGCUCAACUCUCUCUCACUCUCUAUAUAUAUAUAGAGAGAGAGAGAGAGAGAGAGAGUCCGGCUGGGAUACUAUCGAUAGCACGAAGCAUUUGGUGCCAUCAAGUUUUCUGCUGUUAGAUUUACCUCUUUUAUCAUUUUCAUCAAUUCGAUUAUACUAUUCAACCAACCACCCACUCAACCCUAGGGGGCCCACAUCAUCAUAACUGUACAUCUUUUAAUCCAAGAGCAGAAAACUUAAUAGCACCAAGUCAUUGGUGCUAUUAAUUGUGACACCCCAAUAGUCCCACAUCGGAUGGGAAGGGGUUGUCAUUGGGUUUAUAAGAGACUUAGACACUAGUAAUAAUAACUGGGCUUAAGCAUUUUGGGCUGUUGACUGGGCCCAACGAGUUAUUAUUGCUAGUGGGCUGGGUCGUUACAUUUGGUAUCAGAGCCGGUUCACCAGCUGGACAUGUGUGGCGAGUCUCGGCUGAGCCAGGGUCUGGAUGACGGGCUAGCGAGACGAGUCUCACAUCGCCUGGUGAUCUUGGGCUGUGUGUGUGUGAGGACUGACGAGGACGUCAGGGCCUUAACGGGGGGAGUCUGUGACACCCCAAUAGUCCCACAUCGGAUGGGAAGGGGUUGUCAUUGGGUUUAUAAGAGACUUAGACACUAGUAAUAAUAACUGGGCUUAAGCAUUUUGGGCCGGUGUUUGGGCCCAACGAGUUAUUAUUGCUAGUGGGCUCGGUCGUUACAUUUAGUAUCAGAGCCGGUUCACCAGCUGGACAUGUGUGGCGAGUCUCGGCUGAGCCAGGGUCUGGAUGACGGGCUAGCGAGACGAGUCUCACAUCGCCUGGUGAUCUUGGGCUGUGUGUGUGUGAGGACUGACGAGGACGUCAGGGCCUUAACGGGAGGAAUCUGUGACACCCCAAUAGUCCCACAUCGGAUGGGAAGGGGUUGUCAUUGGGUUUAUAAGAGACUUAGACACUAGUAAUAAUAACUGGGCUUAAGCAUUUUGGGCUGUUGACUGGGCCCAACGAGUUAUUAUUGCUAGUGGGAUGGGUCGUUACAUUAAUAGUAUUCCAGCCUAGUUCUAUAUAUAUAUAUAUAUAUAUAGAGAGAGAGAGAGAGAGAGAGAGAGAGAGAGAGAGAGAGAGUUGAGCUAGGGUACUUUUAGAAGCACCACCCACUUGGUGCUAAGUUUCUAACCUUGGAUCCACUCCAUAAUUACUAAUAUUCCUUGGAUCAAACACUAUUCCACCUACCACCACCUACCACCAUCAUCUCAACCUCACAUCUCUCCAUCCAAGGGCUAAAAACUCUAAAGCACCACCCACUUGGUGCUUUUCGGAGUAUUCUAGCUACACUAUAUAUAUAUAUAUAUAUAUAUAUAUAUAUAUAUAUAUAUAUAUAUAUAUAUAUAUAUAUAUAUAUUUGUAUUUAAAAAGUAUCGAAGCAAAAAAAUAAAUAUAUAUUGAGAUGGCCCGUAUAUCUAGCCACCCACCCGCGAAUGGAUAUAAGUGAAAAUAUUGAUAAUCCAAAAAUUUAUAAAAAAAUUUUAUCUAAUCUAUAGAUAUAUUAAAUCGUGAGUUUUACUGUACAUGACGUGUCGUCGGGCCCGUCUCUUCCGUUCCCUCUCGCGCGCCUUCAAUCCCUUCCCUCUCUCCCACCCACGAUUCCCUCUCUCUCUCUCACCCCCGAUUCCUGCCCCCUCUGGAUCCGCAAAGCCCGCAAGGUGCAGACACGCACUAUGCCUCCCGCACCUCUCUCCCUGCCUCCUUCCCCUGUCGCCCAGCAGGGCGUGGAGGUCCUGCAGAUCCGCGUCGCGACCCGUGCCUACGCUCGCUUGAGCCGCUCGCCCGCGCCGCACUGCCAUGUGUGCGCGACCCACGCCCGGCGCCGCUCGCGCCCCUAGCGCGCUGCCCCUUCUACAUCUGCAGAUCCUGCAGAUCUCUCUCUCCCCGAUCCCACCUCUCAUCUCUCUCCGAUCUUUUUUCGAUCUGCGAGGAUCUUCUUCUCUUCCUCCCCCUCGCCAUCACGCGAUCGAUCGGAGGAGCUCGCAGGCCCAUCGCGUCCUUUCCCUAGCGUUCGCGCCCUGUUCGACGAAAUGCCGAGGCGACUGUAGGGCGCUUCGCGGGCAUNCGAGAGUAUUCUAGCUCAACUCUAUAUAUAUAUAUAUAUAUAUAUAUAUAUAUAUAUAUAUAUUUGUAUUUAAAAAUUAUCGAAGCAAAAAAAUAAAUAUAUAUUGAGAUGGCCCGUAUAUCUAGCCACCCACCCGCGAAUGGAUAUAAGUGAAAAUAUUGAUAAUCCAAAAAUUUAUAAAAAAAUUUUAUCUAAUCUAUAGAUAUAUUACACCUUGAAAUGGACUGUGGCUUACGUGUAGUCCGCCCCGUCUCUUCCGUUCCCUCCCGCGCGCCUUCGAUCCCUUCCCUCUCUCCCACCCACGAUUCCCUCUCUCUCUCACCCCCGAUUCCUGCCCUCUCUGGAUCCGCAAAGCCCGCAAGGUGCAGAUAGUUGUCGCACUAUGCCUCCCGCGCCCCUAUCCCCCCCUCCUUCCCCUGUCGCCCCGCAGGGCGUGGAGGUCCUGCAGAUCCGCGUCGCGACCCGUGCCUACGCUCGCUUGAGCCGCUCGCCCGCGCCGCACUGCCAUGUGCGCGCGACCCACGCCCGACGCCGCUCGCGCCCCUAGCGCGCUGCCCCUUCUACAUCUGCAGAUCCUGCAGAUCUCUCUCUCCCCGAUCCCACCUCUCAUCUCCCUCCGAUCUUUUUUCGAUCUGCGAGGAUCUUCUUCUCUUCUUCCCCCUCGCCAUCACGCGAUCGAUCGGAGGAGCUCGCAGGCCCCCGCGUCCUUUCCCUAGCGUUUGCGCCCUGUUCGACGAAAUGCCGAGGCGACUGUAGGGCGCUUCGCGGGCAUCGGAGAGGUGGGGCGCGGCGCUGGGGAUGGUGGUAAAUGUUAUUCCUUUACAUAUAUAUGUCUGAUCAUGUAAAUAGAGGUAUAAACUAGCAAUUCAAUGUUUAAAAUAGCUAAAUGAUUUUUGUUUUGUCUUAAAAUUUUCAUUAUGACGUCAUGAAUUUGGCCUACAUAGUGAAGUCAGUAUAAGCUAAACCUCUUGAAGCUUCAAGAUCAGAGAAUUUUAGAAGUCAUUAAUGUUUAGCUGACAAAUAUAAUUUUGCUAUUUAGAUGAAUUGUUAUGCUCAUUUGAUUAUCUAAUUGUAAUGUGUUAUAACAGUUCCGUAGUUUCCAAAAUUUUAGCCCAAAAACUAGUAGGACUAUUAUUUCCAAAUUUAGAUUUAAGGUCAUUUCUUCAAAUUGCUCUCCACUUCUAAGUUCAUAGCUUUCGCGGUAAGAAGAAACUGUUAUCUCCAAAUAUGUUGAAGUUUGAUCCCUAUAUUUGCAUUUUUUUAUAUUUGUAAAAUUACUUUAGAUGAAAUGACUGAAAUGAAUUUGAAACUGCCAGAAGAAUAAAUAUUCGAACUUCACUGAAAUCAACUUUCAUUUAUGAAAUUGGAAUUGCAACCUUGGAUACCAUUUUAAUAUGCAAGAGUUGAAUAGUUGCCAAGUUGCUUAAGGUAAAAUUUUAUUCUGCUCUAUUAAAUUUUUUCAUCACUAACAUAGUUUCGCUUCUGUUACUAUAACACUUUAGCCUCUUUCAGUUGCCUAUUAAUCAUCCAUCUUUUAGGAUCUUCUGCUCCUAACUAUAGCUCAAAUAUUAAGUUGUUUGGAUUUCUAUCGAAUGCCCCUCUGCUCCAAGUAGAAGAGGGGGCUUUUAUAAGGAGCAGAAGAGGGGACUUUCUCUUGUAACUUAGCCUGUAUUAGAAGUCAAUAAGAAUAACUCUUUUUCGUUAAAUAAAAUGAUCAUUGAUUAUAAAAGAAGAGAGCCUCUUAUUUAUGGGCCCAGAAUCAAUACAAUAGUUCUAAUAUGAUUACCAAACCCAAUAGAAAAACCAAAUAAGAAUUGGGUUGAUCAUAACACCAUUCCGAUAUUAGAACUGUAGCAUGGGCAUCAUAGACAUUAAUUCUUCCUUAUUUGUUGAUCAUUGGCUUGUUUUGUCCUGAGAUUUUGCAAACAUACACACCAAGUAUGUAUAUUCGCCAAACCCAUUAAAGUUAUUAUUUGCACGACUGUUCCUCAAGGUCCUGUUUCCGUAUGUUUAUCUCUACUAUAGUUUGCUUACCGGUAGUUACUGACUGUUGUUAAUACCUAACUAUCAUUAGCACAUUAAAUUUUUUUGUCCCUCCUCUGAGCUACAUUUUUCAUCGUGGGGCAGCACUUUCCCCAAUUCAACCUCACCACUCAACCAACUCGAUUAAGCAGGUGUUGUGUAAUUCUCCUCUCUGUCAAUUGUACUUGAUUUUGUUUUUAUUUAAGAAUCAUUAAUUUUGUUUGCAGUAGUCACUUGUGCUUUAGUAAGCAAUUCUUUUCCUUUCCAAUCCUCUGUUGAGCCCAUUUAAGAUUUAGCAAGAUAUCGAGUAGGCAACAGCACAAUCGGCAAUUGAGAAAGAGUAAUGCACUGCAUGAUCCAUCUAAAUGUUAGUCGAGACUUUAAUGAUCAAUAAAUUGUUACAAUUUCUUCAGCAUUGGUUGAAUAGUAUGAUCUAAAGAGUGAAAAUGGUAAAAAAAAAAGAGUAAAUCUAACGACAGAAAACUUAAUAGCAACAAGCGUUUGGUGUCAUUGGUAGCAUAAUAACCGAACUAUUAGAUGAAGGAAUGCGUAGUUUAGAAUAUUAUUAAUCGCACCAAGUUACUGAUGCUAUUAGGUUUUUGGCUCUUAGAUGAAGGGAUGUGCAUUAGAAUGAUAGUGGUCCUCUAGGGACGUGGGUGAUUGGUGGAAUAGUGUGAUUUAAAGGAUGAAAAUGGAAUACCUUUCAGUAAUAUUUGGCACAUUAGAAACGUUAGAUAUAAUAAUAACAUUGACAUACUUAUGAUCAUGUGAGGAGGUUCUUACUAGAUUGGUAUUGACAGUAGGUUGAGCUAUGCUUAGAUGCUUUCCAUUUUCUACUGUACGAGAUUUUAUGGUUGUUGUCUUGAUCAUGCAUAUGCAUAAUAUAUAUGAUAUGCGCAAAAGAUUCUAGAGGCAAUGACAUGUGGAAAUUCUACUAAGUGGUAGCCGGACAUAAUAGAUAGUGAGGUAGCAUGCUGCCUUUCUCAUUUUUUCUUUUUUCUUAUUUUAUUUUAUUUUAUGUUAUUUUAUUUUAUUUUAUUUUUUGCGCCCUUCCCGAGGCCCGCGAUGCCUCACCCAUGUAGCUUAGUUCACUUCUUCAAUGAAUAAAGCAGGUAGCAUGCUACCUUUCUCUCAAAAAAAAGAAAAAAGAAAAAAAAAAGAUAGUGAGGUAUAUGUGAUUGUUGGAAAGAACAUUGCAUAUAUUUUUUACACAAUUGUUCUACUAAUCUCCGACUUUUUCACCCUCAGGCUCUUUGGAAUUAUUUUUUCGGGCGUUUGAUUUUUCUCGCUUUUGACCUUCCAUGUGUGAAAAUAUUUCUUAUACUUUUCUUCUACCAUUUUUUCCAGUUUGCUGCCCUAUAUCUUGUAGGAUGGGUAUACUUUUAUUUGUUGUAUGUUUAUUGCACUUCUAUUGUUUUUGUUUUCGCCUUUCACUCCUAAUGAUUUUGAUUCUGGUUUAUACUUCUUUAUUUGCUACCUCUAUUGUACAACUUCGUUAACUACUGCUACUGCUACUCUUUCUUGGUUACAAGUUUUCUUCAUGUCUAACUAUUUGUGGCUAAAAAGGUGAAGAAGUACAUGAGCCCUGUAUUUGGAACAAGUGGAAGUUUGGACGGCCUGCUCAUAGGCAACCAUUUCUUGUUGUUCUUAUACUUGGUGUCUACUUCUCAUGUUAUUGUCUUUUUUCAUUACGCCUAUAUUUUCUUUGAGUUAUUUAUUUAUUCUUUUAUUUUCUUUCACAUUCUAUCUCUUCUCAUGUUACUUUUAAAUGGCGAUGGUUGUUUGCAAUAACGUAUGUUUGGUUAUGAAGAGAAAAGAUAUAUGGGGCUUUUCCUGUGUGGUCUUUAUUUGUUCCUGUAAAAGAGAGGUUCAGCCCCAUGGUUUAAUGGAAUAACGGAAAAGAAAAUUGAUAAAGAACCAUUUAUUUGGCUCCUAGAAUUGUUGGAAAUGAAUACAUUGUAUAAUUUUAAAUACCUGUAUCUUUUAUAUGUAGUCGAUCUUCUAUUAUGUAAAGAAAAUAGUGAUUUUACUUAGAUAUUGCUCUUCCUAAUUUGAGCUCAUGUCGAACUUAGAAUUCUGCUAGGCAAUUCAUAAUACAGCCAGGCAAUUCAGGGGAGUCAUGCAAAAGGAGUUUCAUGCAAUUUUUAUGUAUUUCCGUCAUUCUCUAUGUUUUUGUUGGGUGUUUAUUUCUUCAUUUGCUUUACCAUCUAUGUCUGUUACUUCCCUCUAAGUUUUAUUGCUUUUUUGUUUGCUUACUUAUUUUUUUGCACACUAUUUUUUCUCUUCGACUUUUUCAUAUUGUAGGUCGUUUGAUUGUGUUGGCAAGGGGUCAAACUUUUGUUUGAUAGGAAACGGGAAAUUUGUGGUCAAAUUUUUGUUGGUGUUCAUUUUGAAAAGGGCCUAUUAUAUAGAAUUCUAAACUUUGAAAAUUCUGACUGAAUUCUAGAAGGCCGUUGGUGCAAUUCUGAAUUCUUAAUUUGAACCUUUUAUAUGCAUCAAAAAACUUGAUGCAGUUCAAAUCUGAAUUCUGAAUUCUAAACUUUUAUAUGCAUCGAAUAUCUUGGUUCAAUUCAGAAUUCCGAAUUCUGAAUUCUGGAUCCAGAAUUCAGAUAUGCAAUUCAGAAUUCAUCUAAGCAAUUCGGGCUGCCGUGAGGAAGGUGAGGUAGUUGCUCUUGAAUGUUCCCAUGCUAUGAUCAUCUUCGCCUAAAAUGUUAGAUAGUUAAAAACGGACAGAACCAUUUUGGUUGGUGAUGGGUGUACUUUGGACGGCCUACUCCGUAGGCAACUAGUCACUCUUAUCUGUGCUGGGAAUACUUUCAAUGUGCAUGUGGCUCCUCAGUCAGUUAGCAGUAAUAAUGUUUGAUGACUUGGGGAGUCUGAGCAAAGUAUAUUUAUAUUCACUAUAUUCUUCGUGGUAUUUCGAAUUGCCUAGCUGAAUUCUGAAUUGCCUAGUUGAAAUCUAAAUUAUCUAGCUGAAUUCUGGUGUGUGAAAAUGGCAUAAAACUCCUUUUACAUGCCUCCCCUGAAUUGUCUGGCUGAAUUCUGAAUUGCCUAGCAGUAAUUUGAAGUCAGAAUUGAGGAUCCUAAAUUGCAUCGAUUAACCCGAACAUUUUUGCAAAUUCCACCCUUUGCUUUGGUUAACUGGUGGAGCUUCUAUGCAUGCAAGUUUUUGCAGGAAUCUAACUGGGCUUACUAUACUCUAUACCUGCAAAUAUGGGAGCAUUAGUUUUUGCCCAGCUUGCUGUCAAAUCAACCUUAUUUGCUUUUGCUUUGUAUCUUAGAUAGAAAGUUUUAGCUUCUCAUAAAAUUUUUAUAAGCCUAAUUUUUUUUAUCGUUUAAUAUAAUUUGUUGUUGCCUUCUUGCAAACAACCGGUGGCUCCCAUUUGUGCUAGGAAUAGUUAUAUAUAUCGGUUUCAAAUCAAUAUUUGAUAAAUAGGGGAGCUUGGGUGAAGUUUUUUAUGUUGCCUAUUAGAUUUGUUCUUCCAUGAAGAAAGUGAGGCAGCAGCUCUUGAAUGUUCCCAUACUAUGAUGAUCUUCCCCUUAAAUGUCAGAUGUUUGCAAUAAUCAAGAGCGGACUCUUGAAUGUUCCCAUGCUAUGAUGAUCUUCCCCUUAAAUGUCAGAUGUUUGCGAUAAUCAAGAGCGGACCGGAGUUUUUUCCCUUCCGAUGGGUGUACUUUGGAUAGCCUACUCCGUAGGCAACUGGUUACCCUUAUUUGUGCUAGGUAUACUUCCGGUUUGCAUGUGGGCCCUCACUCAGUUAGCAGUAUGGGUUCGACGCCAAUCUAAUAAUGUUCAAUGAUCUGGGGAGUCUGAGCAAAGUAUAUUUAUUUUUACAAUAUUGUUUAUGGAAUUCCAGAUUGCCUAGCUGAAUCCUGAAUUGCCUAGUUGAAUUCUGAAUUAUCUAGCUGAAUUCUGGUGUGUGAAAAAUGACAUAAAAAUCCUUUUGUUUGUCUUCUGUGAGUUGCCUAUCUGAAUUCUGAAUUGCCUAACAGUGAGCUGAAAUUGGAAUUGAGAAUUGUUAUGUGCACUCUAUAAUACCUUCUAUUUCAGCUCUUACUUCAAUAUUUAAUAUUAUUAUAACGAAAUUUCAUUAUGUAAAAUCUUGAUCUUUUAUUACAAAGUAUGAGACGGAAUGGUUCAAAUUACCCAAUCUUUACUUUGGUCAACUGUUAAAGCUUCUACAAAUGCAAGUUUUUGCAGGAAUCUCAUUGCGAUUGCUAUACUAUAUUUCUGCAAGCAUGGAAGUAUUAGUUUUUGCUCAGCUUACUGUCAAAAUAAUCUUAUUUAUGCAAGCAUGAAAGCAUUAGUUUUUGCUCAGCUUACUGUCAAAAUAACCUUAUUUGCUUUUGCUAUAUAUCUCAGAUAGAAAAAUAUAGUUUCUCAUAAAAUUUUUAUAGUCCUAAUUUGUUUUACCGUCUUCUAUAAUUUGCUGUUGUCUUCAAUUAUAUGGUUUGAUUCGGAUACUAUAUAUCUUGACUUUCGAGACUUUAUCUGGCCCUUUUUUGUGCAAUUGUUUUGUUUGUUUUAAUAUGAUUACCAUAAGCAACAUUUUAUAUGAAUUCGCAUUCUAAAUUGUAGAUUCUAAGGUCUAAAUUUUGAAUAUGAUUCUGAAUUCUCGAAAUUGUUUUGUGGGAGAGACCUAAUGUGAAUAGCCUUUUUCCGACAUCAUACACAAACACCUUUCCAAUAAGUUCAGAACUAUAGUAGCAAUGUAGCCUAUCAAUGACCAUCCUGCCUAACCCCUUACCCUCAACAGCUCAGUUAUUCUCAAAUUUGGCCGAAACAUGAAAAUAAGAAAUAAAUUGGCUAGGGGACUUUGAGCAAAAUAUAUUUAUUUUUCCUAUAUUCUUUAUGGAAUUUCGAAUUACCUAGCUGAAUUCCGGAUUGUCUAGCUGAACUCUAAAUUAUCUUCCUGAAUUCUGGAUUAGAAAUUCAGAAUUAAUUCAGAAUUCAAAUUUGCAGCGAGUUAUUCGAUGCAUAUAAAAGUUUAGAAUUCAGAAUUCAGAUCUGAACUGUAUCAAGAUAUUUGAUGCAUAUAAAAGGAUAGAAUUCAGAAUUCGGAAUUGCAUCAACGGUGUUCCAGAAUUUUGAAUUCUGAAUUUUGAAAGGUUAGAAUUACAUAAAAAAAAUUAGAAUUCAGCAGAACUUCAUAUUUAAUCUAAUAUUUCAAAUUUAGAAACUGAAAUUUAAAAUUUAAAAUUAUAAACUUUUAAAAUUUAGUUUUUUAGUAAUUAAGAUAAAAUAUAAAAUUUUUAAAUUUUAAGUUUUAAAUUUUAAAUUUCAAAUUUUAAUAUUUUAAAUAUUAAAUUAUAAAUUGAAUUUAAAAAAUUCAAAUAUUAAAUUUCAAAUAUUGAAAUUUCAAUUUCAUAUGUCAAAAUUUAAAUUUUAAACUUCAAUAUUUUAUAUUUUAAAUUUAAAUUUAAAUUUUGGAUAAUAAAAAUUUUAAAUUUUUAAUAUUUAAUUAUUUAUUUUGAUUUUGUUUAAAUUUUAUAAUCAACUUCAUUAAAUAAUAAUAUUGAAUAGUCUAUUUAAAAAAUUUUAGAAAUUACGUAAAUUUUUCGCCCCCAAGCGCGGCCUAUAUAUGUAAUUCCAGAGUCCGGCUACUAUGCUAUUAAUAGCACGAAGUACUUGGUACUACCAAGUUUUCCGCCGUUAGAUCUACCCUUUUGAUCAUUUUUACCCGUUAAAUUAUACUAUUCAACCAACCACCUACUCAACCCUAGAGAGCCCAUAUCAUCCUAAUCACACAUCUCUUAAACCAAUGACCAAAAACUUGGUAGCACUAAUGACUCAGUGCUAUUAAUAGCAUUUGAUUAUUCAAUUUGUACGUUUGUUAGGCCUACCUUGGACGCGCAAUUAAUAUUCGUAAAUGUACUAUCAUUGUUCUCCCUUCUCCAAUUAGUAGUACUACAUCUAGGUCGUCCAGGUCGUCGAGUGUACUUCCCCGUUCCUAGAAAAAACAAAGUACAUAUCCAAAGAGAGCACCCUCCUCCUCCUCCUCCUCCUCCUCCUCUCACGUAACUCCAUUAAAUUCCAAAACCAAGAAGAAGAAGAAGAAGAAAAAGGAGGAGGAGGAGGGAUUGUUGAUUACCUUUUCCUGCAGGCAUGGGAGACAUGGGAGACAUGGGGGACAUGGACAUGGGCAACCACACGCACGGCAGCGGUGCGCCGCCAUCGCCGAUGUCGAUGGGCGGCAUGAAGAUGAGCUACGUCCACAUGACCUUCUUCUGGGGCAAGAACUCCGAGAUCCUCUUCUCCGGCUGGCCGGGCGCCCGCAGCGGCAUGUACGCCCUCGCCCUCAUCGUCGUCUUCCUCCUCGCCGUCCUCGUCGAGUGGACCGCCCGCUACGACGUCGGCACCGCGGCGAGGCUGGUCAGGACCGCCGUGCACGCGCUGCGCGUCGGCCUCGCCUACCUGAUGAUGCUCGCCAUCAUGUCCUUCAACGGCGGCGUCUUCAUCGUCGCCGUCGCCGGCCACACCGUCGGCUUCCUGCUCUUCAGGAGCCGCCCGGCCUCACCCGCCGGCGAUCGCGGAGAGAAGGCAGCGGAUCUCUCUCCCAUGGCAUGCUAGCUGGCUUGAUGAUGAGUAUACGCUUCUUGAUUCUUGAAAGUGUGGUGUGUGUGUGUGUGUUUUUUUCUCUUUUUUUUUUGGGUUUCUUUUGGUGUGCAUGCAAUAAAUAUUUGAUGUAUGUCUAAUGCUUUGUUUCAUGCAUAGGUAAAUUGCACCACUAGUCCUCAGAACUUUUAAGCGCUUUUUGUUACUUAUAUUUACUAUUAGAGGAAAAAUUAUUAUCUCGAAAUGCAUCACGCAUCUAACCAGCCCUGAUUCCAUCUUAGAAAUCGCCUGUUGGAUUGAGAAUAUGAGAUGAAUGAAAGGUGUGCAACUGAACAGGAAUUAAUAGAGACAAUAGUUUUUUUGCUAAUUAAGGUAGGGACAAAAGUAAAACAUUGAUGAAUCUAAAAGAUCGGGAACUGAAAUAAAAUUUGACUAAAAGUUCAUGAACUAGUGGUGCAAUUUAUCCUUGUUUGAAGAUACUGCAGUAAAGUUCUCUUCGUAAUUGUGUGACCACAAUAAGGUGCAGUGAUGGACACAAAUCAAAUUCUAAGCAGAGCUUCUUACAGGAGUUAUCAUAAGAUUGGAUUGGAUUACCCUUCACCCAAUAUCUUAUUUCAACUUUAAUCAUAAAUCGAAAAUAUAGAAACAAUACUCUGAUUCCAUGAAGGAAAUCCAACUCCUCCUUAUGCUUCUUCUGAGCGGAGCUUUGUAUAAAAUUUUAUACCUGUUAUUCUUGUUGUGUGAGCUGAUCAACUAUAUAUACCUUAUGUUAUUUGUGGAGACUUAAUUUGGUAAUACCUAUAUUCAAGUGCAAAUGAAUAUGUACUCGUCUACUUUACGUACAUGCAUGAUUCUGAAAUAGCUCCUUUUAACUUUUCUUUUUGAUUUGCAUCUUCUGCAUCAAAGAUUGUUCAAACUUAGGCUCUUUCAUCAGAAAACAAGAGUAUUCCCGUUCAUCUUAACCGUCGAUGACCGGCGGCGGCGACGGAGGAAACGGAUAAAAUUAGUCUUCUGUUAAUUCCUCCAGUAAUAGUGAAGAACUGAGAAGUUAAUUGGAAGGUCAGGCUCCUCCUUUUUGUCUCUGUCACAGCCACAAAGAUAAGGUGUCAAUUUAUGAUUUUUGUUUUCUUUUUUUCCUUUUUUUUGGGGGGUCUUUCAAUUUGAAAUGAAUAUCGGCUUUCAGAAAGAUAACCCUAAUUCCUAUAUAAAUCAUUUCGAUUCGACUAUUCAAUCUUUUAAAAUUUUAAUUUUAACACUCAACAUUUUAAUUUGUUUGAGUUAAAUAAUAAGAUGGCUUUUCGGAUACAAAGUUUAAGCUAAUUACUUAUAUUAAUACAGUUAUAUUUACAUAAAUUGUGUAAAAUAAACUAAUUAAAUAUAUAAAAAUAAACGAUGCAUUCAGAUUUUUAAAGAGUCAUUAAUUAGCUUAAAUGAAAUAAAAUAAAAGAUAAUAUAGUAAAGUAAAAAAAUUUAUAAAAUUAGAUAGUCAAAUUCAAAUAUUUUUACCUUUAAAAAGUGAUGAGAAAAAUAGAAUGCAGAGUGUGGGAGGCAUGUUAGCUCUCAUAUUUCAUCCCUAGUCUAGCAUCAGGUCAUGUUGCCAUAUAUGGGCUAGAGUUAAUUAAUUAGCAUCCUACAGAAUAGAUUCUAUUAGUUUCAGCAGAAAAAGGCUCUGCCUAGUAUUUGAUCAGAGGACGAAAAAAAAAAAAAAAAAAAGUUAAAUUGUACCAUUAGAGCUGUCAAUCAGUGAGCCAGCUUACAUUCGACUCGAAAUUGGUUUGAACUCAGCUCGCUCGAUCAAUAAACAAGUCGAUCACCAGCUCACUUUUGAGAUGGAAAAAUUAAUGAACCAAACAUGAGGUGACCUCGGCUUGCUUAUAAUUGGCUUGACAGAGUUCAAAUAAAUAAAUAAAUAAAUAAUAUAUACAUAUUUAUUUUAGGUCGACACGUUGUAAAUUUUUUUUUGUCUUUUUAGUUUUUGUUUUUUUGUUAGCAUGACUCUUAGUUCUAAUAUUAAUUAGUAAUACUAAGAGCAAUAGUUAGUUUUAAUAUUUUAUUAAAAUUUAGUUAAAGCAAUUAAACUCAAAAAAUUUUGAGCUUCCUCAAAUUAAUUUCAAGCCAAAAACGAGCUUGAUUAUCCUAGCUUUUUUAAUUUCGAGUCGAAGAUGAACCGACUCAAAUUAAUUUUGAACAUGUUAAAGGAAAGGAUAAUUAUUUUCCAGACCAAUUAAGUAGAGGAUUUUUUGAAAAUACUAAUUAUGAAUUUAACAUAAUGAAUAUUAAUUAGUUUUAGAAAUAUAAAAAGAGUUUUAGAAAUAUUAAUUUCGAGUCGAAGAAAAGAUAAAGAGUUUUAGAAAUAUAAAAACAAAAUUUUAUUAUAAAUUUUUAGAAGGGAGUACCGUACGGGACCUAACACCCACUUUGAAAAAGACAUCUUAAUCACGGAACUUUUAUCAUUAAACCUCUUCUUAUUAUUAGCCAUAAUUAGAAUCUCCUUUAAAAUCUAUAUCUAUCUAUUUCCUUUUCUUUUCUACGGCGAGCUUAAGAUAAAAAUUAAAUUUUCAGACAUAAACUUAUCCAUCCCCGUUAAGCUAGGCUUUAACAGAGAGAGAUUUCGCCUAGAAAUCCCUUUCGACUUAAGUUUUUAGUAUAGUGAAUAGUAUCUCGCUAAUUAUAAUUAGUGUGAACAGUGUCACGUGAAUAGUGCUCGGUGAAUAGUGCCACGUGAACAGUACCCUAACGUAAAUACGUGAAUAGUACCUUAUGAACAGUACCAUAUUAAAAAAAAAAAAAAAACCUCUUACGUAGCACCCACCUUUAAUUACUAUUCCUUAAUUAAGCACCCUUUCUUUUUCUUCCAAAAAAAUUCCAGAAAAAAUUUCAAAAAAUUCGUCUUCUCCUGAUUCCCAACUUUAGAUCUUUUCUCUAUUUUCUGUGUUUCAGUGCUCUUCUUUCGCUCUUUAUUAAAUAUUAGUUUAAUAUUACAAUUUCAUAUUACAUAGUCUGAUCCAACCUCCUCCCACUCACGCUUUAGAUUCUUGUCUUUCAUCUUUCUCAAAAAAUCAAAAAAUAUUUUUCGCUGUUGUAGGGUAAUUUGCUUCUUUCAAAGGUUUGUCCAGCACUCUGAAAAAAUCAAAAAAUAUUUUCCAACCUUUGUAUAAAAAUAUCUUUUCUUUAGGGUUUUUCCUGCUUUUAGGGUAUUUCUCCCUUUAGGUUUAUCACUUUAGGUUUUUCUAAAAUCAGAAAAUCCAAAAAUAUUUUCUGUUUUCGUUUGUGUUUAAAAGCUUUCUAGUUUUUACUAUUUUCUUUAAAUUUACAGAAAACCCAAAAAUAUUUUCUAAGACUUUGCUCCCCGCUUCCCUCUUCAAACCUUCUCACCUCAUCUUCGUAGCAUCCAAAACCCUAGCCCAUUUAGAAAAAUCCAACCAACAGAGAUUGUUCCCAUCCAGCCAACCACAAGCACCCAAUCACCCACUUUCAUUAAACCCUAAACCCUCUCUCUCGUGUUCAGCUCGUUGACAGCCCUAAGUGCCACUAGUGCUUGAACUAUAUUUAAUUUUGGCCACUAAUACUUUGGUGCUUGAAAUUUUAAAUUUAGCAUUUGACAUCCAAAAUUCCAAAAUUAUAUCACAUUUGCCAUAUCCUUAUUUACUCCUACACCUGAUUGUAAUGGAUUUAGGUUUUCUUUCUGCAAUGACCAUGCGGUAUUCCCCUUUCUUCUCAAAGAUGGACAAGCUUUGUCCUGUAUUAAUUUGUAAACUUGGGUCUACUAAUAAGCGCCUCAUUACAACAGAAUUAGAUUAUAGGGACACAUGUUUGGGACACUUUUGAGUAAGUGUCCCAUUUAUGCUAAAACUUAAAAAAAACAUCUACUAAUGUCUAAAUAUAAAGUCCAAUCCAAUCAAGAAUAAAAGAUUACUCUACUCAACCUACCACACCCAGUCCAUUUGGCCCGAUUACAAACAGAAAAGAAAAAAAAAAGAAAAAUCAAUUACCAUCUUUUUUUCUCUCUUCACUCAAUCCACUGAAAUUCUAGACGAAGAGCCUUUUCUGUCGUCCUCCUCCGCCACGGCAGCCAACGAGAUAAAGUUUCGGCGGUUGCUAAAUGCUUAAAUAAGUGUUGGUAAAUUAGCAGCACUCUUUUAGGUUAUAACGACACUAUUUAACUGUCACUAUAUACCUAGCGACUCCACAUAUAGCAACACUUUUUAAAAGUGUCGGUAAUUUUAGCUAGCAUCACCUUUUUGACAUGUACCUACAUUUAAAAGUGUCGCUAUAGACCGUUUUUGUUGUAAAAAUAGAGAGAACUUUUGAUGAAAUUAGAGAUAUCUAUAUCUAUAUCUAUACAUUAUUCCUCAUAGCUUUGCCAUAUGACAAUUUCUCCUUCAUCCUUGUCUUCUCCCUCCUUUUCACUUCUUGGUGCUUCACCUUCCCAUCUCCCAUCUCCGUCUGAUAUUUUGUCUUCUCACUUACUUACUUUCUAAUUAAUGCAUGCAUAUGGUCAAUUGUUAUAUGAACAAAUCACUUCCACAAAAAAAAAAAAUGAGUAAAAUAAGAUCUCUUCUUACUUUUGUUUCUCAUACUAUUUAUAUUUAUUAAUGUCUCAUUGCAACUCAAAAAUUUUAAAAUUGUUAGUUUAUCAAUCUUUUGUCUUUUUUAUAGUAUUAGCCCGCUGCAAUGCAUAGGUAACUUCAUUAGUAUUCCACUAUUUUUGCAUUAUUUGGAGAGAGAAUAUUACAGCUGACUUGGGCUAUAGUAUGGCUUGAGGCUUUUUAUUUGUUCUGUGAGCCUCAAACCUCGAGGAAGUCUACUAUAUAACACUUACACUACAUUAUCUAUUCCCAACCAAUCACAUAUCUUCAUUUGAGAGAAAAGGAUAAUAAAAAUAUUUUUUUUAAAAUUAUAAUGGGAUGGAUGAACCCCAGUAGAGUUUCUGUAUUAGUUUGGAAUAUCAUGUCAACAAUAUAAAUAUUGCAUUAAACCGCCCACUAAGUAUACUAACUGCGGGUAGCAUGACGCUUAUAUGUAGACUAUAAAGAAAAGGGAAGCAAAUAUCUACUAACUUUUUUUUUUUUUUCGAGGGAAUAAAGUCGGUAGAUAAUUCAUUAAAAAGUAGAGUUUGAUUGUUUUGGAAAAGCAAGUAAAAUUACAUUCUCACAAAAAAAAAAAAAAAAAAAAAAAAAAAAAAAAAAAAAAAAACCCAUAAAAAANAAAAAAAAGAAAAAAAAAAAGGGAAAAAAAAUAUCCCCAAAACUAAAUGAAAAAAAUAAAAAUGACGGUACACAAACCUAAGAAACGAAAAGGAGAAGAUAUAUGUAUAUCGGCCCCCCAAAAUCUACACAUCUAACUAAAAAAAGUAAAUCAAGUUUCUAAACUAGAAGCCCGAGAUAAAAAUGAAAAACAAAAUAAGAAAAAAUAUGAAUAAAAAAAGCAAUCAAAAGGAGUUGUUUAUGCCUUCGAAAGCAGUACAGCUCUUUUAUAACACAAUCUCUCAGAGAUCUGAGAGUAUCAGCAAAUCCUACACAUGUAGAAUGGUUUAUAGAGUUACAAAACACCAAUCCCAUCUGUCAACCAAAAUUCUCAUGGGCUGAAAAUCAAUACCAAAGUCUCAAAGCAAUCUAAAAGUAGCAAUUAUCUAACAAUAGCGAAUUUCUGAUCAGCGAAAUGUUUUUCAAGAUUCGGAAUUCUCAUAUUCCGACAUGAAUUCUUCUAAAGGUUCGCUAAAGGUUCGCUCCGUAAAGACGCGUGCCCACAUAUUCUAGGUACGUUUAAGAGCUGUAACAGAAGCUCAUGGUUACAAAAACAGGAAUUUUAUUCAUCCGACUCAUUUGGAAAACAUAAAUGGGCAGAGUAAUGCUCUGCUUUCCAACAGCCCGAAUAACUCUACACACAGUAAACUCUGAUACAACAAGUCAGGGCAAUUGUGUCUUUACCUUCAUUAUACAACACCAGGAGACAGGGAAUGGAUAAAGGAAAAGGAAAAAAACCAAAAAGAGAAGAACCUCAUACAGCUACAGGGACAGCUUCAUCCAGUGCAACAACACCUGGAAGCUCCUUCCCUUCCAAUAGCUCCAAGCUGGCUCCUCCACCUGUCGAUAUGUGGCUCAUUACAUCGGCCACGCCCACUUUCUCAACAGCAGCGACGGAAUCUCCACCUCCGAUGAUCGUUGUAACUCCUUUCCCGCUAAGCUCCGCCAACUUCUUUGCAAUUGCCUAUGAAAGAAAACACGAGUCAAGCCUCAUUUGGCGUUGAAACUGUAGUGCGACAUGGAAAUUAGUAGCUAAACAAGGUGCUGUUCGAUUACCUCGGUUCCAACCGCAAACUUAUCGAAUUCGAAAACCCCCAUAGGUCCGUUCCAGAUAACAGUUUUGGUCGUUUCAAGAGCAUCACUGAAGGUCUUAAUAGAAUCUGGUCCAAUAUCUAAGCCCAUCCAACCGUCGGGGAUUGCGGAGGCUGGCACAACCUACAUAAUCAAAUUGACAGUUAAUCAAGAGCAUUCCAACUACAUACUAGGAACUUCAUUAGAUCUUAAUGACUGAAUAAAUAAAGCAUAAAUAGCAUACCUUGCUUUCUGCAUCGGGGGCAAACUUGUCGGCAAUGACAACGUCAGUCGGCAACAAAAGGGAGACCCCCUUCUCUUUUGCCUUUGCGAGAAGUGAUGUUGCAAGAUCGAGUUUGUCAUUCUCUACCAAGGAAGAACCCACUGAAAGCCCUUGUGCCUUGUAGAAGGUGAAUAUCAUACCGCCACCCAAAAGAAGAAUAUCGACUUUCUCCAACAGCGAUUCGAUGACUCCAAUCUUAGAUGACACCUUUGAACCACCUACUAUGGCAGCGAAUGGGCGCUUGGGGUUUGAAACAGCUCCAACGAGGUAAUCAAGUUCCUGCAAAUUUAUAACAAGCCGUUUAACCGAAGUUAAGACACAAAAUAAAGAAAGAAGAAAGAGAGAGAUGUUGCAUAUCAUACAAGCCUCCUGCUUAAACUUGAGUUAGGUUAUGACAACAAAAAUAUUUAAUAGUAGGACAGGGACCUUUUGCAAGAGGAAACCAGCAACAGAGGGCUUCAAGAACUUUGUGACACCCUCUGUUGAUGCAUGUGCUCUAUGUGCAGUUCCAAAUGCAUCAUUCACGUAAAGGUCUGCAAGGGACGCAAGCUUCUUUGCAAACUCUGGAUCGUUCUUCUCCUCCUCCUUAUAAAACCUUACAUUCUCAAGAAGUAACACACCACCCUCUGGGAGCUCGGAGACCAAUUUCUCAACUUCCGGACCGAUACAGUCAUCGGCUUUCUCAACCUGUUUGAUGUGCAUCAAGGAAUCCACGAAUACACAUAAAUGUUAAUAACUAGAGAACGCAAAACUCUAGAAGAGAAAAUUUAAAUGAAAAGACAAUAAUACCUUUAUGCCAAGGAGUUCAGAUAACCUUGGCACAAGAGGACUUAAGCUAUAUUUGGGUGUGACACCCUUUGGGCGCCCCUGUAUACAUUGAAGAGAAAAAAAAAAACAUGCAUUGAAAGUUAGAUAUAUAGUUAUUUGCAGCAAAUAUUUAAAAAAAAAAAAGAUAAAAAGGAUACAUAAAUAUCUUUAGCUCAAGAAACAUGAUUUAUGAGAGGAAAAAUUAUGUAAAAAAUACACUAUUAUCCUCCUAUAAUUACUAUGCAUGAUCAAUGCAAAAUGAUGAGUUGCAACAUCACAACAUGGAAGGACGUUACUUGUUAGUAGGUUAAGCAUUGGCAAGUUUUCCAAGUAGUUCGAACGGUAAACCUCAGUUACACUCCUUCCAAAGAUAAAGAAGUCGAGUUCAAUGAUGCAACUUUUUGAAAAUGAUCUACUGGUAGUUUUAAAUAUGAUCUACCAGUUCAUAUUCAAGCCAAUUAACUGACCAUAAAGUAUGACUGAACAGACUACAACUAAUCAAGCUUAAUUAGAAUAAAUUCCACUUCUUAUAGACCAAUAUGCAAAGAAACACCACAUAUCCACUAGCCAACCUAUUGUACUUGACUGUUGGUCAAGUAUUCUCCUUAUCCUCUUAGUUCUUUUGCAGAAAACCUCCACAGUCAGCCACUCAACGUAUCUUGCAGCACUUUUUGCAUUUUCUUAUAUUCCCUUUACCAAUUCACAGUCGGCUAAGCCACUAAGCCAUAGAAAAUAUGGAGCCUUAGCUAUUUGAUUUCUACUGCAACAGCGUAGGUUAUACAUAUCCUGAUGAAAUUUUCAUUUUCAUUUUCCUUAGACAUUUUAGUCGGUAAGAUUUCAUGUACCCAAUUCAAAAAAAUUUCGAAAGUAUGAUUAGGUUAGUCAGUAAAAUCAAAUUUCUCGAAGUUCAGGUACCAAUUUCGAAAUUCAAAAUGCGACAGUUCAACUACGAUGCAUAAUAUAUUUUUUUUGGCUAACAUGUAUAAAAGUUAUCUAAACUACUGUCCAACCUUUAAAGUUUUGAUGGUGGUACCCAACCUUUGAUUUAAGCCAUUUAAUAGCUCUUUAAGUAUAAAAUAAAGGCUCAUCAAUUGGUUUUUAAUGGAAUUCUAGUCGCAUGAAGCAUGCUGAUUAUGCCCGUAAAAAUAAUCAUCGCAUUCAAAUUUCAAAGUGAAAUAGUCAUUAAAUGGCUUGAAUCAAAUAUAUUCAAAAUCAGAAUAUCAGUCAUAAUUCUAGUUCAGAUAAGGUCUAUACAUUUGUACAUUUUUUUGGUAAAAAAAAAAAAAGUAUAAACUUACCUGAAAACAUGUCCGUUUUGGAUCUUUUGAUUGAACUAUCCAGCAUUUUAAAAUUUUAAUUUUGGUACCCAAACUUUCAAAUUUACUUUACUAGCAAUUUGAUGAUUAUUCCGGUACAAAAUUUAGACUGAUUACUUACUUUUAUAAAAUUUCAGUUGCAUGAAUUACACGAAAUUUUGGUAAUCAAGCCCGUAAAAACAAACACUGUUUUCAAAUUUUGAAAUGUAAGAAUCACUAUAGAUGAUAUCAAAUCAAAGAGAAUAAAUGGUUAAAUAAAAAAAUCUAAAAUUCUCAAAGGACGAAUGGUCAGAUCAAAAUCAAAUCAGUCAUAGUUCAGAAGCAGAAGUGAUAAAGAAAAAAAUCUAUUUUGUAACAUUUACAUCACACAAUCUCUCCUUAGUCAAUCAUAUUUUUUUACUUGUAGAUGGAUGAAUUCCGAAAAACCUAGAACUUUUCGAUGGAUGAAUUCCGAAAAUCCUUAGUCAAUCUAAAAUCUCUCCUUAGUGGGAUGGAUGAAUUCCGAAAAACCUUUCAAUUAGUUGGUGAUAGCACAUCAUCAGCAAUAUUUAUAUUGCAUUCUAGAACUUUUCGUGUUGCAGUGGGAAGUCGGACUUCGAGUAACUAGUGAAUAUAACGAUUCAGAAUUCGUUCCCCAUCCCACCGAAGUCGAGAGGCCAAUCUCCGUGAGCGAGUGAGUGAGAGUUUAGACAAUCUCACAAUUUCGGUGCUGAAACAAACACCAGGGAAUGCUAAUUUCACGAAGUCGCGAGUUCAGCGUCUGAGAUCCACGAGAACGGAGAGGAAGAGGAGAAGCAAGAAGAAGGAGGAGGAGGAGGAGGAGGAGGAGCGGACCAGGUGGCUGGCGAGGAUGACUUUGGCGCCAUUGCUGAUGAGGUGCUUGAUGGUGGGCACGGCCGCGCGGAUCCGGGUGUCGUCGGUGAUGUUCAGGGCGUCGUCCAAGGGCACGUUGAGAUCGACCCUCACGAACACCUUCUUCCCCCUCAGAUCCGCCUCCUUCAGAUCCCCCACGCUCUUCUUCGCCGCCAUUGAUGGNGCCAUGGACGUAGAGAGAGAGAGAGAGAGAGAAGGGUGGUUCUGUGAGUUGGGAGGGGCGAUUUAGAGGAGGAGGAGGAGGAGGUGGACUUAAGAGAGUGAGGGGAGGGGUGGGUGUAAUAAGAGAGAGGGGAUUUUGUGGCGGAGAGGGGGAUCGGGGGAUGAUACUUUUUCUUAUCGUCGGGGAGAGGUGGAGAAGAGGGUGUUGGAGGAGGGGCUUCGAUGUUUCCGCUGCGAUUCGUGGUUUCUUCUGACUUACAUUGUACAAGCCGGGGUGCGGCGAUCGCGAUUGCGAUUGCGAUUGCGAUUGCGAAUGCGUGAUUCGCGAUUAAGGAUUUGUUUAGGAAAAAAAAAAUACAAAAAGGAAAUUUACUAUCACAAGUCUUUAUUUGAUGCCAAAAUAAAUAAUAAAUAAUAGAUAAUAAAUAAUAAUAAAUAAAUAAUAAAUGUAAUAACUAAUAUACUUUCCAAAUGUUUAUUUUAAUUUUUUUUUUUAUUUCUGAAUAAUGACCAAAAUACUUUAGUCGACUUUAAAAAAAAAAAAUAAUUGCUUACAUACUCUCAAAACAUCUAAAAUAUUUUAUAUAUCCUUACUUUUUCUUUUCUUUUUAAUAUACCCCUUCAUAUGUUAUUCUGUCAUUUCAAAAUAUUCUUACAGUUACCAUAUGUUAAGUUAACUUUUGUUAAAAAAAAAUCAAAAUACUUUUUAUACUCCUAACUUAAAAACAAAUAAAAAAAAUCGGUGAUGGUGGAAGGGUAUAUUUGAAAGGGUAAAAUAGUAUUUUCAUAUUGAUAACAGCUAUUACUAAUAAUUUAUUAACAGAAUUUAACUUCAGGGGUAUAUUUGAAAUAGGUUGGAACGUAUAAAGUAUAUUUUCAAUAUUAACCUUCUAAGAGGGAUAAAUUAGAAAGUGGAGGUACAUAAAUAAUUGCCCUUAAAAAAAAUUAUCUAAUAUCUAUUUUUUAUAAGGAUUUACAAAUAUAAUUAAGUUUUAGAAAAAUAUUUUGGAUGGUGAGGAUUAUAUUUAAAAGUUUUCAAUAGUAACAAAGAGUAUACAAGUAAAAAGCUUAACCCUUAAAUGAGAAUAUAUUAUGUAUAAAAUCUUUUUGUACAAUUAAGGCAUCGUUUGGCAUUUAUGUUCUUCCUUCUCCAUUUUUGAUCUUUUCUAUAGUGGCGACGGUACAUAAUUUUCUUUUCCUUUAUCUACCAGCUCUACAUCUUUUUAUGCUAUCACACCCUCUCUCUCACCCUCUCUCACAAUCAUUGUCCCCACCCCGACGCGCUCUCUGUCACGCCCCGAGCCUCGCCUAUUUGGUCGAGUUCGGGCGCGUCGACAGACCGCCGAACGGACAGAGUUUCCCCUGUACGUCCUAGGCGUCGCAAUCAAUACAAUGAACAUUACAAGGGUUCCAACCAGGAACAGAUAUCAAUCAUGAUUGCAUAAGGAAAGUAUCACAACAUAACACAUCCUAUGUUAUUACAAGCUUUCACAUUCAAACAUUUUACAUUGUUCAUUACAUACAACCUCUGAAUGCAAUUAAGUUAUAACAAUUAAUAUUACAGGUUUGAUACAUUGUUUUCUUUUCAUUUCCUCUCUACCCCUAGGCUAUGCCGACUCGGGGUACCGCUAUUUCUGGUCUCUGGGGUAGGGCGCUAUCUAUGAAGCUACGCCCUUGCCUCGCGCCGCCGCGCCGCUCACGUGCGAACCUGUAACACCCCAAAACAACGUGGGGUGAGAACCAACUCCAUGGUUCCCAGUGGGUACGGCCACCCAAGGGAGAGCUCGAUAAUAGGUCCAGCCAAGGCCAGCCUGCAGGUUUAUUCAAUUAUAAACAGAUGAGCUAGAUAUUUGAACUAUGCAAUUAAUAAAACCAUAAAUUGCUCGCAUGCAAUAUGCAACAUUAUGCCACUUCGCAACCUAAUAAAACAACUAGUGAUCUGUAUAAUUCUACAUUUACUUGCUAAUACUAGUCAUUUAUCAUUCAUUGUAAGGUCUUCUAUUACCCUUAUGUUUAACUCAAGUCAACUUGCUUUAAGGUUCCUAUUAACUAGGUUUUGCAUUCACAUCACAUAGCAUUAUAAGGUUUCCAAUUCCCUAAGUAAGCUAACCACCGACUACGUCGAGUCAAUCAUCUGCGAUAGUCAGCGACUACUGCUGCAACUGCUUGUCGUCGGCGCUACCGCAGAUCUGAAUUAAACGAUACUGCGGCGCGAACUCGUCGUUCACGCCAACAACAGUCAGGUCAUGAUUAGCCAUCUGGCGGACUCAUGAGACUACAAAUGUUCAAGUCAUAACUUAGUCAUCUGAGGACCAACGAUCGUCUCACCCACAUGGUUCAAGUCAAGUAGGCGCGCCCGCCGGCGGCGGCAUAUCGAUAAGCAUAAUGCCGGGAGACGAACCACACAUCGAACAAUUCAGCUUAUUCUUAAUGGCAUCCCAGGGGAGGAGAAACAAAUACCGUUGAAAUCAUGCCCAAGCGAGGAGAAACACAAUACUGCAGUAGGAUUCGCUUGGCCAUCUCUUUACCACAAUUUUCACCGCUCCAUGUGCGGCCAUCAGCUAGGGAUUCCGGAUCCAUAUCAAAUCAAAGGGUUGGUUCAAACCCUAUAGAUUGAAAUAUUAAGUCAACUUUUUCACUCUAGAGUUCACUGACUCUAAGUUCAACGUCGUCGUAUCACAUAACCCUAGGUUUACUUAACUCUAGGUCUCAAUUCAUAACCUAUGUCUUAUAAACUAGGUUAGUAUGCACUCAUAAUUCCAUCCUAACAGGUUCAACACAGCUAAGUUCAUUAUGCAUUCAUAGUUAACCUAUGUUUAAUAAAUAGGUUAAGAUGCCACUCGAUUAAGUUUAGAUGACUUAGAUUCAUUAACAACCUAUGAUCUUUCAUAGGUAGUGCACCUCGAUUAUUUGACAUCCUAUUGUCCAUGUCGAGUUCCAUAAACUAUCCAAUUGUUAUCUAAGCAUGCAUUAUUGAUGACACAAUGCAUAAUCUUUUACUGAUAUACAUACAUGUUAAUAUGCAUGUACAACUCUAGCAAUUCCAUAUGUAAAUACAUGAUAUUACAGCAUAUUUAUUUAUGUGCAUUAACCAUCAUUUUUUUACCGAUUGCUUUCACAAUGCAUUAUAUACAUUUCAUAUAAUAUGUCAUCAUGCAUCUAUGGGUAGUCGUCAUGCAAUUUAACAUGCAUUCGCAUAGAUUUAAUUCUUGCAUUAUUACCAUUUAUAUGCUCAAUAUGAAAUUUACAUUAUUUAGAUACAUAAAGAGGCAGACUAGGUGCUUCGUAAGACAAACCACUUAACACAGUUCGAUUGCUAUCUGUUCGAAGCCUCGAAUGCCCUUCGCGGGCAAACCGUGACGGUUGGCCACAACUCUUCGCGCGAACCACACGACGGCCACAUCCGCGAUCCGUCUGUAUCGGGAGUUUUAUUCCGACAUCGUGAUCUCACGACUCAUUUGUCAUGCAUUUUUUGGAGCUUUUUCGCGUGCUGCGGUAUCUGUAACCAAAACCGAUUGUUAUACAAUACUUGGCAGUACGCAUCGUCGGAUUGCUGAGCCGAGGACCAAGCGUUCGUUAUACCACCAAUUAGGUUGAUAUAGGGUGUCAAUUGAGAUCAAAACCCUCACAGCAAAAGCUUUUUUGGAGCUAAGUGCAAUUAAACGGCAAAAUCGCCAUUAAAGCUUUGAGAUUCAUAGUGUAUAAUACAUCAAUUAAGGCUUGCUAGGAUUCCAUCUUCAACUAUUCAUAAGAGAUAAAACACAUCCUGAGAAUCUACCAUUACAAGGUAGCAAGUUAACUCUCAAGAUGGCUCAUGGCAAGGAAGGAGAAGAAGAGAUGGAAGCAUGACACUUUUGUGCUUUUCUCCUUCUUCUCUUCUUUCUUAUCCUUUCUUCUUCUCUUUAUUCUUCUUCUUAUUCGUAGGAGAGAGAGAGGAACGUGAGGGAAGAUGAGGAAUGAGAGAAAGAGAGAAAGAGCUCUAUAUAUAAUCAUAUUAGAUAAUAAUAUAUAUCACCCCCACUCUUCUAACUCAAAAAACAGCAAACACAAAGCAAAUGGGCGUUUUUCGCGUUCUGGACGUCCUCUGGGUGCAGCAGACGGUCGAAAAGGCCAGAAAUUCCAGAUCUAGCCAAUUUUCAGAUUUUCAGCCUUUACCACUCCUUUUUCGUCGUUUUCGCUCGUUUUUGCUGUUUGACCUCCGUUUCUUUUAGAUGACCGAGACUUCUCCAAACAUGGUUUUUUUUCAGCAUGUUUUCAUCAUCUUUCACCUAGCGUAAUGCAGGAUUUCGGCUCAAGAGAACAUAGGCCUUUGGGUCUGUUUCCCCGGCCUAUGCGCACGACAGUGCCGAACGUUCCGGAUUACGACUAUCACCCGAAGAGCAUUCAAACGGUAUCUACCAUGUAACAACCGUAUUAAUAGUUUUAGAGUCCGAUACCUUUACACUUCCCUCAUUAUCUCUUAAUCACGCUACUUUGUCGUCAUGCAUUGUCCAUCCGUAUGGCAUCCGUCGUCAUGCGGCAAGCUCAUCUGUCGAUCAGUAAUCAUAUCCUACGCUGGCGUCGCAAAGAUGUGGGAAGCAGAGAGAGAGCACCAGCGUCGAAGUCAGGAGUGAGUGGAGGAGGAGAAAGGAAGCAGCGGGCGGAAAUAAAAGAGAAGAAAGGGGUGAUGAUGAAUAGAAAACAUACAGAAGGAAAAAGAGAGAAGAAAACAUGAGUAAAGAAUAUUUUCUGAUCGUUUACUAAAUGUCAGACGCAAAUCUAAAUCUAAAGAAGAAGGUUUAAGUCAAAACUAGUGAAGUUUUAAAAUGCAAAAGGUCAAUUAAAAAAAUAUAUAAAAUUAUAUGGAAUGUUGACCAAUUUUUUGAUUAGAUUUACACGACCUUUAAAAAUUUUGAAUUUAAUAUCAAACAUUUUAAUUUGUUGAUUUAAGUAAUAUAAUAUACUUUAGAUACAAUUUUAGCUAGUAUACAUAUUUAAUAAUUUAUAGUUAGUUCUGAUUAUAUAAUAUAUUAACAAAAUCCCAUAAAAAUAAACAGUAUUUGAAAAUUUUAAUAAAGAAAUCACUACGUCAAAUUAAAUAAUUCCAAACAUAAAUAAUUAAUUAACCUUGUUUAAAAAUAGAUAAUUAUAUAAAAAUAGGUGACAGUUUGAGAUAAUUUUACACAUCAUAUCUAUUAAGCUAUAUAAAAGUCAACCUAUUGUUGAGUAUCUUUGAUCAUUCCCGAAUAUUACGUUGCGAAGAAUUGGCGGGUGCGGAAUAUUCACUUAAGGAAAAAUAAUUUACGUCAAGCUCAAAUAUAGAUUUUUCUACUUUAGAAAAUUAAAUAGAUUUUUUAAAGAAAUAAUAUUUAGGAAAUAAAAUAUAGAUUAUUUUUUACGAAAAUAUACUUUAUGAAACAAAAUUAGAUUUUUUAGAAGAAUAAUAUCUUUUACUAUAUUAUAAAAAUACUUGGAAGGGGAUUUUAUUUCCAAAGUCAGAUAUAAUUAUGUUGAGAUAAUUUGAGAAUUUACGGAUUUCACGUUGCGAAAAAAUUGCGGAUCGGAUAUUAUAUAUAAUAAAAUUAGAUUUAUUUUAUAGAAAAUAAUAUUCGCCGGAUAUUACGUUAAGAAAGAAAUUGCACUAUAAUUAGGAAAUUUUAUUAUCACAGUCCUUAUAAUUAUGUUGUGAUAUUGAUAAAUUAGCGAUAUUACAUGGCGAAAGAAUUGGCGAAAGAAUUGGCGGUAACUUAGAUUUUCUUAAUGAAAAAUAUUCACGGAUAUUACUUGAGAAAAGAAUUGACCACCUACAAUUAAAGGAAAUUUUAUUCAAAGUCGGCUUUAUAAUUAUGUUGUGAUAUUUGAUAACAUUAUAUUAUGAUUGCGAAAAAAUUGGCUGGCGGAUAUUAGGUAAGGACAAAAAUAUAUUAAAUUUUAAGCCAAAUAUCUUAUUUACUAUAGUAGAAAAUCUACGUCAAGUCCAUAUAGAUUUUCUAAUUUUCUAAAAAAACUUAAAUUUUUAUUAGAAAAUAAUAUUUUUACUAUAUCAUAUAAAUUAACCUAUAUGAAGCAUUUUAUUUAAAGAAGUCAACUAUAAUUAAUGUUGUGACGGAUAUAUUAUACUGCGGUUAAAAAUCAUUUUAUUAGUAGCGUGGAUUUAAAUGAGAUAUUUGAAAAAAUUUUUCCACGAUAUUAGUUGCAAAGAUGCGAAGUAGGACUACUACGCAUGAGAAGAAAAUAUAUAGUGACCGAGCAUUUUUAUUUUUGAAUUUUAAAAGUGCAGUAGGAAAAUACAUAUAACGUCGUGUUACUCUAAUUAUGUGUCACAUAAUGAAAGUUUAGUUAAUCUCAUUAUACUGCUUAAAUAUUAAUAGUCAAUUGUAAUUUUGAAUAUCAUUUUAGUUUACUUAUUUGUUUUGCACACCACCUAUGUAAUGUUAAAUUAUUUUGCAACACUAUUCAUAGAAAAUAGAGUGGGUUGAAUUCUUGCAUUCUUACUGUGAGUAUUUGACUGCUUGGUUACUAUAUUAAAGUUGAUAAGUAAUAACCACUUUUUUAUUAUGUUAAAAAUAAUAAAAUUAAUUAGAAUAUUGUUUUUAUCAUCAGUAAUACUUCUUUAAUUAUUUUAUACUUAUUAUAUUAGCCGCUGCAUCAACGGGUGAAAAGCUAUGUUUCUAUGUAAAAUAAAGCUAAAUAUUAAAGAAUUCCUAAAUAAGUCUUUUUUCAUACUCUGGCGACUUUCAAAUUCCUAUGUUUCACAUCCCUAACCAAAAUUCAAUUGAUGCACUUUAGUCGAAUUCCUUAGGAUUUCAUUAUUGUUUCGUCUACUUCAUAUAAUUUAAAAAAAUAAUCUCUAGAUAUAAAAAUAGAUUAAAAAUUAUUACUUAGAAAAAUAAGGACAAUUUGACUCUUUCACUUUAUUCAGAUCAUAAUUUUUGAAAAUAUCUUAAAAUUUUAAGAGAAAAAUUGAUAUUCUCUGAAAGUAAAAUAAAAAAAAACAAUAUUAUUAUAAUCAGAUUUUUCUGUAUACUAAUAUUAGAUAAAAAAGCAGAAAAAACAGAAGUAUUGUGUGAUGGAUGGAUUGAGCGCUGUUGCAAGUUACAAGGGAUGAGCGGUGAACAAGCGUACGUUAAUUGAUUAUCGUGGAGAUAAUAAACUUCUGGAAAGUCAGGAGACCACUGUUGGCGAUCUAAGUGCAGCAAAUGUAAUCCUAGAUCUAGCAAAUUGCGGAGUCGAGUGUGUGGAAUGAAUUGUGGAACUAUCAGUACAUGUUGCUAUAAGGAGUUAGACAAGUUUUUGGAAAGUUUUUGAAGUGAUUGGAUGGCUUAAAAGUGAGAAAGUGAUUGAACAGCUGCGAAAAUCGGCCUUUUUGGGCUUGGUAGUACACCCGGUACCGCCACUUAUGGUGUACGGUACCACAUGAGUAAACCAAACCCGUGGCAGCAGGGUAUUUUGGGUAUUUCACCACUAUUGAUACCUAUCUCUUUCAGUCCAGACCGAUGCUAGGAACUCUGUGGAAGGGUUUUGAGAACCAGAGGAGGGUUUUCACGUUAUUUCUCGUCUCUCUCUCUAGGUUUUUCUCUCUCUAGAGAAAACCCGUGGAUUCGCGGUUUGACCGCGUUCGUUGCUCGCGAUUGGAGGACUAAAGAAAGUUUUGGCACGUGGGGAGAAGGAUGGUUUUGCUGUUGUUUCUGUGAGGUUACUAUGAGAAGCAUGAAUCUUCAGCCUUAUAGAGAGGUACCCAACUAGAUUUCAUAUAUUUGACGUUCCUAGUAUUGAAUUCACGCUGUUUUGGUUUUGUUGCUUCUACUUGAUUUUAGAAGAUGUUUAGCAGUAAAGAUGAGUUAUUUUGGCUACCAAUUACUUACUUAAUAUCAGGGAAAACUUGUUUACAGUUGAUGAAGAUAAUUAGUAAAUUUGCACGAAUUCGAAGAUAUACGCGGUUUAAUCGGGCGGGGGGGGGGGCCGUAAAGGUUGACAGCAGCUUCGUAUGAUCUCUUCGCAGCAGGUUGUUGAGCUCUUUGGGUAAACUUAUACGCAUUAGAAGGCUGGUUUGGAAGGUGUUUCCAACUGUUCGGUAAGCAGGAAUUUCAGUUGGAAUUAUUAUUGCGAGACUCUCGACUAUGUAUAGUUAUUGUCGUUGCCCAUGUUUCGUAAUUGUUCGCAAAGCGAGAGGGUCUCUUGCCUUGGACGUCUUCGACUCCGGCCUUGGAGGACCUUUGUGAAGGCUAACGUCGAGGUAUAUAAGUUUCCACGAAAGAAAGCAAGUUUGGAUUUUCAGAUCUUUGGGUCAAUGUACUAGAAUAGAUAAUCGCAGUGCUCGCCACGAAAUUGGGGCUUUAGGAUAAGAAUUUAUUGAAGUAAGUUUUGAUACGAUAUGUAUGCUUGUGUUCAGCAGGAUUGCGACUAAAGUGGAGAUGAAUUUGAACUCCUUGGCUUUUGGAGCUAGUUAACUAAGUGGGUCCGUGACCUAACCAGAGCAAGUGGAGGCUCCUAAGUUCUAUAUGUGCUAUAAGAAUUAUUGUUUUUGUGCGGCUUUGGUGUUUGAUAUAGGAAUUGAGAAGUAAUUGACUUGAAAUUCCUCCUCAUGAAGUAGAGAAACAUUAAUGAACGUAUUUAACUUAUAUCAAUUCAGUUGAAUGACUAUAUUGAACAAGUGUAGAUAACUUAUGAAAGUUAGAGACAAUGACAUUCUCCUUUACUCGCUUGAUUACAUGUAAGAAAACUAUGAGCAUCUUGUUUUAUGUUAUAGUGCUAUGAUAGUGAAAGAUCCUAAUCCAUAUGUAAUUAAGCAUUACUCCUGUAAGUUACUAAUUAGUGGAUUCUAGGUUGUUAAUAUUUUGUUAUACUGACAAUGUUCGAUCAACAGGAUGAGAGCGAGAAACAUUGCAAAUGGAAAACAUGAUAAUCUGAGACAAUGUUUGGACUGUGAACUUGGAUUGAUUCUGCCCAUGUGCUCAUUCGCAACGCUUGCUGAGGUAUGCUUCCCUACAAGCCGCCAUCGGAGUUUGCUAGCGACAGUUGGCUGCCCGUUGCGGCGGGAUUGGGUUGCCGAAGUGGCAUUGGCGGUGGACAAUGUUAACUACACGGGCUUAGGUCGCGGCGCAAGCUGGACUACCUGAGUAGGUCCCUGUGAAUGUAAAGGAAGUAUAAUAAAAGGACAGUAUAUGAUGUUUAUUAUUUAAAAGUGACAGUUAGUCACUUUUAAUGUUAGUGCUAUAACUCGAGUCUAUGUUCCUUGAUUACAGAAGUUGCAAUAUCUCUUUUUAUGCAAUGGUCAUUACUAGUUAUGAAGCUAUUACAUGUUGAUUACAUGCUUAUUACGUAUUAGCAUCAUGCUUAUAAAUCAUGCAAUUAUUGUUAUUGCUUUCAUUUAGUACAUCUUGAGCCUAGUGGUGUAAUUCGCCGAGACUGGCGGCUUACCCACUGGGAACUAUUGUUAAUAGUUCUCACACCCUUGUUGGUGGUUGUUUUUACAGAGCCUGCUACAGGAGAGGCUAGGGAUCGUGGCAAGGGAGUCGCGCCUAGCUAGGGACUACUAGGAGCGUGCUAGUCGAUCACCUUGCUACUCGGGCUACGGCCGAGGGUGAUGUCCCUUUGUAUAGAGAGACUACCAUUGUACCUAUUUUUGUAUACCCAUGAUGUAUAUUUUACCUUCGGGGUUGAGAUUAUAGUGGUGUUACUUUCUCUUUUAGUUGAGAUUUUGGUUUAUGUACUCUUUGUCCUCUUGUUGAUAGUCUUUGUGACUGGUACUUUGCUCUGAUAUCAGCAUAGAAUUUUCUAUGAUUUUCUUCCUAUUGACUUGCUUGUUUGUAGACGCCUUAUAUACUGCAGGUGUAUGGCGGGUCUGUUCACGUACCGGAUAUGCUUCCGCUGGUACCCGGGCGUGACAGCAAAUCUCUUGGCAGCAGCAGCCGGAAAUUAAGCGGAGAGUGCUGACAGGAAGCGCGAGAGAGAGAGAGGGUGAAGGACAUGGAGUUAGGGACGGCAGCACAGAUGGCCGUUCCCGUCAUAGGAAUCGUUGCCGCCGCCGCCGCAACCUUCUACGCUGUCAGUUUCUUGGAGAUCCGAGAGGUGCUCCCAUUAAUUUUACCUUCUUCUUUCGCCCCCUCGUUCUCUUUUGCAUUCAAUUUGGAUGAAUAAAAAUAGGGCAAACUUCAAAUACUAUUUUUAUAGUUUCAUACUAUUUUACUUUAGUAUUCUGUGGUUUAAAGUGCAUCAAUUUAGUACUGUGGUUUUAUUUUUAUCUUUUCGUCAGCUCCUCCGUUAACAUUUCGUUAAAUUAUAUACAAACAAACUUCAGAUAUCUUAAACUAGGUUUAUCAAAUAUUCACUUUAAUAUAUUUUAGUUUUAACUUUAUCAGUGAUUUAACGAAAAAAAAAUAGUGGAGGAGAUAAUAAAAAGAGAAAAAGUGAAACUACAAGGUAGUAAAUUAAUACAUUUUAAACUAUAUGGUACUAAAAUAAAAAAGUAUAGAAUGAUGGUAUUUGAAAUUUUUUCUUUUAUUUAUAAUAAAUCCUAAGCACCAAAUUGAGGCUUUGUUUGGUAUCAAUUUUGAUUUUUUAUUCUUUUAAUAUGGUUUUGUAUGUAAAGUAGUGUGUGAAGAAAGGAUGGAUGGUUUGUAAUAAAAAGUAAAAAUUUGGAAGUAUUAUAAUUUUCUUCUAUUCUUUAUUUUUAAAAUGGUCAUCAAUCAUUUGGUAGAAAUGCAUUGCAACUUAAUUUUAUUUUUUUUUUUGGCUAAAUUACACAAAACCCUCCUGUAAUAACCCGCUUUUUCACUUUCCCCCCCUGACAUUUAAAAACCUACACUUUGCCCCCCUGUAAAAUAAAAAAUGUUCACAGGGGGGUUACGGUGUGUAAAAUGACCAUUUUGCCCUUUGCCAUUGUCGUCUUCUUCCCCAUCUUCCUCAGCCGCCCCUUCGUUCGGCCGCGAUUUCGACCUCAAUCGGCUGCGAUUUCUCUCCAUUUCCUUCUCCACCUGCUCCUCUUCUCCUCCUGCACCCUCGCCGCCCUCGAUUUCUGCGACAGUAGGAGAAAAUCGAGGUGGGCGACAGUAGAAGAAGGGCAAAAAAGGCGAAGGCGAGGCGGCGGAGGAUGGCAAAGGGGAUGUGGGUGAGGGUGAGGCAGUGGAGGACGGCGAAGCGGCUAGGCGGCGAGGCGGCGAGGCGACGGCGAGGUGGCGAGCCGGAGGGAGUCGAAGCAACAGGGAGAUGGCGGAGGGGUAUUUUCGGUAUAAAAAUAUAUUUUUUAACGGAACCCUGACGGAACACUAACGGUAGGGGGUGAAGUGCACAUUUUUUAUUUUACAAGGGGGCAAAGUGUAGGUUUUUAAAUGUCAGGGAUGGAAAGUGAAAAAGCGGGUUAUUACAAGGGGGUUUUCUAUAAUUUAGCCUUUUUUUUUACAUUAUUUACCUUUCACAGUUUUCGAGUUUUUGAGAGUUUUUUUCAAUCACUAGUUAAAAAAUAUAAAAUAAUUUCUAAAAAGUUCAAAUAUCGUAAAUUAUUUAACAGUAUUAAUUGAUCGUCGAUUAGAAUGCCCAAUUAGCAAAAAUAAUAUAAAAAUCGAAAGAACUUAAUUUUCCUUGUUAUAUGCAUGCAUAUGUACAUAUACAUUUGUAUAUAUGUGCAUGAUUACUCGUUUCUUUCUCUCAAUUAUGUGCAUGAUUAUUCAUUUCUUUCUCUUGAUGUUCGCAGAAAUCUUUCAAGGAGUUAGACGAGUCAUCGGAAUCGGCAUCGAGUGGGUCUGAGUUUAUAAGGUCUUCUGCAAGCUCGAGAAAGCGCAGAGCCAUGAAGAAAGCCGAGAAAGAAGCAAAAAGGUCUUAGUGAGAGCUAUCUUCAUUUUUCUGAUGAUUAUAACCUGUAUCACUCUCUGUGUUCUUACAUAAGACAUGUUUGUUUGAAAAUAAAGUCGUUUUCGGCUGUAAAAUAUUAACUUAUGUUAUUUUAUUCAUUGUAAAUUAAAUUCGCGCAUAACUUUACUUUUUUAAAGUAUUGUAACCGACUUGGCUCUGGAUAAUGGCGAAGUUAAUUAUGAAGAUAAUAAACAUUAGAACAUUAGCUAUUAUAAUUUUUUUAUUCACUUAUAUUUAGCGUGAAAAUUUUUAGUGAAGUAAACAAAAAGUGGAGUAACUAAUGUUCUAAAGUCAUUGACUUACUAUCGAACAAAUAGCAGUGAAGGAUUAAUUUUUUAUCCAAACUUCAGUUCAAUUAAAGUCAUUUUUAAUUUAAAAAUUAGUUAACAAACAAGACCUUAAUUAACACGGUAAUGAGGAGUUUGAGGAUUAGUUGAUCCCAGUAAUUCCCUUUUUCUUUUUCUCGAUGAAUAAAAUUGUGCCUAGUCCGGAUCAUAGCAACAAUAUUUUCCGAUUUUUUUUUUCAAAAAAAUUGUGAAUAGUUUUGGAUAUUUGAUUGUUUGAAUAGCUGUCCAAAUUAUUCUUUGAAAUUUUUAAUAGUAUUACAAAUUUAUGAAAACAAUAAAUAAUCUAUACUUUUAUAUAUUUUAAAUUUUAUGUAUUUAUAGUACAUUAACCAAAUAAUUAUUGAAUAUUUUGCUCAAUUUUUCGACUCCGAACUUUUCAAUCUUGUUAAAAUUAUAAUAAAUAAGAUUAGAAUUUUAAAUGAAUAGAGCGUAAUUUUUAUAUCAUACUAGUAGCUUUACGAUAAAGUAAACAUGUUGGAACGUACAUUUAUAUAUUCCUUUCUUUCUGCUGGGAACAUGAAUUAUGUCUUUCCCAAAUUGUUCUUAAUAAAGAAUUCUUCAUUCAUUUUUUGAGUUUUUGGAUAACUAAUUAUUCCAUAGAUUUUUCUUUUAAGAAAAUGAUGAAAAAUUCAUCAUUUUUAUCAAAUUUAUAUUUUUUUUUUUAUGUUCAAGUAAAAAAAAUUACCUCAUUUAAAAAAUUGAGCUUAAUUUUGUACAUACUUUUUAAAAAAACUAUUUUUAUAAUUAUAAUAUUUUUUUAAGUCUACUAAUAUCUUUUUUUUUUUUCGUUUUUACUUAGGAUCCGUUUGAUUCAACGCAAAAUCGUGAAAAAUAUCUUUUCAUGGAAAAAAUAUUUGAUGGAUUUUUUUUUUUUUUUACAUUUUGUAAUAUUCAAUUUACAAGAACAUAAAAGUAGCUUUUCAUCAAUAUUUAUUUGGUUAGAAGAAAAAAAUUCACAUUUAUUGAGUUUGGUGAAGAAAAAAUAAAUAAAAAAAUUUUACGCAAAAAUUCACAUUUGUUGAGUUUGGUGGAAAAAAAUGAAUCGGAAAAAUUUUGCGCAAAAAUUUACAUUUGUUAAGUUUGAUAUGAAAAAAUAAAUGAAAAAAAUUUUACCCAAUUCAUUUUCUGUUGAAAACCAGCAAAAAAUUUUUUUUUUUUAAAUUUUUUAUAAAAUAUUUGUAUAUAUUUAACUAAAUAAGUAAAAAAAAUAUUUCUCCUAUCAAAAAUAAUUUUUCGAGUGGUUUACCACGAACCAAACGCCCCCCUUUGGUACUUGCCCCCCCCCGUUGACAGCAGCAGUGCAGCAGGGGAGACUUGGAGCGACACAAGCAGGAAAGAAGAAGAAGAAGAAGAAGAAGAAGAAGCGAACUCUGAAGUGCGAGGAAGAUGGUGGCGCGCCGGUUCGUCGUCGUCCACAACGACGCCGAAUUCCCCGUCGACUACGACACCGAUCACGGCCUCGAAGUACCCAUCCAAAUCAAUCUCUCUCUCUCUCUCUCUCUCUCUCUCUAUAUAUAUAUAUGUAUAUCAUUUUUUUUUUAAGAAAUAAAAAAAAUCAAGAAACACUCGUCAUUUCGCAGAUCCUCAAAAUCCAAAUCUUCUCGCUCACCUCCGUCCCUCCUGACGAUCAGCAGGUCUCUCUCUCGCUCUCUCUCUCCUCUUCCCGUCUUCUUGAUUCGAAUUCCAUGUAUGGGUUCGAAACUUCGAACUGCGGCGGAGAAAAGCAGCAUCAGAGCGAGCGCGCUUUUCCCGCCGCAGUUCGUAAAUUAGGGCAUAAUCGCCUCUGCUCUGAACGAGUGAAAUGUCGAAUUGUGCGCUCUCUCCGAAGAUCUUGGCGGAGGAGGGGGCCCUUGUCGUUGAUGAGUCCUCCGAUCUCGAAGUCGUUUCCGAGAAGCUUCGCUUGGUGCCCAUCGAAGAAGGAGGAGGAGGAGGAGAUGAGGAGGCGUCGGCUCCGCAAUCGGAUGAAGAAUCAGCCCUAAUGGUGGAGAAGCUACGCUUGGUGCCGAUCGAAGAAGGAGGUGGAGGAGGAGGAGGACGACGACAUGAGGAGGAGGCGUCGGCUCUGCAAUCGGAUGAAGAAUUGGCCCGAAUGUUGCAGGUUGCUGCUCAUGAUCCAUUCUCCAAAUCAAUUUAUUAGUGUUUAUUUCUUUAUUUCUUGGGUAAAAUUUUGCUUUUACACAUAUCCCACACAUUUUAGUUUGUGACGGUUAAAAAAUUUUGAUCUUUAAUAAAGGUUCUAUCUCAGUUUCAAACAAACGUAAAAAAAAAAAGAGAUUGUUUUUGAUGGUUGGAGCGAAAGGUGCAGCAUUUGUGAAUAUUUAUUCGAGUGAAAAAGUACAGGAACCAAAAUGCAAUAUCAGGAUAGUGCGAAGACAACCCAUAUGUUUUGUCACUCGUCCGAUCUUUCUUUUCUUUUUUCGUUUUUCCUCGUGUUUGUUCAUACAGUUGUAUUGUUUGGUAGGCAGAAGAGGAGGCGCUUUUCUUCCAGCAGUUCAGCGCUCACGAUAAUGGAGAGGAGUUCAAGCGGAGGGUUGAGCCGUAUGUUGCGCAGGUUUUAAUGGUAACUUCUCAGUUCUUGAUUAUCCCCAGCUAAUGGAUACUCUUUUUGUAGUCUGUUUGCAUGUUUGUUUGGUUCCCCUUCUGUUAGGUGUGAAUUCAUUUGCUCUUUGCUUUUGCAUCUCUUUCUGAUUGUUCUUUUGUUGAAUGUAGUAUGAGGAUCCGACCCGCCAAGAAGCUGCUCGCAAGUCAGUUCCUAUUGAUGAGCUUGAAGAGAAGGCCCUUGUUUCUCUAGCCAAGGUACAAUUUCCCCCUUUUUUUUUGCCUUGUGACUUAGUUUUCCUCAUUUUGCAGAGGAUAUGUGGCUCUGUUCUGUUCAUUUCCCAUCCCUAGCUUAUUUAUCAAAGUGAAAAAUUUCUUUAAUUUCUUUAAUUAAUCAAACUACUGGAGACCACUUGAGAUUUCAACCUCAAAUAGAGCCAAGUAACUCCACUUUGUAUCUCCUCGCGAGCAUCCUUUGCCUACCUGUCAAGUAUCUAUUAAGUAUCCUGUAUUUUUCUGGAUUUCAAAAUUCUUAGAUACUCUUAUGAAGCAUCUGACACUGUUAGGUGUGUAUCGCAUGAGUAUUGGUAUUUGAUACGUAUCAGAUAUAUGAACCAGACAGCUAAAGAAGUACUAGUGCAUCAUAGAUGGAAAAUGUUGUUGCCUGCUCCCGGUUGUAUCCCAAUGUAUACACCACAACCAAUUUUUGAUAUUUAAGUAUCAUAAAACCAUUGUCUAAUUCAAUAUGUGUGAUUAUCAAAAUGGCCUAUGUAUAAAAAUUGGAACUCUGGAAGACCCAUUACUUAGACAUUAAGUAGUUCCAGAAUUCAUUGAUAUUAAAGAGCUGUUGUUUGAUUUACAAACAGUUGUUGUCCAAAAUUUGUAGUUUUUGAUGUAUAAUCUAUUUUUAACAUUAUAAUGAUUUAGAACUUGGUAGUAAUUCGGUGUGCGGUGUAUGAGAUUUACUUAUGCACUCCGUAUGGGCAAUAAGUUUCUCCUCAAGAGGAUUUGCAUGCUCGAACUUUGUAGGGUAGAAAAUUAGAAUAUAUUUAAUGUCUUUAAAUUAUUAUAAUGUGUCAUGCAUAAUAAAUAUAGAUAAUUAUAUAAAAAUUAAACUUUUCUGAGUGUCCUUGCCAUGUCUGUGCCCUGAUUUUUUGGAAGUUUGAGCUGUCGUUCGAGUGGUGAAUCUCCCAUGUCCCCAUGUCUGUUAACCUAGCCAACACUAUUAAUUGUUGUUGCACCUUGUAUCUUAGGCCUCUCUAAAAUAUGUCUGUAGCUUUACGAUACUCUUCUCUCCGAAUGUUGGUUCCUACAUAAUUAAGGUGAAGGUAAUAAUUGAUUUUGAGCUUUAAGAUUUGCUGACUUAUCAAAAUGAGCGCUAAAAAGACCAAAAAAUUACUUAUUGAGAUUAUAAAUGUGUCAAUACGUAUUGGUUUUCACCUAUGGCUACUCAAUCUGUUAGUAAAAUGAUGCAUGGGACAUAAUGUGCAUGAAUACAACCGAAAGCACGGUCAAUGAAGUGCAGUAGUUGCCAUAAGUUCUUUAUUUCGUUUAAAGUCUUUUAAAUUUUUCUAAUGCUUAAAUGUGCGUAAUACAAACUGAAAGUUGCAUUUUCAUCUUUCUACUUUAAAUAAUUUAGGCUCUUCUAUAUCACAGCAUAUAAUAGAAUAAUUUGCGCUAUAAUAGUGGAAAUUGUUUAUGUUGUAUAUCCAUAUGCAAAUAUUUUUUCCUUUUGGUUUCCUGUGAGAUUUUUAUUUUUAAUUUUUUGUCUUUCAAUAUUAUGCAAUCUAUAGCACUGUGAUGCUCAUCUGUUCUCUGCCAUGAUAUCAUGUAAAUGAAUUUUUUAUUCUUAUCUUUAGCAUUUUUCAACAGGAGGGAAAUUUCCAUCCUUCGAAAGAUGAGAGAGAUCAUGCCUUCUUGCUGCAAUUGCUUUUCUGGUUUAAGCAAUCAUUCAGGUAAUUCAAAUGCUUAAUAUUUACUUAAUUGACUAACAAAUCUUUUUGAAUUUUUUUUUGAAACUUUGGAAUUAUUAAUGGACUAUUGCACCAUACAGCUAUGUCUUAAAUAUGUCGCAAUGAUGUUUAUUCUUUUUCACAUAUAUUUCUUACUAAAUGAGUUCAGUUGUUGAAGUUUCUCCAUCGUUUGACUCUUAAAAUAGGUUAUUUCAGUUAUAUUUAAUUAGCAAUGCAUAUGCUACUCUCAGAUCAUUUGGGGUGGUCAUUUGUUGCGUGAAAUUGCAAUAGCUUAAACAUGAAUUAACACUUCUUUGAUCUACCCAUUUUCCAACUAUUUUUACAUAUACUAUAUAUACCAUAUGGCCAUUGAUGAUAGAGAUGCACUUCAUGACUCCGUAAUCUCAUAUGCAAGAAUAUAUAUAUAUAUAUUUUCUUUUUCUCUCCUUUUUUUAGGUAAAUUGUCCUAUUGGUCCUUCAGCUCUAUGCAAAGUUUUCUUAGUCCUCAGGAAGGUAUAGUGACUUGUUCUAUUUAUCCUCCAAUUCUUGAGGAAGUGAUUUUGUUGUUACAAGACCGAAAUUGCGCUUGAGACAAUUAUUCACAAUUUGACCCGAUUCUCUAAGCAUGGAGCACUACGUUUAUGUUGUGAGAAGAUCCUGUUAUAAAAGAAGUUUAUCAGAGCCUUAGCUAACUUUUGAUUAAAGCUGAAAGGCUAAGAAGCAUUAGGAGAACUCGAAGCUUAGUUUAUCUGGAAUUACGUAAACUCUAAAGCUUAAAUCUCAAUUUGGUGAAUUUGGGCAUAGACUGAAAUAGUGAAUAGUGGAAGCAUUUCUGGUCCUCAAUUUGAUAUGAAGCAAAAUAAAAGAGUGUGAUGAACGCAUAAGAAUGUAGCAUUUAUUGUGUACACCUAGAUGGACAUGGUGCCUUGCAUGAGAGUCAUUAAAUUUAAUUGAAUUCUACAGUUUUAGUUUUGAUGCACAAUGUUGGAUUGCGUCAUUACUUUUCAUAUUCUCCCAGGAUGUAGCGACUGGAUAUUUGCUUUCUUUGUUUACGCCACUAUGUGUGAUUGAUGCUUCUGAAUCUCAUGGUAGUAAGAGAAUUUUUUUUAUACUCUGUCUGUUGUACCAUAUGAAAUAGGCAUUGGGACCGUAAGUAUGAUUGAAUCAUGGGGACCAGAAAACCAGGUAUCAGCUGAACCGGUUGGAAAUUGAGCCAUAAAAGACUUUUUCUCCUUUAGAUGGUACCUUUCUGGUUCACGGAUUUAGAAACUCGUAUUUUUCAGGUACAAGUGUAGUAUUUAUGGGUACGGUCCGGCGGCAUGCUUUGUGGCAUUGUCGGCACGGCCCUCCAUUCUAGUAGCACGCAACUGGGCAGAUUGGCACUCACACAUUGGCAUAGAUUUGCUUUCAAAUUUUCUCGGAAAAUUAACUUUCUUGCAAGUUAAUCUAUUAAUUACUAACAACUUUGUGAGCUUUUAUUACUUAAUAUAUCUUCUUAUUACUAUGGUUACAUUUGCAGGUGGGUUAAUUCACCACCUUGUGAUUAUUGUGGACGUGAGACUAGCAACAUUGGUAUGGGCAGUCCACUUCCCUCUGAGAUUGAAUUUGGUGGUUAUCGUGUUGAGCUUUAUAGGUAUUGAAGAAUGCAAAAUAUAUGUUACUUUGUAUUGAGGAUUUAGAUCCUAAUCAUUUAUCUUCAUUCUAGUAUGGUUUAUUUAACAUCAAUAAUCUUCUGCAGGAUGAAAACAUUUCCUCUGCACUGUUAGAAUGCUAAAUAUGUACAGUUUGAAACCAAUUAAACAUAGCUUAAUAGAUUUUUUACUGGUUUAUAUUUUUUGGUAUGUGAGCUUAUUAUUGGUCAGGUUCUUAAGGAUGAACUAUGUAGAAGCGCUCGUAAGAUGUAUGGCUAAAGCUUUAAUAGGCAACCAGCAAGAGUCUUUUCUUGCAAAAAUAUCUCUGAUUUGGAUUUCUCCCACUUGUUUUUUUUGUAAUUAAGUAUAUGGCCAUGAAUACACCUAAUCAAAUAGAAGACGGUAGAGGGAGAAGUAGAGUCCUCAGGGAGGACAUACUACAUAGAUCUUGGCCCCUCCCCCCUUUCCUUCUCCCCUUCCCUCUCUUUGUUUCUUUCUUUGGAGCCUUGGGGUUGAAAAGUACUAGUCUAUAAAAUGCUCUUGUGAGUUAUUUGUACUUCCUUUUGCACCAUUGGAAUUCAGAAGAAAAGAAGAAAAGGACAUGUCGAUCCCUCUAUUUGUCAUGUACACAUGAAUGGCUUACUCGUGAGAUAUGGAAUGGAGAAGAUAAUGCCCUGGUGUAAUCAUGCUCAAAGUUCUAAACAUUGUUAUGUUAAUUCUUUAUAUAGUUUUAUAGGCUACAGCAAGUGGAUGUAUGUCGAGGGUAGUGGAUGUAUAUAGACAGUAUCUCUAUUUACUCUUUUGUACAUGUUUCUUAUGACUUUUUUUUUCCUGCUCAAGGUUGUAAAUAGCGGAUAGCGGGUACAUAGCGUUUGGAGAGUUUCACAGCGGAAAGCGGAUAGCGGGCGCUAUGAACCCAUAGCGGGUUUCAUAAAAGCAAAUUUAAUAUGUUUAUGUUUCUUAUAAAAUACAUAUAAUUUUGAAGAAAAGACAACUAAUCAUUCUUUUUUUUAGUAUUGCAAGCCUAUAUAUUUAAUGUUAUUAUCUAUUAAAAAUUUAAGAUUAACUUUAAAAUAUUUAGCAAACCAAAAAGAUGACGAUAUAUGAUUCUCUUUUAAAAACGGAUCACCUUUUUAUCUUCCAAACCCGUAGAAACAGGGUUUAUUUCAUUUAAGGAUCCGACUCGAUAAGCCAUUUUAAUCCGUUUGUAUUUUUUAAAGGUUUGGACUCAUAGCGUCCGCUUUUCUACCGCUUUAUAGCGGCCGCUUUAGCGGGCGCUACGCCGCUAAAGCGGCCGCUAUGAACCCGAAGCGCUAUGUACCGCUUUAUAUAUUAUAGCGUAGCGGUAACACCUAAAAACCGCUAUAGCGGCCGCUAUGGCGGGCAUAGCGGCCGCUAUUUAAAACACUGUUCCUGCUAGUAGAAAUAUUGUUAAGUUGUUUGGAAAAGAAGAUUAUAAAGUUGACCACUGAAGAUGACAAUACUAAAAUAGACAAUCAGCAAAACCAGCACCAUUGGUGUUUUUAGUGACCAGGUCAAGUUGUCUAGUCAUGCAUUUUGGGAAUUAUAGUAGAGAUGAAAGCUUUCCACAGGCACAUGGAAUAAAGUAUGAGGCAUCUCUGAGUAAGUUCCCUUAUUUGUAACAUUCGAGAGUGAAUUGAUGAGCUUUUCGGCAGAGGAAAAAAAUCUGCAAGACCUUUAUAGAUAUAAGUAUGGUAUGGUGUAAUAGGACUCAAGCCACUUGAAUUUUUGAAUGCAACAAUAUGUCACUCUAAAUUCAUAUUGUUCUUUCUGCAAUAUGUGGUGAAUAAGCUCAGUGCUUAACUAACCCUAUAAAGUCUUUCCAUGUAUUUUGAUAUUUAUGUCAUUUUAGUUGACAAUUUAAUGAAUUUCUAGGUGCAUUUCUUGUUCAAGGGUCACUCGUUUCCCUAGGUACAACGAUGCGCUUAAGGUAUAGACCAUUUCUUUAAUAUAUUAUUUUCUUUACUGUUGUGAAGUUCAAUGAACUUUUGAAUUGUAACAUGUUUAUCUUGUCCUUCUGACUGAUUUGUUGCUUUUUUUUUGUUGCAGCUCCUGGAAACAAGGAGAGGGCGUUGUGGAGAAUGGGCUAAUUGCUUUACCCUUUAUUGCCGAUCCUUUGGAUAUGAAGCUCGUCUGGUUCAUUUCUAAAAUGCUUAUUGAAUUGUCGACAAAAUUAUUCUCUGCACUUCAUACUUACAUAGUUACAUUAACCAUCUUCAGGUUGUUUACCAUGGAUGCUUUUAUCAUUAAGGUAGAAUUUAGAACAAUUUAAUUGGAGCAAAUGUAACUUUGUAAGAUUCCUUAGCAUAGAGAUGUUUGUCUAAUUAUAUUCUGCAGCUGUGGUUAGAGUUUUUAAAAAUGUUUUUGUGAUGUUGGGAUAUUAUUAACUGUUAGAUUCUAUGAUUAAUAAUAUAUCAUGUUAGAUUCUCCUCGCUUGUUUACAUUCUAUGAUUAGGACAUUCUGUCUAGGUGCUUGCAUUGCAUUAGCACAGUCUGGCAAAUUGACGUGAAGAUAAAAGUUAGUGAAACACAGACAACUAGAUUUGCUUUUUCUUUUUAGUAAUACUGUUGGCACACCUUUUGGACUAACACUACUUAUGAGAGGAAACACAUGCUCGAUUUUGCCAAACUUCUUGUUUUCAUGAGCAAAAAGUUUUAAGGAUUGUUUGUCUUGACAAUUUUCUACUCUCAGAUAUUGGACUUCACCGACCAUGUCUGGACUGAGUGCUUUUCCUCUCCCUUAGGGAGGUAAUACCACAUUUGCUGAGCUGCUUCUGAGGGGGUUUUUUUUCCGUCUUUUUUUGUUGUAAGCUUUUUCACAUUUGUCCAUUGAUCAUCUAUGCUUAUUGCUGUGUGCAUGUUCAGGUGGAUGCAUCUUGAUCCAUGUGAAGGAGUAUAUGAUAAUCCCUUGCUAUAUGAAAAAGGGUAUUUUCUCUUCUUGGACAAGUUUCAUGCAUACUCUUUCAUCCCAAAAAUGAAUGUCCUUACAUCCUUGGUAAUUUCUUGUAUUAUCUUUGUUGGUGCUGACUAUACGCUUUUACUGUAGAUGGAAUAAGAAGUUGAAUUAUGUAAUUGCUAUUGCUAAAGAUGGAGUUUAUGAUGUCACAAAACGCUACACAAGAAAGUGGCAUGAGGUAAUUAUUCCGUUUGGCGUCUGAAAUUUUAGAUCUUCUCUACGUAAUUGUAUCUAUCUUUGUGGGUUAACUUGCUUUAUUGUGCAGGUUUUAUCUAGACGUACCAUAACGACAGAAGCAGCUGCUGCUGCUGUCCUGUCGUCUAUAACAAAAAAAUGUCGUAGUGGAUUUUCAUCUGAAGUAGUUUCUCUGCUGGAGUUACGUGAUAGGAAAGAGGCAGAGGAGCUUGAGCAAGCAAUUUAUCUUCAGAUUGAUUCUUCAAUGCCGUUACCUGGAAGGCAAAGUGGGGCUGUUGAAUGGCGCAAGGCAAGACAUGAACUGGGUUCUAACGAAAGUGACUCACUCAGUUCUUCCUCUUGCCCUGUUCGGAUAUGUGUAGAUGCACAUGUUACAAACAUCUACAAUGCUUUCACUCUCCUUUUAUUUCAUUUUCGUGAUAACAAGGUUUCUAAAGAUAGAAGUAUCAAAAUAUUGGAGGCGCUUAAGGGUUUGUUGGUAAAUCUUAAAACUACCCCUUUCAAAAAUCGUAGUUCUUUCUUUGAUCCAACUGCAUGUCAAAUUACUGAGGAGAUGAUGCCCUGCAUCAAACAACUGCUUUCUGCCAUUUCCUUAAAGGAAGAGUUGAAGAAUGAUGGGAAAAUAUUUGUAACUUUGUCGUCAGAUCCAGUUCGAACUUCUUUAGCUUUGCCAGUGGCUCUCGAUGUAGUUGACGAAAUAAUCAAUAACCUGAAAUUCCAUGAAUCCCCAAUUGAAAAUAUUGGAUUCCCCAAAACAAACCGAUUGUAUUCCGGUUCAGUUCUUGCUAGCGGUGAACAACUCCCAGUUGGUAUUGUAAGUACCAUAUGCUAACUGUUUCAUCCUUUUGACAGUCUUUUGUUGUUGAGAUGUUUCUAAUCUAAAAGCUUUGUUGCUUGUAAUGAUUUUAGGCUACAUCAGCAUUUGAUGGGACUCAGUUGUACAAAUGGGAGGAGCCUAACGGAGCCAAAGGUAUUCUUUAGUUUAAUAAUGAAUCAACUUUAAUUCCCCUGUAAAAAGAAUUUAGUAUGCAUUUCUUUUCUUUUCACAGACUUACUCUUCAUCGUGAGACCAUUUCUUCUAGGUCUCUUUUCUUUCUGUGAUCUGACAAGUGAAUUUUGGCAAUAUAUCUUUUUGUGUCUUGGGAAACAAACUAGUAAAUAGCCAUUUUAUGUAAGCAAACACUUUGAUUUACUAGUUUUAUGUUCGAAAUUUGUCGUUUGCUACAUAUGCAACCAUUCUUCUUAUGUUAGUUUGAUGGCACUAAAUCUUAUUACAUUCUCGCUCAUACUUUAUAGGGUGCUGGCUAAUUUAUAGAGUUCUCGAUAAGCAAAUGUAUGAGUUGGAUUCAUAUGACCUAAAGUCGGCAAACGAUGUUCCGGAAAGAGAUCCAAUGGAGUGGUAUGAUAAAGCAAUUUAUGUUCUUUUGUGCUUCUGUUAUGUUUAUCGUAAACUCAAUUAAUGAAUUGGAAAUAAUUUUAGAAUUUUUUUAAAAAAUAUUUGGACAAAAAUUUAGAAGUUAAAAUUAUAUUUUAAAAAAUCUUAAAGAAAAAAUGGGCUCAGCUCCCAAGAUGGGUUCCCUUGGGAGGUGAGCUAGGCCUAUCUCUCUUGGGUUUGGCCUAGCUCCCUUGGGAGUUAGGAGAAGGGAGCCCAACCUGGGCUCCUUUCUCCCAGGAUAUUCCCCCAAGGCACAAGCAAACUAUGCAUUGGGGGUCGGGCCAUGUUGGCUUGGCCCAGCACGGCCUGUCAGUUCGCGUUGGGCCGGGCCGGCACGGGUUCUACAAUAUGGUGCCGUGCCCAUGCCCGGCCUCGAGUCGUGCUUGUCUCUAUCUGUGGGUGAAGUUUAUAUUCUCUCCCUAUCUAAUAUUUUGAGGAUUUUCACCUCCAAGCGAUAGCACAAAGGUGUAAGAAGUAAAUUGCACCACUAGUCCCUGAACUUCUAGUCCGGUUUCACUUGAGUCAUCAACUUUUCAAGUCCAUCAUUUAAGAUUCCGAACUUUUGAAAAAGAUUUAUUCAAGUUCUUAGAGCAACAAUUGUUGCCUGCUCCUGGUCCAUUCUACAUUCCUGCCCAACUCUGUUCAUCUGUUGGUCCUCAUUGGUCUCAUAUUUUUCAAUCCGAUUGUCCAAUUUAUAAUGCAAGAAAAAGGUUGUUACUCAAUGAGUGGUAGGAUUUGAAUACCGGUUUGGAUCAAGGGCCGAUUGAUGCAAGGUGUAUGGCUGUAGAGAUGCACUUGUUAUUGGCAAUAAGCUUUUUUCUAUUAAUUCUAACCUUUAAGAGUUUAUGUCUACAGUUAGCUUAAAAGUUUGAUAACCAAAAUGAAACUUAGCCAGAAGUCUGGGGGCUAUUGGAGAAAUUUACCACGUGAGAGAUACUUUUUGCAAUGCCAGCAAUUGAAAGGAAGAUCAUUAUCGAGUUCAAAAACAACAGAAACGAUAAUGAUCAGCGUGAAGCAUUCUACACCAUCUUCACAUAAUGUUGUCGUGAUGCAUAAACAUGAAAAUUGUAGGUUUUGCAUUAAUCUUCAAUAAACUCUGGUUUAUAGGAUUCUUGAAGGAAGUUCGGAUGGAGGCUCUAGCUGGGAGGUCUUGGACAGGCAGAGCUCUCAGAUAUUUGAAAAGCGCUUCUUGCGAAAAACAUUUGAAGUGCAGAGAAGAUCUGCGUGUAACGCAUUCCGGUAAGAUUUAUUUUAUACGUAAGGAUCUUCUUUUAAUUCCUGCACCUUCAUCUUGAUUUAUGCUAAUGGAUUGCCAGGUUUCGGUUUUUGCGCGUCAGAGAUCCUAAUAGUAAUUCUAGAUUUCAGAUAGGUGGUAUCGACCUUUAUGCAAAAAGCAGUUAAUUUUGAGACUUGCAUGUGAAUUGUAAUUCAAGUGUGCAAGUUAUACCGGAAAACAAAUCGUAUGUAAUAUGAAAGUAUAUGGCAUAAAAUUGCUGGUGUCAGGGCUUUUUCUUGUUUUAUUUUUCUUCUUUUUUUCAGUGAUGAUCACUCAGAAUGCUAUUUAUACCAAUGAUUUGGAAUCAAAUUAUAAGUAAAUGUUAUGAGUUUCUGAAUGAGGGUGAGAUGCCUUUCAUAUUCUUGUUUGGGACUCGUGAAAAUCAUGAUAAUUAAUUAAUGAUGGCACUGGAAUUUAUUGAUGAAGGAUUUUUUCCUCUUUCUUUUGCAAUUUUAAUAGAAAUUAUGCAAGUAAAACAGUCAAAUUUGAAGGUAAUGAAGAAGUACAAAAAAGAUCUUGGCGUGGAAGAUGAUGGUACUUUUCUGUAAUUUGUUGAAGAGAAGAAGGGUCAAGGGAGGACAUUGCUUUGAUUCUUGACCAUUCUAAGGAGAUGUGUGGGGCCUUAAAAAUCUUAAUAUUCCCUAAGUUUAAAAUCACAAUACUGAUAUUUAGAAGUGCAUCAUCAUCCUGCUUGGAACUGACUUCACUCAUGUUGCAAUGCGCUGUGAUUUUGUCGGAAAUCAUAAUUUCAUUUCUCUCCUUCACUACAGCAGAAAUUUUUUACUGUAGUAUUUAAACUCUGUUUGGAUGGGCGAAUAUCUUAUUUGCAUGGCUCUGUCAUUUAUUCAACAAGCUUGUUACAUUUGGUAGAUGGAGAUUAGUUGUUGGUAAGAUAUAUUUGGCCUUUAAAUAAUUAUUUCGAAAUAAGAGAAGUUAUGUUGUUUGUGCAAUAUAUUUUUAACUUAAUCAUAAAUAUCAAGAUUUUGAAGAGCGAAAUUCAACCCCUAGUUUCCAACUAGAGAUGUCAAUUCAGCCCACUGUUCACGAACUAAUUCGUGUUCGGCUUAAAAUGAACUUGAGAUCGAAUUGCUCGUUUAAUAAAUGAGCCAAAUAUGAGCUGGGUCAGCUCGCUCGUAUUCGGCUCGAUAACAGCUCGCAUACAUAUAUUUUAUAUUUAUAUAAGUUAUGUAUUUAUUAUUUGAGUUUUAGUCCAACCUAAAUAUAAAGUCCAACUCAAUUAUAAAAAUAUCCGGUUAGGUUAUGUGUAAAGUUUUAACUAUUAAAUCAAAGUCUAAUAGGUAAGAUCUCAUAAAUUUGUUUUUUAUACAUAUUCUUUUUAAUCUUUUAACUUGUUGUUCGUGAACUAGUUCGUUCGUGUUUGGCUCAUUAAUAAAUGAGCCGAAUAUGAGUUGAAUUUUUCAGUUCGAUACUUUAAUAAGCCACCUCGAGAUCGGUUUGUUUACGAAACGAGCCGAACACGAGUUGGCCCCGCUCGUGUUCGGCUCGUUGAUGCCCCUACUUCCAACAACAUACGGAAAUUUUCAUACGGGCUAAAUUUUUAUUAAUUUUUCUAUUCUCACAUCCAGUCAUGACCUAAAUUAAAAAAAGGGAAAACUUCAAAUAUCCCUCUUAUGGUUUUACUUUUUCUCACUUUAGUACCCUGUGGUUUAAAGUGUAUAAGUUAGUACCGUGUGGUUUUGCACUUUUUCACUUUAGUACUCUAUGAUUUAAAGCGUAUCAAGUUAGUACCCUAUAUUUUUGCACUUUCUUACUUUAGUAACCUGUUGUUUCGCACUUUCUCAUUUUAGUACUCUGUGAUUUAAAAAUCACAAGAUACUAAUUUGAUACACUUUAAACCAUAGGGUAGUAAAGUGAGAAAGUGCGAAAUCACUGGAUACUAACUUGAUACACUUUAAACCACAGGGUACUAAAAUGAAAAAGUACGAAACUACAGGAGAGGUUUUUGAAGUUUUUCCUUAAAAAAAAAUGUUGGAUAAGAUAUUCAUACAUUUUAAAGACAGCAAAAGAAAAUCCUCCUAGUAUUAAAAAUGCAUACUAUGAUCUUGUUCAGCCGAGUAAUGCAGCAGUGCUCCUCUCUCUUUUGUGUGUUUUUUUUAAGAGUUGCACGAGAAAAGACACACACAACCGCAAACUAUUCGCUAAAUUGGCUCCUAAAAUUGCAGGUGCUGAAAGCGGGAGCAAAUUAGGUCCCGUUUAUUUUGAUAUAAGUGGAGGGAUGGAACUCAAGUUCUAUAAUUUUUGUUAUUUAUUUUGGUAUAAGUGAAAAAUAUAAUGUAACUCAAGUUACGUUACACCUCUACUUCACCUACUCUCGACUUCCUUCUCUAAAGUGCCAAAUUCGACUUCCACCACACUCAAUCUUCUCUAAAAAAUUUAUUAAACAGUAAAAUCUAAACUCUGCUUUCUUUAUAAUGAGUUAGAAUUACCUUAUUUAUAAUAAAUUAGAAUUACCUUUAAAUAAUAAUAAAAAAUUUAAUUAUAUAAUAGGUUAAAUUUUAUAACGGUAAAUUUGCCACUAUAUUUAGGAGAUAACGAGAUCCAUUUACUUACAUCAAAAUAAACAACGAAACUCAAAAAACUAAUUUUAUCAGCACCAAAAUACAUCAAAACAAAUAAAAAAAACUUGAAUUUAACUUUUAGACUAUACGAAUUACGUCAAAAUAAACAACAAAAAAAUAAUAACCCUUCAGAAAAAUUUAAAUACUACUUUCUUACGUUGGAUGUACGGAUUCGUCAAUCCAAAU
rnacentral:lncRNA from 1 species